rnacentral:lncRNA from 1 species
AGCCCGUGAGAUUGGUGCGGGUGAGAUUGAGGACAGAGAGAAAAGAGAGGUUACCAACAUGAGGUGCCAAAGAGCCAACGAGAGGCAUGCCGUUGAACGAUAGAGCAGUGACACGUUGCCUUCGCCGACUGCAUGAAACACCAAUCCAAUGGCAGAAAGACGUGCCGGUGGUCCAGUUGGUGGCAAGGAUGCGGAGAGGAUCGGCGAGCUGGGCUUUAAAAGCCAGCAGCGCGGCAAGGUCGGUGUCGCUCCCGUUGCUGUUGGUGGUCGGACUGGAAGAAGAAGCCGAGACGGCUGAGAGUAGUAUGAGUGUGAAGAUAGGGAUACGUGCGGACAUGGAUUGAGCGGCCAUUGAGCUAGGUGGCUGGGUUGUUUGUGAAGCCGUGUGUGUGCAUUGAACAGCUGGAGUAGUGGUGAAUUUAUAUAGGGUUUCUGUAGACUUCAUUGAGAUACGUCAAAAGAAAUAACCAAUACGUCAACUUCGCAACAAGACUUGUGGAUCAAUAAAUUAAAGAUGCAGGGAAGAAAGCGUAAACGACUCCCAUACCCUCGAAGUUUUCUUUCUUUUCCUGGGUUUCUUCGUUAUGUUUCGUGGACUGCAUUGAGUUUUCCUUGCUUUUCAACGCAACUCAUUCUCUAAAUCAGUAUACAUUUAAAAAAAAAGAAAACUUCCGAUCUAUACAUUUUCAAUAAUGGCAAUACAAAGAACACUAGAAAUAAUAAAAAUUACAUCCAAAUCCGUAGACCAUCUAGCGACGAUUACAAGCACUGAAGCAGUAUACAUCUAACUCGUAAUUAAUUCACCUACAGGCUACGAGUGAAAAUAAUGCACACCGUUGAGUUGAGCUAGUCCAUCAAGAAUAAGGGCAACUCCAACGCUAUACAUCAAAAUAUCCACGGGCAUGUUCAAACGUGUCCGUGGAUAAUUUUAGGGGAGCCCGUUAUUCAACCCGGUACACUAAGUAAAAGUGAAAACGACAUUUUCAUUAAUAUUUAGGUUGUUUUUAACAUAGCAAGAGUAACUGACCCUGAUCUCUUGUCGGAGUCCCCCUCCUGGCUGUCGACGGCGCCGAUGGAGGUGAGUCGACCAUCGAACCGGACGGUCCGGACACGUAGUCGGUGCGGCCCAACAUGAAUGACGCAGAGCUACUGACGUUGUCAACGUUCCCGUCCGCCACCACCUACGCCACCUCCGUGUCCGCCUCCAGCACAAUCUCCGUGAAUAGACGGCCACGCGCUGCCUCGUUGACACGCUGUGGCAACCGCUUGCAGCGGAUUGUACGGGCGCUGCAAACAGAAUCGUACAACGCCCUCUCAUCAUCGACGAAGCCCAGUUUCUCUGCGAUCAUGGCCAUGACACUGGUAGGAAAACCCCUAUUACUGACGCGGGGUAAAAGGCUAGUAGUAGCGCGGGUAGCCGCGCUACGACUAACUUUAUAGUAGUAGCACUGGCGUGAUUUUUGAGAUUUUCUCUUUUUUGACCAUGUAGAUUAGAUGCAGCGCAAAAAGGCGGAUGAACAUAAAAUCGAGCCGACUCAUGCAAUACAUCUCGAAGAUGUGAUCAAACCGCGGGAAGAGCAUGUCCGUGGGGGAUUUGUCGAUGAAUUCUAAGCUCUUCGGCACAUUAACCACAUAAAAUGUGUAUCCUGGAUCAUUCGAUCGGAGAAGACUCUUCUCUGUCGCCAUCACAUGGUCAUACAAGCGCCUCGAUCAUUAAAUGCAGGAAAGAUGCAUGUUUCCUUUGGUGGGAAAGCAUGUGAAUUCAAUCCCCUGCCAGCUUAAAUUUCGUUAUAUUUCGGGACUUGACAUCUUGCUGCAUUGAAAUUUCCUUACUUUUCCACGCAAAUCGUUUUCUAAAGCAGUAUACAUCUAGCUCCUAAUUAAUUCACGUACAGCCACUCAUCACCAGCUACCGCGUAGCCCGCGAGGAAAAAUCUGAGAGUUGAGCCAGUCCACCAAAGCUGACCUGCAACUAAGAGCAACUUAAGUGGCUCCCUCAUCCCACUGCCGUAGGGGGUCGGUCCUCCUCUGCUCCUCCUGCUAUACAACAGUCGAUAAGAGUUGUUCUUGGAGGAAGAAAAUCGACUUUUGAUGAUGGUGGUCGAUCUGGGCCAUUUCGUCCUGUGAUAUACCUUUGUCACGCACGAUGGACUGGCCCAGCUCGACCAUCAUCAAAAGUCGAAAUACCCGUGAGAGAGUGUCCACCAUAUAUAUACCACCACCAGAGAGAAUGUCCACCAUAUAUACGUGAGAGAGUGUCAAUGAGAGUUGUUCUUGGAGGAAGAAAAUUGACUUUUGAAGAUGGCGAUCGAUCUGGGCUAGUUCGUCGUCCUGUGAUAUACCUUUGUCACGCACGAUGGACUAGCCCAGCUCGACCAUCACCGAAAGUCAAAAUAUCCGUCAGCGUGUCGCCAUGAUUAAUUUGCUUAGAAGUAAUCUUUGAUGUUCGAUUCUUAUGUUAUUUUUCAUUGUGUGAUGAAAGGUGUUAGCACCGAUCAAUUUCGUGGCUAUGGCUUCCUCCGACGAUGCAGCUUCCAUUAGGGUCAACUCCGCAGUCAAGGAGAAGCGCGCCGAGGACCGCUUGGCGGCACUCAUUGAGAAGAACCCGCAGCUGAUCCUAAUAAAGUAUUUUGAGGAUCUGGCCAAGAAGAAUCCGCCAGCUAAGGACGGCAAGGCCCCACCACGUAAGGAGAGGGACAACCCGGUGCCAUUGAGUCCACCAACCAUCAUUCCCGACUACAACUCGGAGUAGUCACCUAGAUAGUUUGACGUUGAUUUAGUGAUAUAGCUGUGUAGCUGCUAAUAUGGACUUGGAUGGCCACUUGUGAUGAUUUUGAUUGUAUGAGUGAUGAAUGCUUACGUGGAUUAUGUAUGAUGUGCUCUUUAACCUUGCAUUAUUUCUCUGCCUCUUUUUCUCUUUCUUUGUAAAUGAAAUGGUAUGCGGUGUACACAGGUAGGUGUCCAGGAGUCUACGAUUCAUGGUCUGAAUGCAAUGAACAAGUGCUUCGUUACGAAGGCAGCUCCCAUGACUCGUUCAAUAGCAGAGAGAAGACAGAGUAUCAUUACAAUCAAUAUGUGCUUUACCAGAAGAGAAAAACUGAAUUAGGUAAUGGUGCAAGCCAGAAACGGCUUAUCAGGUUCAGUGGAUUGAAGAACUUGAUAAUUCUCGUUUAGUUUGUUAUAAUUGUGGUGUUGCUUUUAUCAUGUGGUCGCAUGUAGACAUGAAUUGACCACUUUGUUGUUUAGUAAGUAGGCACUUGUACUAAAGAGCUACUUUGUGAUUUCAAAUGAAGCUUGUGUGAACUAUUUCUAUAAUGCUUAUGUGAGUUUGUUGUUAACCUUUGUGACUUCAAAUGCAAGUUUGUGUAUUGUAUAUUUGUUUUUGCUGCAGCGAUCCGAGUGAAAAGCUGAUGAAUCAGAACUGGGAAGGAAACAUUACCGAGAGCCGCUCUCGGCAAAGGGUCAUGCGCUGGGAGGUUCUGGACCUUGGCUGUGGCAGUUACGCCGAGAGUGGCUCUCGGCAAAGAGCUGACAGAACCAGCGGCCGUGAAGUUAUUUUAUUUUGCCGAGAGGGGCUAUUUGGCUCUCGGCAAAAUGUUUGCUGAGUGUCCGACGGAUGGCUCUCGGAAAAUUCCUAUUUGACUGAGAGGUGUACGCCGGGUGGCCUUUGCCGAGUGCACCUGCGUCUGUGAUGAUUCCAGUAGUGUUGAGUGCUUGGGAUUGAUGUCACCUACAUCCAGAUUAGAAGAUGAAAAUUAUAAGAUCAAACAGGGCUAGCCCCGAAAGAGUGCUUCGGUUUAGUACUUGCUACGUGCAUGGUGUGUUUGGUCAUUCCCAUUGGGUACUUUUUGAUGAUUGAGACUCAAGCUCUAUUUGCGUUUGGUCAUUCCCAUUGGGUACUUUUUGAUGAUUGAGACUCAAGCUCUAUUUGCAUUCAGGAUCGUGGUAUUUCUGUUUUUUCAGAAAAAGGUUCAUCUCUGUUGAGCAAUGGUAUUGCAUGUAUUCCGGUAAUGUAAUUUUGGUAAUUAAGACCUAAUAUUCAGUUACAGUUAUGGGAUUAAUUAUGCCAAAUAUACUCGAUGAUGGAAACGUAAUGUUGGCACACUCGGUUGAACGUUUCUCCUUGUUCUGAGAAAGAUAUAUUCCGAAUGAUCCUACUUUGAUGGAAGUACUAGUUGUGGUGAAAGCUGAAUGCUGAAAGAGCUCAGUGACAAAAUCAUGCUGCUUGGAUGCUGCUGUGCCAUAUACACGCUGCUCUGUGGCCAGCAUAUAUGCUUAAAUAUUCUUCUUCGAUUUAUGAUCAUCUACCCCUUAACUGCCAUGACCCUAAAUCUUAAAUCUCUCUCCAAAUACCUGAACAAGACUGCUCCUACUAUUCAGAGCGUGGGGUUCAGUUUAAGGACACAUUACAAGGGUUUUCUGUUUUUGGAUUCUUAAUAGGGCCUUGAAAUUUGUUAGCACUUCUUGCCUUUUCACUGGCUGUAAUUUAUUAGCCACUGCGAUUCGAAUACUCGUUGCUGAUUUGCUGAAUCAAAUAGGAUGGGUCCUAUAUAUGGUGACAUGACAGACGCAAACACCAAGUGUUGGAUCACCAUGGUCAAUCGACGAGAUCUCCAGCUACGACAUGGCACAGCACCCCCUGUAGGCCUAUAAAUCGACAUCUAUACAUACACAAUUCUGCAUGCCAACAAAUGGUGACCUGGAAUUUACAUUUGCUUCUCAAUUUCCUUACACUGAUUAGGACACCAUCUUCAAAAAUGAAACUUAUAUAGGAAUCAAGUACGCAGGGUCAUUUGGAGGAUUAGCACGACCAUCGAUUGAGUACACUCGUGACACGAUAUUUGUUCAUAUUUAAUUCGCUUGAGACUCGCAGCACCAAUUGCCUCCUUUUGCACAUGCCGUCCAUCGAUCGUUACAGAUUUACAGGUUAGGUGAGCCUUGCAAUACUCAGCAGGCAACACACAGUUUCGUGGCUCAUUCCGGCCGGCCGGCUCCAUAAAAACAAACAACGCAGGCGUAAGAGAUAGGAUCAAAGCUCUCAGGUAAGUUGUUUCCUGGUGACGCACCACCCAGUUGUUUCGUGGCUCUUUCCGGCCGGCCGGCCGGCUCCAUAAACAAACACAGGCGUAAGAGAUAGGAUCGCUCACCGUGUCUCACUUUGCUUAAUGGACAUGCUAACUACUCCCUCCGUUCCAAAUUACUCGUCGUGGUUGUAGUUCAAGUUUGAACUACAACCACGACGAGUAAUUUGGAACGGAGCGAGUAACUACUAGUACUCGCAAAAUAUCAUCAUCGACCCAUCGUGAUUAAUUAAGUGAGCCAACAAAACCUCACAGCUAGCUAGCUUACAAUGCCCACCUAAUGUGUAUUAUUAAGUACUCCUACUACACUGCAUACCGAGGCUCUCUUCAUGUCACAGGGACAAAAGCACUGGCUAGGUAGCUAUUCGUUAGCUCAGCCAAAGGAAUCUCUUGCCUGCUUUAGUCCUCUUCAUUUGCAUGGGAUUGUUCUUAUUUAAUUCGCUUAAGACUCGCAGCACCAAUUGCCUCCUUCUGCACAUGCCGUCCAUCGAUGUUUACUGGUUGUCCUUAGCACGCACGUACGCACCACCCAGUUGUUUCCUGGCUCUUCCCGGCCGGCCGGCUCCAUAAACAAACACAGGCGUAAGAGAUAGAUCAAAGCCUUAGACAAAUUGUUCUUGAUUUUUUCGCGUAACCGCGCCUCCCUUUGCUCUAUGGACAUGCUAACUAACUACUACUUUUUUUUUAGAAAAGGAGGAUGUACCCGGCCUCUGCAUCUGGACGAUGCAUGCAAUCAUAUUAUUAAUUAUCCACAGAAACAAUACAAGGUGAUACAUCAAUAAGCCUAAAAUCACCAUCUUGGCAACACCGUUGCUACUCCUAUCCCCUUGAUGAAGGCGUGCCGAAUGUCCGGGCCUAAUACCAAACAGACAUCGCACCAAAGCCUGACAUCUAAAGCCGGGUGUCCCGUCCAAGCCACUACCUGGAUUGGGUCCCACACCGGUCUGGCACACUCCCAAUGAGGACCGCACGCUGCAAGGGCCGUCACCUCCAUCAUCCCUCGGUCCAUCUUCAGAGCAUAGUUGAUGCAUCAACCUUGCCAGGCCUCUCUGCCAUCAACGCCACCAUGACGCCAGACAGCUUCCUCCUCCUGCGCGAGUCCAUCUCCGCGCAUCAGACACCGAGUCUCCACAGCGCCACACCGUCGAGAACCGCCACCAUCAAUGUGGAAGAUGAAGCACCGCUCCACCAAAGACGCCGUCCUCCGGUCCCACGAGCCCGUGUGCAUCUCCAAGAAUGAUGCCCCCAAGGGGGAAACGACACCAUAGAGCCGUCGUCAUCCGAUCUACUGAUCUAGGGUUCCCCCGGAGAUAGUAGAGAGUGGCCUUGAACUUCUCCACGGCGAUGCCUUCAGAAAGGAAACGACGCAGACAGCGUCGCCGUCGCCGGCCUUGGCCAUAGCCAAAAGCAGGUUUUCACCCAGAUCUGAUCGAAGACCUCCAUCUCUCGUGCACGGGCCGCCGCCAUCCCUGCUGGGAUCUCAACGAAGACUCCAAGGAGUGGAUCGGCGCCGCGGCGUCGUCAUCGUUGUGGCCGCCGUCACCGGCCAAGGGUCUCCCCCGAUCCCAAGAGCCCCACCAUCCAGUCACUGCCCACCACCCGGAUCCGGCGAGCAAGGCCACACCGAAGCCCAGAUCAAGCGGGAUAAGGUGAAGGAAAUGAAGCUAGCGCAGGUCGAUCCAGAUCUGGCAACCGGCCGACGGAUCACGGCCGCCAUGAGAUCCCACCACCAGGUCCUCGCCUCCCACGCGCCGGCAAGACGAGCAGCUCCAGGAGUGGUUGUCGAUCAGAGGCGCCGUGACCGCUGCACCGGCCACCGCCACGGAGGCCGCACGUCCAUUACCAAGGCCGCGAGAGGAAGAUCCCGCCGCCGCCGGCCGCCGGCAGGCUUUGCCCGGCGACGUAAGCCAGCGGCGGCGAGGGGAGACGCCAAGAAGGAAGCGCCGGCGGCGGAGAUUAGUUUCCGCCCGUGCCGCCCGUGAGGAGCGACGCGGGCGUUUUCUAACUAACUAACUACUACUUGCAAAAUAUAAUCAUGGACCCAUUGACGCCAUCGUGAUUAGGUGAGUCAACAAAACCCAGGCUACAGGGACCAAGCACAGGCUUAGCUAGCUGUUCAUUAGCUCAGCCAAAGGAAUCUCUUGCCUGCUUUAGUCCUCUUCAUUUUCCUUCACUCGUCCCAGCUAUUCACUCGUCCCAGCUAUUCUCUGAGUGAUUGACAAAGAACUACUGCUUUAGGGGUUUGCAUUCCACUGAACUAUCACUUUCUAAAAAGUGACCGAAAACUAUCAUUUUUUUAAAUUUUGUGACUAUAAACAACCAGUUUCAGAUAAUGACUAGUUUAGACGAUUUAAACGUGUUUAUGACAUACGGGGCCCAUCUGUCAGUGCUGAUGUGGCAGGAAAGUCAACUCCUUUAGACUAGCGCAGGUGCUUGGAGGCUCGUCGACCGGCGCCUGGCAGGGGCGGCUGCGUCAGGAAGGACUCGAGGUCGGGCGGGAGUUCCCCCAUGUCGGCAUCCGACAGGGGCGGCGCGAGGAAGCCGGGCACGAGCGGCGGGGCCAGCUGCUGCUGCGAGGGGCGCCACGCCGGGCUCUCCCUACUGAGCUCGGCGACGGAGCGACCCUACACGAUGCGCUGGAGCCGGGCACGAGCGGCAGGGCCGGCUGCUGCUGCUGCGCGGGGCGCGACGCCAGGCCCUCGCUGCUGAGCUCGGCCCCGCACUACGCGCCGGAGCUGUGCACGGAUGACGCAUGCGGACGCCCAGGCCGCCGGAUCGGCGCGCAGGCGGACACUGGGGGCGAGGCACCCGACGCCAACGCCCGUCGUGGCCAUGGGGGUGGGCGCAUGAAAUAGAGGAGGCGGAGGAGGUGCGGACGGACGCCCCGCUUGGUGCGGGCCGGUGACGCCUCGCCUCGCCUCAUCGGACAGGCGGAUGUAGAUUUUCCACAGGCGAGCACCAGCGGUGGAGGGCGGCGGAGGUGGCACGAAGGUGCACACCAGAUGUUCGAGGAAAUGCCACCGAGAGAGGAGGAGGAAGAAGGUUGAUGCUGGCGUGUGGGUCCCGCCUGUCAUAAACAUGUUUAAAUUGUCUAAACUGGCUGCUAUCCAAAAUUGAUAGUUUUUAGUCACAAAAUUAGAAAUUUUUGAUACUUUUCAAUCACUUUUUAAAAAGUGAUAGUUCUAUGGGACGGUAACCCUAAAGUGAUAGAGUUUUUUGUCCAUCCCUCCUAUUCUCUCCACUACCCCCAAACACUCAAACAACACCCACGGCAGGGAGAAGCCGUGCAGAGAGGAAUAGCUACACACCAUCAAUGGCACCGGUCGUGAGCGCCGCACUUGGCGUGUUGGGUCCCCUGCUGGUGAAGCUCGCCGCCUUGCUCGCCGGCAAGUUCGGCCGUGUGAGAGGUGUCCGGCGCGAGAUCCUCUCUCUCCUGUCCGAGCUGACCAUCAUGCACGCCGCACUCCAAGAGUACAAAAUGCUGGAAGACCCGGGCGUCCAGGUGAAGGCAUGGAUAUCGUUGCUGAGGGAGCUGGCCUAUGAUACCGAGGAUUGUAUCGACAAGUUCAUUCAUCGCCUCGGCAAACGUGGGCGGCGCAGUGGCUUCAAAGGCUGUUCCACAACACCACUCGCUUCCUCAAGGCGCUCAAUUCGCGCUGCGGGAUUGCUGGCCAGAAGGCUCUCAUCAAGCAUGUGAAAAAGCUCAGAGAUAGUUACAAGCUGAGUGAGACUGCCUGUAGCAAGACCGGGCAUGCGUCUGUGGAUCCUCGGUUGUGUGCUCUCUUUGCUCAGGGCCGGCUCUAUGAUUUUGAAGGCCCCGGUGCGAACCCGACCAGUGGGCCCAAUAGAGAGAAAAAUCCAAUUUGAUACAUGAAAAUAUAAAAUUGCUAUAAAAUCAUAAAACUAUUUUUUUUACUAGAAUCAAGCAUAUGUUAUUUUCCCUGUCUUUGUUCCAUACCAAGUAUCAAGGAAGUUACAACGCAGAAAAACCAUAUAGAAAUAGCAUGCUGACCUCCAGUGGUCAUGUGAAACGAAACGAGACUUUCGUGCAUUUUUUGACGCAAAAUCAUCAAUGAGAGUGUCAAGAUCAAUACCAUCCAGCAUAUUCUUCUCAAUGUAGCACAUGGCCAAUCCAUUCAAUCUUUCUUGAGACAUUGUUGACCUCAAAUAAUUUUUCAAGAGUUUCAAUUUUGAGAAACUCCUUUCAACUGAUGCAACAGUCACAGGUAUGGUCAAAAGGAUACGAUAAGCAAUUGAGACAUUUAGAUAACAAUCCGCAUCUCUAACAAACUCAAAUAUCUGAUCCGCUGACAUGAAUGUGUUUGGCAAUGUCAUCUGCAGUACUUUUAGUUCAGAAACGAAAUCAUCUAGAUCGACAUCUGCUGACUGGAAGACCCGGGCCGUCGCACCUCUCGCACUGGUCCAAAGCCGACCCUGAUUAGCUGUAUUGAAUGGGACUGGCUAACUGUAAUUCGCCUGAAAACAUGAAUUGGGUCAGUCAAUUUUCCAGGAUCAACUUCAACCAUUGGAUAACAAACGAAUGGGUCUGCUCAUGUCUUCUUCCUCCUGGGAAAAUAGAUCACGCUCGAUUCCUUCCUCUCGCCGCCUGCUACCACUGGCCAGGCCGCUUGCCACCGCCGCCCGUGGCUGGCGGCGCUCCUGUGCUAGCCUUGCCGCCCCACCUUCCUCUCAACUUCUCCCCACCGCCAUGCUGGCGCUGCCCCCGGCCAUCCCUCUAAUAACUCUUGCAAACCUCUAGAUUUUCAGACGAACCACUAGUAGUAAACAGGGCUUUGGUCACAACCCAAUAUUCACAUUAGUCCCGGUUGCAUCACGAACCGGGACUAAUGUGAUCAUUAGUCCCGGUUUGAGCGGCUAAGGCGUCGGGAAGGCAUUAGUCCCGGUUCAAAUGGGACCUUUAGUCCCGGUUUGAGACACGAACCGGGACUAUUUUAGUCCCGGUUCGUGUCUCAAACCGGGCCGGGUCUCAAACCGGGACUAAAGGUUCAAACUCUUGUAAAAAACAAAAGAAAAUGAUAAAACUUCAAAAAUUAAAAUCCUUCGAGAUGUAGUUAUGUCACUACAUCUACUAGUUAGGAAAAUUAAAAAACUCAAAUUUGGACAUGUUUUGCAAAAACGUGUUAUGAAAAAGUAAAAAACGCCAUAUCUUUUGCAUACGAUGUCGAAAAGAAACACAUAAUAUAUCAAAAAAUCAGCACGAAAAUCCGCAUCCGAUUUUGACGGCCUACGGCCUAUUUGCAAAUUUUUAGAAUCCUCAAAUUCUGAAAGGAAAAAAAGAUAUGCUCAAAUUACAUUUUUUGACUUUUUGUUAAAUCUGGUCAAACUGUGGUCGAACUUUGGUCAAACUACUUAUUCAAAAAAGAGUUGUGUUAAUAAAUAAUUAUUUUUAGUUUUUUGACUUUUGGUCAAAAUGUGGUCAAAUUAUGGUCAAAUCUGGUCGAAAUAUGGUCAAAAUAUGGUCAAACUGCGGUCAAAUCUGGUCAAACUAUGGUCAAACUAUGGUCAAACUACUUAUUCAAGAAAUAUUAAUGUUAAUAAAAAUUAUUGUUAGUUUUUUUGACUUUUGGUCAAACUAUGGUCAAAUCUGGUCAAAUUGUGGUCAAACUAUGGUCAAACUACUUAUUCAAAAAAUAUUAGUGUUAAUAAAUAAUUUUUUUAGAAUAAUAGUUUUGAACUAAAACUUUACUUAAUGCUCAAGUUCAACUCCUAAGGGUUAAUAGGAUUGACAACUUUUUAUUGUCAGGAAAACAACAAGUGCAGACUUGAAAACUAGGGGAAAUACAACUCGAAAGUUAAGCGUGCUCAGACUGGAGUAGUGAGAGGAUGGAUGACCGGCCGGGAAGACGAUUUGAAAUGAGUAGUUCAUAAUUGAGCAGUGAUGAGGGGUGACUAGAGUGGGUGGUUAGAGAUUCAAUUGUCAAAUAAUUCAGAAAUUUGAAAAUAAAAAAAAUAUCAUUGUUAAAAAAAAUCGUAAAAAUUCAGAAAAACAAAUUUUCAAAAAAAUCCUGUCCCGGUAGGUGUUACCAACCGGGACUAAAGGUGGAGCUCCAGAGAGCGAUCACGUGGAGGGCCUUUAGUCCGGUUCGUAACACAACCAAGACUUAAAGGGAGGGCCUUUAGUACCGACCCUUAACCAGGACAAAUGGUUUUUUUUUCUACUAGUGAGCCCGCACCCCCUAACACCCUUAAGAUAGAUAUAGUCUUAUGCCGUACCAAUAUGCACUAAUUUGUAAUGGAGCUAAUUUGUUCCAAUUUCUGCAAGACGGGAAAAGGGUAACCUUGCUGCUGAAUUAAUCACAUUGGAUCAAUGACUGAUGGUUGUACAUGACAGUCAGAGAGAUACCAAACUAUUCCUAAAGCAAAUUAAGCCCGCAGUAGAUAGUGUAUAUAUAGUUAAAUAUUGUUGUUGACUAGUACUAGUUCGCUUGACGGCGCGCACAUGCCGACCAUCAAUCAAUCGCUCCUUGCACGAAACUACUCAGCACGCACCACCCCAGUUGUUUCCUGGCUCUUUCUGGCCGACAAGGAAUAAAGUCUUGGCCAUAAUUCGUUUAACACUGUUUGAUGAACAUGCUAAUCAACCACUACUCCCCUAAGAUAACACGUACUCCCUCCGUUCCAUAAUGUAGUGCCUAUAGAUUUUUUCAAAAGUCAAACAUUACAAACUUUGACCAUAUUUAUAGAGAAAAGUAGGUACAUCUAGAAUACCAAAUGCACAUAAUCGGAUACAUUACAAGUUAUAUUUUCAGAAUGUACAUGUUUGGUAUUGUAGGUCUAGAGAGUUUUCUCUAUACACUUGGUCAAAGUUGACAAAGUUUGACUUUCAGAAAAAUCUAUAGGCACUACAUUAUGGAAUGGAGGGAGUAUUGAAUAUUACGCAUAACUAUUCCUUACAUAAUUUGAAGCAACAUUACCACCUAUGCAAGAAACAGUUCCACAGAUGCUUUAUUUCUAUAACCUAGCUGUCGGAUGCUUAGUAUAGGAAAUGUUUGUCCUGCUCUGCUCUUUCUAUCAAUGUUUUAAAUAAUGGACUAUGCUGUAACACCCCCUGUGUCACGCUACAGUAACCCUUUAUGAUUAAGCUAAUAUUUUUCCAAACAGUGCUUAAUCACCUUUAUUCAAUAUCCCAUUUGAAAUUCUAGUCAAAUUCAAAUUCAAAUUGUAAGUGGAUUUCAAAAUUGCUCAAACAUGAAAACUAAAAUGUUCAUCAUGUGCCAAAUAAUCCUUUGUUAAUAUUGAUGGUGAACCAACAUUCUUUUGCAAAUGUCUAAAUGCCCUAAACCACUUUAAAACAAUGGCUAAAGCAAAUAAAUUAAAUGCUUGUUAAGUUUUAAAAAUAGGAGCAUCCUCACCGGUCAACCCGAUCACGCUGAGAUCGACAUGGCUUCGCCAAAGAGGUUGUACACUUGUUGCAUCUCUUUUUUACUCUACAUGUUAUAUAUAUUGUCCACUGAGCACACGUAGUAACGUGAAAUACAAUUAUUUUAUCCUACUAUAUGACAAGCAGUGAGGUACCAGGCAACUUAGCUAUCCGUAAUGGACUCUCUUGAACGCCAUCAUUAUUUAUAUAUGCGCGUUUGAGCUGUGCAUUUGUCGAUGGGCUUGGGAGUUGAGCUAGUAAGGCAAUGGUCUAGGUCCAAAGUAAUAGAAGUAGCACAAAAACAUUUGUUUAGUGUAGGAUUUUCCUUGCUCAAGCCUGCCUACUAGAAUCGCCAGUGCUUGAAAGGAAAAGUGAAUGAAAAACAUAGGAAUUGGAAAGUUUUCUAUGGUACUACUUUCCAUGAAUUUGGUGCAAAGGAAUAGAGCAAAGGAAAAGUGUAGGAUUUGUUCCUUUAGUGACUCCUUGAAAGAAAAACCGUAGGAAUUCUAAUUCCACUUGUCCCUUUUCAUAUUCCUAUUCAUGAAGCACAAGACUAAGAGAUAGUAGCAUAAUAGCAUUAUAACCAUACAUUUUCUUGUGGUUUGACUUAAUCUCACCAUGCUUCUUUGCAUCCUGUGAUCUUCCAAUUCUUGUGAAUCAAACACCCAGAUUGGCAGAAAUCCUGUGUUUUUAAAUUCUCUGUUUUUAAAUCCUAUUCCUGUCUAUUUUCUAUCCCUGCAUUGUUAGAAUUCUCAAAUUCAAACAAGCCCUUACACAAUUACUUCUGUUACAGAUAUGUGUCAAAGAAAACCUUGUGUGAUUUGUCCUGCUCCUGCGGCGCUGUGUUCCACCCCAGCUCAGCUGCUCCAACGACGGAAGGGUUCACCACAGCAGGGAUCCACUCUCCAGACUGUCUUUCGCUGCCUCAGAUCUUCUUCCCUGCCGCCGGCAGCCACGACAACUGCAUACCAUCAUCAACUGAACAGAUGACCUUGAGGACUACACAGGUCCGCAAGAGAGGUCGCACUCUUCCGUGUCUGCUUACGUUAUGCAUCACUUAAUAUGAUGACAUGCUACAUUAUCGUCGUGUUCAUCUAUUAGACUCCGAGUCAGGUCCAAACUAAUGCUGAAACUUGAGUUUUUAAAUGGUUGUGGGAUACAUAUUGGGGCAGCAAUCAGUACUAUCUGUCUACUAUCUUCUUAAUCUCGGGUGUCUACUAUGAGUUUCAUGUUGGGUGCAAACAAACAUUAAAGGAGCCAUUAUCUGUAUUUUUAACUAAAGCUAUUAUCUGCCUGCUAUCAUUGGUUUUGGGUCUAUCCAUAGUUUGCUACCAUCACUCUGGAUUUGUGCAUGCACUCCUUACAUAAUCUCACUAUGUUUUAUUCCUAUGCAUGCCAGUUAUUGUACAUAAUGGAACUGAUCAUGUAGAGCAAAAGAGACGAGCCUCGCGUGGCAAUAAAAUUUCAUGCAGACCUCGCUCCAUGGUGGGCGCAAAGGCAGCCCCCCUCGACCCAUUUCAGAUCGUAAUCAAGAGGAAGAUAACUGUUCUGAGGGGGAUUUACAAGGAGAAGACCACUCCUAUUUACUUCAUGAGGUCUUCUCUCUAACUUGGCAUGCUGAUGUUGGUAAUAUCAUGCAUAUGGUGCCUUGCAUUGCUUACUGUAUACAUCAAAGAUGUCAUCUGCUUAGUUUAGACAUGCUUUGUGGCAAUGCCAUCUGAUUAGUUUCUUUAUUGUAUAUGUGAAUCAUGCAAUGCCAUCUUGUUUAGCCAGGCAUCAUAUAUGUGAAUUUUGCAAUGCCACCCUGGUUAGCCAGGCAUCAUAUAUGUGAAUUUUGCAAUGCCACCCUGGUUAGCCAGGCAUCUUAUAUGUGAAUUAUAUCAUCCCAUCAUUUUUUAUUACGUAUUAAAUUUGUCAACAAUUUUAGAACAUUCAAUUACUCUUCCUGUGCAUCAGCCAUUCGGCACGGUCAUGGAAAAAUCUGGAGUGGAAACAAGGUCUUCAGAGCAGACAAUGCUAUCUGACGAAGCGCAUGUCUUGCUGGUUAAAGAUAGCUCCUCAGAGGAGGAUUCAGAGACAGAUGACCAGUCCAAUCCCCCCCCCCAGGUGCAUGCUCUAACUUGGCAGGGUUAUGUUGCUCAUAUCAUGCGUAUGGUAUCUUGCAUUUCUAUGUCAUUUGCUUAGUUUAGACAUUCUUUGUGUGAAUGCCACCUGUUUAGUGUCUAAUUACCAUAUAUGUGACUUAUGCAAUGCCAUCUUGUUGCAAGACAUUAUAUAUAUGAAUUAUGCAAUGUUAUCUUGUUGCAAGGCAUUAUAUAUGUGAAUUAUGCAAUGCCAUGCUGUUUAGCCAAGCGUCAUAUAUGUGAAUUAUAUCAUGCCGUCUUUUUUUUGCAUUUCUCAUUGUUUUUGUCGACAAUGUUUGUAUAUUCAAAUGCUCUUCUUCUGCAUCAGCCAUUUGAAUUGGUGAUGGAGAAAUCUGGAGUGAAAACAAGGUCUUCAGAGUAGGCAAUACUACCUGCUGAAGCAGAUAUCUUGCUGGUUACAGAUAGCUCUUCAGAGGAUGAUUCAGAUGUAGAUGACCAGUCCUAUUAUCCCCCCGAGGUGUAUGCUCAAACUUGGCAGGGUUAUAUUACUCAUAUCAUGCAUAUGUUGUAUUGCAAUGCUUAGUUUUUACAUCAUAUACACAAUAUUGAAUGUCAUCUCCUUAGUUGACACAUCAUAUAUGCGAUUGCCCUGUGCUCACUUCCUUAGUAUAUAAAUCAUAUAUUUGAAUUAUAUUAUGCCAUUAUGUUUACAUAGACAUCAUGUAUCUGAAUUAUGGCAUGCCUACCCAUUUCCUAAAGACAUAAUAUAUUUAUAUCAUCUCAUCCUGUUUACAUAGUCAUCAUAUUUUAAAUUAUGGCAUUCUAUCCGUGAAUUAUAUCAUGCCAUCAUGUUUCCAUCGACGGCAUGUUUAUGAUUUAUGGCAUGCCAACCACUUUAAUAGACACAUCGUAUAGUUAUAUCAUGUAAUCCUAUUUACAUAGUCAUCAUAUUUUGAAGUAUGUCAUUCUAUCCUGUUUAGUUAGCCAUAAUACAUGUGAAAUUGUGUCAUGCUAUCUUGUUUAAUUAGCCAUCAUAUAUGUGAAAUUAUGUCCUGCUAUUCUGUUUGGUUAGACAACAUAAAUGUGAAUUAUUUCAUGCCCUGUUUUCUUCCCUACUAUCCAUUGCACCUGUCUAUCUUACAAUGUCUGUACAUUCAAUUAAUUUUCUUGUUUAUCAGCCAUUUCAAUUGGAGGGGGUAAUGGUAGUAUCUGUGGGAGUAAAAACACGGUCUUCAGAAAAGAUCGUGCUACCUGUCGAUGCAGAUAGAACCACGGUUGUACUUGCCCAAGAACCAGCCCCACCACACAUAACCCAAACUCACGCAGAUUGUACCCCUACCUAGUUGGACAGAGAACCAGCUACACCCCUUCUAACCCCAACCCUAGCAGAUAGUAACCCAGUUCCUGUUGACACAGCACCGUCUCCACCACAGAGCACCCAAACACGAGCAGUUAGUAAGGCAACUGCAGCGCCCAAAGUACGAGGACAACCACGUCGAACCCCAAGUCAACGCUUAAAGCGAAGAAGAAUUGUUCUCAGGUCAGGUUCCGUAGCUAUGGUUCAUACUACUUUGCUCUUGCAUAACUGUAUUUACUCAUACCAACUAAUUUCAAAUUUGAAGGAUGCAAUUGAAACUCCAAUGGCGCAACAAGUAUGUUUUAAACCCGUUUCUUUAACGUGUUUGCUGUUGUAACUUGCUCCAUGUUGAUUUCAGUUUCAAUUGAAUAAACAGUUAUGUUCUCAUGCCCUGCACAUUACAAGUGUUGUUAUUGCUGUGUAGUUUCCCACACUUAUAUUCUGUGUAUGCUACUUUGUCUUAAAUAGAUAUGAUUCAAACUGUAUCUAUCUUGAUUUGGCAACAUAAACUAGAAUGAUAUAGACCAUACAGUGACCAUACUACAUAGAUAUAUGUUUGUUUCAUGAUGGUGUCCUGUCCACCUUACUACUGAACUGGUUUACCAAAAUGAGUUUCAUAUACUACAUUGUAAACCUGUGAUGUGUUUGUUUGUUUCCCUUUUAGAACGCGGAUAAAAUAUUGGAGAAGAGUACCCCGUAGAAAUGGUAAAGGAAGUAAUGCAGAUAAGGUUCAAGAUAGUGAGACAUCCCUGUUGGUCUCCAAGAAAGCUGAUAAAAACUAUAUUGAAGACUCUGAGACAACCCCAAAGUCCUGUCUUGAUGUAGUGUUCGAGUUACUGGCUACUACUGCUGGCACCAGCUCUUCGAACUUGUUGCUUGAAUCAGUUCGGCUUCUUAAGUCUCAACUUCAAGUUGAAAGACAUGGAUCAGAUGUUAUGCAGCAGGAAGCCGAAGGACUGAGGAAGUCCCUGCAGAAUUCAGAUGCAUACUUUCUGGUGCAACAACAAGUGCUGGAGGAUUUAAGCGUCAAACAAGAGAAAGUUAAUAAGCUUGCUAAGCAUCUUUCCAGCAUUAUGGGUACCCAGGAUAUUGUUUCUUGAGCUCUUCUGAAGUGGUUUCAGUUUUGUACUUGUUCUGCUGCAGCGUUUAUAUGCUGAUGUGUUCCCUAUAUUUUCACUGGUGGCGAACUUUGAUGCCCAGUGGAUGUAAUAUGUGUAAUACCCGUGAUAGCCUAGCGUAAGUUUCUUGCUUAUUUAUUUCCUUAUUUUCUUGUUUAUUUCUUUUCUUAUAGUCAGUGCAGUUCUUUUUCCGCGGUUAGCUAGUGGUCGCAAUAACCUAUUUUUUUUAAACUAGGCCACAAUAACCAUGGGCUACAUAUUUAAUGUAGUUACCAUUUCCCUCCUACGGGUCGUAGAAACAAUGGGCCUUCUACGGGUCAUAGAAACAAUGGGCCUUAUACGGGUCGUAGACACAAUGAGCCUUCUACGGGUCGUAUCAUCAAUGGGCCUUCUACGGGCCGUAUGAUCGGUUAGCCAAACAUGGGCCAAUAACAGACGGCAUUAUGGUCGUAAACGGGCUAGAGUUGGAAUCGUCCGUUCAUGGGCCGACCAUAACGGGUCGUCGCUAAUCGGCCGUAUUUGAUGACGCUAUGAAAACGGCCCAACAUAUUAACGGGCCACAAAAACGGGCCGACUGUAACCACGGGCUGAAUUUGGCCCACAAGCAGAAAAUGACAGUAACGGGCCGUAAGUAAACGAAUACUGGAAAUGAGCUCAAGAAUAAAUGGGCCCUGAGAAGGCCGAAAGAUAACAUUGGCUGGAAACGGCCCAACGGAAUAACGGGCCGUUAAUGGGUACAAAGUGAUACACUGUUCAUUACGGGCCAGUUUCACCAUGGGCCGUUAAUGGGUAUAAAGUGAUACACUGUUCAUUACGGGCCAGUUUCACCAUGGGCCGUUAAUGGGUGUAAAGUGAUACACUGUUCAUUACGAGCCAGUUUCACCACGGGCAGUUAAUGGGUAUAAAGUGAUACACUGUUCAUUACAGGCCAGUUUCACCACGGGCCGUUAAUGGGCCAAGAGUUACAAAGGGCCUCAUAUGGGUCGAAAGACGUCAUGGGCCAUACAUGGGCCAGAAGUUAAAACAGGCUGGAAUCAUAUUGGACGGCCCAGAUGACGCUACUGGGCCUAAUUUGGAUAGGUCGUAACGGGCCCUGGGUUAGCAGGCUGUAAAUGGGCUAUAUGCGAACAUGCCAUUAACAAGCUUUCCAUGGGCCCGCCCGCCACCUUUUGACCAAGCCAAACAGGCCGGCCUUUUCACAGGAAUGGACCUCUGUUGGGCCGUGCCAUGUGUCAACGUAUCAUAGGCGCCUUAUGUCCAAUGAGUGGAUGACAUCUGUCCCGACGGUGAGCCGACACGUGUUUCCUCCAGCCAAUGAUGAUUUUACACGUGGAAAAUCCCCAUUGGUCGGGGCUGUUAACGGGUUAUCGGAUCCAAAACCGGACCCGAUAGCUUAACGGUGUUCCGUUAUGGUGGAUGCGACGUGUCUGUCACCCUUGACAAAAGCACUUCUAUGACGCGCGAUUUAUCAUCAUGGAAGUGGACACUUCCGUGAUGAUAAUUUUGUUAAUUUCAUGGAACACUUCUACGAUAGCACAGGUACGACUAUCUUGAUUCUGUCAUAAAAUCGUCAUGGAUGUACAUGCAUGACAAAAAACGCGACCUAUUGUGACAAACACGUAUCAUCACAGAAGUGUAUUUUUUUGUAGUGGGAGUUGAACUAAGGAGUUUGUAAGGGCAAGGAGAUCGCCUACUUCGUGAAGAUCUACCCUAGUGAGGAAAGUCCUUCAUGGGCAAUGGCCAUGGUGGGAUAGACAAUGUUGCUUCUUCGUCGACCCUUCAUGGGUGGAGCCCUCCGUGGACUCACGCAGUCGUUACCCUUCGUGGGUUGAAGUCUCCAUCAACGUGGAUGUACGAUAGCACCACCUAUCGGAACCACGCCAAAAAUCUUCGUGUCAACAUUGCGUUUGCUCCCUCCAAACUCCUCCCAUUUACCUUCUUGCAAGUUGCAUGCUUUACUUUCCGCUGGUCAUAUACUCUUUGCAUGCUUGCUUGAAUUGUGUUAAGAUUGCUUGACUUGUGUAAAGUUGCUAAUAUCUGCCAAGACUUAAAAUUGGGAAAAAGGCGAGAUUUUUAUGUGGUCAAGUAGUCUAAUCACCCCCCUCUAGACAUACUUUCGAUCCUACAAGUGGUAUCAGAGCUACGUUCUCCAUUUGCCUUGAUUUCCAUAGCUUUUGGUGAUCAUAGCCUUUGUUUCACAACCUAGGAGAGUAUGGCGUCUAGUGAGGGAAAUACCACCGUAGAGGUCCUUACUUUGAUGGUACUAAUUUUCCGAGUUGGAAGCAUAAGAUGAAAAUGCAUAUUCUUGGACAUAACCACACCGUUUGGGCUAUUGUGUGUAUUGGCUUGCAAGGUGAAUUCUUCGACGGGAGAGAACCGAACCGUGAAGCUACUGCGGAAGAGUUGAAGAUGCUGCAAUACAACGUUCAAGCUUGUGAUAUCCUCUUCAACGGAUUGUGCCCCGAAGAAUUCAACAAAAUCAGCCGUCUUAAGAAUGCAAAGGAAAUUUGGGAUACUUUGAUUGAUAUUCACGAAGGUACCGACUCCGUCAAGGAAUCCAAAUUGGAUGUGCUUCAAAGUCAACUUGACAAGUUCAAAAUGAAGGAUGGUGAAGGUGUCGCCUAAAUGUACUCUAGGCAUUCUCUCAUCACAAGUGAGAUUGCCGGCUUAGGAAGUGAAGAGAUGACCGAUAGAUUCAUAAUCAAGAAGAUCCUAAGAGCCUUGGAUGGAAAAUAUGAUACCGUGUGCACAUUGAUCCAAAUGAUGCCCAAUUACAAAGAUCUCAAGCCAACGGAAGUCAUUGGAAGAAUUGUUGCUCAUGAGAUGUCACUCAAGGAUAAAGAAGAGCUUCACAACAAGUCAAGUGGUGCUUAUAAAGCCUCAUGUGAUGCCCCUACAUCAUCAAGUGAGAAACAAACCUUCGAUGAAGAAUUGAGCCUAAUGGUGAAAAACUUCAAAAAGUUCUACAAGAGUAGAAGCAAGGAAAGAAGUUCCAAGUCAAGGUCCUACAAUGACAAAAGAUCUUCGAGUCGUGAACGUAAUUGCUACAAUUGUGGAAGACCCGGACACUACUCCAAUGAGUGUACGGCUCCCUACAAAAGAAGAGAAGAUUCACCUAAAAGAAAAAGUAGAAGAGAAGAAUCAACACCAAGAGAGAGAAGGAGUAGACAUGAUCGUUAUGAACGAAGAACCUCCCGGAGAAGCUAGGAUUCGAAAAGGAAGGACAAAUCAUCAAGGAGCUACAGAAAACGAAGACAUCAAGCUCAUGUUGGUGAAUGGGUAUCCGGCUCCGACUCCGACCACCACUCCGAGAGAAGUUAUCACUCUAACUCCGAAUAUACUCAAGAUGAAGGUGUUGUCGGUCUAGCACUUGUGUCAACCAACUCCUACGACAUAUUUGACUCACCAAAUGAAGGAAUUGGAAGAUGCUUCAUGUUUAAAGGACCAAAGGUAUCACACCCCGAGUAUGUUGGUUUCAAUAGUGAUGAAGAUGACUUGCUAGGUGAUGAUGAUUUACUUGUUGACAACUCUUGUGAUGAAUACUAUGAUGAGAUGUCAAUUAAUCAUGCUAAAACUAAUGACAAUGAUAAGGAGAAGAUUGAGCUUCUAACUAGAGAACUAACCACUCUUAAGUUAGCUCAUGAAACUACUUUAGAAGAUCAUCGAGAACUUUUAAAAACUCAUGAGAAGUUACGCUUUGAAAAGCUCAAUCUUGAGAAAGAGCAUGAGUUCUUAAAGGCCAUCAAUGAUGAUCUUCGAAAGAAAAGUUCUUCUUACAUUGCCAAGCGUUUACUCUUGUCUACUUACAUGCCACAAGUAAAAUCUAGCAACAAGAACAAGAAAGAUUCUUCUUCUAGUAGUAACCAUAAUCACGCUAAAUCCAAUAUUGUUGCUUCUAUUAGUUCUCUCUAUUCCACUAAUGAUUCUCUUAGCCAAGUUACACUUGAGCAAGAAAAUAGCUUAUUGAAGGGAAUUAUAGAGAAAGGUUUUUACAAGAGCCUUGCCAGAAGUAAGCAAUUUGAGGAAAUUGUACGCAAGCAAGGAAGGCACUGGAAGAAUCAAGGUGUUGGUUUGAACGAAAGUUCAAUACUAAUGGAGUUGAGUGGGAAGAAGAUCAAUACCCCAAGAAGAAGUUUGUUCCUCAACAAGAGAAGUAUGAUCCAACUUCUUUCCAAGGAACACAAGCUCAAGAUGAUCUUCCACCACAAGACCACAAGCUAAAAGGCAAGGACAAGCUUCAAGAAGAGAUUGAUGCAUUUGAAGAUGCUCCGAAGGCCUUGGUCAAGUGGGUUCCCAAGACUACAUCAAGUUCUACUUCAUCAAGUUCUUCCUCCUUUGUUCAUCCGUUCUCGCAUCCUCGAGCUCCAGCGCCCAAGUUCUCACCUUCUUCGUAGGACCGCAGCAUGUCCGGAGCGGGAGGCAAGUGGAUGGCCUCCUCUGUCACAGAGGAGAACAUUACCAAGCUUCGGGAGGUCGAAUACCUGGCCGAGAGCAUCGCGCACAGGCUUCCGGCGGAGGGACAGAUCACCCCCACCCCAAAGUCUCGGGAGAGAGUAGUAUUUCUCCCUCAUUUCAUCCGCGGACUAGGAUUUCCAAUCCACCCAUUCGUCCGCGGGCUCAUGUACUACUACGGGCUAGAUUUCCACGACCUAGCCCCGAAUUUCGUCCUCAACAUCUCAGCGUUCAUCGUCGUGUGCGAGGCCUUCCUCCGCAUCAAGCCCCACUUCGGCCUGUGGCUGAAAACCUUCUGCGUGAAGCCAAAGAUCGUGAGCGGCCAACAGGCGGAGUGCGGAGGUGCCAUGCUGGGCAAGAUGCCCAACAUCACAUGGCUUGAUGGCUCCUUCGUGGAGACCAUAAAAGGAUGGCAAUCAGGGUGGUUCUACAUCACCGAGCCCCGCGACGCCAACUGGGCGGCGGCCCCCAAAUUCAGAUCCGGAAUCCCCAUGCGGCUCAUUUCUUGGGAAAAGAAUGGCCUGGCCUGGGGCGAACCCACGGAGCUGACCAGACUCGAGGUCUGCAUCAAAAGCAUGAGGGACAAGAAGAUCAAGCUUGACAACAUGGUCCAGGUCAUGCUCAUUUGCCGGAUUCUCCCGUGUCAAAGACGGGCAUUUGAUAUGUGGGAGUUCGACCUGGCCGAACACCAGAUGUUGUUGGAGCUCUUUGACACGACGCACAAAGAAAUCUGGAAGGUGAUGUUCAAGACCGGCGAAGUUCCUCCCCCCCUUUCUGAGGACCAUGGGCUCAGCACAACGCGCCUUGCCAAUCCGGUAAGUCCUCCGAUUAUCACAAGAUGCUCCAUUCCCAGUAUAUUUGUGGGAGGGUUUUUGAGUCUCCAUGUUGACCAAACAGGAUUGGGUGGAGACGGCGGAGCGGAUUGACUGUCCGGCUCCACUACCCAAGGACCCCGUAGGCGCGCUACUAGCAGAGAGGCUAGUUCCGACGCCUUACAAGGUGCCGGAGAAGAAGGCCGAAAAGAAGGCCACGGGGACCCAGAAGGGUCUUCGGCACGAGGCCGCACCCGACGCCUCGCCGAAGGAGGCUGAGGCGCACUCCUCCCACAAAGGGGAGGAGAGAAGGAGGAAGGCCGCCUCAACUGAGGGGGCCGAAGGGUCCAAGAAGGCGGCCGCGGGGACUAGAAAAAGUCUCUGGCGCAGGGCCGUGAUAGAGUCAUCAUCCUAGGAUGACGAGGAAGAUUCCUCCCCCGAAGACGGGGGGAAACCUGAAGAAAUGCCCCCUCCCCGUACUGGGGAGGAGAAGAAACGGAAGGACGCCCCAUCGGGCGAGGCCGGGAUGCCGAAGGAGGGGAAGGCGUCCCUCCCAGAUCAAUCCACUACCGCCGCUUACAGUGACGAGGAGUGGCUGCCCAGGGGCAAGCCCCGAGCGAGGUCGUAAGUAUCCACAUUCCGUAAUACUUUUUCAUGCGACUCUGACCUCACGGUUUGUAAUGACGCCGAAUACGUAUAUGCAGUCCGGCCGGGUCCAAUCUCGGGGCGCCCUCUUCGGAGGAGUCUCUGGCCACCUCCCCAUGACCUGCGGAUGACACCGAGGUGUUGUCCCGGAGGAUGCCGGAGCAGGAGGCGAUGGUUCCGGAGACGCCCCAAGGCAAAAUCCCGGGAGCCGGACACGUGGGGGAUAAGACCCCCAUGGAUUAUGCUGACGGGAGCCACAACAAGUCUGGCUCCCAGCCGGUUACUGCGCCGGAGCCUACAAAGGUUCCGGAUUCCAGUAAGCAGACCCUCACGAAGAAGGGCGAGCCAGCCGUGCCGAUGACCUCAGCCCAGCCGGAGGCAUCGGACAAUUUGUUGGAAGUUCUUCGAGGCGCUUCCAUCGAUGAUGAACACCGUACUCAUAGUACGGUGAUUGAGAAGGUUCGGUUCACCAAGAGCGGAUUGACCGAAGCCUGCACCAGCCUACUAACAGGCUUUGAGGUAAGCUAAUGAAAAAUUGUGAGUAAAUAUCACCCGAUAGACAGUAGCCCCUGAUACUCCGGUUGGUGUUCGGAAAGAAAAGACAAACAGAGGGUCAACUAAAAAACCGCAGGAAGCUAAUAGUAAUUGUCCGUGUUUGACAAGUAGGCAUUGUUGCUGACCGCCGCUGCGCAUACGGCUGAAGUUGCCGGACUGAAGAGCGAACUAGGGCAGGCCGAAGAAGAGCUCGGCCUCGUGAAGAAGCAGCUCGAGGAGAACAAAGGUAAGUGAAACCCCGUCCGUGUGUUGUAAAGGAGAAAAAUUGGCGAUGCUAACAAAGAGCAUCGUUAUUUUUAACAGGGGCCGCGACCGAAGUAGCGACCCUGAAGAAAGCGUUGUCCGAGGCCAAAGCUAAUGCGGCCAGAGAGCGCACCGAGCGUGAAAAUGAAGAUGCUCGGGUGGGAGAGGUGCAGCAAGAGCUCCAGGAGCUCAGCAAGAAGUGCGAGUCCUUGGAGCAUGACUUCAAGACGCAGGAGUCUGAGCUUGCGAAAGCCCUCCAGAGCAUUGCAGAUGCCAAGGCCGAAGCUCAAAAGGCCCUCUAGGCAAUCCAGGCGGCCAAGAAGAUAGCGGAGGGUAAGGCAUUCUUUAUGCAAAGCAAGCAUGUGAAGGAGUCAUUGCUUUUACUUACACGAAUCCGGAGCUCUCCAGGGGCAUUCGCAGAUUUGCCAUGCAGCAUUUCGGAUGCCGCGGAGUUCUAUCGCGCUAAAGAGGGGAGCUCUACGGAGAAGCUGUUCUGGUCCCAAUAUACUGGGUCCGAACACCCGAUGCCUCUAAGUGACCAACUGAAGCAGCUGGUCGAACUCCACAACGCGGCCGAACAGGCCAUGAAGGACCUCAUAGUCCGGAUGUGGCCUGGCGAGCCCCUGCCCGGCAGCUACUUUAGCCUGGUGAAGCGGAUGGUGCAGGCCUGUCCACGACUCAAAGUCAUCAAGCAGUCAGUAUGUAUUGAAGGUGCCCGGCGGGCCUUUGCCCGCGCGAAAAUGCAUUGGGCCAAACUGGAUGUUGAGAAGCUCGUGAAGGACGGACCCCUAGAGGGCAAGGAGCAUCGCUAUCCCCAAAAAUAUUAUGCUGGCGUUAUGAAAGGCGCUCGGCUUGUGGCAAAUGAAUGUCCUAAGAACAUAAUUUUCGAGUGAAUGUACUCAGGUCAUCCGUGUAAUAUGAGAACUAGUUUGAUUGCGCUAUACAACGCUUUGGUUGAUUUAAAAUAUUACCUUCUCUGUGGCCGUUUAUCAAAAUCUGAAAGUAGGCCAGUCGUCGGCUUCCGCCCCCUUGUAACUAGUACUGGGGUGUUCGUGGAAAACCCAAACACUCUUUAUCCAAAUUCUUGGUCCUUUAAGGAGGUGUUUAGCGCAGCGAACAAGACAAUCGGACUAUUCGGCUUUAUAACUCUCACUUGGCCAUAGAAGUCUAAAAUUUGAAAUUUCGGCGAAGCCCCUAGUAUUCGGAAGGCCGAACUGGGGCGUUAUACACGCCUAAAUCGGGCAAGGCCGAUUCCUCGCCUUAAGCGGAAGAAAUCUUUAAGGAUUUAGUACCUCGCGAAUAGCGACUAGCUCUAGCCGCAUCAUGAUGGUCAGUUUUCGGCUUUCUCUACUGAGGUGCUCGUCCGGGAGAACCGGGACACAAUCGCAGUAGUUCUCCCUGCGCUACCUUAGCCGAUAUAACGGAAUGGAAGGUACAAAAACAAGGGAGCCGGGCUAACCCAACUAUUGACCCAAGACAUGAUUCACAACUGAUGCAUAUAAUGCUAUAAGUUCGGGGCGCCGCGCUGUCGAAAGUGUUCGGACUUUUCUUGCCAUAUUAUGGAGCUUCGAUGAGAAGCCCUUGGCAAACUGAGCAUACCAAAAUGUAUGGAUGCAAUAUUGAAUUAAUAUUUAAAGGAAAAUAUGAAGAUAGUAAUAAGAAGCUGACAAUGUGUACUACUUCCCAUUUGUUUGGACAAUACGGCAAGGCGUAUGUGUACAAUUAAUGCAUUAAGCAGAAAGAAAUAGGACUAUUUAACAUGUCCUAUCCAAGGGCAGGCUACAUGCGGGUAUGUAAAAACAGGUAUAACGAUCAUUGAAGAAGACCACCUUGGUAUUCCUUUGUGUGCAAAGCCUCUUGCCUCCUUGGUGUUCCCUCCUAUAAUGAGUCCGGUUAUCCGAUCUCUCUGAAGGGGUUGCCCGAAAGUAGGGUCCUGAAAAAAGAAAAAAUGAUACGUGGGCCUAAUGGCGGCCGAACCGCACUCUGGCCGCAUUGUCGUCUCGCCUCCACCUAUGCCCAUGGUAUUUUAAGCGCGUAUUUGUGUACGCGUGGCACGACCGCCGCCUGAAUGGGACAGGGGUGGAGGCCGGAUUGCUAGUCAAGCUCCUAGCGUCCCUGACGGUCCUGUUGCGGGGUGCUCCGGACUCGCUUGAUGGUGUUCGGGGUUGUCGUUGCCGAAUUGGCUGUUUGUCGAAGGAGGCUGCUUUGUUCUUCUGCCGCGAGGGCCGCAGUGUGCUCCUCCGUACGGAGGGAGCGGUCUGUAUUUCCAUUGACUGUUAUGACCCCGCGAGGUCCUGGCAUUUUGAGCUUGAGGUAUGCAUAGUGUGGUACCGCAUUGAAUCGAGCGAACGCGGUUCGUCCAAGUAGUGCAUGAUAGCCACUACAGAAAGGGACGAUGUCGAAGAUUAGCUCCUCACUUCGGAAGUUAUCCGGGGAUCCGAAGACCACUUCCAGUGUUAUUGAGCCCGUGCAGUGGGCCUCUACCCCUGGAAUUACACCUUUGAAGGUGGUUUUGGUGGGUUUGAUCGGUGAUGGAUCGAUGCCCAUUUUGCGCACUGUAUCCUGAUAAAGCAGGUUCAGGCUGCUGCCACCGUCCAUGAGGACUCGCGUGAGGUGGAAUCCGUCAAUAAUUGGGUCAAGGACCAAUGCAGUUGAGCCGCCGUGACGGAUGCUGGUGGGAUGGUCCCUAUGAGCAAAGGUGAUCGGGCAGGAUAACCAUGGGUUGAAUUUUGGGGCGACGGGCUCCAUCGCAUAGACGUCCCUGAGUGCAUGCUUUCGCUCCCGUUUGGGGAUGUGAGUGGCAUAGAUCAUGUUCACUGUUUUCACCUGGGAAGGAAAUUUCUUCUGUCCUCUAGUAUUCGGACGCCGGGGCUCCUCGUCAUCAUCGCCGUGCAGCCCCGUGUCCUUGUUAUCGGCAUUUAUCUUGCUGGCCUAUUUGAACACCCAGCAAUCUCUAUUAGUGUGAUUGGCUGGGUUAUCGGGGGUGCCGUGUAUCUGGCACGAGCGGUCGAGUAUGUGGUCCAGACUGGACGAUCCCUGAUUGUGUCUUUUGAACGGCUUCUUUCGCUGACCGGAUUUGGAGUUGCUGAAUCCGGCAUUUACUGUCGUAUCCCCAGCAUUGUCGCCAUUGUUUCGACGCUUGUGUCUAUUGCGCCGUGGCUUUCCAUUACUAUCACGGAUAUCUGAAGUGCCAGGGUUUCCUGGCACGGUAUUACUGCGAGCCAGCCAGCUUUCCUCACCCGCGCAAAUGCGGCUCAUUAGUUUUCGUAAGGGACGCUGUCGGUGUCAAAACCGGCGGAUCUCGGGUAGGGGGUCCCGAACUGUGCAUCUAGACGGAUGGUAACAGGAGACAAGGGACACGAUGUUUUUACCUAGGUUCGGGCCCUCUCGAUGGAGGUAAUACCCUACUCCUUCUUGAUUAAUAUUGAUGAUAUGGGUAGUACAAGAGUAGAUCUACCACGAGAUCAGAGAGGCUAAACCCUGGAAGCUAGCCUAUGGUAUGAUUGUUGUUCGACCUACGGACUAAAACCCUCCGGUUUAUAUAGACACCGGAUAGGGUUAGGGUUACACAGAGUCGGUUACAAUGGUAGGAGAUCUACAUAUCCGCAUUGCCAAGCUUGCCUUCCACGCCAAGGAAAGUCCCAUCCGGACACGGGACGAAGUCUUCAAUCUUGUAUCUUCAUAGUCUAGGAGUCCGGCCAACGGUGAUAGUUUGGCUAUCCGGACACCCCCUAAUCCAGGGAUCCCUCAGUAGCCCCCGAACCAGGCUUCAAAUGGCGACGAGUCCGGCGCGUAGAUUGUCUUCGGCAUUGCAAGGCGGGUUCUUCUCCAAAUUCCAUAUACUUGUCGAAUAGUGUCCGGCUUCUGAUAAAUGCCGCGCUCCUUGGCUUCCAUGCCCAAUAACGGUCAUCUUCCACAUGUUUGAAUGAAUGCGAAAAGCCAGGGUAUUUUUACACUUAUCCCCCUAGCUGCGCAAAUGAGUUGUCUAUAAAAGGGACGAGGAUCUAGAUCUGAGUCACACCAUCCCCCCUCCGCGAGCUUUCAUCAGAGCGCCUUCGACAAAGAUCCAUUCCACCAUGGACAGUCGACACAGCUCCUCCUCUCGCGCUCCCAGCCCUCAGCCGGGAAAUUGGGAGAGAUGCUCAGUCCCGCAUAGCGAACUAGUGAUUUCUUCCCCUUGCCUUCAUGGUUCCGGUUCGAGCCGGACUUGCCACCUACAAGGGUGGGAAGCAAGCGGAGAGUGUCCCCGAUCCCUCUAAAGGAGAGCGGGUAUGCUUUAUCUCUUAUCUAGUAAGAGGACUCGGAUUUCCAAUUCAUCCGUUUCUCCGGGGGCUCUUGGAGUUCUACGGCCUCCAGUUGCACCACCUUACGCCUGCCUCCAUUUUGCACAUCGCGGGCUUCGUGGCCCUUUGCGAACUGUUCUUGGGCAUCGAGGCUCAUUUUGCGUUGUGGAAGAGAUUAUUCUGCCUUCUACCCCGUUCUCAUGAGGGGUCAAUAUAUCAAGUGGGCGGAGCCGAACUAUGGCGCAUCGCCGGGACCGGAUAUUUAUCUGGAACCCCGAAGAAGGCGUCCGAAGACUAGCCUUCGGAAUGGUUUUACAUGGAAGACGUCCCGCUGUCGGAUCCUGUUCGGAGUUUAGCAACGCUCCUCUGAAGAAGCGCCUAAGCUGGCGCCCGCGGAGCCCCCAGAGGGAAAAUGACCGGGACGUCCUUUACUUGAUGAGCCGAAUAAGAUUACUGGCUCAUGCCGGACUGACCAUGACUGGAGUCAUGGCAAUCUGCAUUAUGAGGGGAGUGCAGCCGCUUCAAUAUAGGGGCCACCCCAUGUGGGACUUCAACGGGGAGGACGAUGCCACCCGCCAUGGCCGCAAAGGGCUGGGAUCGGUCACCGAACUGGUGAAGACCUUGUCCGCCAUGUACAAAGGGGAAGAGGAGGAUUUUCUCCGCGUCAAUCCACUGGACGGGUUUUCUUCGAAUAAUCCUCGUAGUUGGGUAAGCAACUACCUUAGUGGCCUGUCCGAUCCAUGUUCUCGUGGUUAAAUAUCUCAUUUCAUGGUUUCUACGCAGGAACUGCGCCGGGCCGUGGAGAAGAUACACAGCCCGCCCCCACAACCCGAGGAUCCGGAACGGUCCCUCGAUCCGGCCUCUGAAGAGGAUCUAGAUAUAAAGGUGGAGUUGAUCGACGGGGUGUUCCACCAACUUAGCCUCGACAAUGCUUUGGUUGCCAUUACGGUCGAUUACCCCGGAAUACUUCCAGCCUCACAGGUAACUGAGACCGAGGUCCCAAUACCCUGAUAAUGACCCGUCCGUGCUUAUUUUUUGAUCACCGUAUACCAAUGGUGUUUCGCAGGGGGUGCCUUCGAGGCAGGAGGCCGAGCCUGCGGCGGCUGGCCAACAAGGGGCAGUACAGCCCUCCAGGUUAAAAAGAAGUGCGGUCCGGAUCAAAACUCCGCCGCAACGGUAUGGCGCGUCACCAUAUUCCCAGGAUUGAUUCCUGGAAGGUGUACUAACGCUGGUCCUUUUUUCAGGAAAAAGAGCGCUCGCCGGACUGAGUCCGGAGAGGUUGCCAAUCGAGCCUCCGCCGGCCAGGCUCCAAAGCCAGGUCCAGAAGUGGAGGCGAGCACGAGGCGUGAGUCGGAUGCUCCUCCGACAGAGGAUGCCGACAAUUUGUCCUCCACCAACUCCGAGGUGGAGAGCGCCAUGAAUCACAGGCGCCGCCGGACAGUUCUUCAAGACGCAUGUUUCUCCCAAGAGGCCUUGAAUGCCUUCAAUUCGGGAGAUGCGCACCUCCGUGCCGCUCAAGAUGGUCUAGCCAGAGCCACGGAGCAGUAUGUAAAGGACAUACAGGUGAGGAAAUUUGACAGUUAUAUAUGCCAGUAGCCCCCGAGACUUAAAAUAGUUAGAAUAACUGAUUUAAGGAUCAUUUGUUAUGCAAGAUCUUACAAAAAAGAAUACCCGACUGUCCCAGGAGCUUGAAGAAUGCAAGGCCCAACUUGAGGCCGCACUAGCCGCUACAGGGGGAGCCACAGAGACCCCCUCUGGUAAUAUAUGCCUCAAAAGAAAAAUAGUUUAUGAAGUACGGCGUGUGUGUAAAUCUGACAAUAAUAUUGCAGAUGGUGCCGGACUAGAUCCAGACAAGCAACAGCUCUUGCGCCGGUUGAAGGCCGGCGAGAGCGUGCUUACGAGGGUGCGGCAGGAGAAAAAUAACCUCCAAGAUGCCAACACCCAGCUGGGUGAGGAACUAAAGGAUGUUCGAGCCCAGUUGUCUGACUCCGUAAAGGAGAAUCGACGGCUUUGUCGCGGCAUUUUUAGUAAGUGCUUGAACGAACUUUAAAGAGUUCGGCGAGGAAGGUGACUAACAUAAACAUGUAUGUAGGUUUGCUCACAGGUCGUCCUGAGGAGGAGAUGCCCAGUUCUUCGGGUGAUCUUCUUCUCGAACUGCGUCAGCUGCACGAACGAGUUCGGCAGGUGAUGAAAGGCAUAGCCCAGGCCUUGUGGCCAUCUAUCUCCCUGCCUGAAGGCAUUGGGGAGCUGGCAGAGUGGCUUCAAGGAGCACGGCGGCGCUUCCGACUAUGGAAGAUAUCGGCCUGCCGUCAAGGCGCCAGGGAGGCCUGUGCCAUGGUAAAGACGCGGUACACUAAGGCUGACCCAAACCACAUGGCCGAGGUCGGACCUGUGGGGCCUGAUGGGAAGGAGAUCCCUGUGAGCUUAGUGUACGGCCAAGUAGAAUUGGCCGCCAAGUAUUCCCAGCAAGAUUGUAAAUUAGAUAGCCUAUUAGAUGGCAUUGAGGAGGAAUACAAUGAGUCGAGUUGACUAUGUAAUUGAAUAUGACAUGAAAAAUGUCUUCUAGCCGGAUUGUAGAUCGUUUGUCAUAGCGGACUUUUUCGCUUCGACCUCGGGACCCAAUAGUCCGGAGUGUGUCCGAAUACCCUCACGGUUAUAUAAGAACAGGGGCAUGCAUGGAGACAAGGCGUUGGGGUCAUUAUUGUUGUAUCAGACAAGUGCCCAACUAGUUAUGUUAUAUUACAUGGAUAGUAAGAAACAUCUUCCAGGGAGAAUAGUUCCGUUAAGGGUUCCUUUCGCUGGGAGGCAUGCCCUAAAGUGCAUGUCAAAGCUGCUAAGAAAGCAGAAAAUCAUCUGGGGGCAGAUGGAUAAAUAGUUAAAAAUCAUCUUUCAGUUCACCGACCGAAUAUUCCCUUAAGAACGCUAGCUUUCGGCUUCACCCAGUCUGAGGUACACAUCCGGCUGACCCGGCAGUAACAAUCGCAGAGGUGCUCCCUUUACCACCUAGCUGAACAAUCGGGAACGUAGGGGUAAGCACAGGAGCCAGGCAACCCAGCUUGGCCAAAACUUAAGUCAUAUCGAUGCAUAUAAUGGUGAAUAAAAGGUACAUGCGGAAGUUUGACACAUGUGUUGGGGAACGUAGCAGAAAUUCAAAAUUUUCCUACGUGUCACCAAGAUCUAUCUAUGGAGAAACCUGCAACGAGGGGAAGGAGAGUGCAUCUACAUACCCUUGUAGAUCGCUAAGCGGAAGCGUUCAAGUGAACGGGGUUGAUGGAGUCGUACUCGUCGUGAUUCAGAUCACCGAUGAUCAAGUGCCGAACGCACGGCACCUCCGCGUUCAACACACGUACAGCCCGGUGACGUCUCCCAUGCCUUGAUCCAGCAAGGAGAGAGGGAGAGGUUGAGGAAGACUCCAUCCAGCAGCAGCACAACGGCGUGGUGGUGAUGGAGGAGCGUGGUAAUCUUGCAGGGCUUCGCCAAGCAUCACAAGAUAUGAGGAGGAGGAAGAAGAGACGCAGGGCUGCACCCACGAGAGAUAGAAUUGCGUGCAUUGGGCAGCCCCUUGGCCUCAUAUAUAUAGGGGAAGGGGAGGAGGGUGCGCCCCCUCUAGGGUUCCCACCCCUAGAGGGGCGGCAGCCCUAGAUGGGAUCAAGGGGAGGCGGCCAAGAGGGGAGGGAGAGGGAGGCGCCCACUAGAUGGGCCUUAGGGCCCAUCUGCCCUAGGGUUUGCCCCCUCCCACUCACCCUUGCGCCUUGGGCCUCUUGUGGGGGGCGCACCAGCCCCCUUGGGGCUGGUUCCCUCCCACACUUGGCCCACGCAACCUUCUGGGGUUGGUGGCCCCACUUGGUGGACCCCCGGGACCCUCCCGGUGGUCCCGGUACAUUACCGAAAUCGCCCGAAACUUUUCCGGUGACCAAAACAGGACUUCCCAUAUAUAAAUCUUUACCUCCGGACCAUUCCGGAACUCCUCGUGACGUCCGGGAUCUCAUCCGGGACUCCGAACAACAUUCGGUAACCACAUACAAACUUCCUUUAUAACCCUAGCGUCACCGAACCUUAAGUGUGUAGACCCUACGGGUUCGGGAGACAUGCAGACAUGACCGAGACGUUCUCCGGUCAAUAACCAACAGCGGGAUCUGGAUACCCAUGUUGGCUCCCACAUGUUCCACGAUGAUCUCAUCGGAUGAACCACGAUGUCAAGGACUCAAUCGAUCCCGUAUACAAUUCCCUUUGUCUAGCGGUAUUGUACUUGCCUGAGAUUCGAUCGUCGGUAUACCGAUACCUUGUUCAAUCUCGUUGCCGGCAAGUCUCUUUACUCGUUCCGUAACACAUCAUCCCGUGAUCAACCCCUUGGUCACAUUGUGCACAUUAUGAUGAUGUCCUACCGAGUGGGCCCAGAGAUACCUCUCCGUUUACACGGAGUGACAAAUCCCAGUCUCGAUUCGUGCCAACCCAACAGACACUUUCGGAGAUACCUGUAAUGCACCUUUAUAGCCACCCAGUUACGUUGUGACGUUUGGUACACCCAAAGCAUUCCUACGGUAUCCGGGAGUUGCACAAUCUCAUGGUCUAAGGAAAAGAUACUUGACAUUAGAAAAGCUUUAGCAUACGAACUACACGAUCUUUGUGCUAGGCUUAGGAUUGGGUCUUGUCCAUCACAUCAUUCUCCUAAUGAUGUGAUCCCGUUAUCAAUGACAUCCAAUGUCCAUGGUCAGGAAACCGUAACCAUCUAUUGAUCAACGAGCUAGUCAACUAGAGGCUUACUAGGGACAUGGUGUUGUCUAUGUAUCCACACAUGUAUUGCUGUUUCCGGUCAAUACAAUUAUAGCAUGAAUAAUAAACGAUUAUCAUGAACAAGGAAAUAUAAUAAUAACUAAUUUAUUAUUGCCUCUAGGGCAUAUUUCCAACAGUUUUGGGCAUGAAGCCCGUAUAAAUAAGCUUCUGUUAAAGAAGCCCCCAGGUAUAAUGAGCGCGGACAGCGUGUCAAAUAUGUGCGAACAAAGCGCAAACGAGCCUCUAAAGGCUUCAAGAAGAAGGAGGAGGAAGGAGAGAAAUAAAAGACAGCAAAAAUAGAAAAUGUGGACGAAGGAAGGAGACGAACUUGGAGUCCGGCGCUUAGGUGUAGAAUCUUCGUAGACGGGCUGCGUUCCAUGGGUUCGGCUCGAGUCGGUUAUCCAAUGCGUUUCGCAGACGGUAUGCUCCGCCGGUCAGGACCUGGUCGAUGAUGAAGGGACCUUCCCAUUUGGGCUUGAGUUUGUCCUUUUUCUUGUCCGGCAGGCGUAGAACUAGUUCGCCAACGUUAUAAGCUUUGGCCCGUACUUCCCUGCUUUGAUAUCUUCGAGCCUGCUGUUGAUAAAAUGCGGAACGAGCUUUUGCCACGUCGCGCUCCUCCUCCAAUGCGUCCAAACUGUCCUGCCGAUCGAGCUCGGCUUCUCUUUCUUCAUACAUGCACACGCGAGGUGAGUCAUGUAUUAUGUCGCAGGGCAAGACUGCCUCUGCACCGUACACCAUAAAAAAUGGUGUGAAUCCGGUAGUACGAUUCGGCGUGAUCCGCAGCCCCCAGAGUACGGAGUCGAGCUCCUCAACCCAGUGCAUGUUAGAUUCUUUGAGGGACCGCACUAGUCUGGGUUUAAUGCCGCUCAUGAUUAGACCGUUUGCUCGCUCGACUUGACCGUUGGUUUGAGGGUGAUAGACUGAGGCGUAAUCGAGCUUGAUGCCUAUGCUUUUGCACCAUAAUUUGACCUCAUCGGCCGUGAAGUUGGUGCCGUUAUCUAUGAUGAUACUGUGGGGGACGCCGUAACGGUGCACUACCCCUGAUUAGGGAUCAAAACGGCGCAGAAACGGAUGGAACUGGGUGCUACCAUAUUUGUUUUCAUAUUUUUUUGCAGAAGCGGAAACGAAUACAGAAACCCCGAAAACGAAUACGGAAGAAAAUACUACCGGAAACAGACAUGGAGCGAAUACAGAGUGGACACGGAAACAAAACGGUUUGUUGACCAGAACUUAAAACCUCCUUGAAUUGUAGAGAAAUAUAAACAAAAAACAAAUAAAUUUAUGGAAUUGUUAACAUGACUACAAAAUAAUAUGGUUAUAUUAGGAACAUAGGAUAGUAUUGUAGUAGUCAUGACAAUCCCGUAUAGGGUCUAGUUGAGUACGUGUGUGGUAGUAAAAGUUGGUCCUCAAGUGAUCAAUUCUUCUCAUUCUACCCAUUGUGUUACUGUGUGUUAUUUGGUAGUUGGGCUACCUAUAGUAGAAACGGAAAUUCCAUAUUUACGGAAACGGAAAGUUCUGUUUCCACGUCUGUUCCACCGGAAAACACCAUUCUGUUUUUGUUUCCGUUUCCGUUUCCGCAUAAAAAAUUCCAUUUCCAUUUCUGUUUUGUAAAUUUCCAUUUUCGUUUUCAUAUUUCCUCUCUGUUUCCAUUUUUGGUCCGGAAAAGCGGAAACUUUCCACUCCAUUUUCAUCCCUACCCCUGAUAUGAAGUCUAUCACCGGCCCGGAUUCGGCCGUUUUAACAGGCUUGGCCUCUAUCCAUUUGGUGAAUUUAUCCACCAUGACCAAUAGGUAUUUUUGCUUGUGGGUUCCUCCCUUAAGGGGUCCAACCAUGUCAAGCCCCCAGACCGCGAACGACCAGGUGAUGGGUUUAGUUUUGAGGGCGGUGGGUGGCAUGUGGCUUUGGUUAGCAAAAAGCUGGCAGCCGACGCAUCGUUGGACUAAAUCUUGCGCAUCUGCCCAGGCCGUCGGCCAAUAAAAUCCUGUAUGGAAGGCCUUGCCUACAAGGGCCCGGGCUGCAGCGUGAUGCCCACCCAGUCCGGCAUGAAUUUCAGCCAGGAGGUUUCGCCCUUCCUCUUCGGAGAUACACCUUUGAAGGACUCCUGUUGUGCUUUUCUUAUACAGCUCUCCCUCAUGGACUUUAUAGGCUUUGGAUCGCCGUACUAUGCAGCGAGCCUCAUUUUGGUCUUCGGGGAGUUCCUGCCUAGUUAGGUAGGCUAUGAAUGGUUCCGUCCACGGGGCGAUAACCGCCAUUAUUUCGUGAGCGGAGGGUGUUAUCUCGGUGGCAGAGCCUCCGAUUGUGUCAGAGUGUUCGGUGUCAGGCAGUGCGGUUGGGUCCGGAUUGUUAUUUCCAGACCCCCCUUCCCAUAGUACGGAUGGCUUGAACAGCCGUUCCAGGAAGAUGUUGGGCGGGACGGCAUCGCGUUUUGCACCAAUGCGUGCCAAUACGUCCGCCGCCUGGUUGUUAUCCCGGGCUAGCUAUAUGAUGAAAUUCGAGCCCUUCGAACCGUGCUGACAUUUUUAGGACCGCAUUGCGGUACGCUGCCAUUUUUGGAUCUUUGUGUGACACCCCAAAAAUUUUAACUUUUGUUUUGUUAAUUAAAAUCUUGCCAGGAAAUUUAACUUUCCUUUUUCUUGGUUUUUCUUGAUUCAAAACCAUUCUUUUCUUGGUUAUCUUGGAGUUGUUCCCUAAGAUGGAAAAUCUUUUACUUAUAAUAUUGGACUUGUUUACCCUCUCAAGAAAAUCUUUUCUUUUAUCAGAAGAAUUAAUUAUAUAAUAUUCUUCUUGAUCUUUCUUUUCUUGAAAAAUGGAUUCCCAUAGUUUAUUUGUCUCAUUUGUACUACAACCCUUUUAUAUAUUUAUUCAAAAAUCCCACCAUAAUUUGGAGAUGUCAUAUGGAGUUUUUGAACCACUUUUGUGCAAAAAUAUCUUCUGCCCAUUGAAUAUUUUGAGCUCUACACCAUGUUUUCAAAUCUGGUCCAGAGAGCAUUUUUCCACUACAACAUAUUCAUAUAUUUCUUUAAAACUUUUACCAAAAUUAUGGGAUAUCAGUAGGAGCAUAUUAUUCAACUUUAUGCAAUAACCUAAUGUUGUUCUUUGGAAAAUUUGAGUGAACCAUCUUCUUUUCCAUUCUGGUCCAACUUGAGGUUUUGUACAGCAACCACCUUUUUAGUUGCUCCUUGAUCCUUGAUUCUUUUCCCUACUUGUAGUCCUCCUUGCGAAACCCUUAAGUCCAGGAGGGUGGACCCAUUGGAUGAUUCUAAGUGCAUGCAACCAUGCCCUGUUCUUUCUGUCCAGAAUUGAAGUUUUGCAAAACUUGCACUAGCAAGUUUGAGCUUUGGGCAAACUAACCUUACCACCCUUUCUUCCAUCUAAAGAGACCCUGAUCUGGAAGAUUUGGCCACCCCAAGUAUUGCCUAGAUGCCCUUGGCAUUUUGACAAACACCCUGAGUGCAUAGCCAGAUUUGGCAUGAUUUCAAGUUUUCAUUAUGAACUUGGCCACCUGACCUAACCACCAUGCCCAUUUACCUCCUGACUAACCCUACCCUAGCCCUGUCUCUUGCCAGCCUCACCAGCGACCUCUAGCAGGCAGUGGCAUUUCAUCGAACACGUCCCGGGCGUGCUCUGGGCGCGCCCAGAGCGUGCGUUUGGCACGCACGUGCGCCCGAGCCGCCGCGUCUCGCCCCGCACCCGUCCCGGCCCUUGGCCAACAGCUGCUAGCACACCACGUAUCCCCUGCACCGCCACGCCACCCCGACCACCUCUGGCACUCCACAGCGCUACCGUCCGGACGGCCAUGGCGGCUAGCCGACGGCCGCAUGCAGGCUCCGACCGUGUCAGCGCCGCCUGAGCCACUCCCGCUCGCCAGCUCGCCCUGGAGCAGUACUCCGCUCGUCCGCUAGCUCCUGCCGCCAUCCUCAUCCCCGCCACGUCCCCCUGCCGCUACAGAACGUCGGUCGCCGGCGACCUUAUCCCCACCGCCGCGGAACCGCCUUGGCGUGCCUAUUUAAGAAGCUCCGAGCCCAUACGACCACUCGGACAGCAUCACAACAUCCUCCUAGUGCCCCCGUUGCCGUCAAUUGAGGGGGAAGAGGCCAUCUUCGCCAACUCCGGCUAGUUCGGCCACCGCCGCCUCCCAGCUCCGUUCGGCACAACCAGCGCCUCCCCGGCCCUCCCAACGCCACCAGACGACUCCACUCCUUCUUGCGGUGCCACCCAGACCCCCAGCUGCGACGGAGAGCCACCAUAACCACAAACUCACUUCGCUCCCGAAACCACCGGCCGCCGCGAAGCUCGUCGACGGCGAAUCCCUCCACCUCCGACAACCCUGCAACCACCGGAAGGAUCGCCCUAGAUCCGCGGAUCCAUCCCCUCCCUCAGCACCCCACAAGGACCCGCCGUUCACCGGCGACGGUCGCCGGAGUCCCGCCUCCGCUUGGGACAGAGGGAGAAGAGGGGAGGUCGACCAGUCAAACCUGACCAGUGGGCCAGGCGGGCCCACUGUCAGUGACUCGCGUGCCGUCCACGCUGGAGUAAGUGGAAGCGUAAACCUAAAAUACGCUUUCGACGUUUACGUGUUUUAUUGAAACGUUUUCUUUUCUGUUUCUUUUUAAAUAAUAGUUUUGACUAAACUUUGACUGGCUGUAACUUUUUAAAUAAAACUCCGAAUGAGUUGAUUCUUUUUCCUACCACUCAAAAAUAUUGUCUAGUUUAUUUUAAGAUUUAUUUCAAAAAAAUUAGACAACCUUUUUGUGCUGUUUUGAAAAAUGUGUGUUAAUUCAAAUUUAUUUCAAUUAGGGUUUUGAAGAGAGGGGAGAAAACUUUCAAAAGUUUUGGAGAGCACCUCACCCCUCCACAACUUGAAGGCAAGCAUUCUGUACCCCGGCAUAAGAAUUUUGGUGUGUUAUCCGACACAUUUAUAACACCACCCCAUUUGGAAGAGCUCGUUAUUUCAUGUGAUAUGAUCAUUUGCAUGGAUGCAUUUUUUUUGUGAUCUACUUGUUGUUGGAAAUGAUUAUACUUGUGAUGGUGACCAUUCUCAUGUGCCUUGCAUGCAUGCCGGAAAGGAAUCCGGGAAAGCCUCUGCCUUGGGUAGGCGUGAGCUUGUCGCCGGUCCCCGCCGGGAUGGUUAUGCCCGGUAUGGCAUGGUAAGGUAUAGUGAGUGGUGACUCUGUUGGUUGAAAUAUAUUUUGUUAUAUAUGUCAUGCGAGGAAUUUAUAAACCUCCUGAGUCAACCUAUAUCAAGUCUCGUUCCAGUAAGCCCUUACUUGCUUCGUACUAUCACUUGUCCCUACAACAAGUAGGGUGCGGUUCAGUCAGUCGUCAACCCCUUUCAAGCACACACCGUACAGAGAGGCCAUGGUGGAAGAUAUCGGUUGAAGCCGGUAGGCAUGCCACCUGGCCCGGGGGCAUGGGUGUUUCCGGUUGAGACCGAGAGGGGAGGCCACCCCUUAGAGCGCGCAUUAUAAAUUUGAUCCCAUGCUACGCGAGGUUGCAGCCUCCCCACUUAAAGUUUUGCUUGACAGGUGUCAUGGGUGAUUCCAGACACGGGUAAGUUAAGCUGGUGUGUGCAAGUCAGGUGUGUUUUCAAUGGACGGAAUUAGUUCCGAUGGACUAAAGGAAUCCGUUACUCGUGGGUAAAAGUACACCCUCUGCAGAUAUUAAACCUAUUCGAAUAGCAGUGUCCCUAGUUCAGGACUACAGUCUGUUAUGGGUCAAGUGUCGGUCUUAGUGUCAGUCUCCGGAGGAGAACUACUAAACCAGAACUUGGUUUAUGAUUCGUGACUUGUGAUGAUGAUGAUUAUUAUUAUGGAUUAACCCCUUUAUAUUAUUUGAAUCAUUGAGUAUCCCUGGGACGGUUCUACCUCCUGGAUAUUCACUGCAUUCAUUUUUAUAAGCCCUUUAUGUGGUGUCGCUCAGACGCCCGACUGUGGCAUUGCUUCUGUUUAUUUAUAAGCCCUUUAUGUGGUGUCGCUCAGACGCCCGACUGUGGCAUUGCUUCUGUUUAUUUAUAAGCCCUUUAUGUGGGGUCGCUCAGACGCCCGACUGUGGCAUUGCUUCUGUUUAUUUAUAAGCCCUUUAUGUGGUGUCGCUCAGACGNNNNNNNNNNNNNNNNNNNNNNNNNNNNNNNNNNNNNNNNNNNNNNNNNNNNNNNNNNNNNNNNNNNNNNNNNNNNNNNNNNNNNNNNNNNNNNNNNNNNNNNNNNNNNNNNNNNNNNNNNNNNNNNNNNNNNNNNNNNNNNNNNNNNNNNNNNNNNNNNNNNNNNNNNNNNNNNNNNNNNNNNNNNNNNNNNNNNNNNNNNNNNNNNNNNNNNNNNNNNNNNNNNNNNNNNNNNNNNNNNNNNNNNNNNNNNNNNNNNNNNNNNNNNNNNNNCUUCUGUUUAUUUAUAAGCUCUUUAUGUGGUGUCGCUCAGACGCCCGACUGUGGCAUUGCUUCUGUUUAUUUAUAAGCCCUUUAUGUGGUGUCGCUCAGACGCCCGACUGUGGCAUUGCUUCUGUUUAUUUAUAAGCCCUUUAUGUGGUGUCGCUAAGACGCCCGACUGUGGCAUUUAUUGCUGCUCCGUCAUUACAUAUUUGUGGUCACUUAUUAAUAAUCCACAUGUAUGCACCAAGGAUUUCAUUUCUUUAUGACUGACGUUGUGAUCAAAAAAUAUCCUUCAAGGCAUGAUUUUUUAUUGUUAUAUUGUACAUGUGUUCAUAAUGUUUGCGAGUACAUUCAAAGUACUCACUGGCUUGUCCCUGGAUAUUGUCUUGGCCAGAUUUCUCGCGUGGGAAGGAGCGUUGUGACGACAACCCCGGAACCUAUGCAACAGUGAUAGCAGCCUCGCGAAGAUAGGAGUUAACCUGGUCAGCUGUUCCCGUGGGGAAUGGAGUUCCACUGAUGAUCCACAAACCGCUUCCGCCAUCAACCACUAGAAACCAUUUGUUGUACUCGCAGGCCAGAAUGGUCUUGUACCACAUAUUUUGUACUUUGCUUGGAAUUUCUGUAUCAAGUUGAUGCCUCAUCAGCUAACAGUAAUCCUGGGGCUGGUGAGCACGACAGCCAUUUUUCUGGAAUUUAUUACCCGAAAAAACCGGUCGUGACACUUUGGCAUCAAAGUCUCCGUUUAUUUGAGAUAUCGCGAGGUUCGAAUCCCUGCGCACCUCUAGGCGUUUAAUGCCCAUGGAGACUGCCAUCCGGAGGCCGUGUAGAAGGGCCUCGUAUUCGGCUGCGUUAUGGGAGUCCGUAUACAUUAUCUGAAGGACGUAUUGGACUGUGUCCCUGGUUGGGGACGUCAGGACGACGCCAGCCCCCAGGCCGGCCAACAUUUUGGAGCCGUCAAAGUGCAUGAUCCAAUUGGAGUAUGCGCCGUACUCUUUAGGGAGUUCGGCUUCGGUCCAUUCGGCCAUGAAGUCGGCCAAAACCUGCGACUUAAUAGCUCGUAGUGGCUUAUAGGUUAUGUCGAACGGAAGGAGCUCUAUGGCCCAUUUAGCAAUCCGGCCAUCGCGUCGCGGUUGUUUAUAAUGUCGUUAAGAGGUACUUCGGAGGCUACCGUUAUCGAACACUCUUGAAACUAGUGUCGCAGCUUCCGGGAUGCCAUGAACACCGCGUAUGCUAUAUUUUGAUAAUGCGGGUAUCGGGACUUGCAUGGAGUUAGGACAGUGGACACAUAGUAGACCGGUUUUUGAAGAGGGAACCGGUGUCCGUCCGUUUUUCGUUCGACGGCGAGCACCGCGCUGACAACAUGAUGUGUUGCGGCGAUAUAUAAUAGCAUUGGUUCGCCCACGUUGGGCGUGGCCAGGACCGGAUUUGUUGCCCAUAUGGCUUUUAUUUCCUCGAGUCCGGCCGUGGCGGCAUCCGUCCACUCGAAGUGUUCGGUGCGCCGGAGGAGGCGGUAAAGGGGUAACGCAUUUUCUCCCGAACGGGAAAUAAAGCGGCUUAGAUCCGCUACGCAUCCAGUCAAUUUUUGUAUUUGUUUGAGGUCUUUUGGAAUAUCCAAUUGUGACAGAGCUCGGAUCUUGGCUGGGUUUGCUUCAAUCCCUCUACCGGACACAAUGAAGCCCAAGAGCUUUCUGGCUGGAACGCCGAAGACGCAUUUUUCCGGAUUGACCUUAAUGUCGUAUUUUCGGAGAUUGUCGAAUGUGAGCCUCAAGUCGUCUACUAGAGUUUCGACAUGCUUGGAUUUGACGACCACGUCAUCUACAUAUGCUUCCACUGUCUUGCCGAUCUGGUUUGCCAGACAUGUCUGAAUCAUGCGCUCAUAUGUUGCGCCGGCGUUUUUGACCCGAAGGGCAUUGUGUUGAAGCAGAAUGGGCCGUAUGGAGUGAUGAAUGUUGUUGCAGCUUGGUCUGGCUCCGCCAUCUUGAUUUGGUGGUAGCUGGAGUACGCGUCGAGGAAGCACAAUGAGUCGUGUCCUGCUGUAGCGUCGAUAAUUUGAUCAAUGCAGGGGAGGGGGAAGGGAUCCUUUGGGCAAGCCUUAUUAAGGUCUUUGAAAUCAACACAUAGGCGCCAGGAUUUAUCCUUCUUUGGUACCAUCACCAGAUUUGCUAGCCAGUCCGGAUGUUUUAUAUCUCUGAUGAAUCCGGCUUCUAGAAGUUUGGCUAGCUCUUCUCCCAUGGCCUGUCUCUUGGGUUAGGAAAAGCGCCGAAGAGCCUGUUUGACUGGCUUGAAUCCUUUUAGGAUAUUUAGGCUGUGCUCGGCCAGCCGACAUGGGAUUCCCGGCAUGUCUGAAGGGUGCCAGGCAAAAAUGUCCCAGUUUUCUCAUAGAAAUUCUUGUAGUGCGGCGUCUACAUCAGGGUUUAUUGUGCCCCAAUGGAGGCCGUCUUUGCAGGGUCUGUUGGGUGGACUUGGAAUUUGACAAUUUCAUCAGCUGGUUUAAAAGAGGUGGACUUGGAUCUUUUAUCAAGUAUCACAUCGUCCCUAUUCACCAUGGACCGCAUCGCAGUGAGUUCCUCGGCCGCUAGGGCUCCGGAUAGUGCCUCGAGGGCUAGUGCGGCUGUCUUGUUUUUGGCGCGGAGUGCUAUGUUCGGAUCACUAGCGAGAGUGAUAAUUCCGUUAGGUCCGGGCAUUUUAAGCUUCAUGUACCCAUAAUGGGGUAUAGCUUGAAAAAUUGUGAAUGCCUCUCGCCCUAAUAAAGCGUGAUAUCCACUGCUGAACGGGGCGACUUGAAAUGUGACCUCCUCGGACCUGUAAUUGUCCGGCAAGCCGAACACUACGUCCAGUGUGAUUUUUCCUGUGCAGCAUGCUUCCCGGCUAGGGAUUAUUCCUCUAAAGGUUGUGCUUCUUCGCUCAAUGCGGUUCCAGUCUAUUUUCAUUUUUCGGAGGGUUUCCUCGUAGAUGAGGUUUAGUCCGCUGCCGAGUACCUUAGUAAGGCGAAAGCCGUCCACUAUUGGACUGAGGACCAAUGCCGAUGGUGCUCGGGCUGUUCGGAAUUUAGGUUCGUCACUGGCAUUAAAGGUAAUAGCCGUGUCACUCCAUGGAUUUAUUGUUGCUACUUGGUAGACUUCGGCAAGGUUGCGGAGUGUUCGUUUCCGCAUGUUAUUUGAUGCGAAAGUCUCGAAGACUGUUAACACCAUACUGGUGUUGCUGGGCUGGGAUUUUGAGGCUAGAAGCUCUUCACCACUUUUCGCCACCUGCCAUAGUAUCCAACAUGCUCGAAGGCUAUGAGUUGGAGUGGCGCCCUCUGUGCUAUGGAUUUUGCAGGGUCCGUUUAGCCAACCCUCCAGUACGGUUCCAUGCCCUUUAGGGGUUUUUUGUUUUUUGGUGUAUAACCCAGGUGCUUGGUGAUGAUGCACCCUUUUAUUUCGGACUAGGGCUGUAUUCGGGGCCGGAUUAUCCCAAAAUUUACUUUCGGUUUUCCAAGCACUCUCCAUCGCAUAGUACUUUUGUACUAUGGUCACCAAGUCAGCAAAGCGUGUAAUUUUGCGACAACUUAUGGCGUUUAGGAUUCCCUUGUCUGUGCAAUUAUUGCAGAAAAGUGAUAUUGCGUCCUCCUCUCGGCAGUCCUUUAUCCUAUCCAUAACCAGGAGGAAUCUGGCCCAGUAAUGAUGUACUGUUUCAGCGGGCUCUUGCCGAAUUCGGGAUAGAUCGCUAAUGUUUGGCUGGGCGGGUGGAACUAGAUCCGGAACCCCAUCCAAUUUAAGACUCAGGGGCCGAGAAGUUUCCGAACUCGGAAGUUUGGAUUUUAGAAUGCUAUCCAAUGAAUCCAACCCGCCGCCUGACUUUAAGUUCAGGGCUUGAUCGACAUCUGUCCCUCUGCGGGAGUCCGGCAUGGAGGGAUCGGGAAUAACCAACUUUUUGACCAAACAUGGCCAACAACGAUGAGGCCGGGGGGUUCGGGCAGCAAGGUAUUCUGGGAGCUGUCCCAGGAGAUGGAGGAACAACCUCACUUGUAUGAGGACGCCGCCUUCCCCACCGAUCCUGAGACCACUGAUGGUACCGCCGAGGAUGACCCCACUGAUGCCAUCACUGAUGGUGCCGCCGAGGAUGCCACCACUGAUGAUGGCGGCGCACGCACAGAUGGCAGCCAACCGAAAAGGCAACGGAAGGACCGGCACCCGACCGUGCUCCGCACCCUCAAGGAGGAAGUUACUGGAGUGGACUCCGACGGGAAUCCAACGGCGCCCGAACGAAUAGUCAAGGGGUACUCGCUUCAGCUCGGGUGCAUUCUCCGGAGCACCGUCUCGAUCAACACCGAGAACCUGAGGCAUCCUGACCGAGGGAAUUUGCGCAACCUCCUCUUCACGAAGCUGCACGAACGAUACAAGUUCCCCGCUGAUUUUGAAAACACAAGCCUCAAAGGGAAUAAAGUGAACAAUGCUUCCCUCGCGAAGAUGAGCAAGGCCCUGUCUACAUGGAAAAGCAAUGUGAAGAGAAUGAUCGAGAAAGGUGAGAGUUAUGAGAAGAUCAAGGAGAAAAAUCCUUCGAUCACCGAAGAUGACUACAACGACUUCAAGAUCAAUUGCUCGAGCACCGCAAACUCCCAAUCAAGUCAGUGGGGGAAAGAAAUGCGGGAGCUGAACUUAGGGGAACACAAACUCGGUCCCGGCGGUUACAGAGUGGCGGAGCCUAUAUGGGACAAGGAGGACGCGGAGCGUGCCGAGCAAGGCCUACCACCCCGCUUCGAGAAAUACAGCGGUAACAAGCAGACCAGGAACUAUGUCAGGGCCCGGUACAAGGAGGACCCGAUAACAAAGGAGCUUACCACGGAUCCGAAGACCAGGGCGCUUGAGCUUGUUCUGGUAAGGAAUACCACCCCCGCGUAAUUAGCUCCAUAUGGUUGCAUUCUAAUUAAUGAAGCCAAAUUUCUAAAUGGUUGACAUUCCUUCCGCAGGCGACUGAAAGCAGUAGCGCGGGGUCGACUAAGAGCAACCCUUGGGACACCACUCUAAAUAGGGCGUUGAAUGUAAUGAAGAACAAGGAUAAGCUCAGUAAGCCGACGUCACCUGGUCGUGUGGCCGGCAAAGGCUUGUCCACAAAAUGGGGGUCAUACUAUACCGCUGGUGUGCGGAAGGAGAAAAAGACCAGCUCGGAAAGCCAGGCGCGCGAGGUUCAAGAACUCAAGGCACAGGUGGCGCGGAUUCCGGAGAUUGUCCAAGAGCAAGUGCAACAACAACUCGGAGCGACGAUCACCGCCAUUGUGCCUACCUUGAUCCAGGGGUUGAGUGUGUGGAUUGCGGGCGGCCAAUAGGGGCCGCCCCCGAUUCCUAGCUUCACGGCCAACAACUCGCAGAAUGCGAUGGCGGGGCCAUUGGUGUCUCCGGCGGAGGCGCCAUUGGUGUCUCCGACGCCGGCACGGGAGCUUAAUGCACCCGGGUGUACGCCGGCCGGCACCUCUGCAGCAAGCGGCCCCUCCGUCAACUGCACACCCGCCGUUGGCGGUGCCUCGACAUUAGCCGAGCUCGGCGCCAUCAUCACGGUAACUAAUUAAGCCUCUCUCGGUCGAGGACUUCAUCUCCUUGCCUUUGACUGGGCAUCCCUGACGCCCUACAUGUUUUCGCAGGGCGCCGCCAACGUUCCGUGCACUCUCCUGCACUUCGUGCACAACGAGCUGGUCGAUGUCGCCAAGGGCAAAAUCGUUCAACCGGGCAACCCCUUGUUCCACGGUACCCAGAUGCCACCCAACUUGUUUAGGGUUGAACUGGUUCGGGUGCUGCCAGGCUGCGACGAGUUGUUACCUCCGAUUCGACCCGUCGGGGCCGACGAUGAUGACGUGAUGACCCUCAGCCCCUGCCUGAGCUGGCCCCUGCUUUGGCCGAAGAGCCAGAUUCGUUUGGGGGCGGGGGACACCACCCCAAAGACAACACCGCCAGUCGUGCCGGCGCCAAGUCGGCCCCAUGGCAAGACCGCCGCAACGGUGCCGGACAUCCCUAUGCCACUGGAUCCAAACAUGCAUAUGGCACAGGAUCAGAACGACGACGACGACGAUACAUUUGGCAACAUCGAUCAGUACUUUGCCGAACAUGGGUACGAUGGCGACUUCAUGGGGCCUCCUUCUCAAGAACCCAACCCAACAAAAGACGUGCGCGAUCUAGCUGGUACCACGGAGAAGCCAAGUUGCAACAGGCGUCAUCUGCCGUUCAGCUCUCAGGAGACGCCUCCAGCUGCCGACUUCACCGAGCCUCAGAUAGGCGAGGUGCGAAAUAUUAUCAGCCCAAACACACUCAAGAAGGCGGUCUGUGAGCAGAACUCGGUCCCAUUACAGGAGAAGAAGAAGGCACGCAAAAGAAAGACUAACAAGGGUGCGAGCCAGCCGGCACCGAGUACGAUCCAUGCUCAGGACGGGCCACCUUCACCUGAGGAUAUCUCGAGGAGGGUGCAUGUGGCGGGUAGGGCGAUGCUACCGACAAAUAUGCUCAAUGCUGCAACCGGUGCUAUGCGGAGUCUGCAUGACAGUGUUCUUUCUUUGGAGAAGCGGCGUCUCAGAGAGAAGGAUGUGGCAUACCCGGUUUUCGCGGCCAAGGUGCCAGAGGGCAAGGGCUUUGUGGAUAACUCCAUCGGGCGUACGAUUGUCCUGCGGUUAGAUGACAUCCACGCUAUGAUGAACCUUCAUCCGCUGCACUACACCUUCGUUCGGCUAUUUUCGCUGAGUAUGGAGAUGCGGAUCAUUCGCGACAAGACCCCGGACGUCGUGAUAGUCGACCCCUUCUACAUGCGUGCCAAGAUCUUGGGCAGCGCUGGGGACCGGCAAGUCGCGAGUUCUUACCUCGAAGUUGUCAUUCUGGCAAACCAAGAUAAGGAUAACUUCCUCGUGCCUUACUUUCCUGAGUAAGUCCUCCCCUCAACCGGCCCAUAACAUAUGAAUUCUUAGAUUUCAAUCGUUUUUCUUUUAACAUUCCGUGUUUUCUGCAGUGACACACAUUGCACGCUCAUCCUCCUAAGCCCCAAAUAUUCCAUGGCCACGUAUUUCGACCCGGACCGUCAGUCGAACGUAGACUACGCAAAUGUCAAGAAGGUUCUUGAUGAUGUUCUCCCCGGCUACGCCAAAUCUGGAGGCACCUUCACCAGGCCUAUUCGUAAGUACGGCAAGCACGUGUUCUCCCACAAUACGACGUUCUGCUGCGUCACGCAGCCGCCUGGCGGUCAGAAGGGUGCCUACUACGCCAUCCAUGACAUGCGGGCGAUCGUACGGGACCAUCAUCAACUUCUGCUACUGAGUAAACUCAAAGAUUGGGCCGCGAGCGUGUCGGCAAUCCAGGACGCGGACAUCAGACAAGAAUUCUUUCGCAUCCAGUCGGAGUUUGCGGAAAUCAUCCAUCAAGAUGUCCUUCGUACCUCGGGGCAGUUCUACCUCAGAAAUCAACCGUCCAACAGUGACAUCGACACAAUGCUACAAAUGCAGGCUGACAACGCCCGUUCUUUCAUGACUCCCACGAUAGACGGCGGCUUCAUCCACGCUCCGGUCCCUUGAGUCGAGUCGAAAGCAGUGAUGCUGUGUCUAGUUCUAAAACAUCGAUUGGCUCAUGUUGUAAUUAAACUUUAAUGAACUUGUAGUAUGUCUCUUUGGUUUCGAGAGUCGUUCAACUUAGAUGUAAUCGAUGCUAUUAAUGUCUUGCUUUUCUCUUCCGAUCGUUCUGUUGCAUACUUAUAUAUUGCUUAUGUAUUGUCUGUGAAUUGGUACUAACGUUUCGUUUGGCUAGUGCAUAGCGAUGCCGUCGUAUGUCGUGUACAAGGGUAAGGUUCCCGGAGUCUAUGACGACUGGGAGGAGUGUCGGAGACAGGUUCACCGAUUCAGCGGUAACAGUUACAAAGGGUACACCACUAGGGCCGAGGCCGAAUCUAGAUACGCCCGCUAUCUAGCGGGAGAGGGGAGGGAGCGUUGGAGGAACCGGAUGAAGACGAGUUUCAUCGUGAUGAUGCUCAUCGUGAUGACCGCAGCUCUCUUCUAUGUGAUGGUAGUUUAGAUGAUCGAUAUCGACUUGUAAUGUGAAGACAAACUCGCUACUCGCGGUCUGGAGACUUGUAAUAUAAUGUUCUAUCUUUGUUCGGUCUUUUCAAUUCGGAGACUAAUAUGAUGAAUUGUAUUCAGAGACUAAUAUGAUGAAUUGUAUUCAGAGACUAAUCUUCUAUUGUAUUCGAUGAAUCUGUUGUUGAUGUGUGCUGUCUAUAUUUUGUCCAAUUAUACAUUUUGUAACCUGUGCAAAAAACAGAAAAUAAAAAAAAUAAAAAAAACAUAAUAUUCAUACUAAUGGCGCAUCAUUAAACAGUGCGUCAUUAGUAUGCCGAAGUUACUAAUGGCGCAUCUUGCUGUUGUGCGCCAUUAGUAUGCCAAAGCACCUGGGUAUACAUGGCCCCCUGGGAGGCAUACUAAUGGCGCACUGUUGUAUAUACUAAUGGCGCAUCCAGUGGUGCGCCAUUAGUAAAAUAUUCUAAUGGCGUGGCACUAAUGGCGCACCACUAAUGCGCCAUUAAUGGCCAAAUUAGGUGCGCCAUUAGUAGGCCUUUUCCUAGUAGUGAGGCUAAACCCUAGAAGCUAGCCUAUGGUAUGAUUGUUGUUGAGUUGUUGAGUCCUACGGACUAAACCCUCCGGUUUAUAUAGACACCCGAGAGGGCUAGGGUUACAUAGAUUCGGUUUACAGAGAAGGAGAUCUACAUCCGAAUCGCCAAGCUUGCCUUCCACGCCAAGGAGAGUCCCAUCCGGACACGGGACGAAGUCUUCAAUCUUGUAUCUUCAUAGUCCAACAGUCCGGCCAAAGUAUAUAGUUCGGCUGUUCGGAUAUCCCCUUAUCCAGGUCUCCCUCAGCUAUGUAUACCCCUCCACCCUUUCUUCAUUCAUGGAGAAAGCCAUCAGAACGUGCCUACACUUCCAGCAUUCAUUUUCUGAUAGAGAACCACGUACUCAUGUGUUGAGGUCAAGAUAUUCUAUUCCAACCACAUAAAUCUUGAUCUCUAGCCUUCCCCAAGUUGCUUUCCACUCAAAUCAUCUUUCCACCAAAUCCAAUCCUAUUCGAGAGAGUUCAGUGUUGGGGAGACUAUCAUUUGAAGCACAAGAGCAAGGAGUUCAUCAUCAACACACCAUUUAUUAUCUUUUGGAGAGUGGUGUCUCCUAGAUUGGUUAGGUGUCACUUGGGAGCCUCCGUCAGGAUUGUGGAGUUGAACCAACGAGUUUGUAAGGGCAAGGAGAUCGCCUACUUCGUGAAGAUCUACCCUAGUGAGGCAAGUCCUUUGUGGGCAGUGGCCAUGGUGGGAUAGACAAGGUUGCUUCUUCGUGGACCCUUCGUGGGUGGAGCCCUCUAUGGACUCGCGCAGUCGUUACCCUUCGUGGGUUGAAGUCUCCAACAACGUGGAUGUACGAUAGCACCACCUAUCGGAACCACGCCAAAAAUCUCCGUGUCAACAUUGCGUUUGCUCCCUCCAAACUCCUCCCAUUUACAUUCUUGCAAGUUGCCUGCUUUACUUUCCGUUGCUCAUAUACUCUUUGCAUGCUUGCUUGAAUUGUGUUAAGAUUGCUUUACUUGUGUAAAGUUGCUAAAAUCUGCGAAGACUUAAAAUUGGGAAAAGGCUAUAUUUUUAUUUGGUCAAGUAGUCUAAUCACCCCACCUCUAGACAUACUUUCGAUCGUACACCAUGCAAUGUGUGCACCACCGUCACAUUCCUAUCUGCAUCUAGUUCGGUUCUUUUGCCCAUUUUGUGCCAUGUCAUCUGUCUGGCCGUCUCUUUGAUCAUGAAAAGACGUUGAAGUCUUGGCACGAUUGGCAUAUACCGAAGAACAUUAACGGGUAUUUUGGUCUGGGUCUUCUCACCCAUACCGUUGUCUACCACAACAUACCUGGAAGACAAGCAAAUGGGACAAUAGUUCAUGUCCUCAUACUAACGCCUAAAUAAGACACAUCCUUUCUCACAGGCAUGUAUCUUCUCAUAGGGCAUAAAGAGCAUGGAGGAUUUUGUCUGACUCGUACAGGUUUGCAGGUAGCACACAGCCUUUGGGUAGAAAUCAUCCAAAUACUAUCAUCAUCGCGUGGUAGCAUUCUCUCCCAAGUUGAAUUGAGCCUUCAAAGCCAUUAUUUGUGAGAUGGCAUCCAGCUGGCAAAGCUCAGUGUGCUCGUGGAGAGGACGUUUUGAGGACUCCAACAUUUCAGUGAAGGCCUUUGCAGAUUCCUCCAUCUCCUCGUCCGAGUCCCGAGCAUCGUCAAAGUCUUGCACCAUGUCUUCCCUCCCGGUACCAUCCUCUUCGGUGCGACGAAGAACCACCUUGGCUCUGGCACGUUGGGCAGACUCACCAUGUAAUGUCCAGACCGUGUAACCAGGCGUAAAACCAAACUUCUGCAGGUGUUUACUCAUUUCAAGCUCGUCCCUCUUAUUAUAGUUGUCGCACCGGACACAGGGGCACCAGCUUAAUUUCUGGCCAUUUGUAAAUGCGUCUCUAACAAACCCCUUGGUUUUUUUUAACCAUUCCUCGGUCCAAACUUUCUGACUAGUGUAACUGGUGUACAUCAAUGCACUAUCACUCAUAUUGACUUCCUACUGGACACACAAGAAAUAUAUACAUAAUUAAGAAAACCAUAUCCAUCAGUUAAUGGAGUUUGUCAGUUUUAUUACGUCCAUGCAACCUACACGCUAAUAGGUAAAGGUAGGUCAUAAUCCCACACGAGUAUGUGUAGAUUGGGUUCGUUUUCCCAUCUCUGCUCCAGAUCCGACGCAAAAUUUCGGCAACACCUCCCCGCUGUUCUCCUGAUAUACGUCUCGGGAAUAAGCAGAGAGGAUGUGUACCCGGAGAACAACAGGGAGGCACUGACAAAAUUCUGCAUCGGAUCCGAAGCAGAGCAUAUGGGAAAACUGACCCAAUCUACACAUACUCGGGCUGUCCAUGGAUAAUGUUGGACAAUUCGAAAGAAUCACGAUUAUAAAUAUGCAAAUGCAUGCAUAUUUGUAGAUGUAACCCUUUCGAACGGGAGACGCAUACUGGUUACGCAUACUGAUGAUUGACACCUAUAGCUAGCAAGUUUCAUCGGCACGAAGACCGGAAUAGAGCAAAUGAAGGGGGGAUGAGGAGAUGUCAUUUGUUCUCACCAACAAACGCAGGCGCGGAGCUCGUCGAAUGCACGGGGAGGUCGUCAAACACCACACCCUCGCAGCGACGAAACAACUGCACAUUUUAAUCCACCCGAUCAACACAAANNNNNNNNNNNNNNNNNNNNNNNNNNNNNNNNNNNNNNNNNNNNNNNNNNNNNNNNNNNNNNNNNNNNNNNNNNNNNNNNNNNNNNNNNNNNNNNNNNNNNNNNNNNNNNNNNNNNNNNNNNNNNNNNNNNNNNNNNNNNNNNNNNNNNNNNNNNNNNNNNNNNNNNNNNNNNNNNNNNNNNNNNNNNNNNNNNNNNNNNNNNNNNNNNNNNNNNNNNNNNNNNNNNNNNNNNNNNNNNNNNNNNNNNNNNNNNNNNNNNNNNNNNNNNNNNNNNNNNNNNNNNNNNNNNNNNNNNNNNNNNNNNNNNNNNNNNNNNNNNNNNNNNNNNNNNNNNNNNNNNNNNNNNNNNNNNNNNNNNNNNNNNNNNNNNNNNNNNNNNNNNNNNNNNNNNNNNNNNNNNNNNNNNNNNNNNNNNNNNNNNNNNNNNNNNNNNNNNNNNNNNNNNNNNNNNNNNNNNNNNNNNNNNNNNNNNNNNNNNNNNNNNNNNNNNNNNNNNNNNNNNNNNNNNNNNNNNNNNNNNNNNNNNNNNNNNNNNNNNNNNNNNNNNNNNNNNNNNNNNNNNNNNNNNNNNNNNNNNNNNNNNNNNNNNNNNNNNNNNNNNNNNNNNNNNNNNNNNNNNNNNNNNNNNNNNNNNNNNNNNNNNNNNNNNNNNNNNNNNNNNNNNNNNNNNNNNNNNNNNNNNNNNNNNNNNNNNNNNNNNNNNNNNNNNNNNNNNNNNNNNNNNNNNNNNNNNNNNNNNNNNNNNNNNNNNNNNNNNNNNNNNNNNNNNNNNNNNNNNNNNNNNNNNNNNNNNNNNNNNNNNNNNNNNNNNNNNNNNNNNNNNNNNNNNNNNNNNNNNNNNNNNNNNNNNNNNNNNNNNNNNNNNNNNNNNNNNNNNNNNNNNNNNNNNNNNNNNNNNNNNNNNNNNNNNNNNNNNNNNNNNNNNNNNNNNNNNNNNNNNNNNNNNNNNNNNNNNNNNNNNNNNNNNNNNNNNNNNNNNNNNNNNNNNNNNNNNNNNNNNNNNNNNNNNNNNNNNNNNNNNNNNNNNNNNNNNNNNNNNNNNNNNNNNNNNNNNNNNNNNNNNNNNNNNNNNNNNNNNNNNNNNNNNNNNNNNNNNNNNNNNNNNNNNNNNNNNNNNNNNNNNNNNNNNNNNNNNNNNNNNNNNNNNNNNNNNNNNNNNNNNNNNNNNNNNNNNNNNNNNNNNNNNNNNNNNNNNNNNNNNNNNNNNNNNNNNNNNNNNNNNNNNNNNNNNNNNNNGGCGGCGGGGCUGGCCGGCGACGCGACUGUGGCGGCGGCAACAAGAGGAGAGAGGCGGGCGCGCGGGAGGAAGAAAGAAAGAGAGAGAGAGGGAGGGAGACGGCGCCACCCGUUAAGUGGGCCUUCUUUGUCGUCUGCUAGCAGACGGCAAAGAGGGCGACCGUCAGGGCUGGUGCACGUCUCCUCUUUGUCGUCCGCCGUCCGCUAGCGGAUGGCAUAGGAGGAACAUUGUCGUCGGCUAGCAGUCGGCAAAGUAAUCACCUCUUUGUCGUCCGCUAGCAGUCGGCAAAGAAGCUGGACUAACGUCUAUGCUCAAAAUUCGUCUGCGACCUCGUCGCUGGAGCUUCUCGCCUGAGCCGCGGCCCAGCAGCUCGCGCGUUGCUGGUUCCUCGCUCUCUGUUGUCGUUGUUUUUUCCGGUCGAUUUUGUUCCCGCUGCUACAGGUCUUUGUCUCGGGGGAAAAUAGGUUGGCUUUCUUUGUUAAUUUCAAAAGAUUUGAAGAAAUCAAAAAAUGUUCAUGAACUUUAAAAACAGUUCAUGAACUCGAAACAUGCUAGUGAAUUCAACAAACUUUAUGAAUUAAAAAAAUGUUAGUAAAUUUCAAAGGAUGUCAGUGAAUUAAAAAUAUCUUUCAAUUUGAUAAAAGUUAAAUAAUUUUAGAAAUUCUUUAAAAUUUGAAAAAUAUUCACAGAUAACCACUUUACAAAUUUAUAAAAUAUUUGUGAAUUUGAAAAUUUCCAUUUUCUAGAGAAAUCCAAAAUUUUAAAAUAUGUUCAAGGAUUAGUAAAUAAAAUAUUAAUUAUGAAAAUAAAAUAUAUAAAAUAAGAGAAGAGUGGAAAAAACGGAGCGCAACCUGGUUCGUUGGGUCUAUUCCUUAUCGCUCGCUCAAAAAAAAUGUCCUGCUUCCUUGGCUCGGUUCCCGAUCGCUUGUUAAAAAGAGGGUCCUACUUUGCUUGAUUUUUUCCUGGUUUACUUGGUUUGGUUAGUUCUCAGUUGACCUACAGCUAUUGGUCGUUCACCAAGGCCAAUGUUGAUCAUCAACCAAGCCCUCUCAAUUGACCUACAGCUAUUGGUCGUUCACCAAGGCCAGUGUUGAUCAUCAACCAAGCCCCACGUUGACCGUUGACAAGUUCACGAAAAUUAUAAAACCAAGAAAAACAAAAAAUUCCACGAAUUUGAAAAACUCCAUGCAAUAAAAGUAUUCACAAAAAAGUUCAUAAUCUCAAUAUUUGAACAAAAGUUCGUGGAUUUGAAAGAAGUUCGUGAAAUAAAAAGGUGUGUGAAUCUGACAAGCUUGCUAAUUUUUUAAAAAGUUCACAAAUACUUUAAAAAGUUCAUCAAUUUUGAAAAAAAGGUUCACGAAUUUUAAAAAAGUCCUCGAAAACUUUGAAAGUGUUCUUGAAAUUUGGGAAAUGUUAAUCAAAUUUAAAAAAAGGUUCAAAAAUUUGAAAAAUAGUUCACAGAUUUAAAAAAAAUCAUGGAUUUGGAAAACAAUCAUGUAUUUGGGAGAACAAUGUUCAGAAAUUUAAAGAAACAUAUUUCACAAAACAAUCACGAAUUUGACAAAGAAAGUUCUUGAAUAUGAAGAGAAGGUUCAAAAUUGAAAUGAGUUCACAUAUUCUAAAAAUAAAAAUAAUAAAGAGGAAAAAAGAAAAAAAAGAAUAAUGAAAGAAUUGAAAAAAACACUGAAAUCCAAGAAAAGUAUAAAAUAAAAUGAAAAACCGACCGGAAGCUUCCAAAUACGAGCCUAGGAAUCUUCUGGAAGCUUUCCAAAACCUACCUAUGAAGCUUCCCAAAACCAGCCUAGGAAUCUUCUUAAAGCUUCCCAAAACCUACCUAUGAAACUUCCCAAAACCAGGAGCUCUCCAUUCACGCCUAAAUGGUGGGCCAGCCUAUUCUACAGGAAUCGAAGGAUAGGUGGUGUGCUGUUUUUACAGAAAUGGUUGUAACGGGCCUAUUUUCCGCACACGUGUGUCUCGCCUCCAUGCAAUGUGGUAGUAGGCCAGCCAAUUAAAUGUUCGUUAAGUUUUUUAAUUUUUUUUAAUUUUUUCUUUUUAUUAAUUUUGUUUUCAUUCCGAAAAUAAAUAUACAAAUUUCAAAAUUACUUUACUUAUUUUUUUAGAAAGUGUUGAUUGCACUAAAAAUGUUCAAGUAGUGAAAAAAUAAUGUUUGUACAACAUUUAUAAAAUGGUCAUAGUACUCAAAAGAACGUUCAUGGCAUUUAAAAAAGUCCAUGUGUUCAAAAUAUGUUCGUGACAUUUUAAAAGUUCAUGCAUUCAAAAUAUGUUCGUGACAGUUUACCAAAAACCACAAAAAAUCCAUGCAACAGCACCAACAGAAUGUCUUUUAACUUUCAAUAGUUCAGCUCAUGGUUUAAAGGACAUGAAUACUUACCUAUUUAGUAUUAUUAUGCUACUCCUGAUGACAUGGUAUUGUGCUUGAUGGUUUUGCUUUAAGACUCGCAGCACAAGUUGCUAUCGAUCGUUAGGUGAGCCGGAGAAAAGCUUACAAGUAACUACUCAGCACGCACCACCCUGCAGUUUCCUGGCUCUUUCCGGCCGGCUCCAAAAAGCACAGAGCACAGACGUACAAGAUAUCAUUAUGAUCAAACGCUGAGACAAUUUUUCCUAAAUAUAUUCGUUUAAUUUACACCGUGUAUCACUUUGCUUAAUCGACAUGCUAACUACUACCACUACCGCUCAUAAAAUAUCAUUAUGGACCCUAUUUAUACAUCGUGGUUAGGUGUAUCACCAAAAUCUCACAAUUACUUACCAGCUGAGUGCUCACCAAACGUGAAUUAGGUCAGUCAACUUAAUUCGUUCACGCCAAGCAUUGGCUUGCCUCCUUCGGUAUGGAUGCACAUAGUUAGCUGAGCCAAAGAAAUCAUUUCCUUUGUUGCUCCUCUACAAUUUCCUGCUAGUGCACUUGUCCGAGCUAUUCUCCCCACCCCUCCAAACACACCAAGACACCCACAAGACAUACGGGGAGGAUAGGAAUAACUGGAGGCCAUCAAUGGCACCUGUCGUGAGCGCUUCACUCGGCGCGUUAGCUCCCCUGCUGGUGAAGCUCACCACCUUGCUCGCCAACGAGUGCGGUCGUCUGAAAGGGGUCCGCCGUGAGAUCCGCUCUCUCAAAUCGGAGCUCACCAGCAUGCAUGGUGCGCUGACAGAGUACACCAAGCUAGAAGAUCCAAAUGAUCAAGUGAAGGCGUGGAUAUUGCUGGUUAGGGAGUUGGCUUACGACACCGAAGAUGUCUUUGACAAGUUCAUCCACCAGCUUGGCAACGGGAGCCACCAGGGCGGUUUUAAGGAGUUCUUCCGCAAGGCCGCCCGUAGUCUGAAGACUCUUGGUUCUCGCCGCAAAAUUGCCAACCAAAUUACUGAGUUGAAGGUUCGCAUCAAGCAAGUGAAAGAGCUCAAGGAUAGUUACAAGUUGAAUGAUACUUCUUCUAGCACCGCCGGUCAAGUUGCUGUGGAUCCCCGGCUCCAGGCACUUUUUGCUGAGGAGACACACCUUGUGGGCGUGGAUGGUCCAAGAGAUGAUCUUGUCAAGUGGAUGGUGAAAGAAGGAAACAACCCAUCCAAUGAUUUGAUGGUGGAAGAAAGCAAGCCUAAACCUUGCAAGGUGUUGUCUAUUGUUGGGUUUGGUGGAUUGGGUAAGACAACACUCGCAAAUGAGGUCUAUCGCAAUGUUCAAGGGUAUUUUCAUUGCAAGGCUUUUGUAUCAGUGUCACAAAAACCAGAUAUUAAAAAAAUUAUGAAGGAUGUGAUUUCUCAGGUGUCUUGCAAAGAUGGGUCCACAAAAGAUACUGACUAUUGGGAUGAAAAGAAGUAUAUCGCCAAGUUAAGAGAAAUGUUGCAAGAUAAAAGGUAAUAUCAACCUUUGUUUUUUUUCUUAAAACAUUUGUUGCGCACAGUUCCUAGCGCUUUACUUACUUUUAUUGAAUUUACUAUUGUUGUUUUGACGCAAAUGAAAAUAGUUUGGGAGUUAGGCUUGCAAAAUUGCAAGCAUCCUUACCACCCAUACUAAAAAAAUAAUAUGUACCCAACCAAAGGAUCCUUAGCACAAUGAAAUACCAGUUAUUAUGAAAAUGUUCAUAGACAUUCCUCCGACCCCUUUUGAUUUUCUUGAUUCCUUCAUGCUUAAUGAAAUAUAACACUCAAAAUUUUCUCUCUAUCAUUACGGAACAUAUAAACAUGCGUCUGCUGAAGUGUGACUAUAUUCUACACUUUACAUUAUCUUCUUAGGACACAUUUUGUGUGAACUAGUCCGUAGAUGCAAUCCCAGCAACAUAUGGGUUCAAAACCAUCCCACCUCUCGUUCACCAGAAAGUGAGUAUAUAUGAGUGUGUGUAUUUUCCAUGCUUGGGUAACUCUUUGGUGUGGAUGCAACGCAACUACAACGAUAAAAUUACCAUUAUGCUCUUAUUUUCAUAUGUACUCAAAUAAGCAUUUGCAAUAUUAUACUAAUUGUAAAGACCACCACACAGUAAUUCCAACUUUGGCAAUUGAGUAAAUAGAUAUGAGUUCUAGUAGUUAAAACUUCAACGAAAUUGUGUAUACAUAUUUAAUUGCUUUUUUUCAUGUGCAUAGACUCAAAUAAGUAUGAUAGAAGUGUUUCCAUGUCAUAAAGAAAAUGAACAAUUAAAUAUGUUUUGCACGAUCGAGUAACUAGCUUAUUUCGACAAAGGGUCGAUGUUAUUAACUAAAAAAAUGAAGCAUCAAUUGAAUACAAACACAAUGAGCACACACCCCGGCCUUGGUGUAGUUAGGAUGCACAUAGCCAAUACCAACGCACACACAAAAAAACCCACCGGAAAAUAGUAAAGUCAUAUAAGACCAAACCUAUGCAUAAUAGAGAUAAAAAACAAACCUCGAGUAACUAGCUAGAGGACAGUUCCAAUCAUAGUAAAAAGUUCAUGAAUUCCACAUGCUACAGGUGUAUUAUAAAAUGUAUAUGGGAGCAUAUCUUCUACAUCUAAAUAGAUAGCCAUCACUAACUUAUUUUGGAGCGCAUGCAACUGUGUCCCCUAAUCAUGAUUGUCAUAUCACCAAUUAGCUUUAUGAUUAAUUGCAUACAUGCAUUUGUUCUUGUUUCCCAAUUUCCUUCACCUUUUUUAUAACUUCCUUUAACUACUAACUAAGGGCACAUAAGAUGUGAUCGAAGAUAUGCAAUAUAUUAUUAAUCCAAAUAUUCAUCUUCAUAAAAUCAAAGUUCAUUAAAGGUAUUAUUUAGUAUAACAAAUAAGCAUGGUAGACUAACUGAGAACAUGAACAUAUGCAAUGUUGGAGUUCAUGGAAAUCUAUGAGUUUUCAAGCUAAAUUUAUAAUCAGAAUUGGUUGACAUCGUCUUCCCAUUUUAUAGGUAUCUCAUCAUCAUUGAUGAUGUAUGGUCUACACAAGUCUGGAAUACUAUCAAGUGUGCUUUUCCAGAAAAUAAUUGUUCUAGCAGAAUUAUAGCUACGACACGCAUCAUCGAUGUGGCAAAGUCUUGUUGUUUGAGUGAAGAUGACCGCAUGUAUGAAAUGGAACCUCUAAGUGAUCUUCAGUCUAAACUAUUGUUUUUCAGAAGAAUAUUUGGCUCUAAUAAGGAUUGUCCUCAUACUUUGAACAAAGUUUCAAAUGAUAUCCUGAAGAAGUGUGGAGGCUUACCACUGGCGAUUAUAAGUAUAUCUAGUUUGUUGGCGAACAGACCAGAAACGAAAGAUGAAUGGGAGAAGGUUAAAAGGUCAAUUGGUUCUACACUAGAAAAUAACCAGAGUCUAGAGGGAAUGACUAGCAUACUAUCACUAAGUUAUAAUGAUCUUCCACCUAAUCUGAAGACAUGCUUUUUGUAUUUAAGUGUAUUCCCUGAGGAUUAUGUGAUUGAGAGAAAUAGAUUAGUGAUGCGAUGGAUCGCCGAAGGCUUUAUAUCUGAAGAACGUGGACAGAGCCAGCAAGAGGUCGCUGAGAACUACUUUUAUGAGCUUAUCAACAAAAGCAUGGUGCAGCCAGUGGGUAUUGGCUAUGAUGGUAAGGUUCAAGCCUGUAGAGUGCAUGACAUGAUGCUGGAAAUUAUUAUAUCAAAAUCAGCUGAAGAUAAUUUUACCACUAUAGUGGGUGGAGGACAGACGAGUUUGGUAAAUCGUCAGGGCAUUAUUCGACGGCUAUCAAUCCAACACAUUGACCAGGAACUUGCAUUUGCAUUGGCCAAUGAAGAUCUAAGCCAUGUUCGAUCUCUAACAGUAACGUCAUUAGGUUGCAUGAAAAAUAUUCCUCAACUCGCUGAAUUUGAAGCUUUACGUGUAUUGGACUUUGAAGGGUGUCAGGGUUUGGAAGAAUAUGAAAUGAAAAAUAUUGAUAGAUUUUUCCAACUAAAGUAUCUCAGCCUCAGGGACACAGAUAUAUCAGAGCUACCUUCAGGGAUUGUGAUGCUACAUGAUCUAGAGACCCUAGAUGUCAGGAGUUUGAAAAUAGAAGAGCUGCCAUCUGCAAUUGUGUUGCUCACUAAACUGCAAUAUCUAUUCACGGAAAAAUCUUGUAAGCUUCCUAACAGGAUUGGAAAUAUGAAGAAUUUACGAGGGAUCCAUUGUUUCGAUAUUACAGAGAGUUCAACUGCUGCCAUGGAGGAUCUCGGAAACCUGACUAGAUUGAACACACUCAGUUUACGGUGGGAUAAUGAAGAUAAUCACAAGAGGGAUGAAGAGAUUAUACUCAGCUCACUGUGCAAGCUUAGCAGCUGUAAACUGCACUCUCUACAUAUAGUGGGUCUUGGUUGCAUGGACUUCAUAGAUUCUUGGUCCCCUCCGUUAUCUUGCCUUCGCAUAUUUGAGGCGGAUGGCGAUACAUAUUUUUGGAAUGUUCCAAAGUGGAUUUCCCCAGGACUUACAAGCCUUACUCAUUUGAGCAUCAAUUUAGCUGAAUUUAUGGAGGAGGAUCUGCACACUCUUGGUAAUCUCCCAUCCUUAGUUAUCCUAAACUUGCGCUUGGAUGUGGGACCCGACACAAGGCUUACCGUAAUUGGAUUCCCAUGUCUGAAGAAGUUUGAACUCCAUAGACAGUAUGGGGCAUAUGUAACGUUCCAGAAAGGGGCUAUGCCCAAACUUGAGAUGCUUGAGGUGUCAUUUGAUGUGUCUGUGGCUGAAACUCAUGGCUUCUAUUUAGGCAUAGAACAUCUUCCAUGUCUCAAAGUAAUAAAGCUGGACUUGAAGCAAGGUGACAACCUUUUGAGAUAUCUGGCUGCAGCGGUUGUGAUCAAUGAAGUACGUGCUCAUUCCAACCGUCCUAAAUUUGCUUACAGGGUGGGUCCAGGUGAAUAUGUCAACUUUGGCACUAACAGUGACGAGGAAAAGAGCCAACUGCCAUGGAGGAGGGGAAGUGUUGAGAGUCUUGAGACCGAUGGUGGCGAGAAAAACCAACUGCAAAUGAAAAGCAAAUAUAAAGCUCCCAUCAUUCUGGAUGAAGUGGUCCUGACCUGCGCGAGGUACCCAAAGCAUCACCCCAUUGUUUUGUCUUUCAAAUUAACAAUAUCUCGUUUGUCCAUAAUUGUGGAAUCGCNNNNNNNNNNNNNNNNNNNNNNNNNNNNNNNNNNNNNNNNNNNNNNNNNNNNNNNNNNNNNNNNNNNNNNNNNNNNNNNNNNNNNNNNNNNNNNNNNNNNNNNNNNNNNNNNNNNNNNNNNNNNNNNNNNNNNNNNNNNNNNNNNNNNNNNNNNNNNNNNNNNNNNNNNNNNNNNNNNNNNNNNNNNNNNNNNNNNNNNNNNNNNNNNNNNNNNNNNNNNNNNNNNNNNNNNNNNNNNNNNNNNNNNNNNNNNNNNNNNNNNNNNNNNNNNNNNNNNNNNNNNNNNNNNNNNNNNNNNNNNNNNNNNNNNNNNNNNNNNUGUUUUACCUACCCAGGAUGGUUUGCAGCUGGUUAGAUGACUAGCUGGGAAUCGCUGUCAUACUGGAAGAGGCCUGAAGCUAUCUCUAGCACUUCAAGACUAGAAGAUGGAAAACGGAAGCUGAAACAGGGUCACCGCCAAAAAGAGUGUGGCCUCAGUUGCUACCAUCUACAUGCAUUGCGUUUGAUUGUAUUUCUUGUUUUAUUACUCGAGAGUCAAGACUUUCACUUCAGCGGACUGUAUUUUCAUUGAAAAGCUUGAAUCUUGUUUCAGGUUGUUCACCCUUGUAAUCUCUAUUUGAAUUCUGAAUUAUUUCUGCUGAAUACUAUCUGAUGUUGGAAAUGUAAUGUUGAUCCUCGCUUGCUCGUUACCUGUGUGUCUGAGCAAGUUGGAUGGCUGUGAUUGCUUCUGCUUUAUAUCUAUGCCGGGAACGAUCAGGUUUACAUGUCCUAAAGUAUGCUUCCUGCUGCAUCAUACAGUCAUACUGUAGAUGAGACUGAAGAUGAAUUACCAUUUGGUUGGCAGGCUUCAAAACACAAGCUGCAUGCACCGGCACGGUGAAAUUAAUAGCUGCCGCAUGGCCUCUGCUGCUCGCUGAAGGCAAGCACUCAGUAUCUCUCCCUUUGCCAUCAUCCCCGGUGCUGAUACUCUGGCAGCUGCACGGCGGCAUCUCAGGGUUUUAGGCCGAUCCGGCUCUCGCCUGUCAGGACUCAGCAUGUACUAGUAGGUGUACUGGAGUAAAAUUAAGGAAAGCUGCACGCAUGCACGAUGGGGUAGCAAUAAUCGAUGCGUGGGUGCAGGAGGGUAACACCGAUCAAUCGCUAUUGUCCAGCUACAACGUCAAACUUUUUCUGUACAUCAACUAGGUAUGAAAUCUGUGUGGAAGGGUUUGUACAUUGCAUUCCUCCAUCUUAAAAGGAACUGGCCGAUUACUUCCCUAAAAUUAGUCUCAUAAGUCUGGGCUUACAUGUGAUGGCUUAAUGUUGUUGUAGUUGUUGUUUUUUUUUUUUUGCGGGGAAAUGUUGUUGUAGUUGAGUGUGAAGGGUACACACUAUUUGUGUGCUGAAGCGAGUACAGACUAGUACAAGGUAGCCUCGUUGCAGUGUGCUUGAAACCGCUGCCAAGCUGUGUACCCUGAUCAAAUUUAGUGACCACAAUUCACUCAGUAGUCGGCUGCAGAGUCGGCUAACUACCCCAUGUAUUAUUUUUUGAACAUCAGUACAGACACAAGCAGUUAAAUGAAAAGGUUAAACGGAAAGAGAAAAGAGCCCGAGAUAUGCUUGUGUCUCUCCUCUGCUUUACUACUCUGUUUCCUCUGCUCUGCUCUUACGGCGCGGGGCUGUUCAGUCCGGGUUCUGUCUCGUGUGCGCGCGCAGCCGCAGGUCCAGGCUUCACACACACACACAUAGCUUGGGGCUUUACUACUCUGUUUCCUCUGCUAUGCUUUAACAGUUUUGAAUCACCGACACUAAUUUGUGGCGUGUACCCUCUAAGAGUUGCGCACCUACGUGGUCAUCCUCAUGUCUGAAUUGACUAUGUCAAUUGUCAUAUAUUCCGUAAAUCUAUCUUGUUUCACAUAUAUCUAGGCUCACGGAAAUGCAAACCCCACCGUAUCUAGGGCGUCCAGCAUGCCCAUUCUUCUUGCCUUCACCAACAGAAGGGCACCUUUGCUCUUGCAAAAGAUGGCAAUAUCUUCCCCUCGUGGCGGCCUUGGUGCUGCCGGAUGUGGAGGGGAGCGGCUCGCCGGAUGCCCAUUUUUUUUUCUUUUUUUUUGAAAAGAGGAGCUCCCCGGCUUGUGCAUCAGAAUGAUGCAUACAGCCAACUUAAUUAAUAAGCAAAUAGGGUCAUAAUAGCUCCAAAUGGAGCGUGGUAGCAGCAUUUACAAUAUGACAUGAAGAUUUGCGAAAUACAUACGGAUCUGAAUGUUGCAGACCCGUUGACUAAAACCUCUCUCACAAGCAAAACAUGAUCAAACCGCAGAACUCAUUGAGUCUUAAUCACAUGGUGAUGUGAACUAGUUUAGUGACACUAGUGAACUCUUUGGAUGUUGGUCACAUGGCGAUGUGACCUAUCAGUGUUAAUCACAUGGCGAUGUGAACUAGAUUAUUGACUCUAGUGCAAGUGGGAGACUGUUGGAAAUAUGCCCUAGAGGCAAUAAUAAAUUAGUUAUUAUUAUUAUAUUUCCUUGUUCAUGAUAAUCAUUUAUUAUCCAUGCUAUAAUUGUAUUGAAAGGAAACUCAGAUACAUGUGUGGAUACAUAGACAACAUCAUGUCCCUAGUAAGCCUCUAGUUGACUAGCUCGUUGAUCAAUAGAUGGUUACGGUUUCCUGACCAUGGACAUUGGAUGUCGUUGAUAACGGGAUCACAUCAUUAGGAGAAUGAUGUGAUGGACAAGACCCAAUCCUAAGCCUAGCACAAAAAUCGUGUAGUUCGUAUGCUAAUUGCUAAAGCUCAUGAGAUUGUGCAACUCCCGGAUACCGUAGGAAAGCUUUGGGUGUACCAAACUUCACAACGUAACUGGGUGGCUAUAAAGGUGCACUACGGGUAUCUUCGAAAGUGUCUGUUGGGUUGGCAUGAAUCGAGACUGGGAUUUGUCACUCCGGUUGACGGAGAGGUAUCUCUGGGCCCACUCGGUAGGACAUCAUCAUAAUGUGCACAAUGUGACCAAGGGGUUGAUCACGGGAUGAUGCGUUACGGAAUGAGUAAAGAGACUUGCCGGUAACGAGAUUGAACAUGGUAUCGACAUACCGACGAUCGAAUCUAGGGCAAGUACAAUACCGCUAGACAAAGGGAAUUGUAUACGGGAUUGAUUGAAUCCUCGACAUCGUGGUUCAUCCGAUGAGAUCAUCGUGGAACAUGUGGGAGCCAACAUGGGUAUCCAGAUCCCGCUGUUGGUUAUUGACCGGAGAACCUCUCGGUCAUGUCUGCAUGGUUCCCGAACCCGUAGGGUCUACACACUUAAGGUUCGAUGACCCUAGGGUUAUAGGGAAUAGAUAUACGUGGUUACCGAAUGUUGUUCGGAGUCCCGGAUGAGAUCUCGGACGUCACGACGAGUUCCGGAAUGGUCCGGAGGUAAAGAUUUAUAUAUGGGAAGUCCUGUUUUGGUCACCGGAAAAGUUUCGGGUGUUAUCGGUAAUGUACCAGGACCACUGGGAGGGUCCCGGGGGUCCACCAAGUGGGGCCACCGGCCCAGAGGGCUGCAUGGGCCAAGUGUGGGAGGGGACCAGCCCCAGGUGGGCUGGUGCGCCCCCUCCCCCCACAAGGGCCCAAGGCGCCUAGGGUUUUGGGGAAACCCUAAAGGGGGGCGCCCCCUUGCCUUGGGGGACAAGGCAACCCUCCUGGCCGCCGCCCCCUCCUCAGAUUGGAUCUGAGGGGGUCGGCCCCCCUCUCCCUUGUCCCUAUAUAUAUGUGGAGGGUGGGAGGGCAGCCGCACCCCAAGUUCUGGUGCAGCCCUCCCCCUCUCCCAAGUCCUCCUCCUCUCCCGCGGUGCUUGGCGAAGCACUUGAGGAUUGCCACGCUCCUCCACCACCACCACGCUGUUGUGCUGCUGCUGGACGGAGUCUUCCCCAACCUCUCCCUCUAUCCUUGCUGGAUCAAGGCAUGGGAGACGUCACCGGGCUGCACGUGUGUUGAACGCGGAGGUGCCGUCCGUUCGGCACUAGGAUCUCCGGUGAUUUGGAUCACGACGAGUACGACUCCUUCAACCCCGUUCUCUUGAACGCUUCCGCUUAGCGAUCUACAAGGGUAUGUAGAUGCACUCCCCUUCCCCUCGUUGCUAGAUUACUCCAUAGAUUGAUCUUGGUGAUGCGUAGAAAAUUUUGAAUUUCUGCUACAUUCCCCAACAGUGGCAUCAUGAGCUAGGUCUAUUGCGUAGGUUCUAUGCACGAGUAGAACACAAAAUAGUUGUGGGCGUUGAUUUUGUUCAAUAUGCUUACCGUUACUAGUCCAAUCUUGUUUCGACGGUAUUGUGGGAUGAAGCGGCCCGAACCGACCUUACACGUACUCUUACGUGAGACAGGUUCCACCGACUGACAUGCACUUGUUGCAUAAGGUGUCUAGCGGGUGCCAGUUUCUCCCACUUUAGUCGGAUCGGAUUCGAUGAAAAGGGUCCUUAUGAAGGAUAAAUAGCAAUUGGCAUAUCACGUUGUGGUUUUUGCGUAGGUAAGAAAUGUUCUUGCUAGAAACCCAUAGCAGCCAUGUAAAACAUGCAAACAACAAUUAGAGGACUUCUAACUUGUUUUUGCAGGGUAUGCUAUGUGAUGUGAUAUGGCCAAAAAGAAUGUGAUGAAUGAUAUGUGAUGUAUGACAUUGAUCAUGUUCUUGUAAUAGGAAUCACGACUUGCAUGUCGAUGAGUAUGACAACCGGCAGGAGCCAUAGGAGUUGUCUUAAUUUAUUGUAUGACCCGCGUGUCAUUGAACAACGCCAUGUAAUUACUUUACUUUAUUGCUAACCGGUAGCCAUAGUAGUAGAAGUAAUAAAUUGGCGAGACAACUUCAUGAAGACACGAUGAUGGAGAUCAUGGUGUCAUGCCGGUGACGAUGAUGAUCAUGGAGCCCCGAAGAUGGAGAUCAAAAGGAGCAAAAUGAUAUUGUCCAUAUCAUGUCACUAUUUGAUUGCAUGUGAUGUUUAUCAUGUUUAUGCAUCUUAUUUGCUUAGAACGACGGUAGUAAAUAAGAUGAUCCCUCAUUAAAAUUUCAAGAAAGUGUUCCCUCUAACUGUGCACCGUUGCGAAAGUUCGUCGUUUCGAAGCACCACGUGAUGAUCGGGUGUGAUAGAUUCUAACGUUCACAUACAACGGGUGUAAGCCAGAUUUACACACGCGAAACACUUAGGUUAACUUGACGUGCCUAGCAUGUACAGACAUGGCCUCGGAACACAAGAGACCGAAAGGUCGAGCAUGAGUCGUAUGGUGGAUACGAUCAACAUGAAGAUGUUCACCGAUGAUGACUAGUCCGUCUCACAUGAUGAUCGGACACGGCCUAGUUGACUUGGAUCAUGUAAUCACUUAGAUGACUAGAGGGAUGUCUAUCUGAGUGGGAGUUCAUUAGAUGAACUUAAUUAUCCUGAACAUAGUCAAAAGCCCUUUGCAAAUUAUGUCAUAGCUCGCGCUUUAGUUCUACUGUUUUAGAUAUAUUCCUAGAGAAAAUAUAGUUGAAAGUUGACAGUAGCAAUUAUGCGGACAGUAGAAGGCUUAUGUCCUUAAUGCACCACUCAAUGUGCUGAACCCCGAACGUCGUCUGUGGAUGUUGCGAACAUCGGACAUACACGUUUUGAUAACUACGUGAUAGUUCAGUUAAACGGUUUAGAGUUGAGGCACCAAAGACGUUUUCGAAACGUCGUGGAACGUAUGAGAUGUUUCGAGGGCUGAAAUUGGGAUUUCAGGCUCGUUCCCACGUCAAGAGGUAUAAGACCUCCGAUGAUUUUCAAACUAAGGGAGAAAAGCUCAAUCGUUGAGCUUGUGCUCAGAUCGUCUGAGUACAACAAUCACUUGAAUCGAGUGGGAGUUGAUCUUCCAGAUGAGAUAGUGAUGUUUCUCCAAAGUCAUUGCCACCAAGAUGCGAGAGCUUCGUGAUGAACUAUAACAUAUCAGGGAUAGAUAUGAUGAUCCUUGAAAUAUUCGCAAUGUUUGACACCGCGAAAGUAGAAAUCAAGAAGGAGCAUCAAUUGUUGAUGGUUAGUAAAACCACUAGUUUCAAGAAGGGCAAGGGCAAGAAGGGAUACUUCAUGAAACGGCAAAACAGUUGCUGCUCUAGUGAAAACCCAAGGUUGAACCCAAACCCGAGACUAAGUGCUUCUGUAAUAAGAGGAACGGACACUGAAGCAGAACCACCCUAGAUACUUGGUAGAUAAGAAGGCAGGCAAGGUCGAUAGAAGUAUAUUGGAUAUACAUUAUGUUAAUGUGUACUUUACUAGUACUCGUAGGAGCGCUAGGGUGUUAGAUACCGGUUCGGUUGCUAAGUGUUAGUAACUCGAAAUAAAAGCUACAGAAUAAACGGAGACUAGCUAAAGGUGAGCUGAGGAUAUGUGUUGGAAGUGUUUCCAAGGUUGAUGUGAUCAAGAAUCGCACGCUCCUCUACCAUCGAGAUUGGUGCUAAACCUAAAUAAUUGUUAUUUGGUGUUUGCGUUGAGCAUAGACAUGAUUGGAUUAUGUCUAUCGAAAUACGGUUAUUCAUUUAAGAAGAAUAAUGGUUACUCUGUUUAUUUGAAUAAUACCUUCAAUGGCCCUGCACCUAAAAGAUUUGUUUAUUGAAUCUCGAUCGUAGUGAUGCACAUUUUCAUGCCAAAAGAUAUAAGAUAGUAAUGAUAGUACCACUUACUUGUGGCACUGCCAUGUAAGUCAUAUUGGUAUAAAACGCAUGUAGAAGCUCCAUGCUGAUGGAUCUUUGGACUCACUCGUUUUUGAAAAGUUUGAGACAUGCGAACCAUGUCUAUUGGUGUAUACGCAUGAAGAAACUCCAUGCAGAUGGAUCGUUUGGACUCACUUGAUUUUGAAUCACUUGAGAUAUGCAAAUCAUACCACAUGGGCAAGAUGACUGAAAAGCCUCGUUUUCAGUAAGAUGGAACAAGAUAGCAACUUGUUGGAAGUAACACAUUUUGAUGUGUGCAGUCCAAUGAGUGUUGAGGCAUGCAGCGAAUAUCGUUAUGUUCUUACUUCACAGAUGAUUUGAGUAGAUGUUGAGUGUAUUUACUUGAUGAAACACAAGUCUGAAUUAUUGAAUGGUUCAAGUAAUUUCAGAGUGAAGUUGAAGAUCAUCAUGACAAGAGGAUAAAAUGUCUAUGAUAUGAUCAUACAGAUGACUAUCUGAGUUACGAGCUUUGGCACGCAAUUAAGACAUUGUGGAAAUUGUUUCACAAUUAAUACCGCCUGGAACACCAUAGUGUGAUGGUGUGUCCGAACAUCAUAGUUGCACCCUAUUGGAUAUGGUGCGUACCAUGAUGUAUCUUAUCAAAUUACCACUAUCGUUCAUGGGUUAGGCAUUAGAGACAACCACACUCACUUUAAUAGGGCACCACGUAAUUCCGUUAAGACGACACCGUUUGAACUAUGGUUUGGAGAAACCUAAGUUGUCGUUUCUUGAAAGUUUGGGGCUGCGACGCUUAUGUGAAAAAAGUUUCAUCGUGAUAAGCUCGAACCCAAAACGGAUAAAUGCAUCUUCAUAGAAUACCCAAAAUGGUUGGGUAUACCUCCUAUUUCAGAUCCGGAAGAAAAAGUAAUUGUUUCUAGAAAUGGGUCCUUUCUCGAGGAAAAGUUUCUCUCGAAAGAAUUGAGUGGGAGGAUGGUGGAGACUUGAUGAGGUUGUCGAACCAUCACUUCAACUAGUGUGUAACCGGGCACAGGAAGUUGUUCCUGUGGCACCUACACCAAUUGAAGUAGAAGCUUAUGAUAGUGAUCUUGAAACUUCGGAUCAAGUCACUACCAAACCUCGUAGGUCGACAAGGACGCGUACUACUUCAGAGUGGUACGCAAUCCUGUCUUGGAGGUCAUGUUGCUAGGAAACAAUGAACCUAUGAGCUAUGGAGAAGCGAUGGUGGGCCCGGAUUCCGACAAAUGGCUAAGAGGCCAUAAAAUCCGAGAGAGGAUCCAUGUAUGAGAACAAAGUGUGGACUUUGGAAGAACUACUUGAUGGUCGUAAGGCUGUUGGGUACAGAUGGAUUUUAAAAGGAAGACAGACGAUGAUGGUAAGUAUCACCAUUAAGAAAGCUCGACUUGUCGUUAAGUUUUCCGACAAGUUCAAGGAGUUGACUACGAUGAGACUUUCUCACUCAUAGCGAUGCUAAGAGUCAGUGGAAUUAUAUUAGCAAUUACUGCAUGAUUUAUGAAAUCUUGCAGAUAGAAUGUCAAAACAUUGUUUCCUCAACGAUAUCCUUGAGGAAAGGUUAUAUGUGAUACAACCAGAAGGUUUUGUCAAUCCUGAAAGACGCUAAUAAGUAUGCAAAGCUCCAGUAAUCCUUCUUAGGACUGGAGUAUGCAUCUCGGAGUUGGAAUGUACGCUUUGAUGAGAUGAUCAAAGAUUUUGGGUUUCUACAAAGUUUAUGAGAAACUUGUAUUUCCAAAGAAGUGAGUGGGAGCACUAUAGAAUUUCUGAUAAGUAUAUGUGAAUGACAUAUUUUUGAUCCGAAAUGAUGUAGAAUUUCUGGAAAGCAUAUAGGGUUUUUUGAAAAGUGUUUUUCAAUAGAAAACCUGGAUUAAGCUGCUUGAACAUUGAGCAUCAAGAUCUAUGAGGAUAGAUCAAAAACGCUAAAUGGUACUUUCAAAUGAGCAAUACCUUGACAUGAUCUUGAAGGUGUUCAAGAUGGAUCAGUCAAAGAAGGAGUUCUUGCCUGAGUUGUAAGGUAUGAAGUUAAGAGUUAAAAGCUCAACCACGGCAGAAGAGAGAGAAAGGACGAAGGGAGUCCCCUAUGCUUCAGACGUAGGCUCUAUAGUAUGCUAUGCUGUGUACCGCACUGGAAGUGUGCCUUGCCAUGAGUCAGUCAAGGGGUACAAGAAUGAUCCAGGAAUGGAUCAUUGGACAAUGGUCAAAAUUGUCCUUGGAGUAAAUAAGGACAUGUUUCUCGGUUAUGGAGGUAUAAAGAGUUCGACGUAAAGAGUUGCGUCGAUGCAAGCUUUAACACCUAUCCGAAUGACUCUGAGUAGCAAACCGGAUACGUAUAGUGGAGCAACCAUUUGGAAUAGCUCCAAAUGGAGCGUGGUAGCAGCAUUUACAAUAUGACCUGGAGAUUUGCGAAAUACAUACGGAUCUGAAUGUUGCAGACCCGUUGACUAAAACCUCUCUCACAAGCAAAACAUGAUCAAACCCCAGAACUCAUUGAGUCUUAAUCACAUGGUGAUGUGAACUAGUUUAGUGACACUAGUGAACUCUUUGGAUGUUGGUCACAUGGCGAUGUGACCUAUCAGUGUUAAUCACAUGGCGAUGUGAACUAGAUUAUUGACUCUAGUGCAAGUGGGAGACUGUUGGAAAUAUGCCCUAGAGGCAAUAAUAAAUUAGUUAUUAUUAUUAUAUUUCCUUGUUCAUGAUAAUCAUUUAUUAUCCAUGCUAUAAUUGUAUUGAAAGGAAACUCAGAUACAUGUGUGGAUACAUAGACAACACCAUGUCCCUAGUAAGCCUCUAGUUGACUAGCUCGUUGAUCAAUAGAUGGUUACGCUUUCCUGACCAUGGACAUUGGAUGUCGUUUAUAACGGGAUCACAUCAUUAGGAGAAUGAUGUGAUGGACAAGACCCAAUCCUAAGCCUCGCACAAAGAUCGUGUAGUUCGUAUGCUAAAGCUUUUAAAAUGUCAAGUAUCAUUUCCUUAGACCAUGAGAUUGUGCAACUCCCGGAUACCGUAGGAAUGCUUUGGGUGUACCAAACUUCACAACGUAACUGGGUGGCUAUAAAGGUGCACUACGGGUAUCUCCGAAAGUGUCUGUUGGGUUGGCACGAAUCGAGACUGGGAUUUGUCACUCCGGUUGACGGAGAGGUAUCUCUGGGCCCACUCGGUAGGACAUCAUCAUAAUGUGCACAAUGUAACCAAGGGGUUGAUCACGGGAUGAUGUGUUACGGAACGAGUAAAGAGACUUGCCGGUAACGAGAUUGAACAAGGUAUCGACAUACCGACGAUCGAAUCUCGGGCAAGUACAAUACCACUAGACAAACGGAAUUGUAUACGGGAUUGAUCGAAUCCUCGACAUCGUGGUUCAUCCGAUGAGAUCAUCGUGGAACAUGUGGGAGCCAACAUGGGUAUCCAGAUCCCGCUGUUGGUUAUUGACCGGAGAACCUCUCGGUCAUGUCUGCAUGGUUCCCGAACCCGUAGGGUCUACACACUUAAGGUUCGAUGACGCUAGGGUUAUAGGGAAUAGAUAUAUGUGGUUAACGAAUGUUGUUCGGAGUCCCGGAUGAUAUCUUGGACGUCAUGAUGAGUUCCGGAAUGGUCCGGAGGUAAAGAUUUAUAUAUGGGAAGUCCUGUUUUGGUCACCGGAAAAGUUUCAGGUGUUAUCGGUAAUGUACCGGGACCACCGGGAGGGUCCCGGGGGUCCACCAAGUGGGGCCACCGGCCCAGAGGGCUGCAUGGGCCAAGUGUGGGAGGGGACCAGCCCUAGGUGGGCUGGUGCGCCCCCCCACAAGGGCCCAAGGCGCCUAGGGUUUGGGGGAAACCCUAAAGGGGGGCGCCCCCUUGCCUUGGGGGGCAAGGCAACCCUCCUGGCCGCUGGCCCCUCCUCAGAUUGGAUCUGAGGGGGCCGGCCCCCCUCUCCCUUGCCCCUAUAUAUACGUGGGGGGUGGGAGGGCAGCCGCACCCCAAGUUCUGGCGCAGCCCUCCCCCUCUCCCAAGUCCUCCUCCUCUCCCGCGGUGCUUGGCGAAGCCGUGCAGGAUUGCCACGCUCCUCCACCACCACCACGCCGUUGUGCUGCUGCUGGACGGAGUCUUCCCCAAUGAGGGAGUCCCGGACUAGGGGGUGUCUGGAUAGACGAACUAUCAUCAUUGGCCGGACUCCAAGACUAUGAAGAUACAAGAUUGAAGACUUCGUCCCGUGUCCGGAUGGGACUUUCCUUGGCGUGGAAGGCAAGCUUGGCGAUACGGAUAUGUAGAUCUCCUACCAUUGUAACCGACUCUGUGUAACCGUAGCCCUCUCCGGUGUCUAUAUAAACCGGAUGGUCUUAGUCCAUAGGACGAACAACAAUCAUACCAUAGGCUAGCUUCUAGGGUUUAGCCUCCUUGAUCUCGUGGUAGAUCUACUCUUGUAAUACACCCAUCAUCAAUAUCAAUCAAGCAGGACGUAGGGUUUUACCUCCAUUAAGAGGGCCCGAACCUGGGUAAAACAUCGUGUCCCUUGUCUCCUGUUACCAUCUGCCUAGACGCACAGUUCGGGACCCCUACCCGAGAUCCGCCGGUUUUGACACCGACAUUGGUGCUUUCAUUGAGAGUUCCUCUGUGUCGUCACCGAUAGGCUCGAUGGCUUCUUCGAUCAUCAACAACGACGCAGUCCAGGGUGAGACUUUUCUCCCGGACAGAUCUUCGUAUUCGGCGGCUUUGCACUGCGGGCCAAUUCGCUUGGCCAUCUGGAGCACAUCGAAAGCUACGCCCCUGGCCGUCAGGUCAGAUUUGGAAGUUUGAAGUUCACGGCUGACAUCCGCGGAGACUUGAUCUUCGAUGGAUUUGAGCCACAGCCGAGCGUGCCGCACUGUCACGAUGAGCAUGAUUUAGCUCUGCAGCCGGACAGUGCCCUGGAGGCCGCACACGAGUCCGCUCCGACCCUUGAUUCGGAGCCGGCUGCGCAGAUCGAGGACGGGUGGCUAGACACCGCCUCGGGGGCUGCAACCUCUACGGCGGUGGAGCCGAAUAUUGACCUUGUCCCUCAUGAAGCUUGUGACUCCGAGGUGCCGGACUCCUCGCCAGACUCCGAACCUCCCGCGCCCCCUCCAAUCGGAUCCGAUUGGGCGCCGAUCAUGGAGUUCACCGCUGCGGACAUCUUUCAACACUCACCUUUCGGCGACAUCUUGAGUUUGCUAAAGUAUCUCUCGUUAUCAGGAGAGCCCUGGCCGGACUGCGGCCAGGACGGUUGGGAUGCGGACGACAAAGAAAUUCAAAGCCCACCAACCACCCAAUUAGUAGCCACUGUCGACGAUCUAACCAACAUGCUAGACUUCGACUCCGAGGACAUCGACGGUAUGGACGACAAUGCCGGAGACGACCAAGAACCAGCACCUACUGGGCACUGGAAAGCCACCUCAUCAUAUGACAUAUACAUGGUGGAUAUCCCAAAGGAUGGGAAUGGCGAAGGAGCAGCGGAGGAUGACCCCUCCAAGAAACAGCCCAAGCGUCGGCGUCAGCGGCGCCGCUCUAAAUCCCGCCACAGCAAGAAUGGAGAUUCCGGCACCGGAGAUAAUAAUACCCCAGACAGUGCCGAAGACAACCCCCUCCAGCAAGAUUCAAUACAGGAAGACGGAGACGCCAGCCCUCAUGAGAGAGCGGCAGACAAAGAGGUAGAGGAUUACAUGCCUCCCUCCGGAGACGAGGCAAGCCUCGACGACGACGAAUUUGUCGUGCCUGGGAUCCCGUCGAACAAGAGCGUUUUAAACGCAGGCUUAUGGCCACGGCAAACAGCCUCAAGAAAAAGCAGCAACAGCUUAGAGCUGAUCAAGAUCUGCUAGCUGACAGAUGGACUGAAGUCCUUGCGGCCGAAGAGCAUGAGCUCGAACGCCCCUCCAAAAGCUACCCCAAACGCAAGCUGCUCCCCCGAUUAGAGUAGGAGGUAUAUGAACCCGCAUCACCAGCGCACGAUACGGCUGACCGACCACCCCGUGGCCGCGACAGAGAGGCCUCUAGGCCCUCCACUAGAACCGUACCCCGGCAUAGCUCGAAAAGCACAAGGCCACAGGGGAACGCCUUGGAAUUGCGAGAUAUAUUGGAGGAUAAGGCAAGGCAAUCAAGAUCGAUCUACGGAUUGCGUGGGCGCCCCAUGAUACGUGACGACAACCGUCGCGCCGGACACAGCAAGUCCGACCGGGCCGAACACAGUAGACAAAACUCUCUUGAGCUUCGUAGUGAUAUAGCCCAAUACAGAGGCGCCGCACACCCACUAUGCUUCACAGAUGAAGUAAUGGAUCAUCAAAUCCCCAAAGGGUUUAAACCCGUGAAUAUUGAAUCUUAUGAUGGCACAACAGACCCCGCGGUUUGGAUCGAAGACUAUCUCCUUCAUAUCCACAUGGCCCGCGGUGAUGAUCUUCAUGCCAUCAAAUACCUCCCACUCAAGCUUAAAGGACCAGCUCGGCAUUGGCUCAACAGCUUGCCAGCAGAAUCAAUUGGGAGUUGGGAGGACCUGGAAGCCGCAUUCCUUGAUAACUUACAGGGCAUGUAUGUGCGACCACCAGACGCUGACGACCUAAGCCAUACAAUUCAGCAGCCAAACGAAUCGGCCAGACAAUUCUGGACACGGUUCUUAACUAAAAAAAUCAAAUCGUCGACUGUCCGGAUGCGGAGGCCCUCGCGGGCUUCAAACAUAACAUCCGCGACGAGUGGCUUGCCCGGCACCUGGGACAGGAAAAGCCGAAAUCCAUGGCAGCCCUCACAUCACUCAUGACCCGCUUCUGCGCGGGAGAGGACAGCUGGCUAGCCCGCAGCAACAACCUCAGCAAAAAUUCUGGCAGUCCGGAUAUCAAGGACCGCAAUGGCAGGUCGCGUCGCAACAAGAACAAACACCGCAUUAACGGCGACAAUAAUGAGGAUACGGCAGUCAAUGCCGGAUUCAGAGGGUCUAAACCCAGUCAGCGGAAAAAGCCAUUUAAAAGAACUACUCCGGGUCCGUUCAAUUUGGACCGAAUACUCGAUCGCUCGUGCCAGAUACACGGCACCCCUGAAAAGCCGGCUAACCACACCAACAGGGACUGUUGGGUAUUCAAGCAGGCAGGCAAUUUAAUUGCCGAAAACAACGACAAGGGGCUGCAUAGCGAUGACGAGGAAGAGACCCGACCGCCGAACAAUAGAGGGCAGAAGGGCUUCCCCCCACAAGUGCGGAUGGUUAACAUGAUAUACGCAACCGACAUACCCAAAAGGGAGCGGAAGCGUGCACUCAUGGAUGUAUACGCGAUGGAGCCAGUCGCCCCGAAGUUCAACCCAUGGUCCUCCUGUCCGAUCACUUUUGAUCGAAGGGAUCACCCCACCAGCAUCCGCCACUGCGGAUUCGCCGCAUUGGUUUUAGACCCAAUCGUCGAUGGAUUUCACCUCACCAGAGUCCUGAUGGACGGCGGCAGCAGCCUGAACCUGCUUUAUCAGGAUACGAUGCGCAAAAUGGGCAUAGACCCCUCAAGGAUUAAACCCACAAAGACGACCUUUAAAGGCGUCAUACCAGGCGUAGAGGCCAACUGUACAGGCUCAGUUACACUGGAAGUGGUCUUCGGAUCCCCGGAUAACUUCCGAAGUGAGGAGUUAAUCUUCGACAUAGUUCUGUUCCGCAGUUGCUAUGAUGCUCUGCUCGGACGUACCGCGUUUGCAAAGUUCAACGCGGUGCCGCACUACGCAUACCUCCAGCUCAAGAUGCCAGGCCCUAGAGGCGUCAUCACGGUCAAUGGAAACACUGAACGCUCCCUCCGAAUGGUGGAACAUACAGCGGCUCUCGCGGCAGAAGUACAGUGCAGCCUCUUAAGGCAAUUCUUGAGUCCGGCCGUUAAGCGACCGGACAUAGCCAAAUGCGCCCGGAGUAACCUACAACAAGACCACCCGGCACGUUCCGAGCACGCGUAGCAACGCGGCCCCAACGCCAGCCCCCGCAAAAUUACAAGACUGGUCCUUCGCGUACAUCAUUACGCUCUGGAGAUACCUUGGGCAUAGGGGGAGGGGCACGACCACGAUAGGCCCAGAAUGCGGCUUAACCACACCAGGGGCUCUCAAGUGUGUCGUUCCUUUUUUUUUCUCCUUUUUCUUUUUUUUAACCACAGGACCCCGUUCAUCAGAGGCCCUGUCCGGCAGUAGACCCGCCGAACUCACGAUGCAACAGCCAGGGAAGGAGAAAGUGUAACACCCCAAAAAUUUAACCAAGUUUUAAACAUUUAAAUUUUGCCAGGAAAUUAAAAAAAGUUUAUUUUCUCGGCUCCCUUUUGAUUUUUGGACCAUUUUUUUUCUCUCUUGUUAUUAUGGAGUUUUCCCCAAAAGAAAACCUUUCAAAUAUGUUAUUGGACUUGUUUAACCUCUCAAGAAAAACUUUUCUUUUAUUAGUAUAACUAAUUACUUACUUAAUUUGCUUGAUCUUUAUUUUCUUGAAAAAUGGUUUUUCAAGAUUAUAUGGCCAUAUUUGAACUACAACCAUUUGAUAAAUUCACUUAAAAUUCCAACCAAAAAUUUGAGAUGUCAGGUGAUGUUUUUAAAUCACUUUUAUGAAUAAUAUAUUGUAUUCAUGAAAUAUUUUGAGCUCUAAGAAAAGCCUAGGUGCUUGUGGCAUUUUGUCAAACACCUGGAGUGCAUGGACAGAUUUGACAUGAGUUUUGGUUUGCAUUGUGGACCUGAUCCUCUGACCCAACAGCCAUGUCCACUAGCAUCCCAGCUACCACUAGACUAAACCUGCUAAUCCCCAGCUCCAACCAAGCCACCUAGCAGGCCAUGGCAUUUCGUCGAGCAGAUGGUGGGCGUGCACUGGACGCGCCCAGAGCGCGCCAACUGCAGCCACACAUCCGAAACCGCCGCGUCGCGCCCCUGGUUUUGCCACUCACUGUAGAGCUACGCCACGCACUUCCCUCCUGCACCGCCACGCCACCCCGACCACCCUGGCACCCUACAACGCCGCCGUCAGGGCACUCUUGGCGGCAUGCCGGCGUCCGUAGUGCGCCUCUGCCACGGUCGGCGCCGCCCGAGCCACCCCGGCUCGCCACCUACCCCUGGGAGCCGCGCAAGCUUAUCCCCUCGCUCGUCGGCUAGCUCUCGUCGCCUCCACGUCGCCCUGCCAUACAGAAUGGCGGUUCGCCGUCGUCCUUAUCGCCGGCCGCCUCGGGACCGACCUCCACCGCCUAUAUAAGGGCCCCGGAGCUCAACCGAGUCCUCAAGCAACCUCAAAUGAUCCCCCUAGAGCUACCAUGGCCAGCAGUCGAGGAGGAGAAGGCCAUCUUCCCCGAGUCCGGCCGGUUCGGUCGCCGCCAAGUUCCGGCCGAUUCCAUCGCAACCAAGGCACCUCCCGGCAAUCUAGCGCCACCACCCAACUCCACGUGAUCGUGCGGAGCCGCCCAUCGCCUCAGCUCGGACCGAGAGCCACCAUAGCCCAGGACCCCAAAUCCACCCGAAGCCUCCUCCGCCGCGAAGCUCGCCGCCGGCAGCUCACUCCGCUCCCGCCGACCCAACGACCACCGGAAGGACCGCUCUUGAUCUGUGGAUCCAUCCCCGCUAUCAGCUCCCCACAAGGACCCGCCGUUCGCCAGCGACGAUCGCCGGAGUCCCGCACCCCUGCUCGGGCAGAGGAAGGGGAGGGAGGGCGACUGGUCAAACCUGACCAGUGGGCCAGGCAGGCCCACUGUCAGUGACCCAGCCCCGCCCCCACGUGUAGUAAGUGAAGGCGCAUUCUCAAAGUACGUCUUCGACGUAUGCUUUUCUUUUUCUGUUUAUUUUAAAAACAGUUUUUGACCAAAACUUUGACCGAGCUUAACUUUUUAACUACAACUCCAAAUGAAAUGAUUAUUUUUCCCACCUCUCUCAAAUUUGAUCUAGUUUAUUUUAAGAUUUAUUUGAAAAAAUUUCAAAACAACUUUUUGUGCUGUUUUGAACUUGUGUGUUAAUUCAAAUUUAUUUAAAAUAGGACUUUGAAGAGAGAGACGAAAACUUUCAAAAGUUUUGGAGUGCACCCUGCCUUACCACACAUUGAAGGCAAGCAUUCUGAACCCCGGCAUAAUAUUUUUGUGUGUUCGUUGACACGUCUAUAACACCACUCAUUUCGGAGAACUUGUUAUUUCAUGUGACAUGAUCAUUUGCAUGAAUGCAUAUUAGUGAUUUCCAUGCUGUUGGAAACGAACACACUUGUGAUGAUAAUCAUCCUCAUGUGCCUUGCAUGCAUACCGGAAGGAAUCCGGGAAAACCUCUGCCUGGGGUAGGCAUGAGUUUGUCACCGGUCUCCGUCGGGACGGUUAUGUCCGGUAUGGCAUAGUAAGGUAUAAUGAGCGGUGAUUCUGUUGGUUGGAAUAUUUUUUGUUAUACACGUCAUGCAGGGAACCUUAUAAACCUCCUGAGUCGACCCUAGAUCGAGUCUUGUUCCAGUAACCCCCAUACUUGUUUCGUACUACCACUAGUCUCUACAACAAGUAAAGUACGGUUCAGUAAUUUGUCAACCCCUUUCUAGCACACACCGUAUAGAGGGGCCGGGAUGAGGGUACCACGGCCAUGGAUUAAAGCCAGUCAUCCGGUCAGGGGGCAUGGGUGUUUCGGUUGUAGCCGAGGGGGUAGCUUCCCAGUUUUGCGCGCAGUAUAAAUUUUGUGAUCCCAUGCUAAUCGAAGUUGUAGCCUCCCCACUUAGAGUUUUGCUUAACGGGUGUCGUGGGUGAUUCCAGACACCGGUGAGUUAAGAUGGCGUGUGCAAGUCAGGUGCGUUUUCAUUUAAAAUACCGUAGACGAAAUUAGUCCGAUGGACUAAGGGAAUCCGUUACUCGUGGGUAAAGAGUACACCCUCUGCAGAGAUUAAGACCUAUUCGAAUAGCCGUGUCCAUGGUUAAGGAUUACAGUCUGGGAUGGGUCAAGUGUCGGUCUUAGUGUCGUUCUUCGGAGGUGAAACUGCUAAAUCAGAAAUGGUAUUACGACUUGUGACAUGUGAUAAUUAUGAUUAUUAUUUUUGUUGUGGGCUAACCCGUGAUAUCAUUGGUAUUAUCGAAUAUCCCUAGGACGGUUCUACCUCCUGGAUAUUCACUGUGAUUCUUUUAAAGCCCUUUAUAUGGUGUCGGUAAGACGCUCGACUAUGGCAUUUCUUUUAUAAGCCCUUUAUGUGGUGUCGCUGAGACGCCUGACUGUGGCAUUUCUUUUAUAAUCCCUUUAUGUGGUGUCGCUGAGACACCCGACUGUGGCAUUUCUUUUAAAGCCCUUUAUGUGGUGUCACUAAGACGCCCGACUGUGGCAUUUCUUUUAUAAGCCCUUUAUGUGGUGUCGCUGAGACGCCCGACUGUGGCAUUUCUUUUAAAGCCNNNNNNNNNNNNNNNNNNNNNNNNNNNNNNNNNNNNNNNNNNNNNNNNNNNNNNNNNNNNNNNNNNNNNNNNNNNNNNNNNNNNNNNNNNNNNNNNNNNNNNNNNNNNNNNNNNNNNNNNNNNNNNNNNNNNNUAUGUGGUGUCGCUAAGACGCCCGACUGUGGCAUUUCCUUUAUAAGCCCUUUAUGUGGUGUCGCUGAGACGCCCGACUGUGGCAUUUCUUUUAUAAGCCCUUUAUGUGGUAUCGCUGAGACGCCUGACUGUGGCAUUUCUUUUAAAGCCCUUUAUGUGGUGUCGCUAAGACGCCCGACUGUGGCAUGCUUGUUAUUUAUUUCAUAAUUUUAAUACUACUAUGUAUGGCAUAUUCAUAAAUAACAUGCUUGCGAGCAUCAGAAUUUUUAUUAUCUUUUGUGACUGACGUCAUGAGCAUAAAAUAUUUUCAGCACAUCAUUGUUAUAUUAUUCAUGUGUUCAUAAUGUUUGCGAGUACAUUCAAAGUACUCACAGGCUUGUCCCUCGCUAUUGUCUUGGCCAGAUUUCUCGCACGGAGAGGAGCGACCGUGUUGGCAGCCCCGAAACCUAAGCAAUGGUGAUAGCCGUCUCGCGAAGAUAGGAGUUAACCUGGUCAGCUGUUCCUGUGGGAAAUGGAGUCCCAGAGACGAUGAUGAUCCACAGACCGCUUCCGCCACCAACCACUAGAAACCAUAUUGUUGUACACAUAGGCCAGAAUGGUCUUGUACUACAUAUUUGUACCUUUGCUUGGAAUUUCUGUAUCAAGUUGGUGCCUCAUCAACUAACAGUUAUCCUGGGGCUGGUGAGCACAAGGGUCAUUUUUCUGGAAAUUAAUACCCGGAGAAUCGGUCACGACAAACUUGGUAUCAGAGCCAGGCUGACCAUUGGCUAAUCCUAUCCUAGCCAAGUCGAUAAACCUGGUAAACCAACCCACCAGACCCUAACCAAAACCCUAGCCAAGCUUCCCGUGCAAGAUAGCCACACAGUGACCCCGACACUUUUGGCAGUCGGUGCCCAACCUAUCAGCCUAGUCUGUCUAUCACACGCCAGUGAUCGAUGGCUAAAAUGUCUCAUUCGCAAGCGCGCGAAGGGAGACUCCGUCCCCUUUUCUAUAAAAAGGGCACGCUAGCCUCAACCCAGCACAGCACAGCCUCUUCCCUAACCUAGCCACAAUGCCUGGUCCCAUAGUGCACAAUGAGACCAUAGAAACCAACCUUGGAGGUUUCGUGACCAUACUCGCAAACCUCACCCGCCGUGCCUACGCGUUAGAAGAACCCCCAGAAUAUGUGGUGUACCAAGGGACCAUGAGCGGUGAGAGCCGUCAAUUCUGGGCCACUAUGCACAUCUACGGUAGGGGUCUGUCACCAGAACGCCCCUACAGGUUCACCGGAAGAACAACUUCCUUCGAGCCACAAGCCAUCCAGCUAGCUGCUCGAGAGGCUAUAGUUCAACUCCGGCAGUUGUCGCCCAGGGCUAACUGUCGCUCGUUCUACUACUACCCCAGGCGUGAAGGGUAUGGUAGACCACCCCAAGUUGCCAACGGAGAUCAUGAGACGGAUCCCGCAUUGUUGCACCUAGUGCGCUAUGUAAGUGCACUAGAGGCAUUGUUCGAUCAAAUCACUAUUGAUCUGAUCGCAGCUCGAGGAGAGCUGGUUCGCCGAGCCCCGAUAAGCAGGGAAACCGAGCCCGACGCCGACAACCCAGUCGUGCUGUUCGGACACCCGAUUGACACCCUGAGGUCAGGCCCAGCCAUCAUCCAAGAUACGGUGAUGACCCCAGAAGUACUUCGUCGCCUUUUGGGAACACACUCCAACGGGAUUGUGGCUAACAAUCCCCGCGAUGGUCAUCAUCGCUACCCCGACCCUGCAGUUCCUCCACCAUCUCCGACAAAUCCCGACAGUGAGACACGUGGAGAAGCCUCGACAUCCACCAGGCACGCCCGUUUAGACAUAAACGAGGUAGACUAAGACGUACAAGUAGUACCGAGUCUCAGUGUAUCCUCGCUUUGUAAUCGUGUGACCUUGUAAAUAAACGCAGCCUGUUGUUGUGCCUCUGUUUUAAAUAGUAGCCUUGCAUAUUUUUGUCAGCACGCAGUUGCAUAUUUUCCGGGCACAGCUACCAAAACCGACCCCGACGACACUCACAGUAACACGUCUCUUUAUGAGAUAUGUGUAUCUCCGACACUGACACCGAUCCUUGGAGGUGAUCUGGCAUAUUAUUUACCUUUCACCACGGUAAAUGAGUCAGCCCAGAUGCUAUAUAAAAAGGCCACCUUGUGACCUUACACAACACCCCUCACCUCGUGCACCACUCUCACAACCAUUUCUUGCCAUGCCGAGCCCUAGUAUAUAUCUGAGAACCCCAGAUGCAACCCCGAGUAGCUUUGUCAAAAUAUUGUGUGACUUUACCUGCAGUACCAUGGGUUCUACCCAGCCACCCCAGUACGAGCUGUUCAAAUCGAGAAUCACCCCUUCCACCUCGGAGUAUUGGGCAGCAGUACACAUCCUUCCCGUAGACCCCAACCAAGAUCCAACGUAGGUUUCCUUCGUGGGGAAAUCUAUGCCAACCCCACGCCUGGCCAUAGAAGCUGCUGUGAAAGAAGCGAUUGCUCGUCUUCGAUCCGCAGUACCCUAUGCCCGCGAGCGAGGAUAUUAUUACUUUUCGAGCCGGACAGCACCCGGAGGAGUAACAUCUUUUCCCGGUGGGCGGAUUGAGAGAGACCCAGUGCUAGCCAACCUUAUCCAGUACAUCAUCGCUCAGGAACAUUUGAACCAGCAAGUAAUGGGCUAUCUCCAGAGUCUCGCUGAUUUAAACCCACAGAUUGCCAUCAGCAGACCACUGAGGCCCGACCCGAAGAGACGCAUACAUCGACUGGUCAAUCCACUUCCUCCGAUAGAAGAGGAGUGUAUUCCAUUGCCAGAGACAUUUUCUCGAGACCCCGUCCAGUUACCAUUCUCAUUUUAGACGUCACUGCUGUGUUUGUUAGUUCAGCAUUUAAUAUCACGUUGUAACUUAUGCUUGGUACCUCAAAUUUGUGCGACGAGUCGAGUAUUUAGUUCCUGCUUAUAUGAGUAGUUUUCCUUAUGAUUAACAUGUGUAACCGCAAAAAGAAUCCUGGAGUGAGUUUUCUUUUCCCUGAGUUUCUACAUCGUAUAUCUUCUCACGCCGUGGAUUACUUUAUUUCACACGGCACCACGGCAGCAGACUCACCUCCGCUCGAACUCAUACCAUGCUUGCAAAGACACGUAACCGUGGGGUAUUUGUUUUUCAAAACCGCUCUUAACAAAUCUCGAGGACGAGAUUUUUCUUAAGGGGGGUAGUAUUGUAACACCCCAAAAAUUUAACCAAGUUUUGAACAUUUAAAAUCUUGCCAGGAAAUUAAAAAAAGUUUAUUUUCUGGGCUCCCUUUUGAUUUUUGGACCAUUUUUUCUUCUCUCUUGUUAUUAUGGAGUUUUCCCCAAAAGAAAACCUUUCAAAUAUGUUAUUGGACUUGUUUAACCUCUCAAGAAAAACUUUUAUUUUAUUAGUAGAACUAAUUACUUACUUAAUUUGCUUGAUCUUUAUUUUCUUGAAAAAUGGUUUUUCAAGAUUAUAUGGCCAUAUUUGAACUACAACCAUUUGAUAAAUUCACUUAAAAUUCCAACCAAAAAUUUGAGAUGUCAGGUGAUGUUUUUAAAUCACUUUUAUGCAAUAAUAUAUUGUAUUCAUGAAAUAUUUUGAGCUCUACACCCAUUUUUCCUCUCUGGACCAGUGGGCAAUUUUGCACUGCAACUCAUUUAAAUACUUCCUCCUAGCCUCCACCAAAAUUAUGGGAUGUCAGUAGGAGCUUAUUAUUCCUUUAUAUGCAAAAUCCAGGGAUGUUCUUUGAAAAUUUUGAGUGAAUCAACCUCUUUUUCAUUCUGGACCAGACUUGUGUUUUCUACUGCAACCCUACUCAUUCUUGCUCUAGUGACCUUGUACUUCCUCCUGCUUGUAAUCAACCCUGCAAAACCCCUAAGUCCCGGAGCAUGCAACCAUUGGAAUACUUUUGGUUCAUGAGAUGAUGCCAUUUACGUUCUGUCCAGAAUUGGAGUUCUGCAAAACUUGCACUAGCAAGUUUGUGCUUUUCACAAACUAACCUCACCACCCUCUUGUGCAUCCAAAGAGACUUCAAUCUGGAAGAAUUGGCCACUCCAAGAAAAGCCUAGGUGCCUGUGGCAUUUUGUCAAACACCUGGAGUGCAUGGACAGAUUUGGCAUGAGUUUUGGUUUGCAUUGUGGACCUAAUCCUCUGACCCAACAGGCAUGUCCACUAGCAUCCCAGCUACCCCUAGACUAAACCUGCUAAUCCCAAGCUCAAACCAAGCCACCUAGCAAGCCAUUGCAUUUCGUCGAGCAGAUGGUGGGCGUGCACUAGACGCGCCCAGAGCGCGCCAACUGCAGCCACACAUCCGAAACCGCCGCGUCACACCCCUUGUUUUGCCACUCACUGUAGAGCCACGCCACACACUUCCCUCCUGCACCGCCACGCCACCCCAACCACCCUGGCACCCUACAGCGCCGCCGUCAGGGCACUCUUGGCAGCAAGCCGGCGUCCGCAGUGCGCCUCUGCCACGGUCGGCGUCGCCCGAGCCACCCCGGCUCGCCACCUGCCCCUGGGAGCCGCGCAAGCUUAUCCCCUCACUCGUCGGCUAGCUCUCGUCACCUCCACGUCGCCCUGCCGCACAGAAUGGCGGUUCGCCGUCGUCCUUAUCGCCGGCCACCUCGGGACCGACCUCCACCGCCUAUAUAAGGGCCCCGGAGCUCAACCGAGUCCGCAAGCAACCUCAAAUGAUCCCCCUAGAGCUACCAUGGCCAGCAGUCGAGGAGGAGAAGGCCAUCUUCCCCGAGUUCGGCCGGUUCGGUCGCCGCCAAGUUCCGGCCGAUUCCGUCGCAACCAAGGCACCUCCCGGCAAUCUAGCGCCACCACCCAACUCCACGUGAUCGUGCGGAGCCGCCCAUUGCCUCAGCCCCGACCGAGAGCCACCAUAGCCCAGGACCCCAAAUCCACCCGAAGCCUCCUCCGCCACGAAGCUCGCCGCCGGCAGCUCACUCCACCCCCGCCGACCCAACGACCACCGGAAGGACCGCUCUUGAUCUGCGGAUCCAUCUCCGCUUUCAGCUCCCCGCAAGGACCCGCCGUUCGCCGGCGACGAUCGCCGGAGUCCCGCACCCCUGCUCGGGCAGAGGAAGGGGAGGGAGGGCGACUGGUCAAACCUGACCAGUGGGCCAGGCAGGCCCACUGUCAGUGACCCAGCCCCGCCCCCACGUGUAGUAAGUGAAGGCGCAUUCUCAAAGUACGUCUUCGACGUAUGCUUAUUUUGAAACGUUUUUCUUUUUCUGUUUAUUUUAAAAACAAUUUUUGACCAAAACUUUGACUGAGCUUAACUUUUUAAAUACAACUCCAAAUGAAAUGAUUUUUUUCCCACCUCUCUCAAAUUUGAUCUAGUUUAUUAUAAGAUUUAUUUGAAAAAAAAUUCAAAACAACUUUUUGUGCUAUUUUGAACUUGUGUAUUAAUUCAAAUUUAUUUAAAAUAGGACUUUGAAGAGAGAGAAGAAAACUUUCAAAAGUUUUGGAGUGCACCCUGCCUUACCACACAUUGAAGGCAAGCAUUCUGAACCCCGGCAUAAUAUUUUUGUGUGUUCGUUGACACGUCUAUAACACCACUCAUUUCGGAGAACUUGUUAUUUCAUGUGACAUGAUCAUUUGCAUGAAUGCAUAUUAGUGAUUUCCAUGCUGUUGGAAACGGACACACUUGUGAUGAUAAUCAUCCUCAUGUGCCUUGCAUGCAUACCAGAAGGAAUCCGAGAAAACCUCUGCCUGGGGUAGGCAUGAGUUUGUCGCCGGUCUCCGUCGGGAUGGUUAUGUCCGGUAUGGCAUAGUAAGGUAUAAUGAGCGGUGAUUCUGUUGGUUGGAAUAUUUUUUGUUAUACACGUCAUGCAGGGAACAUUAUAAACCUCCUGAGUCGACCCUAGAUCGAGUCUUGUUCCAGUAACCCCCAUACUUGUUUCGUACUACCACUAGUCUCUACAACAAGUAGAGUACGGUUCAGUAAUUUGUCAACCCCUUUCUAGCACACACCGUACAGAGGGGCCGGGAUGAGGGUACCACGGCCAUGGAUUAAAGCCAGUCAUCCGGUCAGGGGGCAUUGGUAUUUCGGUUGUAGCCGAGGGGGUAGCUUCCCAGUUUUGCGUGCGGUAUAAAUUUUGUGAUCCCAUGCUAAUCGAGGUUGUAGCCUCCCGACUUAGAGUUUGUCUUAACGGGUGUCGUGGGUGAUUCCAGACACCGGUGAGUUAAGCUGGUGUGUGCAAGUCAGGUGUGUUUUCAUUUAAAAGACCGUAGACGGAAUUAGUCCGAUGGACUAAGGGAAUCCGUUACUCGUGGGUAAAGAGUACACCCUCUGCAGAGAUUAAGACCUAUUCGAAUAGCCGUGUCCAUGGUUAAGGAUUACAGUCUGGGAUGGGUGAAGUGUCGGUCUUAGUGUCGUUCUUCGGAGGUGAAACUGCUAAAUCAGAAAUGGUAUUACGACUUGUGACAUGUGAUAAUUAUGAUUAUUAUUUUUGUUGUGGGCUAACCCGUGAUAUCAUUGGUAUUAUCGAAUAUCCCUGGGACGGAUCUACCUCCUGGAUAUUCACUGUGAUUCUUUUAAAGCCCUUUAUGUGGUGUCGCUAAGACGCCCGACUGUGGCAUUUCUUUUAUAAGCCCUUUAUGUGGUGUCGCUGAGACGCCCGACUGUGGCAUUUCUUUUAUAAGCCCUUUAUGUGGUGUCGCUGAGACGCCCGACUGUGGCAUUUCUUUUAAAUCCCUUUAUGUGGUGUUGCUAAGACGCGCGACUGUGGCAUUNNNNNNNNNNNNNNNNNNNNNNNNNNNNNNNNNNNNNNNNNNNNNNNNNNNNNNNNNNNNNNNNNNNNNNNNNNNNNNNNNNNNNNNNNNNNNNNNNNNNNNNNNNNNNNNNNNNNNNNNNNNNNNNNNNNNNNNNNNNNNNNNNNNNNNNNNNNNNNNNNNNNNNNNNNNNNNNNNNNNNNNNNNNNNNNNNNNNNNNNNNNNNNNNNNNNNCUUUAUGUGGUGUCGCUAAGACGCGCGACUGUGGCUUUUCUUUUAUAAGCCCUUUAUGUGGUGUCGCUGAGACGCCCGACUAUGGCAUUUCUUUUAUAAGCCCUUUAUGUGGUGUCGCUGAGACGCCCGACUAUGGCAUUUCUUUUAAAGCCCUUUAUGUGGUGUCGCUAAGAUGCCCGACUGUGGCAUGCUUGUUAUUUAUUUCAUAAUUUUAAUACUACUAUGUUAUGGCAUAUUCAUAAAUAACAUGCUUGCGUGCAUCAGAAUUUUUAUUAUCUUUUGUGUCUGACAUCAUGAGCAUAAAAUAUUUUCAGCACAUCAUUGUUAUAUUAUCCCUGUGUUCAUAAUGUUUGCGAGUACAUUCAAAGUACUCACAGGCUUGUCCCUGGCUAUUGUCUUGGGCAGAUUUCUUGCGCGGAGAGGAUUGACCGUGUUGACAGCCCCGGAACCUAAGCAACGGUGGUAGCCGUCUCGCGAAGAUAGGAGUUAACCUGGUCAGUUGUUCCUGUGGGAAAUGGAGUCCCAUAGACGAUGAUGAUCCACAGACCGCUUCUGCCACCAACCACUACAAACCAUAUUGUUGUACACAUAGGCCAGAAUGGUCUUGUACUACAUAUUUGUACCUUUGCUUGGAAUUUCUGUAUCAAGUUGGUGCCUCAUCAGCUAACAGUUAUCCUGGGGCUGGUGAGCACAAGGGCCAUUUUUCUGGAAAUUAAUACCCGGAGAAUCGGUCGCGACAGAAAGGCUACGACGAAUAUCCAGGUGGUCUCCAUUACGAGCAUUAAAUCUGUUUUAUACACCAUUCCGCAGCCUACCCCUGGAGGGGGACAUGUUUAAUAGUCCCAUCCCUUGCUUAUCGCACUAUUUGUAUCAUUCUGCAUUCAUAGCAGUAUUUCUUGAAUAAACAAUGCAGCACCUUUUUGCUUAUAAUUGCAUUUCUUUCUUAUACAUAUGUUCAUUUAUGACAUGUUUCAUCCGUACACUUUGGUAUGGCUAAAUACACCAGGGGCUUAUGUUUCCCGCAUCAUGGUCUGAUAAGUCCGAACAGUUUCACAAGUGCGGCACCCCGAACUUAUAGCAUUAUCUGCAUCGGCUCCGAAUCAUGUCUUGGGUCAAUAGUUGGGUUUGCCCGGCUCCCAUGUUUUGGUACCUUACGUCCUGUUGUAUCGGCUAAGGUAGCACUAGGAGAACCACUGCGAUUGCGCCCCAGUUGAGCUGGGCGAGCGCCUCAGUGGAGAAAGCUAAAACUGACCGUCAUGAUGAGGCGAGAGCCGGUCGGUGUUCGAGAGGUCUUUUCGAGUCCCUAAAGACUUAUGCCGCGUAGAGCGAGGAACCAGCUUUGUCCGGCCCAGGCGUGGAUAGCGCCCCAAAUUCGGCCUUCCGAACACUAGGGGCUUCGCCGAAAUAUAAGAUUAUAGAAUUCUAUGGCUAAGUGAGAGUGUUCAAGCAUUAUAAGUCCGGUUUCCUUGUUCGUUGUGUUGAGCGCCUCCCUAGAUGGACCCAAAAAUGGGAACAAGAGUGCUCCAAUUUAUCCCGAACACCCCAGCACUCGUGGCAUGGGGGCCGAAGCCGACGACUUGCCAUCUCUUAGAUUUGAUAAAUGGCCGCACAGAAGGUAAUAUUUUAAAUUAACAAGCGUUGCUUAGCGCAUAUGAACAAAGUUUUCAGCACACAGGAUAACAAAAUGCGAGUCUACAUUACAUCUUUGGAGCACUCACCCGCAAUCAUGUGGGCACCCUUCAGGACACUCUUAUAAUACAUCUCGGGCAUGCGAUACUCCUUGCCCGGCGGUGGCGCGUCCGUCACAAGCUUCUCAGCAUCCAUCUUGCCCCAUUGCACCUUUGCGCGGGCAAGGGCCCGACGGGCACCUUCAAUACAGGCGGAGUGCUUGAUGACUUCAACCCACGGACACGCAUCCACCAGCCGCCGCACCAGGCCGAAGUAGCUCCCAGGCAUGGCCUCCUUGGACCACAACCGAACUAUGUGGCCCCUCAUGGCCUGUUCGGCCACCUUGUGGAGCUCGACCAGCUGCUUCAGCUGGUCGCUCAGGGGCACCGGAUGUCCGGCCUCAGCAUACUGAGACCAGAAGACCUUCUCCGUCGAGCUCCCCUCCUCGGCCCUAUAGAAAGCGGCAACAUCGGACACGCUGCGGGGAAGAUCUGCGAACGCUCCUGGAGAGCUCUGAAUUCGGGUAAGUAAUAGGUAAUUCACACUCACAUGCUUACUUUGCAUGAAAAAUGCCUUACCCGCCGCUAUUUUCUUCAAUGCCUCGAUUUCCUGGAGGGCCUUGUAGGCUUCGGCCUUAGUGGCUUUGGCACUCUCAAGAGCCGAUGCAAGCUCGCACUCUCGAGUCUUUGAGUCGCGCUCCAAACUCUCAUGCUUUUCCACGAGAGCCUGGAGCUCUUGCUGUACCUCCGCCACCCGCGCCUCCUGCUUCUCUCGCUCGGUGCGCUCCGCAGCCGCAUUGCGUUCGGCCGCGGACACCGCCUCAUUCAGGGUCGCCACCUCGUUUGUGGCACCUGCAAUAAUCACGUUAUCCUUGUCAUUCCUCUUGCAACCAAAUCCUUUUCUGUAAGGUACAAUUUUAAUAAGGUGUUACUCACCUUCCUUGUCCUCGAGCUGCUUCUUGGCACGACACUACUAGGAAAAGGGCUAUAGAUAGGACUGAUUCUAAUGGCGCACCAGGUAAGUAGUGCGCCAGUACUAUAUACUAAUGGCGCACCGGUUGCUCGUGCGCCAUUAGUGUGGAAGAUACUAAUGGCGCACCGUGCUCACGGUGCGCCACUACUACUGAUUUUUUCCCCAUUUUUCCAUACAAACUAAUGGCGCAUGGAUGGCAAAGUGCGCCAUUACUAGUUAGAACUAGUAAUGGCGCACGACCAAGACAGUGCGCCAUUAGUAUAUAAUUUUUUUUUUUACUUUUUUGCAAACCUACUAAUGGCGCACUAUGCCAAAGCCCAGUCGUGUUUAUACCCGAAGCCAAAUCCAAGACCGCGGGCGCAAACGUCACCGCGAAAAAUGAGCCAUGGGUACUGGCUUCCCAAGUGGACCAAUGCUUCUUCAUUACCGACCCGCCAAAGCCCAGUCGUGUUGUCGUGAGGAGAGGCAAAAGGAAGAUCAUCGGAAUGGAUUGUGAACAGAUAGCUAGCUAAGAUCGAUUGUAUUUAAAUCGUAGUCUUCAUUUCUCGAUUGUAUUUCAUGGGCACUUUUUGAUAUCAUGAAUAUUUUUAAAUUUCAUGGGCACUUUUUGAAUUCAUGAGGACAUUUGAUCUCGAUCCCCCUCCAUCUCGAUUUCGAUUCCCCCUCCAUCUCGAUCUCGAUCCCCGCACCCUCCCCCGCUCCACCGCCGCCGCCGAUGAUAUUUUCAAGUAAGAAAUUUGAACAUAUUUUUUAAAAAAUUAUUACUGUUUUUAUAAAAAAAAUAUUACUGUUAUGAUUUAAACAAGUUUGAACAUAUUUAAACACAAAUAAAUAUAAAAAACAGCAUUUAAAAUGCAUAAAAAUAAUAUUGGGGAGCCUGGGAAUCGAACCCAGGACCUCCUGGGUUGUGUGCUGCGUGCUGACCAGUCGGGCUAGUGGGUGGGUUCUAUUGUAGAUAGGGUUAGGUUGUAGAUAUGGUUAGUGGGCUAGAUUAAAACAAAAUUCUAAUGGCGCACCGAUGGUUGGUGCGCCAUUAGAAUAGUCAUACUUAUGGCGCACGACUGGACGGUGCGCCGUUAGAACCCUCCCCCUAGCUAUCCUCCCUCCCUUCGACCCUCUCUCCCUCGCCACCAGAUCCACCCGCGCGCCGCCCCGACCCACGCCGCCGCCGCCCCCGCGCCUCCGUCUCCGUCGCCGCCCCCAGUCAGCCCCUGCCCUGCCCCCCAUCACCGUCCGCUCCCAAUCCACCCCCUCCCUCGCCUUCACCGGACCCACCCACCCCCUCCCUCGCCUUCCCAGCCCUCGAGCUCCACCGUGCGAGGCGACAAGCAAGGCGGCGGGCAGAAUCUGCUUCAACACCGGGGCGGCGAGCCGCGGAACUAGGGCGCGACGGCGCUCGACCCCUCCACCCCCCUCCACCUCUUCUUCCUCGGGUCGCCGCUGUCUUCCUCAACUUCGGCCACCUCUGUUGCUACUAAGCUGUCGCUUGGCCUCCUUGCGCCUCCCCGGUGAGCUCCGCCUCCUCUCCCCUCUUCCUUCUCGCAAACACUCUGUUUGUCCAGCAAAUCAGCGAUAAUCCUGUUGAUUCCGGCUGUAGUAUUUCAAUCCAACAGUAGCGCCGAACGGCAGUGGCAUCAUUCUGGGGUAUAGUUAGGGCCAUGAUGGCACAAGCAUUUAAACAACUGAUACAAUAUUACAAAAAACAAUGCACAAUGAUUUUGCUAGUAGUUAAGCAAAGAGCAACUUUUCCCCAAGAAAACGAAGAGAAUUAGUUUGUAAAUACCACUGACAAAUGGAACACGCCGAUCAGCUAUCACUGCAAAUUUCCAACAUAUAUAUGACAUUUGAUGUUUGAGUUGUUAGUUUUUCCCAUUUCUCGUUCAGUCAAUUCAGCCAAAUGCUAAACCUUUAUACAGAGAGAUGGAAACAGAUGCUUCCUGUGUAGUAUAAUUUUUUUACUAGGUUGCCAGAAGAGGGGGGCUUACAGGUAAAACUACCGGGAAUUGUUAUGCACAAAUUGCUAGUGGUUGCUUGGCCACUCACUAAAACUAAUUUCACAUAACUAAAAUGAUAAAAAAGGAGAUGGUGGCAACCAGUUUAGAAAACAUUGUACUAGUGAGUGGUAACUAGUUUGAAGAAAAUUGUAAAUAAGAUUCUAAUUGUGAUAAUCCUGCUCACAUCCCCACUUGCAGCAGAGGCAGGCAAUGCCUCUAUAUGCUCUGUUUUACUGCCUAGCUAGAGCACAAACCUAGCCCCAGUUGUGUAUUCCCAAUUGCUAGUGGUCUAACUGAUGUUUCCCUAGUUGGGUGAGACUGACUUGGCUCUUUCUUUGAGGAGACAGAUCAAACAAGUGUUGUCAGUUUUUGUUUGAACUUCAAAGAGUGUUGUGACUAGGCUCUUAAUCAAAAGACUGCUGUCAUUUUUUGUUUGAACUUUGUUUGACUGGAGGAAAUUACUCUUAAAUGCUAGUCCUAUUCUGGUGGAGAUUUUUCUUGUCCUAAGUUACACUGAAGAUAUUUUUCUGAUAAUAUUAUAAAAACUGCCUAGUGUGUGUUCAACUUGUAUCUUCUAGCUUAAGUUUAACUUGUCCUGAGUUACACUCAAGUUAUAAUGUGUUUAACUAGUAAAAUUCAGUUAACAACAACAUCAGUAAAAUUCAGUUAAUUAACUGAAGAAGAGAAGAGAGAAAGUAGAGAGCAAGAGGAGAAUGUGUAACUACAAGGAUGAUUAUAGCAAUUAUUUGCAUAGCAAUUAUUUUCUUCACUUAGUCAUUGAUGGCCAUUCAGUAUGAAAUUACAACCUGCAGGUAUUUGUUGGAAUGUGUAACUACAAUUUACAGGGGAAAUGUUUGCAGUUAAGUUAUGUGGUUGGAAAGAUCAUGUGUCAUUAGAAACUUGGAAGCUAAAAACAUUGCGAUCCUCACCAUAAGGAUGAUUAUAUCUUCCAUGCCUAAAUAGCUCUGCCUAAAUAAUAAACAGAUAAAGGUAAAACUAAACCAUGCUCAGCGAUGAGAUGAUGUCAACUGACAACCAAAGCAAACUUGUUCAUCAUUACAAAAGCAAACUUGUUCAACAUAACAAAAGCAAAGUUGUUCAACAUAACAAAAGCAAACUUGUUCAACCACAUAACUACAAACUGAGACACAGUAGUAGGGGUCAUCCCAAUACCACAAACAACUCAAUAUCCCCAGUAGUAGGGGUCAUCCCAAUGAUCCUCCGCCUCUUGCCAGAGCUCGAAACCUUCUUUGGUGAUUUCGAUUUUCUUCCAUGCCUCGUAGGUGACGUACGCAUCUUUCGCGGCAUACUCGAUGAGCUUGUUUGGCAGUGGGCUGUCCCCCCAUAGUAGGUGGUCCGAAUUCCUGUCGAUCUUCUGCUUCAUUUUUGAGUAGGAUGGGUGGAUGAGGCUGGCUGCAAACUCAGCCAAAGACUGCCACUUCUUUCCAUUGUUUGGAACUCUCCAUUUGCGCUGCAAGUCGACGUACUUGUCGGGGUUGAUCUCCAAACCAGACAACUUCAGCUUCUCCUUGUCACCUCCAAUGCAGAAGCCCACAAAGGUGUACAGCUUCUUCUCCUGCAGGAGCGGGCGGAGUUCCUUGGGCCUGCAUCAAAAUAAUCUUUAGCAUUCAAAUUCAUCUACUUCAAAAACUUCAGAAACUACAGAAUUAAAAUGGGUUCAUUUGAAGCAAAAUUCAGUUAAAAUAGGAUCUUCAGUUCUGACCAAAAUUCAGUUAAAACGGUAUGAUCACAACAACUACUAAAUGAUCACAACAACUACAAGACAACAUUCUGUAUGAUCAAAACAGCAAGCAUAACAUCUCAAUGAUGUAUUUUUUUUUGCAAUCUUUUGCAUUACAAGACAACAUUCAAAAUAAUCUUUAGCAUUCAAAUUCAUCUACUUCAAAAACUUCAGAAACUACAGAAUUAAAAUGGGUUCAGUUGAAGCAAAAUUCAGUUAAAAUAGCAUCUUCAGUUCUGACCAAAAUUCAGUUAAAACAGUAUGAUCACAACAACUACUAAAUGAUCACAACAACUACAAGACAACAUUCUGUAUGAUCAAAACAGCAAGCAUAACAUCUCAAUGAUGUUUUUUUUGCAAUCUUUUGCAUUACAAGACAACAUGCAUAACAGCUACUAAAUGAUCACAAAAACUUGUAGACAACAUUCUGUAUGAUCACCAAAAAACUACUUCAGAACUGGAUGUUUUUACCAUUUGGUUUCCGCGGUGAUGUGGUAUACCAGGACGAGAUCCUCCAUGCAUAACUGCAGAACUGCAGCAAUUUGCGGAGGUUUGUCUUCCCUGGUAUACUCGACAUCAACGCUGAUAUUCCGAGAAAGCAUGCCGCCGAGCCUCCUCCUCAUCUUGCGGAUCAUCUUGUCGGCUUCGUCUGGAUUGCUGGUGCAUACGACAUCCAGCGGCUCCUUCAGGUGGAUAUCAACCUUGAGCGGCACGGUGUAGUCCCGCUUCUGCCCGGGGACCGGAACAUCGUCGUCGACCACUAGCGGCUCCUUGCCAGAUGCCUCACCACGGUGAUGCUUGGCAGACGAAGGGGAGUUGCUCCAUGAUGCCUCCGCCAUUCUCUUGGCAGACGGAGGGGAGUUGCUCCAUGAUUCCUCCGCCAUUGCCCUCCUGGCCAGCGAUGGUGGAGGCAGAGGGGAGUUGCUUGAUGCUGGAGGCAGAGGGAGGUAGAGGGAGGAAGAUGGAGCGGCAAUGGAAUGAGGAGGGAGGCAGAGGGAGGAAGAUGGAGCGGCAAUGGAAUAGGAGGGUAGUUACCUUGACGUGGGAAGAAAACCCCCUCUGCGUCGUGGGGAGUUGCCAGUGGAGGGGAGACGUGGGGAGUUGCCUCGAAAACUCAAACGUCUUGCCCUUUGGAGGGGAGACGUGGGCCCUUGAAAACUCUGGAGGGGAGACGUGGGGAGUUGCCUCGAAAACUCAAAUGUCCUGCCCUUUGUCCUGCGUUCAACUUCGCAGCUUUUCUGCUCUCUAUUUCUCUUCUUGUUCAGCGAUUACACAGCUAAUAGAAAACGAGAAACUAGGCCACUUCCGGGUCGUGAGCACUGCCAUCCCAGCGCUCCCCGCGCGUCACCCGCGAUGCCGCCAUGACCGUCUAGUUCGUGCCAUCCCAUGGUCGGGUCAGGGCCGCGGAGAAACCUAGUUCGUGCCAUCCCAUGGUCGGAUUAUUUGAAACUGAAAGCAAACUUCUCUGAUGAAACUGACAGAGACUGAAAACUACACCUAUAUCUGACGAAACUGAAGGUGUUCUUCAGCAGCUGAUUAAAAUUCAGUUAACAACAACAUCAGUAAAAUUCAGUUAAUUAACUGAAGAAGAGAAGAGAGAAAGUAGAGAGAAAGAGGAGUACUUGCAUUAACUGAAACGUUUUACUUUAAACUUGCAUGCAUUCUUUGCUUGUUUAUAUUCAUUCUUGUAAACUGAACAUGCUCAUCUAUCUAUCUAUCUAUCUAUCUACCUGCUUAAGUAUGUAUGUAUGCAUUGUAUUUUUAUUUCCUUUGGCAAGUAAAGUUUAUUUCCUGGCUGGCUGGCAUGAUGGCUCAUGGAUCCCUCAGCUGCAGCUAUAGUUGGAGCUCAAUCUGAUCUCAUCUGAAAUGAAUCUAUAAAUACAGAGUGUAGUUAGUUACAGAGUAGCAGAAAUAGUUGCUGGAUGCAGUUACUUGCAUGGGCCUGGCUGAUGAAGAAAAACUUUAUAUAUAUUCAUACUGAUGUUGACUCUAUAAGUCAUACUUAUUGGACAUGUUUUAUGUGUUGAUCCAUCAAUUGAUCACAUUGAGAAAGACCAUCGUGUCUCCGACCAUUUUGCAAAGGUCAUGUCUCCGACCAUCAUGUCGUGAUGCAUUUGCAGGUACCCCGAGAGGCCCUUGAGUUUGUCGGAAUGUUGAUUAACUUCCGUUCCGGCAAAUUCGGGUACUCCAUAUGUCCUAUUUUCAGCAAAGGUCAUGCUGAAAUUUUCCGUGAAUUUUAGCACGACUUUGCUAAAAAUAGGACAUAUGGGGUACUUGCGACUAAUGCAUGGGCCGGGGUAUCUUAGUACUUAGUUAAGUAGGAUCAACUGCCCCGCCAUUCUUGCUGCAUUAAACCAUAGGUGGCAAUAGAGGCAAGUGAUUAGGCCCAACUUAGAAUUCUCCUUAGCAUCGAUAAACCCUAGAUGAUAAACCCAACAUAGGUGGCAAUAGAGCCAAGUGAUUAGUGCCAAGUGAUUAGGCCCAACCUAGGGUGCCUCGGCAUCGAUAAACCCUAAAUGAUGAAAACUUAACUUGGCUGCCCCGGAUGCCUCGGUGUCGAUGAGAACCUAAAUGAUGUACGCUUAGGCUUUUAGGGUGCCUCGGCGUCGACAAACCCUAAACGAUGAAAGCUUAGGCUUUUAGGGUGCCUCGGUGUCGACAAACCCUAAAUGAUGAGACCAUGAUCUUGUUCCUUGACAAUAACCAACUUUUUGACCAAACUUUUUUCCUAUUUAGAGCGAAACAUGGCCCACAACGAUGAGGCCGGUGGUUCGGGCGGCAAGCAAUUCUGGGAGCUGUCCCAGGAGAUGGAGGAACAACCUCACCGCUAUGAGGACGCCGCGGAAGACACCGAUCCUGAUUACACAACCCCUAGUGGCGUCGGGGAUGACACCACUGAUGGUGCCGCCGAGGAUGCCACCACUGAUGAUGGCGGCGCACACACUGAUGAUGGUAGUUUAGAUGAUCGAUAUCGACUUGUAAUGUGAAGACAAACUCGAUACUCGCGGUCUUGAGACUUGUAAUCUUUUAUCUUUGUUCGGUCUUUUGAAUUCGGAGACUAAUAUGAUGAAUUGUAUUCGGAGACUAAUCUUCUAUUGUAUUCGAUGAACUGAUGUUGCUGUGUGCUGCUGUCUAUAUUCUGUCCAAUAAUAUAUUUUGUAACCUGUGCACAAAUCAAAAAAGCAAAAAAAAACAAAUAUUCAUACUAAUGGCGCAUCAAGGCAGAGUGCGCCAUUAGUAUGCCAAAGGAUACUAAUGGAGCAUCAAGGAAGAGUGCGCCAUUAGUGUGACAAAGCACAUGGUUACAUAUGGCCCCCCCGGGAGGCAUACUAAUGGUGCAUGGAGUUACAUACUAAUGGCGCACUGCCAGGUGCGCCAUUAGUAUACCAGAUGCUAAUGGCGCACCAGUGGUGCGCCAUUAGUAAAAAAUUCUAAUGGCGUGCUACUAAUGGCGCACCGGUAGUGCGCCAUUAGUAGGCAAAACCGAUGCGCCAUUAGUAGGCCUUUUCCUAGUAGUGCGGCCGAGCUCGUUCUCGGACCGCUCGAGGCUUCGCUUCAAAGUAUUGACCUUCGUAGUCAGUGCGGCAGAGGACAGCAGCACAGCCUGCAAUCCCAUAUUGACAUAUUUUUUAUGACUCCUGCGUAUAUCUUUUUAGAUCCUCAGUCCGGCUUUUCUUUCCGAACACCGAACCGAGCAUCAGGGGCUACUGUCUAUGCGGUACUAUUUUACAUAUAUCAAAAUUCUUACCUCAAAGCCUGUUAGAAGGCUGCUGCAGGCUUCGGUCAGCCCGCUCUUGGCGAGCUGAACAUUCUGAAUCACCGCACUCAUAACGAUGCGGUGUUCCUCUCUGAUGGAAGCGCCGUUGAGCGCCUCCAUCAAGCUAUCCGGCGCCUCCGGUUGGACGGAGGCCGCCGGUGUCACAGUCUUGCCCUUCUUACGAAGGGGUCGCCCGCCGGACUCCGGAGCCACUACAGGUUCCGGUAAAGAGUCCGGUGCAAAGUCCGGGAGGUUGCGCUGCGGCACCUCCGGGGCCUCCUCCUCCUGGCGGGUCCCUUCCCGGGAUCCCACCUCGGCAUCGUCCGUAUCACGGGGGGUGGAGGCGGUCGGAAGGGAAUCCAUAUCCGACGCACCCAAGGACCCGCUCGACGAAGCGGGAAGAUCAUCCUUGGGCGGACUGCAGGGUUGUAUGUGGCAUUAGAAAGACACCAUGUGGCAAAAAGAAAAAUCAUGAAGUUAUUCGGUAGUCCGGAUACUUACGAUCUCGCCAGGGGCUUGGCCCUAGGAGGCCAAUCCUCGUCGUCGUCGCCGGCGUUGGCAGAACAGUCCGGGGGAAGAGUCCUUCCCUUCUUGGACCCUUCGGCCUCCCUCGUUGGGGAGGCCUUCCUUUUCUUCCCUCCCCCCACUGGGGGAGAGGCCUCUUUCUUCUCCUCCUCACCUUCGUGGGAGGAGUCCGCCUCGGAGUUAUCGUCCGAUGACACCUGAAAACGGGAACUCUUUCGAGUACCCGUGGCCUUCUUCUUGGCCUUCUUCUCCGGCACCACAUGGGGUGCCGGAACCAGCAGCCCCGUUAAACGGGCGUCCGCUGGGUCUUCUGGCAAAGGGGCCAGACAGUUAGUCUGCUCGGCCUUCUUGAGCCAGUCUUGUCAAAGGAGAGGGAGUUUAGAUCCCGCAUAGAAUCAGAUAUGGAAAACAAGUGUCCCGUAAAGGGUAAAAUCGCUUACCUCGCUAGCCGGACGCUGCGAGCUGAAUCCGCGAUCUUCGGUAGCGGAUGCAGGAGCCUCGGCGCCCUUAAACAGCACCCUCCAGGCCUCUUCGUACGUAGUGUCGAAGAGCCCGCUCAAAGUCUGGUGCUGUGCCGGAUCGAACUCCCACAUAUUGAAGUCCCGUUGUUGGCACGGGAGAAUCCGGCGGAUGAGAAUGACCUGGACUACGUUGACAAGCUUGAGCUUCUUGUUCACUAGCUUUUGUAUGCAGGCUUGAAGUCCGGUCAGCUCCUCCAAAUCACCCCAUGUCCGGCCACUCUCUUUCCAGGAGGUGAGCUGUAUGGGGAUGCCAGAUCUGAAUUUGGGGGCCGCUGCCUAUUCAGGGACACGCGGCUCGGUGAUGUAGAACCACCCCGAUUGCCACCCCUUAAUGGUUUCCACGAAGGUGCCCUCGAGCCAGGUAGCAUUGGGCAUCUUGCCCACCAUGGCGCCUCCGCACUCCGCUUGGCUGCCCUUCACAACCUUCGGCUUAAAACUGAAGGUCUUGAGCCACAAGCCGAAGUGGGGCGGGAUGCAGAGGAAGGCCUCACACACGACGAUAAACGCCGAGAUGUUGAGGAUAAAAUUCGGGGCCAGAUCAUGGAAAUCCAGGCCGUAGUAGAACAUGAGCCCCCGGACAAAGGGAUGGAGUGGGAAGCCCAGUCCGCAGAGGAAGUGGGAAAGGAAUACUACCCUCUCAUGGGGCCUGGGGGUGGGGAUGAGCUCCCCCUCGUCGGGGAGCUGGUGCGCGAUGUCGCUGGACAGAUAUCCGGCGCUGCGCAGCUUCUGGAUGUGCCCCUCCGUGACGGAGGAGGCCAUCCACUUGCCUCCCGGUCCGGAAAUGGUUGGAGAAGGUUGAGGUGAGAUGUGCGGACUUGGGCGCUGGAGCUCGAGUUCGCGGAGAUGGAUAAGCAAAGGAGGAAGAAGGCGCAGGUAAAAGGGUAGAUCUUUAUCCCCUUAUAUGGGCGGACGAAACCAUGCGUCCCCACCGGCCUGAUAAAACUCGCUUAUCUCCCAAACGCCGCAAUCAAGGGUGCGGUUGGGUUACCCACGUCCGUAUUGAUGGGAAUCCCGGAAUAAGGGGAACACGAUCUCUGCUUCGACAAGACGUGCCAAGAAAACCGCCUCGCUAAAUGCGCAGAGGUGGUAUAAUAAAAACGAUUCGAGUAAAGGCUUGGUUACGGUGUGAUGUCAUGCCACGAAGUACGUCAGCAGAUUGAACUUGUGUAAAUAUUAUUCUCUCUACGGUGGUAUGUGGAAUUUAUUUUGCAGAGCCGGACACUAUCCUGGUGUUCACAAUCUUCUAUAAAUUAUUCGGAGGGGGAACCUGCCUUGCAAUGCCGAAGACAAUAUGCGCGCCGGACUCGUCGUCAUUGAAGCCUGGUUCAGGGGCUACUGAGGGAGUCCCGGACUAGGGGGUGUCCGGAUAGCCGAACUAUCAUCAUCGGCCGGACUCCAAGACUAUGAAGAUACAAGAUUGAAGACUUUGUCUCGUGUCCGGAUGGGACUUUCCUUGGCGUGGAAGGCAAGCUUGGCCAUACGGAUAUGUAGAUCUCCUACCAUUGUAACCGACUCUGUGUAACCCUAGCCCUCUCCGGUGUCUAUAUAAACCGGAUGGUCUUAGUCCAUAGGACGAACAACAAUCAUACCAUAGGCUAGCUUCUAGGGUUUAGCCUCCUUGAUCUCGUGGUAGAUCUACUCUUAUAAUACACCCAUCAUCAAUAUCAAUCAAGCAGGACGUAGGGUUUUACCUCCAUUAAGAGGGCCCGAACCUGGGUAAAACAUCGUGUCCCUUGUCUCCUGUUACCAUCCGCCUAGACGCACAGUUCGGGACCCCCUACCCGAGAUCCGUCGGUUUUGACACCGACACCCAACCUCUCCCUCUAUCCUUGCUAGAUAAAGGCAUGGGAGACGUCACCGGGCUGCACGUGUGUUGAACGCGGAGGUGCCGUCCGUUCGGCACUAGGAUCUCCGGUGAUUUGGAUCACGACGAGUACGACUCCUUCAACCCCGUUCUCUUGAAUGCUUCCGCUUAGCAAUCUACAAAGGUAUGUAGAUGCACUCCCCUUCCCCUCGUUGCUAGAUUACUCCAUAGAUUGAUCUUGGUGAUGCGUAGAAAAUUUUGAAUUUCUGCUACGUUCCCCAACAGGAACAUCGGUAUCAAAUCCCCUUUAAUAAUAUGCCAGCACCUUAUAUAGAACUACGCCGGAGAUCCAUCCGGCCCUGGAGCUUUGUUAUUCUUCAUCUGUGCAAUAGCAUCAAACACCUCUUUCUCCGAAAAUGGGGCAGUCAAAAUAUCAUUCUCGUCCGCAGCAAGUUGAGGAACAUCCUCAAUUCUCGACUCAACCAAGGAUACGAAACUAUCCUCCAGAGGCCCCAACAGCUGCUUGUAGUACUCGAUUAUGUAUAAUUUUAGGUUUUCCUGUCCUAAAAUCGUUCCUUCUUCUUGCUCAAGCUGAAAGAUUCUUUUGUUUAUGUGCUUGCCAUUGGCGAUCAUGUGAAAGAAUUGAGUGUUAGCAUUCCCCUAGACAACUUUGUGAACCUUAGCUCGCAAUGCCCACUUCAAUUCCUCCUCUUGCAGGAGUUCUUUCAAUCUCAUCUCCAUGUCUACUUUAGCAUGAAACUCCAUGGUCUCUAGAAUUGUGGACUCGAAUUUUAAAUCUAGGGAUUGAAUAAGUGUAAGGAGACUUUCCUUUUCAACCUUAUAAAUCCCACUAAGAUACUUAGCCCACCCACGUAAGAAACUUCUCAAGUGCCUUAUCUUAUUCUGCCAUCUUUCAACAGAAGUCCUACCUCCUGCAUCUUUAGCUCAUUCCCUGGCUAUCAGAUACAAGAAGCCUUCUCUUUCAAACCACGCCAAUUCGAAAGAGAAGGUAUUUUUAUUCCCCACAUGUGUUGCCGCACCAGAGUCAACGAGCAAAGGGGUGUGGUCAGAGAUUCCGCGCGAUAGCGCUUGGACUGUUACCAGGGGAAUUUCUGCUCCAAUUCGACACUCGCGAGGACUCGGUCCAGCUUCUCAAACGUCGGGUUUAGCAAAGUAUUAGCGCAUGUAAAUUUUCUACCCGAAAUCUCUAUCUCUCUCAGAUCCAAAAUUUCAAUAAUGGUAUUAAACAUAAACGACCACCUGUUUUCAAAGUUAUCAUUGUUCUUUUCCUCUCCCCUUCUAAUAAUGUUAAAGUCGCCCCCAACCAAGAUUGGAAGCUACUCAGAACCGCAAAUUCGGACAAGAUCUGCCAAAAAAUCUGGUUUGAGUUCUGGCUGUGCGGCACCAUUUACCGCCACCAGUGCCCAAUUGAACCCAUCGUCCUUCGAUCUAACCCGAAACUUAACUGCGAAAUCUCCCAUCACCACGCUUCUGACUUCCAGCAACUCGCAUCUAACCCCAAGUAAGAUCCCUCCUGAUCUUCCUCUCGGAGGUAGGCAGUGCCAAUCAAAAUCGACACCUCCCGAUAAAGUACUUAGAAACUGAGGAGAGAAAUUGUCUCUACCAGUUUCCGAGAGGGUGAUAAAGUCCAACCUAAGCUCGAUGGAAGCAUCCGCUAGUAAGUUCUUUUAGCCAAGUCUGUCAGACCUCUGCUAUUCCAAAAGAUUCUGUAUCUGUGUACAGCUAGCUAGGUUGUUUAGGUAUCGAGGUGGGCUCCUCGGCGUCUCUUUGGACGCCUCAUCGAUCUCGGUGGCUUCCUUGGACAGCAUUGCUGUGGCGAUGGCGCUGAUGCUAUGGUGGGUUCUUUUCCUCCGGCUUGUCCUUCGUCUUGAUGGUGCUUCCUUCAGCGCCAUCGUCAAGCUUGUAAGGGUAUCUCCAACGUUGGCCCUCAAAUCACUCGUAAUAAUUUGGACCAUGCGGGUCCGUACAUGUUUUGCCAUCCAACGUGGUUAUGUGUCGAUCCACUGAGCGGUUCGGACAUGCUUUCCUCCCGUAAACCGAAGACGAAGUGGAGGGGGGUGGCUUUGCGGGCGUCUGGAUCGCUGUCAGGUCUACUCAUGACUAACCUAGCCUACCCAAAACCAUCCACCCGUCGCCAGUUGUCCGCGUUCAUGUUGUUGUAGAGCGGCCACUAUGCGUUGACGUCGGCCCAGAGCGGACGCGACAUCUCACCGCCGGUAUUGAAUCGGCACGCCGGCCGAGAGGGCGUUGCGCACGACGCGUCACCGGUGUUUGCGUUGUUCAAUGCUGGAGUGGAGUUUACUGGACGGCAUGGGAUGGAUAUCUACCACACCCAUUCAAAGCCUGCCUGCCCGUAUGCCGCCAUUAAGCAGGCUCACCGACCGAGGAACCAACUCCUAUGCCGGCGCUCCAGCAAGCGCAGGAGUAGCAGCGGUAUAUCCUUUUGUUCUUCGAGCAGCACCGGCUGGCUGAGGGCCAAAUCUACGGCGAGCGCGCAAGCGAGGAGGCCGUGGCUGCCAUGGUAGCGGCGAAUCAGAACUUCAUUGCAGAGCAGCGGGCGGCCUACAAGGCCCCGCGUGCUCAAUGCGCCACUCGUAAUGAAGUGGCGACGCAUCUAGACGCGGAAGCGACAACACACACAGGUGCUGGCAGCGCUGGUGGCUGAGGACGAGAACACCGCUGUCUAACUUUUGGAGCCGCAUGUGGCAGGUGGAUAGUGACGGCCCGUCCAUGUCCAUCAUCAACCUCACAUCCACCAGCACCGGUAACGGGCAGGCCACGGACUGCUCCGAGGAUGAGUAAGGCAUGGGAGGCGGCAGGGCCUGGUGUCCCAUGUGGACUGGUCCGUCUCCCAUGUCCUACUUUUUUCCUUGCCGGAGACUGCACCUUCACUUCAUUGGUCUUCAACCCCACUGAUGCUCAUGGAGAUGGCAGAUGGAGGACGUGGUCACCGAUGCAGAAUACAAAGGAAGAGGAAGUUGGGCCCCGCCGUAGGAUAGGUUUAGGUUCGAGCUCUUUUUAAUGAAAAAUGUCCGAAUUGUAGUGAAUGUGCUCUGAUCUAUAUGAAAAUUAGCUCGUUUGCAUAAAUUAUGUCCUGUGUGUCUAAACCAAUGUUUGAAUUGUAUGCGGGCAUCGUUGGAUGGCCGGCUCCCACAUCCAUGUCCGUGAACUGGUCCCUCCUGUCCAUGGAUGGAUGCGGCAGCAAAUUUGUGUGUCAACGUUGAAGAUGCCCUAAGGUGGUUUAGGUUUGGUGGCUCUGGAACUUUUAUCCCUUAGCUCGUCUGCAAGGGACAGGAGGUCUGGUGUGCGACUUCUCACUGGUGUGCUGAUCCUUCAAGAUCUAAGCUUUGAAGACUUCCCGUGUCCAGAUCAAUAGUCAGGUCGGCUCCUGAGGAAGCGGCGGUGACAACGGGGGUCAAAUUCACUGUUUUGAACUUUUUUUGUUAGUUUAGCACGAUCUGACCCUAUGUGCAAAAAAAUCCACAUCUGACCCUUUUCCUACCGUCAUCGUCUAUGGCGGUAGGGUAACACACCCUACCGCCAAGGUCUUUGGCGGUUGGACUUACCUGCAUCGUUACCUUCAUUUUAUACAAAAAGGACCCUACCGCCACAGUCUAUGGCGGUAGGAUGUGUUACCCUACCGCCAUAGACUAUGGCGGUUGGGUCCUUUUUGUAAAAAAUGAAUCUUUUAUUUGCAUGCAUGCCCUUUUUAUAAUUACGUGCAUGCCCCUACCGCCAAAUACCGUGGCGGUAGGGUCCUUUUCACACCGAACAGACGUGACGGCGUAAGUAAGUCCUACCGCCAAAGGCCUUGGCGGUAGGGUGUGUUACCCUACUGCCAUAGACAAUGGCGGUAGGAAAAGGGUCAGAUCCGGAAAACUUUCGCACAUAGGGUCAGAUCCAGAAAACUUUCACACAUGGGGUCAGAUCAUGCUUAAGUUAAGAAAAAGGGUCAAAACAGUGAAUUUGGCCGCGGGCAGUGCACAUUCAUGUCACAGUGAUGUAUGGUUGGUUGGAUCCCUAAGGACUUGGUUGUAAUUUAUUUAUUUUGUGUGGUUCUUUGUAACACUGCUUGUCUUUAAUAUAAUCUAGGUCACUUUCGUAAAAAAAAUGGCAAUAUUUCUUGGUCUAAAAGGGGGUAGAAUAUAUCUCUACUCCUAUAUGUAACAUCCCAAAAUUCUAAAUUUUGGAAUGUUAUAUUAAAUAAAUAACUAUGCUUGUUGUUUGAUUGUUUGUUGGAUUGAUUGAGUGAAAUUGAGUGAAAUUUGAAACUUUUUGAAAGUUGAAUGAGAGGGAAUGGAAUGACUUUCCCAAACUUCCCUUUGCCCCUUUUUGGAUCUCAAUGAAUUCAAUUUCAUUCCAACACAAAACCCUAGAGUGAAGAUGACAUGACUUCUUCCAUUUGAAAUGAAAAGGGUUUUGAAGAGAUUUGAAUUUCAUUUGAAAAUAUUACAAAUUCAGAGCUUUAUACAACUCAAUGAUUCUCAUGAGAGAAGAUAAAAUGACUUCUUCAAUUAUAUGAAAUAUGAGUUGGAAGUUAUAAAGAAUCAAAUUGAAAGUCAUUUGAAAGUAUUUUGAAACUCCCUUUCAAAUUUGGAAUUAUUUGGAUUUUAUUCAAAUUAUUUUUCUCCUAAAAAUGAAUAAAUGGAAAUUAGGGUAAAAUGAUUCCCUUCAAUGGAAAAUUAGGAGAAAAUAAAUUUGAAAUAAUUUUGGUAUUUUAAAAAUGAUUUUUGUUGGGUUUUAUUGCAACAGCAACACUAUUUGAGUUUUGUAAAUUUUUGAGAAUUUUAUUUGAACUUGAAAAAUAGUUCAUGUUGUAGGAAAUCUUUCUUUGAAAAUUUUCAUAUAUAUAUAUGUCCUAUAUAAAAAAUAUAUAUUUAAUACAUUUACUCUCUCUCUCUCUAAUUCAAAAAAAAAACAGGAAAAGAAACCUCAGGCGCCAGCCAGGCCAACCGGCCCAGCCAGCGCCGAGGCGGCCCAGCCAGCGGGCCAGGCCAACCGACCCAGCCGCGCCNNNNNNNNNNNNNNNNNNNNNNNNNNNNNNNNNNNNNNNNNNNNNNNNNNNNNNNNNNNNNNNNNNNNNNNNNNNNNNNNNNNNNNNNNNNNNNNNNNNNNNNNNNNNNNNNNNNNNNNNNNNNNNNNNNNNNNNNNNNNNNNNNNNNNNNNNNNNNNNNNNNNNNNNNNNNNNNNCGCCGCACCAUUGCCCCUGUUCCGGUCGCCCGGAACCCCCCCGAGCUCCACCGACCCCACCCCCGAGCUCCCCUUGCUCCGCCGCACCCGCCGGAGGUCUCCGCCGUCGUCCCCGACCACCGGAGCCACCGCACCGUCGCCGCCCGAGCCGCCGUCGCCGUCGACCACCGCGGUGAGUCACCGGAGAUCCCCGCUACCGUCCGAUCUAGGAUCUACGCGUUAGAUUAGAAGUAGCGAAGGGGUAUGUUUUUUUAAUAAACCUGGUUUAGUUACGGUUUUUAUUUAGGUUUAGUUAGACCGGCCCGACUCGGUUUAUUUCCCUGGUGCGUUUUAGUUAUUUAACGCCCGAGCGUUAGAUAGGCCCAUUAGCGCCAGUUUUCUUUUUAAUUACAUUUUCGUUUCUGUUUUUUUUACAGAAUAGUUUCAGUUUUGUAAAAUCCAUAUCUUUUAAUCUACUUAAUAUUUUUAGUUGAUUCUUUUUUUGUUAGUUUGCAAAUUUGUUGUAGUUUCUGUAGAAAAUAUGUUUAGUCAUGUUAAAAUUAUUAGAAAUUGUUUUAUUUUAGUUUCAGACAGAUUAGUAAUUCUGCUAUAAAAUGAGUUAGGAUUAUUUUAUUUUAGUGAUUCUUUUUGUCACUAUUUUAUUUUGACCUUGCCUAACCGUAGGAAUUUAUUUGGGUAUUUUAGAUUUAAUAAAAAAAUAGUUUUAAUCAAAAUCAUGUGGUUCUUAUUUAUUUAACUAGCUACUGUUUUCCUAUUGUUUUAUUUAGUAAAUAAUUUUAUUUUUCCUAGGUUAUAGUUUAUUUUAGAUUAGUUUCUGUAGUUAUAGAGAGUGAACUUUUAGUUACAGAAAAAUAAAAUGUUUUCUUUCUUUUUCUUACUAGUUUUGUUUUAAGCAUAAUUAGAGCUUUAAUUUAGCUUUUAUGGAUUUUCUUUUGCUAGUAAAACUUUAUGAAAAAUACUUUCUGUUAACUUAGUUGAUUUAAAUUUUACUUUCUUCUAAAAUUAUUAGUUUAGUAUUUUCUUUGUUAAGUUUUACUUAGGAUAAAACUAUUUUUUUUGUUAUGUCCUAGAGUUUUCUUUAGUAGCUUCAUCGUGUAGUUUUCCUUUGUUUUAUUUGGUGUCCCUUGUUAUUUUGCAUUUUAUUUGUUGGUUUUAUUAUGAGUGUUAGGAUUGCUUGCUAGUGUGAUUGCUUAUAUGAAUGCUAUGUUGGACUAUAUAGAUUUUCAACGGAGUGACGAAUAGUUCUACCAAGCUAUUUUCGAGAGCAUUAUUAUCUUCAUCAACUUACCAGGCAAGUUCACUUUGACCAUGUUUUCAUACCUAUGCGUUUUAUUGCAUCUAGUGUCAUCUUCGCAACAAUCCCUCCAGUAGUGACAUUGAAUCCUUGUAGUUGAGUAGUAUGCAUGAGGUAGGAACCCAUCACCCUGUUACCAAGCCCGGGACAUUAUUUAUUUUAAUGCUACGCUACAGUAGACGGGGUUGGUAUGAGUGCUCGGGAGUGGUGUGAGAAUGGAGGAUCUACGUCAAUGACGACAACUCCAUGAUGGAAUCUGCAAGGACUGCAUCUUCAAGGCCUCAAGACUUCAAGACUCGAGACAAGAAUUCAAUACACACUACUGGGUGAAGGACGGUUGACGGGCACCCUGGAGAAUCCAGUGGUUGGCCGGGAUGCAUGGAGAAGCGCCAUGACAUCUUGCGGAAAGCUUCACCCAGACUCAAAGAGACGGAAGAAUACUUCAUGCCCGGAAGCUUACCUGUGCAACCGCAAGUCAAUAUGGGCUCUGGCUUGGUUGACCUUAGUUGUGACUCUGGCUGGGACGGUGCUAGCAGAUGUAGAACUACGGUAGGAUUGGAUGAGCACCGGACAGUGGUCAGAGGAACUCUUCGGAAGACCAUGUUUCGAUCAUCUUGUUCUCAAACACUCUGAAGUGCGAGAACGUAAAAAGAGGGAUCGAAUCUUGCGGGUAAAGUGUACAAACCUCUGCAGAGGGUUAAAACCUAAUCGAUUAGCCGUGUCCCCGGUUACGGACAAUUUGAGCAUCUGGACUUGGAUCUAUCUCGGAACUCUCAACACCGGAUUGAUAACUUAAUUGUGGGCAACUUAUGAUGAUUUUGGGCUAUGAGACAUCGGUUGGCGGAACCAUGUCAUGAUAGAAAACUCCAUAGUAAAGACUUCAUUUAUUCCUUUGAUGUAGGGAAAAAUAAAACCAGCUUUUACGCAAACAAAACUCAGACACAGAGCCACAAAGCCAUAUUGCGUAUAGUAUAGUUUUAUCAUCUGUUUUCUCAUGUUGUGAUCUUGCCGGUACAUUCCAUGUACUGACCUACACGGCUGCAACGUAUCAUGUUGCAGAUACUUUCUUCCGACGAGUAAGAAUACGGUACAGGGUUACGGUCUACACUCAACCUGCCGAUGGCGUUGUUGGGACUCCACACCCGACUAUUUGUUUCCGCUGUGACUUAUGAGGUAUAUAUCAGUUUUACGUUAAUUAUACAUGUGAUUGCACUUUGAUAUAUACAUUGAUGUACUGUGUGUGCCAGCAUACUGAUCCAGGGAUGGCACAGAAACACAGAGGCUUGACCGUCUGAGGUCGAGUCGCUACAGAAAUGGUAUCAGAGCACAUGUUGACUGUAGGACGUGACCCUAGGAAAUGACUUAGUAAUAUGAAGACCCCAACCGGAACGACCUUUGUUUUUGUUACUACUCUCGUAACACCUGAUUCCUUUUACUGAACCUUCCUUAUUUCAAACUAUAGAUGGAGAGCUACAUUCUGAACAAAAGAGAACACUACGAGAAGGUUCAUGGAGGCCCCUUCCUUGUGGAGCUAGUCAGGCUGCUGAGGUUACCGAUACCUGAGAUCAAGGCAACUAAGAGGACGUCUAGAUCAUGGGGAGUCAAGACCCAAGUUUUUGGUCGUGAAGAAGACCCCAAGACUGCAGACAUCAGCUUCGGAACUAUAAAUGGUGACUGUGAUAUGGGCAUCAACACUGCCGUCCAUGAUGCUAUUGCACGUUUAUGCUAUCGUCAUCGUGCUGCACUAAACCCACACUUCUUUGAAAGGAUUGGAUGGCAGAAGUUUGAUGGAGCAACUAUUGCCUUGACGGAAGCGCAAAAGAUGAAGUUCUCCCCACUUUUAGUGUACAAUCAGGAUCUGGAACAAUACGUCAAGAAUCUUCAGAUGGACCUCCUGGAAGCCCUGUUUGACAAUGAAGCACUACGAGAAGAGGUCAAGACUCAGAGACUGAAGGUAAACAAGCUGGAGGAGGAGAACCUCGAGAUCUCGAGAAUGCGUCAGGAACUGAAAAGCAGCAGCACCAUGUCUCAUGCCAAGGACGUUGAGAUCCAGAAGCUCAAGGAACAACUCCAGGACAUACAGGGUCAUCACAAGAAACUCCGCGUCGACAGGGAAAAUCUAGCAGAAAAAUUGGAGGAGAUCAAGUCCACACAGAAGAAGCCCCAGUGGGGACAAUGAUCAAGUUCCCGGUAAAUUAGCUUAGUAGUAGCCCACCAUGAGAGAAAUAAAGAUGAACGCUUUCUCGAUUUAAGUAUCUGACCAUACCAACUUAUGUGGGUGGCGAUACUAUAGAAUUGAUUGAAUAAAUGAAUGCUUGGUUGCUAUUAUUUUAUGUGUUUAUUGAAUGGUUGGAUAGAUGCGAUAUUCGUAGGCUUGUUAUGUCAACCUUGAGAGACGUAAGUUACGGAAGAAUGGUAGAAGGCCUUCAUAUGGGAAAAGCAUCAGGAAUUGGAAACUCCCGAGCAUUGAAGACCUGAAGAAAUGAGGACUUAGAAACGAAACCAUAGUAGAACGGCCCAUUACAAACGGUACUUUUGAGCUAGGAUUCUUUUGUUGAUGGGUGGGGAUUUGCUUUCUCUUUCUAUCUCAACCAAACCCUGAAAUCUUGAACCCAUGGGCAACUGAACACCAAACUUUUCUGGAGACAAUUGCAAUUUCCCCAUGGAGAUACAUUCCUUGUUCUGAGCUCCCCUCUUAUCCUACACAUGCAGAUGACAACCCUGUAUGAGUCUUUCCUUAAGGGUCCGGAAACGAUCAUGACCCUGACAAGUGAUCAUGAUUACCCGAAGAUCCUGAAGGACAUGAUGAAGCAUAUUCACCUUGAAGGAGAUGCAGUCUACAAAGGCUACCCCUUCAUGCAAAAGGGAGUGGAACUUUGGUAUGUGGAGGUACACCCCCACCGUAUGAAAGGAGUUUGCCCAAAGACGAUGGGGCAGUACUUUUUCAUCUCACGUGUACCACAAGCAACUUUCUUCGACGUUGUUCGUGAAGCAGCCAUUGAAGCCAUACGCCAGAUCGGAGAAAUACUCGAAGCAAGACUUCGUUAUACUCAGGAAUACCUAAGAGAAGUGCAUGCAGAGAUGAUGGAGAUGAAGCUCAAGGCCACCACGAUGAAACAGAAGAUUGAAGAUUUCAAGGCGCAUGUCGCACAAUUCCAGUGGGACUGAAGAAUCCUCAAGGAGGAAAAAUGAAUAAAGUUGGGAGUAAUGUCUGACCAUACCGAACCAUGUGGGUGGCAGCAUUUGUAAUAAACUUUUUGUAAUUUGGAUUUACGAAAAAUGGUUAAGGAUAUAAUAAAAGAUUGAUAUGAAAAUAAUGGGAUUUAUGGAUAAACCAGUGCAUUUUGGUGUGGUAGUACUCCGUAAAGCCACAGGAUCAAUGAAGAAAGAAAUGUGUUAUUCAUGACGGUCCAUAGAAGGAAGCUGGACAAAAUAAGUUGGAGUUUUGUAUGACCGUCACCACAAGGGUAUGAAGGAAGAAGUACUAUUGGAUUUACAGGAGGUGUAAUGUUGGAAAAUGGAGCAAUUGUAACUCCAAGGAUGAGUGAAAGUGGUACAGGUGUUGAAGUGGGCUCAUAACCCACGGGCCCAGGAAUUAAUAAGGGUCAAGUUCCCGCUAGAAGAAGAAACUUUGGGAAGACUGCAAUUUGAUCAGCAGAUGUUUCGUAGGAGGUUACGCAAAAACCCGAGAGUUGUGAAGAAACGAUAGAUGUUUUGUUUGGCUUGCAGAAACCAUGGAUUUAUUCGAACUCAGUUCUUCGACAAGGGAAAUUCUGCAAUGCUUGUGAGUAUGACCAAGUGUUAGAGUACGUGAUUCAAUGUCUGCAUAGUUAGUAAUGGUUCAAGUACGGGAUGGAUUGGCCCCCAUACCGGAGACUUCUAUCAUGAACUAUCAUAUGUAGAUGGAAAAUCAGAGAGCCUUGAAAACCUUAGAAGAGUGUCGACACGUCAAGCCAUAAAACCAUAGAAUGGUAGGACGAUGGAACCCUUGUACAAGGCAGCUUUUGCCAACCGUAGGUUAUACGGUGAGGUUCAACCCAGACCCGUUUUCUGCAGGAGAAACCAUAAAUUGUUGACCACCAUGAGAUAUCGAUAGUUGUUUAUAAUUGGCACCAGACCCGUCAGCUAUGAAGACCCAGUCUCGGAAUAACCUUACCAAGAGGAAUGGACAAAGGAAUUGAGGAAAAGGUUUUGCCACUAUCGGAAGAGCCCAGAGAAGGAAUUAUCUUACAAUCUGAGAAGACCGACACUGUCAACGAUAAGGAUGGAGUAUAUGAGUUUUGAUGGAACCGUAACAAUGCUUCUAAGGGUGGUAGCACCCCAGACCCCUUGUGAUGAUUGAUGGAAUUUGAAGACCCCAAACCCUAACCUAUUUCUUUCUAGCCUCUCCGAAUCUCGAGGGCGAGAUUCAUUUUAAGUGUGGUAGAUUUGUAACAUCCCAAAAUUCUAAAUUUUGGAAUGUUAUAUUAAAUAAAUAACUAUGCUUGUUGUUUGAUUGUUUGUUGGAUUGAUUGAGUGAAAUUGAGUGAAAUUUGAAACUUUUUGAAAGUUGAAUGAGAGGGAAUGAAAUGACUUUCCCAAACUUCCCUUUGCCCCUUUUUGGAUCUCAAUGAAUUCAGUUUCAUUCCAACACAAAACCCUAGAGUGAAGAUGACAUGACUUCUUCCAUUUGAAAUGAAAAGGGUUUUGAAGAGAUUUGAAUUUUAUUUGAAAAUAUUUCAAAUUCAGAGCUUUAUGCAACUCAAUGAUUCUCAUGAGAGAAGAUAAAAUGACUUCUUCAAUUAUAUGAAAUAUGAGUUGGAAGUUAUAAAGAAUCAAAUUGAAAGUCAUUUGAAAGUAUUUUGAAACUCCCUUUCAAAUUUGGAAUUAUUUGGAUAUUAUUCAAAUUAUUUUUCUCCUAAAAAUGAAUAAAUGGAAAUUAGGAUAAAAUGAUUCCCUUCAAUGGAAAAUUAGGAGAAAAGAAAUUUGAAAUAAUUUUGGUAUUUUAAAAAUGAUUUUUGUUGGGUUUUAUUGCAACAGCAACACUAUUUGAGUUUUGUAAAUUUUUGAGAAUUUUAUUUGAACUUGAAAAAUAGUUCAUGUUGUAGGAAAUCUUUUUCUGAAAAUUUUGAUAUAUAUAUAUAUAUAUAUGUCCUAUAUAAAAUAUAUAUAUUUAAUAUAUUUACUCUCUCUCUCUAAUUCAAAAAAAAAUAGGAAAAGAAACCUCAGGCGCCAGCCAGGCCAACUGGCCCAGCCAGCGCCGAGGCGGCCCAGCCAGCGGGCCAGGCCAACCGACCGAGCCGCGCCCGAGCCGAAAUGCCUCCCCCUCGGUCGCCCGACCCGACCCCCUCCUCUCUCUCCCGCUGACGCCCCGGACCCACCUCUCCCUUUCCCCUCGCCCACGCCAACCCGCAACGCCACCGCGCCGCCGCCGCCGGAAUCCCGAACUUCUCGGGAUCGCUUCCNNNNNNNNNNNNNNNNNNNNNNNNNNNNNNNNNNNNNNNNNNNNNNNNNNNNNNNNNNNNNNNNNNNNNNNNNNNNNNNNNNNNNNNNNNNNNNNNNNNNNNNNNNNNNNNNNNNNNNNNNNNNNNNNNNNNNNNNNNNNNNNNNNNNNNNNNNNNNNNNNNNNNCCCGCCGAGCUCCACCGACCCCACCCCCGAGCUCCCCUUGCUCCGCCGCACCCGCCGGAGGUCUCCGCCGUCGUCCCCGACCACCGGAGCCAUCGCACCGUCGCCGCCCGAGCCGCCGUCGCUGUCGACCACCGCGGUGAGUCACCGGAGAUCCCCGCCACCGUCCGAUCUAAGAUCUACGCGUUAGAUUAGAAGUAGCGAAGGGGUAUGUUUUUUUUAAUAAACCCGGUUUAGUUACGGUUUUUAUUUAGGUUUAGUUAGACCGGCCCGACUCGGUUUAUUUCCCUGGUGCGUUUUAGUUAUUUAACGCCCAAGCGUUAGAUAGGCCCAUUAGCGCCAGUUUUUCUUUUUAAUUACAUUUUCGUUUCUGUUUUUUUACAGAAUAGUUUCAGUUUUGUAAAAUCCAUAUCUUUUAAUCUACUUAAUAUUUUUAGUUGAUUCUUUUUUUGUUAGUUUGCAAAAUUGUUGUAGUUUCUGUAGAAAAUAUGUUUAGUCAUGUUAAAAUUAUUAGAAAUUGUUUUAUUUUAGUUUUAGACAGAUUAGUAAUUCUGCUAUAAAAUGAGUUAGGAUUAUUUUAUUUUAGUGAUUCUUUUUGUCACUAUUUUAUUUUGACCUUGCCUAACCGUAGGAAUUUAUUUGGGUAUUUUAGAUUUAAUAAAAAAAAUAGUUUUAAUCAAAAUCAUGUGGUUCUUAUUUAUUUAACUAGCUACUGUUUUCCUAUUGUUUUAUUUAGUAAAUAAUUUUAUUUUUCCUAGAUUAUAGUUUAUUUUAGAUUAGUUUCUGUAGUUAUAGAGAGUGAACUUUUAGUUACAGAAAAAUAAAAUGUUUUCUUUCUUUUUCUUACUAGUUUUGUUUUAAGCAUAAUUAGAGCUUUAAUUGAGCUUUUAUGGAUUUUCUUUUGCUUGUAAAACUUUAUGAAAAAUACUUUCUGUUAACUUAGUUGAUUUAAAUUUUACUUUCUUCUAAAAUUAUUAGUUUAGUAUUUCCUUUGUUAAGUUUUACUUAGGAUAAAACUAUUUUUUUUGUUAUGUCCUAGAGUUUUCUUUAGUAGCUUCAUCGUGUAGUUUUCCUUUGUUUUAUUUGGUGUCCCUUGUUAUUUUGCAUUUUAUUUGUUGGUUUUAUUAUGAGUGUUAGGAUUGCUUGCUAGUGUGAUUGCUUAUAUGAAUGCUAUGUUGGACUAUAUAGAUUUUCAACGGAGUGACGAAUAGUUCUACCAAGCUAUUUUCGACAGCGUUAUAAUCUUCAUCAACUUACCAGGCAAGUUCACUUUGACCAUGUUUUCAUACCUAUGUGUUUUAUUGCAUCUAGUGUCAUCUUCGCAACAAUCCCUCCAGUAGUGACAUUGAAUCCUUGUAGUUGAGUAGUAUGCAUGAGGUAGGAACCCAUCACCCUGUUACCAAGCCCGGGACGUUAUUUAUUUUAAUGCUACGCUAUAGUAGACGGGGUUGGUAUGAGUGCUCGGGAGUGGUGUGAGAAUGGAGGAUCUACGUCAAUGACGACAACUCCAUGAUGGAAUCUGCAAGGAAUGCAUCUUCAAGGCCUCAAGACUUCAAGACUCGAGACAAGAAUUCAAUACACACUACUGGGUGAAGGACGGUUGACGGGCACCCUGGAGAAUCCAGUGGUUGGCCGGGAUGCAUGGAGAAGCGCCAUGACAUCUUGCGGAAAGCUUCACCCAGACUCAAAGAGACGGAAGAAUACUUCAUGCCCGGAAGCUUACCUGUGCAACCGCAAGUCAAUAUGGGCUCUGGCUUGGUUGACCUUAGUUGUGACUCUGGCUGGGACGGUGCUAGCAGAUGUAGAACUACGGUAGGAUUGGAUGAGCACCGGACAGUGGUCAGAGGAACUCUUCGGAAGACCAUGUUUCGGUCAUCUUGUUCUCAAACACUCUGAAGUGCGAGAACGUAAAAAGAGGGAUCGAAUCUUGCGGGUAAAGUGUACAAACCUCUGCAGAGGGUUAAAACCUAAUCGAUUAGCCGUGUCCCCGGUUACGGACAAUUUGAGCAUCUGGACUUGGAUCUAUCUCGGAACUCUCAACACCGGAUUGAUAACUUAAUUGUGGGCAACUUAUGAUGAUUUUGGGCUAUGAGACAUCGGUUGGCGGAACCAUGUCAUGAUAGAAAACUCCAUAGUAAAGACUUCAUUUAUUCCUUUGAUGUAGGGAAAAAUAAAACCAGCUUUUACGCAAACAAAACUCAGACACAGAGCCACAAAGCCAUAUUGCGUAUAGUAUAGUUUUAUCAUAUGUUUUCUCAUGUUGUGAUCUUGCCGGUACAUUCCAUGUACUGACCUACACGGCUGCAACGUAUCAUGUUGCAGAUACUUUCUUCCGACGAGUAAGAAUACGGUACAGGGUUACGGUCUACACUCAACCUGCCGAUGGCGUUGUUUGGACUCCACACCCGACUAUUUGUUUCCGCUGUGACUUAUGAGGUAUAUAUCAGUUUUACGUUAAUUAUACAUGUGAUUGCACUUUGAUAUAUACAUUGAUGUACUGUGUGUGCCAGCAUACUGAUCCAGGGAUGGCACAGAAACACAGAGGCUUGACCGUCUGAGGUCGAGUCGCUACAGAAAUGGUAUCAGAGCACAUGUUGACUGUAGGACGUGACCCUAGGAAAUGACUUAGUAAUAUGAAGACCCCAACCGGAACGACCUUUGUUUUUGUUACUACUCUCGUAACACCUGAUUCCUUUUACUGAACCUUCCUUAUUUCAAACUAUAGAUGGAGAGCUACAUUCUGAACAAAAGAGAACACUACGAGAAGGUUCUUGGAGGCCCCUUCCUUGUGGAGCUAGUCAGGCUGCUGAGGUUACCGAUACCUGAGAUCAAGGCAACUAAGAGGACGUCUAGAUCAUGGGGAGUCAAGACCCAAGUUUUUGGUCGUGAAGAAGACCCCAAGACUGCAGACAUCAGCUUCGGAACUAUAAAUGGUGACUGUGAUAUGGGCAUCAACACUGCCGUCCAUGAUGCUAUUGCACGUUUAUGCUAUCGUCAUCGUGCUGCACUAAACCCACACUUCUUUGAAAGGAUUGGAUGGCAGAAGUUUGAUGGAGCAACUAUUGCCUUGACGGAAGCGCAAAAGAUGAAGUUCUCGCCACUUUUAGUGUACAAUCAGGAUCUGGAACAAUACGUCAAGAAUCUUCAGAUGGACCUCCUGGAAGCCCUGUUUGACAAUGAAGCACUACGAGAAGAGGUCAAGACUCAGAGACUGAAGGUAAACAAGCUGGAGGAGGAGAACCUCGAGAUCUUGAGAAUGCGUCAGGAACUGAAAAGCAGCAGCACCAUGUCUCAUGCCAAGGACGUUGAGAUCCAGAAGCUCAAGGAACAACUCCAGGACAUACAGGGUCGUCACAAGAAACUCCGCGUCGACAGGGAAAAUCUAGCAGAAAAAUUGGAGGAGAUCAAGUCCACACAGAAGAAGCCCCAGUGGGGACAAUGAUCAAGUUCCCGGUAAAUUAGCUUAGUAGUAGCCCACCAUGAGAGAAAUAAAGAUGAACGCUUUCUCGAUUUAAGUAUCUGAACAUACCAACUUAUGUGGGUGGCGAUACUAUAGAAUUGAUUGAAUAAAUGAAUGCUUGGUUGCUAUUAUUUUAUGUGUUUAUUGAAUGGUUGGAUAGAUGCGAUAUUCGUAGGCUUGUUAUGUCAACCUUGAGAGACGUAAGUUACGGAAGAAUGGUAGAAGGCCUUCAUAUGGGAAAAGCAUCAGGAAUUGGAAACUCCCGAGCAUUGAAGACCUGAAGAAAUGAGGACUUAGAAACGAAACCAUAGUAGAACGGCCCAUUACAAACGGUACUUUUGAGCUAGGAUUCUUUUGUUGAUGGGUGGGGAUUUGCUUUCUCUUUCUAUCUCAACCAAACCCUGAAAUCUUGAACCCAUGGGCAACUGAACACCAAACUUUUCUGGAGACAAUUGCAAUUUCCCCAUGGAGAUACAUUCCUUGUUCUGAGCUCCCCUCUUAUCCUACACAUGCAGAUGACAACCCUGUAUGAGUCUUUCCUUAAGGGUCCGGAAACGAUCAUGACCCUGACAAGUGAUCAUGAUUACCCGAAGAUCCUGAAGGACAUGAUGAAGCAUAUUCACCUUGAAGGAGAUGCAGUCUACAAAGGCUACCCCUUCAUGCAAAAGGGAGUGGAACUUUGGUAUGUGGAGGUACACCCCCACCGUAUGAAAGGAGUUUGCCCAAAGACGAUGGGGCAGUACUUUUUCAUCUCACGUGUACCACAAGCAACUUUCUUCGACGCUGUUCGUGAAGCAGCCAUUGAAGCCAUACGCCAGAUCGGAGAAAUACUCGAAGCAAGACUUCGUUAUACUCAGGAAUACCUAAGAGAAGUGCAUGUAGAGAUUAUGGAGAUGAAGCUCAAGGCCACCACGAUGAAACAGAAGAUUGAAGAUUUCAAGGCGCAUGUCGCACAAUUCCAGUGGGACUGAAGAAUCCUCAAGGAGGAAAAAUGAAUAAAGUUGGGAGUAAUGUCUGACCAUACCGAACCAUGUGGGUGGCAGCAUUUGUAAUAAACUUUUUGUAAUUUGGAUUUACGAAAAAUGGUUAAGGAUGUAAUAAAAGAUUGAUAUGAAAAUAAUGGGAUUUAUGGAUAAACCAGUGCAUUUUGGUGUGGUAGUACUCCGUAAAGCCACAGGAUCAAUGAAGAAAGAAAUGUGUUAUUCAUGACGGUCCAUAGAAGGAAGCUGGACAAAAUAAGUUGGAGUUUUGUAUGACCGUCACCACAAGGGUAUGAAGGAAGAAGUACUAUUGGAUUUACAGGAGGUGUAAUGUUGGAAAAUGGAGCAAUUGUAACUCCAAGGAUGAGUGAAAGUGGUACAGGUGUUGAAGUGGGCUCAUAACCCACGGGCCCAGGAAUUAAUAAGGGUCAAGUUCCCGCUGGAAGAAGAAACUUUGGGAAGACUGCAAUUUGAUCAGCAGAUGUUUCGUAGGAGGUUACGCAAAAACCCGAGAGUUGUGAAGAAACGAUAGAUGUUUUGUUUGGCUUGCAGAAACCAUGGAUUUAUUCGAACUCAGUUCUUCGACAAGGGAAAUUCUGCAAUGCUUGUGAGUAUGACCAAGUGUUAGAGUACGUGAUUCAAUGUCUGCAUAGUUAGUAAUGGUUCAAGUACGGGAUGGAUUGGCCCCCAUACCGGAGACUUCUAUCAUGAACUAUCAUAUGUAGAUGGAAAAUCAGAGAGCCUUGAAAACCUUAGAAGAGUGUCGACACGUCAAGCCAUAAAACCAUAGAAUGGUAGGACGAUGGAACCCUUGUACAAGGCAGCUUUUGCCAACCGUAGGUUAUACGGUGAGGUUCAACCCAGACCCGUUUUCUGCAGGAGAAACCAUAAAUUGUUGACCACCAUGAGAUAUCGAUAGUUGUUUAUAAUUGGCACCAGACCCGUCAGCUAUGAAGACCCAGUCUCGGAAUAACCUUACCAAGAGGAAUGGACAAAGGAAUUGAGGAAAAGGUUUUGCCACUAUCGGAAGAGCCCAGAGAAGGAAUUAUCUUACAAUCUGAGAAGACCGACACUGUCAACGAUAAGGAUGGAGUAUAUGAGUUUUGAUGGAACCGUAACAAUGCUUCUAAGGGUGGUAGCACCCCAGACCCCUUGUGAUGAUNNNNNNNNNNNNNNNNNNNNNNNNNNNNNNNNNNNNNNNNNNNNNNNNNNNNNNNNNNNNNNNNNNNNNNNNNNNNNNNNNNNNNNNNNNNNNNNNNNNNNNNNNNNNNNNNNNNNNNNNNNNNNNNNNNNNNNNNNNNNNNNNNNNNNNNNNNNNNNNNNNNNNNNNNNNNNNNNNNNNNNNNNNNNNNNNNNNNNNNNNNNNNNNNNNNNNNNNNNNNNNNNNNNNNNNNNNNNNNNNNNNNNNNNNNNNNNNNNNNNNNNNNNNNNNNNNNNNNNNNNNNNNNNNNNNNNNNNNNNNNNNNNNNNNNNNNNNNNNNNNNNNNNNNNNNNNNNNNNNNNNNNNNNNNNNNNNNNNNNNNNNNNNNNNNNNNNNNNNNNNNNNNNNNNNNNNNNNNNNNNNNNNNNNNNNNNNNNNNNNNNNNNNNNNNNNNNNNNNNNNNNNNNNNNNNNNNNNNNNNNNNNNNNNNNNNNNNNNNNNNNNNNNNNNNNNNNNNNNNNNNNNNNNNNNNNNNNNNNNNNNNNNNNNNNNNNNNNNNNNNNNNNNNNNNNNNNNNNNNNNNNNNNNNNNNNNNNNNNNNNNNNNNNNNNNNNNNNNNNNNNNNNNNNNNNNNNNNNNNNNNNNNNNNNNNNNNNNNNNNNNNNNNNNNNNNNNNNNNNNNNNNNNNNNNNNNNNNNNNNNNNNNNNNNNNNNNNNNNNNNNNNNNNNNNNNNNNNNNNNNNNNNNNNNNNNNNNNNNNNNNNNNNNNNNNNNNNNNNNNNNNNNNNNNNNNNNNNNNNNNNNNNNNNNNNNNNNNNNNNNNNNNNNNNNNNNNNNNNNNNNNNNNNNNNNNNNNNNNNNNNNNNNNNNNNNNNNNNNNNNNNNNNNNNNNNNNNNNNNNNNNNNNNNNNNNNNNNNNNNNNNNNNNNNNNNNNNNNNNNNNNNNNNNNNNNNNNNNNNNNNNNNNNNNNNNNNNNNNNNNNNNNNNNNNNNNNNNNNNNNNNNNNNNNNNNNNNNNNNNNNNNNNNNNNNNNNNNNNNNNNNNNNNNNNNNNNNNNNNNNNNNNNNNNNNNNNNNNNNNNNNNNNNNNNNNNNNNNNNNNNNNNNNNNNNNNNNNNNNNNNNNNNNNNNNNNNNNNNNNNNNNNNNNNNNNNNNNNNNNNNNNNNNNNNNNNNNNNNNNNNNNNNNNNNNNNNNNNNNNNNNNNNNNNNNNNNNNNNNNNNNNNNNNNNNNNNNNNNNNNNNNNNNNNNNNNNNNNNNNNNNNNNNNNNNNNNNNNNNNNNNNNNNNNNNNNNNNNNNNNAGCGUUAGAUAGGCCCAUUAGCGCCAGUUUUUCUUUUUAAUUACAUUUUCGUUUCUGUUUUUUUACAGAAUAGUUUCAGUUUUGUAAAAUCCAUAUCUUUUAAUCUACUUAAUAUUUUUAGUUGAUUCUUUUUUUGUUAGUUUGCAAAAUUGUUGUAGUUUCUGUAGAAAAUAUGUUUAGUCAUGUUAAAAUUAUUAGAAAUUGUUUUAUUUUAGUUUUAGACAGAUUAGUAAUUCUGCUAUAAAAUGAGUUAGGAUUAUUUUAUUUUAGUGAUUCUUUUUGUCACUAUUUUAUUUUGACCUUGCCUAACCGUAGGAAUUUAUUUGGGUAUUUUAGAUUUAAUAAAAAAAAUAGUUUUAAUCAAAAUCAUGUGGUUCUUAUUUAUUUAACUAGCUACUGUUUUCCUAUUGUUUUAUUUAGUAAAUAAUUUUAUUUUUCCUAGGUUAUAGUUUAUUUUAGAUUAGUUUCUGUAGUUAUAGAGAGUGAACUUUUAGUUACAUAAAAAUAAAAUGUUUUCUUUCUUUUUCUUACUAGUUUUGUUUUAAGCAUAAUUAGAGCUUUAAUUGAGCUUUUAUGGAUUUUCUUUUGCUAGUAAAACUUUAUGAAAAAUACUUUAUGUUAACUUAGUUGAUUUAAAUUUUACUUUCUUCUAAAAUUAUUAGUUUAGUAUUUCCUUUGUUAAGUUUUACUUAGGAUAAAACUAUUUUUUUUGUUAUGUCCUAGAGUUUUCUUUAGUAGCUUCAUCGUGUAGUUUUCCUUUGUUUUAUUUGGUGUCCCUUGUUAUUUUGCAUUUUAUUUGUUGGUUUUAUUAUGAGUGUUAGGAUUGCUUGCUAGUGUGAUUGCUUAUAUGAAUGCUAUGUUGGACUAUAUAGAUUUUCAACGGAGUGAUGAAUAGUUCUACCAAGCUAUUUUCGACAGCGUUAUAAUCUUCAUCAACUUACCAGGCAAGUUCACUUUGACCAUGUUUUCAUACCUAUGUGUUUUAUUGCAUCUAGUGUCAUCUUCGCAACAAUCCCUCCAGUAGUGACAUUGAAUCCUUGUAGUUGAGUAGUAUGCAUGAGGUAGGAACCCAUCACCCUGUUACCAAGCCCGGGACGUUAUUUAUUUUAAUGCUACGCUAUAGUAGACGGGGUUGGUAUGAGUGCUCGGGAGUGGUGUGAGAAUGGAGGAUCUACGUCAAUGACGACAACUCCAUGAUGGAAUCUGCAAGGAAUGCAUCUUCAAGGCCUCAAGACUUCAAGACUCGAGACAAGAAUUCAAUACACACUACUGGGUGAAGGACGGUUGACGGGCACCCUGGAGAAUCCAGUGGUUGGCCGGGAUGCAUGGAGAAGCGCCAUGACAUCUUGCGGAAAGCUUCACCCAGACUCAAAGAGACGGAAGAAUACUUCAUGCCCGGAAGCUUACCUGUGCAACCGCAAGUCAAUAUGGGCUCUGGCUUGGUUGACCUUAGUUGUGACUCUGGCUGGGACGGUGCUAGCAGAUGUAGAACUACGGUAGGAUUGGAUGAGCACCGGACAGUGGUCAGAGGAACUCUUCGGAAGACCAUGUUUCGGUCAUCUUGUUCUCAAACACUCUGAAGUGCGAGAACGUAAAAAGAGGGAUCGAAUCUUGCGGGUAAAGUGUACAAACCUCUGCAGAGGGUUAAAACCUAAUCGAUUAGCCGUGUCCCCGGUUACGGACAAUUUGAGCAUCUGGACUUGGAUCUAUCUCGGAACUCUCAACACCGGAUUGAUAACUUAAUUGUGGGCAACUUAUGAUGAUUUUGGGCUAUGAGACAUCGGUUGGCGGAACCAUGUCAUGAUAGAAAACUCCAUAGUAAAGACUUCAUUUAUUCCUUUGAUGUAGGGAAAAAUAAAAUCAGCUUUUACGCAAACAAAACUCAGACACAGAGCCACAAAGCCAUAUUGCGUAUAGUAUAGUUUUAUCAUCUGUUUUCUCAUGUUGUGAUCUUGCCGGUACAUUCCAUGUACUGACCUACACGGCUGCAACGUAUCAUGUUGCAGAUACUUUCUUCCGACGAGUAAGAAUACGGUACAGGUUUACGGUCUACACUCAACCUGCCGAUGGCGUUGUUGGGACUCCACACCCGACUAUUUGUUUCCGCUGUGACUUAUGAGGUAUAUAUCAGUUUUACGUUAAUUAUACAUGUGAUUGCACUUUGAUAUAUACAUUGAUGUACUGUGUGUGCCAGCAUACUGAUCCAGGGAUGGCACAGAAACACAGAGGCUUGACCGACUGAGGUCGGGUCGCUACACUAUAUAAGACUCAGUUGGUGAUGAUGGUGUGUCUACCAUCUGUCAUUUCUAACUAUCAGAUCUGCAUCUAACGACUAUGAUGUAAGUUAUGAUAUUUUUGCAAUAAGACCCCGCUUCUCUGCUCCAAUUUGCAGAAACCACUUAGUAUCUUGAAACCAACCACAUCCAUCCCCCGCCUCAUCAAAACAUCCACGAGGAAUAUGUAUUGAGUGAAACCUAAUAUGAGUAUAUUUUUAGUGAUAUAUACCAAAAUUGGAGCGUUUUUCUUUCAAGUUUGUGAACAUGUAUUAUUCUACUUUGAAUCCGUUGCAACGCACGGGAACAUUGCUAGUAUUUUUUAGACCGGGUAGUAUCAUUCUACUCAUUUUUUAGGAGAUUUUUUAUUUUUAUCUGAUAAAGAAGCGGUUCUCCUCCGAUUUCAUUUAAUUGAAACCAUCGAUCUUUUAGGAGAUCUUAUACUUAGUUAAAUGACAUCGAAACCAUAGGUAUUAGGUUGUAGAUGGCAAACUCCACAUUGUCAGGAAGGCGUCUUGCAUAUGUGUAUUCACACAAAUCCUAUAUGCCUAAAAGACUGAUUACCAUUACUUUUAAUUAUCUUAACAUGCAUGCUUCCAUGUCAUUGAAAUUGUUGUAGCCGUUAGAUUUACUAGCUAGAACCACUAGCACAUGUCCGAUCUACGACUCCUCUACCAUGCGACGUGCAUUAGUGGACUCUAAAUGGGUUUUAAAUCACAUUAGAUUAAAUUCUCACACAACACACUACAUAUUGUUCCUAGCCAUGCUACAUCAGCAUGCCAUGCAUGUAAGUUAGAAGUUGCAUUUUUUUUUACACUAGCAUAUCCAUGCAACAUUGCCACAUCAUCAGUUCAUGCAUGCAUAUAAGUAAUUAGUUAAAAAUUUUGCUUACAUUUUGUGCUCUAAUAGACACGGUAUAUGUGUUGGCCACUUGUAGCAUACCAAUAUAGUUUAUCCUUCACUUUAUUAGAAACAACACUCUUUUUCUUUAUUGCUAAAUCUUAACAACCCACUACCUAUUUUUCUAGCCAUACAACCAUAUCACAUCAACAAGCCAUGCAUGUCAAUUAUACGUUAUAUUGUAUAUUCAUGCAACACUAUCAUGCUACUUUGCCACCGAGAUAACCUGUAAGGGCGAGCAGAAGUGGCUCGGCACUUUCGACAUGCUGGAGCUCACUGCGCAUGCGUACGCGUUUGCAUGAAGGUAUGGCCGGCCCCGUUCUGAACUCAACUCUCUAGAUGUUGAGUCGGCCGAGGAAACACAUAUUGUCUCAAUUAACCGUCAACUCUCAUCUAUAUAUGACGUGGCUGGAUUUCCCGCAAGGACUCAAAUCCCUUUCAAAACAUCAAGUUCUAACCUAAUUCGGAGGACGGCUCGGAGGCUCCAGGCUGCAACAUGUAUAGAAUAGCUCUCUUGCACCAGCUGUGCAAAUUGCAUAUGAUGUCAGAUCUAGAAUUUUAGACGACUCUUACAGCAAACUUGUUUCUUCGACGAGCCGAACAACUUUUAUGUUCAAUGCAAUUCCAUCUGAAGCCGAACAACUAUUAUGUUUAAUACAAUUCCAUCUGAAGUCAUCUUAGGGUGCAUUUGUCUGAGCAAAUGAGUAUUUUUUUGUUUGCAGGGUUACUUAAAUAUAUAUUGUCCUUGAUUGAUUCGCUCUUCUUUUACCAUGUCCCUGUUUGAUCCAAGGAUGUUUUACUCCUAUUUGGUCACUGUCGGUUCAAUAUCCGGCGUAUCUCGUAGUAGGGGUCCUAAGCUAGGCGUCUUGAAGCGAUGGUAACAUGGACACGGGAUUUUACCCAAGUUCGGACCCUCUUGAUGGAGGUAAAACCCUACGUCCUGCUUUUGAUUGUAUUCAUAUGGGGUGUAGUACAGAGUAUAUGUAUCUACCAUGAGAUGAUAGUAAUGAAUAUGAGAUUAUCUAUUGACUAGCCUGGCCUCGGUUUAUAUAAGACACCGGAGGCCUAGGGUUUAGGAGAGUCCUUGUCUUGGGCGCCAAGUCUUGUGGAGUCUUCCUUGUAUGCGGCAGGGGUUGUCCGAACUAGCCCAUGAGGAUACGGCCAUGGGGGUCCUCGGCCCAGUCCAACUGACCGGGAGAUGACGUGGUGAGUACCCCCUAGUCCAGGACACCGUCAGUAGCCCCCUGAACCGGUCUUCAAGUUGGGGACGCUCCUCGAUUCUUCGGAACUAUUCUUCAUCUUCGGUCGUCGGUCUUGAAAACUGGUUCAACAAAUCUUCUCAUCUUCAAUCUUGAGGAUCGCCGAAGUGCAUCCGAAGAGUUUACACGUCGGGUAUCCGAGGAGCCCCUUUAAGUUUUCUGCCUUUAUCAAUGCCUUGUUAUUUUUAUGCCACAUCUCGGGUUUGGAGUUGUUCCCGGGCGGCAGUGUCCUCUUGCAUCCGAGCUCCAACGCCGGACUGCAUUCGAGGUAUCUUUUGCAGCCGAGCACCAACGCCGGACCGCUUCCGAGCUCCAACGCCGGAAUGUAUCCGAGCUGCACCGCCGGCAUGUAUCUGAGCUCUACCGCCGGACUAUGUCCAAGCUCCAACGCCGGACUAUAUCCAAGGUGUCAUAGAUCACCUUGGUUCAAAAAAGUUGAAGGAUUUUAGCCGAGCUUAAUGCCGGAAAUACCCUCUACGGAGCCAGCCACUAGCGUCCGAGCUUCAUGCCGGACUGCUUCCGGGGUGUCUAUUGUAGUCGAGCACCAACGCCGGACUGUAUCCGAGGUGGUGCACCACCUCGUCCAUGGGUUGAUUUUUAUGAAUUUAAUUCCGAAUUAUGCAAUGUAAUCUCUACCGAGAUGUAUAGCCAGUAGCCCUCAAGGUGCAUGUUGGCCUAAUAUCCGGGAUGCACCUGAAGGAAAAAAUCAAACCGCUGACCCUAGUAGCCCCUGAGACCCAGGCUGAUUCAUAAAAUCAGCCUGAGGAUCAAUUCCCAGCUCGGCAGCAUACUUAGGAAUAGAAACGCGGUGUGCAAAGUCCUCGAGACUCAGGUUGGGUAUGGCCGACCAACCUGAGGAUAAUAAUCUCCUCGAAAACUAUAUUACACUUUAAAUUUUCUGCAUUGGAUUGUCAAUGCAGUAGCCCCUGAGACACUGGUCGGGUGGCAACACCAGAUCGGGGGAUCGAUGUACCCCUUUAAUAUUUAUAAAUGAUAAGCACGAAGCCCAGUAGCCCCCGAGCCUUAAUGUGGGCACGGGUGGUCGAAUUAAGGAUCGAUGUUCGAAGUAAAAUUUUAAAUUAUGUGUAAUGAUUCUACGUACCCAAGUACUCUAAAUUAUUAAUACUCAAAUCCGCAUUGUACAAAACUUUGUUGACCGACCAUCGGCUUCAACUUCCUCGGCCAGUAGCCGCGGAGUGUUUGUCUCGCUUUAUAAAGCCUUGACAAGGGCAAAGAUUUACGACAAACAAGACAAUCCGGACAUACAGUUUUAUAAACAAAGGUACGUGGAGAGAUAUGUUAUAUUACUUUAUAAUGUAAGAAACAUCUUUCAAAGAAAAUAAUCCCGCUAUCGGUUUCUUUCUUUGGGUUGUCAUGUCAACCAUGAUCUUGAAACCACGCCUCAAAUCAAUGCAGGAGAAAAUAUUGAGGAUUUAGUUCGGGGAAAGUUCCCAAACUCUAUGGUAUUAAUGAACCAAAAUUUUCACUUCCGUCAUCGCCGACCAAUGCGAUACUUUAAGAUUGCUAGCUUUCGGCUUCACCCAGUCCGAGGUACUAACUCGAAUGACCCGGCAGUAACAGGCACAGAGGUGCUCCCUUUACGACCUAGCCGAACAAUCGGGAACGUAGGAGUAAGCACAGGAGCCAGGGAACCCAGCUUGGCCAAAAUCUUAAGUCAAAUUGAUGCAUAUUUAUGGCUUUAUAACAAUGAUUACGGAAGGCAGCCCUUAUAUAUAUAUAUAUUAAAUAAUGACACUUAUUAUAAAACAUCUCAUAUAAAUUUAAGAGCCCCCAAGUGACUUGGGUACAAGAAUUUUAUGUCUAAUGAUUGUAUAUACCGAAGUACUUGUAUCAUAUCUUUGUUCACCCGUCCUAACCGACCGUCGGCUUCUCCCUCUUCGCUCAAGGGCCGAAAAGUGUUAUGUACUCCACUUGUCGAGAAUAUCGACGGUGCUUCCGAUAACCAGGCAUUCAGGCCAUAAGGCUGUAACAGACAAAGCGUGCUCAGGGAACUUAUGCUAUAUUACUGACGAAGUGUAAGAAGCAUCUUCGAAGAAAAUAGUACCCCCACCGAUACCUUUCUUCGAUUGCUCAUUAUUACUGUGAGACUUGUGCAGUAGAUUUUUUGUACUCAUGAGUUCCGUGUGCCGACCAUUAUUGAAAACAGUAAGAGCGCUAUCUUUCGGAUUCACCCAGUCUAAGGUCCGGCUCGGAUGACCCGAUCAUGACAAUCGCAGAGGUGCUCCCUUUACUCCCUAGCCGAACAAUCGGGAAUGUAGGGGUAAACACAGGAACAAGGCAACUCAUCUUGCAAAUCGCUUAAGUCAACAUGGUGCAUAUUGUGGCAUAAUACACGAACAAGGAAUGAAGUCGUACAAGUAUAAUUAUAUGCAAGAGGAAAGGCUCCAUAAAGGAAGCCCCCGGUUAAACGGGGUAUUUGAAUUUGUGUGUCACAAACAAGGUUUUGACAAGGAAGUUUUUCACAAGCAACUUUUUGCCAAAAAAGUAUAAUGCUUGGUCGAACCGAACAAAAUUUAAAACUGAAAGUUUUUGAGCAUGAGAGCGACUUACCUAGUUAAUGUGUUCGGCAUUAAUGAAGCGGUCCGAGCUUGAUGCGCGAUAAGGUUCCAGCAUGCCCACCUGCGCCGCACUGCGUGGGCAGUACGGGCUGCACGCUCGCCUCUGCCGGGUCGUCGUCGCCUGUAGCAAGUCUGAUAACUGUGCCACCACUAGGAUCUUUAUGGCACACAUGGUAGUUCAGAAUCCGGCGAUCCACCAGGCGGCGGAUACGGUCGCGGCCACUAAAAGAAUUCUCGAUCCGGUCUGACUGCAGACAAAUAGCACGACACGCUAGCGACGACUUUGCAAGAGAGAAAAUUUACAUGCAAAAGAUCCGACUGGAAUAAUAUCACCUAAUCGUUGAUCUAGAAUCCCAUCGCGCCAUGAUGAUCACCUAACAGGCUCUCAAUGAAAGCACCAAUGUCGGUUCAAUAUCCGGCGUAUCUCAUAGUAGGGGUCCUAAGCUAGGCGUCUUGAAGCGAUGGUAACAUGGACACGGGAUUUUACCCAGGUUCGGGCCCUCUUGAUGGAGGUAAAACCCUAUGUCCUGAUUUUGAUUGUAUUCGUAUGGGGUGUAGUACAGAGUACAUGUAUCUACUACGAGAUGAUAGUAAUGAAUAUGAGAUUAUCUAUUGACUAGCCUGGCCUCGGUUUAUAUAAGACACCGGAGGCCUAGGGUUUAGGAGAGUCCUUGUCUUGGGCGCCAAGUCUUGUGGAGUCUUCCUUGUAUGCGGAAGGGGUUAUCCGAACUGGCCCAUGAGUAUACGGCCAUGGAGGUCCUCGGCCCAAUCCAACUGAUCGGAAGAUGAUGUGGUGAGUACCCCCUAGUCCAGAACACCGUCGGUCACCAUUUAAGCCUUAAGAUGGCCGGCAAAAAGCUUUGGCUUCUUAUUAACCUGAAUAACUUGUGAUGGAUGUGGAGCAGGGACAACAGAGAACUGACCAGAUCCGAGUCUUAAGAGGACUAUAACUGUAGUAGAUACUUUCAUAAUAUAAGAGUGGCGGUGUCUGGCGCUAUGGUGGUGUCGACAGCUGACCUAGCAAGGUCUUUGCGUCAAUACCUGCUUUGAAGAUGGUUAGGUGGAUGACGAUGGCGGUAGCCUCGGUGAGUGUGCCGGACCGGUAUGUGACCCGUUCCCGGCAUGUGGCUGGGAUUGAGCAUCCGGCAUUAGAUGUUAGGCUUUGGUGCGAUGUGUUUGGUAUUAGCCUCGGACAUUCGGCACACAUGCAUCAAGGGGAUAGGAGAAGCGACAGGGGUCGCCUAGAUGGUGACUUCACACUUACUGAUGUAAUGAUUUGUAAGGUCUCUAAAAAUAAUUAAUAAAAUGACUGCAUACAUCGUUCAGAUGCAGAGGCGGGGUAAAUCCUCCUUUUAAAAAAAAGGGUGUUUUGACACUAUGUCACGGUAGUAACGUAAAAACACGGAGUACAUACAAAGUGGCCGGCAAUAAUAAAAGAUGCUCUCGGUUUGAGAGCUAAGGUUCUCCCUGUCGGGACUGAACAGUGAACACAGACGCGUUCUUUACUUUAUUUGCUUUUACACCCUGUGCCAUGUUUAACUACUAGCUUUAUGCACAUGCUAAUCCACUACCCCUCGCAAAAUUACAUUUUUGAGCCAUCGCAUCAUUAGGGCCUACGACCAGUCUUCCCUCUCGGUCCUCCCCUUCCGAUCCCCAUCUCCCUCCGCCGCCACUUCUCUUUCUCGCUCUCACUUCCUCCGCCUUCUCCUCCCAAAUGCUUGCGAUUUGUCCGCGAAAGCUUGCAGCUUGUCCCACCCAGCUCACCAAUUUCUGGGUCCUCUACGCCGCUUCCCCGAACCACUCUCCAGUCUCCACUCCUCCCACCCAGCACACGCAGACGCAGUCACAAGCUAAGCUAGAGAUCCAUGGCGCGUGCUGUGGUGAGCGCUGUAGUAGGCCCACUGGGUCCCCUACUGGAGAAGCUCAACGCUCUCCACGCCGGCGAGUAUGGCCGCAUGAGGGGGGUCCGCACUCUCAUCGGCUCCCUCAGAUCUGAGCUCACCAGCAUGCAUGCUACCGUAAAAGAUUACGAUCCCGAGAUGCUAGAAGAACAAGCCGUCGAAGUGAAGACAUGGAUAGCAUUGCUCAGGGAGUUGGCCUAUGACACCGAGUAUUGCAUCGACAAGUUCAUUCACCAGCUCGGCAGUGACGGCCGUCAUGGCGGCUUCAAGGAGUUUUUCCGCAAGGCCGCCCGUAAUCUGAAGACGCUUUUGUCUCUGCGUGGAAUCGCCGGUCAAAUCGACCAACUCAAGGUUCGUAUCAAUGAAGUGAAAGACUUAAAAAAUAGUUCCAAGCUAGAUGAUACCCUUUGUAGCACCCAUAAAGCCGUGGAUCCCCGUCUGGUUGACCUUUUAGCUAAGGAUGUGCACCUUGUGGGUUUGGAUGGUCCAAGAGACGAUAUUGCCAAAUGGAUGCUAGAAGGAAACAGCUCAUCUAAUAAUUGCAAGGUGUUGUCUAUUAUUGGGUUUGGUGGGUUGGGAAAAACUGCCCUAGCGAGCGAAAUCUACCGCAAGAUUGAAACUCAUUUUCAUUUUAGGGCUUUUGUAUCAGUUUCGCAAAAACCAAGUAUUAAGAGUAUUAUCAAGGAUGUGAUCUACAAAGUGCCUUGUCCAGAUGGAUUUAUAAAAGAUAUCGAUGUUUGGGAUGAAAUGACAUCUAUUGCAAAGUUGAGAGAGCUACUACAAGAUAAGAGGUAUUUUUUUUGCUGAAACGUAUUCUAUGGCUACUUAUUACUUUAUUUUGUUUCAUGGGGCUUAUUAUUUUAGUAGUGUAAUUCUUGCUGCGUGUGUUAUUAAUUUUUCACUUGCUAACAAAUAACAUUAAUCCCAUCAUGGAGGUUUGCAUGAUUCUAGGCGUUCUUACCAUGUAUGCUAAAAGCAUGUCACACAAUGUAAUCAAAUAUACGCACACCUUUGUAUAUCUGGUUAAUAAACCAGGGUGAAGCCUUACAGAUGGGUAGAAGUCCAUUUUGCUCUACCCAAGAAUCCGAUUUCGAACCAUGAAGUGUAUGAUGUAUUCUUGGAGUGUUAUGACAUUUUUAUGUUUCCUAGUUGAAUCCCUUAUCAUAAAUGGUUUACAUCAUCUGCUAAUAUUUACCAGGUAUCUCGUCAUAGUUGAUGACAUAUGGUCUAGACAAGCAUGGAACACCAUCAAGUGUGCUUUUCCAGAGAAUAAUUGUUCGAGCAGAAUUAUCACUACCACACGCAUUGUUGAGGUAGCAUUGGCAUGUUGUGUUGGCCGUGAGGACCGCGUGUAUGAAAUGAAAGCCCUGAGUGAUGUUCACUCUAAAAGUUUGUUUUUCAAAAGAAUAUUUGGCUCUGAAGACUGCCCUGAUUCCCUGAAAGAAGUUUCAAAUAAAAUCCUUAAAAAAUGUGGAGGCCUACCAUUGGCAAUUGUAAGUAUAUCUGGUCUUCUAGCAAACAAACCAGCUGUCAAAGAGGACUGGGAGCAGGUCAAAAGGUCAAUUGGGUCUGCAAUGGAAAAAACCCGGUCUCUGGAGGGAAUGCGUAGCAUACUAUCCCUUUCGUACAAUGAUCUUUCACUUCCUCUCAGGGCAUGCUUAUUGUACCUAAGUAUAUUUCCUGAGGACUAUGUGAUUGAAAGAGAGAGACUAGUGAGACUAUGGAUAGCAGAAGGACUUAUCUCUGAAGAGAAUGGACGGAGCAGACAAGAGGUUGCCGAGAACUACUUUUACAUGCUUAUCAAUAAAAGCAUGAUCUUACCAGUGGAUAUUGGCUAUGAUGGUAAGGCUCGUGCUUGUCGAGUUCAUGACAUGAUUCUUGAACUUAUUAUUUCAAAAUCCACUGAAGAUAAUUUUACCACAUUGGUAAGCACUGGGCUACAUGGUUUGGUAAAUCGACAAGGUUUUAUUCGACGGCUAUCUGUCCAGCACAUUGACCAGGAGCUUGCAUCUGCACUAGCAAAUGAAGAUCUAAGCCACGUACGAUCUCUAAUAGUGACAGCAUCUGCAGGUUGCAUCAAACUCUUGCCUAGUCUUGUUAAAUUUGGAGGUUUACAUGUAUUGGAUGUUGAAGAUUGCGUUGGUUUGGAGGAUUAUAUUAUGAAUGACAUUGACAAAUUAUUUCGACUGAAGUACCUGUGUCUUAGUGGAAAGUCCAUAUCAGAGUUACCAUCAGGGACCGUGGAGCUAGGCAAUUUAGAGACCCUAGAUCUGCGGAACACAUCCGUGCAGGAGUUGCCAGAUGGAACUUUUAAGUUCACUAAACUAGAGCACCUGCAUGGUGCAGGGCAAACAAAGAUACCAAACGGCCUUGGGGGUAUGAGGAACUUACGGGUGAUCUCAAGCUUUAAUGUUUCACGGAGUGAAACAGAUGCGGUGGAGGAGCUCGCGAACAUGAUAAAUUUGGAUGAACUCAAAGUAUACCUCGAUAGUGGAAGAUCUGACAAGUGCAAGAAGCAUGAAGAGCUGUUAUUCUCCUUGUUAUGCAAGCUAGGCACCUGCAAACUCCGAUCUCUAUGGAUACAUAAGCCUGGUGGUUCCCUUGAGUUGUUAGAUUCUUGGUCCCUUCUACCAUCUUCCCUUCAAAUAUUUCGUAUCUCCGGUGACUAUUGUUUCAUGAAUAUUCCAAAGUGGACUGCACCGGCACUCACCAGUCUUGCUUACCUGGAGAUCAGCUUAACUGAAUUAAAGGAGGAGGAUCUGCACACUCUUGGUGAACUUGCAAGCUUACUUUAUCUGAAACUGUCCUUCGUAGCCGACCCAGUUGAACUGAUCGAAGUCCAAGCAAGUACCGGAUUUCAGUGCCUCAUUAAGUUUGUCAUCUACAGUGUGGCUGGGGCGCACGUUAAGUUCAUGGAAGGAGCUAUGCCGAAGCUUGAGAAGCUUAAUUUGCGACUGCAUGUGUCACUGGCAAGACAUUCUGGCUUCGAAUUAGGUUUUCAGCAUCUUUCAUCUCUCAGAGAAGCAGUAUUAAGUUUUUACAGAGUGGAUGUAACACCUUCCGAAAUCAAGGCUGCCGCUGCUGCCAUCAGGAAAGAAGCAUGCAUCCACCCGAACCGUCCCGCAAUUGAUAUUUCAGAGGAAUUCUAUGGAAAGUAUAACGAGAUCGGCAGUGACGAGGAGGACUUGAGGUAGCCGAAUAUGGUGACACCUCAUCCUAUGAAAUGCAAGAGGUAUGUGAAGACAGAUUCUAUUCGUUCACUCUUUUCCAUUUACAAACAUUGCCUUAAGUAUUGUUUUCUCCAUACACAUCGAUUUUGUACAAAGCGAGAUGCUGAAGGAUUCCAAAUUCACAUGUUAUAACUAUGAUUUCUUUUUUCCGGUCCAGGACACGAGGUGCGGUUGGCUAGCCUUUUGCUUGGAAAGGUCAUACUGAAGGACUAACCGAAGCUAGUACUAUUCAGUGUACUUCCAGAUGAGAGCAUUGAUAUGGAAGCUGAAGCACAAUUACCUUCAGAAAGUGUGCUCUCAGUCGCUACUCACUACCUGUGUUGUGUUUGCUUCUUAUUGUUUCCUUUAUUAUUACUUUUGGUAGCUGAGACUUAAUCUCCAGGUGCAUCUUGGAUCAUGUUUUUUCUUUUAUUUCCAAUAAUUUGUGCUGAAACAGUUGGUGUGCAGUAUUGACUGUAUUGUGUAUCAUGCAGUAUUUUACGACAGUACAAUAAUUUGUGCUGGAACAGUUGGUGUGCAGCAGCUACCUAUUACAAGUUCUCUCUUUAUUUUAUUUUAUUCUGAGUUGUAGUGUUAUCAGAUUGAUUACUGUUGGAGUACCAGUUUAUCCACUGUUGUUCUUAGAAACAACAUCCAUUUGUAUCGACAAUUCAAUGGUUAAUAUAAAGUGGAAAUGCCGUGGCGCGGUUUGCUUGGCUACACUUUGGCCCUGUGGAAGCUCUGCUAUUGCACCCGCAAAAAAGAAAAAAAAAAGCUCUGCUACUGCCCACUGGUGGCGUGGUUUGCUCGGUGACGUGUCUGCCAUCGCUGCGCCGUGUCAUACACUCGCUGCUGCUGUGGCUAGUUUGUUCGGCGACGUGUCAGACGUCCACUAGGCCGAGUACUGCCGUGGCGCGGAUUGCUUGGCCGUACAUCGGUUUACUGUAGCCGCAUUUACGCUGUUUUGAUACUGUUGUACACCAGCUACAGUUCUUUCCCCCUUAAAAAUAACUAGCUACGUUUUUCUCUCUCGGGUGAACACUAUAGCUACGCUGUUGGUUUUAACCUGGCUAGACCACACCCUCUCUUUCGGAUGAGUACCACAUGUGAUGAGUAGUUGAAUACAUAUCAGGCAUACUCCGCACCCUCUCUUUUGAGUGAAUGACCCCACGAUCGAACUACUAGAUUUGGUGAAAUGCUACUCCCUCUACUCCUUCAAUGCAUUUUAUUUUAGACCUGAUAGUUGCUGUGUGUUGCAAUAUUCUACUCCCUCGGUUUCAAAUUUGAACUAAAUGAUGACACUUUUUGGAAUAGAGGGAGUAGUAGGUUUGCUCGUGAUUUACCUGCCCAUAUUAAGCAAAUUAAAGAAAGGGAUACGAAAACAACAAAAACUAUUUACACGGGAAAGCUCCCAAGAAGCAAAAAAAAAAAGAAAAGGGAAAUAUUUCUGGGUUUUCUUUUAAUGCUACAACUAAAUUAAGCUAGAAAGAAAACCGAAAAGAAGCAGGAAAUAUUUUUGGAUUUUCCCAAAGUUUUUCAAAUACACAAGAAGAAAGCAAGAAAAUAAAACUAGCAUGGAUGAUACAAUGAAAAUGUGUGAACACCAAAAACUGGAAUGAAGUCUGUGAACAUGAAUGUAAUGUCGGUGGAAUUACGUACUCCCCCAAGCUUAGUCUUUUGACCUAGCUUGGUGAUCACCAUCCGUAGUAGUCAUCCGGUCCCAUGUUAUAGUGGCGGCGACACCUGAGCAUCCCACUCCUGGGGCUUGAUACGUCUCCAACGUAUCUAUAAUUUUUUAUUAUUCCAUGCUAUUAUAUUAUUUGUUUUGGAUGUUUUAUAUGCAUUAAUAUGCUAUUUUAUAUUAUUUUUGGGACUAACCUAUUAACCUAGAGCCCAGUGUCAGUUUCUUUUUUUUCCUGUUUUUGAGUUCUACAGAAAAGGAAUAUCAAACGGAGUCCAAACGGAAUAGAACUUUCACGAUGAUUUUUCUUGGACUAGAAGACAUCAACGGAACUUGGAGACGAAGUCAGAAUAGUCCCGAGGGCACCAGAAGCCCUCAGGAUGCACCCUAGGAGGGCGUCCUUCUGGCUUGUGGCCUCCUCGAGAGUCCACCGACCUCCCUCUCAGCUCUAUAAAUCCCAAAGUAUUCCCAAAUGAACAGACAGAGCCACAAAAAUUCUUUUCCUCCACCAUAACCUUCUGUUCCCGUAAGAUCUCAUCUUGGGGCCUUUUCCGGCAAUCUGCCAGAGGGGGAUUCGAUCACGGAGGGCAUCUACAUCAACUCUAUUGCCCUUCCGAUGAAGUGUGAGUAGUUUACCAUAGACCUACGGGUCCAUAUCUAGUAGCUAGAUGGCUUAUUCUCUCUCUUUGAUCUUCAAGACAAUGUUCUCCUCGAUGUUCUUAAAGUUCUAUCCAAUGUAAUAUUAUUUUGCAGUGUGUUUGUCGAGAUCCGAUGAAUUGUGGAUUUAUGUUCUGAUUAUCUAUGAAUAUUAUUUGAAUCUCCUACGAAUUCUUAUAUGCAUAAUUUGAUAUAUUUGUAUUUCCCUUCGAACUAUCGAUUUGGUUUGGCCAACUAGAUUGGUUUUUCUUGCAAUGGGAGAGGUGCUUGGUUUUGGGUUCAAUCUUGCGGUAUCCUCACCCAGUGACAUAGUAGGGUUAGAGAGGCACGUAUUGCAUUGUUGCCAUCAAGGAUAAAAAGAUGGGGUUUAUGUCAUAUUGUUGAGUUUAUCCCUCUACAUCAUGUCAUCUUACUUAAGGUGUUACUCCGUUCUUAUAAACUUAAUACUCUAAAUGCAUUCUAGAUAGCGGCCGCCGUGUGGAGUAAUAGUAGUAGAUGCAGGCAGGAGUCAGUCUACUUAUCACGGACGUGAUGCAUAUAUUCAUAAUCAUUGCCUUGAUAUCGUUAUAACUUUGUGUUUUUCUAUCAAUUGCUCGACAGUUAUUUUUUCACCUACCGUAUCCUUUCUUUCAAGAGAGAAGCCUCUAGUGAAAUCUAUGGCCCCGGGUAUAUUUUGCAUCAUAUAUUUUCAGAUCUAUAAACCAAAAAACCCCAAAAUACCUUGCUGUAAUUUAUUUGUUUUUACUUUGUUUUACGUUUUAGCAAUCUUUUAUAUCUAUCUCUAUCAGAUCUGUUUCUUGCAAGUGACUGUGAAGGGAUUGACAACCCCCACUAAAAAAUGACACAUCCAUGACAUUUUGGGCCGAACGGAUUUUUUUUCUGUCAUGCUUAUGAAACUUCUAUGACGAUAAUUGUGACAAAUCCGAUAUCAUCAUAGAUGUGGUGGGCUCCUACUUCCAUGACAAAAAAUCAUGACAGAAAAUGGGCUUUUCGUCCUAGGCGGGCCGGAGACGCAGCUGCAUGACAUUCUUUGGGCCGUGCAUGACGGAGAAAACCGAGGUAGAAGCGAGGGCGAGGAAAAUAUCGGGGGAGUUCCCGGUUACGAUGGGUGGUCGGGGACCGAGCGAUGCGCGUUUCUCUCAUACGUAUGUGCAUGUGUGCGAGGCGUUGCGCUCUAACUGAACCCGAGCGACUGCACUGCAGGCUACGUGUUACUGAACCCAAGCGAUCGAUCAAUCCCUUGCUGUUAACUGAACCUGAGUGAUUCCUUUGCUACUGCUGCUAACGGAAGCUGAUCGAACACUGCUGCCUCCUUCCCUUGAUGAACAAUGAGCGUUGUUGGGGGGCGGGGGGGGGGUGGUUGGAUGAACAGUUCCCGGUGGGGGGUUGGAUGAACAAGACCCCGUGGUAGUAGAGGCCGUUGCCGCUGGAUGAACAUGACCCCAAUCAAUCCAGCCGGUGGAUGAACAGGACCCCGUGGAGGGCUGGAUAAACAGGACCCCGUGGACGGCUGGUUGAACAGUAGCCGGUGGAGGGCUGGUUGAGCAGUAGCCGGUGGAGUUCUGGAUGAACAGUAGCCCGUGGAGGGGUGGUUGAACAGGACCCCGUGAAGAGGGUUGGUUGAACAGUAGCCGGUGGAGGAGCGUUGGAGGCUGGAUGAAGAGGAGCCCGUGGAUGAACAGUCGCAGGUGGAGGCUGGAGGAGGUCGACGUUGGAUGAACAGGAUGUCACGCCCAAUAUGCGAUACUAUCCUAAAGAGACUCGAAGGUCCCACCAAGGAUAGAACCGCAUAUUGAAACGCUUUUGCAAGGUGGAUAUCAUUACAUCAACAUUACAUAAUAGAUGGGGAUACAUACAAGAGGCAUACAAAGCCACACGAAUAAACAUCAUCUUACAUAAGAGCACCAUCCGACUACAGAUGAAACACAAACAGAGACUCAAACGACAUCCACCCUACUAGCCCAGGCUGCCGACCUGGAACCUAUCCCCUGAUCGAAGAAGAAGCAGAAGAAGAACUCCAAACAAGCAAGCAACGCUCUCGCGUCAUGAUCAUCGCAUAACCUGUACCUGCAACUGUUGUUGUAGUAAUCUGUGAGCCACGAGGACUCAGCGAUCCCAUUACCAUGGGUAUCAACACUAGCAAAGCUUAAAGGGAAAGGAAGGGGUAAAGUGGUGAGGUUGCAGCAGCGACUAAGCAUAUAUGGUGGCUAACAUACGCAAAUAAGAGCGAGAAGAGAAGCAAAGGAACGGUCGUGAAGCUAGCAAUGAUCAAGAAGUGAUCCUGAACUCCUACUUACGUCAAACAUAACCCAGAAACCGUGUUCACUUCCCGGACUCCGCCGAAAAGAGACCAUCAUGGCUACACAUACGGUUGAUGCAUUUUAAUUUGGAUCUGGUGUCAAAUUAUCUACAACCAGACAUUAACAAAUUCCCAUCUUCCCAUAACCGCGGGCACGGCUUUCGAAAGUUUAUACCCUGCAGGGGUGUCCCAACUUAGCCCAUCACAAGCUCUCGCGAUCAACGAAGGAUAUACCUUCUCCCAGGAAGACCCGAUCAGACUCGGAAUCCUGGUUUACAAGACAUUUCGACAAUGGUAAAACAAGACCAGCAAAGCCGCCCCAUGUGCCGACAAAUCCCGAUAGGAGCUGCACAUAUCUCGUUCUCAGGGCACACCGGACAAGCGAAGCGUACAGGAACCGACGAAUCCAAGUUGCCAAGGAAUGGUCCCGCACGGUGCUCUAGUUUGGACCAACACUCGGAGGAGCACUGGCCCCCGGGGGGGGGGGUAAAUAAAGAUGACCCUCGGGCUCCGGAAACCCAAGGAAAAAAGGGCUAGGUGAGGGAAAUGGUAAAACCAAGGUUGGGCCUUGCUGGAGGAGUUUUAUUCAAAGCGAACUGUCAAGGGGGUCCCAUAAAUCACCCAACCGCGUAAGGAACGCAAAAUCCGGGAACAUAACACCGGUAUGACGGAAACUAGGGCGGCAAAAGUGGAACAAAACACCAGGCAUAAGGCCGAGCCUUCCACCCUUUACCAAGUAUAUAGAUGCAUUAAUUAAAUAAGAGAUAUUGUGAUAUCCCAACAUAAUCCUGUCCACCAUGGAGCAAUCUUCAACUUCACCUGCAACUAACAACGCUAUAAGAGGGGCUGAGCAAAGCGGUAACAUAGCCAAGCAACGGUUUUGCUAGGAAGGGUGUCAAAGGUUAGAGGUUCAUGGCAAUUUGGGAGGCUUGAAGAACAAGUGAUAGGUAGUGCAGCAUAGCGAUAGAACGAAGCAACUAGCAUAGCAAAGAUAGUAGUGAGAUCCAGGGUGACGGUCAUCUUGCCUGAAAUCCCGCUAGGAAGAAGAACGAGUCCAUGAAGAAGACGAACGGGAGUAGUAGAACGAAUCCUCACAAUCGCAACAUUACCGGAACUAAGAAGCAACACCGGAAAGAAACAAACAACAUAGUAAAUGCACAAGCAUAAACAUGGCAUGAUGCACAAACAAGUAUGAUGCAUGUCCGGUUUAAAGAGGCAUGGCAUGGCAAGGUGCAACAAACAAUACUACAAAUUAAGUGGACCUCAAUAUGCAACGAGUUGCAUAUUGACGAAACACCACAUGACUUAUUUAGUUCUCUCUCGGUUAUGUACACAUCAAUAUUAAAUGUUGGUUAACAUGGCAAGAGGUGAAGCAUAAUAAAACUAACUAUUUAGGCAAGUUUAAAUGAGGCCGGAAACAUCAAACAACAAUUCCGGUAAAUCCUCAUGUGCAUAUUUUAGAUCUGGUACUGUUCUGCCCUAAACACAAUUUUAAUGUUGUUAAACAGCAAAAUAAAAUGCACCAUGUUAAACUAGGCAUUUUUCCACCCCAUUUACAUAUAAAUUUUAUUAAAUUUGGAGCUACAAUUAUUUAGUUAUGAAAUAAAUCAUUUUAACAUGGCAUUUAAGCAAAUUUAAUCAAACAGCAAUUUAAACAUUUUAAACAUGGAUGAAAGUAGAAAAUUAUUAAUCUACACAAAAUUCUAAGCAUUUUACAUAUAUAAAUCAUUUUAAUCUGAUGCACGGUUGUGGAGUUAUUAAAUGCAUGAAGUCUAGGGGUUUUUCUGUAAAACAGUAAAUCACUGGAUAAAUGACAAAAUCGCGACAUGAAAAAAAAACAUGCACUGGGCUGAAACUGGUGCACUGCUGGGCUGAACAGAGAGGAGGGGCCGUGGGGAGCUCACCCAUGGGCUCGGCCCAGUCGGUGGUGAGGCAGGCUGGCUGGGCGAGGGGAGCGGCUUGGGCCGGAUCUGGAGAGGAGGUUGCGGUCAACAUUCGGGACAAACGGGCUCCUGCUGCUCGAACGACUCGAAGGAGAGGCGCCGUCCUCCUCUGCUAGACAGGAAGCAGAGCAGCGGCGGCGUGGAAUUUGGCGACGGCGGGGCAACUCCGGCAAGGUGAAGACGGGGCGACAGCAGAUCCGGGCAUGGGGAGGAAGGCAUGGGCGCGCGGCGCCGGGGUGCUGCUGGCGAGGACCGGCGUCGGGGAGCUCGAGGACGACGUCGUCCGGGCGCGGGAGGCGAGGAUGGCCGGCGCAAACUCCUCGGGGCUCCCUGUUGCACGAACAGAGGGAGCAGGUGAGAGAGGGAGGAGAGAAGGAAGAGGAAGGGAGAGGCAGGGGCGCAGGGUCCUGCUGAAGGUGGUCGCCGGCAACGUCGAGGCAGAGGCGAGGAAGAUGGUGGAGGCCGAGCUCGUUGGAGGAGUGGAUCUCGGGCACGGGGACGAGGUGGAUCGAGGGAGGCAAGGGGCCUGCUGGAUGAGCUCCGUCUCGAGGAGCUCCUGCUCGGGCACGAGCGUGGAGACGCGGGGUUGCGGCCAGAGGAGGUUGGUCGGGCACGGAAAUGGAGGCGGUGGUUCGAUUGGGUGGAGAUGGAUCCCGAGGUGGGGGAAGGUUGUGGGAUCGAGGGAGGGGGAUCCCGAGAGGAUUUUUGUGGAGUGGCGGCGGGAUGGGACAUCUCCCUAGAAGUUAGGGUUUGCCCAUAUUUGGACUAGGGGUCUUAAUAUAGGGAAAAGAAGAGGUUUUUUUGGAUCAUCCGAUUAAAAUCGAACGGUCGAGAUAAAUGGCUUAGGGGAGUCCAACAAAUAAACGCAGAUAUUUUAUAGAUGUUAGGGGAUUAUCCGGAUCCAACGGUGACGACUACUCGGGUCGGGUUCGGGGGAGUUUCGGACGCGCGCGCGAGGGGGCUGCGAGCUGGCAAGAGAGGUUAGGUGGCCACGGUCAAGAGGGAAGCGAAACCCUGAUUGGUCUGGAACGGCCAACAAAAGCAAGGGGGGACACGACAACUACGAGCGGAUGCAAGUUUUAUGAAAACGAUGCCGAUGCAAUGCAAAUGAUGACAUGAGACGAGAUGCAUAACAAGAACAAAAUGCAAAACAACAGACAAAAACCCAACCACGGAGGCAAUAAUAAAUCACAUAGUCGGAAAUGGCAAGGGUCGGAGUUACGAAUAUGGAAAGUUGUAUCCGGAGCGUUACAACACUCCACCACUACAAGAGGAUCUCGUCCCGAGAUCUAGGAUGGCACCGGAGAGAAGCGGAAGAGAAAGAGGAGAGGUAAAACUAAGUUGCUUCUUCGACCAAUGAGUGAAACCACGAACCUUGAGAGGUUGAGCAAUAUGAAAGAAAGAAAACAACGAAGAUGAACAUAGUUGAAAACACUCCGUUAGAAAAGAGGAACAAGGGAUACGACGAGUACCAAGAGGUUUAGUGAUAAGAUAGAUAUUGAAACCACUCCGUUUAAAACUAGAUAGAGAAGGAAUAAGAAUAAGGAAUUCGGGCAGCACUCCGGUUGAAAAGAGAUGCAAGACUUGAUAAGAUGAAAAGAACUUGAAGAGAUAACAUAGAUUGCCGGUUAAAUGGAUAAGCACGAAAAGAACACUAUCCUCACAAUUCGAGAUGAUGAGCGAAGAGAGCAACAUCACAUUGCCUCCGAAAGAAGGAAUAGAAGAUAGAUCAUUGGAAUAACAGAAUGGAGAAGAAAAUGCCAACUUCUGCCACAAAAGAACUUGGAAAGCAUCCUUCCAAGAAGGUUACAACGGGGUUGUUGGAAAACCAACAACGAAAUGAAUAAGCUUGUAGUGGGCUUAUGGAAAGCUUCUCAAAAUUGAGCCAAAAUUCUGCCACUACGGAAACAAAUAAUAUAAUUGAUAACACUAAUGAGAUGAAAAAACUUCUUCCACCAAGAUAAUAGAGAGAUAACUUGGACCAUUGAUAAUCACCACAAUAGCAACAACCCUUAAGGAAAGGCUUUAGGUGAAAUCUGACACAAGAUAACUCCAACGAAGAGAUUAAUAUGGGUUGAAACAAUACAUGAUCGAAGAGAAAAUGAUGGUUUCACAAUAUCUCAUUCCCGACAACUUGUGAAUCAUGAAACACAAACUCAAAUUGUCAAGAAUGACAUAACACCACCUCAAAUGAUAAGGUAGAACGAAUUGCACCUCGAAAUGCAAGAUGAUGAAUACUUGAACUCCUCAGAAACAAAACAUGUGUUUAGCACCAUGUUUAUUUUAGAGUGUAUCUUGGCGGAUCAUAACUUCGAGAGAAAUCUUGAAGAACAAAAUGAGAAUGAAAGGAAUCCUUGAUGAACCAUCAUGUAGAGCCUCCAUGAAGAACUCCGGUAAUGAAAGGAUGAUAGAAAGAAAGAGAAGUUGGAAACACAAGGUGAAGCCUUGCAAUGAUUUAGAUGGAGCUUUGCGAUGAUAUAGCCGAGAGAACUUGGAACUCCGGAAAGAAAAGAUGAAUACUAGAACCGAGAAUUACUUCAUCAUGAACAAUCUCCGGAAGAAAAAAAAUUGAAUCACCUCGAGGAAAUAAGAAUAAGAUUUAUUGUAUGCUUAUCCUUCAUCAAAUUAAAUUGAUGAAAAGAAAUGGAUUUGGCAUACUGCUUAUUCCCGUAGAAAGGAUUAAGAGAGAUAUAGCGCAAACUUGAGAAGGUAUAGAUGGAACCACCGGUGGGAUUCGAAACAACGAAUGAAAUGAUACGGUAGCAAAGGAAGAGGAAUCUUGAACGAACCACCGUAAGAAUUGAAAAUGAAAGUAGCAAAGGCACAAUUCACCGAGAAGAAUGAAGAUACUUGAGGGGAUUUAGAUACAAGUGAACGAAGAGAUCAUGAGCUUAUUAGAGAAUAGUUGAAUGAUCCACCGGUAAGAUUUGGAGAACGAUUGCUACACGCUGAGAAUGAAGAAUUAUGACCUGAUGGCCUUCGGAGGAAAGAAAUGGAAACAACUCAUGAAAUGCUCCGGAUGGGUGAAAAGAAUAUCCACAAUCAAAAACAAUUAUGAGGAUGGCAUGAAGCUAGAACAAUGAAUCUUCAAGAGAAUGGACCAAGAUUUAGAGGAAAACUCUUCUUCGGUCUUCACAUGUUGAGAAUGAUGAUGAGAACCACCAUGACAAUUGUUGAGAUACUCCGGAACAAAGAAGAAUAGAAAUGAUGAACCAACAAUGAAAAUAUUCUGAAAGCGAUCUUGGAGAAGGAAUAUGACUGAUGAAAAUUCAUUCUUACGUCAAACUUCGAAAGGAAUUUGGGAAUAACUCCGGAAUAAUUAGAAGAGUCAGGUAAGAUCCUGGGAAAAGACCUGUGGGUUAGGGCCCACUCAAAAUAUACACCGUUGAACAAUUGAUUGAAAGGGGGGAUUGCACCGGUUGAAUUAAAUGGCUUUAAUGAGAUAACAACCUCAAAAUAACUUGAACAGAUAGAGAAUGGAAGCACGAAUCUUCCGAGAUAUCUUCAGCACUCCGGAUAUGAGCUGGGAGAGGUGAAUAAAUAAUAGAGCCUUGGAUAAGAAAUUCACAUGGGAAGAUAUGUGAAACAACAGGAAGAGAUAUGAUAACACCGAGACUUGAAAUUAAUCCACCGGAGAAGAAAAGAGACGAAGAAUAAUGAACUUGAAGCUCCGUUAGUAUCUUCGUGAGAAUCACCGGAUAAGAACAUUGACGGAAAAGAAUGGAGAAACUUCACAUCCAUAAGAUGGAUACUUGAUUAAGAUAUCUGAGUCUUUGAAGAAAAGGGUGGGAGGACGGGAAAACAAAGGCAACUUUGGGGCAGACGGAAUGGAUACCGUUGAGAAAACUUAGAAUUGAUCUUGCGGAUGUUGAGAUGAUCGGAUCCACUUGAAGAGAAGCACACCGGUUGGAAAAGAGUUGACAUGACAACCUCAGUGAUCAAGAAGGAUUAGCACUCCCAUAGAAAUAUGAGAACACCGCUUGAAAGGUAUGGAAUCAACACUUGACAUUGAAGCAACUCGAAUACCACAACUCAAAACAAAACAAUGGAUUGGCUUGCAGAAAUAAGCCGGAACAAAUACAUAUGAUAGAGAUUUACCCAAUCCCAUAUCAUGCAUCUGUCGGAAAGAUAUUCUAGGAGCUACUUGAAUUCCCACCUAUAAACUCCCGAAACUUUCUGGUUAUGCAAUCUGGUGUUGGGGAUACAGGGGAAGCAAUAUAUCUCACCCAAACUAACAAUCCCUACAUCCAGUUGUAUCCAUCCGUCAACACAUAACCAAGAAAACUCCAGAAAUCGUGUACCUCAACCUUCGAAAAGCAUUCGUUAUACGAGCUAUGGCAAUACUCCCGAACUCCCCAGUACUGGGUGACGUCGAGGUUAUCUCACCAACAACUGCAUAAAAGAGAUUUUCGAUGUCGGCAAAACUCAGGUAUUCCAGAACUGCAACGAUAAAAUUGUGACGACAACACCUCGGAGCUCAACUCCCCGGGUCACUGCCACAUAAAAGACAGGAGGCACCAAGAACAAUGUUCUCGUCACAAAACCAUCGGAACGAUUCCAAGAUACCCACGUGAUCCUAAUUUUUUUAGUGAAAUUUGAGGAGAGGAAAGGCAAAACAUCUACGUCAGGAGACCUCACCAGAGCGACGAAGGGGCUGAGGAGUAAAAAGAAUCCUACUCUUCGAUAUAUAUAAUCCUAAGACUCAAAAUAGUUUUCUUCUAGACUCAACAACGGCCAACAAUCAAGGGGGGCUCCUAGGGUCGGUCGAGGCUCUGAUACCAACUUGUCACGCCCAAUAUGUGAUACUAUCCUAAAGAGACUCGAAGGUCCCACCAAGGAUAGAACCGCAUAUUGAAACGCUUUUGCAAGGUGGAUAUCAUUACAUCAACAUUACAUAAUAGAUGGGGAUACAUACAAGAGUCAUACAAAGCCACACGAAUACAACAUCAUCUUACAUAAGAGCACCAUCCGACUAUGGAUGAAACACAAACAGAAACUCAAACGACAUCCACCCUGCUAGCCCAGGCUGCCGACCUGGAACCUAUCCCCUGAUCGAAGAAGAAGCAGAAGAAGAACUCCAAACAAGCAAGCAUCGCUCUCGCGUCAUGAUCAUCACAUAACCCGUACCUGCAACUGUUGUUGUAGUAAUCUGUGAGCCACGAGGACUCAGCAAUCCCAUUACCAUGGGUAUCAAGACUAGAAAAGCUUAAAGAGAAAGGAAGGGGUAAAGUGGUGAGGUUGCAGCAGCGACUAAGCAUAUAUGGUGGCUAACAUAUGCAAAUAAGAGCGAGAAGACAAGCAAAGGAACGGCCGUGAAGCUAGCAAUGAUCAAGAAGUGAUCCUGAACUCCUACUUACGUCAAAUAUAACCCAGAAACCGUGUUCACUUCCCGGACUCCGCCGAAAAGAGACCAUCACGGCUACACACACGGUUGAUGCAUUUUAAUUUGGAUCUGGUGUCAAAUUAUCUACAACCAGACAUUAACAAAUUCUCAUCUGCCCAUAACCGCGGGCACGACUUUUGAAAGUUUAUACCCUGCAGGGGUGUCCCAACAUAGCCCAUCACAAGAUCUCGCGAUCAACGAAGGAUAUACCUUCUCCCAGGAAGACCCGAUCAGACUCGGAAUCCCGGUCUACAAGACAUUUCGACAAUGGUAAAACAAGACCAGCAAAGCCGCCCGAUGUGCCGACAAAUCCCGAUAGGAGCUGCACAUAUCUCGUUCUCAGGGCACACCGGAUAAGCGAAGCGUAUAGGAACCGACGAAUCCAAGUUGCCAAGGAAUGGUCCCGCACGGUGCUCUAGUUUGGACCAACACUCGGAGGAGCACUGACCCGGGGGGGGGGGUAAAUAAAGAUGACCCUCGGGCUCCGGAAAUCCAAGGGAAAAAGGGCUAGGUGAGGCAAAUGGUAAAACCAAGGUUGGGCCUUGCUGGAGGAGUUUUAUUCAAAGCGAGCUGUCAAGGGGGUCCCAUAAAUCACCCAACCGCAUAAGGAACGCAAAAUCUGGGAACAUAACACCGGUAUGACGGAAACUAGGGCGGCAAAAGUGGAACAAAACACCAGGCAUAAGGCCGAGCCUUCCACCCUUUACCAAGUAUAUAGAUGCAUUAAUUAAAUAAGAGAUAUUGUGAUAUCCCAACAUAAUCCUGUCCACCAUGGAGCAAUCUUCAACUUCACCUGCAACUAACAAUGCUAUAAGAGGGGCUGAGCAAAGCGGUAACAUAGCCAUGCAACAGUUUGCUAGGAAGGGUGUCAAAGGUUAGAGGUUCAUGGCAAUUUGGGAGGCUUGAAGAACAAGUGAUAGGUAGCACAGCAUAGCGAUAGAACGAAGCAACUAGCAUAGCAAAGAUAGUAGUGAGAUCCAGGGUGACGAUCAUCUUGCCUGAAAUCCCGCUAGGAAGAAGAACGAGUCCAUGAAGAAGACGAACGGGAGUAGUAGAACGAAUCCUCACAAUCGUAACAUUACCGGAACUAAGAAGCAACAUCAGAAAGAAACAAACAACAUGGUAAAUGCACAAGCAUAAACAUGGCAUGAUGCACAAACAAGUAUGAUGCAUGUCCGGUUUAAAGAGGCAUGGCAUGGCAAAGUGCAACAAACAAUACUACAAAUUAAGUGGAGCUCAAUAUGCAACGAGUUGCAUAUUGACGAAACACCACAUGACUUAUUUAGUUCUCUCUCGGUUAUGUACACAUCAAUACUAAAUGUUGGUUAACAUGGCAAGAGGUGAAGCAUAAUAAACUAACUAUUUAGGCAAGUUUAAAUGAGGCCGGAAACAUCAAACAACAAUUCUGGUAAAUCCUCAUGUGCAUAUUUUAGAUCUGGUACUGUUCUGCCCUAAACACAAUUUUAAUGUUGUUAAACAGAAAAAUAAAAUGCACCAUGUUAAACUAGGCAUUCCCCCCCCCCAUUUACAUAUAAAGUUUAUUAAAUUUGGAGCUACGGUUAUUUAGUUAUGAAAUAAAUCAUUUUAACAUGGCAUUUAAGCAAAUUUAAUCAAACAACAAUUUAAACAUUUUAAACAUGGAUGAAAGAAGCAAAUUAUUAAUCUACACAAAAUUCUAAGCAUUUUACAUAUAUAAAUCAUUUUAAUCCGAUGCACGGUUGUGGAGUUAUUAAAUGCAUGAAGUCUAGGGGUUUUUCUGUAAAACAGUAAAUCACUGGAUAAAUGACAAGAUAGCGACAUGAAAAAAACAUGCACUGGGCUGAAACUGGUGCACUGCUGGGCUGAACAGAGAGGAGGGGCCGUGGGGAGCUCACCCAUGGGCUCGGCCCAGUCGGUGGUGAGGCAGGCUGGCUGGGCGAGGGGAGCGGCUUGGGCCGGAUCUGGAGAGGAGGUUUCAGUCAACGCUCGGGACAAACGGGCUCCUACUGCUCGAACGACUCGAAGGAGAGGCGCCGUCCUCCUCUGCUAGACAGGAAGCAGAGCAGCGGCGGCAUGGAAUUUGGCGACGGCGGGGCAACUCCGGCAAGGUGAAGACGGGGCGGCAGCAGAUCCGGGCGUGGGGAGGAAGGCAUGGGCGCGCGGCGCCGGGGUGCUGCUGGCGAGGACCUGCGUCGGGGAGCUCGAGGACGACGUCGUCCGGGCGCGGGAGGCGAGGAUGGCCGGCACAAACUCCUCGGGGCUCCCUGUUGCACGAACAGAGGGAGCAGGUGAUAGAGGGAGGAGAGAAGGAAGAUGAAGGGAGAGGCAGGGGCGCAGGGUCCUGCUGAAGGUGGUCGCCGGUGACAUCGAGGCAGAGGCGAGGAAGAUGGUGGAGGCCGAGCGCGUUGGAGGAGUGGUUCUCGGGCACGGGGACGAGGUGGAUCGAGGGAGGCAAGGGGCCUGCUGGAUGAGCUCCGUCUCGAGGAGCUCCUGCUCGGGCACGAGCGUGGAGACGCGGGGCUGCGGCCAGAGGAGGUUGGUCGGGCACGGAAAUGGAGGCGGUGGUUCGAUUGGGUGGAGAUGGAUCCCGAGGUGGGGGGAGUUUGUGGGAUCGAGGGAGGGGGAUCCUGAGAGGAUUUUUGUUGAGUGGCGGCGGGAUGGGACAUCUCCCUAGAAGUUAGGGUGUGCCCAUAUUUGGACUAGGGGUCUUAAUAUAGGGAAAAUAAGAGGUUUUUUUGGAUCGUCUGAUUAAAGUCGAACGGUCGAGAUAAAUGGCUUGGGGGAGUCCAACAAAUAAACGCAGAUAUUUUAUAGAUGUUAGGGGAUGAUCCGGAUCCAACGAUGACGACUACUCAGGUCGGGUUCGGGGGAGUUUCGGACGCGCGCGCGAGGGGGCUGCGAGCUGGCAAGAGAGGUUAGGUGGCCACGGUCAAGAGGGAAGCGAAACCCUGAUUGGUCUGGAACGGCCAACAAAAGCAAGGGGGGACACGGAAACUACGAGCGGAUGCAAGUUUUAUGAAAACGAUGCCGAUGCAAUGCGAAUGAUGACAUGAGACGAGAUGCAUAACAAGAACAAAAUGCAAAACAACAGGCAAAAACCCAACCACGGAGGCAAUAAUAAAUCACAUAGCCGGAAAUGGCAAGGGUCGGAGUUACGAAUAUGGAAAGCUGUAUCCGGGGCGUUACACAGGAGCCCGUGGAUGCAGUCGAUAGUGGAGAUGAACAGUAUCCCGUGGAGUCCCGUUUUGCGGUAUGCCACACCCCUCCCGAUGAACAGAACCCCCUUUUCGACCGUAGCGCUCCAACACAAGUCCGUUUCCUCCAUUUUGCGGUACGUCACACCCCUCCCGAUCAACAGGAUCCCGUUUCGACCGUAGGAGGUCCGUUUCUUCCGUUUUGCGGUAUGCCAGACCCCUCCCGAUGAACAAGAUCCAGUUUCGAUCGUGGCCGGUCGAACACAAGGCCAUUUCCUCCGUUCUGCGGUACGUCAGGCCUCAUUUCCAUCGGCUGUUCCGUCCAAGCCGGCUGGCUCCUGAUGAACACGACGUAUUCCGUUGCCUUCCCAUGAACACGAGCAUUCCGUUGCCUCCCGAUGAACACGACGACGACGUAGCUUCUCCGUUCUGACCCAGCCAUGUACACGAGCCCUGGCCGUACGUAUGUGCGAGUAGGCAUUCGAGACCCCGCCCGUAUGUACGUACUUGGCUGUGUUUACUUUCUUGCACCCUGGCCGAUGUACGUACGUGUACAUUCUAUGUGUGUGCCUCUACUACGACACGUGCACGCCUCUACUACCACACGUGCCCUUCCUUACACGGCCAUGAUUCAUCGCUGCAGCCUACAGAAAGACCGAUCGUAUGUACGUACAAGUUCGCGACCAGAAUGACAACGCUACAUAUGCUUCGACCGGGUAGGUCCCGACUGUCAGGCACUUCCUUGCGUGCGAAGAUGUAGCUAGUGGGUCCCAGCAGUCAGGGGGAAACAUUUUUUUUGUGAAAUACGGUGGCCCGUCCGGUGGGUCCCUACUGUCAGGUGGAGGAAUCAUUAUUUUUCGCGUAAUAAGGAGGCUCUUCCUUGCUGCGGCCGUGGACCGAGCUGUCAGCCUCUCCACGCACAGUACUCUUCCGAUGGAAUUCGUUCCUUGACCACGUUGACCACUGAUACGUCCAUUUUGCAUCAUGCUUUUAUAUCGAUAUUUAUUGCAUUAUGGGCUGUUUAUUACUCAUUAUGUCACAAUACUUAUGCCUUUUCUCUCUUAUUUUACAAGGUUUACAUAAAGAGGGAGAAUGCCGGCAGCUAGAAUUCUAGGCUGGAAAAGGAGCAAAUAUUAGAGACCUAUUCUGCACAACUCCAAAAGUCCUGAAACUCCAUGAAAGUUAUUUUUGGAAUUAAUAAAAAAUACUGAGCGAAGAUAAUACCAGAUGGGGGCCACCCACCGUCCACGAGGGUGGGGGGGGGGGCAAGCCCUACCACCCUGGGCGCGCCCCCUGCCUCGUGGGCUCCCUGGCAGGCCUCCGAUGCCCAUCUUCUGCUAUAUGAAGUCUUUUACCCUGGAAAAAAAAUCAUAAGCAAGAUUUCGGGACGAUACACCGCCGCCACGAGGUGGAACCUUGGCGGAACCAAUCUAGGGCUCCGGCGGAGCUGUUCUGCCGGGGAAACAUCCCUCCGGGAGGGGGAAAUCAUCACUAUCGUUAUCACCAUCAAUCCUCUCAUCGGUACGGGGUCAAUCUCCAUCAACAUCUUCACCAGCACCAUCUCCUCUCAAAGCCUAGUUCAUCUCUUGAAUCCAAUCUUUGUCCCAAAACCUCAGAUUGGUACCUGUGGGUUGCUAGUAGUGUUGAUUACUCCUUGUAGUUGAUGCUAGUUGGUUUAUUCGGUGGAAGAUCAUAUGUUCAUAUCCUAUAUGCAUAUUAAUACUCCUCUGAUUAUGAACAUGAAUAUGAUUUGUGAGUAGUUACGUUUGUUCCUGAGGACAUGGGGGAAGUCUUGCUAUAAGUAGUCAUGUGAAUUUGGUAUCCGUUCGAUAUUUUGAUGAGAUGUAUGUUGUCUCUCCUCUAGUGGAGUUAUGUGAACGUCGACUACAUGACACUUCACCAUUGUUUGGGCCUAGUGGAAGGCAUUGGAAAGUAAUAAGUGGAUGAUGGGUUGCUAGAGUGACAGAAGCUUGAACCCAAGUUUAUGAGUUGCUUCGUAAGGGUUUAUUUGGAUCCACACGUUUCCUGCUAUGGUUAGGUUUACCUUAAUACUUCUUUUGUAGUUGCGGAUGCUUGCAAUAGGGAUUAAUCAUAAGUGGCAUGCUUGUCCAAGAAAGGGCAGGACCCAAGCACCGGUCCACCCACAUACCAAAUUAUCAAAGUAACGAACGCGAAUCAUAUGAGCGUGAUGAAAACUAGCUUGACGAUAAUUCCCAUGUGUCCUCGCGAGCGUUUUCCUUCAUAUAAGGAUUUGUCCAGGCUUGUCCUUUGCUACAAAAAGGAUUGGGCCACCUUUCUGUACCUUAUUUACUUUUGUUACUAGUUACCCGUUACGAAUUACCUUAUCACAGAACUAUCUGUUACCGAUAAUUUCAGUGCUUGCAGAGAAUACCUUACUAAAAACCGCUUGUCAUUUCCUUCUGCUCCUCAUUGGGUUCGACACUCAUACUUACCGAAAGGACUACGAUAGAUCCCCUACACUUGUGGGUCAUCAAGACUCUUUUCUAGCGCCGUUACCGGGGACUGAAGCGCCUUUUGUAAGUGGAACUUGGUAAGGAAAAAUUUAUAUAGUGUGCUGAAAUUUACUGUCACUUGUUACUAUGGAACAUAAUCCUUUGAGGGGCUUGUUCGUGGUAUCUUCACCCUGAACAGUAGAGAAAAGAGUUGCUCCUCAACCUACUGAACCUACUGAAAAUGUUUACUUUGAAAUUCCUUCGGGUAUGAUAGAGAAACUGCUAGCUAAUCCUUUUACAGGAGAUGGAACAUUGCAUCCCGAUUUGCACCUAAUCUAUGUGGAUGAAGUUUGUGGAUUAUUUAAGCUUACAGGUAUGCCCGAGGAUGUUAUCAAGAAGAAGGUCUUCCCUUUAUCUUUGAAGGGAAAGGCAUUGACAUGGUUUAGGCUAUGUGAUGAUAUGGGAUCAUGGAACUACAACCGAUUGAAAUGGGAAUUUCAUCAGAAGUUUUAUCCUAUGCAUCUUGUUCAUGGUGAUCGUAAUUAUAUAUAUAAUGUUUGGCCUCGCGAAGGAGAAAGCAUUGCUAAAGCUUGGGGGAGGCUUAAGUCAAUGUUAUAUUCAUGCCCCAAUCAUGAUCUCUGAAGAUAAAUUAUUAUUCAAAAAAUUUAUGCUCGGCUUUCUCUCAACAAUCGCUCCAUGCUCGAUGCUUCUUGUACUGACUCUUUCAUGAUGAAGAAUAUUGAAUUAAAAUGGGUUUUAUUGGAAAGAAUUAAACGCAACUCGGAACAUUGGGAUGUCGACGAAGGUAAGGAGUCAGGUUUAACACCUAAGUUCGAUUGUGUUAAAUCUUUUAUGGAUACCGAUGCUUUUCGUGAAUUUAGCACUAAAUAUGGACUUGACUCUGAGACAGUAGCUUCUUUCUGUGAAUCAUUUGCUACUCAUGUUGACCUCCCUAAGGAGAAGUGGUUUAAAUAUAAUCGUCCCAUUGAAGUAAAAGUAGUUGCACCUAUUAAAGUCAAAGAAAAGACUAUCACUUAUAAUGAUCCUAUUGUUCCUACUACCUAUAUUGAGAAACCACCUUUCCCUAUUAGGAUAAAAGAUCAUGCUAAAGCUUCAACUGUCGUUUGUAAGAGUAAUACUAGAACACCUACACCACCUGAGAAAAUUAAGUUGAACCUAGUAUUGCUAUGGUUAAUGAUCUCUUGGCUGAUAAUGUUGAUGGGCAUGUUAUUUACUUCUGUGAUGAAGCUGCUAGAAUUGCUAGACCGGAUACUAAGAAUAAACAUAGACCUGUUGUAGGCAUGCCUGUUGUCGGUGUCAAAACCGGCGGAUCUCGGGUAGGGGGUCCCGAACUGUGUGUCUAGGCGGAUGGUAACAGGAGACAAGGGACACGAUGUUUUACCCAGGUUCGGGCCCUCUUGAUGGAGGUAAAACCCUACGUCCUGCUUGAUUGAUAUUGAUAUUGUGGAUGUUUACAAGAGUGGAUCUACCACGAGAUCAAGGAGGCUAAACCCUAGAAGCUAGCCUAUGGUAUGAUUGUAAGGGUUGUUGUUCUGUCCUAUGGACUAGAGCCAUCCGGUUUAUAUAGACACCGGAGAGGGCUAGGGUUGCAUAGAGUCGGUUACAAUGGUAGGAGAUCUACAUAUCCGUAUCGCCAAGCUUGCCUUCCACGCCAAGGAAAGUCCCAUCCGGACACGGGGAGAAGUCUUCAAUCUUGUAUCUUCAUAGUCUUGGAGUCCGGUCGAUGAUGAUAGUCCGGCCAAUGAUAGUUCGGCUGAUGAUGGUAGUCCGGCUAUCCGGACACCCCCUAAUCCAGGACUCCCUCAGUAGCCCCUGAACCAGGCUUGAAUGACGAUAAGUCCGGCGCGUAUAUUGCUUGGCAUUGCAAGGCGAGUUCCUCCUCCGAAUGAUAGAAGAUUGUGAACACCAGGAUAGUGUCCGGCUCUGCAAAAUAAAUUCCACAUUCCACCGUAGAGAGAAUAAUAUAUACACAAGUUCAAUCUGCUGACGUUUUCUGUAGCAUGACGUCACACCACUACCAAGCCAUUAUUUAAAUCGUUUUUUACUUUACCACCUCAGCGCAUUUAGCGAAGCGGUUUCCUUGGCACGUCUUGUCGAAGCAGAGAUCGUGUUUCCCCUUAAUCCGGGAUUCUCAUCAAUACGGACGUGGGUAACCCAACCACGCCAUUGAUGGUGACGCUUGGGAGAUAAGCGAGUUUUACCAGGCCGGUGGGGGACGCGUAGACUUCGUCCGCCUAUAUAAGGGAUAAGGAUUCACCUUUUCACCUACGCCUUCUUCCUCUUUUGCUUAUCCAUCUCCACGCACUCGAGCUCCAGCGCCCAAGUUCGCGCAUUUCGUCUCAACCUUCUCCGACCAUGUCCGGAGCGGGAGGUAAAUGGUUGGCCUCCACCGUUAAGGGGGAGCACAUCGCCAAACUGCGCGGCGCCGGAUACCUCUCCGGCGACAUCGCGCACCGGCUGCCCGACGAGGGGCAGCUCAUCCCCACCCCCAGGCCCCAUGAGAGGGUCGUUUUCCUUCCCCACUUCCUCCGCAGACUGGGCUUUCCACUUCACCCCUUUGUCCGGGGUCUCAUGUUCUACUACGGCCUGGAUUUCCAUGAUCUGGCGCCGAACUUCAUCCUCAACAUCUCGGCAUUUAUCAUCGUGUGCGAGGGCUUCCUCUGCAUCCAGCCCCACUUCGGCUUGUGGCUCAAGACCUUCAAUGUCAAGCCGAAGGUAGUGAAGGGCACUCAAGCGGAGUGCGGAGGCGCCAUGUUGGGCAAGAUGCCCAACGUCCUUUGGUUCGAAGGGGCCUUCGUGGAAUCCGUCAAGGGGUGGAAAUCGGGGUGGUUCUAUAUCACCGAGCCGCGUGACCCUACAUGGGCGGCGGCCCCCAAGUUCAGAUCUGGUAUCCCCACGCAGCUCACCUCCUGGAAAGAGAAGGGCUUGUUGUGGGGUAGUUCGGAGGAGCUGACGGGACUCCAAGCCUGUAUCCAGAAACUGGUGAAGAAGCUCAGGCUGGUUAACGUGGUCCAAGUCAUGCUCGUCCGCCGGAUUCUCCCAUGCCAAGAGCGGGCAUUUCAUCUGUGGGAGUUCAAUCCGGAACAGCACCAGGCGCUGAGCGGACUCUUCGACAUGACGUACGAAGGCGCCUGGAGGGUGCUAUUCAAGGGCACCGAAGCCCCUGCAUCCGCGACUGAAGAUCGCGGAUUUCGCUUGCAGCGCCAAGCCAACGAGGUAAGUGAUUCUACCCCUUUACGGGACACUUGCUUUUCAUAGUUUGACUCUAUGCGGGUUUUAAUUUCCCCUUUUCCUUUGACAGGACUGGAUGAGGAAGGCGGAGCAGAUUAUCUGCCCGGCUCCUAUGCCAGAAAAUCCCGUAGACGCCCGUCUAGCGGGGCUGCUGGUUCCGGCACCGCACGUGGUGCCGGAGAAGAAGGCCAAGAAGGAGGCCACGGGUGCUCGAAAGAGUUCCCGUUUUCAGGUGUCCGACGACUCCGGGGCGGACUCCUCCCCCGAAAACGAGGAGGAGAAAGAGGACUCUCUCCCAGAGGAGGGAGAGAGGAAGAGGAAGGCUUCCCCAAUAGGGGAGGCCGAAGGGUCCAAGAGGGGAAGGACUUUCCCCCGGACAGCUCCGCCAACAUCAACGUUGGCGAGGAAGAAUGGCCUUCAAGGGCCAGGCCUCCGGCGAGAUCGUAAGUAUCCGGAUUACUGAAUGAUUUAUAAUUUCUUUUUCUGCGUGACAUAGUGUCAUUCUGAUGCCGCAUGCUGCCUGUAGUCCGGCCAGUGAUAUUCUCCCCGCUUCAUCGAGCGGGUCGUUGGCUCCGUCGGAUGUAGACUCCAUCCCGACCGCCUCCACCCCUCGCGACAUCGAGGACGCCGAGGUGGGAUCCCAAGAAGGGACCCAUCAGGGGGAGGCUCCGGAGGCGCCACAAGGCGGCCUCCCGGACUUUGCGCCGGACUCCAAAUCAGAACCCGCAGUGGUUCCGGGGUCCGGCCGGCGGCCCCUUCGAAUGAAGGGAAAGACCGUGACGCCGGCGGCUUCCGUCUAACCGGAGGCGCCGGGCAAUUUGUUGGAGGCGCUGCAGAGCGCUUCCAUCGAGGAAGAACACUGCACUAUUAUGAGUGCGGUGAUUCAGAAGGUGCAGCUUGCUAAGAGCGGGCUGACCGAAGCCUGCAGUAGCCUUCUAUCAGGCUUUGAGGUAAGAAGUUAAAAAUAUGCAAUGUAAUACCGCAUAGACAGUAGCCCGUGAUGCUCGGUUCGGUGUUCGGGAAGAAAAGCCGGACUGAGGAUCUAAAAAAAAGGAAGAUAUACGCAGGGUUGCUAAAAAAAUUAUGUCAAUAUGGGUUGUAGGCUGCGCUGCUGACCUCUGCCGCACUGACUGCGGAGGUCGGUGCUUUGAAGCAGGAGCUCGAGCGGUCUGAGCAAGAGCUCGGCCGCGCCAGGAAGCAGCUCCAGGACAAAGAAGGUGAGUAACACCACUUUGAACGUGUACCUUACAGAAAAGGAUUUAGGUUGCAACAAAAAAUAACAAGGAUAACAUGGGUACUGCAGGGGCCACGAACGAGGUGGCAACCCUGAAGGAGGCCGUGUCCGCGGCCGAACACAAUGCGGCCACGGAACGGUCAGAGCGAGAAAAACAGGAGGCGCGGGUGGCGGUGGUUCAGCAAGAGCUCCAGGCUCUCAUGGAAAAGUAUGAGAGUUUGGAGCGUGACUCAAAGACUCGAGAGUCCGAGCUUGCCUCGGCUCUCGAAAGUGCCAAAACUGCCAAGGCCGAUGCCCAUAAGUCCCUUCAGGAGAUUGAGUUGAUGAGGAAGAUAGCGGCGGGUAAGGCGUUUUCAUGCAAAGCAAGCAUGUGAAUGUAAAUUACGUGUUACUUACCCGAAUUCAGAGCUUUCCAGGGGCGUUUGCAGAUCUGCCUCGCAGCGUGUCUGAUGCCGCCGCAUUCUACCGAGCCGAGGAGGGGAGCUCAACGGAGAAGGUCUUCUGGUCUCAGUAUGCUGAGGCCGGCCAUCCGGUGCCCCCUAGCGACCAGCUGAAGCAGCUGGUCGACCUUCACAAGGUGGCCGAGCAGGCCAUGAAGGGCCUCAUACUACGGCUGUGGCCUGGAGAGGCCAUGCCUGGGAGCUACUUCGGCCUCGUGCGACGGCUGGUGGAUGCGUGCCCCUGGGUGGAGGUUAUCAAGCGCUCCGCCUGUAUCGAAGGAGCUCGUCGGGCCCUUGCUCGCGCAAAGGUGCAUUGGGGCAAGCUGGAUGCGGAGAAGCUAAUCACUGACGCGCCGCCAGCGGGCAAGGAAUAUCGUACGCCCGAGAUGUACUAUAAGACUUGUUGUCGUUGUUGUUGUUGUUGUUUUUGUUGUUGCUGUUGUUGUUGUUGUUGUUGUUGUUGUUGUUGUUGCUGUUGUUGAUGUUGCUGUUGUUGCUGCUGCNNNNNNNNNNNNNNNNNNNNNNNNNNNNNNNNNNNNNNNNNNNNNNNNNNNNNNNNNNNNNNNNNNNNNNNNNNNNNNNNNNNNNNNNNNNNNNNNNNNNNNNNNNNNNNNNNNNNNNNNNNNNNNNNNNNNNNNNNNNNNNNNNNNNNNNNNNNNNNNNNNNNNNNNNNNNNNNNNNNNNNNNNNNNNNNNNNNNNNNNNNNNNNNNNNNNNNNNNNNNNNNNNNNNNNNNNNNNNNNNNNNNNNNNNNNNNNNNNNNNNNNNNNNNNNNNNNNNNNNNNNNNNNNNNNNNNNNNNNNNNNNNNNNNNNNNNNNNNNNNNNNNNNNNNNNNNNNNNNNNNNNNNNNNNNNNNNNNNNNNNNNNNNNNNNNNNNNNNNNNNNNNNNNNNNNNNNNNNNNNNNNNNNNNNNNNNNNNNNNNNNNNNNNNNNNNNNNNNNNNNNNNNNNNNNNNNNNNNNNNNNNNNNNNNNNNNNNNNNNNNNNNNNNNNNNNNNNNNNNNNNNNNNNNNNNNNNNNNNNNNNNNNNNNNNNNNNNNNNNNNNNNNNNNNNNNNNNNNNNNNNNNNNNNNNNNNNNNNNNNNNNNNNNNNNNNNNNNNNNNNNNNNNNNNNNNNNNNNNNNNNNNNNNNNNNNNNNNNNNNNNNNNNNNNNNNNNNNNNNNNNNNNNNNNNNNNNNNNNNNNNNNNNNNNNNNNNNNNNNNNNNNNNNNNNNNNNNNNNNNNNNNNNNNNNNNNNNNNNNNNNNNNNNNNNNNNNNNNNNNNNNNNNNNNNNNNNNNNNNNNNNNNNNNNNNNNNNNNNNNNNNNNNNNNNNNNNNNNNNNNNNNNNNNNNNNNNNNNNNNNNNNNNNNNNNNNNNNNNNNNNNNNNNNNNNNNNNNNNNNNNNNNNNNNNNNNNNNNNNNNNNNNNNNNNNNNNNNNNNNNNNNNNNNNNNNNNNNNNNNNNNNNNNNNNNNNNNNNNNNNNNNNNNNNNNNNNNNNNNNNNNNNNNNNNNNNNNNNNNNNNNNNNNNNNNNNNNNNNNNNNNNNNNNNNNNNNNNNNNNNNNNNNNNNNNNNNNNNNNNNNNNNNNNNNNNNNNNNNNNNNNNNNNNNNNNNNNNNNNNNNNNNNNNNNNNNNNNNNNNNNNNNNNNNNNNNNNNNNNNNNNNNNNNNNNNNNNNNNNNNNNNNNNNNNNNNNNNNNNNNNNNNNNNNNNNNNNNNNNNNNNNNNNNNNNNNNNNNNNNNNNNNNNNNNNNNNNNNNNNNNNNNNNNNNNNNNNNNNNNNNNNNNNNNNNNNNNNNNNNNNNNNNNNNNNNNNNNNNNNNNNNNNNNNNNNNNNNNNNNNNNNNNNNNNNNNNNNNNNNNNNNNNNNNNNNNNNNNNNNNNNNNNNNNNNNNNNNNNNNNNNNNNNNNNNNNNNNNNNNNNNNNNNNNNNNNNNNNNNNNNNNNNNNNNNNNNNNNNNNNNNNNNNNNNNNNNNNNNNNNNNNNNNNNNNNNNNNNNNNNNNNNNNNNNNNNNNNNNNNNNNNNNNNNNNNNNNNNNNNNNNNNNNNNNNNNNNNNNNNNNNNNNNNNNNNNNNNNNNNNNNNNNNNNNNNNNNNNNNNNNNNNNNNNNNNNNNNNNNNNNNNNNNNNNNNNNNNNNNNNNNNNNNNNNNNNNNNNNNNNNNNNNNNNNNNNNNNNNNNNNNNNNNNNNNNNNNNNNNNNNNNNNNNNNNNNNNNNNNNNNNNNNNNNNNNNNNNNNNNNNNNNNNNNNNNNNNNNNNNNNNNNNNNNNNNNNNNNNNNNNNNNNNNNNNNNNNNNNNNNNNNNNNNNNNNNNNNNNNNNNNNNNNNNNNNNNNNNNNNNNNNNNNNNNNNNNNNNNNNNNNNNNNNNNNNNNNNNNNNNNNNNNNNNNNNNNNNNNNNNNNNNNNNNNNNNNNNNNNNNNNNNNNNNNNNNNNNNNNNNNNNNNNNNNNNNNNNNNNNNNNNNNNNNNNNNNNNNNNNNNNNNNNNNNNNNNNNNNNNNNNNNNNNNNNNNNNNNNNNNNNNNNNNNNNNNNNNNNNNNNNNNNNNNNNNNNNNNNNNNNNNNNNNNNNNNNNNNNNNNNNNNNNNNNNNNNNNNNNNNNNNNNNNNNNNNNNNNNNNNNNNNNNNNNNNNNNNNNNNNNNNNNNNNNNNNNNNNNNNNNNNNNNNNNNNNNNNNNNNNNNNNNNNNNNNNNNNNNNNNNNNNNNNNNNNNNNNNNNNNNNNNNNNNNNNNNNNNNNNNNNNNNNNNNNNNNNNNNNNNNNNNNNNNNNNNNNNNNNNNNNNNNNNNNNNNNNNNNNNNNNNNNNNNNNNNNNNNNNNNNNNNNNNNNNNNNNNNNNNNNNNNNNNNNNNNNNNNNNNNNNNNNNNNNNNNNNNNNNNNNNNNNNNNNNNNNNNNNNNNNNNNNNNNNNNNNNNNNNNNNNNNNNNNNNNNNNNNNNNNNNNNNNNNNNNNNNNNNNNNNNNNNNNNNNNNNNNNNNNNNNNNNNNNNNNNNNNNNNNNNNNNNNNNNNNNNNNNNNNNNNNNNNNNNNNNNNNNNNNNNNNNNNNNNNNNNNNNNNNNNNNNNNNNNNNNNNNNNNNNNNNNNNNNNNNNNNNNNNNNNNNNNNNNNNNNNNNNNNNNNNNNNNNNNNNNNNNNNNNNNNNNNNNNNNNNNNNNNNNNNNNNNNNNNNNNNNNNNNNNNNNNNNNNNNNNNNNNNNNNNNNNNNNNNNNNNNNNNNNNNNNNNNNNNNNNNNNNNNNNNNNNNNNNNNNNNNNNNNNNNNNNNNNNNNNNAAAAUAAAUAAAUCAAAUGACCCUCUUUUCAAUUCGAGAAAACUCUCAAAUAUGAAAAUAACGAAAUCUCCAACUCUCUCCAAGGGUCCUUGAGUUGCGUGAAAUUUCUAGGAUCGACCAAAAUGCAAGAAAAUAAAAUAUGCAUGAUGAUCUAUUCCAAAUUAAAAAUAAAUUCAAAGGGGCUUUGAAUUUAAUUCUUUGAAACUCCCAACUCAUAUUUCAUAUAAUUUGAAGAAGUCAUUUUAUCUUCUCUCGUGAAAAUCAUUGAGUCGCAUAAAGUUUCAGAAGUGGAAUAUUUCCAAAUGAAAUUCAAUUAUUUUUCAAACACCCUUUUCAUUUUUAAAUGGAAGAAGUCAUGUCAUCUUCUCUCUAAGGUUUUGUGUUUGAAAAGCAUUUGAAUUCAUGGAGAUCAGAAAGCAAAUAUGAAAGUUUGGGAAAGUCCUUUUAUUCCCUCUCAUUUAGCUUUCAAAAGGUUUUGAAUUCACUCACUUUCAGUCAAUCAACCAAGCAAUCAAUCAAAUCUAUCUAUUUGUUUAUAACAUUCCAAAAUUUAGAAUUUUGGGAUGUUACAGGUUUUUGUUGUUGUUGUUGUUGGUGGUGGUGGUGUUGUUGUUGUUGUUGUUGUUGUUGUUGUUGUUGUUGUUGUUGUUGUUGUUGUUGUUGUUGUUGUUGUUGUUGUUGCUGUUGUUGUUGCUGUUGUUGUUGCUGUUGUUNNNNNNNNNNNNNNNNNNNNNNNNNNNNNNNNNNNNNNNNNNNNNNNNNNNNNNNNNNNNNNNNNNNNNNNNNNNNNNNNNNNNNNNNNNNNNNNNNNNNNNNNNNNNNNNNNNNNNNNNNNNNNNNNNNNNNNNNNNNNNNNNNNNNNNNNNNNNNNNNNNNNNNNNNNNNNNNNNNNNNNNNNNNNNNNNNNNNNNNNNNNNNNNNNNNNNNNNNNNNNNNNNNNNNNNNNNNNNNNNNNNNNNNNNNNNNNNNNNNNNNNNNNNNNNNNNNNNNNNNNNNNNNNNNNNNNNNNNNNNNNNNNNNNNNNNNNNNNNNNNNNNNNNNNNNNNNNNNNNNNNNNNNNNNNNNNNNNNNNNNNNNNNNNNNNNNNNNNNNNNNNNNNNNNNNNNNNNNNNNNNNNNNNNNNNNNNNNNNNNNNNNNNNNNNNNNNNNNNNNNNNNNNNNNNNNNNNNNNNNNNNNNNNNNNNNNNNNNNNNNNNNNNNNNNNNNNNNNNNNNNNNNNNNNNNNNNNNNNNNNNNNNNNNNNNNNNNNNNNNNNNNNNNNNNNNNNNNNNNNNNNNNNNNNNNNNNNNNNNNNNNNNNNNNNNNNNNNNNNNNNNNNNNNNNNNNNNNNNNNNNNNNNNNNNNNNNNNNNNNNNNNNNNNNNNNNNNNNNNNNNNNNNNNNNNNNNNNNNNNNNNNNNNNNNNNNNNNNNNNNNNNNNNNNNNNNNNNNNNNNNNNNNNNNNNNNNNNNNNNNNNNNNNNNNNNNNNNNNNNNNNNNNNNNNNNNNNNNNNNNNNNNNNNNNNNNNNNNNNNNNNNNNNNNNNNNNNNNNNNNNNNNNNNNNNNNNNNNNNNNNNNNNNNNNNNNNNNNNNNNNNNNNNNNNNNNNNNNNNNNNNNNNNNNNNNNNNNNNNNNNNNNNNNNNNNNNNNNNNNNNNNNNNNNNNNNNNNNNNNNNNNNNNNNNNNNNNNNNNNNNNNNNNNNNNNNNNNNNNNNNNNNNNNNNNNNNNNNNNNNNNNNNNNNNNNNNNNNNNNNNNNNNNNNNNNNNNNNNNNNNNNNNNNNNNNNNNNNNNNNNNNNNNNNNNNNNNNNNNNNNNNNNNNNNNNNNNNNNNNNNNNNNNNNNNNNNNNNNNNNNNNNNNNNNNNNNNNNNNNNNNNNNNNNNNNNNNNNNNNNNNNNNNNNNNNNNNNNNNNNNNNNNNNNNNNNNNNNNNNNNNNNNNNNNNNNNNNNNNNNNNNNNNNNNNNNNNNNNNNNNNNNNNNNNNNNNNNNNNNNNNNNNNNNNNNNNNNNNNNNNNNNNNNNNNNNNNNNNNNNNNNNNNNNNNNNNNNNNNNNNNNNNNNNNNNNNNNNNNNNNNNNNNNNNNNNNNNNNNNNNNNNNNNNNNNNNNNNNNNNNNNNNNNNNNNNNNNNNNNNNNNNNNNNNNNNNNNNNNNNNNNNNNNNNNNNNNNNNNNNNNNNNNNNNNNNNNNNNNNNNNNNNNNNNNNNNNNNNNNNNNNNNNNNNNNNNNNNNNNNNNNNNNNNNNNNNNNNNNNNNNNNNNNNNNNNNNNNNNNNNNNNNNNNNNNNNNNNNNNNNNNNNNNNNNNNNNNNNNNNNNNNNNNNNNNNNNNNNNNNNNNNNNNNNNNNNNNNNNNNNNNNNNNNNNNNNNNNNNNNNNNNNNNNNNNNNNNNNNNNNNNNNNNNNNNNNNNNNNNNNNNNNNNNNNNNNNNNNNNNNNNNNNNNNNNNNNNNNNNNNNNNNNNNNNNNNNNNNNNNNNNNNNNNNNNNNNNNNNNNNNNNNNNNNNNNNNNNNNNNNNNNNNNNNNNNNNNNNNNNNNNNNNNNNNNNNNNNNNNNNNNNNNNNNNNNNNNNNNNNNNNNNNNNNNNNNNNNNNNNNNNNNNNNNNNNNNNNNNNNNNNNNNNNNNNNNNNNNNNNNNNNNNNNNNNNNNNNNNNNNNNNNNNNNNNNNNNNNNNNNNNNNNNNNNNNNNNNNNNNNNNNNNNNNNNNNNNNNNNNNNNNNNNNNNNNNNNNNNNNNNNNNNNNNNNNNNNNNNNNNNNNNNNNNNNNNNNNNNNNNNNNNNNNNNNNNNNNNNNNNNNNNNNNNNNNNNNNNNNNNNNNNNNNNNNNNNNNNNNNNNNNNNNNNNNNNNNNNNNNNNNNNNNNNNNNNNNNNNNNNNNNNNNNNNNNNNNNNNNNNNNNNNNNNNNNNNNNNNNNNNNNNNNNNNNNNNNNNNNNNNNNNNNNNNNNNNNNNNNNNNNNNNNNNNNNNNNNNNNNNNNNNNNNNNNNNNNNNNNNNNNNNNNNNNNNNNNNNNNNNNNNNNNNNNNNNNNNNNNNNNNNNNNNNNNNNNNNNNNNNNNNNNNNNNNNNNNNNNNNNNNNNNNNNNNNNNNNNNNNNNNNNNNNNNNNNNNNNNNNNNNNNNNNNNNNNNNNNNNNNNNNNNNNNNNNNNNNNNNNNNNNNNNNNNNNNNNNNNNNNNNNNNNNNNNNNNNNNNNNNNNNNNNNNNNNNNNNNNNNNNNNNNNNNNNNNNNNNNNNNNNNNNNNNNNNNNNNNNNNNNNNNNNNNNNNNNNNNNNNNNNNNNNNNNNNNNNNNNNNNNNNNNNNNNNNNNNNNNNNNNNNNNNNNNNNNNNNNNNNNNNNNNNNNNNNNNNNNNNNNNNNNNNNNNNNNNNNNNNNNNNNNNNNNNNNNNNNNNNNNNNNNNNNNNNNNNNNNNNNNNNNNNNNNNNNNNNNNNNNNNNNNNNNNNNNNNNNNNNNNNNNNNNNNNNNNNNNNNNNNNNNNNNNNNNNNNNNNNNNNNNNNNNNNNNNNNNNNNNNNNNNNNNNNNNNNNNNNNNNNNNNNNNNNNNNNNNNNNNNNNNNNNNNNNNNNNNNNNNNNNNNNNNNNNNNNNNNNNNNNNNNNNNNNNNNNNNNNNNNNNNNNNNNNNNNNNNNNNNNNNNNNNNNNNNNNNNNNNNNNNNNNNNNNNNNNNNNNNNNNNNNNNNNNNNNNNNNNNNNNNNNNNNNNNNNNNNNNNNNNNNNNNNNNNNNNNNNNNNNNNNNNNNNNNNNNNNNNNNNNNNNNNNNNNNNNNNNNNNNNNNNNNNNNNNNNNNNNNNNNNNNNNNNNNNNNNNNNNNNNNNNNNNNNNNNNNNNNNNNNNNNNNNNNNNNNNNNNNNNNNNNNNNNNNNNNNNNNNNNNNNNNNNNNNNNNNNNNNNNNNNNNNNNNNNNNNNNNNNNNNNNNNNNNNNNNNNNNNNNNNNNNNNNNNNNNNNNNNNNNNNNNNNNNNNNNNNNNNNNNNNNNNNNNNNNNNNNNNNNNNNNNNNNNNNNNNNNNNNNNNNNNNNNNNNNNNNNNNNNNNNNNNNNNNNNNNNNNNNNNNNNNNNNNNNNNNNNNNNNNNNNNNNNNNNNNNNNNNNNNNNNNNNNNNNNNNNNNNNNNNNNNNNNNNNNNNNNNNNNNNNNNNNNNNNNNNNNNNNNNNNNNNNNNNNNNNNNNNNNNNNNNNNNNNNNNNNNNNNNNNNNNNNNNNNNNNNNNNNNNNNNNNNNNNNNNNNNNNNNNNNNNNNNNNNNNNNNNNNNNNNNNNNNNNNNNUGCUGGUGCUGUUGUUGUUGUUGUUGUUGCUGUUGCUGUUGCUCCUGCUGUUGUUGUUGCUGCUGCUGCUGUUGCUGUUGCUGUUGUUGCUGUUUUUGUCGUCAUCGUCGUCGUCGUCGUCGUUGUGUUGUUGUUGUUGUUGUUGUUGUUGUUGUUGUUGUUGUUGUUGUUGUUGUUGUUGUUGUUGUCGUUGUUGGUUUUGUUGCUGCUGUUGUUGUGAUAAUUGUCUAUUCAUCCCCUCUAGUUAACCAUAUCGAUCUUUUCACAAGGCCUGUGGAUUUCAGGAGGAUAUGCAAAUAACCUUUGAUAUUCGUCCUGAAAAUGAUCUUGAAGAUAAUAUCGACAUUUGGGUGAAUGUGGAUAUGCUUCCAGUUCUACCUCUAUGUGAGUUUGUCAAAUAAAUUAUUGUAGUAAUUUAUACCGUUUAUUUCAAAAUAGUUGACAAUUUACUUUCAAUGACAACUUAUUUCCAUUCUUCAAGAAAUGUACGGAAGGUAGUAGACAAUACCUACUAUAGUUAUGGCUCUGAACUAACUUGAAAGAAGAAAAAUCAUCUUGUCUCAUUUAUUAAUCAUAUUGAGACUUUCAAGAACAAUUAUGAAAUUAGCCCACAUUAUGAUCAAUACGUGCUACUAUUUUUACGUAUUGAACUGCUGUAAUAUCCAUGGAAAUAGCAUGGUAAGAUUUUUAACUAUUAUGUCACCGGUGCAUCUUUGCAUAUAAUAUUCUUAAGCUAAACUACAUUGCUAACUAUAUUAUUAUUUUGUUCUUCAACAGAAAUUCCUGAAGGAUUGUGUGCCUCAUCUGAUGCAUAUGCAAGGUGACCUGAAUUUUAUUAGCUUACGACCAAGUCUGCCAUGGUUCACCGCUGUGCAUACUCGAUUUCUCGAAGAGAUGAAGACAUCACAAUCAAAGGAUGGAGAAAAGUUAUGAAUGAUCACAGGGAGCUACUUGGAGGCAACUGUUGGGGAACGUAGCAGAAAUUCAAAAUUUUCCUACGUGUCACCAAGAUCUAUCUAUGGAGAAACUAGCAACGAGGGGAAGGAGAGUGCAUCUACAUACCCUUGUAGAUCGCUAAGCGGAAGCGUUCAACACAACGGGUUGAAGGAGUCGUACUCGUCAUGAUCCAAAUCACCGGAGAUCCUAGUGCCGAACGGACGGCACCUCCGCGUUCAACACACGUACAGCCCGGUGACGUCUCCCACGUCUUGAUCCAGCAAAGAGAGAGGGAGAGGUUGAGGAAGACUCCGUCCAGCAGCAGCACAACGGCGUGGUGGUGGUGGAGGAGCGUGGCAAUCCUGCAGGGCUUCGCCAAGCACCGCGGGAGAGGAGAAGGGAGAGAGGUAGGGCUGCGCCAAGAGGGAGAAGUUCUCAUAUGUUGGGCAGCCCCAAAACCCCCACUAUUUAUAGGAGGAGGGGAGGUGGCUGCGCCCCCAUCUAGGGUUCCCACCCAAGGGGUGCGGCAGCCCUAGAUGGGACUUGGGGGGGCGGCCAAGAGAGGGAGAGAGGGGGCGCCCCCAAGGGUGGGCCUUUAGGCCCAUCUGCGCCUAGGGUUUCCCCUCUCCCCACCUAGCUGCGCCUUGGGCCAUGUGGGGGGGCGCACCAGCCCACCUGGGGCUGGUCCCCUCCCACACUUAGCCCAUGCAGCCCUCCGGGGAUGGUGGCCCCACUUGGUGGACCCCCGGGACCCUCCCGGUGGUCCCGGUACGUUACUGAAAAAACCCGAAACUUUUCCGGUGACCAAAACCUCACUUCCUAUAUAUUAUUCUUUACCUCCGGACCAUUCCGGAACUCCUCGUGACGUCCGGGAUCUCAUCCAGGACUCCGAACAACAUUCGGUAACCACAUACAAACUUCCUUUAUAACCCUAGCGUCAUCGAACCUUAAGUGUGUAGACCCUACGGGUUCGGGAACCAUGCAGACAUGACCGAGACGUUCUCUGGUCAAUAACCAACAGCGGGAUCUGGAUACCCAUGUUGGCUCCCACAUAUUCCACGAUGAUCUCAUCGGAUGAACCACGAUGUCAAGGACUCAAUCGAUCCCGUAUACAAUUCCCUUUGUCUAGCGGUAUUUAUACUUGCCCGAGAUUCAAUCGUCGGUAUACCGAUACCUUGUUCAAUCUCGUUACCGGUAAGUCUCUUUACUCGUUCCGUAACACAUCAUCCCGUGAUCAACCCCUUGGUCACAUUGUGCACAUUAUGAUGAUGUCCUACCGAGUGGGCCCAGGGAUACCUCUCCGUUUACACGGAGUGACAAAUCCCAGUCUCGAUUCGUGCCAACCCAACAGACACUUUCGGAGAUACCUGUAGUGCACCUUUAUAGCCACCCAGUUACGUUGUGACGUUUGGUACACCCAAAGCAUUCCUACGGUAUCCGGGAGUUGCACAAUCUCAUGGUCUAAGGAAAUGAUACUUGACAUUAGAAAAGCUUUAGCAUACGAACUACGAUCUUUGUGCUAGGCUUAGGAUUGGGUCUUGUCCAUCACAUCAUUCUACUAAUGAUGUGAUCCCGUUAUCAAUGACAUCCAAUGUCCAUGGUUAGGAAACCGUAACCAUCUGUUGAUCAACGAGCUAGUCAAUAGAGGCUUACUAGGGACAUGGUGUUGUCUAUGUACCCACACAUGUAUCUGAGUUUCCUAUCAAUACAAUUAUAGCAUGGAUAAUAAACGAUUAUCGUGAACAAGGAAAUAUAAUAAUAACUAAUUUAUUAUUGCCUCUAGGGCAUAUUUCCAACAGCAACAUGGUGCGAAGCUAACAAAUUGGAGACAGAUGGAUCUCCAUUCUCCAUAAUGGAGAGUCAGGGGCUAUCCUGUUUUAUACUAUUUUACCUUAGAGAGAGUAGCAAGUCCUAGCUAGUACUCGUCAUGUGCUAAGAACAAUAAACUAGCGUUGGUUCUGACUAUCAUGAUGACGAGAAGUUGUUGUUAUUACGAUGAUGAUGAUGAUGAUUAGUUAUGUGCUAGAAUGUUGAGUUGUUAUAUGACUACGAUGAUGAUGAGUAGGACUUAUUAUUAUUAUUAUUAUUAUUAUUAUUAUUAUUAUUAUUAUUAUUAUUAUUAUUAUUAUUAUGAUGAUGAUGAUGAUGAUGAUGAUGAUGAUGAUGAUGAUGAUGAUGAUGAGUUGUUAUUAUGAUCAUGAUGAGUUAUUAUAUUAGUGGGUGAAAGAAACGUGAACUAGAUUCAACUGAUGGAUCCAAAGUGACUAUGUUUGGAUUAGUAUAAUAACUCAUCAUGAUCAUAAUGAUAUAACAAUCUCUAAAAUGCUAUUGUAUCAAAAUUUAUAUAAUGUUGUAUAAAUACAGUAUAAUAUAAAAGAGAAAUGGAAUAUUGAUGAAUAGUAGUAGCGCGGGGUAGGGCACACACUGCUAGUAAAUAGCAGUAGCGCGGGUGGGAACACACGCAGGAGCAUGGGUCAGACCCGCGCUACUGCUAGGGUUUUUCAUAGUAGUGGAGGGUGGAGGCGGCGGCAUGUGACGAAGCGGUGAAGUUUCAUGCGGUUUUUUAACCGCCAAAAAUUUACGGGAAAGACAAUCUCCUCGUAUACUUGCAGGAUGGAGGACGUGUCCGUAAAAACAGUUGGGUUUACUGAAGUUGUUGGAGAGCUUUUUUUGCCCCAACUUCUCGUAAAGAGUAGUUAUUUGAGAUUUACGGGAGUUGUUGGAGUUGCUCUUGAGACCUUAUGUUAGGAUUUCUUGUUUUUUGAUAUCUCGUUGGCACCUAUGAUGACUUCGUAUCUUAAGAUGUUUUGUUAGCUCAAAAGUUUGAAGAUGUUCAUAUGGGUAGAAUUAAUGUGUGUGCGUCUGUGUUAUUUAUAAAAAAAAGUUCAAACAUGUCUUUUACAAAAUAGUCUCCACCGUAAUUUGGUAAGGUCUUGCCGAAUGUCACCGUGAGUGGGAGUGACUGCUGUCUGCUGGCUCCCCGUCCUAGUGCCGCUGCCUCCGCUCCAUGGGAUGGUAGUGAAACCAAAUUUUCUGGAUCUAAGCUAGACACCAACCCUAGAACACGGAAGCCCCCCAUCCGCUUGCGCCGCCGCUGUCUUCUCGGUCUUCACCGGCGGCCGCCUUGACCGGUGGCGCUCACCUCCGUGGCCAGCUUUAGGAUCCCCUUCAGUGGUUCCACAGGUCCCUCCUCCUCCCUCUCCUCUGCCCCAUCUCUGCUCCUUCUUUCGUUUUGUCAUCUGAUAUCCAUGGCAACCUACAGUUACUCACCGUUGCGGAGUAGCCGACGAAAUGGACUCCACGCCGUUGCGAGCAACUUAAGGCCUUGUUCGGUUCCAGAGGGAUUGACAGGUAUUGGCAGGGAUUAAAUCCCAUCUAGUUCAAAUUCCCCCCAAAUCCCCUCCAUUCCACUCCAAUCCACUUGGGGAGUGGCUUAACCGAACAAGGCCUAAGUAUGCAUCUAUCCUGCUUAUUCUCGGUCUUCACCGGCGGCCGCAGUGACCAGUGGCGCUCUCCUCAGUGGCCAGCCUUAGGAUCCCGUUCAUUUUUUUUUUUUAGUGCCUGCUCCUUUUUUUUUAGAAAAGGAGGUCAUCCCCCGGCCUCUCCUCCCUCUCCUCUUCCCCAUCUUUCGUUUGGUUGUCUGAUAACCACGGUAGCCUGCAGUGACUCACUGUUGUGGAGUAGCUGACGAAAUGGACUCCAUGCCUUUGCGAGUUGCGACCACCUUAAGUAUGCAUCUACCCUGCUUAUUCUUGACUUUAUUUUGUACUAUUCCUGAAGAAAAUGUGUAAUCUGGAAAAUAUCAUUGGAUGGACUCUAUUGAAGUGGAUCUGCAUAUGCUGUCCGCAUUUCGUAGUGUUGAACAAUAAUUUCAUAACUAUGCAAGGAGGUGUUAAGCAUGGACGGAGGAUGCAAGGAGGGUUGUCUUUUGUUGAUUUUCGUUUCAAUUCAACGGCGAAUUAAUUGGAUCCGACAGUCGUGUGGCUACGCAAUUCAGCUAGUCGUAAUAUUGGGUCUACUAUCCAUCAGCUGUAAAGUUUCAGCCGAGGGAUAAUAUCGAUGACAGCAUUUCUCUAAGUUUUUGUUUGGGGAUGAAUUAAUACUUGGAAGAAUGAUUUGGUUUUCUGAUUGCAUGUGUUUAACCAUUUUCCUACUUUAUCAAUUUCUGGCCACUAGUAGGCCUCUCCUGAUCUUUACAGUUUCUUUUCCUUGUGUUUUGUAGUUUGACAAAUGGGAACUGCUGAUUAGGGAAUGGGGUGAACUGUCUGUCAGCGGCUCUGUUGAUCUGACUUUCUGCGACUGACUCAAAACGUUGCUGCACUUGAAACAUCAGGAGAUAUCACAUUAUUACAGUGAAGAGCACAUAGAACAAAAAGAUGGAGUUUGUGGUGGGUGCUUCGGAAGCCACAAUGAGAUCUCUGCUAGGCAAGCUGGGUGGCCUCCUUGCCCAGGAGUACACUCUGAUCCGAGGAGUACGGGGAGACAUCCAGUACAUCAAUGAUGAGCUCACCACCAUGCAGGCCUUCCUUGGUGAUGUUAGCUCUGUCCCGGACAGUCAUGAUCGCCGGCUGAAGGACUGGAUGAAGCAGAUCCGUGACAUGGCAUAUGACACAGAGGACUGCAUCGAUGACUUUGCUCACCGCCUCCCUCGUGACUCCCUCGGCGAUGUCCGAUGCUCCUUCAUAGUGACGAUAGUCUAUGAACUAUGGACGUUGGGGCCUCGCCGUGACAUUGCCUCCAAGAUUGCUGAACUCAAGAUCCGGGCACAACAGAUUGCUGAAAGGCGCGGCAGAUACGGAGUGGACAACCCAGGCAACAGUAACAGCAGCAGCUCUGUAGCCGGAGCCCCCCGCAUCACUAGGCAUGACAUUGCUGAGCAUCUGAUGGGUAGCCGUCAGCUCAUCCGUACGGAGAGGCCCGUGGGUGUGGCAGAAGACAUGGAAAAGCUUGGAGAUUGGUUAAAGAAAUGUGAUAAUUCUUCUGGAAAGCAUCGAGCUGUUCUGUCCAUAGUCGGUUUCGGUGGCAUGGGAAAGACCACCAUUGCAACGGCAUUGUACCGAGACUUCAGGAAUGAAUUUGACUGCCGGGCCUCAGUCACUGUUUCCCAGAAUUACGAUGAGGAUGAAGUGCUCAGGGAUAUUCUGAGUCAAAUCAAGCCACAGGACAGCGAACACGACCAACAAGGAAGUAGCAAAGGAGGUUUGGAGGAAAGAAGCCUAGCUACAGAUAUUAAAAGCUCAGUGAAGAGAGUUCUCCCACUGAUCUUUGGCCAAAGGCAGCAGGGCAAUGAUGGCAGCUCUAAAUGGACGCAGAACAAGAUAGAAACGAUGAACCGUGAUCAACUUGUCGAAGAAUUGGAAGGGCGACUGAAUGGAAAGAGGUACGUCUCAACCAUCAUUUUGGAUUUUGUUAAAUACUACAUCUACGCAUUUUUACUUGUCCUAUCAAACUUUUACAAUUUAGCUUCUACUGGAUUUAAGGCUAUCUAGAUUCUAAAAUAGCUAUGUAAAUAUCAUUAUAUUUUGGUUUUUGAUGAAAAAAGAUCAUUAUAUAAUCAGGAAAUAAAACCUGAAUGCAUAAAUAGGUAAGCUAUAAAAAUUAAGCACCCACCAUUGCAUGUAUAUUUCCAUUUCCAAAUAUAUAUACCUAGCUAGGUAAAUAAUGACACAUUUUUUUUCACUAUAUGGUUAUCGCAAAACACAAACUUGAAUAAGCAGACAUUUCUUUUUCUCAUAUGUAUUUAAUUAUCCUAUAAUCUUGGCAGGUAUCUCCUCUUGAUUGAUGACAUAUGGUCUGCAGAAACAUGGGAUAAGAUCAGAAGUUGGUUGCCACGUGAGAAUACAAAAGAUAGUAGAGUAAUAGUGACUACAAGAUUUCAAGCUGUGGGUGCGGCUUGCUCCGAAGGAAAUGUAACUGAUCAUCUGCAUACAGUUGAUGCCCUUAGUGGUACCGACUCCAGAAAUUUGUUUUAUCACAGUGUUUAUGAAUCCAAAAAUAGCAAGAAAGUACAGGUGCAUGAGGACAUAUGGAAAUAUUGUGGGGGGCUGCCUUUGGCGAUAGUUAGCAUGGCCGGUCUUGUCGCAUGCAACCCCAAAAAACAAAAUGAUCACUGGAGUACAGUUUGCAAGUCAUUAUUUCCAGAGCAGGUGGCUCCACUUACCCUGGAUGGUGUCACAACAAUACUCGAUUAUUGCUACAAUGAUUUGCCUGCAGACCUCAAGACCUGUUUAUUGUACUUGAGCAUAUUUCCAAAGGGUUGGAAAAUUAGCAGGAAGCGUUUGACAAGGCGUUGGAUAUCUGAAUGCUUUGUCAGUGGGAAGCAAGGGCUGACCGCGGAUGAAGUUGCAGAGACAUACUUUAAUCAGCUCAUAAGAAGGAAGAUAAUACACCCUUUGGAGCACAGCAGCAAUGGGAAGGUAAAAUCGUUCAAAGUUCAUGACAUGAUCCUUGAAUACAUCGUGUCCAAGUCAAGUGAAGAGAAUUUCAUUACUGUUGUUGGUGGCCACUGGCUGAUGCCAGCACCUGGCAAUAAAGUCCGUCGACUCUCGAUGCAGAGCAGUGGUUCCAAGCAUGGGAAUUCGACAAAAGGCAUGAACUUGUCUCAAGUGCGAUCACUGACUGUAUUUGGAAGCAUGAACAAGCUGCCUUUCCAUUCAUUCAAUAAUGGGAUAAUUCAAGUGUUGGAUCUCGAGGGUUGGAAGGGUUUGACACAUAACCAUCUGAAUGACAUAUGUCGAAUGCUUGUACUGAAGUAUUUGAGCCUCCGAAGAACAGAGGUUGCGAAGAUUCCCUCCAAGAUUGAGAAGCUUCAGUAUCUAGAAACUCUUGAUGUAAGGGAGACAAAUGUUGGCGUCCUGCCCAAAGCUUUCGGCCAGCUCCAACGGCUCCGCAGCAUGUUCGGAGGGAGUAAAAACCCACGGAAGGCGUUAAAAUUGCCUCAAGAGAAAAAUAAGGUGCAAAUGAAAGCACUUCGUAUACUGUCAGGGAUUGAGAUCACCGAGCGCUCAACAGGUGUAGCAAGCCUCCAUCAGCUCACCGGGCUAAAGAAACUUGCCAUUUACAAGCUGAACAUAGAGAAGGAUGGACCGACCUCCACACAAUUGCGCUCCUCUAUUGGGUAUCUCUGCAGCUGCGGCCUGCAGACUCUAGCAAUCAAUGAUGAGAGUUCUGGUUUUAUCAACACACUGGAUUCCAUGCCCGCUCCUCCAAGAUACCUCAUCGCCCUCGAGCUGUCGGGAAAAUUGGAAAGAGCUCCAAAGUGGACUGAGAAUCUCAAAACUCUAUACAAGCUAACCCUUUCCGUGACAGUUCUCCGUGCUGAUACUUUGGAGCUCCUCUGCGACCUACCUAAGCUGUUCUGUCUCACCUUCUCACUCAAUGCAGCGAAGCAGCACGAGGAGGACGUAGAGGACAUGCUUCAGGAAAAUAAACGCCUCGGUGGUGGGGAGAUCGUUGUUCCACCUGGAGGUUUCAAGAGCCUGAAGCUGCUUCGCUUCUUUGCAACUGUCGUGCCUAGGGUGACAUUUGCAGCGGAGGCAAUGCCAGCAGUUGAGAGGAUCGAUAUGCGGUUCCAAGCCUUUGAAGGGGUUUACGGCAUCGACAGACUUAAAAGUAUCCAGGAGGUGCAUCUCAGCGUUGACAAUCAAGCAGAUGAAGCAACCAAAUACUUGGUUGGAUAUCUGAAGAAAAACACACACAAGCCAAAAAUAAUCACUGAUUGAAGGACUUAUAUUGUCACUCGGAGGCUCGGAGCGCGCUCCAGCUGUACUGGUCCUCCCUUUGCGACAGAGGAUAUGACAUGUGGUUCAUCAUCGAAGUCAGGUUCUCUACGACAUGGAUUUGAGUGUGACUGUUUUCUUCCAAAUAAAAAUUACGUUGAUCUUAUUGCGUCCUAUUCAAAUUUGUAGUAUUGUGUACUAUCGUUUCCAGACCUUUUGCUUUUAUUAAGUGGAGACUGUUCCAUAAACUCUGGAUUGUACUGUGGCCGGCUGUAAAAAAGCUGAGACUGCAUCCUACCAUCUCGAUACUGCUUGCAUUAUGGAUUCUUUCUGUAGUGUCUGACUGAAUUUGCAAUAUGUAUGCCAUGUUGUACUUUUGCUUCCAUUAGCGACUGCCUUUAUUUCAUACUUAUAUUGUGUUUUACCGGGAUCUUUGUUUUCACAUCCAUCACUGAAAAAUCGUUACUCCAUUUGAAAGCUUAUCAUAUACUAAGAAUUAACCUCCAUUUGCAGAUCAUAAAGUAUGAUCCAUGUGCUGAUCUUUAUGUUCAUUGAUUGCAUAAACUAGGCAAACCACAUUUGGAGUAUGUAUGAAGUAUUUUUCUACACCUGGUCUUUCUGUGCUUACUUGUUGAUCCUCGUAGCAGUGAUAAUAACGUCAGAUCCAAGUUAAUUCUGUCUGUUUAGUUAUAAAGAGAACUUGAAAGUAUAUUUCACCUACUUUAAUUCUGAACUUUGUCCCUUGCAUACAUGUUGUUAAUUAAUGAUCGAUGCUAGUGUACUGUUAACCUCAUGGUCUUUGAUUACUGUCAAAUGUAAAACUGUGUCUCAUGGUCUUUGCUGACUGAAAUAUCGUAGAGUUCAUCCUGUGUAUUGUUCAAGAUGGUCGAUGCUUAGAAUAUUGGUACAGAAGCCACAAAAGCAGAAAGCGGGCAUAUGCAGACUCCUGUGGGCUGCCACAUUAUUCCGCAAGAAUUGUGCUGAAAUGUAUAUCCCCUUCUCCUGGCCCGUGCACUACUGAUUACCAACGAUCGAUCAUUAGAAAGACAGACCAAAAUGGCAGAGUGAGCACACAGGUAAUGGCUUUAAUCAGUCUCAUAAAUCUGGGCCUGCGAGUGAUCCACCAGUUGUGUCAGCUUAAAUUUGCUGUAGGUGAGAGCUAACGGCGCACAUUACCUGUGUGCUGGAGUAGGAAUGUGUUUUGUGCUGGAGCAAGUGCAGAGUAGGGUUGCAGUUUUCUUGCAACUGUUGCCAAGCUGAGCUAUGUAAGCUCACGAAAUUCAGUGGUCCUUGUGUGUCUCCUCUGCUUUGCUACUCUGUUUCCUCUCUGCUCUGCUCUUGCUAACCGCUUUACUACUCUGUUUCCUCUACUCUGCCUGCUCUUGCUAAUUUCUUUCAGUUCAGGCCCUAGGGCUACUCUGCUUCCUCUGUGCGCGCGCGUCCACAGUCCACACACAGGCCGAGCGAGGUGGUGUGUCAGAUGCUCGCAACUAUACUCAGCAUGCAACGUACAACUGUUGUGCCGUCGACUGUCCAAAGAAGGCACGCGUUAUAGUCGUUUGUUGUAUAUUCGAAUGACAUUGAUUCACAUAAUAUUUCUUAGAUUGGCAUUUCAAAAUUACUGAAGAUUACCUGCUAGCAUCCAUUCCUCUAUCGAAGAAGAGAAGAGCACAUACAAAAAAAAAAAAUUGGCACGGUAAUGCACAUACUGUGCCAGACAUGCUCGAGCAACGACCAAAGUACACGGCCGAACGAUACAAAAUGGAGAGGUAGCCCUCUAACAAAGCAAAUCCUGGGAUCUCUGUACCAUCCAGAGACUACGCUAUCAUAGAAGAACAAAGGGAGGCCUGAGUACAACGCCAUGCCAUGUCCUAGCAGACCUAGGCUCCAUGACGCCCUCAGGAGGGAGAACAGGCGCAGAGCGUCGCCGCUACCGAGUCCAGAAUAGACAAGGGUCUUGACCCGAAGCCCGGACAUGGAGAGGAGAACCACAACAAUGUCUUGUGGAAGAUAGAAGCUUCCGCGAGCGUCGCCUCAUCGGAGCCAUAGCGCGGAGCUUUCGCACAACACCUUACCCAUGUCAUUGAAGGAAAUAUGCCCUAGAGGCAAUAAUAAAGUUGUUAUUUAUAUUUCCUUAUAUCAUGAUAAAUGUUUAUUAUUCAUGCUAGAAUUGUAUUAACCAAAAACUUAGUACAUGUGUGAAUACAUAGACAAAACAAAGUGUCCCUAGUAUGCCUCUACUUGACUAGCUCGUUAAUCAAAGAUGGUUAUGUUUCCUGACUAUAGACAUGUGUUGUCAUUUGAUGAACGGGAUCACAUCAUUAGAAAAUAAUGUGAUUGACAAGACCCAUCUGUUAGCUUAGCAUAAUGAUCGAUAAGUUUUAUUGCUACCGCUCUCUUCAUGACUUAUACAUGUUCCUCUGACAAUGAGAUUAUGCAACUCCCGAAUACCGAGGAACACCUUGUGUGCUAUCAAACUUCACAACGUAACUGGGUGCUCUACAGGUGUCUCCAAAGAUGUUUGUUGGGUUGGCAUAGAUCGAGAUUAGGAUUUGUCACUCCGUGUAUUGGAGAGGUAUCUCUGGGCCCUCUCGGUAAUGCUCAUCACUAUAAGCCUUGCAAGCAAUGUGAUUAAUGAGUUAGUUAUGGGAUGAAACAUUACGGAACGAGUAAACAGACUUUUUGGUAAUGAGAUUGAACUAGUUAUGAAGACACCGACGAUCGAAUCUCGGGCAAGUAACAUACCGAUGACAAAGGGAACAACGUAUGUUGUUGUGCGGUUUGAUCGGCGAAGGUAGAAAUCAAGAAAAGAGCAUCAAGUGUUGAUGGUUAACAAUAUCACUAGUUUCAAGAAAAAGGCAAAGGGAAAAGAAGGGGAACUUCAAGAAGAACGGCAAGCAAGUUGCUGCUCAAGUGAAGAAACCCAAGUCUGGUCCUAAGCCUGAGACUAAGUGCUUCUACUGCAAAGAGACUGGUCACUGGAAGCGGUACUACCCCAAGUGAUUGGCGGAUAAGAAGGAUGGCAAAGUGAACAUAAGUAUAUUUGAUAUACAUGUUAUUGAUGUGUACUUUACUAGUGUUUAUAGCAACCCCUCAGUAUUUGAUACUAGUUCAGUUGCUAAGAUUAGUAACUCGAAACGGGAGUUGCAGAAUAAACAGAGACUAGUUAAGGGUGAAGUGACGAUCUGUGUUGGAAAUAGUUCCAAGAUUGAUAUGAUCAUCAUCGCACACUCCCUAUACUUUCAGGAUUAGUGUUAAACCUAAAUAAUUGUUAUUUGGCGUUUACGUUGAGCAUGAAUAUGAUUUGAUCAUGUUUAUUGCAAUACGGUUAUUCAUCUAAGUUAGAGAACAAUUGUUGUUUUGUUUACAUGAAUAAAAACCUUCUAUGGUCAUACACACCAACGAAAAUGGUUUGUUGUAUCUCGAUCGUAGUGAUACACAUAUUCAUAAUAUUGAAGCCAAAAGAUGCAAAGUUAAUAAUGAUAGUGCAACUUAUUUGUGGCACUACCGUUUGGGUCAUAUCGGUGUAAAGCGCAUGAAGAAACUCCAUAAAGAUGGAUUUUCGGAAUCACUUGGUUAUGAAUCAUUUGAUGCUUGCGAACCGUGCCUUUUGGGCAAGAUGACUAAAACCCCGUUCUCCGGAACAAUGGAGAGAGCAACAGAUUUGUUGGAAAUCAUACAUAUUGAUGUAUGUGGUCCGAUGAAUAUUAAGGCUCACGACAAGUAUCAUUAUUUUCUGACCUUCACAGAUGAUUUGAGCAGAUAUGGGUAUAUCUACUUGAUGAAACAUAAGUCUGAAAUAGUUGAAAUGUUCAAAGAAUUUCAGAGUGAAGUGGAAAAAUCAUCGUAACAAGAAAAUAAAAUUUCUGCGAUCUGAUCACGGAGACGAAUAUUUGAGUUACGAGUUUGGUCUUCAAUUAAAACAAUGUGGAAUAGUUUCACAGCUCACGCCACCUGGAACACCACAACGUUAUGGUGUGUCCGGACAUCGUAACCGCACUUUAUUGAUAUGGUGCGAUCUAUGAUGUCUCUUACUGAUUUACCACUAUUGUUUUGGGGUUAUGCAUUAGAGACAACUGCAUUCACGUUAAAAGGGCACCAUCUAAAUCCGUUGAUACGACACCAUAUGAACUGUGGUUUAGCAAGAAACCCAAGUUGUUGUUUCUUAAAGUUUGGGGUUGCGAUGCUUAUGUGAAAAAGUUUCAUCCUGAUAAGCUCAAACCCAAAUCGGAGAAGUGUGUCUUCAUAGAAUACCCAAAGGAAACUGUUGGGUACACCUUCUAUCACAGAUCCGAAGGCAAGAUAUUCGUUGCUAAAAAUGGAUCCUUUCUAGAGAGAGUUUCUCUCGAAAGAAGUGAGUGGGAGGAAAGUAGAGCUUGAUAAGGUAAUUUGUACCUUCUCCCGAAUUGGAAAGUAGUUCAUCACAGAAAUCAGUUCCAAUGAUUCCUACACCAAUUAGUGAGGAAGCUAAUGAUGAUGAUCAUAAAGCUUCAGAUCAAGUUACUACCAAACUUUGUAGAUCUUCCAGAUUAAGAUCCGCACCAGAGUGGUACGGUAAUCCUAUUCUGGAAGUCAUGUUAAUAGACCAUGAUGAACCUACGAACUACGAGGAAGCGAUGAUGAGCCCAGAUUCCGCGAAAUGGCUUGAGGCCAUGAAAUCUGAGAUGGGAUCCAUGUAUGAGAACAAAGUAUGGACUUUGAUUGACUUACUCGAUGAUCAGCAAGCCAUGUUAAAUAAAUGGAUCUUCAAGAGGAAGACGGACACUGAUAGUAGUGUUACUAUCUACUAAGCUUGACUUGUUGCGAAAGGUUUUCGACAAGUUCAAGGUGUUGAAUACGAUGAGAUUUUCUCACUCGUAUCGAUGCAUAAGUCUGUCCGAAUCAUGAUAGCAAUUGCCACAUUUUAUGAAAUCUGGCAAAUGGAUGUCAAAACUGCAUUCCUCAAUGGAUUCUUUAAAGAAGAGUUGUAUAUGAUGCAACCAGAAAGUUUUGUCAAUCCUAAAGGUGCUAACAAAAUGUGCAAGCUCCAGCGAUCCAUCAAUGGACUGGUGCAAGCAUCUCGGAGUUGGAAUAUACGCUUUGAUGAGUUGAUCAAAGCAUAUGGUUUUAUACAGACUUUUGGAAAGGCCUGUAUUUUCAAGAAAGUGAGUGGGAGCUAUGUAGCAUUUCUGAUAUUACAUGUGCAAGACAUAUUGUUGAUUGGAAAUGAUAUAGAACUUCUGGAUAGCAUAAAAGGAUACUUGAAUAAAAGUUUUUCAAUGAAAGACCCCGGUGAAGCUGCUUACACAUUGAGCAUCAAGAUCUAUAAGAUAGAUCAAGACGCUUGAUAAGAUUUUUCAAUGAGUACAUACCUUGACAAGAUUUUGAGGCAGUUCAAUAUGGAACAGUCAAAGAAAGAGUUCUUGCCUGUGUUGCAAAGGUGUGAAAUUGAGUAAGACUCAAAUCCCGACCACGGCAGAAAAUAGAAAAGAGAAUAAAAGUCAUUCCCUAUGCCUCAGUCGUAGGUUCUAUAAAGUAUGCUAUGCUAUGUACCAGACCUAUUGUAUACCUUGCUCUAAAUUUGACAAGGGAGUACAAUAGUGAUCUAGGAGUAGAUCACUGGACAUUGGUCAAGAAUAUCCUUAGUGAGGACUAAGGAGAUGUUUCUCGAUUAUGGAGAUGAUAAUAGAGCCCGUCGUAAAAGUUACAACGAUGCAAGCUUUUACACCAAUCCAGAUGACUCUAAGUCUCAAUCUGGAUACAUAUUGAAAGUGGGAGCAAUUAGCUAGAGUAGCUCCGUGCAGAGCAUUGUGGACAUAGAAUAUUUGCAAAAUACAUACGGCUCUGAAUAUGACAGACCCGUUGACUAAACUUCUCUCACAAGCAAAACAUGAUCAUACCUUAGUACUCUUUGGGUGUUAAUCACAUAGCGAUGUGAACAAACCCUUUGCGUGUUGAUCACAUGAUGAUGUGAACUAUGGGUAUUAAUCACAUACAGAUGUGAAUAUUGGUGUUAAAUCACAUGGCGAUGUGAACUAGAUUAUUGACUCUAGUGCAAGUGGGAGACUGAAGGAAAUAUGCCCUAGAGGCAAUAAUAAAGUUAUUAUUUAUUUCCUUAUUUCAUGAUAAAUGUUUAUUAUUCAUGCUAGAAUUGUAUUAACCGGAAACAUGAUACAUGUGUGAAUACAUAGACAAACAUAUAGUCACUAGUAUGCCUCUACUUGACUAGCUCAUUAAUCAAAGAUGGUUAUGUUUCCUAACCAUAGACAUGUGUUGUCAUUUGAUUAGUGGGAUCACAUCAUUAGAAGAAUGAUGUGAUUGACAUGACCCAUUCCGUUAGCCUAGCACUUGAUCGUUUAGUAUGUUGCUAUUGCUUUCUUCAUGACUUAUACAUGUUCCUAUAACUAUGAGAUUAUGCAACUCCCGUUUACCGGAGGAACACUUUGGGUACUACCAAACAUCACAACGUAACUGGGUGAUUAUAAAGGAGUACUACAGGUGUCUCCGAAGGUACAUGUUGAGUUGGCGUAUUUCGAGAUUAGGUUUUGUCACUCCGAUUGUCGGAGAGGUAUCUCUGGGCCCUCUCGGUAAUGCACAUCACUAUAAGCCUUGCAAGCAAUGUAACCAAUGAGUUGGUUACGGGAUGAUGCAUUACAUAACGAGUAAAGAGACUUGUCGGUAACGAGAUUGAACUAGGUAUUGGAUACCGACGAUCAAAUCUCGGGCAAGUAACAUACCGAUGACAAAGGGAACAACGUAUGUUGUUAUGCGGUUUGACCGAUAAAGAUCUUCAUAGAAUAUGUAGGAACCAAUAUGGGCAUCCAGGUCCCGCUAUUGGUUAUUGACCGAGAAUAGUUCUAGGUCAUGUCUACAUAGUUCUCGAACCCGUAGGGUCCGCACGCUUAACGUUUCGUUGACGAUAUAGUAUUAUAUGAGUUAUGCAUGUUGGUAACCGAAUGUUGUUCGGAGUCCCGGAUGAGACCAUGGACAUGACAAGGAACUCCGGAAUGGUCCGGAGAUAAAGUUUGAUAUAUGGGAUAAUAGUGUUUGAUCUCCGGAAGGGUUCCGGAAUUCACUGGAAGGGGUUCCGGAUGUUUCCCGAAAUGUUUGGGUACGAGAACACGUUAUUUGGCCCAAAGGGGAAAGCCCACAAGGUUUUUGGAAAGCGCAAAAGGAAGUUUUGCAGAGUCCAGGGGCCAGACGCCAGGGUCCCUGGCGUCUGGGUCCAGACGUCGGGAACCCUGGCGUCUGGCCCUGGAGUCCGAGAAGGACUCUUGCCUUUCGGGUGAAACCGACUUUGUGGAGGCUUUUACUCCAAGUUUCGACCCCAAGGCUCAACAUAUAAAUAGAGGGGCAGGGCUAGCACCAAAGACACAUCAAGAAACACCAAGCCGUGUGCCGGCAACCCCGUCCCCUCUAGUUUAUCCUCCGUCAUAGUUUCCGUAGUGCUUAGGCGAAGCCCUGCGGAGAUUGUUCUUCACCAACACCGUCACCACGCCGUCGUGCUGCCGGAACUCAUCUACUACUUCGCCCGUCUUGCUGGAUCGAGAAGGCGAGGACGUCAUCGAGCUGAACGUGUGCAGAACUCGGAGGUGCCGUGCGUUCGGUACUUGGAUCGGUCGGAUCGUGAAGACGUACGACUACAUCAACGGCGUUGAUAAACGCUUCCGCUUAGCGAUCUUCAAGGGUAUGAAGAUACACUCCCCCUCUCGUUGCUAUACCAUCACCAUGAUCUUGCGUGUGCGUAGGAAUUUUUUUGAAAUUACUAUGUUCCCCAACACCCUGGUGGCCGGCCUCCUCCUCCCACCUUUAUAUAUGGGGGCAGGGGGCACACCAAAUGGGACAACAUUGUCUUACCCAUGUGCGGUGCCCCCCUCCACCGUUGACUCCUCCGAUAGUAUCAUUGUAGUGCUUGUUGGGGAACGUUGCAGAAAAUAAAUUUUUUCUAUGCUUCACCAAGAUCAAUCUAUGGAGUCAUCUAGCAACGAGAGAGAGGAGUGCAUCUACAUACCCUUGUAGAUCACGUGCGGAAGCGUUCAAGAGAACGGGGUUGAGGGAGUCGUACUCGUCGUGAUCCAAAUCACCAGAGAUCCUAGCGCCGAACGGACGGCACCUCCGCGUUCAACACACGUACGGUUGGGGAAGACGUCUCCUCCUUCUUGAUACAGCAAGGGGAAGGGAGAGGUUGAUGGAGAUCCAGCAGCACAACGGUGUGGUGGUGGAAGUAGCGGUGAUCUCGGCAGGGCUUCGCCAAGCUCAGCGAGAAGGAGAGGUGGUACGGAGGGAGAGGAAGGCGCCAGGAGCAGGGGUGCGAAGCCCUCCCUUCCCCCUCUUUAUAUAGGGGCCCUGGGGUGCGCCGGCCCCCUAGAGAUUGGAUCUCAAGGGGGGGGGGGGCGGCCAAGGGGGUGGCUUGCCCCCCAAGCCAAGUGGGGCGCCCUCCACCCCUAGGGUUUCCAACCCUAGGCGCAGGGGGAGGCCCAAGGGGGGCCCUAGGGUUUCCAACACCAGGGGCUGGUUCCCCUCCCCACUUCAGCCCAUGGGGCCCUCCGGGAUAGGUGGCCCCACCCGGUGGACCCCAGGACCCUUCCGGUGGUCCCGGUACAAUACCGGUGACCCCCGAAACUUUCUCGAUGGCCGAAACUGGACUUCCUAUAUAUAAUUCUUCACCUCCGGACCAUUUCAGAACUCCUCGUGAUGUCCGGCAUCUCAUCCGGGACUCCGAACAACUUUCGGGUUGCCGCAUACUAGUAUCUCUACAAUCCUAGCGUCACCGAACCUUAAGUGUGUAGACCCUACGGGUUCGGGAGACAUGCAAACAUGACCGAGACGACUCUCCGGCCAAUAACCAACAACAGGAUCUGGAUACCCAUGUUGGCUCCCACAUGUUCCACGAUGAUCUCAUCGAAUGAACCACGAUGUCGAGGAUUCAAGUAAUCCCGUAUACAAUUCCCUUUGUCAAUCGGUACGUUACUUGCCCGAGAUUCGAUCGUUGGUAUCCCAAUACCUCGUUCAAUCUCGUUACCGGCAAGUCACUUUACUUGUACCAUAAUGCAUGAUCCCGUGACCAACCACUUAGUCACUUUGAGCUCACUAUGAUGAUGUAUUACCGAGUGGGCCUAGAGAUACCUCUCCGUCAUACGGAGUGACAAACCCCAGUCUCGAUCCGUGUCAACCCAACAGACACUUUUGGAGAUACCUGUAGUAUACCUUUAUAGUCACCCAGUUGCGUUGUGACGUUUGGUACACCCAAAGCACUCCUACGGCAUCCGGGAGUUACACGAUCUCAUGGUCUAAGGAAAUGAUACUUGACAUCGGAAAAGCUGUAGCAAACGAACUACAUGAUCUUGUGCUACGCUUAGGAUUGGGUCUUGUCCAUCACAUCAUUCUCCCAAUGAUGUGAUCCCGUUAUCAAUGACAUCCAAUGUCCAUGGUCAGGAAACCGUGACCAUCUAUUGAUAAACAAGCUAGUCAACUAGAGGCUCACUAGGGACAUGUUGUGGUCUAUGUAUUCACACAUGUAUUACGAUUUCCGGAUAACACAAUUAUAGCAUGAAUAAUAGACAAUUAUCAUGAACGAGGAAAUAUAAUAAUAACCAUUUUAUUAUUGCCUCUAGGGCAUAUUACCAAAAGUCUCCCACUUGCACUAGAGUCAAUAAUCUAGUUACAUUGUGAUGAAUCGAACACCCAUAGAGUUCUGGUGUUGAUCAUGUUUUGCUCGCGGAAGAGGUUUAGUCAACGGAUCUGCGACAUUCAGAUCCGUAUGCACUUUGCAAAUAUCUAUGUCUCCAUCUUGAACAUUUUCACGAAUGGAGUUGAAGCGACGCUUGAUGUGCCUGGUCUUCUUGUGAAACCUGGGCUCCUUGGCAAGGGCAAUAGCUCCAGUGUUGUCACAGAAGAGGGUGAUUGGCCCCGACGCAUUGGGUAUGACUCCUAGGUCGGUGAUGAACUCCUUCAUCCAGAUUGCUUCAUGCGCUGCUUCCGAGGCUGCCAUGUACUCCGCUUCACAUGUAGAUCCCGCCACGAUGCUUUGCUUGCAACUACACCAGCUUACUGCCCCACCAUUCAAAAUAUACACGUAUCUGGUUUGUGACUUAGAGUAAUCCAGAUCUGUGUCGAAGCUAGCGUCGACGUAACCCUUUACGAUGAGCUCUUUGUCACCUCCAUAUACGAGAAACAUAUCCUUAGUCCUUUUCAGGUACUUCAGGAUAUUCUUGACCGCUGUCCAGUGUUCCAUGCCGGGAUUACUUUGGUACCUUCCUACCAAACUUAUGGCAAGGUUUACAUCAGGUCUGGUACACAGCAUGGCAUACAUGAUAGACCCUAUGGCUGAGGCAUAGGGGACGACACUCAUCUUUUCUCUAUCUUCUGCCGUGGUCGGACAUUGAGCCGAGCUCAAUUUCACACCUCUCAACACAGGCAAGAACCCCUUCUUGGACUGAUCCAUAUUGAACUUCUUCAAUAUCUUAUCAAGGUAUGUGCUUUGUGAAAGACCUAUGAGGCGUCUCGAUCUAUCUCUAUAGAUCUUGAUGCCUAAUAUGUAAGCAGCUUCUCCAAGGUCCUUCAUUGAAAAAUUCUUAUUCAAGUAGGCCUUAAUGCUGUCCAAAAGUUAUAUAUCAUUUCCCAUCAAAAGUAUGUCAUCCACAUAUAAUAUGAGAAAUGCUACAGAGCUCCCACUCACUUUCUUGUAAACGCAGGCUUCUCCAUAAGUCUGCAUAAAUGCUUUGAUCAUUUCAUUAAAGCGAAUGUUCCAACUCUGAGAUGCUUGCACCAGCCCAUAGAUGGAGCGCUGGAGCUUGCAUACCUUGUUAGCAUUCUUAGGAUCGACAAAACCUUCGGCUGCAUCAUAUACAGUUCUUCCUUAAGAUGGCCGUUAAGGAAUGCCGUUUUGAUGUCCAUUUGCCAUAUCUCAUAAUCAUAGUAUGUGGCAAUUGCUAACAUGAUUCAGACGGACUUCAGCUUUGCUACGGAAGAGAAAGUCUCAUCGUAGUCAACCCCUUGAACUUGUCGAUAACCCUUAGCGACAAGUCGAGCUUUAUAGAUGGUAACAUUACCAUCCGCGUUCGUCUUCUUCUUAAAGAUCCAUUUGUUUUCUAUCGCUCGCCGAUCAUCGGGCAAGUCUGUCAAAGUCCACACUUUGUUUUCAUACAUGGAUCCUAUCUUGGAUUGCAUGGCUUCAAGCCAUUGGUUGGAAUCUGGGCCCGCCAUUGCUUCUUCAUAGUUCGAAGGUUCACCGUUGUCUAACAACAUGAUUUCUAGGACAGGGUUGCCAUACCACUCUGGUGUGGAAUGUGUCCUCGUGGACCUACGAAGUUCAGUAGUAACUUGAUUUGAAGUACCUUGAUCAUCAUCAUUAGCUUCCUCUCUAGUCAGUGCACGCACGACAGGAACAGCUUCCUGAGCUGCGCUACUUUUUGGUUCAAGAGGUAGUACUUCAUCAAGUUCCACUUUCCUCCCACUUACUUCUUUCGAGAGAAACUAUUUCUCCAGAAAGGACCUAUUCUUGGCAGCAAAGAUCUUGCCUUCGGAUCUGAGGCAGAAGGUAUACCCAAUGGUUUCCUUAGGGUAUCCUAUGAAGACGCAUUUUUUCGACUUGGGUUCGAGCUUUUCAGGUUGAAGUUUCUUGACAUAAGCAUCGCAUCCCCAAACUUUUAGAAACGACAGCUUAGGUUUCUUCCCAAACCAUAAUUCAUACGGUGUCGUCUCAACGGAUUUAGACGGUGCCCUAUUUAAAGUGAAUGUAGCUGUCUCUAGAGCGUAUCCCCAAAAUGAUAGCGGUAAAUCGGUGAGUGACAUCAUAGAUCGCACCAUAUCCAAUAGAGUGCGAUUACGAUGUUCGGACACACCGUUACGCUGAGGUGUUCCAGGCGGCAUGAGUUGUGAAACGAUUCCACAUUUCCUUAAGCGAGUACCAAAUUCGUGACUUAAAUAUUCUCCCAAAUGAUCUGAUCGUAAGAACUUUAUCUUUCGGUCACUUUGAUUCUCUACCUCAUUCUGAAAUUCCUUGAACUUUUCAAAGGUCUCAGACUUGUGUUUCAUCAAGUAGACAUACCCAUAUCUACUCAAGUCAUCAGUGAGAGUGAGAACAUAAUGAUAUCCUCCAGGAGCCUCAACGCUCAUUGGACCGCACACAUCAGUAUGUAUGAUUUCCAAUAAGUUGGUUGCUCGCUCCAUUGUUUCGGAGAACGGAGUCUUGGUCAUUUUGCCCAUAAGGCAUGGUUCACACGUGUCAAAUGAUUCAUAAUCAAGAGACUCCAAAAGUCCAUCAGCAUGGAGCUUCUUCAUGCGUUUGACACCAAUGUGACCAAGGCGGCAGUGCCACAAGUAUGUGGGACUAUCGUUAUCAACUUUACAUAUUUUGGUAUUCACUCUAUGAAUAUGUGUAACAUCACGUUCGAGAUUCAUUAAGAAUAAACCAUUGACCAGCGGGGCAUGACCAUAAAACAUAUCUGUCAUAUAAAUAGAACAACCAUUAUUCUCGGAUUUAAAUGAGUAGCCAUCUCGUAUUAAACGAGAUCCAGAUACAAUGUUCAUGCUCAAAGCUGGCACUAAAUAACAAUUAUUGAGGUUUAAAACAAAUCCCAUAGGUAAAUGUAGAGGUAGCGUGCCGACGGCGAUCACAUCGACCUUGGAACCAUUCCCGACGCGCAUCGUCACCUCGUCCUUCGCCAGUCUCCGCUUAUUCCGUAGCUCCUGCUUUGAGUUACAAAUAUGAGCAACCGCACCGGUAUCAAAUACCCAGGAGCUACUACGAGUACUGGUAAGGUACACAUCAAUUACAUGUAUAUCACAUAUACCUUUAGUGUUGCCGGCCUUCUUGUCCGCUAAGUAUUUGGGACAGUUCCGCUUCCAGUGUCCCUUUCCCUUGCAAUAAAAGCACUCGGUCUCAGGCUUGGGUCCAUUCUUGUGCUUCUUCCGGGAAACUGGCUUACCGGGCAUGGCAACUCCCUUGCCGUCCUUCUUGAAGUUCUUCUUAGCCUUGCCUUUCUUAAAACUAUCGGUUUUAUUGACCAUCAACACUUGAUGCUCCUUUUUGAUUUCCACCUCUGCUGAUUUCAGCAUUGAAAAUACUUCAGGAAUAGUUUUCACCAUCCCCUGCAUAUUGUAGUUCAUCACAAAGCUCUUGUAACUAGGUGGGAGCGACUGAAGGAUUCUGUCAAUGACCGCCUUGUCCGGGAGGUUAAUGUCCAGCUGCGACAAGCGGUUGUGCAACCCAAACAUUUUGAGUAUGUGCUCACUGACAGAACUAUUUUCUUCCAUCUUACAACUAUAGAACUUGUCGGAGACUUCAUAUCUCUCGACCCGGGCAUGAGCUUGGAAAACCAUUUUCAGCUCUUCGAACAUCUCAUAUGCUCCGUGUUGCUCAAAACGCUUUUGGAGCCCCGGUUCUAAGCUGUAAAGCAUGCCACACUGAACGAGGGAGUAAUCAUCAGCACGUGACUGCCAAGCGUUCAUAACGUCUUGGUUCUCUGGGAUGGGUGCUUCACCUAGCGGUCCUUCUAGGACAUAUGCUUUCUUGGCAGCUAUGAGGAUGAUCCUCAGGUUCCGGACCCAGUCCGAAUAGUUGCUGCCAUCAUCUUUCAGCUUGGUUUUCUCUAGGAACGCGUUGAAGUUGAGGUUGACAUGAGCGUUGGCCAUUUGAUCUACAAGACAUUUUGCAAAGGUAUUUAGACUAAGUUCAUGAUAAUUAAGUUCAUCUAAUCAAAUUAUUUAAUGAACUCCCACUUAGAUUAGACAUCCCUCUAGUCAUCUAAGUGAUACAUGAUCAGACUCAACUAGACCGUGUCCGAUCAUCACGUGAGACGGACUAGUCAUCAUCGGUGAACAUCUCCAUGUUGAUCAUAUCUUCCAUACGACUCAUGUUCGACCUUUCGGUCUCUUGUGUUCUGAGGCCAUGUCUGUACAUGCUAGGCUCGUCAAGUCAACCUAAGUGUUUUACAUGUGUAAAUCUGUCUUACACCCGUUGUAUGUGAACGUUAGAAUCUAUCACACCUGAUCAUCACGUGGUGCUUCGAAACAACGAACUUUCGCAACGGCGCACAGUUAGGGGGAACACUUUCUUGAAAUUAUUAUAAGGGAUCAUCUUAUUUACUACCGUCGUACUAAGCAAAUAAGAAGCAAAACAUGAUAAACAUCACAUGAAAUCAAAUAGUGACAUGAUAUGGCCAAUAUUUUGUAUCAUAUUGCUCCUUUGAUCUCCUUCUUCGGGGCGCCAUGAUCAUCUUCGUCACCGGCAUGACACCAUGAUCUCCAUCAUCGUGUCUUCAUGAAGUUGUCACGCCAACGAUUACUUCUACUUCUAUGGCUAACGUGUUUAGUAAUAAAGUAAAGUAAUUUACAUGGCGUUAUUCAAUGACACGCAGGUCAUACAAAAAAUAAAGACAACUCCUAUGGCUCCUGCCGGUUGUCAUACUCAUCGACAUGCAACUCGUGAUUCCUGUUACAAGAACAUGAUCAAUCUCAUACAUCACAUAUAUUUCAUUCAUCACAUCCUUUUGGCCAUAUCACAUCACAAGGCAUAUGCUGCAAAAACAAGUUAGACGUCCUCUAAUUGUUGUUGCAUGUUUUUAUGUGGCUUCUAUAGGUUUCUAGCAAGAACGUUUCUUACCUACGUAAUACCACAACGUGAUAUGCCAAUUUGUAUUUACCCUUCAUAAGGACCCUUUUCAUCGAAUCUGAUCCGACUAAAGUGGGAGAGACAGACACCCGCUAGCCACCUUAUGCAACUAGUGCAUGUCAGUCGGUGGAACCUGUCUCACGUAAGAGUACGUGUAAGGUUGGUCCGGGCCGCUUCAUCCCACGAUGCUGUCGAAACAAGAUAAUACUAGUAGUGGCAAGAAAAUUGACAAGAUCUACGCCCACAACAAGUUUGUGUUCUACUCGUGCAUAGAAACUACGCAUAGACCUAGCUCAUGAUGCCACUGUUGGGGAACGUUGCAGAAAAUAAAAAAUUUCUACGCUUCACCAAGAUCAAUCUAUGGAGUCAUCUAGCAACGAGAGAGAGGAGUGCAUCUACAUACCCUUGUAGAUCACGUGCGGAAGCGUUCAAGAGAACGGGGUUGAGGGAGUCGUACUCGUCGUGAUCCAAAUCACCGGAGAUCCUAGCACCGAACGGACGGCACCUCCGCGUUCAACACACGUAUGGUUGGGGAAGAUGUCUCCUCCUUCUUGAUCCAGCAAGGGGAAGGGAGAGGUUGAUGGAGAUCCAGCAUCACAACGGCGUGGUGGUGGAAGUAGCGGUGAUCUCGGUAGGGCUUCGCCAAGCUCAGCGAGAAGGAGAGGUGGUAUGGAGGGAGAGGGAGGCGCCAGGAGCAGGGGUGCGCAGCCCUCCCUCCCCCCUCUUUAUAUAGGAGCCCUCGGGGGGGGGGCCUAGAGAUUGGAUCUCAAGGGGGGGGGGGCGGCCAAGGGGGUGGCUUGCCCCCCAAGCCAAGUGGGGCGCCCCCCACCCCUAGGGUUUUCAACCCUAGGCGCAGGGGGAGGCCCAAGGGGGCCGCACCAGCCCACCAGGGGCUGGUUCCCCUCCCCACUUCAGCCCACGGGGCCCUCCGGGAUAGGUGGACCCUCCCGGUGGACCCCCGGGACCCUUCCUGUGGUCCCGGUACAAUACCGGUGACCCCCGAAACUUUCCCGAUGGCCGAAACUGGACUUCCUAUAUAUAAUUCUUCACCUCCCGACCAUUCCGGAACUCCUCGUGACGUCCGAGAUCUCAUCCGGGACUCCGAACAACUUUCGGGUUACCGCAUACUAGUAUCUCUACAACCCUUGCAUCACCGAACCUUAAGUGUGUAGACCCUACGGGUUCGGGAGACAUGCAGACAUGACCGAGAUGACUCUCCGGCCAAUAACCAACAGCAGGAUCUGGAUACCCAUGUUGGCUCCCACAUGUUCCACGAUGAUCUCAUCGAAUGAACCACGAUGUCGAGGAUUCAAGUAAUCCCGUAUACAAUUCCCUUUGUCAAUCGGUACGUUACUUGCCCGAGAUUCGAUCGUCGGUAUCCCAAUACCUCGUUCAAUCUCGUUACCAGCAAGUCACUUUACUCGUACCGUAAUGCAUGAUCCCGUGACCAACCACUUAGUCACUUUGAUCUCAUUAUGAUGAUGCAUUACCGAGUGGGCCCAGAGAUAUCUCUCCGUCAUACGGAGUGACAAAUCCCAGUCUCGAUCCGUGUCAACCCAACAGACACUUUCGGAGAUACCUGUAGUAUACCUUUAUAGUCACCCAGUUACGUUGUGACGUUUGGUACACCCAAAGCACUCCUACGGCAUCCGGGAGUUACACGAUCUCAUGGUCUAAGGAAAUGAUACUUGACAUUGGAAAAGCUCUAGCAAACGAACUACAUGAUCUUGUGCUACGCUUAGGAUUGGGUCUUGUCCAUCACAUCAUUCUCCUAAUGAUGUGAUCCCAUUAUCAAUGACAUCCAAUGUCCAUGGUCAGGAAAACAUGGACAUCUAUUGAUAAACAAGCUAGUCAACUAGAGGCUCACUAGGGACAUGUUGUGGUCUAUGUAUUCACACAUGUAUUACGAUUUCCGGAUAACACAAUUAUAGCAUGAAUAAUAGACAAUUAUCAUGAACGAGGAAAUAUAAUGAUAACCAUUUUAUUAUUGCCUCUAGGGCAUAUUUCCAACAGUGCUUAGGCGAAGCCCUGCAGGGAUCACAUCAUCAACACCGUCAUCACGCCAUCGUGCUGACGAUACUCACCCUCGACCCUCUGCUUGAUCAAGAGUUCGAGGGAUGUCAUCAAGCUAAACGUGUGCUUAACACGGAGGUGCCGUACAUUCGGCACUUGGAUCGUGAAGAUGUUCGACUACAUCAAUUGCGUUAACCAAUGCUUCCGCUUUUGGUCUACGAGGGUACGUGGACACACUCUCCCCCUCUCGUUGCUAUGCAUCUCCUAGAUAGAUCUUGCGUGAUCGUAGGAAAAAAUUACAUGAAUAAAACCUUCUAUGGUCAUACACCCAAUGUUGAUGGUUUAUUGAAUCUUGAUCGUAGUGAUACACAUAUUCAUAAUAUUGAUGCCAAAAGAUGCGAAGUAGAUAAUGAUAGUGCAACAUACUUGUGGCACUGCCGUUUAGGUCAUAUUGGUGUAAAGCACAUGAAGAAACUCCAUGCUGAUGGGCUUUUGGAAUUACUUGAUUAUGAAUCAUUUGACACUUGCGAACUCUGUCAAUCACUAUCUUAUCUGGAAGAUUAACUCCCACUUGGUUCAAGCGAUUGUAGUACCCAGACAUUCUGAGCACAUGCUCACUAGCUGAGCUAUUCUCCUCCAUCUUUUUAGGCGAAGUACUUGUCAGAGGUCUCAUACCUCUCGAUACGGGCAUGAGUCUGAAAUAACUAUUUCAGCUCUUGGAACAUCUCAUAUUCUCUGUGGAAUUUCAAAAUGUUUUGAAGUCUCGGUUCUAAGCCAUAAAGCAUGGUGCACUAAACUAUCAAGUAGUCAUCAUAUUGAGCUAGCCAAACGUUCAUAACAUCUCCAUCUGCUCCUGCAAUAGGUCUGUCACCUAGAGGUGCAUCAAGGACAUAAUUCUUCUGUGCAGCAAUGAGGAUAAACCUCAGAUCACGGACCCAGUCUGCAUCAUUGCUACUAUCAUCUUUCAACUUAGUUUUCUCUAGGAACAUAUCAAAAAACUUAGGGAAGCUACAACGCAAGCUAUUGAUCUACAACAUAAUUUGCAAAUACUAUCAGGACUAAGUUCAUGAUAAAUUAAAGUUUAAUUAAUCAUAUUACUUAAGAACUCGCACUUAGAUAGACAUCCCUCAUGUCACCUAAAUGAUCAUGUGAUCCAUAUCAACUAAACCAUGUCCGAUCAUCACGUGAGAUGGAGUAGUUUUCAAUGGUAAACAUCUCUAUGUUGAUCAUAUCUACUAUAUGAUUCACGUUCGAUAUUUCAGUCUCAGUGUACAAGGGCCAUAUCUGCAUAUGCUAGGCUCGUCAAGUUUAACCCGAGUAUUCUUCACGUGCAAAACUGGCUUGCACUAAAACUCCGUUCUCCGGAACAAUGGAACGAGUUAAUGACUUAUUGGAAAUAAUACAUAUCGAUGUAUGCGGUCCGAUGAGUGUUGAGGCUCGUGGUAGGUAUCAUUAUUUUCUGACCUUCACAAAUGAUUUGAGCAGAUAUGCGUAUAUCUACUUAAUGAAAACACAAGUCUGAAACAUUUGAAAAGUUCAAAGAAUUUCAGAGUGAAGUGGAUAAUCAUUGUAACAAGAAAAUAAAGUUUCUAUGAUCUCAUCAUGGAGGUGAAUAUUUGAGUUACGUGUUUGGCCUUCAUUUAAACAAUGUGGAAUAGUUUCACAGCUCACGCCACCAGGAACACCAUAGCGUAAUGGUGUGUCUGAACGUUGUAACCGCACUUUAUUAGAUAUGGUGCGAUCUAUGAUGUCUCUUACUGAUUUACCAUGAUCAUUUUGGGAUUAUGCAUUAGAGACAUCUGCAUUCGCAUUAAAGGGCACCGGCAAAAUCCGUUGAGAAGACACCAUAUGAAAUGUGGUUUGGCAACAAACCUAAGCUGUCAUUUCUUAAAGUUUGGGGCCGCGAUGCUUAUGUGAAAAAGCUUCAACCUGAUAAGCUCGAACCCAAAUCGGAGAAAUGUGUCUUCAUAUAUACCCAAAGGAAACUGUUGGGUAUACCUUCUAUCACAUAUUCGAAGGCAAGAUAUUCAUUGCUAAGAAUGGUUCCUUUCUAGAGAAGGAGUUUCUCUCGAAAGAAGUGAGUGGGAAAAAAGUAGAACUUGAUGAGGUAAUUGUACCUUCUCCCGAAUUGGAAAGUAGUUCAUCACAGAAAUCAGUUCCAGUGAUUCCUACACCAAAUAGUGAAGAAGCUAAUGAUAACAAUCAUAAAACUUCAGAUCAAGUUACUACCGAACCUCUUAGGUCAACCAGAGUACCGUACGCACCAGAGUGGUACGGUAAUGCUAUUCUGAAAGUCAUGUUAUUAGACCAUGAUGAACCUACGAACUAUGAGGAAGCGAUGAUGAGCCCAGAUUCCGCGAAAUGGCUUGAGGCCAUGAAAUCUGAGAUGGGAUCCAUGUAUGAGAACAAAGUGUGGACUUUGGUGGACUUGCCCGAUGAUCGGCAAGCCAUAUAAAAUAAAUGGAUCUUCAAGAGGAAGAUGGACGCUGAUAGUAGUGUUACUAUCUAAAAAGCUCGACUUGUCGCAAAAGGUUUUCAACAAGUUCAAGGUGUUGACUACAAUGAGAUUUUCUCAACUGUAGUGAUGCUUAAAUCCGUCUGAAUCAUGUUAGCAAUUGCCAUAUUUUAUGAAAUCUGACAAAUGGAUGUCAAAACUUCAUUUCUUAAAUGGAUAUUUCUUAAAUAAGAGUUAUAUAUGAUGCAACCAGAAGGUUUUGUCGAUCCUAAAGGUACGGACAAGGUGUGCAAGCUCCAGCGAUCCAUCUAUGGACUGGUGCAAGCAUCUCGAAGUUGGAAUAUACGCUUUGAUGAGUUGAUCAAAGCAUAUGGUUUUAUACAGACUUGCGGCGAAGCCUGUAUUUACAAGAAAGUGAUUCGAAGCACUACAACUUUUCUGAUAAGUAUAUGUUAAUGACAUAUUGUUGAUCGGAAAUGAUGUAGAAUUUUCUGGAAAGCAUAAAGGAGAAUUUGAAAGGAGAUUUUCAAAGAAAGACCUUGGUGAAGCUGCUUACAUAUUGGGCAUCAAGAUCUAUAGAGAUAGAUUAAGAUGCUUGAUAAGAUUUUUCAAUGAGUACAUACCUUGACAAAAUUUUGAAAGAGUUCAAAAUGGAUCAGUCAAAGAAGGAGUUCUUGCCUGUAUUACAAGUUGUAAAGCUGAGUAAGACUCAAAGCCCGACCAGGGCAUAAGAUAGAAACAGAAUGAAAGUCAUUUCCUAUGCCUCAGUCAUAGGUUCUAUAAAGUAUGCCAUGCUAUGUACUAGACCAGUUGUGUGCCUUGCUAUGAGUUUGGCAAGGGGGUACGAUAGUGAUCCAGGAGUGGAUCACUGUAUAGCGGUCAAAGUUAUCCUUAGUUACCUAAGAGGACCAAGGAAGUAUUUCUCGGUUAUGAAGGUGGUAAAGAGUUCGUCGUAAAGAGUUAUCUCGAUGUAAGCUUUACACCAAUCCAGAUGACUCUGAGUCUCAAUCUGGAUACAUAUUGAAAGUGGGAUCAAUUAGCUAGAGUAGCUCCAUGCAGAGCCUUGUAGACAUAGAAAAUUUGCAAAAUACAUACGGCUCCGAAUUUAGCAGAUCCGUUGACUAAACUUCUCUCACAAGCAAAACAUGAUCACACCUUAGUACACUUUGGGUGUUAAUCACAUAGCGAUGUGAACUAGAUUAUUGACUCUAGUAAACCCUUUGGUUGUUGGUCACAUAGCGAUGUGAACUAUGGUGUUAAUCACAUACAUAUGUGAACUAUUGGUGUUAAAUCAGAUGGCAACGUGAACUAGAUUAUUGACUCUAUUGCAAGUGGGAGACUGAAGGAAAUAUGCCCUAGAGGCAAUAAUAAAGUUGUUAUUUAUAUUUUCAUAUAUCAUGAUAAAUGUUUAUUAUUCAUGCUAGAAUUGUAUGAACCGGAAACUUAGUACAUGUGUGAAUACAUAGACAAAACAAAGUGUCCCUAGUAUGCCUCUACUUGACUAGCUCAUUAAUCAAAGAUGGUUAUGCUUCCUGACCAUGGACAUGUGUUGUAAUUUGAUGAAUGGGAUCACAUCAUUAGAGAAUGAUGUGAUGGACAAGACCCAUCCGUUAGCUUAGCAUAAUGAUCGAUAAGUUUUAUUGCUACUGCUCUCUUCAUGACUUAUACAUGUUCCUCUGACUAUGAGAUUAUGCAACUCCUGAAUACCGGAGGAACACCUUGUGUGCUAUCAAACGUCACAAUGUAACUGGGUGAUUAUAAAGAUGCUCUACAGGUGUCCCCGAAGGUAUUUGUUGGGUUGGCAUAGAUCGAUAUUAGGAUUUGUCACUCCGUGUAUCGGAGAGGAUCUCUAGGCCCUCUCGGUAAUGCUCAUCACUAUAAGCCUUGCAAGCAAUGUGACUAAGGAGUUAGUUACAGGAUGAAGCAUUACGGAAUGAGUAAAGGGACUUGCCGGUAACGAGAUUGAACUAGGUAUGAAUAUACCGACGAUCGAAUCUCGGGCAAGUAACAUACCAAUGACGAAGGGAACAACGUAUGUUGUUGUGCGGUUUGACCGAUAAAGAUCUUCGUAGAAUAUGUAGGGUCCAAUAUGAGCAUCCAGGUUCCUCUGUUGGUUAUUUAUUAGAGAUAUGUCUCGAUCAUGUCUACAUAGUUCUCGAACUCGUAGGGUCCGCACGCUUAACGUUCGAUGAUGAUUUGUAUUAUGAGUUAUGUGUUUUUGAUGACCAAAGUUUGUUCGGAGUCCCAUAUGAGAUCACAGACAUGACGAGGAGUCUCGAAAUGGUCGAGAGGUAAAGAUUGAUAUAUUGUAAGGUGGUAUUCGGACACCGGAAGGGUUCCGGAGUGUAUCGGGUACAAACCAGAGUACCGAAGGGUUACCGGAACCCCCCGAUGGAAAAUAUGUGCCAUAUGGGCCAUGGGAGGGAGGCUAACCAGCCCACAAGGGGCUGAUGCACCCACCACAAGGGAGGGGGCUGGAUUGGACUAGGGAAAGGGGGCGCCACCUGAUACGUCUCCAACGUAUCUAUAAUUUUUGAUUGCUCCAUGCUAUAUUAUCUACUGUUUUGGGCAAUAUUGGGCUUUAUUUUCCACUUUUAUAUUACUUUUGGGACUAACCUAUUAACCAGAGGCCCAGCCCAGAUUUGCUGUUUUAUGCCUAUUUCAGUAUUUCGAGGAAAAGGAAUAUCAGACGGAGUCAAAACGGAACGAAAUCAACUGGAGAAGUUAUUUUUGGAAGGAAACCCACCUGAUGGACUUGGACCCCACGUCAGAAGAUAUGGGAGGUGCUCACGAGGGUGGCGGGCGCGCCCACACCCCCGGGCGCGCCCCCCUGCCUCGUGGGGCCCCCGUAGCUGCACCGACGUACUCCUUUCACCCAUAUAUACCUACAUACCCUAAAACUUCCAGAACAGAAGAUAGAUCGGGAGUUCCGCCGCCGCAAGCCUCUGUAGCCACCAAAAACCUCUCGGGAGCCCGUUCCGACACCCUGCCGGAGGGGGAACCGAUCACCGGUGGCCAUCUUCAUCAUCCCGGCGCUCUCCAUGACGAGGAGGGAGUAGUUCAUCCUCGGGGCUGAGGGUAUGUACCAGUAGCUAUGUGUUUGAUCUCUCUCUCUCUCUCUCGUGUUCUUGAUUUGGCACGAUCUUGAUGUAUCGCGAGCUUUGCUAUUAUAGUUGGAUUCUAUGUUUCUUCUCCCCCUCUACUCUCUUGUGAUGAAUUGAGUUUCCCCUUUGAAGUUAUCUUAUCGGAUUGAGUCUUUUAUGAGAACACUUGAUGUAUGUCUUGCCGUGAUUAUCUGUGGUGACAAUGGGAUAUCAUGUGCCACUUGAUGUAUGUUUUGGUGACCAACUUGCGGCUUCCGCUCAUAAACCUAUGCAUAGGGGUUGGCACAUGUUCUUGAUUCUCCGGUAGAAACUUUGGGGCACUCUUUGAAGUACUUUUAUGUUGGUUGGAUAAAUAUGAGAUUGUGUGAUGCAUAUCGUAUAAUCAUGCCCACUGAUACUUGAGGUGACAUUAGGGUUUUGGUUGAUUUGUAUCUUAAGGUGUUAUUCUAGUACGAACUCUAGGGCUGUUUGUGACACUUAUAGGAAUAACCCAACGGAUUGAUUGGAAAGAAUAACUUUGAGGUGGUUUCGUACCCUACCAUAAUCUCUACGUUUGUUCUCCGCUAUUAGUGGCUUUGGAGUGACUCUUUGUUGCAUGUUGAGGGCUUGUUAUAUGAUCUAUCUAUGUUAUUAUUGUUGAGAGAACUUGCACUAGUGAAAGUAUGAACCCUAGGCCUUGUUUACUAUCAUUGCAAUAUCGUUUACGCUCACUUUUACCACUUGUUACCUUGCUGUUUUUAUUAUUGCAGAUUACAAAAACCUAUAUCUACCAUCCAUAUUGCACUUGUAUCACCAUCUCUUCGCCGAACUAGUGCACCUAUACAAUUUACCAUUGUAUUGGGUGUGUUGGGGACACAAGAGACUCUUUGUUAUUUGGUUGCAGGGUUGCUUGAGAGAGACCAUCUUCAUCCUACGCCUCCCACGGAUUGAUAAACCUUAGAUCAUCCACUUGAGGGAAAUUUCUACUGUCCUACACACCUGUGCACUUGCAGGCCCAACAACGUCUACAAGAAGAAGGUUGCAUAGUAGACAUCAAGCUCUUUUCUGGCGCCGUUGCCGGGGAGGCUAGGUAAGUGAAGGUAUAUCUUUAGAUCUUGCAAUCGAAAUUUAGUUUCUUGUUUUAGCACUAGUUAGUCUAUAAAAGAAAAUUACAAAAAAAUGGAAUUGAGUUUGUCUCAUAUGCUUCACCUUUUUAAUAUCUUUCGUGAGAAUGAUGGAAAGGAAAAUUGUGCCAAAGUGCUAGAAGAAGAAUUACAUAGAAUGUUUGGCAUGAAAUAUGUGAAUGAUGAGCAUGAUUGCAAUGUUGUAAGUAUGAAUUCCUUGAAUAUCCAUGAUGCUAAUGAUAUGAAAAGCCACAAGCUUGGGGAAGCUAUGUUUGAUGAAGACGAUAUUUUUUGUCCCCCAAGCUUUGAUGAGCAAAUUUACAAUGAUGAAAGCAUGCCUCCUAUCUAUGAUAAUUAUUGUGAUGACACGUAUGCUAUAAAGAAUAAUAAUAACCAUGAAGCUUGUCAUCUUGAUCUUAAUUUUCAAUCACAUGAUAGUUAUUUUGUUGAGUUUGCUCCCACUAUUAUUGAUGAGAUAAUUUUGCUUAUGUGGAGAGUAGUAAAAUUUCUAUGCAAGUAGAUCAUGAAAAGAAUGCUUUAGGUGCUGGUUAUAUUGUUGAAUUCAUUCAUUAUGCUACUGAAAAUUAUUAUGAGGGAGGAAUAUAUGCUUGUAGGAAUUGCAAUAAUAUCAAGUUUCCUCUCUAUGUGCUUAAAGUUUUGAAGUUAUGCUUGUUUUACCUUCCUAUGCAAGUUGAUUAUUGUUCCCAUAAGUUGUUUUCUCACAAUAUCCCUAUGCAUAGGAAGUGGGUUAGACUUUGCUAGUCAUAUUCUUCAUGAUGCUCUCUUUAUGUUUCAAUUCUUAUCUUUUAUGUGAGCAUCAUUGAAAUCAUAAUGCCUAGCUAGGGGCGUUAAACGAUAGCGCUUGUUGGGAGGCAACCCAAUUUUAUUUUAGUUUCUUGCUUUUUGGUUCUGUUUAGUAAUAAAUAAUCCAUCUAGCUUCUGGUUAGAUGUGUUUUUGUGUUUUAAUUAGUGUUUGUGCCAAGUAGAACCUUUGGGAAGACAUGGGUGAAGUCUUUAUGAUCAUGCUGUAAAAAACAGAAACUUUAGCGCUCACGAGAUUAGCUAGAAUUUUUUACUGGAAAGUGAUAUUUAGUUGAUUAUUUUUGCAGAUGAUUACUAGACAAAUUCCUCAGGUCCACCAAUUUAUUUUAUAAUUUUUGGAGUUCCAGAAGUUUGGGUUAGUUACAGAUUACUCCAGACUGUUCUGUUUUUGACAGAUUCUGUUUUCAUUGUGUUGUUUGCUUAUUUUCAUGACUCUAUGGCUAGUAAAAUAGUUUAUAAACCAUAGAGAAGUUGGAAUACAGUAGGUUUAACACCAAUAUAAAUAAAUAAUGAGUUCAUUACAGUACCAUGAAGUGGUGUUUGGUUUUCUUUCGCUAACGGAGCUCACGAGUUUUCUGUUAAGUUUUGUGUUGUGAAGUUUUCAAGUUUUGGGUAAAGAUUCGAUGGACUAUGGAAUAAGGAGUGGAAAUAGCCUAAGCUUGGGGAUGCCCAAGGCACCCCAAGGUAAUAUUCAAGGACAACAAAGAGCCUAAGCUUGGGGAUGCCCCGGAAGGCAUCCCCUCUUUCGUCCUCAUCCAUCGGUAACUUUACUUGGAGCUAUAUUUUUAUUCACCACAUGAUAUGUGUUUUGCUUGGAGCAUCAUUUUAUUUUCUUUAGCUUUGCUUUCUGUUAGUUAGAAUAAUGUUUUGCAUCUUUAGUUUCAAUAAAAAAGUCAAGGAUAGCCUUUGCCAUCCUUAUUUUGCAAGUAUACAUGUUGUUGUUUGAAAACAGAAAGUUUACCGCUGUUGCAAAAAUUCCUUAGAAAAGUCAGAGAGUGGUAUAAUGUUGAAUAUUUUUGCAUAUUGAGCUCUGAUAAAUUUAUUACAGUGGGAAUUUUAUUUCAUAAUUUUUGUAGUUAGGGAAGUAUUGAUACUCUUGCAUUCUUUACAGAUUGUACUGUUUUGGCAGAUUGCUGUUAUGUUUGCAUUGUUUGCAUAUGUUUGCUUGUUUAAUGAUUCUAUUUAAGGAUAGGAGUAUUAAAUAUGCAGAGGCAUUUAGUAUGAAAUGUUGAAUAAUAAUGUUAGUGAUUUGUUACAGUAGGAAAUGAUAAGGUUUUGCAUUGGUUUAUACUAACCUAUCUCACAAGUUCUUGUUGAGUUUGUUGUGAAUGAAGCUUUUGAUAAAAAGAGAAACCAUGAUAUGAGAGGAAUUAAGGAGACACAAAAGCUCAAGCUUGGGGAUGCCCAAGGCACCCCAAGAUAUUAUUUAAAGAAGUCUCAAGCAUCUAAGCUUGGGGAUGCCCCCGUUGGCAUCCCACCUUUCUCCUUCAACAACUAUCGGUUAGUAUCGGUUGAACCUAAGUUUUUGCUUCUUCACUUGAGUUGUGCUAUCCUUGCAAUGUAGUUUUAUUUUGUUUUGCUUGCUGUUUGGGUACAAUACCAAGAUCUGAAAUUCCUUAAUGUGAGAGAGUCUUCACAUAGUUGCAUAAUUAUCCGACUACUCAUUGAUCUUCACUUAUAUCUUUUGGAGUAGUUUGUUGUUUGCUCUAGUGCUUCACUUAUAUCUUUUAGAGCAUGGUGGUAGUUUUAUUUUAAAGAAAUAGAUGAACUCUCAUGCUUCACUUAUAUUAUUUUGAGAGUCUUAAAUAUCAUGGUAAUUUGCUUAAAAUAAUCCUAAUAUGCUAAGCAUACAAGAUUUGUAAGAAUUCUUAUGAGUGUGUUGAAUACUAAGAGAAGUUUGAUGCUUGAUGAUUGUUUUGAGAUAUGAAGAUGGUGAUAUUAGAGUCAUGCUAGUUGAGUAGUUGUGAAUUUGAGAAAUACUUGUGUUAAAGUUUGUGAUUCCCGUAGCAUGCACGUAUAGUGAACUGUUAUGUGAUGAAGUCGAAGCAUGAUUUAUUUAUUGAUUGUCUUAAUUAUGAGUGGCGGUCGGGGACGAGCGAUGGUAUUUUCCUACCAAUCUAUCCCCCUAGGAGCACGCGCGUAAUACUUUGCUUUGAUAACUUGUAGAUUUUUGCAAUAAGUAUAUGAGUUCUUCAUGACUAAUGUUGAGUCCAUGGAUUAUACGCACUCUCACCCUUCCACCAUUGCUAGCCUCUCUAAUACCGCGCACCUUUCGCCGGCAUCAUACACCCACCAUAUACCUUCCUUAAAACAGCCACCAUACCUACCUAUCAUGGCAUUUUCAUAGCCAUUCCAAGAUAUAUUUCCAUGCAACUUUCCACUAUUCCGUUUAUUAUGACACGCUCCAUCAUUGUCAUAUUUCUUAGCAUGAUCAUGUAGUUGACAUCGUAUUUGUGGCAAAGCCACCGUUCAUAAUUCUUUCAUACAUGUCACUCAUGAGUCAUUGCAUAUCCCGGUACACCGCCGGAGGCAUUCAUAUAGAGUCAUAUCUUGUUCUAAGUAUUGAGUUGUAAGUAAAUAAAAGUGUGAUGAUCAUCAUUAUUAGAGCAUUGUCCCAGUGAGGAAAGGAUGAUGGAGACUAUGAUUCCCACACAAGUCGGGAUGAGACCCCGGACGAAAAAAAUUAAAAAAAAGAGGCCAUAAAAAAGAGAAAAGGCCCAAAAAAAUGAGAGAAAAAGAGAGAAGGGACAAUAUUACUAUCCUUUUACCACACUUGUGCUUCAAAGUAGCACCAUGAUCUUCAUGAUAGAGAGUCUCUCAUUUUGUCACUUUCAUAUACUAGUGGGAAUUUUUCAUUAUAGAACUUGGCUUGUAUAUUCCAAUGAUGGGCUUCCUCAAAAUGCCCUAGGUCUUCAUGAGCAAGCGAGUUGGAUGCACACCCACUUAGUUUCUUUUGUUGAGCUUUCACAUACUUAUAGCUCUAGUGCAUCCGUUGCAUGGCAAUCCCUACUCACUCACAUUGAUAUCUAUUGAUGGGCAUCUCCAUAGCCCAUUGAUACGCCUAGUUGAUGUGAGACUAUCUUCCCCUCUUUUUGUCUUCUCCACAACCACCAUUCUAUUCCACAUAUAGUGCUAUAUCCAUGGCACACGCUCAUGUAUUGCGUGAAGAUCGAAAAAGUUUUGAAAAUGUUAAAGUAUGAAACAAUUGCUUGGCUUGUCAUCAGGGUUGUGCAUGAUUUAAAUACUUUGUGUGGUGAAGAUAGAGCAUAGCCAGACUAUAUGAUAUUGUAGGGAUAACUUUCUUUGGCCAUGUUAUUUUGAGAAGACAUAAUUGCUUUGUUAGUAUGCUUGAAGUAUUAUUAUUUUUAUGUCAAUAUGAACUUUUGUCUUGAAUCUUUCAGAUCUGAAUAUUCAUAUCACAAUUAAGAAGAAUUACAUUGAAAUUAUGCCAAGUAGCAUUCCACAUCAAAAAUUAUCCUUUUUAUCAUUUACCUACUCGAGGACGAGCAGGAAUUAAGCUUGGGGAUGCUUGAUACGUCUCCAACGUAUCUAUAAUUUUUGAUUGCUCCAUGCUAUAUUAUCUACUGUUUUGGAUAAUAUUGGGCUUUAUUUUCCACUUUUAUAUUACUUUUGGGACUAACCUAUUAACCGGAGGCCCAGCCCAGAUUUGCUGUUUUAUGCCUAUUUCAGUAUUUCGAGGAAAAGGAAUAUCAGACGGAGUCAAAACGGAACGAAAUCAACUGGAGAAGUUAUCUUUGGAAGGAAACCACCUGAUGGACUUGGACCCCACGUCAGAAGAUAUAGGAGGUGCUCACGAGGGUGGGGGGCGCGCCCACCCCCCCCCCCUCGGGCGCGCCCCCUGCCUCGUGGGGCCCUUGUAGCUUCACCGACGUACUCCUUUCACCCAUAUAUACCUACGUACCCUAAAACUUCCAGAACAGAAGAUAGAUUGGGAGUUCCGCCGCCGCAAGCCUCUGUAGCCACCAGAAACCUCUCGGGAGCCCGUUCCGGCACCCUGCCGGAGGGGGAACCCAUCACCGGUGGCCAUCUUCAUCAUCCCGGCACUCUCCAUGACGAGGAGGGAGUAGUUCAUCCUCGGGGCUCAGGGUAUGUACCAGUAGCUAUGUGUUUGAUCUCUCUCUCUCUCGUGUUCUUGAUUUGGCACGAUCUUGAUGUAUCGCGAGCUUUGCUAUUAUAGUUGGAUCCUAUGUUUCUUCUCCCCCUCUACUCUCUUGUGAUGAAUCGAGUUUACCCUUUGAAGUUAUCUUAUCGGAUUGAGUCUUUUAUGAGAACACUUGAUGUAUGUCUUGCCGUGAUUAUCUAUGGUGACAAUGGGAUAUCAUGUGCCACUUGAUGUAUGUUUUGGUGACCAACUUGCGGGUUCCGCCCAUGAACCUAUGCAUAGGGGUUGGCACACGUUCUUGAUUCUCCGGUAGAAACUUUGGAGCACUCUUUGAAGUGCUUUUAUGUUGGUUGGAUAAAUCUGAGAUUGUGUGAUGCAUAUCGUAUAAUCAUGCCCACGGAUACUUGAGGUGACAAUGGAGUAUCUAGGUGACAUUACGGCUUUGGUUGAUUUGUAUCUUAAGGUGUUAGUCUAGUACGAACUCUAGGGCUGUUUGUGACACUUAUAGGCCCAACGGAUUGAUUGGAAAGAAUAACUUUGAGGUGGUUUCGUACCCUACCAUAAUCUCUACGUUUGUUCUCUGCUAUUAGUGGCUUUGGAGUGACUCUUUGUUGCAUGUUGAGGGCUUGUUAUAUGAUCUAUCUAUGUUAUUAUUGUUGAGAGAACUUUCACUAGUGAAAGUAUGAACCCUAGGCCUUGUUUACUAUCAUUACAAUACCGUUUACGCUCACUUUUACCACUUGUUACCUUGCUGUUUUUAUUAUUUCAGAUUACAAAAACCUAUAUCUACCAUCCAUAUUGCACUUGUAUCACCAUCUCUUCGCCGACUAGUGCACCUAUACAAUUUACCAUUGUAUUGGGUGUGUUGGGGACACAAGAGACUCUUAUUUGGUUGCAGGGUUGCUUGAGAGAGACCAUCUUCAUCCUACGCCUCCCACGGAUUGAUAAACCUUAGGUCAUCCACUUGAGGGAAAUUUGCUAUUGUCCUACAAACCUGUGCACUUGCAGGCCCAACAACGUCUACAAGAAGAAGGUUGCGUAGUAGACAUCACCACCCCCCUUUCCUUCUCCUACUCCCUCUCAUUUCCCCUUUCCACCUCCGUAAGAAGGAAAAAAGAGGGGGGCCGAAUCCUCCGUAACACGGAGGUGCCGUACGUUCGGUACUUGGAUCGGUUGGAUCGUGAAGACGUUCGACUACAUCAACCGCGUUAACCAACCGCUUCCACUUUCGGUCUACGAGGGUACGUGUACACACUCUCCCCCUCUCGUUGCUAUGCAUCUCCUAGAUAGAUCUUGCGUGAUCAUAGGAAAUUUUUUGAAAUUGCAUGCUACAUUCCCCAACAGUCACAUGGUAUACCCAGGACAUACGCGACGAGCUCCAACUCACAGAUUCGGAUCUGGGCACCUUCGACACGGGCGUGCUUGAGCCACCUACCGCUAGACCACUCGCCGCCCACACGACCAAGAGGAUAAGCCACCACCGCCGCCAUGAGGCCCAUUGGAGAGCCAAUCCUGGGGACCGCCGCCGAGGCCACUGCCUCGGCCACCCAUCCACCACAUGUUACACCAACCCCGGCAGGUAGGGUAAAAGGUCAUCCUUCCACACCUAGCCCGACAUCAGUCCCCGGAUCUGGGUUCACACCUCCAUCGUAGGUGGUGUCGACGCCUGCAUCUCCAACCAGUCGGGACAUGACCCUAGGACUGCCGGUGCCACCAAGCCGAGCUUGCAUGACACCAAAUCCGAGAUCACUGGUGCCGCACGGCACGACGGGGAAGAAAUGUCAGGACCACCACCACAACUCUCCGCACCCGCGAGGACAAUGCACAUGGGUACAUCCCAAGCAUAGCCCAAGCCUCACCUACCGAGAGAAACCACCUGAUGCACCUCGGGCCCAAAUCCAGCCUGCCAGUGAACAAACCCUAGGUCAGGGGAGCCGCCUCGUGUGUGCAACCGACCAGCCCCGCAUGCCACCGGCUCCAAUCUGGAAGAAGGUAGACCACAACGCUGCCGCCUCGAGUCACCAGCCAAACAAUCGCCGACCAUCGCACUGCCGAAGUCCACACCGCCGUCCUAGCCCACUGCGGCCACAAGGAUGACCACCCGCGAGCAGGAACCGCCGCCGACACUAGCCGGCAGGGCGACGCCUCCAACCCACGCGGCUGCAGCCCAAGCACCCCCCCGCGUCCGUCGAUGUCCACCACGUAGCUCGCACCAACGCGCCACCGUCAUGCCCGCCUGAUGCCACGUCGUCGCGCCCCCCGCCGACCCAUGCUCCAGCCCAGGGGAGCGCGCCCGUGAUGCCACCGUCGUGCGGGAGGACGUCGGGGCCCCGCCGCCAACACCAGUCAAGCUUUGCCCGACUGUUCCCACUGGAAGCGGUGAAUCAGGGGAAAUGAGGAAGGGGGUGCGGGUGGCGAGAUCUAGGUCGCCCUCCCGUUGCCUUGCGGGGGUGACGCGGGAGGGUUCGAGGGCGGAGUCCGGGAUCAUCAGGCUGAUACAUAUAAAUCCUAUAGGUGCUUCGUCGGUAAUAAAGUUCAUGCGUUGCAAAACAUGUUUAAUUUAUCUUAUCUUUUCGUUUUUGAUUCCUAUUUUUUUUCUUUUUCUUUUGGUCCUUUUUUUUGCACUUAUUUAAUUUUUGGCCUUUCUGGUUAAUAUUUUUCCAUCAUGCCUGUACAAAGAAGUUCAUAUUGUAUUUCUAAUAUAUCCAUGGUGUAAUUGAAAAAUGUUGAUCAUCCAUGAGAAAGGAUCACCGGGGAAGCUGGACUGAACCGGCCCGUUGGCAACAUUGUUACUGUAGGAUGUAAGCUACGGUUCAAAUAAAAAUGGGAACUCUUCUAAAAAAUGGGAACACAUUCUCAAAAAAUGAACACUUCCUUAAAACUUUAAAAUAUUUCAAUUUCAUGAAUAUUUUUGUAAAAGGUGAGCAAAUUUUGAAAUUUUUAAACAUUUUCUCAAAAUUUAUGAACAAUUUUUGAACUACAAUUUGUUUUUCGAUUCUUAAAGUAUUUAUUUAAAAAAAUCUCGAAAAUCUGGAUGAUUUCUAGAAACACGUAUGAAUUGGGAAACAUUUAAAAUAUUUUUAAAAUGACGAAAAUUUUAGAAAAUGUAAAAGAAAUUUGAAAUCUGAACAAUAUUUGAAGAUUUUAAUAUUUUUUGAAAAAUUGAUUUUUUAAAUUUGGAACUUUCUUUCAAAAUGCGAACUUUUAUUGAAAAAGAUGAAAAAGAUUUUGAAUUUUUGAGCACCUAAUGGAAAUGCAAACAAUUUUUGAAAAUUUUGUUUUUAUUUAUGAUUAUAUGAAAAAAAAAUAAAACGGAAACAGGAAAUACUAAAGGAAAGGAAAAAAUGAACAAUAAAAAACCGAAAGUAAACCAGAAAACUAGUAAAGAAAAUGGCAGAAAAUACAGGCUCAGGCACCUUCUCGAAGUUCUCCAUAACCGGUAGAAAAAAUCAUUAUACCUGCUAGCUAAAAUAGGCUGGAAUCAACAAAUUUUUUUGAAAUUCAUGUUUUUUUAAUUAUGAAUUGACGAACAUUUUUAAUUUUUUAACCUUUUGAAAUUUUGGAAAAAAUUGAAAUUGAAGAAUAGUUUAUCAAAUCAAGAACAAUUUUAAAAUUCUAGAACAUUUUUAAAUUUGUGAAUAGUUUUUCAAAUACACAAACAAUUUUUCAAACUCGUGAACAUAUUUUAAAUUCGAAUUUUUUUCAAAUCCCUGAAUAUUUUUGAAAAUCCAGGAAAUUUGCAAACCGUGAAUAUUUAUUGAAACUCGGGCUAUAUUUUUUCAUAUUCAUGAACAUUUUUGCAAAUCUAGGAAUGUUCUAAAAUCCCUGGAAUAUUUGAAAUACAUGAACAUUUUUUCAAGUUCAAGAAAAUUUUUUAAAACAGAGGAACAAUUUUGAAAUUAUGUACAUUUUUGAAUUCAUGAACUUUUUUUGCAAUUCAAAAUAUUUUUUGAAAGUUCAAAGUUUUUUAAAACAAAAGGAGAAAAAACAAAAAUCGAAAGGCAAAAUAAAGAUCUCCUUGUCCCCCAAUGGACCGGCCGAAACCAUGUUAGUGAUGAUCUAGGCUGAGUACUCUGCUGCUCCUGCAUGUAUGGCCUUCGGGUCCACCUCUGUACUUAAAACUGAUGCUCAAAAAAAAAUCUGCACUUAAAACUUGUUUCUCUCUGCAAAUAGAAUGGGCAGCGCUCCUGUCUUCCAUUAAAAAAAUGUACUAAUAUCUACAAGGGCACGGGAUGAUAACUCACUGUCUGAAUCAAUCUUGGUUUCUUGAUUCAGUACACGUCUGCAGCUAGAAACAGAGAAGCCUUGUGCCUCUCUUUGGUCUUGUUCAGAUUUGAGAAAGGGUGCGGCUGUUAGUAAAUGGAAAGGGAACAAGAAUGCUGAGUACUCUCACCGUCGGAGAGACGAAAAACAUGAUUAAAUGGGUAUAAAAGCCAGAUAUAAUCUAGAUUGACCGUUGAGGGCAUUAUCAAUUUAAUACUUGGCGAAAGCCUUCUUUCUUAAAUAGGAUGUAUAAUGGUACAUCCCAAUACAAUUUUAAUUCGGUCAUACACAUUAACACAUCCGGGGAGUUAUGUGGCUAUUCUAAGUGCAGAAGAAAAAUGUAUACAUCUAGGCUAUACAUAGAUAUAGAUGAGACGUAAGAAAGGAUAUACGAUCGAUCAUUGUGUUGCACUACGUGGCAUAGUAGUAGCUAUCAGUUUGGUGUACUCGACUUUGAUCUUCUUCAGCAUCACUACCACAUCAUGCAUCGUCAUCCUCUGGUCAGGCAAGUCACUAGAGCAGAUCAAUCCCAACUCGAAGACCGACGCAAGAAAACCACCAUCCUGUUUGCAGCUAGAAAGAGAGGAACCCUGUAGAAGCUGGACAUCGACAACUUGGACAAGCUCUGCAGGAAAUGCCUGAUGAACCCACUGCCUAAGAGUUAGUUGUGCGCCAAACAUAGCAUCGGUGGGUCUCCUUCCGGUGAAGACUUCAAGGAGCAUGAUUCCAUAACUAAACAUAUCGCUCUUUCGCGAUGCUUUUCCAAGAGAUCCGUACUCUGCUCAAUAGAAACAUAAAUAUAAAUUGAAGCACAAUUGUUCAACCUUAUUGCUUCAGGUAGGGACUCAGUUUAUAAAUGGUUUAACAAGUAUUCAACUGAACAAGAUAACGAGAGAUAGCUAACUGCGUACCAGGUGCCAUGUACCCAACUGUUCCAGGCAUGCUCACACAUGUCAUGCUAUUGUCAUCUAGAAUCAACCUUGCAAUGCCAAAGUCCGCCACAUGCGUCGUCAUCUCCUCAUCGAACAACACGUUGCUAGGCUUCAAGUCACAGUGCAAGAUCAAAUUGUAGUACUCAUGGUGUAGAUAAUCCAUUGCCAUCGACACGUCUAGCAUGAUGCAUAAUCUCUCAAGGAAUCCCAAGCGCACUGUACUCUUGGUCUGAUGUAGGAGCAUCUCCAAGCUGCCAUUUGGCAUGUACUGAAGCACUAGCGCUUUGAAAUCAAGAUUGGAACAUGUGUUGAGUAUCUUUAUGAGGUUGCGGUGUCGCACCAUACGAAGCACUUGACACUCGGCAUCAAAACUUCGAAUGGCCUGCUCUAGCUGCACGUCGAUAACUUUUAUAGCGACUACCAAACCAGUGCUUAGUUGGCCUUUGAAUACUUUUCCAAAGCUUCCGCAUCCCAAGAUGUUAUCUUCACUGAAACUAUUGGUCGCACGAAUGAGCUCAUGAUAGGAGACUAUCUGAUGGCCUAUGACAUCAUUUGCAUUGACAAAAUGUUUGUCCUCUCCCCCCUUAGGUUUCUUUCCGAACAAUAGGUAUAUGCAAAUGGCAAUGGCGCCAAAAGCUAGUGUGAGUGUUGGGAGUAGAAUUUGUAGCACAUGUUUGUUUCUUGAGUGAGGUAUGUCAAGGCAUGGCAAAAGAUCUAGGCGAGGAGCGCCACACAACCCAACAUUUCCAAUUAAAGAUUGCAAUGUGAGAUUUGAGAAAACACCUCCCUCGGGUAUUUGGCCUUCUAGACUAUUGAAUGAGAGGUUCAAGGUAGUCAAGUAUGUAAAGUUGGCAAGGAACGUGGGAAUGCUACCAGAGAGAUUGUUAAAUGAUAGGUCUAAUGAUGCUAAGCUGCUUAACUUUUCGAGUGGGCCUGGAAUUGAUCUUUUGAAGGAGUUAUGCGAUAGAUUUAGGUAGAUUAGCAUACUAUAAGUUGUCCCAAUGAGUCUGGGAUGCUUCCUAUCAAGAAGUUGGAAGAAAUGUCCAUUUGGUAUAUUUGUCUUAGACCUGAAACAUCGACUGGUAGUGCACCAACAAAGUAAUUGUGAGAAAUAUCUAGUGUGAUAAGUUUAUCUAGGUGGAAAAGGCUUGCAGGUAUCAUUGAACUUAACUGGUUUCUAGACAAGUCGAUGUUUUCUAACAAACUAAGAUUUCCAAAGCUACUUGGUAUAGAUCCUGAUAAUUUGUUUGCAUGGAAAGAAAGCCGCUCUAGACUUCCAAGCAAACCCAUUUGUGCUGGGAUAGGGCCUAACAUGUCAUUACCUGACAGAUCAAGCCAUCCAAGAUUUUCCAACAUAGCUAUGGAUUCUGGGAUUGGCCCGGUUAAUAGGUUGUCAUCUAGAGCUAGUCGUUCAAGGCUGCUUAUGUUCGAGAUUUCUACGGGAAGCCCACCUAUUAACUUGUUUCCACCUGCAUCAAAAAUCAUUAAUCGUGAACUGAGGUUUCCCACAUGGCUGGAGAUGACACCUGUGAAAGAAUUACCAUUUAUCACAAGGAAUUGGAGUUGUCUGCACUUGGACAACGCUGAUAAGAAGUCUAGAUUCCCCUCUAAGUGGUUUUUUCUCAAAUCGAGAAGGGUCAAAGCUGCAUUUUUUCCAAGUGCAGUUGGUACUUGGCCGGACAAUUGAUUCAUUUCCAAAGCUAGGUAAGAUAAUUUGGAUAAGUUGCCGAGGGAAGCUGGAAUUUUACCUGUCAACUGAUUGGUUCCAAGAUGCAAACGUGAGAGUUCCUGUAUAAGACCUAAUUCGGGCGGAAUCUCCCCUGUGAGGUUGUUGUAGGGCAUGUCUAUUGUAGAAAGACUGGUGAGAUUGCUUAGACCAGUUGGGAUUGAGCCAAUAAGCUGAUUAGAACCCAACUCAAGCACUUCAAGGCGUGUCAAUUUGGCUAACCAUGUUGGUACAACAUCCACAAAAGAAUUUGCAGAAAAAUCAAGUACUUGUAGGUAUUGACAUGAUGCAAGCCCUGAUGGAAACCGACCGGUAAAUUUGUUACUUGAUAAUGAAAUAAAUUGCAACAUUGGGAGGUUGAAACUUUGAUUGUUCGGGAAAAUUCCAGUUAGGUUUGUUAGAAUAUGUAUAGGACUACUACUAGGACUUGGAGUCCAUGAUGUACACGGCCUUGAUUGCCUUGACGGAAUCAAUCCGUUCUGUAAACGAGCCCUGAUCUUAUAGUAAUAUAAAUAUACGGCAAGGGUGACCAGGAGGUUAUCACGCCACAAUCAAUCGAUCUAUUCUUUCUUACAUGGUAACAGAGCCUUCUCUUCUUUAUCGCAUCUAGACUAGAUGUCGCUCGUUCCCUUCGGCGGUUCCUCAGGAGCGUCUUCCUCAACAGCCCAGCCCAUGGCAACCCUCGGCGACAACUCCCGCGAUAAGCUUGGCCGUGAUAAUUUUCUUCUUUGGAAGGCGACGGUCCUUCCCCCAAUCCGUGGUGCCCAGCUAGAUGGCUAUCUCGAUGGAACGCUUGAAGCUCCGGCCAAGACUCUUGAAGUCCAGAAGGCCGACAAAUCUGGCACCGAGACAGUGCCCAACCCCGACUACGCUCGCUGGAUUGCCCAGGACCAGCAGGUUCUUGGCUCGCUGCUGACCUCUCUCUCGCGCGAAGUACUGACUCAAGUCGUCUCCAUGAAGACAUCCGCGCAGGUCUGGUCAGCCCUUGAGGAGAUGUACUCCUCUGUCUCUCGGUCACGAGUUAUCCAACUUCGGACCCUGUUCGCCGGCAUCGGAAAAACGAGAUGACCGCCACCGCGUACUUCACAAAGAUGCGGGGCAUUGCAGACGAACUCACAGCAGCAGGGAAGAAGAUAGAAGACGAUGAUCUGAUCUCUCAAAUCCUUGCUGGAUUGGAUGCAGAAUACAAUCCCUUUGUCUCAUCCAUUGCUGCCAGAACUGACGCCUACUCUUUGAGCGAAAUUUAUGCUCAGUUCCUUGCCUUUGAAGCGCGCCUGGAGUCACAAAAUUCUGGGUCGCAGCAAUAUAACUCCUCGGUGAAUCUUGCUGCACGAGGAGGACGUGGCAAAGGAAAUCGUGGCGGCAAAAGCAAUGGUGGUGGCAACCGCGGUGGCUACAGCAACAACAAUCGCGGAGGCUACAACAACUAUGGCAACAACUAUAGCCACAGUAAUAACAACUACUCCAAUAAUAAUCGCGGCGGAGGACGACCAGGACAAGGAAGUGGAGCGAAUCUUCCCCGCGGUGAAAGGCCUACUUGCCAAAUUUGUGGUAAGGUUGGGCAUCCAGCUCAUAAGUGCUGGUAUCGAUUUGACCCAGAUUAUGUCACCGAAGAGAGAUAUGGAGGAGCAGCUACUACCUCAUAUGGAGUUGACUCCAAUUGGUACUUUGAUACUGGAGCAACUGACCACAUUACAGGGGAGCUCGACAAGCUGACAACUCGUGCUCGCUACAAUGGUCCUGAACAAGUUCAUGCAGCUAAUGGUGCAGGUAUGGCUAUUAGUCACAUCGGUCAUGCAGUCGUUAAUUCUGUUGAUCAUACUCGAAAUUUCCAUCUUAAUGACGUACUUCAUGUUCCUCAAGCCACUAAAAGCCUAGUUUCUGCUAGUCGUUUUGCUUUUGAUAACAACACUAUCGUUGAAAUUCACCCUCAUGCUUUUUUCGUUAAGGACCCGGCAACGAAGGAAAUUCUUUUGCACGGCCCAUGUGAGCAUGGCCUCUACCCAUUGAAAUUGUCUCCAUUCUCCGGUAGACAAGUUCUUGGUGCUUCAAGGCCAUCACUGACAAGGUGGCACGAUCGUCUUGGUCAUCCAGCCUCUCCAAUAGUCAAGCAAGUUCUUAGGAAGUAUAAUUUACCAUAUUCCGUUCAGUCCACUAGUGAGCAUGUGUGUGAUUCUUGUCAAAAGGCUAAAAGUCAUCAGCUUCCGUAUCCUAGGUCUUCGAGUAUAUCUAGUGCUCCUUUAGAGCUAGUCUUCUCUGAUGUUUGGGGUCAAGCACCCGAGUCUGUUGGUCGGAAUAAAUAUUAUGUAAGCUUCGUCGAUGAUUAUAGUAAAUUUACUUGGAUAUACCUUUUACGAAACAAAUCUGAUGUGUUUCAAUGCUUCCAUGAUUUCCAACAUUUAGUUGAGCGCCUAUUUAACACCAAAAUCAUAGCCAUGCAAACUGAUUGGGGUGGUGAGUAUCACAAACUCAACUCUUUUUUCCAGCGUAUUGGCAUUACUCAUCAUGUUUCGUGUCCACAUGCGCAUCAACAAAAUGGUUCUGCUGAGAGAAAGCAUCGUCAUAUCGUUGAGGUCGGACUUGCAUUGCUUGCUCAUGCCUCUAUGCCUCUUAAGUUCUGGGAUGAAGCGUUUCUUUCUGCUGUAUAUCUUAUUAAUCGUGUUCCUAGUCGAGUCAUCAAUAUGCUUUCUCCGCUUGAACGACUCUUCGAUGAAAAACCCGACUAUUCAUCUCUUCGCGUUUUUGGUUGUGCAUGUUGGCCCAAUCUUCGACCAUAUAACACUCGAAAAUUAGCUUUCCGCUCUACUCGGUGCGCUUUCCUAGGCUACAGUAACAAACACAAGGGAUACAAGUGUCUUGAUAUUUCCUCCGGUCGUAUAUAUAUCUCUCGUGAUGUUAUUUUUGAUGAAUCCGUGUUUCCUUUUUCGCAACUUCAUCCGAAUUCCGGAGCCCGUCUUAGAGCUGAAAUCCUUCUUUUGCCUCCAAACCUUCAGAAUCCUACGAGUACUGAUCAAGGGGGUGAUGAUUUGCAUGAUCAUGUGACUAAUCCUACUAAUGCAUCUAAUGCUUGUGUUGACAGUACCCAGGAACAGGAAAAACAGGGGCAAAAGAGCUACGGUGGCCUUGAUUUUAUGUGUGCAGCUGGUGGUAGCAGGCCCGAGUUGGACUCUAGCGGAUUGCAUGCUUGUCCAGAAUCUACGGCAGCACCAGGAUUCGCUCCUUCCAUAGGUCAGCAUGGCGACCAGAUGCCAACGCCCAGUCCUCAUCAGCCGCGUGGUGCACAGUGGCGGAGCCAGGAAUAUUUUUUAGGUGUGGCAGAGUUUGUGAGGGAAAAAAACAAUGUAGUAACAUAUAACUAUGUGACGUUCCUGCUUGCUGCCUCUCUUGACGGUGAUCGCUGCCAUGCCCACCACGCUGACUAAAGAUCGCGUGGUUGCUCUGUAAUCGCUGCCUCUGUUGCAUGCCUUACAGGUUAGCCGACUAGGGGUGGGUCGGUCGGUCGGCAGUAGGGACAAAUAUCACAACAAGACAUACAUUGUCAUGAGUUUGGAGGAGUAGCCGUUGCUCCUAGUUGUAUAUUGUAAUACCUCAGACGAUUUGAGUCCGAUUAGAUCUAGUUUCUUCACCGGAGAGACGGAAAGCGGUGAGGCUCUGGGUUUCGCGGAGUUGGCACUGCUCAUCACACAGCUAGAGACAAGCUUGAGGGGCGGCUGCAAGGCGAUUCCUGAUCAACCGUGCUUGAACGAAACAGCUCGUGUAUCUCCAAUCAAUUAGUACAUUUUUUUAGCAUGUCCAAUCAACUGGAGUACAUGUGAAUUGAUUUGCAAUUGACUGCCAAUUGUGUCCUCGUUUAGAACAUGGGCUUGUGGGUCAUGGGCUUAUGUGAUGCAAGUCACCUAUUGCUUAAUUCUCUCCUUCAGCGGCAGUUAGGCCUCUAAUGAGGCAGAAACACGUAGGUAACAACACAACUACCUAACUACCUGGCGAAAUACAUUUGAGGCCAUGAGUUGCCUGCCCCCUGCGAGUAUUCAUCCUCCAAAUUGACGAAACUGACCAAAAAUCCAUUGACUCAGCUCAAAGCUUCAUACAUACAGUAUAUAUAUGUAUACUUUUGCCAAAUUUUAGGUAUGGCGGCUGCCAAACCUCGCCAUAUAGCUGGAUCCGCCCCUGGUGGUGCAUGCAGAGCCCCUUCGGCACGCACCGAGCCAAGCACGCCCACGCAUGGGAACCGCGGGGCCCGUACCGAACCAGCCGCAACUGCGCCCCGGUCUCCUGCACCGAGUGGCCCUACCGAAGCGGGCGCACAUCCAGCGCGAAGCCAACAAACGUCCUCGUCUGCAUCUUUUUCAGGAUCUCCAGCCAAUGAAGAAACGUCUUGGACGGGUGUCGACAACGAUGUAUCUUCUGUGGCUUCACCAGUUCAGCAAAUAAUGCAGCCGCCCUCUGUUCCUGAUCGCGUCGUGACCCGCUCACGUAAUAAUAUUUUCAAACCCAAGAUUAUCACAGAUGGGCGAGUUCGAUGGUGCAAUUUGUGCACGACUGGUGAACCAAAUAAUCUUACAGAAGCUCUUCAGGAUAAAAACUGGAAAGAAGCUAUGGACGAGGAAUAUUCUGCAUUGAUAAAAAAUAAUACAUGGCAUCUUGUGCCAGCUUUGAAAGAGAGCAGUGCGGCGAGAUCGAUGUCACUACGAUUGCCAUUGGUGGGAGUGGGAGAAGAAGCCGAGAUGGACGAGAAUAGGACAAGCAAGAAGAUGGGAAUACGGGCAGACAUGCAUCGAGAGGCCAUUGAGCUGGGUUGUUUGCCUAUGUGCGGUGAAGAGCUUGUGGGAGUAGUGAUCAAUUUAUAAGGAGUUUCCGUGGAAUCUCAUGCAUCAUUCUCGAGGCCACAAGCAGCGCGGCGAUCUUUCCAUGGAAGUGGUCGCACCUUGCGCUAGCUUGCCGCUCUUGCCGGCGGUCACACGGCGCUGCAAGCACAUAUAGAGACACGCGCACAGCUGUCGAUCGUACUACGAUGAUGGAAUCCCAGGAAGCUCACCGUGGCGGCAAGCAAGACGACACGGCGCUGAGCUAUCGAUCCAACCUUGAGUCGCCCAAGCAGACACGCCCAGCUUUGCAAUGCACACCAGACUUGUCAAUUCCGUAUACUAGUCAAUAUUUGGUGUUGUCACUACGUACUAUAAAUUUAAAAGUAAGACUAGAUAGCCUCCGGGUUCCGGUUCGUAAGAUGGUGUCGUUUUGUUGACCGCCGAGCUGACUCUCUGCACGUGCCAACGUAGCUCUGAACUUUAUUUUGUGGUACUGGGGUGUGGCACUUACUUCUUUUUUACCGAAAAAUUAAUCAAACACCAUGGCAGUACAAAGAACAUCAUAAGUAACAAAAUUUACAUAUAUUCAUUGACCAUCUAGCGACGACUACAUGCGCUGGAGUGAGCCCAAGGCGCGCCGCCUCCUGUACUUCUUAUAUGGGCUAGCCCACUGCCUUCCUGAUUUUCUCGUUGUGCUUGUCUGCCUCGGCGUGGAGCUAGCUUGCAUUUCUUCUUCCUUUUUUUUUCCUUUUUCUUAGUUUUAUAUAUGUUACAAAAAUUUCUAAAUAUAUACGUAGUUUACUUUACUUAGAUUUUUUGCUUGGAAAAACGAAUUUGCUAGCUAGUUUUUUUAACGAAUUUGCAUGCUAAUUUUUUUAAUGUUCACCAUACACUGAAUACUAUUGUAUAAUAUACGAUGAACAAUUUUGUUAUAUACAUUGCAUUUUUUUUAUAAAUAUGCACUGAAUACUAUUGUAUAAUAUAUGAUAAAAAAAGGUGUUCAUGUAUUAUAGUUCAGUAUAGAAAGGUGUUCAUAUUUUAAAAAUGUUCAUCUAAAACUAAAAAAUGGUGUUCAUAAUACUAUUGUAUAAAUACACAUUGAAUACUAUUGUAUAAUAUACGAUGAAAAUUUUUGUUAUAUACAUUGCAUUUUUUAAUAUACAAUAUCUGAAAAAAUGCCGCAUAGUAAAAAUUUCGGUGUAAAUUUUAAAAAUGUCGAAAGUAUUGAAAUAGUGUACACCAUUUAUUAAAACCUAUAUACAAAAGAGAUGUGCAAAAGUUUAAAAAGGGAAAACCGGAAGAAGGCCAGGACGUGUCUUAAAAGAUAUAAGAAAUAGUACGAAACAAAAAAACGCAAUAAAAACAACGAAACAAUUGUCCAGCAACAAAAUUCGUUUCUACAGUGUAUGGUAUAAAAAGGUUUAAGCAUCAACUGUAUCGACUGCAUUGGCGUAGUGUAGUGCUCAGAGCCCCUUUCCCUUGGUAGUGCGUCGUGGGUUCGAAACCCCACAGGCGCGCGUAAUAUUUUAUUUGGUUUUCAGUUUUUUCCGCAAACGAGGUCCUUCGUAGGUGAUUAAAUAUAAAACGAGGGGUUUUUUUGCGAAAGAAGAUGCCACCUCAACCCCUGACAGGCGGGCCCCGCUGUCAGUUUCUCCGUCAAUACGUGUUUAUACGUCGUUUAGUCCGUUCUGCAACGGCUCGCCCUAAAGUUGGUACUGACACGUAAAAGUUAUCAAACUUAGUAUCAAUCUGCUUUCAAUACUCUAAUUGUGAUACUUAUGUACAAUUAACUCUCAUCCCAGGAAUGCAACUGUUGCAGUCCUUGUGACCUGCAGCUGCAGUGCAACACACGAUGGUGGUGGGGACGAGCAGUAAUUUCUCUUGUCGUCCGUCCAGACCAGAGCAAUAAUUCAUUCUCAUCUCAUCUCACAAUGAGUGUGUGUGUUCUCUAUAUAAGUAUGACCUAUCCUUCACCUAUAUAAGUAUUGCUAGUACAUUAUACUAUUAUUUUGGUCUACUGGUUAGUCCUACGUACAUGCUAAGUUUGUACUACUCUCUCUGUCAAAAAAACUUAUCCCAAAUUUGUCUGUCAAAUGUAUGUACUUGAGGGACAAAUUUUUUCAGACGCAGUGAGGACUAGGCAGCCCAGUUUCUCCUCUUAGAUCGUCUACAAUCAGACAUAUAAAAUAUGAUCCCUUAAACGCCCGUGGACACGACUGGUUAGUGUCCGUUUUGAGCCCUUAUUUAUCCGUCCGCGCAGCCACACUCAUUAUUUUUCUUCUUAUAUGUCGGUUCACUUGCACGUGAUUGGUGAAGACGAAGAGAGAGAAAUAAAAGAAUGAAUAAAGAAAAAGAAAAGGUGGUCCGGGGUGGGGCCGCGUCCUACGUGCUGGACUGCCCGGACGCGUCCGCGAGCCCUCAUAUCCUCCCCAUAUUUGAGAUGGAUAUGAGGGUUCGCGGACAGCCCGGGCAUAUAGGGAUGAUAUGAGGGGUCCGGUUAGGUCAUGCAUGGUUAUGAGGGAUGAUUUGAGGCGUCCGGCUGUAGAUGCUCUUAGACCUACUUAAAAACAGAGUUGUUCUCAUCUAGUAUACAAUUAUUAUUAGAAGGAUUUCUCAUCUGAAUAAAAAUAAAAAAAACUCUCCUCUGUGCCUUGAGGCUUAUACAGCAACCUCACGGGCCAGUUGGUCCAGAUGUCUUCUACAGUCGUGGUGACAUGUUAGUUUGAACGUUGGACAUCAUUUGAAAACUCCUCACUCCAAUUCUGAAAUAUAUGCAUGGCUUAGUUAACCUGGAUUCCCCUGCCCCUCACUGCAGUCCUUAUCUAAAACAGUGGAUGUAUAUCAUUCUUGGACACGCAGGACCCAUUUGCCAGCCAUCGUCAGAAAGCUUGUUAUGCGCAGCACCCAAUUAUUGCUUGCUGCUUUCCUCUUCCUCCAUCCGGCCACUUCUCCCUCUCCACUCUCCCAGCAGCAGCAGCAGCAGAUCUGACAAACACCAACGAGCGAGACCAGAAAGAGCUAGCAGAGGGCAUCGACCGAUCCAUCGAUGUCGGUGGUGAGCGCCGCGCAUGGCGUGCUGGGUCCGCUGCUGGGGAAGCUCGCCGACCUGCUCGCCGGCAAGUUCGGCCGCGUGCGAGGCGUCCGCAAGGACAUCCUCUCUCUCCAGGCCGAGCUGACCAGCAUGCACGCCGCGCUCCAGGAGUACACCAUGCUCGAAGAUCCAGGCGUCCAGGUGAAGGCCUGGAUAUCGCUGCUCAGGGAGCUGGCCUAUGAUACCGAGGAUUGCAUCGACAAGUUCAUCCGCCACCUCGGCAAACACGGGCGUCGCGGCGGCUUCAAGGAAAUCUUCCGCGACACCACUCGCUUCCUCAGGACGCUCGAUUCUCGCUGUGGAAUUGCCGACCAGAUCGAGGAACUCAAGGCCCGCAUCAAGCAUGUCAAAGAGCUCAAGGAUAGUUACAAGCUGAGUGAGACUUCUUGCACCAAAACCGAGCAUGCGGCCGUGGAUCCUCGGUUGUGCGCUCUGUUUGCCGAGGAGGCACACCUUGUGGGCGUGAAGGGUCCAAGAGAUGAUCUUGUCAAGUGGAUGUUGACAGAAGAAACAAACAGCUCCACCAAGGAUCGUAAGGUGUUGUCAAUUGUUGGAUUUGGUGGAUUGGGAAAGACAACACUGGCAAAUGAGGUCUAUCGCAAGAUUGAAAGGCAUUUCGAUUGUCAGGCUUUUGUAUCGGUCUCACAAAAGCCAGUUAUAAAGAAAAUUAUCAAGGAUUUGAUAUACAAAGUGCCUUGCCCUGAUGAAUUCAGAAAAGAUAUUGAAAUUUGGGACGAAGCGACAUCCAUUGCAAAGCUAAGAGAACUGCUAAAGGAUAAAAGGUAACUUUAACUUCUGUUGUUAUUUUUUAGAACAUUCCUUGCAAAUGUUUUCACAAAUUUGGUACUUACUGGUUACUGUUUCAUGUACAGUUAUAUUUUUCACGUGAUGAAAAACAUAGCACAAUUUUGACUCGUGCAAUUCAUCCUUGUCACUUGUAUUAGACUAUAUUCCAUAUAUAGUACUCAAAUAAGCAUUGAGAAACAAUGUUUGUAGAUAAAAAUAUAUCAAAUAAACAUUGUUUUUGUGAUUGAGUACAAGACUUGUGUUCCACUUAAAUUGUAUUGAGGUGGUGUAUGAUAAAAUAUAGAUGGAAACAUAACUAAGAACCAAGAAGUAUGUUCCACUUGUUAACCACUCCAGUACAUGAAGCAUCUGCGUCAUUGGAGUUUAACUGCAUGUUUAUUUUUCUAGUUGAAUUCCAUUUCAAAAUCAGCUAACAUCAUCCGCUACUAUUUAUUAGGUAUCUUGUCAUAGUGGAUGAUAUAUGGUCUACCCAAGCAUGGAGCAAUAUCAAGUGUGCUUUUCCAGACAAUAAUUGUUCUAGCAGAAUUAUAACUACUACACGAAUUAUUGAUGUGGCAAGAUCAUGUUGUCCUGGUAGUGAUGACCGUGUGUAUGAAAUGGCAGCCCUAAGUGAUCUUCACUCCAAAAGAUUGUUUCUCAAAAGAAUUUUUGGUUCUGAGGACCACUGCCCUGAUAUGCUGAAAGAAAGUUCAAAUGAAAUCCUGAAAAAAUGUGGAGGCCUACCAUUGGCAAUUGUCAGUAUAUCUAGUUUGUUAGCAAAUAGACCAGCAGUCAAGGAGGAGUGGGAGAAGAUUAGAAGAUCAAUUGGUUCUGCUCUGGAAAAUAACCAGAGUUUGGAGGGAAUGAGUAAGAUACUAUUACUUAGCUACAAUGAUCUUCCACCUAAUCUCAAGACAUGUUUAUUGUAUUUGAGUGUAUUCCCCGAGGAUUAUGUGAUUGAUCGAAAAAGGUUAGUGAGGCGGUGGAUAGCGGAAGGGUUUAUCUCUGAAGAGCGUGGACAAAGUCGGCAAGAAGUCGCCGAGAGAUAUUUCUAUGAGCUUGUCAACAAAAGCAUGGUACAGCUUGUGGACGUCGGCUAUGAUGGCAAGGCUCGUGCUUGCCGAGUCCAUGACAUGAUGCUAGAACUUAUUAUUUCAAAAUCAAAUGAAGAUAAUUUCAUCGUGGUAGUAGGUGGUGGCCAAACGACUUUGGGAAAUCGUCAAGGUUUUAUUCGGCGACUAUCGAUCCAGCACAUUGAUCAUGAGAUUGCACAUUUACUCGCACAAAAAGAUCUAAGCCAUGUUCGAUCUCUGACAGUAACAUCGUCAGCUUGCAUCAAACACUUACCUAGUCUUGGUAAAUUUGAAGCUCUACGUGUAUUGGAUUUUGAAGGUUGUUCUGGUUUAGAAGAGUAUGAUAUGAAAAGUAUUGGCAAAUUGCUCCAACUAAAGUACCUAAACUUUAGAGACACAGGAAUAUCAAAGCUACCUUCAGGGAUCGUGAUGCUAUGUGACCUAGAGACCCUAGAUUUUGGAUAUACAGGAGUGAAAGAGUUGCCAACUGGAUUCGUUCAGCUGACCAAACUACAACACGUAAUUGCUGGAAGUCGGACAACUAUACCAAACAGGAUUGGGAAUAUGAGGAACUUACAGGAGAUAUCAGGCUUUAGUAUUACCCAGAGUCCAGCAGAUGCCGUGGAGGAUCUUGGAAACCUACCAGGUUUGGAGGAAAUCGAUGUAGAUCUCGAUGGUGGAGAAUCAGACGAGUUCAGGAGGCAUGAAGAAAUGUUACUUUCCUCACUGUGCAAGCUUGGCAGCUGCAAGCUCCGGUUUUUACAGAUUACUAGGCACUGUGGUGGUUCCCUCGAGUUCUUAGAAUCUUGGACCCAACCGCCAGUUUCCCUUCAAGUAUUAUAUAUGUAUAGCAGCAACUACUAUUUCACGAAACUUCCAAAGUGGAUUGCUCCAGCACUCACCAGCCUUUCUUUCCUAGAGAUCAAUUUAGCUGAAUUAACAGAGGAGGGUCUGGUCACUCUUGGGGAGCUCCCAGCUUUACUUCGCCUUGAUCUGUGGUUCAAAAAAAGGCCUGAUGAUAGGGUUACAGUUCGAGGAUUCCCAAGUCUGAGGCAGUUUACCCUGUAUAGUAAUUAUGUGUCACCAUACGUUACAUUUGUCAAAGGGUCCAUGCCCAAGCUUAAGAAUCUUGAUUUUCUUAUCAAUGUGUCAGUGGCAAAAACAUAUGGCUUCUAUUUAGGCAUUGAGCAUCUCACAUGUCUUCAACAAGCAACGGCGAGGCUUGACAAUAGGGGCGUUACACCUUCUGAGAGAAAGGCUGCAGAGGCUGCGGUCAGGGCUGAAGCAGUUGCCCAUCCAAACCAUCCCACAAUUACUAUUUGUUGUACUGAAAAGGAAAAUGAAGAGACUGGUGGCGAGAAAAAAGAGAGCAGGGAAGAUGUUGACACUGAUGAGAAUUAAGAUGCACAUCUUCUGAUUGAGGUAUUAAUACAGAUCGUUAUCAUUCAUUGCUUGUCAACUAAAAUGCAUCUUUUGUCCAAAAUUUCUUUUGGAUUCUAAAUUCGCGUGCUGCUGGCUGCGUUACUUGGAGUGCAAUACUGAAGGAAGGCCUGAAAAUAAGAAGCUGCAGCAGGGUGAUGGUCACAUUCAGAAAGACGGCGAUAGUGGUCUCAGUUGCUAAUUGCUAGUGCAAUGAAUUCCCAUUGUUUACUUUUGAUAAUUAUUAAGACAUGAUUUCUCUGUUUGGGCAUCCGGGAGUGUGGAUUAUCUCUGCUGAAUACUCUUUCUUCUAGAUAGCUAGAGAUGUAAUAUUGAUUCUGGCUUUGCUCGCUCGAGAUUUGGCUAUGUUUGCAUUUGGAACCGCGGUGGCAAAAUGAUGGCUGGGAGAAAAUUUGCUGCAAACAGACCGUUUUUUUCUUUUUGAAAAGGGGGAAACCCCGGCCUCUGCAUCAGUAUGAUGCAUACGGCCCUCUUAUUAACAAAAUAAAGUAGUGCCAACAUGGUUCAAAAGGUCCUCAUAAGUCAAAAAAAGCAGAACAAGCUCACACAGAGCCCGAAGAAGGUAGAUACAUCAACUAGCCACAUCAAGAUGCCACAACCGGCUAGGUAAACUAGGUAGGAAUACUAAAUGCCUAUCCUAUUACAUAACCGCCAUCCAAACCGGUUGAAGAUAUCCCGAGCUACCAUCUCCCAUCGGAUAGACCCAGUAACCAAAUGCUCCCUGGGCUCCGUCUGGGUGAGUAGCGACCACGAACGGAUCAGAGCCGUAGUCCGGAAUAAAACCUGCAAAAAAUGUAUACAUGAUAUUCUGUUAAAGACCAAAUCGUUUCUGCAAUUCCAGAUAGUCCACAGCAAAGCACAAACCCCAACCCGAAUAUGUCUCGCUAAGUUAGGCUCAAUCCCAUUAAGCCAUGUCCCAAAUAAAGCAUUAACAGAAUUCGGUGGUUUGAUAUUGAAAGCAAUGUGGACCGUCUGCCAGAGUACCUUGGCCAGCGGGCAAUCAAAAAAGAGGUGUUUAAUAGUCUCAUCCCGAUCGCAGAAACUACACCUAGUAGGUCCUGUCCAAUUACGCUUCAUCAAGUUAUCCUUCGUUAAAAUUACUUGUUUAUGGACAAACCACAUAAACACUUUUAUUUCAAAGGAACUUUGACAUCCCAAAUAUGUUUUGACGUAGGAAUGGAGUUCGAAUUAAUAACAUCAAUAUACAUUGAUUUAACCGUGAAUACUCCAGACUUAGUCAACUUCCAGCGUAAUUCAUCGGGUUGUUGAGAAAGCUGGAUGUCCAUCAGUCUCCUAACUAGAUGGAGCCAUUCUUCCCAACGAUUGCCCGCUAGCACUCGUCUGAACUGAAUAUUAAGGGGGGUAGAUUGGAAGACCGAAGUGUUGGGUAACGUAGUAAUUUCAAAAUUUUCCAACGCACACGCAAGAUCAUGGUGAUGAUACAGCAACGAAGGGAGAGUGUUGUCUACGUACCCUCGUAGACCGAAGCGGAAGCGUUGACGCAACGUAGAGGAAGUAGUCGUACGUCCUCCCGGUCCAACCGAUCCAAGCACCGUUACUCCGGCACCUCCGAGUUCUUGACACGCGUACAGCUCGAUGAUGCACCCUCGAUCUCUAACCCAGUAGAGGCUCCGAGGGGGAGUUCCGUCAGCACGACGGCGUGGUGACGAUCUUGAUGUUCUCCUGUCGCAGGGCUUCGCCUAAGCACCGCUACAAUAUGACCGAGGUGUAAUAUCAUGGAGGGGGGCACCGCACACGGCUAAGGAACGAUCUCAAUGAUCAACUUGUGUGUACUAGAGUGCCCCCCUACCCCCGUAUAUAAAGGAGGGAGGGAGGAGGUGGCCGGCCACAAGGGGGGCGCGCCAUGGGGAGGGGGAAACUUACUCCAAGUAGGUUUCCCGCCCCCCCCUUUUCCUUAUCUUAUUUGGAGGGGGAAGGAAAUAGUACUAGUAUUAGGAAGUAGUACUAGUAGUAGUAAUAGGAAGAGGGGGAAGGAGAAAGGAAAGGGGGGGCCGGCCCCCUUCCCCAAUUCGGAUUGGGCUGGGGGGCGCGCCCCCUUCCCUUGUUCCUUCUCCUUUCCUCCUAUAUGGGCCCAAUAAGGCCCAUAUACCUCCUGGGGGUUUCCGGUAACCUCCCGGAGCUCCAAACUUCUCCGGAACCUUUCCGGUGUCCAAAUAUAUCCGUCCAAUAUAUCAAUCUUUAUGUCUCGACCAUUUCGAGACUCCUCGUCAUGUCCGUGAUCAUAUUCGGGACUCCGAACAACCUUCGGUACAUCAAAAUACAUAAACUCAUAAUAUAACCGUCAUCGAAACCUUAAGCGUGCGGACCCUACGGUUCGAGAACAAUGUAGACAUGACCGAGACAUGUCUCAGGUCAAUAACCAAUAGCGGGACCUGGAUGCCCAUAUUGGUUCCUACAUAUUCUACAAAGAUCUUUAUCGGUCAGACCGCAUAACAACAUACGUUGUUCCCUUUGUCAUCGGUAUGUUACUUGCCCGAGAUUCGAUCGUCGGUAUCCAAUACCUAGUUCAAUCUCGUUACCGACAAGUCUCUUUACUCGUUCCAUAAUACAUCAUCUCACAACUAACUCAUUAGUUGAAGUGCUUGCAAGGCUUAAGUGAUGUGUAUUACCGAGAGGGCCCAGAGAUACCUCUCCGACAUUCGGAGUGACAAAUCCUAAUCUCGAAAUACGCCAACUCAACAAGUACCUUCGGAGACACCUGUAGAGCACCUUUAUAAUCACCUAGUUACGUUGUGACAUUUGGUAGCACACAAAGUGUUCUUCCGGUAAACGGGAGUUGCAUAAUCUCAUAGUCAUAGGAACAUGUAUAAGUCAUGAAGGAAGCAAUAGCAACAUACUAAACGAUCGUGUGCUAAGCUAACGGAAUGGGUCAUGUCAAUCAGAUCAUUCAACCAAUGAUGUGACCUUGUUAAUCAAAUAACAACUCCUUGUUCAUGGUUAGGAAACAUAACCAUCUUUGAUUAACAAGCUAGUCAAGUAGAGGCAUACUAGUGACACUCUGUUUGUCUAUAUAUCCACACAUGUAUUAUGUUUCCGGUUAAUACAAUUCUAGCAUGAAUAAUAAAUAUUUAUCAUGAUAUGAGGAAAUAAAUAAUAACUUUAUUAUUGCCUCUAGGGCAUAUUUCCUUCAGUCUCCCACUUGCACUAGAGUCAAUAAUCUAGAUUACACAGUAAUGAUUCUAACACCCAUGGAGUCUUGGUGUUGAUCAUGUUUUGCUCGUGGAAGAGGCUUAGUCAACGGGUCUGCAACAUUCAGAUCCGUAUGUAUCUUGCAAAUCUCUAUGUCUCCCACCUGGACUAGAUCCCGGAUGGAAUUGAAGCGUCUCUUGAUGUGCUUGGUUCUCUUGUGAAAUCUGGAUUCCUUCGCUAAGGCAAUCGCUCCAGUAUUGUCACAAAAGAUUUUCAUUGGUCCCGAUGCACUAGGUAUGACACCUAGAUCGGAUAUGAACUCCUUCAUCCAGACUCCUUCAUUGGGUGCUUCCGAAGCAGCUAUGUAUUCCGCUUCACAUGUAGAUCCCGCCACGACGCUUUGUUUUGAACUGCACCAACUGACAGCUCCACCGUUUAAUGUAAACACGUAUCUGGUUUGCGAUUUAGAAUCGUCCGGACCAGUGUCAAAGCUUGCAUCAACGUAACCAUUUACGAUGACCUCUUUGUCACCUCCAUAUACGAGAAACAUAUCCUUAGUCCUUUUCAGGUAUUUCAGGAUGUUCUUGACCGCUGUCCAGUGAUCCACUCCUGGAUUACUUUGCUACCUCCCUGCUAGACUUAUAGCAAGGCACACAUCAGGUCUGGUACACAGCAUUGCAUACAUGAUAGAGCCUAUGGCUGAAGCAUAGGGAACACUUUUCAUUUUCUCUCUAUCUUCUGCAGUGGUCGGGCUUUGAGUCUUACUCAACUUCACACCUUGCAAUACAGGCAAGAACCCUUUCUUCGCUUGAUCCAUUUUGAACUUCUUCAAAAACUUUUUCAAGGUAUGUGCUUUGUGAAAGUCCAAUUAAGCGUCUUGAUCUAUCUCUAUAGAUCUUAAUGCCCAAUAUGUAAGCAGCUUCACCGAGGUCUUUCAUUGAAAAACUUUUAUUCAAGUAUCCCUUUAUGCUAUCCAGAAAUUCUAUAUCAUUUCCAAUCAAUAAUAUGUCAUCCACAUAUAAUAUUAGAAAUGCUACAGAGCUCCCACUCACUUUCUUGUAAAUACAGGCUUCUCCAAAAGUCUGUAUAAAACCAAAUGCUUUGAUCACACUAUCAAAACAUUUAUUCCAACUCCGAGAGGCUUGCACCAGUCCAUAAAUGGAACGUUGGAGCUUGCACACUUUGUUAGCUCCCUUUGGAUCGAUAAAACCUUCUGGUUGCAUCAUAUACAACUCUUCUUGCAGAAAUCCAUUCAGGAAUGCAAUUUUUACAUCCAUUUGCCAAAUUUCAUAGUCAUAAAAUGCGGCAAUUGCUAACAUGAUUCGGACAGACUUAAGCAUCGCUACGGGUGAGAAGGUCUCAUCGUAGUCAACCCCUUGAACUUGUCGAAAACCUUUUGCAACAAGUCGAGCUUUGUAGACAGUAACAUUACCGUCAGCGUCAGUCUUGUUCUUGAAGAUCCAUUUAUUCUCUAUUGCUUGCCGACCAUCGGGCAAGUCAACCAAAGUCCAUACUUUGUUAUCAUACAUGGAUCCCAUCUCAGAUUUCAUGGCUUCAAGCCAUUUUGCGGAAUCUGGGCUCACCAUCGCUUCUUCAUAGUUCGUAGGUUCAUCAUGAUCUAGUAACAUGACUUCCAGAAUAGGAUUACCGUACCACUCUGGUGCGGAUCUUACUCUGUUCGACCUCCGUGGUUUUGUAUUAACUUGAUCUGAAGUUCUAUGAUCAUCAUCAUCAACUUCCUCACUAGUUGGUUUUGACGUCACAGAAACCGGUUCCUGUGAUGUAUUAUUUUCCAACAAGGGGGUAGGUACAGUUACCUCAUCAAGUUCUACUUUCCUCCCACUCACUUCUUUCGAGAGAAACUCCUUCUCUAGAAAGGAUCCAUUCUUAGCAACAAAUGUCUUGCCUUCGGAUCUGUGAUAGAAGGUGUACCCAACUGUCUCCUUUGGGUAUCCUAUGAAGACACAUUUCUCCGAUUUGGGUUCGAGCUUACCAGGUUGAAGCUUUUUCACAUAAGCAUCGCAACCCCAAACUUUAAGAAACGACAACUUUGGUUUCUUGCCAAACCAUAGUUCAUAAGGUGUCGUCUCAACGGAUUUCGACGGUGCCCUAUUUAACGUGAAUGUGGCUGUCUCUAGAGCAUAACCCCAAAAUGAUAGCGGUAAAUCUGUAAGAGACAUCAUAGAUCGUACCAUAUCAAGUAAAGUACGAUUACGACAUUCGGACACACCAUUGCGCUGUGGUGUUCCGGGUGGCGUGAGUUGUGAAACUAUUCCACAUUGUUUUAAGUGUAGACCAAACUCGUAACUCAAAUAUUCUCCUCCACGAUCAGAUCGUAGAAACUUUAUUUUCUUGUUACGAUGAUUUUCAACUUCACUCUAAAAUUCUUUGAACUUUUCAAAUGUUUCAGACUUAUGUUUCAUUAAGUAGAUAUACCCAUAUCUGCUUAAAUCAUCUGUGAAGGUGAGAAAAUAACGAUAUCCGCCACGAGCCUCAACAUUCAUUGGACCACAUACAUCUGUAUGUAUGAUUUCUAACAAAUCUGUUGCUCUCUCCAUAGUACCGGAGAACGGUGUUUUGGUCAUCUUGCCCAUGAGGCACGGUUCGCAAGUACCAAGUGAUUCAUAAUCAAGUGGUUCCAAAAGUCCAUCAGUAUGGAGUUUCUUCAUGCGCUUUAUACUGAUAUGACCCAAACGGCAGUGCCACAAAUAAGUUGCACUAUCAUUAUCAACUCUGCAUCUUUUGGCUUCAACACUAUGAAUAUGUGUAUCACUACUAUCGAGAUUCAUCAAAAAUAGACCACUCUUCAAGGGUGCAUGACCAUAAAAGAUAUUACUCAUAUAAAUAGAACAACCAUUAUUCUCUGAUUUAAAUGAAUAACCGUCUCGCAUCAAACAAGAUCCAGAUAUAAUGUUCAUGCUCAACGCUGGCACCAAAUAACAAUUAUUUAGGUCUAAUACUAAUCCCGAAGGUAGAUGUAGAGGUAGCGUGCCGACCGCGAUCACAUCGACUUUGGAACCGUUUCCCACGCGCAUCGUCACCUCGUCCUUUGCUAGUGUUCGCUUAAUACGUAGUCCCUGUUUCGAGUUGCAAAUAUUAGCAACAGAACCAGUAUCAAAUACCCAGGUGCUACUGCGAGCUCUAGUAAGGUACACAUCAAUAACAUGUAUAUCACAUAUACCUUUGUUCACUUUUCCAUCCUUCUUAUCCGCCAAAUACUUGGGGCAGUUCCGCUUCCAGUGACCAGUCUGCUUGCAGUAGAAGCACUCAGUUUCAGGCUUAGGUCCAGACUUGGGUUUCUUCUCUUGAGCAGCAACUUGUUUGUUGUUCUUCUUGAAGUUCCCCUUCUUCUUCCCUUUGCCCUUUUUCUUGAAACUAGUGGUCUUGUUAACCAUCAACACUUGAUGCUCCUUCUUGAUUUCUACCUCCGCAGCCUUUAGCAUUGCGAAGAGCUCGGGAAUCGUCUUAUCCAUCCCUUGCAUAUUAUAGUUCAUCACGAAGCUCUUGUAGCUUGGUGGAAGUGAUUGGAGAAUUCUGUCAAUGACGCUAUCAUCCGGAAGAGUAACUCCCAGUUGAAUCAAGUGAUUACAAUACCCAGACAUCUUGAGUAUGUGCUCACUGACAGAACUAUUCUCCUCCAUCUUGCAGCUAUAGAACUUAUUGGAGACUUCAUAUCUCUCAAUCCGGGCAUUCUUCUGGAAUAUCAACUUCAACUCCUGAAACAUCUCAUAUGUUCCAUGACGUUCAAAACGUCGUUGAAGUCCCGGUUCUAAGCCGUAAAGCAUGGCACAUUGAACUAUCGAGUAGUCAUCAGCUUUGCUCUGCCAGACGUUCUUAACGUCGUCAGUUGCAUCAGCAGCAGGCCUGGCACCCAGCGGUGCUUCCAGGACGUAAUUUUUCUGUGCAGCAAUGAGGAUAAUCCUCAAGUUACGGACCCAGUCCGCAUAGUUGCUACCAUCAUCUUUCAACUUAGCUUUCUCAAGGAACGCAUUAAAAUUCAACGGAACAACAGCAAGGGCCAUCUAUCUACAAACAACAUAGACAAGCAAGAUACUAUCAGGUACUAAGUUCAUGAUAAAUUUUUAGUUCAAUUAAUCAUAUUACUUAAGAACUCCCACUUAGACAGACAUCUCUCUAGUCAUCUAAGUGAUCACGUGAUCCAAAUCAACUAAACCAUAACCGAUCAUCACGUGAGAUGGAGUAGUUUUCAAUGGUGAACAUCUUAUGUUGAUCAUAUCUACUAUAUGAUUCACGCUCGACCUUUCGGUCUCCGUGUUCGAGGCCAUAUCUGCAUAUGCUAGGCUCGUCAAGUAUAACCUGAGUAUUCUGCGUGUGCAAAACUGGCUUGCACCCGUUGUAGAUGGACGUAGAGCUUAUCACACCCGAUCAUCACGUGGUGUCUGGGCACGACGAACUUUGGCAACGGUGCAUACUCAGGGAGAACACUACUUGAUAAUUUUUAGUGAGAGAUCAUCUUAAAAUGCUACCGUCAAUCAAAGCAAGAUAAGAUGCAUAAAGGAUAAACAUCACAUGCAAUCAAUAUAAGUGAUAUGAUAUGACCAUCAUCUUCUUGUGCUUGUGAUCUCCAUCUCCGAAGCACUAUCAUGAUCACCAUCGUCACCGGCGCGACACCUUGAUCUCCAUCGUAGCAUCGUUGUCGUUUACGCCAUCUAUUGCUUCUACGACUAUCGCUACCGCUUAGUGAUAAAGUAAAGCAAUUACAGGGCGUUUGCAUUUCAUACAAUAAAGCGACAACCAUAUGGCUCCUGCCAGUUGCCGAUAACUUCGGUUACAAAACAUGAUCAUCUCAUACAAUAAAAUAUAGCAUCAUGUCUUGGCCAUAUCACAUCACAACAUGCCCUGCAAAAACAAGUUAAACGUCCUCUACUUUGUUGUUGCAAGUUUUACGUGGCUGCUACGGGCUUAAGCAAGAACCAAUCUCACCUACGCAUCAAAACCACAACGAUAGUUUGUCAAGUUGAUGCUGUUUUAACCUUCGCAAGGACCGGGCGUAGCCACACUCGGUUCAACUAAAGUUGGAGAAACUGACACCCGCUAGUCACCUGUGUGCAAAGCACGGCGGUAAAACCAGUCUCGCGUAAGCGUACGCGUAAUGUCGGUCCGGGCCGCUUCAUCCAACAAUACCGCCGAACCAAAAUAUGACAUGCUGGUAAGCAGUAUGACUUAUAUCGCCCACAACUCACUUGUGUUCUACUCGUGCAUAUAACAUCAAACCAUAAAAACCUAGGCUCGGAUGCCACUGUUGGGUAACGUAGUAAUUUCAAAAUUUUCCUACGCACACGCAAGAUCAUGGUGAUGAUACAGCAACGAGGGGAGAGUGUUGUCUACGUACCCUCGUAGACCGAAGCGGAAGCGUUGACGCAACGUAGAGGAAGUAGUCGUACGUCCUCCCGGUCCAACCGAUCCAAGCACCGUUACUCCGGCACCUCCGAGUUCUUGACAUGCGUACAGCUCGAUGAUGCACCCUCGAUCUCUAAUCCAGUAGAGGCUCCGAGGGGGAGUUCCGUCAGCACGAUGGCGUGGUGACGAUCUUGAUGUUCUCCUGUCGCAGGGCUUCGCCUAAGCACCGCUACAAUAUGACCGAGGUGUAAUAUCAUGGAGGGGGGCACCGCACACGGCUAAGGAACGAUCUCAAUGAUCAACUUGUGUGUACUAGGGUGCCCCCCUACCCCCGUAUAUAAAGGAGGGAGGGAGGAGGUGGCCGGCCACAAGGGGGGCGCGCCAUGGGGAGGGGGAAACUUACUCCAAGUAGGUUUACCCCCCCUUUUCCUUAUCUUAUUUGGAGGGGGAAGGAAAGAGUACUAGUAUUAGGAAGUAGUACUAGUAGUAGUAAUAGGAAGAGGGGGAAGGAGAAAGGAAAGGGGGGGCCGGCCCCCUUCCCCAAUUCGGAUUGGGCUGGGGGGGCGCGCCCCCUUCCCUUGUUACUUCUCCCUUCCUCCUAUAUGGGCCCAAUAAGGCCCAUAUACCUCCCGGGGGUUUUCGGUAACCUCCCGGAGCUCCAAACUUCUCCGGAACCUUUUCGGUGUCCAAAUAUAUCCGUCCAAUAUAUCAAUCUUUAUGUCUCGACCAUUUCGAGACUCCUCGUCAUGUCCGUGAUCAUAUCCGGGACUCCGAACAACCUUCGGUACAUCAAAAUACAUAAACUCAUAAUAUAACCGUCAUCGAAACCUUAAGCGUGCGGACCCUACGGUUCGAGAACAAUGUAGACAUGACCGAGACAUGUCUCCGGUCAAUAACCAAUAGCGGGACCUGGAUGCCCAUAUUGGUUCCUACAUAUUCUACGAAGAUCUUUAUCGGUCAGUCCGCAUAACAACAUACGUUGUUCCCUUUGUCAUCGGUAUGUUACUUGCCCGAGAUUCGAUCGUCGGUAUCCAAUACCUAGUUCAAUCUCGUUACCGGCAAGUCUCUUUACUCGUUCCGUAAUACAUCAUCUCACAACUAACUCAUUAGUUGAAGUGCUUGCAAGGCUUAAGUGAUGUGUAUUACCGAGAGGGCCCAGAGAUACCUCUCCGACAUUCGGAGUGACAAAUCCUAAUCUCGAAAUACGCCAACUCAACAAGUACCUUCGGAGACACCUGUAGAGCACCUUUAUAAUCACCCAGUUACGUUGUGACGUUUGGUAGCACACAAAGUGUUCUUCCGAUAAACGGGAGUUGCAUAAUCUCAUAGUCAUAGGAACAUGUAUAAGUCAUGAAGGAAGCAAUAGCAACAUACUAAACGAUCGUGUGCUAAGCUAACGGAAUGGGUCAUGUCAAUCAGAUCAUUCAACCAAUGAUGUGACCUUGUUAAUCAAAUAACAACUCCUUGUUCAUGGUUAGGAAACAUAACCAUCUUUGAUUAACAAGCUAGUCAAGUAGAGGCAUACUAGUGACACUCUGUUUGUCUAUAUAUCCACACAUGUAUUAUGUUUCCGGUUAAUACAAUUCUAGCAUGAAUAAUAAACAUUUAUCAUGAUAUGAGGAAAUAAAUAAUAACUUUAUUAUUGCCUCUAGGGCAUAUUUCCUUCACGAAGCAACUACCACGUCCUUUCGUUGAACAAUGCGAUACAAAGAGGGAUAUUGGAUGGCCAAGGGUGCGUCACCGAGCCAAGUAUCCCCCCAGAAACGUAUACUCGUGCCGCUUCCAACAACAAACUUUGUCCUAUUAAACAAUGCCUGCUUGACCUUGAUGAGACCCUUCCAGAAAGGCGAGUCGGUCGGCCUUACAGAGACCUGUGACAAAGUUUUUGACUGGAGGUACUUGCCGCGAAGGAUCUGUGUCCACAUAGCAUCAGUCUCCGACGAAAGCUUCCACAGCCACUUGCUAAGAAGGCAUUUAUUCUUAAUUUCGAGGUUCUCAAUAUCUAGACCCCCUUGGUCUUUCGGUCUACAAAUGAUAUCCCACUUAGCAAGCCUAUAUUUUCUUUUAAGCUCAUCACCCUGCCAGAAGAACCGCGAUCUAUAGAAGUCCAGUCUCUUCCUAACACCAACUGGUACCUCAAAGAACGAAAGAAGAAACAUCGGCAUACUCGUGAGUACCGAAUUAAUUAGGAUUAACCGGCCUCCAUAUGACAUGAGCUUGCCCUUCCAGCAGCUCAGUUUCUUCUCAAAUCGGUCCUCAAUGCACUUCCAUUCUCUGUUUGUUAGCCUACGAUGGUGGAUAGGAAUCCCCAAGUAUGAGAAAGGUAGCUGUCCCAACUCACAUUCAAACAAUUGCCUAUAAGCAUCCUGUUCAUCUUUGGCCCUACCAAAACAGAACAGCUCGCUCUUAUGAAAGUUUAUCUUUAACCCGGUCAAUUGUUCAAAUAGGCAUAAAACCAGCUUCAUAUUUCUUGCCUUAACCAAGUCAUGCUCCAUAAAGAUGAUUGUAUCAUCAGCGUAUUGUAGGAUAGAGAUACCUCCAUCAACAAGAUGAGGCACCAAUCCACCUACUUGACCAUUUUCCUUAGCCCUUCCUAUCAAAACUGCCAACAUAUCUACCACAAUGUUAAACAAGAUAGGGGACAUCGGGUCUCCUUGUCGUAGGCCUUUAUGUGUCUGGAAAUAGUGACCUAUGUCAUCAUUAACUCUAAUUCCCACACUACCUUUUUGCGUAAAUGAUUGUACCUGUUACGCAAAGAUUGUUGGAGAAAUGGCCACUUUACCUUAUCAUACGCUUUCUCGAAAUCCACUUUAAAAAUCACUUCAUCUAAUUUUUUGGAGUGGAUUUCAUGGAGCGUUUCAUGCAGGACUACCACCCCUUCUAGGAUGUUUUUGUCUGGCAUGAACGCGGUUUGGGACUGUUGCACCACAGAAUGCGCAAUCUGUGUGAGCCUGUUGGUCCCGACCUUGGUGAAGAUUUUGAAACUAACAUUAAGGAGACAGAUCGGCCUGAAUUGCUCAAUUCUGACCGCAUCCGUCUUCUUAGGCAAUAGUGUGAUAGUCCCAAAAUUCAAGUGGAAUAAUUGAAGCUGUCCAGAGAAUAGAUCAUGAAACAUAGGUAGUAAAUCCUCCUUAAUAAUGUGCCAGCACUUCUUAUAGAACUCUGCCAGGAAACCAUCCGGUCCGGGAGCCUUAUUAUUUUUCAUUUGUGCAAUAGCAUCAUAAACCUCCUUCUCCGAGAACGGGGCAAUUAGAAGCUCAUUAUCAGCAGCCGAAAGCUGAGGUACAUCCUCAGUUCUGGACUCAUCGAGGGACACCGUAUUAUCCUCCGGUGGACCAAAUAAAUGCUUAUAAUAGUCGGUGAUGUACGUUUUUAGGUUAUCCUGACCUACAAUCAUACCCUCGUCCUGCUCAAGCUGAAAGAUUCGCUUCUUUCUGUGUUUGCCAUUAGCAAUUAAAUGAAAGAACUGAGUAUUCGCGCCCCCCUGGACCACUCUACGUACUUUAGCACGUAAAGCCCACUUCAGUUCUUCUUCACGGAGUAGUUCUUCUUCGCUGCAAACAGACCGUAUGGACAAAUUAUUCGCUGAACACGCAUGGUUAAUUUUCUGAACACGUCUACUAGCUAGAUUACCCGGUCCUAGUGUGAGCCCAUUAUCUGAGGCAGUCAUGUAGUAUUAUUUUUGUGGAUUUGAUUUCGACACACAGCGCAUCUAUUAGUGCACGUGCGUGCUGCUAGCAUGCUUGCUUGCUUGGAAUGCCAUGGUGAUUGGUGAAGGAGAUCUGGAGCUACUACCUCUUGUGCUUUCAGAUGGAGACAGGAAAAACCUAAGCUGAAACAGGGGACACCUCCAAAAAGGAGCCAUCUCUCAACUCACGUUACGUUGCUGCUUGCUUGCUAGUACUGCGUACAUAUGUAUGAAAAAUGGUGCUGGGUUCCUCUUAUUCCAAAUACAAUUAUACAAAUCUCUGAAUGAUCCGGUAACUGAAGAUGAAUUGCCAUUUGGUUGGCGGGCACCAAAACGAACCCUGCAGGCUGUAGCAGGCGCCGCCGAUAACUGGUGGUAAAAGAAUAUGUUGUGUGGUGGGGCAACUGCAGAGUAGAGCUGCAGCUUGCUUGCAACUGUUGCAAAGCCAAUGUGUGUACUUGACCAAAGCAGAGUGAGCGUGAUUUAUAAACCGUGUAAUAAGCACAAGGUAUGUGCCUAAGCGGUUAAUCGAGAAUAAGGCACAUACGCCGUUUUACUACUCUGUUUAUUCUCCUCUGCUUUGCUACUCUGUUUCCUCUGCUCUGCUCUUAGGGCGUGGAGCUGUCAUGUCUCCUGUGUCAGUACAAACACAGUCUUGCUGACUACUUACAAGCAUCUGCAGCUAGAAACAGAGAAGCCUUAUGCGGUUGUGCCUCUCUUUCGUCAUGUUCAGAUUUCAGAAAGUGUGUAACUGUCAGAGCAAUAGCAAGGGAGCCGCAAUGCUGCUCUCACACAUAUUCAGAGUGCAUGCCAAAUGUGAACUCGUAUUCUCUUCGGUCUUGUUCAGUUUUGUUCAUGACUGAAAGGGAACGAGAAUGUUACUCGCACAGUCGGAGAGAACAAAACAGUGUUUAAUGUAUAGUGCACCUCAGUACAACUUAUUUCAGUCCUGCCCAUACCUGAAGUUACGUGCGCUAGUUCUACAUGCAGAUGUAAAAUAUAUGUACACAAGACAUAAUUAAGCAAGCACAUGAGAUCGGUUCACUGUGUUGCACUAGUUGACAUAGCUGCUACCAGUUUUGUGUACUCGGCUUUGAUCUUCUUCAGCGUCACGACCACGUCGUGCAUUGUCAUCCUCUGGUCAGGAGAGUCACUGGAACAGUGCAAACCCACCUCAAAGACUGACGCUAAGAAGCCAUAGUCCAAUCUGCAGCCUGAAAUUGAGGAGUCAUGUAGAAGUUGGCCGUCAACGACCUGGACAAGAUCCGUAGGAAAUGCCCGAUGAGCCCACUGCCUAAGAGUUAGUUGUGCGCCAAACAUGACAUCAGUGGGUCUUUUUCCGGUGAAGACUUCAAGGAGCAUGAUUCCGUAGCUGAACACGUCACUUUUCCUUGAGGCUUUUCCAAGUGAUCCGUACUCUAUUCAACAGGAACAUAAAUGAAAAUUUGAUAGAUAGUUGCUCUACUAUAUUGUUUUAGGUGGAGACACAAUCAUUAAUGGUUUAAUAAGUAUAUGGAUGAAAACAUAACAAGCACCAAAACAAUGGUACAUGAAGUUUGAAACUGUCAUGGGGGAGCAAGGCUACAAGAAGUUUAGCUCAGACCAUUGUGUGUUUAUUCAGAGGUUCUCAGGUGAUGAUUUCAUCAUAUUAUUGCUCUAUGUUGAUGAUAUCCUGAUUGUUGGCAAGAAUGUCUCUAGGAUUGCUAAGUUGAAGAAGGAGUUGAGCAAAUGUUUUGCUAUGAAAGACUUAGGUCCAGCAAAGAACAUUUUCGGAAUGAGAAUUGAGCGAGACAGAAAUUGCAACAAGUUGUACUUGUCCCUAGAGAAGUAUAUUGAGAAGGUACUUCAGAAGUUCAGGAUGGAAAAUGCUAAAGUUGUAAGUUGUCCACUAGCAGCCCAUUUCAAGUUGAGCAGAAAGCAAUGUCCUACCACUGAUGAGCAGAAAAAGGAAAUGCAUCAUGUUCCUUAUGCUUCAGCGGUUGGGAGUUUGAUGUAUGCUACGGUGUGUACAAGGCCUGACAUUGCUCACGCGGUUAGUACUGUGAGCAGAUUUAUGUCCAAUCCAGGAGGACCUCAUUGGGAAGCCACAAAGUGGAUUUUGAGAUAUCUUCAGGGCAGCACAAAUCUGAAACUUUGCUUCGGUGACGGUGAGGCAAAGCUGAUUGCUUUUUCAGAUUCUGACAUGGCUGGAGAUGUUGAUAGAAGGAAGUCUACUUCAGGUUACUUGGUUACCUAUGCAGGGGGAGCGGUGUCAUGGCAAAGCAGGCUGCAGAAGUGUGUGGCAUUGAAUACAACUGAAGCUGAAUUCAUUGCUGUAACAGAGGCGAGCAAAGAGCUAUUGUGGCUGAAACGGUUGGCUUGUGAGCUUGGUUUUAAGCAAGACAAGUAUAUGUUGUUUUGUGACAACCAAAGUGCUAUCCACUUGAGUAAGAAUGCAAGCUUUCAUUCAAGGUCUAAGCAUAUAGAAGUCCGUUAGCAUUGGGUUCGAGAUGUGCUGUAUUCCAAGAAAAUGCAACUUGAGAAGGUUCACACCGAUGACAAUGGGGCUGAUAUGUUGACUAAAGUAGUGACAAGGAAGAAGCUCGAAGUAUGCCGCCGGCUCGCUGGCAUGGCUGCCGGAAGGCAGUGAGACCCUCCAUGAUGUUGGGAGGGGGAGUUUGUUGGGCUAAGUCCCUCCACAUGGAGGUGUGUUGGCAGCCCAACAUCAGCCCAUAAGUCCAACACAUGUCAGCCGUUGAUCUUCGCUGCAUCCAACGGUUGAGAGCGCUUCCAAGGGAAGUGAAGCAAGAAGAAAACCCUAGCCACUCCACCCCUUGCUGGUGGUGGCUGCCAUUCGUGAGAGUGAGAGUGAGAGCAUACAAGAGAAAACACAACCUGGGAGAGAGGAAGAAGAAGAAGCAGAGGUUCUGUCCAGAUUUGCUGCAUCUGACUAGACAGUGUUCAAGCUGGUGAUUGGAGGCUCAAACGUGCUUGGAUCGACCCCAAACUUGGUGAGCUCGUUCCUUACUUUGAGUACUUCGAUUUGGUUAGCUGGUUUGAGGAUUGGGUCAUUGGAGCAUCAGAUUUGAGAGUGGUUUUGUCAGCUCUCACUGCUGCAGUUUCAGAACAUAGUAGUUUUGGGAGACGAACAGUUUGGGUAGGCAAACGAUGUCCGAUUGAGCUGAAUUUUGGAGGGGAUCUCAGGAAUUCGUGUGUCUACUUGUAUGCCAAAUUUGGUGCUGUUUGGUUCAGCGGUUUAAGAGCAGUUUGCAAAACACUGGAGGGUACAGAAACUGUGUAAACUCUGCUUUGCUGAAAUCUUAUUUCUUGUGGUUGUUAUUGCUGUUGCCGGUUGGCAACGUGGAGAGUGUGUUGUAAAUCUCUCUAGAGGUUCUAGAGAAGACUUUGUACUCAUCAUUCUCAUAGUGAAGUUGCGUGGACCGGUCGGUCCACAGCCGUGGUUUUUACUCCUCAAGUUGAGGAGGUUUUUCCACGUUAAAUCCUGUGUCACUUGUGCAUGCUGUUUGUGUUAUUCGCUGCUUACUUGUUGGUUGAAACUGUCCUCAAAGUUCAUCACAAGUAGAGGGGGCUGUGUAGUGUGCAUAUUUGCCGUGCCGAUGAAUUUGUGCAGCACAUUGUUGCUGUCCAGCCCCAACACAAAGAACAUGGGAAUGGUACCUGAGAUAUUGUUAGAUGAGAGGUCUAGCGAAUCUAAGCUUGUUAAAUUUUCCAAUUGGUCAGGAAUUGAGUCUCUAAAGGAGUUAUGUGAUAGAUUGAGGUAUGUCAGCAUAAUAAGUUCUCCAAAUGAUUUUGGGAUGCUCCCUAUCAAUAAGUUGGAAGAAAAGUCUAAUUGAUAAGUUUGACUUAGACCAGAAACAUCGACUGGUAGUGCACCCGCAAAGGAAUUGCGAGAAAUAUCUAGUUGGAUAAGCUUAUCUAGCUGGAAAAGGCUUGAUGGUAUCUCUGAAGUUACCUGGUUACUAGACAAGUCGAUGCGUUCUAACGAACUGAGAUUACCAAAGCUGCUUGGUAUAGAGCCUGAUAAUUUGUUUGAUUGGAGAAACAACCGUUCUAGACUCUGAAGCAUACCCAUUUGUGUUGGCAUAGGACCUAACAUUUCAUUGUUGGGGAGACUAAGCCACACAAGAUUUUCUAACAUAGCGAUGGAUUCUGGGAUGGGCCCGGUGAAUUGGUUGCUAGAAAGAUCUAUUGAUUCGAGACUGCUUAUGUUUGAAAUUUCUACGGGAAGGCCGCCUGUUAACUUGUUGUAACCUGCAGCUAAAGUUUGUAAUUGUGAGCUGAGGUUUCCCACAUGGCCAGAGAGGACGCCCGUGAAAUAAUUGUCGUUUAUACCAAGACUUUGGAGUUGUUGGCACUUGGAAAGAGCUGACAAGAAGUCUAGAUUCCCCUCUAAAUUGUUUUGCGACAAAUCAAGAUAGUUCAAAGCUGCACCAUUUCCAAGUGUUGUUGGUACUUGGCCGGACAGUUGAUUGUAAUUCAAAGCUAGGAAUGACAAUUUGGAUAAAUUACCAAGGGAAGUUGGGAUUUUACCUGUCAACUGAUUGAGUCCAAGAUACAAAUAUGAGAGUUCCUGCAGUAGACCUAAUUCCGAUGGAAUCUCCCCUUUGAGGUUGCUGUAGGACAUCUCUAGUGAAGUAAGACCAGUAAGAUUGCUUAGACCAGUUGGGAUUGAGCCAGUAAGAUUGUUAAAACCCAAGGAAAGUUCUUUGAGGUGUGGCAAUCUGGCUAACCAUGUUGGUACAACAUCCACAAAAUAAUUUCUCGACAAAGUAAGUAUUUGUAGGUGCUUGCAAGAUGCAAGCCCGGAUGGAAUCCGACCAGUAAAUUUGUUAUUGUAUAGAUUAAGAAACUUCAACUUUGGGAGAAUAAAACUUUGAUUGCUGGGAAUAGUUCCAUAUAGAUUACUGUUGCUCAAUAGUGAAAACGCUUGCAACCUAGACAUGUUGUACAUGGCUUGCGGCACUAGGCCUGAGAGUUGAUUUAACUCUAGAUUCAAGACCCAAAGAAUGGAUAGAGAUGCAAUGGUUUGUGGUAUAGGACCUGACAGGUUGUUAUUUCCAAAGUUGAUGAACGUCAUGGAAGGCGUGUUGUUGAACAAAGACGGUGGUAUUUCGCCACUCAAGUAAUUUCCGAACAGAUGAAUUUCCCCAAGGCUUUGCAUGUGAAGCAGCAUCUCGGGAGGGAUCUGGCCCGAGAGUUGGUUGUAACCUAGACGAAGGGACACGAGCCUUGUGAGGUUUCCAAGGGUAGCAGGUAUGGCGUCUGAUAGGCUAUUUCUUCUAAGAUCGAGAUACUUAAGACGAUGUAGCCUACCAAGUUCGGCUGGAAUGGAGCCUGUAAGAUUAGUGCGGGUGAGGUUAAGGAUGGAGAGGAAAGAGAGGUUACCAACUUGAGGUGCCACAGAUCCAACGAGAGGUGUAUCCCCCAAUGCUAGAGCAGUGACACGUUGUCUACGCCGGCUACACGAGACGCCAAUCCAGUGGCAGAAAGAGGUGUUGAUGGUCCAGUUGCGGGCAAGGAUGUUGUGAGGGUCAGUGAGCUGGGCUUUGAAAGCGAGCAGCGCGGCGAGAUCGGUGUCACUACCAUUGCCAUUGGUCGAACUAGGAGAAGAAGCGGAUACGGCCGUGAGUAUAACUAACAGGAAGAUGGGAAUACGGACAGACAUGGAUAGAGCGGCCAUUGAGCUGGGGUGUUUACCUAUGUGCGGUGAACAGCUAGCGAGAGUUGUGGUGAUCUCGUCCUUCUCUGAGCCACAAGCGCAUCGAUCAUGCCAUGGAAGUCAUGACCUUGCUCUUGUCGGCAGUCACACCGUGGGGCAAGCAUAGCGACACGGCGCAGAGCUGUCGAUCGUACUAUAUAUGAGUAUUGAGUCCUUAGUCUUUGCCCAAGCAACACGAUCACUCCAUGGAAGUCAUCACCUUCCAUGGAAGUCCUUGCGGACGGGCACACGGCCCGUUAAGAAAAGGCAAGGCGACACGGUGCGGAGCUGUCGAUCGAGCCUUGAGUCCUUACGGCCACGAAAAUAACCUUCGCCAGACACUAGACUCGUAAAUAUCAUGAUCACUGCAGAGACUGCGUAUACUUGUCAACGAUACUCUUGGGUCACGUCUCUACCGACUAAAUUUAAACGUAACUACACCACUAUGGCCUCAGGCUGCGGUUCAUAAGAUGGUUUCGUUUUGUUGACCGUCGAUAUGACUCUCUGCACGUCAGUCUACAAGUCUUGCGCGUAUGCCUAGGUUGUCAAUUUUAUCACCUAAUAUAAACUAUAAACACAAAAAUUAUAUCUUUUGAAAGUAGAAACUCCCAAGUUUAUGUUGGUAUAUUUUUUGUAAUAUAUGACUUGUAUUAGGUUGAUCAAAUUAAUGAUCUAGGGGUACGCGCACGCCCUGUAAACUGAAAGAGAGGUAGUACCUACGUAGCUUCGGCCCAACUUUAAUUUGUAUCGGGGUGUGGAACCUACUUGAAUUAGGGAAAUGUUUCUAAUCAUCCGACUGAUCGCACGCAAGCAUCCGCCGCCUCUUUCGAGUGACGCGUGUCCUGGGCUCACCUAGCAUUAUAUCUAGCGUUUUUGCAACCGAGUCCUUGUUGUAAUUUCCCUACCGCAACAACUCAUUUGUUGCAGGAUCCAUCCAUAGCAUCAUCUCUAGCCGCCUCCGGAGUUGCUCCCAAACUCAUCGUUGAGUUUUGCCUCCCUGCGCAGCUCCCAUGGCCGCCACUACGGCAAGCACGCCGACGCGGACCGCGUGCAGGUCACGUUCUACAUGGCGUUCUACCUCUUAAUUUCUGCAACAUCAUCCAUCACUAAUAGAAAACAUGGCUUUGGUUCGGGCCUGGCCAGCCCAUUAGUUCCGGUUCAGUCACGAACCGGGACCCAUGGGGGACAUACGUCCCGGUUCGUGCGCCCAGGGGGCCGGCCGGGCCUCGUGGGGCAUUGGUCCCGGUUCGUCUAGACCCAUUUGUCCCGGUUCCAGGCACGAACCGGGACCAAUGGUCCUCGCUCCUGGCCCACAGCCAUUGGCCCUGGUUCGUGGCUAGAACCGCGACAGGAAGGGGGCCUUUAGUCCCGGUUCCAGCCACGAACCGGGACCAAUGAGUUGCCUAUAUAUACCCCAUCGCCGCAACAGAGCACUCCACACUACUCUGCAUUUUCUAGCCGGCGAGGAGAGUGCUUUGUGGUGCUCUAGCUCACCUCCUAUGCACAUGAGGUGUUCGAUGAAAUGCCGGAGCCACACUAGUUAAGCUUUCUCCUCUCGAAGCUCGACCUCCAAGCUCCAUUUUCCCCGAGAUUUAUGUGGGUUUAGCGGUCUGUCACGUCCCGUCCCCGUCUUCACCGCCGUCGAUCGCCCGCGCCAAUCUCGUCGCCGGCACCACCGUGGUGAGCCUCUUGUUCUUAUCUUCUUUCUGAAAGAAAAAAAUUUCUUACUUUAGAUAGAUACUUGUUUAUUUUUCUUACUUUUAUUAUUGCUUGUUAUUAUAUAGUGCGAUGGUUUUGGUAUCCGCCCCCGUCGGCCCUCGUCCUGUCUAUGAUUCGGAUGUGGUAUAUAUUAUCUUUUAUAACUAUUUGGUUCAUUUAUUAUUUAUGACAAUUAUGCCGACCAAUGUGACAUAGAUUUUAUUUAUCUAGGAGGUAUGUGAACCAGAAAUUCCAACCGACCCUAUUGUCGAGAGGUUAAAUUUAGUUGAAGAAGAAAACAAUUACUUGAAGGAAAAAAUAAAAAAAAUUGAGGAGGAGAAGAUGAUAUGGGAGUUGCAUGUUGCGGAUGUCGUCAAUGAUCACAAGAUCAAGAUGGACGCAAUGCGUUUGAAGAUUAGAAAGAUUAAUAUGCCAUUCAUACCGAGGUUUGCUAUCAUUAUGAUGUUGAAUCAAUUGUUACCUUGGUUGCGAUUAUGAUUGCUUUUUUUGUUGCAUUGAAGUGUUUUACAUGGUCUCAAUGUAUGGUUUAAUUAGAUGCUCUGGAGAGCUAUAUGUUGUUCAAUGAGUACUAUGUAUGUACUUUGGUUUAACGUGAUGCUCUUGUUGCCACGAUUUUGCAGUCCAUUCCCCUUAAUAUUCAGUUUAAGAGGGCGCUUGUGGGCGACCGGUGGGAAGCAUGGCUUCAUUUGGUGAGUAGACUGAUGGAGGUUCAUCUAUCUCAUCAGCCCGAUCAGUUGUGCUGGAAGCUUACUAGGUCUCGAGAGUUCACAGUUAAGUCGAUGUAUAUCGAUGUCAUUAACUCUAGUGUUAUUCCUAGUUCCAAAAAGGUUUGGAAAGUCAAAGUUCCUUUGAAAAUUAAAGUGUUUAUGUGGUUUGUACAUAAACAAGUCAUUUUAACAAAGGAUAAUUUGGUUAAGCUCAACUGGACAGGAUCUACUAGGUGUAGUUCUUGUGAUCGGGACGAAACUAUCAAGCACCUCUUCUUUGACUCCCGUUGGCAAGGGUUUUGUGGCACACAGUGCAUAUUGCCUUUAACAUUACUCCUCCGACUUCGGUCAGUACGUUAUUUGGAACGUGGCUUGUUGGGAUAGAUUCCGAAACAGCUAGACACAUUCGUGUAGGAGUAUGUGCUUUGAUGUGGGCAAUUUGGAAUUGCAUAAAUGAUUUGGCUUUUAACAAAACAACAAAUAUUCAUUUUUUGCAGGUUUUAUUCCGAGCUACUGCGCUGAUCCGUAUGUGGUCGUUACUCACUCCGACGAAGGCCAGGGAACGUUUGGUUAUUGGAUCUGUCCGGAGGAAGAUGGUAGCGCCGGAUAUCUUCAACCGGUUUGGAUGGCUGUCAUGUAAUAGGAUAGGCAAUUAGUUUACCUAUCUUUGUUUUGCCAGCCGGUUGUGGCUUUUGGCCCUUUUGUUUUUGGCGUUGUGGAUCUUUGUGAGCUUGCCAUUAUCUUGUUUUCAGACUAUAAGACCUUGUUGAACACCUUUAUUUAUUUAUAAUUGUGGCCGUAUGCAUCGUUCUGAUGCAGAGACCGGGGAGUCCCCCCUUUUGAAAAAAAAGAUACACACAGUUUUGCUAACAAAUUAUACAUGCGAGUGCAGCGAGAAACAUAGAAGCGUUGUGCCUCUCUUUGGUCUUGUUCAGAACUGAGAAAGGGUGAGACGGUCAAAACACCCUCCGUAAACAAAUAUAAGAGUGUUUAGAUCACUAAAAUAAGAGCGUUUAGAUCACUAUUUUAGUGAUCUAAACACUCUUAUAUUUCUUUACAGAGGAAGCAGCAACACUGCUCUAGCAUGUGUUACAUGUGUAUAGUUCCCUGUGUAUAUCCCCAUUAUAUAAGGGGCUUUUCUGCACUUUACUACAUCUGUAUAUGUUAUGGCCUUUCGCCCUCAGUAAAGCUAGUUGCUCAUUCUCCAUCAUGGUAUCAGAUGCUAGGUUAGCCUCUCGCUCCCGCACGAUGCAACUCCGUGCGCCUCGUUCCUAGCUUGCUUGCCUCAGGCCUCCGGCUGCUGCCUCUCAGUCCUAGCUCCACUGCUCCUCGAGCAGGACGCCGUCUUGCUCGGCCAUUGCGUCGGGCAGCCGCUCUGGCCGGCCGCUGUUCCGUCUGGCCGCUGCUCCUGUCCAGCGGCUGCCCUGCUUGGCCGCUGCUCCGUGCCGUCUCGCCCGGCCGCCCCACCCUUGUCUGGCCAGCCCCGCCCGGCCCUUCCAUCAUCUGGCUGAGGCGGGCGCUGCCCGCCCGGUGCUACUCUUCCGGCCGCUGCGGGAGCUCUGCGGGCUCUCGAUCCCUCUUGGAUCGAUCCUCCCGCGAGCGAGCGCUCCCUCCAGCGAGUGCGUGGGGCCAUCCCACGCUCGGGCGCUUGAUCCAGAUCCAUCGACCGGGUGCUCGAUCCCCUGAUCUCGAUCGGGAUUUUCUGUUCCCAUUUGAGAAAAAAAAAGGAGCAGAAGCAGCAGAGAGACUUUCUCAUGUCUUCUUCGGGCUAUAUAGUUGUCCCCCGGUGCUCGGUGAUCUUUGAUGGCACCAACUAUGCUGAGUUUGCGGGCUUCAUGCGUAUCCAUAUGCGCGGUCUUCUGCUGUGGGGCAUUCUCUCUGGCGAGGUGCCCUGUCCGCCCCGCCCUGUUGCUCCGGUAGCUCCUAUCACGCCAAUCCAGCCGGUGCUUGCUGCUCAUGCUUCUCAGGCUGAUCGGGAUGCAGCCAAGGCUCUUGAUGAUGCUGCAGUUGACGCUUAUGAUCACCAGGUAUCUGCAUGUUCUGAUGCACUUUCUGUCUACUAGGAUGAUCAGUCUACUUACACUUAGUGGUGCAAUGAUUAUGCUCGAGCUGCUGCUGUUCUCACUGCGAGUGUCCUCCCUCAGUUUGCUUUGGAGUUCAUGGGCCUCGGCACUGUUGCAGCAAUGUGGUCCUAUAUUUGUCAGCGCUAUCAGCCCUCUGGCAAUGCUCUAUACCUCUCUGUGGUGUGUCAGGAGCAUGCUCUUCAGCAGGGUGACUCGUCUGUUGAUGAGUUCUAUUCACAGUGCUCUGCUAUCUGGCGUCAACUUGAAUCACUGCGGAUAGUUGUUUGUGGAACUUGCCCUUGCUGUCAGACUACGCUGGCUGACUUGGAGUUUUAGAGAGUUCAUGAGUUCUUAUCUCGUCUCCGCUCUGAGUUUGAGCCUCGCCGUGCCCACUUGCUUGCUCGUGGUCGUGUUCCUCUCCCGGAGGUGCUUGCCGAGCUUCGUGCUGAGGAGACCCGCCUUCUCUCUGUAGGGUUGCUAGUGGUUCCAUCUGUGUUGGCUGCUCGGGCUCCAGUGUCGUCUGCUUGGCUCACUGCUCCACUGCUUCUCCCUACACCUUCAGGGGGGGGGGUCGCUCUCCUUAUGCUGAGAAGGGCCGGUCGCGCUGUGAGACCUUCUGUGGCUACUGCUCUCAGCCAGGUCACCCAGAGUCUAAUUGCCGUGAGAAGAAGCGAGACCAGAGGCGCUCCUCUCCCAGUGGGACUCCUACAUCUUCCUCGACCCCGUCACUCACUGACCAGGACAUUGUUCGGCUUAAACGCCUUCUGGCUUCCUCUGGUUCUUCACCGAUAGGCUCUGCUGCUACUGUGACUACUUCAACCACUUCAUCAUUGCCGGCAUCUACACCGUCAGGUACAUCUUCGUGGGUUCUGGACUCUGGAGCUUCCUUUCAUAUGUCCUCUGAUUCUUCAGUGUUGUCUUCUCUUCACCCUCUUGAUUCUCCUAUUAAUGUCCUUACUGCCGAUGACACAUCUCUUCCUGUUGCUAGUCGCGGUAUUCUUUCCACUCCAUCUUUUUCUUUUCCUAGUGUUUCACAUGUUCCUCGCCUUACCAUGAAUCUUUUUUCUGCUGCCCAACUUACUGAUUCUGGUUGUCGGGUCAUCCUUGAUACCCAUUCUUGCUCCAUUCAGGAUCGUCGCACCAAGGUUUUGGUUGGUGCUGCCCCCGGCGUCGUGAGUUUGAGGAUCUUUGGGAAGUUGACUGGCUUUGUGUUCCUUCCGCUGCCACCACUUCAGUCAGCUCUCAUGCUCUUGCUGCCUCUUAGUCUGUGUCCUUCCAGCAGUAGCAUCAUCGCCUUGGUCACAUCUGUGGCUCUCGCUUGUCUUCCUUAGUGCGUCAGGGCCUAUUAGGUUCUAUAUCUGGAGAUGUUUAUUUACCUUGUAAUAGUUGUAGACUUGGAAAACAGACCGAGUUACCUUAUCCUACCAGUCAGUCGGUACCCCAGCAUCCUUUUGACUUAGUUCAUUCGGAUGUCUGGGGUCCAGCUCUCUUUGAUUCGAAAGGUGGUCAUCGCUACUAUGUUUUGUUUAUUGAUGAUUUCUCUCGCUACGCUUGCCUCUACUUCAUGAAAUCUCAUAGCGAGGUUCUCUCUAUGUACAAACGAUUUUUUGCCAUGGUUCACACUCGGUUUUCCACGCCUAUUCGUACUUUUCGCGCUGACUCCACUAGAGAGUAUAUCUCCCAGCUGUUGCAUGGUUUUCUCGCUGAACAGGGCACUCUUGCCCAGUUCUCCUGCCCUGGUGCUCAUGCUCAGAAUGGCAUUGCUGAACGUAAGCAUUGGCAUCUUCUUGAGACGGCUCAUGCACUGAUGAUUGUCGCCUCUCUUCCACCCCAUUUUUGGGCUGAGGCUGUUUCUGCAUCCACCUAUCUCAUCAACAUUCAGCCAUCGACUGCUUUGCAGGGUGGUUUCCUAUGGAGUGCCUCUCUGGUCGCUCUCCUGGCUACCCAGCUCUUCGUAUGUUUGGAUGUGUGUGCUACGUCCUUCUUGCCCCGCGCGAGCGCACCAAACUGACUGCUCAGUUGGUUGAGUGUCCGCGCAAUGUAGCCUGUUAGCUUAUCCGUGGGAUCUCUAUCCUUUGGGUAGACUGAUUCCGGAGCCGAAACCCUAGGAACUAUCCUUUCCAUCCCAUGAUCCAGAUCUCUCCUCAUGGCAUGCAAUAUCUCCCCGAUCCUUUCCUUGGCAACACCAUCAAUUGCCUGAGCUUUCCCCGCGAUCCCAGAUCGGAAGACGCCGAUCUUCUCCUUUUCCAUGUCGAACUGCCUUCUCGCUUUCCUCCUUCACAGCCAUGCCUCGCGGAUCCUCAACAGAUCCACUACCGGCUCCGGAUCUCUCUCACUCUCGAUAUCUCUAAACUCUUUUCUCCAUUCGCCGGGGUUGUCCGCCGGCGGUCCGGCCCCUCGGGUCGUCGGGCGUCGCCCUCCUGUCGCCUCGACAAGGGCUCCAUAAUUUUCGGGCGUCAUCCUCUAGAAUCGCCGAUCAGUAACACUUCUGGUCGUACGUGGUCGUGGCUACAUUCCCUUCCGCGACCUGUAUAUCUUCUGGGUUUUGUUCUGGGAAACAAUGCGUAUCAAGUAACGGUAAGAACCGUCCGACGUAGACAUAGCUCCCGUGCCGACUAGACUGAGCUAUAGCCACUUCAUAUUUUAUAUUGAUGUGCCACUGCACCCUGUGAAAAUUAUCAAUAUCUACGGUGUCAGCUAUAUACCACUAGUCAUGAACUCAUGCAGCUGCAUGGGCUAACUAUUUUCAAAAAUAAAAUAAAAUUGACACAUUGUGAGAAUGGCACCAAUUAUCAUCAUACGAGAAAUUUAGGAAUAUACUUUUGAAAAACUACUAUUGCAUAGUUAAUUUGCCUUUGUUGUCCAUUUUUUUUGCUAGUUUCAACCUCUCUUUGGUUAAACAUUUAAAUCAUUUACUAAAAUAUCUUACAACAUUUAAAGUGUUCAUGUCUUGACAUUUACUAAAAUAUCUCACAACAUUUGCACUGAAUAUCUCACAACAUUUACUAAAUUAUAUUUGUAGCUAGUUUAAAGCAUUCAUGACGAUCUAAAAAUAUCUCACAACAUUUACAUCAGUGCUCGCAACAUUUACUAAAAUGUUAUUAAAAAUGUAAAAUUGUUCGACCAAUUUCAUAAAAAUGUUCACGGCACAUAAUAAAAUGUUUGUAUCAUUUUAAAAGUGUUUGUUGCAUCUAAAAAUAUGUGGAAACAUUUUAAAAAUGUUCAUGAAAUUUUGAUCACUUUCCUAGUAUAUUAAGUACAUUCUUUGUUUUUUUAAGAUGUAAAAAUUUGCAGGGCCUUGUAAUUUAUUAGCAGGAAAAGAGCGAGUAAAUGUUUCACUUUCCUAGUAUAUUAAGUACAUUCUUUGAUUUUUAGAGUACAACGCGCUUUCAACGAGCAUCAAUCAUCAAACACCACUGGGCUAGUAUUUUUCUGAAGCCCAUGGUACACGUGAGAAAGCACACUAAAAAAAACUCAAGUAGUAUACUUGCCUCAAAAAAGAAAAAGUCCACUCAGUAUACUUUUUUUCAGAAAGCCCACACCAUCGUAUCUCUUUUUCUAAAUAUACAACAACAACAAUCACAUGUACUCCCCGGCGGAUUCUCAAAAAAAAAAUGUACUCCCCGACGAAGUGCCUCGAGCGCCUGCGGUGAAAAACUGCAGCCACCGGCCACCACCACCGGCGAUGAAACUCCGACAACACGGCGGCAUAUUCCGCCGGUGCUCCACUGUCCUCACCACCGCAGAUGCGUCCGGUGGGCCUCGCCUGGAUCCCCGAGCAUGUCACCAGAGAAUGGGUCAGAAUGCAAUUCACAUUCGACCCAACUUGCGUUAUUACUGGUUAUGUACCACCAUUUCUUCCCUUAGUUCGGUAUACAAACUAGUAAAUUUUUAGUAACAUAAAAUUCAGUAACACUGCAAACCCAAAAAAUGAUGGAGCCCAACCAAACGUUUUCAGAUGAAGUAAAUACGUUCAGAGAUGAGCUUUGCCAUGGUUAACACUACCUUAUGGCAACGACGUUUAUUCUGGUUUCUGAUCAUCCAUAUAGAACUUUAUCCAAUAUCCCAGUUUUUUUUCUGGCUCUCAUUUGUACAGCUACAAACUCCAUAUUUUUUUAAAAAUAUGCAGUCAGACUUAAUUCCUGUUUUCCCCUAAAAAUACAUAGUGAACCAGGACACAAAGUUCCAUUCUCCUUGGAAGAGAGCAAUAUGCUUAGUUGUCAACAACAAUAGGAUAUGGCAUGUGAUGUGUUUAUCUAAAAUAUAAAAACCUUUAUUAUACUAGCUAGAACUGCGUACAAUAUUUCUUGUGAAGAAUAGUUCACAAAACACUAUCACUACCAGAAACUACACUUUUCCAUAGGGUGACCCAUUUUCCUGUGAGGCCCGAAGCAUCUCACAGGAAUAAUAAUUUUCCUGGCGGGCAUACUUAAGCCCUGAGGAAAAUAGUUCAUUUUACUGUAGGUAGUAUAUAACGCACAGGAAAAUGAAUUGUUCUGUGAGGUUAGCCCACAGGAAAGUACUCAGGCCAGCCCAUUGCGCGCCAAAAUAUUCAUGCACGCGCAAAGGCCCAUGCGAAUUUCUUUUUCCCUGUGUGCAGCGGCCCACGGGAGAAAAAAUGACGCUUCGAGACAAAUGUAAACCCCACGAGAAAGUUCCCCAAUCCACAUCCCAGACCCCAGCCGCCACCCCACCCCGCCGUCGUUCUCGCUCACAGCCGCCGCCCCCACCCCGCCGUCGUUCUCGCCCACGGCGGCCGCCCCCACCCCGCCGCCGUCCUCGCCCACGGCGGCCGCACCACCCGGCCGCCGACCUCGCCCACGUCGGCCGCACCACCCCGCCGUUGACCUCACCCCCGGCCGACGCCUUCCUCCACAUCCUUCUGACCCCAAGGCUGAGGUCGUUCCCGUCUAUCUCCCCUGUGUGUGCGCGUACAUCGUCGGCAAGCGUGAGGAGGGGUUGCCGCAGUUGCUUCUUCGCCUUCUCCCAUCUCACGUCCCCAUCGCCGGACGCCUCGCCACGUCUCUCACCUUGCCCCUCUCCAUGGUAAACUUCAGUCCUCCCCUCUCCCCUGCUCUUUUAAUUUCUUUUAUCCUUAAUGUUCUUCCUUUGAUAAAUCUAAGCCGUGAAUUUGCACAAAUCUGGCUAAAUUUCGUGCUCUUAUCUCUUCCAUCUCGGUGGUUUCUUCUGUAGGUGCAUCGCGGAACUAUUUCUGGAGGCCGUCGCCACCGCAUUAGUUGCCGGAUGGUCUUCCCCUGCUCCAUUGUAAGUAAAAAAAACAUGCUUUUUCUGUGGGGCUAUAUAGGUACCUCUGGCCGGAGCUGAUAUUGGGUGUUCUGUUUACCUCAGAGACGAGUUCCCAAGAAAUGCUCUUUGUUUAUUGCCUUUUUGCAUUCUUUUGCCGUGUAUGGAUUUAUUCAUUUUACAUGUUGCAAGAAAUGGCUUUGUUCUCUAUGCUAGCUCAAAGUUUAGAUGCUGCUGCUAGGUGUGCUAUUAGCAACCACAUUGGUUAAGUCACUGAAAACUGAAAAGAUUAAUGUCACUGUAAUUUUCAUCCUUGCUAGGUGCUUUAGGAUAUGCAGUGUAUGCAUGUGAAGACGUGAAGAUGUUGACUCUUUUUCCUUGCUAGCUGCUUCAGGAUAUGCAGUGUAUGUAUGUGAAGAUGUACUCUUCUUUUUAGAUCACUGAUGCUACUUGCGCCGUACUAUUCGAUGCCCAAUUCAGAGUUACGUAACAGGCUGACUGCUUUCUCUUAGAGAGAGAAAAAAUGCUAUCAUUGGCUGCGGCGAUCACCACGCACAACGGCGGCUGGCGUUCCUUUUUCUCUUGCCCCGCUCUUCGCUGGAUCCAACUCUCAAAGCAACAUGCUAAUUAAUGGCUAUUGCCGUUGGUCAUGAUUUUUUCUGCUGAUUUUUUCAUCUUCCUAUGGAUUUGUUUCUUCCUAUAAAUACUUCCCAUCCCAGUGCCAGUGCUGGUAGAUGCAGAUUUACAUCAAUUUGCAAUUAGCCAAAGCAAAAUCUAGGCUGAUGGUUCAAGGUCUCAAAAAAUUCAUGUAACUUUCAAAUCCUUUCCUCUUUGGCCCUUGUACUGUGGUCUAUUCUUGGUUUUCCAGUGAAUCACUCUUCUUUUUUUACAUGUACGAUGUGUGCUUGUGCAGGCGCUGCUUUUAGGAGACAAUGAUUCCGGAACAGAUGAGUGAGGAUCAUAACUGGAUGGUUUCAUAGUUGGAUUUCUACCUGUCCAACAGAUUCAUGUCAUCUGGCUAUUUUUCUGUAAGUAUAUUUCCUAAUAAGCAUCUCUGAAUUGUCAAGUUGUGAAGAAAAAAAGGAUAUCACGUUGCUCGAGGCAUGAAACCUAGUGCCAGAUUAUAAAGUUUCAUAUAUACUUUUCUGGUUUUAUUCAUAUAUCAUAUGGUGUGUCCACAAAUGGCACUACUGCAUGAGAUGCAUUAAUUCUGAACAUGCAAGUCUAGGACAGUGCUGCUCCAGUGACAAUAUAUGUGUCACAAUGAGCUGAGUUUCCAACAUAUCUAGUCAGCAGUUGGAUGAGUACUAUUUUCUCCUUAGUGGCUGCUGCCAGGUAGUGUGUUUCUUAUGUGGCUUUGUGCUGGCUGGCUAUAAUUAUGUAGGUGAUGCUGCUGAUCAUGAACCUAGGUAACACAGAAAUUGUGUAUUUAGUCGCCAUUUCUCUGUGCAAUGUGAUGGAUGAGAAUAAGAGUGGUGCCAUGUAUAUGUAGAACUAUUGUUGCUUUUGAGGAAAAGCCCAAGAAGCAAAUUAGGCUAUGACUCAAAUAAUCAUCACCAACUUUGUCACGCAAAGCAUUCUUCACAAUAGUCAUAGCUGGAAAACAUGUCUCAACAUUGGCAGUGGCAACUUGGAGAGUCAGUGCUAGCUUGAAAAGCCGAUAUACCAAAGGGUAGGAGAGAUGCUUCCUUGUAUCCACCAUCAGUUUAGCAAUCACCUAUUUUGUCCAAGCUAGAAAACCUUCUAUCAUGGGUUACAUUAUUUAUGUAGAUACUAAGUUCAUGUUCAAGAGUAACAUAUCUCUGUGACUAAAAUCAUCAGGAUAAAGCUUAGCUAAUUCCAGCAACUUCUUGUCAAAAAAACAAAAUAAAUCACCUUUGCUCAAAGCAGACCCAUUGGUGGCGGCAGCCCCUGGGUUGUGGUGUUGCCAUCUCUUUAUUUCCUUGUCAAAUAUUGCUUCUUCAUUAAUUUUGUACAUAAUUUUGUAGGGGAAGAUGAUUCGUCUAUGUUAUCUUCAAGGACGACGCUAUGGAUGAUCACAUCGGCAAUGGCAUCACUCGAGUUUGCAACAUGACUGAGAACAUGAUGAUAACAACUAUGCAUCCGGAGGAGGAUCUCACUAGUCCGUUUGCACUUCAACUAAUGAGCGACAAUCGUAUGGUAUUUUGUUGCAGCAACUGUUAUAUGGAAUAUGAUGGAUGAGAAAUAGUAAAAUGAUGCGUAUGUAUGUGAUGCUGCUGAUCAUGAAUCUAGGUGACUUAGAAGUGUGUGUGUGUGUGUUUUGUUUCAUUGCCCUGUGCAAUGCGAUGGAUCAGAAUCAGAGUGGUUUCAUGUAUGCGUAGAAAUGUUUUUGCUUUUGAGCAAGUCCAUGUACAAAUUCUCGUAUGUCAAUUGCUGGAUGUUGAAACAUAGUUUAAUAUAUCGGUAUGUAUGCAAACACUGAUUUUGGACGGCUUUCCUAAUAUAUGGGCUAUUGGAUGUAUGCUUAUUUAUCACUGAAUAUUUAUUGACAGGUUAUAGAACUAUCAAUUAGAUGGUGAACUUGAUUUCCUGGCGGUUAGAACAUUGACAGGAGAGCAGGUUAUUUCUAAAAGUAUAUACCCUGUCAGCUUUUUCCUGGCGGCCAUCUGCCACGAAAAGGGUUCUCAUAAACCUGACGAGACAGUUGAUUUUCCUGUGGGCUGCCGUCAGGAACAACCGACAGGAGUUAUUUCCCUGUCGGCCAAUUGUCAGGAAAAUUUUAUUUUCCCUGUCGAUUUAAUCCUGUCGGCUAUUUCCUGUCGGGUAGCCGUCAGGAAAAUAUUUCCUGACGGUAUUUUCUAAUUUCCUGUCGGUUUUUAGCCGUGGGGAAUAGUCCAGUUUCUGGUAGUGACAGUGAUCAUAACAAUAACUUUCAGCUUCAUCGGGAAGUUUGAUAAGGGACUAGAUAGCUCAAAAGUGGGAUUUGCUCCUACGACGAUCCAGAGAUGUUCUUAGACCCUCUCAGUGUGAUGCAUCCAUCAUCGUCUAGUCAGACACAUGUGACUAGGUGGCUAUGUCACAAGGAUGCCGAAACAUGUGAACGAGAAAGAAGAACAAAACUGGUAACGAGGAGAUCGGUACAGUGAGCAUAAGAAUGACUCAGGCAAAUACUGAUACAUCUCACCUCGGAUUUUGUAAAAUAAUCGUGAAGCAAUGGUAAUAGUACAUGAUAACCAGAGGUUCACUUGAAUGUCAUUCGUGUAUUCAUAGGGAUAGAUAUGGAUGUCCACGGUUACACUGUCGGUCAGAAGGGGUUUUUGUUCAUGUCUAUGUUUUACCGAACCUACAGGUCACAAGUUUAAGGGAAUAAUGACCUGUUGAGUGUUAGUGGAGCAAGAGUUGCAAUAAAAUAUUUAUUAAAUAGUUUUAUUAAUAUUAGAAAUAAUUUCGAGAGGAACAUGAAGCGUUUCGGGGUUACCGGACGGGCUUCAGGGUUCUAGUUCUCUAGUUCUAUUUCUAGUCGAUCCAAUUAGAGCUAGAUCUAAUACUCUCUAGUCCUCAUAAAUAGAAGCCCAGUAUGUUUCUAAUCACCUCCCUCUAAUUCUCGGGUGAUGAUUAGCUCUGGACGGCGAAGCGCUGUCGGAUCGUGUAGAUCGUACACCUGCAAACUGUAGAGAGGUCUUGCUUUUGGUCUUCUGUUUGAGGGAUCGUCGUGCAAGGUUUGAGGGAUAAUCAUGGAUAGUUCGAGGGACUUCAAGUACGAUCUACACCAACUCUUCUUCCACUGCAACUUGGAGUUUGUAAUGAUCUAAACCACUAAUACAUUUUCACAGUGUUCCUGGUUUGACCGUAGGAUGAAAUUUUUGUUUUCUACUAUGUUUCCCAACAUGGCCGUGUCAAGGUAAUAAGUUACUGGAGUGCCCAGUGAUUUUGAUAUAGAAGAUGCCUUGGGCCUUGUGUCGACUAGUGUGGAGUUUGGUAUGCAAUCGAACAUAGCUGCAAUGUCAAGGAGCUCUUUGACUUAGCGCUCUUGCAAAAAUAAGAAGCCGGUCUUGGUGUUAUGCGUGAAGACACUAAUAAAUAAAUGGAGAGGCCCAAGAUCCUUGAGCUUGAACUCGCAUUGCAACCGGUCGAUGGUCCUUUGAAGAAACGCUGAGGAUGAUGCAGUCAGAAUAAUGCCGUCAAUGUACAAGAGAAAAAAAGCGAUGUUUGAACCCUUGUGCAGUACAAAGAGAAACAUGUGUGGGCAAGUCGAGAUGAAGCUAACUCAACAAAAAAAAUCUCCAAUGCAAGAGUACCAAGCUCCCAGUGUCUGGCGCAGGACAUGAAGUGAUUUGGACAACAGGUAGACAUGGUCUAGAUGUGUGGCGCCCAUAAGGCUAUGGGAUGUUGGAAAUACAUGCACUUCGAGAGGACACCCUUGAGGAAGGCAUUAGCAAUGUUGAGCUAGUGAACCGGCCAAGCCCGUGAUGCACUCAGAUGAGGCACAGUCUGGAUAUUCGCUUCUCAAACGACCGGACUAAAUGUCUCGCGGAAGACGAUUACAGGACGCUGUGUGAAGCCGUGCACAACCCAGUGUGCCCUGUAGCGAUCAAUGGUGCUGUCAGCUGGAUUUAGUUUGUGAUGGAACACCUAUUUGUUGGUGACAACAUUAACAUUGCGCGAGCAUGGAACAAGUGACCAUAUACCAUUGUCCGUUAGGGCAUUAAACGCCUGUUCCAUGGCUGCAAACCAAACAGAAUCUUGGAGGGCGGCACGAGAAGACAUGGGCAAUGGCGAUGGGGUGGCGGCAUCACCGAGGUGGGCGUCCAAGUAGUGCAUAAUGAUCCGGAAGAUGACCUAUUGAGAUCGAGUCAGCAUGGCAUGCGAUGUUCAACGUUAAUCGAGCAUGGUGAGGCCAUGGUGCACCAGGAGCAUGCUCAGAGGUCGAAAAGGCAGUUGGUCGGAGUGGAAGCUUACCGGCAACACACUAUGACUUUCUGGAGUGGAGGCGUGUUUGUACUAGGAAACAACUGCCCUGGCGGGAUGAAUCGGCUGCCAUGGCAGGCGAACUGAUUGGAGAAUCUAAUAUCAUGGUAGUCAAACCGACUGAAUUUUCGGCUGCCAUGGCAGCUGUAUAGGCUGUCGUGGGCAACCGAAUUUUCUGCCAUGGCAUGAGAUUGGGGCGUCGCAAAAAAGGCAGCUGGGGACCCGAAGGAAGGAACCAUUGCCGGGGUAGGAGAGGACAGUGGUCAGGCUGGGAGGCUGAUGUAGGUGGUGCCGGGGCGCGGUAGCGCGGGGUCCACACUUGAACCGUUACGACCUCUGUUGGUAGCUCGGUGACGCGAUCGACGUAAGAUGGAGAGCCGGGGUCCCUGAAAGGAAUACAAACAUCAUCGAAAUAGAGGUGGUAUGAGAUACGUACUCAAAGUGUUAAGGGGUCGUAACAUCGAUUUCCAUGGUAAUCGACGAGGUAGUCCACGAAUACACUAGCUUUUGAGCAAGGAGCGAGCUUGUGUGUGAUGGUGCAUCAAUUGUUAGGAUAGCAAAGGAAGACAAAAAAUUGAAGAUGACCGUAUGUAGGAGGGGAACCGAACAAGAUUCCAUGUGGAGUUUGGUGUUGUUGUGGUUUGCAUGGGCAUCGGUUGAGAAGAUAUGUCGUAGUGUCGAGAGCCUCAGCUAAAAAUUGUGGAGUGCACAAACAGUGUCAAUCGAAGUAAAAUUGUAUGUAGGCGGACAAAGUGUUGAGCUAUGGAGAAUUCUCACGAUUUGUAUUUCUUGAGGUGGUGUAUAUAUAUAUAUACAUAUUGAGUAUAUGUGUUAUGUGCAUAUUGUGUAUUGGGCCCGCAUCCUAGUUCCUUGUAUAGUUGAGGUCCAUGACCCAUCUUUAUACAUCAUAUAUACGAAGAGCAAUACAUCCUGCAAUUAUAACAUCAUAUAUCGUAUCAGUUUUUUAGGUUUUGUUCCUCGCUUCCGCUCCGCCGCCGCCGCCGCGCGUCUACCGGCGCCGCCGCCGCCGCCGCCGCUCGCACCCCUGUCGCAACCCGCCGCCGCGUUUUGCCCAUCUCCACGCGCUUCCUCACGCAUCGCGUGAGCCCGUCUCCACGCGCUGUUGCUGCUUUUCCAUCGCGCCAGCUGCUCCCGCCGAAGCUGCCUCGACCCGUGGCGCUGCUGCCUCGUGCCUCCAUGGCCGGUGCCUUCCAAUCAGCUGCAGUACCGGUCGUGGCUCCUUCGUCUCCCGUCAACUAUGGAUUUGCUAGCCUGCCAAUCGCCCAAUCCAUAGAUGGAUUUGCUAGCCUGCCAAUCGCCCAAUCCAUAGAUGGAUUUGCUAGCCUGCCAAUCGCCCAAGAAGCCCGGCCGCCAGAUGGACUUCGUCCGCAGCCCUCGCACGUAUACGGCGCCCGGCAAUUAUACGGUGCCUUGCAGCCUGCUGGUGCUCCGUCCGCGGUCAACCCCUGGUGGGGGUACGCCUCUGCCGACCCGCCGCCGGCGCUCUACACCACGGCCCCGUCGCCAUACGGGACGGCCGUCACCUACGACGCGUCCGUUUCCACGUACGGGAAUCCUGCGUAUGGGGCAUACGGGACUCCGCCCGCAUCCACAUACAGGUCUCCACCUGCGUACGGGGCUCCGUCCGCGUACUGGUGGGGGUCAUCAGCGGGCCAGCACUCACCUGCCGGGCAGCAGCCAGACGGCGCCCAGCACCUGCAGCAUCUGUCAGCGGACCUGCAGUUUUUUCGGCGGGCCAUCCGGCCUACUCGGCACCGUAGUUGCAGUCGGGACUGUAUGGAGCGUACCCAUCGCCGUUGUUGAGCGGCGUCUACGGCUUCCCCAUGGCGUCUCCAUCGCCAUGGGACCCGAUGCUCCUUACCGGGCUGCAUGCCGCUCCUACGCCGAACAAUUACACUGGAGGUGGUGAUUGGUACAUGGACACCGGUGCUACGGCUCACAUGUUUGCUCAUCCUGUUAACCUUGCCUCCUUCACUCCUGUCUCCACCAACCGCCGCAUCAUUGUCGGCGACGGUUCCACACUUCCUAUCACACAUGUUGGGCAUACUUCUUUUCCUUCUACUUCUACUCCAUUAUCUUUGUCUAAUAUACUUGUGUCACCUCAUCUUAUUAAGAAUCUCAUUUUCGUUCGUUGUUUCACUUGUGAAAAUCCUGUUACCGUUGAAUUUGACGAGCUUGCUUUUUGUGUCAAAGACGCUCGAACCAGGAUGGUACUUCACCGAUGUGACAGCCCCGACGAGCUCUAUCCGGUGCACUCGCCUUCAUCCACCACCACCGCACCGGUUGCUCUCCCCGCUGGCGUCGAUCUCUGGCACGCUCGCUUGGGUCAUCCCAACCCCGUCACCCUUUGUCAUAUUCUUAGGAGUUUCAGUUUCAGUUGCAAUAAGAUCGAGGAUCACACUUGUCAUGCCUGUCGAGUUGGUAAACAUGUUCGCCUGCCGUUUAAUAAUUCCACUACCAUUGCUUCUUUUCCUUUUCAGUUGAUUCAUAGCGAUGUGUGGACUUCUCCGGUUCCCAGUAACUCGGGCUAUUUAUAUUAUCUAGUCAUUCUUGAUGAUUAUUCUCAUUAUGUGUGGACUUUUCCUUUGCGCAGAAAGUCGGAUGCACUCUCUACCUUGACGGCUUUUUACUCCUAUGUCCGCACGCAAUUUGGGCGUCCCAACCUUGCGCUUCAGACGGACAAUGGAAAAGAGUUCGACAACCUCACUUUCCGCACCUUUUUGUCGCAUCACGGCACAAUUUUUCGCCUCACAUGCUCGUACACUAUACAGCAGAACGGUCGAGCCGAACGCGUCCUUCGCACUCUGAAUGACUACGUUCGCACGCUCCUGUUUCAUGCCAACGUGCCGCCUCGUUUCUGGCCGGACGCACUCGCCACUGCAUCACUUCUCCUUAACAUUAGACCCUGCCGUCCACGGUGGAACUACGCACCUCACCAUCUUCUCUUUGGUACGCCCCCGUCUUAUGACGACUUGCGUAUUUUUGGGUGCCUUUGCUAUCCCAGCACUGCCGACACUGCUUCUCACAAACUUGCACCUCCAUAUGUCGCUUGCAUCUUCAUCGGCUACCCCUCCAACUCCAAGGGGUAUCGGUGCUACGAUCCCGUCUCGCACCGUGUGUUCAGUUCCCGGCACGUUUACUUUGAUGAGCAUGUGUUUCCGUUUCACCAGGUACCCCCGACUGUUCCUCCCGCCAUUGGUGAUGCAGGCUCCUCGACGCCUCUCCCAGGGCGCUCGCGCGUCUCUCUUGGCGUGCCCCUGGCUUUGAGGCGCGCCCCCCGCAUGCGGCGCCUCCUACAGCCGCGGCAAUGGCGCCCCCGACGUUGGCGCCCGCGGCCCCCGCGACCCUCGCGGCGCCCCGGGCGCCCCCGGUGCCCGCAGCCCCCCCGGCGCCCCUAAUGUUGGCGCACGCAGCCCUCGCGGCCCCCUCGNNNNNNNNNNNNNNNNNNNNNNNNNNNNNNNNNNNNNNNNNNNNNNNNNNNNNNNNNNNNNNNNNNNNNNNNNNNNNNNNNNNNNNNNNNNNNNNNNNNNNNNNNNNNNNNNNNNNNNNNNNNNNNNNNNNNNNNNNNNNNNNNNNNNNNNNNNNNNNNNNNNNNNNNNNNNNNNNNNNNNNNNNNNNNNNNNNNNNNNNNNNNNNNNNNNNNNNNNNNNNNNNNNNNNNNNNNNNNNNNNNNNNNNNNNNNNNNNNNNNNNNNNNNNNNNNNNNNNNNNNNNNNNNNNNNNNNNNNNNNNNNNNNNNNNNNNNNNNNNNNNNNNNNNNNNNNNNNNNNNNNNNNNNNNNNNNNNNNNNNNNNNNNNNNNNNNNNNNNNNNNNNNNNNNNNNNNNNNNNNNNNNNNNNNNNNNNNNNNNNNNNNNNNNNNNNNNNNNNNNNNNNNNNNNNNNNNNNNNNNNNNNNNNNNNNNNNNNNNNNNNNNNNNCCCACGGUCCCCCCAGCACGUGUGGCCGGUCCGGUCACCCGCGCCCGUACGGGCGUUUUUUGUCCGAGCUCGCGCUACGCCUCGGCUGACCACGUCCAUGCGGCGUCCACCUCUGAGCCGUCCUCCGUUCGAGCCGCUCUUCGUGACGUGCUCUGGAUGGCUGCGAUGCAAGAGGAGUUUGAUGCCCUGUUGUGCAACCGUACAUGGCAGCUUGUUCCCCGUCCCCGACACGCCAACAUGAUUACCGGGAAGUGGGUCUUUAAACACAAGCUCCGUCCUGAUGGUACCCUUGAUCGCUACAAAGCGCGCUGGGUCGUUCGUGGCUUCCGAGAGCGUGCUGGCAUCGACUUCACCGACACCUUCGCUCCGGUUGUCAAGCCCGGCACGAUACACACGGUUCUCCACCUUGCGGUCUCUCGUGCUUGGUCGGUGCACCAGAUGGACGUCUCCAACGCCUUCCUCCAUGGUCACCUCAAGGAGCAGGUCUUCUGCCAGCAGCCCACCGGGUUUGUUGACCCGGCGCUUCCCGACCACGUGUGCCUGCUUUCGUGGUUCUUGUACGGACUCAAGCAGGCUCCGCGCGCUUGGUACCAGCGCAUCGCGGCGUUUCUCCACCAGCUUGGGUUCCGCUCUACCCGCUCGGACGCCUCGCUCUUCGUCUAUCAUCAGGGCUCUGACACGGCCUACUUACUACUCUAUGUCGGCGACAUCAUCCUGACGGCAUGUACGACUGGUCUCCUCAGUCAGCUCACGGCUCGUCUUCGCGCUGAGUUCGCCAUCAAGGACUUGGGUCCUUUGCACUACUUCCUCAGUGUCGAGGUGGUGCGCCGUCCGGAUGGCUUCUUCCUUCAUCAGCGGAAGUACGCUCACGAGCUCCUCGAGUGUGCUGGCAUGCUUAACUGUAAGCCCGCCGCUACGCCUGUUGAUACGAAGGCCAAGCUUUCCGCCACGGAUGGUUCUCCUGCUUUGGAUGCUGCUUUCUAUCGGUCUAUCAUUGGUGCUCUCCAGUACCUCACUCUGACUAGACCGGAGAUCCAGUAUGUCGUGCAGCAGGUGUGUCUUCAUAUGCAUGCUCCUCGAGACGUUCACUGGGCUGCCGUCAAGUGAAUUCUCCGCUAUAUUUGUGGCACUAUGGAUCUUGGCGUCACGCUUCACACCUCCGCCGCCAUCGCCCUCACCGCCUACUCCGAUGCAGACUGGGCAGGCUGCCCUGACACUCGUCGCUCCACUUCGAGCUAUUGUGUCUAUCUUGGACCCUGACUCAUCUCGUGGUCGUCCAAGCGGCAGCCUAUGGUUUCUCGUUCCAGUGCUGAGGCUGAGUAUCGUGCGGUGGCCAAUGCCGUCGCCGAGUGUUCGUGGCUUCGCCAGCUGCUUCAAGAGCUCUCUUGCCCUGUUGACCGUGCCACGGUGGUCUACUGCGACAACGUCUCGGCGGUCUACCUCUCCGCUAACCCGGUGCAUCAUCGGCGGACCAAGCAUAUUGAGUUGGAUAUUCAUUUUGUUCGGGAACAGGUUGCCCUUGGCCAUAUUCGUGUUUUGCACGUACCUACUUCCCAACAAUUUGCCGAUAUCAUGGCCAAGGGCUUGCCUACGUCGUCAUUUGAGGAGUUUCGGUCCAGUCUUUGCGUCAGCCNNNNNNNNNNNNNNNNNNNNNNNNNNNNNNNNNNNNNNNNNNNNNNNNNNNNNNNNNNNNNNNNNNNNNNNNNNNNNNNNNNNNNNNNNNNNNNNNNNNNNNNNNNNNNNNNNNNNNNNNNNNNNNNNNNNNNNNNNNNNNNNNNNNNNNNNNNNNNNNNNNNNNNNNNNNNNNNNNNNNNNNNNNNNNNNNNNNNNNNNNNNNNNNNNNNNNNNNNNNNNNNNNNNNNNNNNNNNNNNNNNNNNNNNNNNNNNNNNNNNNNNNNNNNNNNNNNNNNNNNNNNNNNNNNNNNNNNNNNNNNNNNNNNNNNNNNNNNNNNNNNNNNNNNNNNNNNNNUGUGUUAUGUGCAUAUUGUGUAUUGGGCCCGCCUCCUAGUUCCUUGUAUAGUUGAGGUCCAUGACCCACCUUUGUACAUCAUAUAUACGUGCCUAUGCACGAAGAGUAAUACAUCAUGCAAUUACAACAUCAUACAAUACACACAUACAGGAGACCUAACAAAUCACUAACCCUUUGACAUAAAUGUGUAUAUAUAUACAUGUUUGAACCGGCUUAUAGAUAGGAUACGUAGGAAAUAAUUACAUCUGUUAUAAGCUUCUCUUACACUCACCUUGUAAGCACUACUGGAAUUUUCGUGUAUGCCGGAUGUAUGGGUCUUCGCCGAGAGCCAAACCACGGGCACUCGGCAAACAUGUAUAUGCCGAGCGCAACUCUCGGCAAAAGUGACAGCACGUCAAACCCCAAUGUAUGCUGAUAAGAAGCGGUAAAGCACACCCGGCAAAAGGCCGACACUCGGCAAAUCCCCACAUAUGCCGAGAGCCAGUCGGCGGCACUCGACAAACGGUUGCCACGUGGCAUGAACGGCGGUGAUUGACAUUCCUUUGACAGUCCCCCUGCCCUACCGAGCGCCCGCUGAAUGGCUCUCGGCAAAGCAAUAUUUUUACUGGAAUUUUUAUUAUCCUCUUUUUCAUCGAUCUAUAUAUUAGUGGGAGCUGAGUUUAGUCCCACCUCGCUUAACCACGACCAUUCGGUUAAUUGUCUGUUUGACUUUUUCGUGUGUAUGAGAGCUAUCGAGAGGGAACGUGUCUGGUUUGUGAAGGAAUUGCACGGGAUCUGGCACGGUGUCAGGACACGGCCAAUGCAGGGUGUGGUAAAAGUUUGGGCGCGUUUUGAAUAACCCUCCUCCAAUCAGGCCGCUUGUAAACCACACCAUCUCUGAGCUAGUCUCUGGGUACUGAGAGGGAACAUGUCCGAUUUAUGAAGGAAGUGUUGGUCAUGUUGCUUCGUUGGCCUCGAAACGUCUCGUACUCUCAAAGGAAGCCAUCACAUGACCCGUGCCAGGUCACUGCAUUUCUUGGACCCGCAUGCAAUACUUCAGACAUUUAUGGCACCUACAAGGCGACACAUGAAAUCAUGCCCAGAAGCGGCAUGGAAAAUCCUACAUGAUGUCUUUGCGACAUGCGUAGGCCACGUGUUGGUGAGGAGGGGCAUGCUCUGCAACCGGGGUGCAAAAUUACCUCGGUGGCAUGCCUGAUGCAGCCGUUAAAAUCCUCAGAAAAUCGUACGAUGGUGGAAUUGCUUGGGAUCUGGCACGGUGUCAUGACACGGCCCUUGCAGGGUGUGGUAAAAUUCUGGGUACAUUUCAAAUAAGCCUCCACUCAUGACGUGUCAUGAUUUUGUCACAACAGAUGUUCUCGUGAAAGGACUUAGUCAUGAGGCCAUAGCCAUGAGGUAGUAGCUUAAAUGGGGUUGAUCGGAAUCGAAAGACAAGGGUUUACCAAGGUUCGGCCCCACUCGACAGAGGUAAUAGCCUACUUCCUGCUUGAUUGGUAUUGAUGAUGAUCUCGAUUACAAGGGUGCGAGUUGGCUAACCUAGUACGGGAGAGCUUGUAACUUAGUCUUUCUGCCUCAGGGGCUCCCCUUUAUAUAUAGGUGAAGGCCCUGGGCUUACAAUAGAGUCUGGGUCGUACUAUGAUCCGUGACCUAGUAUAUAUGUUUCCCACUUGUCUUGUUCGCCAAUACUACCAGGGAAAACCCUAGUAGUAGCGUGGGUUUUGAUGCUAUCAGUAGUGCGGGUAGCCGUGCUACUACUACGGCUCUACAUCUAACAGUUAGUAGUAGCGGGGUCUCGAGCCGCGCUACUACUAUUGACUAUAUCAGCAGCGCUUUUCUGGUACACGCUACUAUUAAGUAGUUGUAGCGCUUUUCUAUCCCCGCACUUCUGCUGUAUCUUUCAUCAUUUUUUCUUGCUUCCUACCUCGUUUCAAUAAACUGCAAUUUCACAUAUACCAGAUAACAAUACAAUAAACUGCAAUUUCACAUAUACCAGAUAACAAUAUCGUUAACUACAAUACCAUAUAUACCGGAUAACAAUAUCAUUAACCACAAUACCAUAUAGUCAUACAGUAUCAUAAAGCAUUAUAGGUACUAGGUAGUACUAGAUAACAAUUUCAUAUAUAGUCAACAUGCAUCCUCACAUAAAUAUAGCAUAUCUGAUAAGCAGUACUAGGUACUGAUACAGCCACACACACAUAUGUAGUUCUAGAUGAUAUCGACGACGAUCGUCAUCCUCAAGCCUAGGCGGUGGGUGUUCCUGAUAGUAAUUAGGAUGGCCUGUCCAACACAAAGAUUCUUGCCAACGAGAAAUCUCUUCCACCAAACCGAGUUUAAGUGUGUGCGACCGUCCAUGUCGACACCGUAAGUACAGGUCGUGACGGAGCCCCUUGCGGUAAGGCGUAUUCCUGCUGAGCGUUCUUCAUCAGGCUCGAUACCACAACUCACAGAUAUGCUCUUUGGCAAUUUCUGAAUAAGAAAAACAUAUCAAUUAAUAAGUAGCCUCGCACACACUCUUGCAAAUAUAUUUCUACUAAGUAUAGAUUUAUACACUAUCAAAAGACACAGUACUACACAUUUCUACUAAGCAUAAAUUAUACUAAUAAGUAUAUAUGUAUUAUCUACACUAUUAAUAGUUCCUUGGAUUCUACACUAAUAAGCAUGUGAUCGGACUCUACACUAAAGCAUAUCAAUAAAGCAUAUAUAUAUCAUCAAAUUACUACAGUUAGUAUAACAUACCAUAUCAUGUCGAUCGACCAUGGUACUUGUAAGGCGGGUCACGAAUGGCACCCCGACAAAGUCAUCAUGUGGCGGAACGUGUGCAGAUCAUGCAGGUGUCGUACCUUCGGUGUUAGGAUCGGUCGGAUCAUGAAGACGUACGACAAUAUCAACCGCGUUGUCAUAACGCUUUUACAUUUGGUCUACGAGGGUACGUAGACAACACUCUCCUCUCUCGUUGCUAUGCAUCACCUAGUGAUAGAUCUUGUGUGAUCAUAGGAUUUUUUUUUGAAAUUACUGUGUUCCCCAACGAUCGACUGAGUGUGAGUGGGAGUGGAGAGAGGAGAGUGAGGGGCAGCCGUUUGCCGAAGAUAGAAUGGCUUAGCAGUAGCGCGCUAUAUGGAAAUGCGCUACCGCUGAACGACCUAGUAGUAGCGCCUUUCAGCCAAAACACAUUACUGCGAUGUGUAGACAUGUGAAAAUGUGCAUUAAAAAUACAUUGAUCAUUAAUGAUCUUUUUGUGUACAAUCUGAAUUGUCAAUAUGAGUCCUCACCUUUUAGAAACCGGAGAAGACUCAUAGUGCGGCCACAAAUUCUACACAUCGAGUUUAAUGAAAACCAAGUGGAUGUGAUACUUUGAGAAGUAACAUAUUUAAGGUGGUAAAAACCCUAUUCACGGAGCAAGGUGGGACUAAAGUUUUGUAGUAAACUUAGUAGUAGCGGGUAUUGAGAGAAGGCGCUACCGCUAUGAUCUGUAUCAGUAGCACUCUGUAUUAGCGCGCUGAUGCUAUAACUAGCUUAGCGGCGGGGUCGUGGCAAUUAUAGCAGUACCACGGCUUAUUGGGGUAGUGCUACUGCUAAGUUUGUUUCAGCAACCCGUCAUGUUGGAGCGCGCUGCUGGUAAGAUUCUUUUGUAUAGGUGAUAUGUCUCCAACGUAUCUAUAAUUUUUGAUGUAUUCAUGCCAUGUUUAUAAUAUAUCUACAUGAUUUUGGUAUGAUUUGGUUAGAACGCCAACCUCUCCUAUAAAUCCCUAAACCUUCAGAAAAUAACCUAGAUCGGGAGUUCCGCCGCCGCAAGCCUCUGUAGCCACCAAAAACCAAUCGGGACCCUGUUCUAGCACCCUGUCAGAGGGGGAUCCAUCACCGAUGGCCAUCUACAUCAUCCCGGCGCUCUCCAUGACGAGGAGGGUGUAGUUCACCCUCAGGGCUGAGGGUAUGUACCAGUAGCUAUGUGUUUGAUCUCUCUCUCUCUCGUGUUCUUGAUUUGGCACAAUCUUGAUGUACCUCGAGCUUUGCUAUUAUAGUUGGAUCUUAUGAUGCUUCUCCCCCUCUACUCUCUUGUAAUGGAUUGAGUUUUCCCUUUGAAGUUAUCUUAUCGGAUUGAGUCUUUAAGGAUUUGAGAACACUUGAUGUAUGUCUUGCAUGUGCUUAUUUGUGGUGACAAUGGGAUAUUCACGUGAUCUACUUGAUGUAUGUUUUGGUGAUCAACUUGCGGGUUCAGUGACCUUGUGAACUUAUGCAUAGGGGUUGGCACACGUUUUCAUCUUGACUCUCCGGUAGAAACUUUGGGGCACUCUUUGAAGUUCUUUGUGAUGGUUUGAAUAGAUGAAUCUGAGAUUGUGUGAUGCAUAUUGUAUAAUCAUACCUGCGGAUACUUGAGGUGACAUUGGAGUAUCUAGGUGACAUUAGGGUUUUGGUUGAUGUGUGUUUUAAGGUGUUAUUUUACUACAAACUCUAGGGCUGUUUGUGACACUUAUUGGAAUAGCACAAUGGAUUGAUCGGAAAGAAUAACUUUGAGGUGGUUUCGUACGCUACAAUAAUCUCUUCGUUUAUUCUCCACUAUUAGUGACUCUUUGUUGCAUGUUGAGGGAUAGUUAUAUGAUCCAACUAUGUUAUUAUUGUUGAGAGAACUUGCACUAGUGAAAGUAUGAACCCUAGGCCUUGUUAAGAAGCAUUGCAAUACCGUUUGUGCUCACUUUUACCACUUGCUACCUUGAUGUUUUUAUAAUUUCAUAUAACAAAAACCUUUAUCUACCAUCCAUAUUGCACUUGUAUGACCAUCUCUUCGCAGAACUAGUGCACGUAUACAAUUUACCAUUGUGUGUGUGUGUUGGGGACAUAAGAGACUCUUUGUUAUUUGGUUGCAAGGUUGUUUGAGAGAGACCAUCUUCAUCCUACGCCUCCCACGGACUGAUAAACCUUAGGUCAUCCACUUGAGGGAAAUUUGCUAUUGUCCUACAAACCUCUGCACUUGGAGGCCCAACAACGUCUACAAGAAGAAGGUUGCGUAGUAGACAUCAAUAGGCUUUUCCCUAGUAGUGCAAGGAAACUUCAGGCGGCGACUUAUGAUUCUGGGCCAUGAGCCACCGUCUUCAAGUACUGGGCCCCGAGUCGGCCCACUCUAUGAACCACCCUGCAGAUCUUGAGAUCUUUAACGUCAUGGCCCAUGUUGAGUCUUGCUCAUCGGUCGCCACUUGGAUGACCCGACCCGAUAUGGCCAUGGCUUUAUAUCCCCAACAAAACACUUGUAAACCGCAUCAUCUCUGAGUUAGUCUCUGGGUACUGAGAGGGAACGUGUCAGGUUUGUGAAGGAAGUGCCUGUUGCUCCGUUGGCCUCAAAACUUAUCGUGCUCUCGAAGGAGGCCAUCACAUGACACGUGCCAACUCCCGCACUUUCCGGACCCGCGUGCAAUAUUUGAGACAUUUAUUGCACCACUAAGGUUUCACCUUCGUAAAAUGCAGAUCUGCAAGGUGGCACAUGAAACCAUGCCUAGAAGCGGCAUGGAAAAUCCUACGUGAUGUCUUUGCGACAUGGGUAGGCCAUUCGUGGAGGGGCCCUGUCAUUUCUGAGAGCGCCUCUCGACAUUGGUGAAUAUUCCAAGCGCGACUCUCGGUAAAUGAGUAACCUAGAUCUAGGGUACGUAUUAUCCUUUACUGAGAUGGGAUCUUCGAAAAGGUAUAAACCCUAGAUCUAGGGUUUAUACCGCUACCGAGAGCAGCACCGACAGACACUCGGUAAAGCUCCGCGGGACACUUAAACUCUCCCCGCGGUGUCUUUUUGCUCAUAUUUUCUCUCUUGCCGNNNNNNNNNNNNNNNNNNNNNNNNNNNNNNNNNNNNNNNNNNNNNNNNNNNNNNNNNNNNNNNNNNNNNNNNNNNNNNNNNNNNNNNNNNNNNNNNNNNNNNNNNNNNNNNNNNNNNNNNNNNNNNNNNNNNNNNNNNNNNNNNNNNNNNNNNNNNNNNNNNNNNNNNNNNNNNNNNNNNNNNNNNNNNNNNNNNNNNNNNNNNNNNNNNNNNNNNNNNNNNNNNNNNNNNNNNNNNNNNNNNNNNNNNNNNNNNNNNNNNNNNNNNNNNNNCACCUCGUUGGGGCCACCUUCCCCGAGCUACCUCCCCCCCUCGGUGAGCUUCGUCUCCCCCUCCCCCAAGAUUGUGUGGAUGCAUGGAUGUAUGCAUGCAUGGAUUUUUGUAUGGAUGCAUGGUUUUUUGUAUGCAUGCAUGGAUGUAUGGAUGCAUGCAUGUAUGAAUGUAUGUAUUAAUGCAUGGAUUUUUCAUAGUAGUUUUUUUUUGUAAUUUUUUGUAUGAAUCUGGAGAUGGAUGUAUGAAUGCGUAGAUGGAUGCGUAGAAGCAUGGUUGAAUGCAUGGAUUUUAGUAGUUUUUUGUAGUAUUUUUUUCUUAUAUUAGUUUCUUGUAGUUUUUUGCGUCGGUGACAGAUGAGAAAUCGAAUUCUGAUGAUGACGGUCAAUCUGGGGAAGUUCGUCCUAAGAUUUACCUUUGUCAUGCACGAUGGACUCGCCUAGCUCGACCAUCACCGAAAGUCGAAAUAGCGGUGAGAGAGUGCCCACCAUAUAUACAACCACUAGAGAGUGUCCACCAUAUUUGACAUAUGAGAGAUGUUACCGAUUGACGAUAAGACUUGUUCAUGGAGGAAGAGAAAUCGAUGUCUAACGAUGGCGGCCGAUCUGUGUGAGUUCGUCCUGUUAUACCUUGAUAACGCACGAUGGGCUCGCCCAGCUCGACCAUCACCGGAAGUCGAAAUACCCGUGAGAGAGUGUCCACCAUAUACAAUCACCAUAUAGAGUAUCCAUCAUAUUUGACAGAUGAGAGUGUCCUUGGAGGAAAGAAAUCGACUCUUAUGUUAUUUUUCAUUGUGUGAUGGAAGGUGUUAGCGCCGAUCGAUUUUGCAGUUAUGGCUUCCCCCGACAAUGCAGCUUACUUUAAGGCCGACUCCAUGGUCGAGGAGAAGAGCGCCGAUGAUCUCUUGGCAGCACUCAUUGAGAAGAACCCGCAGCUGAUCCUAAUUAAUUAUUUUGAGGAUCUGAAAAAGAAGAAUCGGCCAAAGGCCAACUAAGGAGAGCAAGGCCCUACCACGUAUGGAGAGAGACGACCUGGUGCCAUUGAGUCCACGGACCAUCAUUCCAGACAACUUUUGGUCCUCCACUAUGGGGGAUGCCUCUACGUGCUCUGACUCCACGAUCACUGGUUUCACCAACUACACAUCGGAGUAGUCCACCUAGACAAUUUGACAUUGAUUUAGUGGUUUAGUUAUGUAGCUGCUGAUAUGGACUUGUAUUGCCACUUGCGAUGUUGUUGGGUGUAUGGGUGAUGGAUGCUCUCGUGGAUUAUGUAUGAUGUGCUAUUUUAACCUUGCAUUCCUUCUCUGCAUCUUUUUCUCUUUCUUUAUAGAUGAAGUGGUAUGCGGUGUACAGAGGUAGGUGUCCAGGAGUCUACGAUUCAUGGUCUAAAUGCAACGAACAAGUGUUUCGUUACGAAGGCAGUAUCCACGACUCGUUCAAGCAGAGAGAACGCAGAGUAUCAAUACAGUAUGUGCUUAACCAGAAGAGAGAAGGCAAUGGUGCAAGCUAGAAACGGCUUUUCGGGUUCAGUGGAUGGAGGAACUUGAUAAUUAUCUUUCAGUUCGUCAUAAUUGUGUCAUUGCUUUUAUCACGUGGUCGCAUGUAGACAUGCAUUGACCACUUUGUUGUUUACUAUGUAACCACUUGUACUAGCGAACUGCUUGGUGACUUCAAAUGAAGCUUAUGUGAACUAUUUAUAUAAUGCGUAUGUGAGUUUCUUAUUAAACUCUGAGAGUUAAAAAACUACUUUGUGCAUUGUAUAUCUGUUUUCCAAGCAGUGAUACGACGGAGAAGAGGCAGAAGCAAAACUGUCAGAGAACCUUUAUCGAGCGCCGCUCUCGGGAAUCACAAGUUUGCCGGUGGCUCUUGGCAAAGGUCUAUGCGCUGGGAGCUGCUGGAGCUACUAUGCCGAGAGGUGCACUCGGCAAAGACACGACGGAACCAGCCGGCCGUGAAGUCACUUUAUUUUGCCGAGUAGCAUUGUUUGGCUCUAGGCAAACACUUUGCCGAGUGCCCGAUGGAUGGCUCUCGGCAAAUUCCUGUUUGCCUGAGAGGUGUACACGGGUGGCCUUUGCGGCAUGCAACUCUUGGCAAAGCCUUUCCCGGCGGUUAUUGGCCCUUUGCCGAGCGUCCGUGGUACCCGGUGUACAACGUGAUUCCAGUAGUGAAAGUUACUAUUACCUUAUUGACGACGAGAUGAUUGUGUUAGGGCACCUAAAGUGGAGUUAUUAGGCCCUUUCUUCCAUGCCAUCUCUAAGCCCUUAGUCUGCCCUGUAGCACCAGCAACAUCAUUCUUGAAUCUUGCAUGGAAUUCCUAUAUGUUGAUAAAUUUUGGUGGACUAAGCCAGUCAGCUCUGCUCACCAAACUCGACAAGCAUCGUCAAAGUUUUGGUUGUCGAGCUCUAUGUCAUGGUGAUACUCAUCUUUGCUUGCUUUAAAUGUCUGAUUUGAUUGAGAUAUUAUCUAGUCUAGUUUGUAAUACAAUUAACUUUUCCUCUCAUAUCCAUUUUGCAGUCUUACAAAAAUUACAAGAUGAAUAGAAAAAUUGGUCUCAGUGUGACGUGCUACAUCAAAUUGAAUGCCACCAGACAAUCUCAAAAAGGUAACGUUUAAGUCAUUCAUACGCUAUCAGGAACAAAUUGACUUUGCUAGUUCUUUGUCUUAAAGACAUAAGUGCUAAACAAGUUCGAAACUGAAAGAUACUGUGAUUACACCAAUGAAUGGGCGGUUUAUCAACACAUGCUUGUACAAGUGAAAAACGGAGCUUUUCGAGAUGCUCAAUUUGAAUACAAGAGUAGUAAUCUUCAUUGAGCACUAUGUCGACGCGCAUACGCAUGGUUUGUCGUAGACAGCGUUCGUGCCUAAUUAACUCGCUGCCUUGAGCUCAUUUUGUAUGCGGCAUAGAUGCCUGAAGAUUGCUUGGUCUUCCUCAUAACUUUGCAGUAUUUUUAGUCUAAAGUUCCUUUUGAAUCCCAGGAACUUAUGAAGUUGCUCCUGUUCAAACUGCAAAAGAUGUCUUUGGAUGCAAGAAUAGUGCACGGUUCACAAAUUCAUGGAAAAAAUUACAGCUAAAAUUUGUAACCGGGAGCGAGCUGGUGUAGAAACACAUACAUGUGUUGAAAACUUUAUUGAAUUUCAUUUGUAUACAGAAAUAUGAGAAGUUUAAUUGGUACUUUGAUUUUCCGUGUACAAAACCUGUGUCUAGCUGUUCCUGCCUGUUAAUGACUAGUGAUGGUGCAUCUACAUGGGAAGACACAAAAAUGCCUAUCAAAUCUCUCUGGCUGCAGCUGGAACAUGCUGCUUCGGUUGUCUGUCUAUUAGUUUUUUUUGCGAGAAAAUUUCCGAUCUAUUCAUCUUCAAUCAUGGCAGUACAACGAAUACCAGAAAUAAUAAAAAUUACAUCCAGAUCCAUAGACCACCUAGCGACGACUACCAGCACUGAAGCGAGCCGAAGGCGCGCCGCCAUCAUCGCCCCUCCAUCGCCGGAGUCGGGCACAACUUGUUGUAGUAGACAGUCGGGAAGUCGUCGUGCUAGUAAAGUUAUAUUUUUAUUCUCGCAGAAGAAUUGUUAGUAAAGUUUGGGUUUGUUAGUUGCACAAAUCAGCGUAACAUAGUGUCUUAUAUUUAGGAGCGGAGGGAGUAUAAUAUAGUCUAUCGAAUUGUAUAGUGCCUUCAAUUUUUUUUCUUAAAUAAUAUAAGUCAUACUGGCGCAACCACACAUAUACGCUAAUUUUUUUUAAAUAAUACAUUUUUCUUAAUAAAUUUGGAAAAUAUUACGUCGUUUAGAUUUAUUUCGAAAAUAAUACGGCAUCGGCGUCGGGGAAGCCGACUGGCUCCCAGUCGGCCACCGGUUAGCCGAGUAGGCCAGUCGGCCACCAGUAAACUGAUUAGUGGCCAGUCCGCCAGGUACGCAUGCAGUCGGCCGGGUGCGCAUGCAAUCGGCCAGGGGGUAGCCGAUAAGUGGCUACAUGCCUCGAUGGAUGGACGGAUGGGUGCAACUGCUCGUGCUCCCGCUCAUGCCGCACGGCCAGCUUCAACGCGCUCGUGCUCCCGCUCAUCCGAUAAGUGCCUAUAUAUCUCAUCCGGGUGAUUACCACCUGCAGCACGUCCAGCUUCAACGUGUUCGUGCUCCCCGCUCUUGCCGCACGGCAGCCUCGAGGCGCACCUCUACCCGCACGACGGCCGAGGGGAUAGCCUACCUGCACCACUACGCGCCGGUGAGGGUCGUGCACUGCGACCUCAAGCCGAGCAAAGUUCUCCUCGACGACGGAAUGCGCGCCGUGAUCUCCGACUUCGGUAUCGCGCGGCUCGUCGCCGGCGCCGAAGCCACCAGCAGCACGAGCGACGACGACUCCGUCGCUCCGUGCAACUCCAUCGCCGCCAGAUUGUUGCAGAGUUCGGUUGGUUACAUGCACCUAGUACGUGACACACACAUAAGUUUUGUGCAUGCAUGCAUGCAUGCUCGAUGUGGCAUUGAUUAUCGGGAAGCGGGAGCGGGAGCAUGAGCGCGUUCAAGCUGGCCAUGCGGCAUGAGCGGGAGCACAAGCACUUGCACCCAUCCGUCCAUCCAUCUAGGCAUAUAGCAACUUAUUGGCUACCCCGAAGCCGAUAGGCCGCCUGUGCUACCCUCUGGCCGAUUGCAUGCGCACCUGGCUGACUGCAUGGGCACCUGGCAGACUGGCCACUAAUCGGCUUACCGGUGGCCGAUUGGGCCUACUCGGCUUACUGGUGGCUGACUGGAAGCCAGUCGGCUCCCCGGACGCCGAUGCCGUAUUAUUUUUGAAAUAAAUUUAAACGGCGUAAUAUUUCUCAAAUUUAUUAAGAAAAGUGUAUUAUUUAAAAAAAAUUAGCCACAUAUACAACAUUCUAUGGAACUAAGACCACACUCAUUGCAUGUACGGGGUUAAUUAUCACUACAACUUUUAGUCGCUAUACAUAGUCACUUGAAAUGGCACAUAUUAUCUUGGAAUGUUACACAUCCAUUGGAUUUUCAGUAAGACAUCGUCCACCUGUAAUUAAGACAUUUAAUCAAUUUCCCUGUGACAAUUAAAUACAUUUAACCAAUUUUCUUAAUUAGCGACACAUGUACUACAUAUGAAGGUUUUUCUUUCGAAUAAAGGAGCCCCCGAUUUUCAUUAAGAAACCGAUAAAACAAACAAAUAUAGCACUUUAUGCGUCACAGAUGCGCAAAACACCACAGGUAACUGCCCAAUCGGCCACCACAAGUUCCCAUCAUGCGCCGGGAGACCACUACCUUAUUACAGUGCCAACAGACACACACACACACACACACAGGCGCGAUACAUAUUUCAGGUAACAAUGCAUCAUCUACCAGACAGAAAGAGCUAACAAAUAGAACAUCUUGAUACUCAAGCAGCCUCAGAAUCCCAGCAACUGCAUCACCCAUUGUCAAUCAUGUGUGUCCUCGGCCCCCAACCUCUGCUUCUUGUGAAGAAUUCAGUUGCUACCAUAGAGAGCGAUGUUGUCGCGGCUUGUAACGCCCGUUUGUCUUCUCCUUUCUACAUACAAUCGCAAUACAUCAUCCAGUUAGAAAAUCAGGAAGACUAUUUGAUACAGAUUAUGCGGGUGCCAGGUAGACAUGAUCAAAACUAGCACCAUAUGUCUAGUGUAAAGUAAGAGUACAUACGUACCAGGUGCAUAAAAGGCGGAGUAGGGAUAAACAGAGCCGUAAAAGCGUUGAUCCGGUUCAAGCACUCGCUGAUGCUGCCCGGACUCCAAGUUGAUCAUGAAUACACCCAGUUCUGCCUGCAAGAAAAUGCAAUCCAGCUGCUCCGAGAACCCGAUGACGUGCGGUUUCACUGUGUCGUCGCCUAGUAGUUCAUCCUCGUCCUCAUCAUCGGAGUACUCAAGAACAUGCAAAAGCCCAUUGCCACCAUUCUCGUGAUCGGCAUACGCAUCCAACGGAAGGAAAUCUUCAAAUCUAACAAGGGUACGGCUAACCCAGGCGCCUUCAUCCAACGAAAACAGCAUGACUGAGUUAUCCAUGACGCCGGCCAAACGCAACCGCGCGUCCAUGGCCGGCGUGAGAAAAAAGUUGUGGCCGUGUAUGACCUCCGGUGUAUCAAUCAGUAGCAGCCUCUGCGUCUCCAACUGAAAUUCUGCCACCGUCCUAUCCACUUCAGUCAUCCAGUACACAGCAGCGCCGUUGCCGGCCACGGCGCUCGGAUUCCAGCCCAAGUGGCACUCCUCGCCCAUGGUCGCUGCCAGGCGGCCAUCCCAACUUCCUGUCUUGGAGCUGUAGACACAGGCGAAGAUGUGGAUCGCCGGCGGACCCUCCAGACCUUCCCUCCAGCUGUCAUACUCGCUGUACGCAAAAACGACGCGGAACGGCGACGAGUGGCAGUCCCCGCCGUGGGCGUGAUCGGCAUCGCAGACCAGAGCCGCGCCGCACCUCCGCCCGUGGUGGAAGCCAGGCCCAGGUGCCGGCGGGAUGAGGUUCUGCUCACCGGUUAGCGGGUUCCACACAAUUAGCUCACCGUGGUGGUUGUUGUCCCACUCCCACUCCGAGGCGCGGUAGAGAGAGGAGCACGCGGCCGUGGGUGCAGCCGGAGGCGCGGAACCAUCCAUCGUGGGCCAACGUCGGUGGCAUCAGUUCCAUCGCGUUGGUCGUGGUGGGCGUGAACUUGAAUUGGACCUCGCCGUAGUAGGCGUUGGGGAUGAGGCCGAGGAGUGGUGGGACGCUCUGGUGCGCCGCGCGAAAGGGACGGAGGAAGUUCUCCUCGUCGUGGACGAGGCGCCGCCAGUCUUUGUAGGCCAUGGAGACGAAUGCCAGGGCACUGGGAUCCGUCGGGAGGCGGUGAAAGAUGUCCCGGAGCAGGUCGUCGGGAAGCUGUUGGAGUGGCUGCGUCAGCGGGCUAGGCUGGUCGCCGUUGUCAAGAGUUUCAUUCUCCAUCUCGCCCUGCUGCCUACGGCUAGUGCUUGAGGCUGGCUAGCUAUGGAGAUGGGAAGGAGAGAGGAGAAAACCUGACUGCUAGGUGGAUGCGAUGGAGAUCUCAUUUAAGCAAGUGAUAAAAACGGGAAAGAAACACACGUCAAGUAGAAAUGGAGAAGGUGAUUAACGCGAAAGAAAUGCAUGCCUUUUUUCGUUUUGGGAAUUUAGAAAGAAACGCAUGUCAAUUAUGAAAGAGGGAAGAAUUAAAAAAAUAAACAAGCACGUGGUGUAUAGUACGUACCACACAACAAAAUUAUGUUGGUAUGUCAAUUACUUCCACUCUUUCUGUGAGGAUAUUCGAUAAUCACUAUUGUAUGUCCGAUUGGAAAAACAAAGACAUCUAUCAUUUCAGUAUUCACAUAGUGUGUAGCAUUUUCUUCCAUUUUCUAUAUAAACUAGCUUGGUGGCCUGCACACAAAUGCGUUGGCAAAAUAUUUAAACUUAUGUAUGUGUAGCAAUUGUUUGAACCUUAUAUGAAGACUAUUUCUCUAUACAAUUCUAAUUUUUUUAUUGAAUAUGUUUCAAUAGUUUCAAGAAAAAAAAUGUUAAUGCUGUUAACAGAACUAAAAAAUGUCCGUGAAUUUAUAAAAAUGUUUGCGUAUUCAAAAAUUGUUCACAGAUUUAGAAAAUUAUUAACUGGGAGCGAGCUUCUCUUUGGUUUUUUAAACGUACAGCGAGCGAGCUACCCGUUGAGCCAUGUUUUAGCACGGCACUCUAGGUUUUUAUUGAUUGAUAGUCGUCAGAAUACAAGCAUCAUGAGGUAGACCAAACCAAAUAUGUCUACCAUAGUCUAAGGAAGAUGGAAACCUAGCUAGGUUGUCGGCUUCAUAGUUUGAGCUUAUUUGUUAAUGGACAAAAUUAAAGAGUAAAACAAGAUUUCGUAGCUAAGAUUUCCCUUAAGAUAACUUCAUAUUUCCCUCCUUGUCCAGCAGCAAUAUCGUACACCACACUUCGACAAUUUCACCCCACAUGCAAUCUCUGAAGAUAAAGAUCCAUAGCCAAAGCGAGCCCCUCUCAACAUGCCAACACCUCAAGAAUAGAUGGAUCAGUUACUCCAGGUAAAGACCAUGAGCAUCCCUACAAACAGCAGCAACAACACUCACCGGACCUGACCUGGAAAGUCCUCCUUCAAGAAUAGCUUUUCGUGGAGCCGUUCAGAUUGCCCACAUAGUGACCACCAGCCAGGUAAUUAAGUUGAUCAUGUGGUAAUGAACAUUGCAAUAGGAUUUGCUUCUGUUGUCACCAUCAAGGGCUUCAUCAAGUCCUCAUCCACAAGAGCCUAGACACAACGUGCCAUGGAACACUCAAGGAGAGAGUGUCUCCAUGAGUCUUCUGUACCACACAUAGAGCGGCGCUGCUGGAACACAUGUUACGAUGGUGGAGCACAUCUUCUGAUGGGAUGGAAACCCGAGAAAGCCUCCAGAAAAUCAUGUGUAAUUUUGCCGGAACCUCCACUUUCUAUAGCUUGCGCCACCGCACCUUCUCGUCUUCAAAAUCAGACGACCUCUGGAGCUCCUCCAGCCAAUCUUCAUGAUGCCUCUUUGUUAUUAACAUGCGGUAUGUAGUCUUAAGAGAAAACUGUCCGAUCUUUCAAAGUUCCAUGACCAAAAGUUGCUCUGGUUAUUGGUGCAACACAUGGAAUAUUGAGAAUUAUGUCAGUGUCCAUUGGCAGAAAGACUUGUUGGGCAAGAUCUGUAUUCCAGCUAGCGCUCGUCUCAUCGUGGCAAUCAAGUCGUUCACCAUUUGGGGCAGCUUUUGAGCCAAAGAUAGUAAAGACCUCAUACGGUAAUCUAUAGGGAAACGUUUUGGGACGGCACGCCGGCUGAAAUUUCAGCCGGUCGCUCCGGUGGCCCACGCACCGCACUAUGUCCCUUACCUUAUCUUUUCCCGACACCACACCACAUCCAAAUCUUAUCCUCUCUCACUUUCCUACCUCGCCGCCGCCCAAUCUUCUCGGCUCUCCUCCCCGACCUCUCCCACAUCAAGCUCCACGGGCUCUCCGACGAAACGCCAUGCUCCUGAUGUGAGGUUCAGCCAUGGCCUGCAAGCUCAUAGAAUUAGGGGCAGCCAUGGCCUGCAAGCUCUCACUGCAAAAUACGGCGGGGGCGGCGAGCGAUCCCAUGGCCAGUGCUGCAAGCGAGGUGGCUUCCGGCGGAUUGGACGGCAAGGUCGUCGGUGUCGCGCUUCCCCCCACCACCCCCGGCCCCCUCCCCUCCGCGGCGCUGCCGGACGCGCGCGCUGUGAGACAACAGCUGAAGCAGCCAUGGUGGUCCUGCGAGCAUCACCAAUUACCGGCGAUGUCAACCAGCAGACGCCGGUGAGGGAGAUGGGGGCAUUCGGUGCUGCAACGGGUGAGUUUUUUGGCUGGAACGGCAAAAAGCAAACGGCAAGUGUUUUUGCUGGAAACGGUAAACAGAAAGCUAAAUCCACACAUGACCGGUGCUGGAACCGCACGACCGUCGAGUCAUUUUGCUGGCACCGGCUUGUUGUUUUGCUACAACCGGCAAAAGGUUUGCUGGAUCCGGCGAGAUUAUUUCAUUUGCAACCGUCGGCGUCGACGCAUUUUUGCUGGAACCAUGAUGAUUUUUUGCUGGAAUAGUUUUGUUUUUCGCUACCACCAGUGAAACCCCAUUUUGUUGCCGAGUUUUGCUGCUACACGGUGGUGGAAGCCGACGUCGGCGGCGAGCAAAGGCUGCGACAGGGGGGUGCUGCAACCACGACGCCUCGUGCUGGAACCAGCCCAUGAAAAACUGCAAACAGCAGAAGCUGGAUCAUGCAUUUUGAUUUUUGCUGGAACCAGCGCAUUUGUUUGAUACAACCGGCUAGUUUGUUUGCUACUUUGAACUCUCUUGAAGUUUGCUGUUGUGGUUGUUUUUGUUGGAACCUUCGUCAUUUUUGGCUGGAAACAACCAUUAUUUUUGCUUCAACUAAUCAUUGGAGAUUUUUGUCGCUCAGAUUUUUCAGUUGAAACAUGACACUGCUAGUUGACAACGGCGGCGAGCCGGAUCCGACAACGCGAUUUUUUUGUUGCGACCAUGGGACCUUGGCCUCGAAUAGGCAGGCGUUAGAGCUGCAUCUCAAUAUCUCAUGGUGACGGCACCCUGGGAUCUACUGGCAGCCAUGUUGCCAUCUCGGAGAUGCGGGCGGGACCUCACUGGUGCUCGCCGGUCACGGCCACGGCGGCGGCCACNNNNNNNNNNNNNNNNNNNNNNNNNNNNNNNNNNNNNNNNNNNNNNNNNNNNNNNNNNNNNNNNNNNNNNNNNNNNNNNNNNNNNNNNNNNNNNNNNNNNNNNNNNNNNNNNNNNNNNNNNNNNNNNNNNNCGCGAGCGAUGCGGGGAAGAAGAUGUCAUGGGAGGGAGGACCAAAUCCAACGGCGCACAAGGGGGUGAAUCGGGUGGCUGUGGUGCGACCGGCCGAAAUUUCGGCCGGCGCACCGGCGCCUAUCGCUGGCCUAUAGGGAGCCAAUUUUGGUUCCAUAUGUGUGUGCCAGAUCCUGGCCGUGCCAGAUGGCGGUGUGGGCCCACUGUGGGUCCUCCCGAUCUCCCCUGGAACUUCCUGGAUCAUUCGUUGCCCAAAACAUUCUUAUUAAAUUGGCAGGGUAUUCUUCGUAGAUAUUGAUUUUGUGUAAACAAAAAACAUGCAGAAAACAAAAACAUGCACUGGUGUAAGACAAUAAGUUUUGGGGAACCAGCACAACCCUCUAGGGGUGGCUUAUCUCAUUAUAUAUAAUGGUUGUGUUACAAUAUGUACAAUAUACGUACAUAGGUACAGAAGCUAUACAUAGUCUAACACCCUCCCUCAAUCUUAGCCACUUUCUAAAGAACUGAGAAGGGUAAGAUUGCGCCUACAAGCCUCAAACUGUGGCAGCGGUAAAGGCUUAGUGAAGAUGUCUGCAAGUUGAUCCUUAGAUGAGAUAAACUUGAUCUGGAGUUGCUUCUGUGAUACACGUUCCCGUACAAAGUGAUAGUCAACUUCAAUGUAUUUCAUUCGGGCAUGAAAUACUGGAUUUGCAGAAAGGUAUGUAGCACCGAUGUUAUCACACCAAAGAAUAGGAGGCUGUGGUUGAGACAAACCCAACUCCUGAAGCAAAGACUGCACCCAAAUAAUCUCUGCAGUAGCAUUAGCCACAGCCUUGUACUCAGCUUCAGUACUGCUACGUGACACAGUAGCCUGUUUCCGAGCACUCCAGGCGAUCAAAUUAGAGCCAAAGAAUACUGCAUAACCCCCCGUGGAUCGCCUGUCAUCUGGGCUACCAGCCCAAUCUGCAUCAGAGAAGGCCGAAAGGACCCGAGAGGAAGUCGGCCGAAUAUGCAUACCAAAUGUCAGGGUGAACUGAACAUAACGAAGAAUGCGUUUAACAGCAGCCCAAUGAGUAUCUCUGGGAGCCUGAAGAUACUGACAAACCCUGUUAACAGCAUAAGAGAUAUCUGGUCUCGUGAUCGUCAAGUACUGAAGUCCACCAACAAUGCUCCUGUACUCUGUGGCAUCCGCAGGAGACAAAAGCUCACCAUCAACAGCUGUUAUCUUGUCGGUAGACGACAUGGGUGUGGUGAUCGGUUUGCACUUCAGCAUGCCAGCUCUUUGUAACAACUCCAAGGAGUACUUCUUCUGCGUAAGGAUAAGACCAGUAGCACGAGAAGUGACCUCAACUCCAAGAAAGUAGUGAAGCUUCCCAAGAUCUUUGACCGCAAAAUCAGCACCAAGAGAGCAGACAAGAGCAUCAGCAGCAUACUGAGAAGAGCUGACAAGGAUAAUAUCAUCGACAUAUACCAAAAGAUACAUAGUGACUUCUGGCUUCUGUAGAAGAAAUAAUGAAGUGUCAGCAGUAGACGGCACAAACCCAUGAGCACGAAGGGCAGAGGCAAGGCGGGCAUGCCAGGCACGAGGAGCUUGCUUCAAACCAUAUAGUGCUUUGGAAAGACGACAGAUAUAGUCAGGACGAUCAGGAUCAGAGAAACCAGGCGGCUGUUUCAUAUAAACCUCUUCCUCCAAAAUUCCAUGUAGAAAAGCAUUCUGCACAUCAAGUUGACGAAGUGACCAACCACGAGAAACAACAAUGGAGAGAAGAAGCCGAAUAGUGGUAGGCUUGACGACAGGACUGAAGGUGUCCUCAUAGUCAAGACCAUGACGCUGCCGAAAACCGCGAGCAACAAGUCGCGCUUUGUAACGCUCAAUAGAUCCAUCCGAAUGCUUCUUCACUUUGAAUACCCAUUUUGAGUCAAUAACAUUUACCCGUGGUGGUGGAGGAACGAGAGUCCAUGUCUUGUUACGAAGAAGAGCAUGAAACUCCUGCUCCUUAGCCUCUCGCCAAUGUGGAAUGCGCAGGGCAGCCUGAUAUGAGCGAGGCUCAGAAGAUGGAUCCGCAACAGCAGCAGCCAAACAAGCAGCCAACCAAGCAACCGUACCAUCCUUACGUUCCUUAGGUUUGAAAAUGCCACUGCGACUGCGUGUAUGUGGUCGAGACACAGGAACCACCGAGGUUGACGGAGCAGCCUGCAACGGGCUGGAGGAUGGCGACGUUGACGAGUCAGCCGGUGACGAGGAGCCAGUCACGGUAGCCUCGGACUCGGUUGGCGAAGAAGACCGACCCACCGGCGAAACCGGCAGAGCAGACGAAGCAGCUGGCGACUCCGGCAUCACAGACCGGGCCGAUGGCGAGCUCGGCAUAGUGGGCCGUGGCGCGGCCGGUGUCGCGGGCCGAUCCGCUGAUGAAGGCGACGUGAGGACCCGAGCCGCGGGCGAAGACGGCGUGAUGGGCCGAGCCGCAGGCGAAGACGGCGUGACGGGCCGAGCCGCGGGCGACUCGGCGGCCGCUGGCGAAACGGACCGAGCAGUGGAGAUGCUCGGCGCGAUGGACUCGUCGGGUGACCAUGCAUGGGCACGCGAAUCGAUGCCAUGCAACAUAGGGCGAUCGACGUGCCCACCAGAAGACGACGAUGAUGAUGGUGAAUCCUCCAACAGCUCCAAACGAGCUCCACGUCCGGUUACUGCACCAUGGUUAGGUAACAGCAAAGGAGAGUAUGCAACAUCAUCAAAUUGGUCAGAAGCAACAAAGGAUGAAUGCAGGGAUGGUGGUUCGACAGUGGACACAGGAAGGUUGGCAAAGGGAAAAACAUGCUCAUCAAACACGACGUCCCGAGAUAUAUAGACACGAUUAGUGGGAACAUGAAGACAUUUGUAACCUUUAUGAAGAGAGCUAUAGCCAAGAAAAACACACUUCUUAGAACGAAACUCAAGCUUGCGCUUGUUAUAUGGACGAAGAUGCGGCCAGCAAGCACACCCAAAUACCUUGAGAAAGGUAUAAUCAGGUUGUUCAUUAAGGAGAACCUCAAUGGGAGUCUUCAUGUUUAAUACACGAGUAGGAGUACGGUUGAUGAGAAAGCAUGCAGUGGUGAAAGCAUCACUCCAAAACCGAAACGGAACAGAUGCAUGGGCCAAAAGAGUAAGACCAGCUUCAAUAAUAUGACGAUGCUUACGUUCGACUGGACCAUUCUGCUGAUGUGUAUGUGGACAUGCUAAACGAUGAGCUAUCCCAAGCGACUGAAAGAAAGAGUUGAGGUUGCGAUACUCGCCCCCCCAGUCUGACUGGACAUGAACAAUUUUGUGCUUGAGAAGACGUUCAACAUGUUUUUGAAACUGAACAAAAAUAUCAAACACAUCAAAUUUGCGUUUAAUAAGGUAAAGCCAGGUAAAGCGACUAUAAGCAUCAACGAAACUGAUAUAGUAAUUAUGACCACUGACAGAAGUCUGAGCAGGACCCCAUACAUCUGAAAACACAAGUUCUAAAGGAUGUUUCACCUCACGACUGGACUCCGAAAAAGGAAGUUGAUGACUCUUCCCCUGCUGACAAGCAUCACACACUGCUACAUCUUUAUUACUAGACAAACUAGGAAGCUCAUGACGACGCAAAAUAUGACGGACAAUAGGUGUGGCCGGGUGACCAAGACGAGCAUGCCACUGUGACNNNNNNNNNNNNNNNNNNNNNNNNNNNNNNNNNNNNNNNNNNNNNNNNNNNNNNNNNNNNNNNNNNNNNNNNNNNNNNNNNNNNNNNNNNNNNNNNNNNNNNNNNNNNNNNNNNNNNNNNNNNNNNNNNNNNNNNNNNNNNNNNNNNNNNNNNNNNNNNNNNNNNNNNNNNNNNNNNNNNNNNNNNNNNNNNNNNNNNNNNNNNNNNNNNNNNNNNNNNNNNNNNNNNNNNNNNNNNNNNNNNNNNNNNNNNNNNNNNNNNNNNNNNNNNNNNNNNNNNNNNNNNNNNNNNNNNNNNNNNNNNNNNNNNNNNNNNNNNNNNNNNNNNNNNNNNNNNNNNNNNNNNNNNNNNNNNNNNNNNNNNNNNNNNNNNNNNNNNNNNNNNNNNNNNNNNNNNNNNNNNNNNNNNNNNNNNNNNNNNNNNNNNNNNNNNNNNNNNNNNNNNNNNNNNNNNNNNNNNNNNNNNNNNNNNNNNNNNNNNNNNNNNNNNNNNNNNNNNNNNNNNNNNNNNNNNNNNNNNNNNNNNNNNNNNNNNNNNNNNNNNNNNNNNNNNNNNNNNNNNNNNNNNNNNNNNNNNNNNNNNNNNNNNNNNNNNNNNNNNNNNNNNNNNNNNNNNNNNNNNNNNNNNNNNNNNNNNNNNNNNNNNNNNNNNNNNNNNNNNNNNNNNNNNNNNNNNNNNNNNNNNNNNNNNNNNNNNNNNNNNNNNNNNNNNNNNNNNNNNNNNNNNNNNNNNNNNNNNNNNNNNNNNNNNNNNNNNNNNNNNNNNNNNNNNNNNNNNNNNNNNNNNNNNNNNNNNNNNNNNNNNNNNNNNNNNNNNNNNNNNNNNNNNNNNNNNNNNNNNNNNNNNNNNNNNNNNNNNNNNNNNNNNNNNNNNNNNNNNNNNNNNNNNNNNNNNNNNNNNNNNNNNNNNNNNNNNNNNNNNNNNNNNNNNNNNNNNNNNNNNNNNNNNNNNNNNNNNNNNNNNNNNNNNNNNNNNNNNNNNNNNNNNNNNNNNNNNNNNNNNNNNNNNNNNNNNNNNNNNNNNNNNNNNNNNNNNNNNNNNNNNNNNNNNNNNNNNNNNNNNNNNNNNCCAGUGCCCAUCGCGGCCACAAAGCUGACACACACGUGGACCGCCAGCCCCCGGUAAGGUCGCAGUAGGUGGGGGGGCCGAGGCGGGCGACGGUGGCAGCCCCAAGGGAGACCGGGGUGAUGAAGAAGAGCGGCCAUCCUUGGUGGCGGCGUUGGCCGAGAGGGAGCCAGUGCCCCUGGUGCGGCGAGUCUCGACCCGUUGCUCAGUGAGAAGGAGCCGAGAGAAAACCUCGUGUGCCAGCAUGGGUGUCGAGUUGCCCCGCUCGUUGAUGAUCUCGACUAAGGCAUCAUACUCCUCAUCAAGACCAUUGACAAUAAACGAGUUGAACUCGGAGUCGGUGAGGGGCUGUCCAAUGGAGGCCAAUGUGUCGGCGAGGCCCUUGACCUUGUUGUAGAACUCAGUGGCAGUGGAGUCAAGCUUCUGACACUCUCCAAGCUGACGACGGAGUGCAGAGACACGAGCCUGGGACUGCGCUGCAAAGGUGCGCUCAAGGAUGGUCCAGGCCUCAUGAGACGUCUUCGCGAAGACAACAAGGCCGGCAACUGCCGGCGAGAGCGACCCCUGGAUGGAGGAGAGGUUCGCCUGGUCCUGCCCCGUCCAGACGCGAUGGGCCGGAUUGUAGACCGGACCGUGCACGCUGUCUACCAGCGCGGGUGGGCAGGGAAGCGAUCCGUCGACGUAGCCUAGCAGGUAGUGACUCCCCAAGAGCGGGAGAACCUGCGCACGCCAGAAGAUGUAGUUGUCGGCGGAGAGCUUGAUGGUGAUGAGAUGACCGAAGUGAAACGGCGGCGGCGAAGACGAUCCCAUCGAGGAGGCUGCCUGGGGUGCAAACACCAUGGAGGCAGCCGGAGGCACCGAAGCCGAUGCGGGAGGAGGCGGGACCGCAGCCAGGGCGGGCGCCCCAAAGCUCGCGGCCGGUGCGGACGCCGCAAGGCCCGCGGCCGGGGCGGACGCCGCCAACCCCGCCAGCGGGGCAGUGUGAUCCGCUUGCGGCAGGAGCGGCGGGACGACGCCUGCGGAGUCCGCAGCGGACGGCGGCGCCGCGGUGUGGACCACGAGGUCACGCUCAAGCGAGGGCGCCGGCGGCGUGGAGAAGACGGAGCCGAUGCUCCUUGUCCCGAUCGAAGCCGGAACAGAGACGGCAUCGAGCGGGAGGUUGAGUAGAGCCGCAAGAGAGGCCGGGAGGAAGCCCGCAGCAGUGGAACCGGUGGUGGCGGCGCUCGACAUGGCGGCGGCGCGAUCGGUGGCGCGGCGGCGGCGGCUGCGACGGCGGUGCGGGUAUUAGAGUUUAGAAGCGGAAGCGAUCGUAACCUAGCGUGAUACCAUGUAAGACAAUAAGUUUUGGGGAACCAGCACAACCCUCUAGGGAUGGCUUAUCUCAUUAUAUAUAAUGGUUGUGUUACAAUAUGUACAAUAUACGUACAUAGGUACAGAAGCUAUACAUAGUCUAACAACUGGGCACUAGAUUAUUAAUAGAUUAAUCCCAAAAAUAAUAUAAAAUGCUACAAAACGUAUUCAAAAGUGAUAAUUUCAUAGCAGAAAACAAUCAACAAAUAUAGAUUCGUUUGAGACGUAUGAAUAUUCUACUUGCUAGCAAUACCAGAUCAGUUUCUGACAUUAGCAACAUGACGCAGGGACUACGGGAAGUUCGUAAACUAGAAAGGAAUCAGGUAGUGAUGCACAAUUGCACAUUAGGAACAGUGAAGGAGUCUCACUAAAGACGUCGGCGUCAUGUAUUUGAGUCUGCUUCAGGAUUUAUCUUAGAGUUGUACUCGAUCAGCACCCCCUUAGAGUCAAAUCUCUUGCUGAUGGGCAAAGACACCUAGCCAUCGUCAUCGGUCUCUCGUAGCAUGAUGGUGUACCCGCCGAUCCAGGUGUGCUCGACACUCCAACUGUGCUCCGUGUCGCCAGGUGAGCUUGGCUCCGUGGAUGUUGCAGGCGUACUGGGAGUCGUUGUGGUUCCCGGGGACACGAUUUAGGUGGUUGUCAGGGGCAACUCCGCAUCGGAGUACACCACCAUGAACUCCUUGGCGUGGGUGUGCUCUGCGUCACUGCCGCCCUUUCUAUAGUCCCAUCACCGUUCCUCUUCAAACCACAUGUCGUGCGUGAUAUGCAUGCACUUGCUGAUCGGCUCAUACACCCAAUAGCCCAUUGUUCCCGGCUUGUAGCCGAGAAAAGUGCCAAGGCACGAUCUUUCUUCUAGCCUGGUCAUGUCGGGACCGACGAUUUUGAAGUGUGCGACAUUACCAAAGGUGCGGAAGUAACCCACCGCCAGCUUCUUCUUACGACAUGCCUCGUAUGGAGUGAGACCCUACAGGCUUCUCAUGGGUGACAUGUUCAAGAUGUGCACAACGGUGCGCACGGCCUCGCCCCAGAACGCGCACGACACGUCCAUGGCCUUCAUGAGGCUCCAGGCCAUCUCCACCACGGACAGGUUCCAUGAUUCGAUGACUUUGUAUUGUCGAGGGGAGUACAACAUUGUCGUGUUCCUGUUGAUCCCCAACUCCUCAUAGUAGGAGAGGUGAAUUCAAUUGAGGUGAACUCGCUGCCUCUGUUGGUGCGGAGUGCUCUGAUCUUGAUGCCUCUUUCCGCGCAUUGAUCUUCUUGAAAUACUGAGGUGUCGCCGUCGUUCUUCCAGUGGCGGGAGGAUGGGGGCCGCGAUAGCCUUGUCUGGCCUGCGACAUGUGCUCGCGAAGGAGCUGGUCCGCUUUCUCUCGCGCCGUGUGGAGGGCUGCCACGGCCAAUGCAAACCCAGGUCAUGGUGCCCUGGCGGCCUUUCCAUUGCCGGUAUUGGUGGAGGUUUCACCGAGAGGCCAUUGUUCACUAGUCUUGGCGAGCUCCCCGGAAAGGUCGUGAAGGCGCCGUGCUCCCGUCUUUGCGGUGGUGACGGGCCGGUGGAGAGCUCAGGUGGCCGGCAAGUCUGGGUCAUUUCCCACCCAAGCCAGCGCCUGGUCCAACUUUUUGGACGCGGAUCAACGAGCCAUGUUGUAUCGCUCCUCUUGCGUCGCCGUGUCCUUGCCGGACAAGAUGGCCCAUGAUGAAUUAGCUCCGCCGCCGCCACCUCCACUGAGGUAAUGGAGGAUGCACCCGCAUGCCUUGGCGAUCGCGGCAGCACUUCCUCCUUGAUGAACAGGUUGUGCGCUUGCGGCGGGCCGGCAACGCCAGCCCGUCGAUCCAGGCGCACCGGCUAUGCGGCGGUGGCGACACCGGCUCCUCCUUCACGUGGCGCCCAAUUUGGACGUCGUGGUUGUCUGCCGAUGGAUGAUAGGGUUGCGUGGUGGGAUGCCGACUCCUUCAUGUGGCAGAGAGGUGACGCGGUUCCGGCUUCACGCGGUGGUGGGCGGGGAGUGCGGCUCAUCCUUGACAGCAUGCGACGGCGAGGGCCACACCACACUACGCUCCCGAAGUGACCUUGACCCAUAAUUAUACGGAAUCAAUCGUAGUCCUUUCAAUAAGAAAUAAACUUCCUUAAAAACUAGCGAACUAUGUUCUCAAUCAUAAAAGCAAUUACAAUUCAUGAUAUUUCAAGAAAAGUCUAUGUGAGAACUUUUGAUUUGGCAGAUUUCACAUACUCAACCAUCAUAUAGUCUUCUAUAAUUGUAAACACUCAGAGCAUAUUUUAGAACAAAUGUUUCCAUCUGACACAAAGGAAGAUGGGGGUUUUAUGUUUCAUCUCCCAACUUAGUUAUCAGAAGGAUAAUGUCAACAAUAAUAACUUUUGAUCACCUAUAUUCAACUGGAUAUAUGUGCCUGAAUCUUUCCUUACCACAUAAUGCUUGCCAGUGUAGAUUAACUGAGGUUGGAAGGGAGAUAAAUAAUUUGAUUCUUGCAUAAAAAUAAAGACUGAGAAGUAAAAGAUAAGUCUUUCAUAGAGGGAACCAGAGGUUGCCAGGCGCUUUUAAUUUUUAGAUGUGCAAACUCUUAAUACAAAGAAACAUUACUUUAUAUUGCUCCUUGUGAUAGCAAUAUUUAUUAUGCAGUAUAUAGAUUCUAUUUCCUUUUCAUCACAAGUGCGUAGAAAGUUUAUUUUGUCAAGUAUAAAAGAUCAUACAUAUUUAGGAGCAAUUUUUGUUGCCUUUCGCUGUCUUGGAGCUGUAGAUGCGGGCGAAGAUGUAGAUCGGCGAACCCCGGCCACUCCAGCCGUCAUACUCGUUGUACGUGAAGAUGAUGCGGAACUGCGACCAGUGGCAGUACCCAUCGUGGGCGUGAUCGCCAUCGUAGACCAGAGGAGCGCCGUACCUCUGCCCGUGUUGGAAGCCAGGCCCAGGCGCCGGCGGUAUGAGGUUGUGCUGGCAGGUUAGGGGGUCCCACACAAUUAGCUCACCGUGUUGGUUGUUCUCCGCGCUGGCACAACAAGAUUAAUACUCCCUCCGUCCGGAAAUACUUGUCAUCAAAAUGAAUAAAUGGGGAUGUAUCUAGAUGUAUUUUAGUUCUAGAUACAUCUCUUUUUGUCCAUUUUGAUGACGAGUAUUUUCGGACGGAGGGAGUAGGAAUUAAAAACGGAAAAAAAGAAAGGGUAUACUUGACAUUCCUCAACAAAAUCUAUUCCAAAAUAAAAGGAGGAUGCAUUGGAAAAAAUGGCAAGAUAUAGCUAUUCCAAAAUGCAAAGGGGGAAUGGGUUUUAGAGAUUUUGGUCUCUUUAAUCAAGCCAUGCUGGCUAAGCAAGGAUGGAGACUAGUGACUAAUCCUGACUCGCUUUGUGCUAAGGUACUCAAGGGACGAUACUUUCACGACUCAGAUUUUAUGUCUGCAGCAAAUAAGAGGAACUCCUCACACACAUGGAAAGCCAUAUUACAUGGCAGAAAGGUGUUGAAACUGGGGCUAGUUAAACGCAUCGGAGACCAAUCAAGUAUAAAAAUUUGGGAGGAUCCAUGGAUUGUUUCUAAUCAUGGCUACCGACCUAUCCUUCGGCUAGCUACCAGGCUCUACUGCUACUAUGGUGGAAGAGCUCAUCGAUCAGGAGAAUGGCACCUGUAAUAUGGAAGUACUGGAGUCAAACUUCGUGGCGCCGGAUAUUCAGACAAUAUGUGCAAUGCCGAUCGGCAACUUGGGAGAUGAUGUAUGGGCUUGGGAGAAGGAGAAACAUGGCAAUUUCAUGGUUCGUUCGCCCUAUAAAACGCUAAGAAUUUGGGCGCGACAGUCAGACACUCCAUCUACGUCAGUAGCUGCUGGAAGUUCUUUCUGGAAAAAGUUGUGGAAAAUAGCUGUACCACAUAAAGUAAAGAAUUUCUGGUGGCGAGUCAUAAAGGAAUUUGUUCCCUGUAGGUUUGCUCUGUUGAAAAGGCACAUAAAGAAAUUGCCUUUUUGUGAAUUGUGUGGGAAGGAGGAGACUAUCAUCCAUGCUCUAUUUCAGUGUACGUGGGCAAGGCUUUUCUGGAAAGAAAUGAAAGAGUUCGCGCACAUUAAAAUUCCAGACCUACACCCGCAAACUUGGGCAUCAGACUUGAUUGAAGGUAAGCUAGGCUCUGAUCAAUUCACAUGUAAUGUCCUUUGUGGUUGCUGGGCGGUUUGGUCGGAGAGAAAUGAUAGGCCCCAUGGGAAGAAGGAAAGAUCAGUGCAAGCUUCUGUUCGUUGGGCACUGGAUAAUAUGCUGUUGAUCUAACAACCAUAGGCAAAGAAGUUAAACCUCCGGCAAAGUUGGAGACAUUUCAAUGGGUACCUCCAGAUAGGGGAAUCCUUAAGAUCAAUGUUGAUGCCGCGUUCUUUGAUUAUACCGGUGGAGGUAGCACAGGUCUAGUGAUCAGAGACGUGAAUGGCAUGCUUAUAAGAGCUCAGGCUCAAUGGUAUCGUUUUGCAUCCAGUGCUCAAAUGAUGGAAUUAUUGGCGAUCCGGGAUGGAUUUCAAAUAGCAAAAGAUCUGGGUCACACCAUGAUCUGUAUAGAGAGUGAUGCUAAGGAGAUGGUGAAAAUGUGCAACUCUGCUUUUUCAGAGAGGUCGGCCUUUGCUGCCGUUUGCCAUGAGAUCAAAGAGCUAAUGGAAGGUUUUCUUAAAUGUGAGCUUACUUUUGUACAUAGGGAAGCCAAUGAAGCGGCUCACCGAUGCGCAAAACAGGCCACAGAGGAGAGAAGGAGAUGUCUAUGGAUUAAUUAUAUGCCUACUUUCCUAGCUGAUUGUAUUCAGUUUGAUGUAAUUCCCCUUUUUGAGUAAUAUAAGCUCUUGAUUCGCAAAAAAAAAAACUAGCUCUGGAGCUAACCUUUGAGCCAAACAUGUUUUCACUGCUCUAGUGCUUAGAGGUGGAGUGGAGUUUAGAAACGUGUCAUUAGUAAAGAACGAUAUUAAUAGAAAGUAAAAAAGAAAGGGUAAAAUUGACACUUCCUAACAAAAUCAAGAUCUGGAGCUAGCCUUUGAGCCAAACAUGUCUUCACUGCUGUAGAACUUAGAGGUGGAGUGGAGCUUUCCCAAACACACCUUACCGAAAAAGGCUUUCGCCCCGCUUUAUAUAUAAAGCAUCAAACCACAAGCAUCCAGUACAACCACACGCCACGCCACCGCAACACACGCACACACCCAAGACAGGAUACAUAGGCGCUGAGCGCAGCAACACCAUUUCUAGCACUAUCGCCUCGAAGAAUGAAGCUACAUAUGACGAACCAUGCGCUUCAAGGCGGCGCCUUCAGGAAGGAUAUGACGUCGGAGCGCCGCCACCGCCCGAUCCAAGGAUCAGAGUUUCCCCCGGAGCCGCAUGACGGGCAAUGAAAGCCGCGACGACGCCUUCAAGAAGGGAACGAUCUUCGCCGCCGCCGGUCCGUCCGAAGAUAGAGCAGGUUUUCACCUCGGCCAACAAUCACCGCCACCGAACGCCACACCCCGGCAACCACGCCGCCCACACGACCAUGGUGACCGGGCAGCACCAAGGCACGGGCUUUGUCCAAGAGCACCGCGCAACCACCACCACCAGGGCCGCCGCCCCAGCAUCCAAGACCUCGACACCACCUCACCCGUGACCCGUCGCACCCCAACGAAAGAGACGAGCGGAAAGGUCCCACCUUUCGCGGCCCUGGGCGACCCCCAGCGUCGAGACCCAAUAGGUCGGCCAGAACUGGCAUCCACCGACCCAUCCUGCUGCCCUAAGCGCAAGCUGAGCUCGGUCCUGCAGCAACAAGAGGGGGACGAGGUCAGUCCUGCUGCAUUGUGCACGAGACGAGCUCGGUCCUGCUGCAUCGUGCGCGAGACGAGCUCUAUCCUGUGGCAUCGGGCGCGAGACGAGCGGUGGACCGCACCUGGGAGGGGACCAGCUCUUUGAUGGGAGUAGCUCCCGGGCGACGAGGAGAUGGGGUGAAGGUCGAGACGGCCCGAACGCAGACAAACCGACGCCGGAGAAGCCGGCCGUUGCCGCGGACAGAACCAUCAAGCCACCGUGGAGCCGCCACGACAUCGGUAGGCCACUGAGAUCUACCGAUGCCGCCACCCACGGCCGGAACAGCAGCCACGCCCGGCCGCUGCCCAUCCGCGUCGCCCGGCGAGCUCCAAGUGCCGGAGCCGCCGGGCACGCACCACCGGAGCCACGUGCCUUGCCGCCCCCUCACGGAGACCACCGCCACCACCACCCGCGUCGAUCGCACGGGCGCCACCGCAGCCACCACCAGUUCUGCAGCCCCCACGCCCGUACAGCCACGCCCCGCCACGAGCGCACCAGCCGGCACGCCGCACCAUGCUGGAGGCCGGCCCAGCCUAGCUGGACACCGUCCCCAGCCCGCGCCGCCGCGGCCCGCGGCCCUUGCGCCGGGAUCUGACGAGGAAGCCCCGAAGAAGCCAGCACCUUGCCCUCCCCACGCACAAGCCCGCGCCACCAGAACCACGCAGCCGCCGCCACUCCGCCGCACGGCCGCGCCACCGGCGCGCCGCCCGGGUUGCCGCCGCGCCAUCCCGCACGAACGACGCGCUCCUCACCGUGGCCCUGCGUCCCGCGCCACCGGAUGCCAAGGAAGAAGGAAAGAAGGUCCCACCGCCGCCGCCGCCGCCAGCCGGGCUUCGCCCGGCGGCGCCCUCCGGCGGCGGCAGGGGGGGAAGGGUUGGGGGAGGGCCGCUGGCCGGCGGUGGCUAGGGUUCGCCCUGCCGCCCGCGAGAGCGGCACGGGCGAGCGAACGGGUGAUCCCUGCUAGUCAUGUUUGGCACUAUGUUCUUUCUUGUCUAAUAUUCCAAAUACACCUUAAGAAGGAUGUUCCAAUUUAUCGUCAGUUUUUUUCUUUUCUUUUGCUGAAUCCAGUUGCUCGUGAAUCAAAUAGGAUUGAGCACGGAUAUGGUGACAUGGCAAACACGGAUAAACUAUUCUAUCCCCAAAGUCAAACGACGAGUCUCCAGCCAGGACAAUGCUGGCAUAUAUAUCCACAUCCGUGCAUCGACGUUUUCCUUUUCAUUUGCAGAUAAGCAAAUAGUGGUCAGAAAUUUAUGUGUCCUUAAUUUCCUUUGCAAUUGCAGGGGUUACAACCUACGAAGACAGUAUCUACAAAACUGAAAGUACCAUGGUCAUCUCUAGAGGAUCAGUACAAGCAUGGAUCUAGCACUUGGUAUGAUGACCAGAUUUCCGGGCUUAAACGUACAAGUGGCCGGCAAGAUGCUUGGUUUUACUAACCCGAAUAUGUUAAUUACUGCUAAUAAGGUUCUCCCUGUCGGAACCCAGUGGCAUCAUGCAUGCACAUGCUAAUUCGCUGCUCCCCGUACAUAAAAUAACAUCAUUGAGCCAUGGUUCGGUGUGCUAACCAAAGCUUGCAACUAGCUACGAGCACCCAGUUACCCACCAACAGCUAGCUAGAUGUCCUCUUCCUGCCUGUGCUUGUUUGGAGCGUAACAAGCACACACACGGAGAUUAUCUUGAGUAGUUUUAGUGAUGCUAAUUAAAGUGACCGUUGAAGGCGCAUUGUUGAAGGAAUCCUUUCCUGCUUUGGUUUUGUUAACGUGUAUUCAUCUGACACGAGCUGUUCUUUACUCGCUCGCACCAAGAACUAGCUCGCCUUUUUCUAUGCAGAUGCACAUGCUAGCGCGUGGCCAUUCAUGUGCCUGCCUUUGUUAGGUGAGCCAAAGAAAUCCUGCUUUGUCCUCUUCUUUGUAGCCAGCUAGCUAGCUUCACUCGCCUGAGUUCUUCUCUUCGCUCCAAACACACAAGCACCCAAGAGAGAUACAAUGCAGUGACAGGGAAUAGCUACCGGCCGGCAAUCAAUGACGCCUGUGGUCAGCGCUGCACUCGGCGCCUUGGGUCCCCUGCUGGUGAAGCUCAGUGGUCUGCUCGCCGGCGAGUAUGGCCGCCUCAAAGGGGUCCGCCGUGAGAUUCGCUCCCUUGAAUCUGAGCUCACCACCAUGCAUGCUGCCCUCGAAGAGUACACUAAGCUGGAAGAUCCAAGUGGGCAAGUGAAGGCAUGGAUAUCUCUGGUGCGGGAGCUGGCAUAUGACACCGAGGACAUCUUCGACAAGUUCAUCCAUCACCUUGGUAAGCGUGGUCAUCGUGGUGGUUUCAAGGAGUUCUUGCGCAAGAUAACUCUCCCUCUGAAGACGCUUGGAGCUCGGUGUGAAAUUGCCGACCAAAUCGAUGACCUGAAGGAUCGCAUCAAGCAAGUGAAAGAUCUCAAGGACAGUUACAAGUUGAAUGAUGUUCCUUCUAGCACCACUGGCCAUCUGGCCCUGGAUCCCCGGCUGCAUGCUGUCUUUGCUGAGGAGGCACACCUUGUGGGCGUGGAUGGUCCAAGGGAUGAUCUUGCCAAGUGGAUGGUGGAAGAAGGAAGCAACUCAUCCAAACCUCGCAAGGUGUUGUCUAUUGUUGGUUUUGGUGGAUUGGGAAAAACAACACUGGCAAAUGAGAUCUAUCGCAAGAUUCAAGGGCAAUUUGAUUGUAAGGCUUUCGUAUCGGUCUCGCAAAAACCAGAUAUAAAGAAAAUUAUGAAGGAUGUGAUCUCUCAAGUGUCAUGCCAAGGUGGAUCCACAAAUGAUACUAGUGAUUGGGAUGAAAUUAAGUCCAUUUCAAAGCUAAGAGAACUACUGCAAAAUAAAAGGUAACGUCGAUCUUUGUUAAUUCUCUUAAUAGACGUUUCAUGCAUAGUGCCUGCUGUUUGAGCCACUUAUUAUUGACUAUACUAUUAUUAAUUCCACACAAAGAAAACAACUCAAUUGAGGUCGGCUUGAACAAUCCUUACAAUCAAUGCUAGGAAAGUAUUGUGUACCCAGCUAUAAGAUGCUUACAACAUGAAAUAUUUGUCAUCAUCAAUAUAUUUGUUCCUAAAUCCUUCAUUAACUCGAUUGUUUUGCAGUUAAUAAAGUAGUCAAACUUCUAAAAAAAAUUAUCUCCCACAUUUGACGAACAAACUACUAAAGUAUGAGUUUAUUUUAUAUAUAUCUUCUUAUCAUCUUCGUUUGACAUAGUAGAUUCAAGCAUUCUAAUAGUUUUUCAAUUCCAUAAAGCAAAAAAAUGUAAAAUAUUUUAUGGUUGCUUGUGAUCCAGUAACAAGUGAGUGAUAGUCCUUGUUAUUUUUUUAAAUGAAGCUAGCUUGCAACUGUAUAGGGAAACAUAGGCAAUGAACAUCGUAGAUCUAUAAACUACACCAAUUAUGUACUAUGCGUCUGUGAUGCAGAGAUCGGGCAUAAUAAAUAUUUCAUUUUCUUAAAAACAUGAAGUGAUAUUGGAGUUUCAUGGCACGUUUGAGUGUUAAAGCAUAAUUUCUUAUCAUAAUCGGUUGACACGAUUUGCUAAUUUAUAGGUAUCUCAUCAUCAUUGAUGAUAUAUGGUCUGCACAAGCAUGGAAAACUAUCAAGUGUGCUUUCCCAGAGAACAGUUGCUCUAGCAGAAUUAUAGUUACUACACGCAUCAUUGAUGUAGCCAAGUCAUGUUGUUUGGGAGGUGAUGACCAGAUGUAUGAACUAAAAUCCCUAAGUGAUCUCCACUCUAGAAUAUUGUUUUUCACAAGAAUAUUUGGGUCCGGGAAAAAUUGCCCUGACAUGUUGGAAGAAGUUUCAAAUAAUAUUCUAAAGAAAUGUGGAGGCCUACCAUUGGCAAUUAUAAGUAUAGCUGGUUUACUAGCAAACCGACCAGCUAUCAAGGAAGAGUGGGAGAAGGUUAAGAGGUCAAUUGGUUCUGCACUGGAGAAAACUAAGAGUCUAGAGGGCAUGAGCAGCAUACUAUCUCUGAGUUAUAAUGAUCUUGCACCUAAUCUCAAGACGUGCUUGUUGUAUCUAAGUUUAUUUCCCGAGGACCAUGUGAUUGAGAGAACAAGGCUAGUGAGGCUAUGGAUAGCAGAAGGGUUCAUCUCUGAAGAGCGUGGACAGAGCAAGCAAGAGGCUGCUGAGAAUUACUUUUAUGAGCUUAUCAACAAAAGUAUGGUCCAACCAGUGGACAUUGGCUUUGAUGGUAAGGUUCGAGCAUGUCGAGUCCAUGACAUGAUGCUUGAACUUAUUAUUUCAAAAUCAGUUGAAGGUAAUUUUACCACUGUGGUAGGUGGAGGUCAAAAUUUGGAAAAUCAGCAAGGUUAUAUUCGGCGGCUAUCGAUCCAGUACAUUGACAAGGAACUUGCAUCUGCACUGGUAAAUGUGGAUAUAAGCCAUGUUCGAACAUUGAUAGUAAUGCCAUCAUGUUGCAUCAAACAUUUGCCCGCUCUUGAUCAGUUUGAAGCUUUACGUGUUCUGGAUUUUGAAGGUUGUAAGGAUUUAAAGGACUCUGAUAUGAACGGUAUGGACAAAUUAUUCCAACUGAAGUACCUCAACUUUAGAGGCACAGAUAUAUCAAAGCUACCAUCAGGGAUAGUGAUGCUAGGUAAUCUAGAGACCCUAGUUUCUGGGUAUACAGGUGUGCAUGAGUUGCCUGCUGGAUUUGGCCGGCUAACUAAACUUCAACACCUAGAAGGACGGGGAUGGAUACUACCAGAUGGGAUUGGGGAUAUGAAGAACUUACAGUUGAUGUCAGGCUUCGUUAUUGCCUCCAGUAAAACGGAUGUGUUGGAGGAUCUCGGGAACCUAACAAGUUUGAAGGAGCUCAAGGUUGAUCUCAGGCCUGCGAACAGAAUAUUCGAUAAAGUAUCUUGCGAGGACAAGAGAUGUGAAGAGGCGUUCCUCUCCUCACUGUGCAAGCUUGGCACCUGCAAACUCCGAUCUUUGGAUAUAUCACUGAGCUGUGCUUCCCUCGACUUCUUAGAUUCUUGGUCCCCUCUGCCAUCUUCUCUUCAAAGGUUUUCCACGGAUUACAAGUAUUCGUUCACCAAGUUUCCAAAGUGGAUUACACCAGCACUCACUAACCUUGCCGACCUGUGCAUCUGCCUAACUGAAAUGACAGAAGAUGAUUUGGUUACUCUUGGGCAGGUCCCAUCCUUACUUCGCCUGUUCCUAUGGCCAUCAAAUAAGUUGGUUGCCACAGUACAACGCAAUUCUUUCCUGAAUCUGAAGGUUUUGGACUUCGGAUUUAAAACUGAACGAGCAUAUGUUACGUUUGUGAAAGGGUCUGCGCCCAAGCUUGAGGAACUUACCAUCACAUUCAGUGUGUCGGCAGCGAAAGCUAAUGGCUUCUAUUCAGGCAUUGAGCAUCUCUCAUCUCUCAAAGAAGCUAAGAUAUAUCUUGAUGAUGAAGAUGCGACACCUUCAGAAUGCAAGGCUGCAGCUGCUGAGAUCAGGAAGGAAGCGGGUGCCAAUCCCAACCAUCUUGCACUUACUUUUGAGGGGGAAUCAGAUUCAGAAGGAGAGGACAAUGAAGAGACCAGUGGUAGUGAUGAGGAGGGAGGCAGUGACACUGAUGAGGACAAUGAAGAGACCAGUGGUAGUGACGAGAAGAGCAAGGGAGAAGGUGACACUGAUGAGUCCUAAAAUGGGAUGAUCGUCAUCACCAACUGCAAGAGGUACAUUUUUUAUUUGAUUUUCUCUUGUAAGAACGUAGUCAGAUUUUAAUUUUCCCCACCCAAAUAUAUCUGUGUCCGAGCCGCUUCUGGUUUUCUCAGACUCACAUGUUUUACUGUUUCCCUUUUACCAAUCCAGGUAUGCUGCGCGGCUGGAGCAUGGAAUUUCGUACCGAAGGAGGCAUGAAGCUAAUUAAUAUUCUUUGCACCUUGCGGUGCACUUGUCGUGGAGUCUCAACUGAAGAUGAAAGAGAGACACCUCCUGGAAAAAGUGGUCUCGAGUCUCUCUCAACUGAAGUUGCUACUUUUCUACACACAGUGUUUGAUUGCCACUGUCCCUUACUUUGAUGAUUCAGAUUUAAGCUCUGUUACUCAGAAUAGUUAUGGUUCUUUAUUCGCCCAUACUCUGUCCCGAGAAGCUUUUAUGCAUUUGAUAGGACCUAAGCUCUAUUUGCAUUCAGGAAUAUUUCUUCGGAAUACUUGAUUAAUUUAUGUACGUUUCAUAAAAUUAUGAAAAAGUGGGGUUGGGUUUCCCUUUUUCCGGAAAUUCAAAUUUUGUUGAAUUACUGUACAGUGAUCAGAUCGACUCAGAUCGUGCAUGGCAUGUGUGUUAUUCAUCUUCAUCAGUUCUGUUCUGAAACGGAGGGGACUAAAGCACGCUGUCACAUACCCUUCAUGUUUUUUAGGUGAAAUUUCGUGGAACGAAUAUUGUUGUGCUAGCAUUUAUUCAGCAACAGUUGGUAGACGGGAUCUGUGUGCAUUCACGAACCAGAUAAUUUGUAACCUGUUUGUUUCCUUCGCAUUCACUGAUUAAAUGCUACUAAAUGAGUGAGUGCAUAAAUCGAUCAGUCAGUUGUGUAAGCUCUACUUGCAUUGGCGAUUAUUUCUGCUUUUAUGCAUUUGGUAGGACCUAUGCUCUAUUUGCAUUCAGGAAUAUUUCUGCUGAAUACUUGAUUUCUGCACGUUUCAUAAAAUUUGUGAAAAAAAUGGGGUUGGGUUUCCCUUGUUCCAGAAAUUUAAAGCUUUGUUGAAUUACUGUACAGUGAUCACAUCGGCUCGAUCGUGCAUGGCCUGUGUGUUACUCCCUACAUCUCAUAAUAUAAGACGUUAUUACAUCCAAUAUACUCACAUGUUCACUGAUAAAAUCCAACUAAAUGAGUGAGUGCAUAAAUCGAUCACUCAGUUGUCUAAGCUCUACUUGCAGUGCGGAUUAUUUCUGCUGAACUAAUGCACUUGCUGAUGGAAGGAAGUGUGAUGCUGAUCCUCGGUCGGGUUGCGUGGUUUGUGCCUAGGUGGCUGGAAAUUUCUGCCGAAGUAAUACCCUUAUCACUAUUAAAAUGGUUCUGCCUGUCGGAGUCUGAAUACCGAUGCUAUUGUUAAUUCGCUUGUACUCUGUCUGUAGUAGCUUUAUGAAUUCGGUGGAAUCUAAGCACCAUUUGCAUUGGGGAUUUUUUUUUGUGCUGAAUACUUGAUUUCUGUUUCUCUUGUUUCCAAUUUUUUUUGUUGGAUUACUGUGUCGUGAUGAUACCUACCAUGAAAGUCGAUCGUAUAUAUGUCAUGUGUGUUAUUAUUCGUCAGUUUUGUUCUGAAAUAGUUAGGAACAAAAGCACGCCGUGAUACUCUUCGCACUUUGAGGUGAAGUGUCAUGGAACAAAUUUUAAUGUGCCAUGAUACUCUUCGCACUUUGAGGUGAAGUGUCAUGGAACGAAUUUCGCCGUGUGUUCCAGGUUUAAGGACUCUUUCUCCAUGUGUAUGUACGCACUUGUGUUGGAUUGUUACCAUGCAUAUAUUUUGUCUCAGAAGCUAUGGGUCAGCACUUGAAGGGUAGAAGAUGGAAAACGGAAGCUGAAACAGGGGAGAUUGCAUUGCUAAUUGCAUUGCGUUUGAUUGUCUCUGUUUCUGACGUUUGGAGAUCAAGGCUCAAGAAUUGUUUUUGUUGGGACACAAUUGACUGUGUUUUCUAUGAAAAACUUGCAUGCUGCUUAGUUGGGGCGCACCUCCCAUAACAGCGCAUACAUGCGGUUUGGAUUACAAUCUUGGAGAUCAAGAAAGGAGAUAGAAAUAAGAGGUUACAUGAGAUAAACAUAAGAAUCUAACAACCUAACUAUCUCAACUAUCUCCUAUGAGAUGCGCCAGUCACAUAACGUGACAUGUUGCAUGUUUAACACUGUACUCUGACCAAAUUCAGUGACCGUGAUUUAGACGCUACACUUGAUAGUUGGUUGUGGAGUUGGCUAUUUACAACCCAUGUAGUCGCUAGUAAGCAGUUAAUAAAAAAAAGGCACAUACGCAGUUUUACUACUCCUCUGCUUUACUACUCUGUUUAUUCUCCUCUGCGGCUCUGCUUUACUACUCUGUUUCCUCUGCUCGGCCAGUGAGCCCAACCCUCGCAGCAACCGUCUGUCUGUCAAGGAAAAGAGCAAGGAGGAGGGGAAUUAAAAUGCUCCUCAACUGAAAGAGGUACUAGGAGCAUCCCCAUUAUUUUCUCCUUCUAACUAACUACAUCUCUUUUCAGUUCAAAAAUAAAUAAAUACAUCCCUUUUGUCAGUAUAUCUACUAAAUGCUUCUCCAAGUCACAUGCUCUAUCAGUUUUACCGAUCCAGGAUGAUGUGUGCCUGGCUAUCUACCUUGCCUCGAACUUACUGUCAUACUGAAAAAGAUCUGGUGCUACCAUCUCUUGUGCAUUUUUGUUUAGCUAUCAUUUUUGCAUUGGGGGCACAAUGGAUCAUAUUCCGUUGAAAAACUUGCAUUUUGUUUUGUUUAUUCCCUCUUGUAAUCUCUAUUUGAAUUCUGAAUCAUUUCUGCUGAAUACUUCCUGAUGAUGGAAAUGUAAUGUUGCUUGCUUGCUUGGUACCUUUGUGUCUGAGCAAGUUGAAUGGCUGUCGUUUAUUCUGGUUUAUAUGCAUGUAAAAUGAUGAUGGGAAUUGAUCAGGUUUACAUGUCCUGAAAGCAUGAUUGCUGCUGCAUCAUACUGUACAUGAAACUAAAUAUGAAUUACAAUUUGGUUGUGCUGCCGGAUGACCUCACCGGCAGUGGUACUGCAUCUGCACGGCGGCACCUCCCACUGAUCCGCGCUUCUUCUCCUGUUAGCACUCUAAACUGUCUAAAUACGUGAACAAGACACAGGUAGCGUUGGUUGUGUUAUCCAGCACAGGCCUGGGUUCUCUGGAGUCUCCUUCACCGCAUCUCCAUGGCCGGUAGGCCCAGCGGGCGCCAGGUACCUUCGGCCAGGCCGAGGGUCGACAGAGGUACGCGGGCGUACGAACCUGCUUGCUGGAAGAAGGCGGGCAUCAGCUUGGUGCGAGCUCCAUAUUCGGACUUGAGACUCUGCCCCAUAUUCGGAGCUCCUAUUCCACGCUGAACGCUAGGAAUCACUACGGGGCGGGAACCACCGUGUUUUUUUCUCUGUUUCAUAUAUCCUUUUCCUUUCUAAAAAUAAUUCCGGAUUUUUAAAAAGAGUUGCAAAGUGUCAAAUCUUCGGGAAUACAAAAAUUGUUCAUGAUUUGAAGAAAAAUGUUCGGGAAAUGAUAAACACUAACGGAUUCAAAAGAUGUUCACCAGAUUCAAAAAGCAGUUCUUUAAUCCAAAAAAAAAAGGUCAAGAUUUCAAAAGAACGAACAUUUUUGAAUUUUAACGAACCUUUUUUUUAUUUUGCUGAAAAAUAUUUUAUGAGGAUUUCUAAUAAUGAAAACAGUGUUUUGUAUUUGAUUAACAAAAUUUCAAUUCUAUGCACAUUUUUUAAACUUAAUGAACAAAAAUUGUAUUCAAGUAUGUUUUUUAAAUGCAUGAACAAAAUUUGAAUUUGAUGAAUAGUUUCUGAAAAUAUAUGAACAAUAUUUGGAAUUUCGUGAACAAAAUUUGAAUUUUAUUGUACAUUUUUUAAAUCUCAUGAAUAAAAGUUGAAUUUGAUGAACUUUUUUUGUAUUGUUGAAUAUUUUUCCAUUGAUGAACAUUUUUGAAUUCGGCAAAAAAUAAUGUUUGUGGAUUUCAAAAAAGCAAAAAGUAAAAAGGUACGUAAUUCAAAAAAAUCAUUAUUUCAAAAAAUUGUUCACGAUUUCAAAAAUGUUCAUGUACAUUUUUAAAAAUACGUCUAGAAAUUUAAAACGAAAAAAUAAAAAAAUGCGAAUUUUAAAGAGUUCGCAAAAUUGAAAAAUAAGAAAAAAAAAAGAGAAAAGAAAAACAGAACAAGAAAAGAAAAAACGAAAAGGAAAAUAGAAAAAGCUAGGCCUAUGCUUUAAGAAUUGUGUUAUGCAGGCCUAACAGUGUUUGUAUGUAACUUAACAGCCCGACAUCGAAAAAAGUUGCGUACAACGGGCCUAGUUGGGUUGUAUGCAGACCACUAAACACAGCCUACAUGUUGCAAGAUUUCUCUAUCUUAUUGCGUCAUAUAUACAGUGUGAAAACUUAAUUCAGCCCGGAUAUAUAGAGCUAGCUACACCUAAUUCCCUACUUCCGCCGCCUCCACUAAAAGGUUAGGCUUCCUUUGCCUUUCGUCGGCGUUGUCGUUGGUCCUCCUCAUUUCCAAUGGCCUUAGGGAUAUGGGAGCAGAGUGGAAUCUUGCCCUUGUUGAUGGGAGGUCUUCGUUUUUGGAACUUUUUUCGAGAUUUGUUAUGGUUUGUGUCCUGCUCGGGAAGACGAGAGAGCGACAGCUCCCUGAAGAUGAAAUAAGGUUUUCCCUGCCUAGGCCCUAUUCUCGUGGUACUUCUAGUGUCGUCGAUGGAUGUGUGGAGGCGUGUCUCUGGCAGAUAUGUCUUUAGUGGAUUUGCUCGGAUCUGGUCGUAAUUUGUCUACGUACGUGUGUCUUCAUGUUGGAUGCUUACGAUCUACGUCACUCUUCAUAGCCAGCGUUUGCUGUUCUACUGCGCUGUCUUUUGAGGCCUUAGCACGACAACUUUUCAACGUUUGUUACGACAGGUUUUGCCCGGCUCCAGCGAGUGAGGGGCGAUGACAGCAGCGCAUCUUCAGCUCGCUUCUGUGCUUGUAGUCGUCGCUAGGUGAUCUACAGAUUGAGAUGUAAUUUUUGUUAUUUAUGGUGUACGUUGUAUUGUUAUGAUUAAAGAUGAAUAAAUUAGAAGUUUAAAAACCAGCAAUAAUCAUCAAAUUAUUGGUGAAGUACUCUAUAUGUAGGUGAAUUAAUACUUGUUUUAGGGGGAAAUAAUAAAUAUAUUCCUAAAGGCGAGUCACAUUUUUUAUUCCCCGCAAAAGAAAAGGGGAAAAAACGGGUGGCGGACAGGGACAGACUUGCGGCGGCCUCAGAUCUGGUCGACUCGGUGCUAGGAGACGAACCGGCCGCGGCAGCGGAGAUGGGCUAAGCAGAGAGGUGGGCGACAGCUGAGGCUGGCGGUGAACUGGGCGGCCUCUGGACUGGGUUGUCGACUCGGGGCGGCAGCGGAAUGGGUGCAGAUGCGGAAGGAGGUUGCUUAGGUGCCCCGGCCGACGCGAGCCCUCAGCUUUCACUCUGUUAAAUCUUCCGUAACUCUUGCCUCUCCUGUUUCUUUCAGUUGGAGUUGCAUUGCAGGCUACAAAAUUCAUCACCUGCAGCAGGAGAUUAUUAAUUGGUUCCUUUUUAAAUGAUCUGUUCAGUCAGCCUUUAAGCAGUGAUGUCCUUCGGUGUUUAUCUUGGUUAUUAGUACAAAGAUUGGUUUGCUUUUUAAUUAUUACAGUUUCAGUCUUUCAGCUCAGGAGGGAAGAGAUAGAACUAUUGGUCAUCACAUUCUGCUGCCGGUAUUUGCAGACAGCUUUCUAAAAUUUCAACAGCCUGCUUCAUGUUGUGCGUCGAAAAUGAUGCCCUAGUCCAUGAUGUUAUGCUUUUGAAAAGUGAGGCUGGUGAGUCUUCAACUUUGGUUCCAUUAUAUUGGCUUUUCUCCAUGGGGGCAAACUUGAAAGAUAGUCAGGAACACGCCACCUCCUUUCCAAAAUGGACCAGGCCAAGCAAAGCAAAAUAAGGACAACGAUGUGGGCAGGAAGAAGCUGCCACGAAGCUUCCUUCCCUCUUCAACCUCUAUAUAUGUGUCUUGGUCAGCACUCUUGCAAUUUACAAACACGGCAAUAUUGCCCUCAGAGAGAGAGAGAGCAAUAGCUUCGCUGGGGAGCAGCCAUGAGCGGUCUGGGGGGUGUGAUUGCUGGUGCCGUGGGGAAACAAAUCGUCAGCAAGCUUGGUGAAUAUGCUGCGUCGGAGAUCACUCUGCAGUGGAGGUACAGGGAGGACGCGUUAGACUUGCAGGAGAAGAUGAAAGAUCUCGAGGCCUUGUUGCUUGAUGCCGACGACAAGUCGCGUCAAGUAGGAGAAGGUGCAAGAGUAUUUCAGCGGUGGCUUACAAAAUUUAAGCGCGUCGCCUAUGACGUCGAGGAUGUGCUUGAUGAGUUGGAUGCUAACGAGCUCAUCAAGAAGAGCCAAUCCAAGGUAUUCAUUCAGAUAUUGAUUCUUCUUUAUCUAAUCUAAAAAUAUAUUGAUUCUUUGAUUAUCCUGUUUGGAGAAAAUGUCUUUGUGUGUCUGAUUAUGCAAUAGCCCAUCUUUAUCCUUUCUUUUGUAAUUAAUGUGCAGCCUUCCUCUCCAUCUGUGCGGUGGAUGAGACAUGAGAGUCUAUAACUAAUCUGAUAAAUGAUAUGCUUGGAGACUGAAGUUGACUCCAAUUUUUAUUUUUGCAGUUCAACUUAUGGUUUUCCAGAAACAAUCAACUCCUGCAGCGAAUAAUCAUGCCCCACAAGAUGAAGAACGUGAUGAAGAAAAUAGACGAAAUUGAAAAGGAGGGGAGAACGAAGCUCAACCUUGUGCGUCAAGAAGCCCGGGGAGAAGAGAGCAGAAACAAUGAAACUUUUGUAGCCAACUAUGGUGAUGGCACGAAAACUGGAAUGGUGGGGAGGGAUAUCGAGAAGGAGAAGAUAAUCAGCCUGCUACUGACAAGUGAAGCUAACCAGGAUAUCUCCAUCAUUCCAGUUGUUGGCCUUGGUGGCAUAGGUAAGACAACAUUGGUUGAAUCAGUUUUUGCAGACAAGAGGGUCAGUAUCUUUGACGUCUCAAUCUGGUUUAAUGUGUCCAAGCAGUUUGAUUUGAACAAAAUUGGGAGUGCAAUCCUGAAAAGAAUAAUGAAUAACACUGUCAACCUUGACAACUGCGAUUUGCAGUUUUAUCUGAAAAAAGAACUUGCUACUAGAAGAUACUUUAUUGUUCUGGAUGAUCUCUGGGAGGAAGAUGGAAAUAAACUUGAAAAGUUGAAGCAGAUGUUACAGCAUGGCUGCAAGGGUAGCCGUAUUAUAGUAACUACCCGAAACCUACGAGUAGUGCAACAAUUGCGCACUGGUUUCCUUGCAAAUGAGAGCAAAAUUGUCCCAGUUCACGAGUCUGACAUAAUAAAUUUGGGUGUUUUAGAACCUGGCGACUGUUGGGAAUUAAUGAAGCAAAGGGCAUUUGGGCCUGAUGAUCACCACAGUGUCUUGGAAGAAAUUGGAAAGCAGAUUGCGGGGAAGUGUGGGGGCUUACCUCUCGUGGCGAAUGCUCUUGGGCAUGUAAUGUCAGAGCAAAGGACCGUGGGGGCAUGGGAAGAUAUAAGAGACACCAAGGUCGAUCUGGGUUUGAAAGAAGUACAUCAGAAAGAAACAUUAGAGAGGCUAUUGCUGAGCUAUACCUACAUGAAACUAGAAUUCAAAAUGUGUUUCACGUACUUGGCAGCCUUCCCCAAGGGCUUUGUCAUGGAAAUCAAUCGCUUAAUCCAGCAAUGGAAUGCUCUUGGAUACAUUAAUUCAAGGCACGAUGGUCACAGGUGCAUCAAUUACCUUCUGGGGAUGUCCUUUCUUCAGACUCCGGUGUCUGCUUUGGUUAGUACCUGUAGACACUAUUUCUCUUCCUCUUGUAUGGCUGGUUUAGUUUUACUAUUCUGUUUUUUUUACUUUACAGCUAAGGACACACAAUUAUGGAUUCUACUCUAUUAUACAUUAAUUCAUGGAUUCUACUCUAUUAUGGUUCUAGAUUAGGCCCUACAAUUUCAUUUUUAAUUUAUAUUAAUGAUUUAAUAUAUCUAUUUCUGAAUUUAAAUUUAUUGUGUUCAGUUUUGUACUCUAUUGGGUCUGUUGUUUUGACUAUGUUGGGUUUAUAUAUUCUUUUGGUUUGAGAUUCUUUCUUGUCAUUCCAUUCCUAGUUCCAUUGUCUAGAUUAUGUGGCACAAAGUUAAAUUCUAAAUUUUAAUAAAUUUAUUCAUCAUCUAUGACUCAAUCCAUGGCAUAAAGACAAUUUGUAAAAUCCAUGUUUUAUAGUGAAAAAAUCAUGUGUAGAAAAUUGAUCUGGAGGCUCCACAUAUUUUGGGGGAGAUGCAAUUUUACCAGAUCUUAGUUUCUUCUCUUAACUCCAUUUUAAUAUUUCCUAUAGUUGGUUAUUACAUUUCUCUUUGCAAUACUAUACUGAUAGUAGUUACCUUUGCAGGUUAAUCCAAGUCUGUUGCAUUUCAAUGCUCCCUCAGAACUCGUCAUGCAUGAUUUGGUGCAUGAUCUUGCAUCAAUAAUUGUUACUGAUGAAUUCAUUGAUCUAGAUGCUACCAAAAGCACCACUUGGAACAUUGCUCGUUACUGCCGACAUGCACAGUUAACCAACUUCAAGAAUGAUCUCGAGGUUCUGAAAUAUAUUCCACACAAGCUUAGAUCCCUCCACUUUAGGGAUUUGGGGGGACUGCAACUCCCGAAAAAGGCUUUUUCUCGGUCCAAGUACAUACGUGUCUUGGACCUAAGUGGACAUUCAGCUGAAGGUCAAUCUGCUCCAAGUAGCGUGUUGCUACCAUCUUCCAUUAAUCAAUUGAAGCUAAUUAGGUAUCUUGAUGCAACACGCUUGACAAUAACAUCACUUCCCAAGUAUUUUCAUGCACUUCAAAACAUGGAAACUCUUAUUCUGUCCAAUUCCAAGCUUGAAAUCUUGCCUGACCAUGUUUGUCGCCUCAGCAAACUUUGCUAUUUGGAUCUAUCUGGUAGUAGUAGCCUCAGUAAGCUACCUGCAUCACUAGGGGAGCUCUCUCAACUCUUUUUCCUCAAUCUAUCCGGGUGUUGUACACUCCAAGAGUUGCCUGAAUCAAUCUGUGAGCUUGCAUACUUACACCACCUAGACAUGUCACAUUGUUGUGCUCUUCAAAGGAUGCCUGACAAAUUUGGUAGCCUUCCUAAACUCUCAUUCUUAAACUUGUCAGGUUGCUCAAGGCUCACCAAACUACCUGACAAUGUAAGCUUUCCGUGUUUAGAGCAUCUGAACCUAUCAAGUUGCCAUGAGCUAGAAUACCUGCCAAUUGAUUUCAGCCACCUUCAGAAACUUGAGUUCAUGAACCUGUCUGGUUGCUACAAGAUUUCAAUGCUGCCAGGAUCAUUUUGCCAACUUAAUCAUUUGAAAUACCUAGAUCGUUCAGAUUGCCAUAACCUCGAACAACUCCCUGAAUGUUUUGGUCACCUCAUCGAGCUUGAAUAUUUGAACCUAACAAGCUGUCCUAAACUCCGACAAUUGCCAGAGUCACUAUGCAAGUUGUUUAAGCUGAGGUGUCUCUAUUUGUCAUAUUGUCUGAGGCUCAAGGAGCUCCCCUCCUCAUUUGGCGACCUAAAGCUUCAAAUACUUCACAUGAAUGGCCUUAUACUUAUGGAUGACUGCCCUUAUAGCAUUGGUGACAUGACUAGUCUCACCGAGUUUGUGAUUGAUUAUGCAACUUUUGAUUUUCUUGAAAAGAUUGAAGCCAUUCGAAAGCGUCUAAAUUUUGUGGGCACAGUAGGGCAUUAUGUACAUGAGAUAGAGAGUAGAGGAUGCAGCAGUAUAGUGGAUCUUGUUGGACUGACUUGUUCAGAGCUGAUACUUAAAGACCUUCAGAAUGUCAGGCAUCCAGAAGAUGCAGACAAAGUCAAACUGCGUGAUAAAUCAAAUAUUCGAGUCCUAAAACUUCACUUCAGAAAUGAAGGAGGUAAAUCUGUGCUGGACAGGCUCGUACCUCCUCGGACUCUUGAUAACUUUUGGCUAUGUGGGUAUAUGAGCAAGGAAUUCCCUAACUGGAUGCUUCACAUCUCGUCCUACAUCCCUUUUCUCAGUGAACUAACUCUGAAUGGUUUGGAAGCAUGUGAUUUUCUUCCUCCAUUAGGGGCACUACCAAAUUUAAGAAGGUUGUUUCUUCUGAACAUUCCCAACAUUAGAAAAAUUGGUAAGGAAUUCUAUGGAGAGAGCGGAUCUUGUAUGAAACUAAGAGUACUGCUAUUGGCGUCGAUGAAGAAUUUGGUGGAAUGGUGGACAACAGAGUCAUGUAAAGAAAACGAAGAGUUUUUAAUACCUAAUUUGCAUCAUUUGAAUGUAACAGACUGCCCAAAGUUGAAGUUCCUACCAUAUCCCCCAAGAAGUAUGAAGUGGUUUUUGAGCAACAGCGAGCCAGUUUUGCCAGAGCGAGGAUUUGGAAAGCUCUCAUCUUCCAUUCAUCCUUCUGAGAUGGCUCUAAAGAGUUGUAGUUACUCUCAAGACAAGUGGGAUGGACUUCAACACUUUCCUACCCUUGAGAUAUUUCAGGUAAAAUCUAUCAUUGGCUUGAAGACUUUGCCAGAGGUCAUACAAUGCUUCACCUCUCUCACUGAACUAAAUUUAGUAUCAUUGAAUGAGCUGGAGACACUCCCGGAAUGGUUGGGCCACCUCGGCUCUCUAGAAGAAAUUGGAAUCAGUGGUUGCCCCAACCUGACAUCUUUGCCAGAAAGCAUGAAGAACCUCACAGCUCUUAGAAAACUAAAGUUGAUAGGGUGCAAAGGCCUGAAGAUAUUACCAGGAUCGUUGGGACAGUUGACUUCUCUAGAAGAAAUUGAAAUCGGCGAUUGCCCCAACCUGUCAUCUUUGCCUGAAAGCCUGAAGAACCUCAACGCUCUUAGAAAAUUGACGUUGACAGAGUGCAAAGGCCUGGAAACAUUACCGGGAUCCUUGGGACAGAUGACUUCUCUAGAAGAAAUUUCAAUUGGAGACUGCCGCAACCUGACAUAUUUACCUGAAAGCAUGAAGAACCUCACCGCCCUUAAAAAACUGAGGUUGGAAAUGUGCAAAGGCAUGGGGACAUUACCAGGAUGGUUGGGACAAUUGACUUCUCUAGAAGAAAUUUUAAUCAGCAUUUGCCCCAACCUGACAUGUUUGCCUGAAAGCAUACGGAGUCUCUCUGCUUUGAAGCUACUCAGAAUUGUUGAAUGUCCAGGUCUGAUUGCGAGCUGCCAAGGGGAGGAUGCCGGCAAGAUUUGUCACAUCCCAACCGUCGAAUACAGCUGAUUUGUUGUACAAAACUGUUGGUCUCAUGCAGAGCUCAAGGUCAUCGUCGCCCAACGAAAUUUGCACAAAAUUUGGCAUAUGUGCUCCUGGUGGUUACAUGCAUGGUGCUCUACUCCGUACUACAUAAUUGUGUUGGAGGUUGUCCUGUUGGUCCCAGGAGCUGCAGAGGAGGUAAGCGGCCUGGAUGGAUUAUAACAUGCAUUUGCGCUUUUAUGUUGUAUUUAUAUACAGUUUUUCAAGGGCAGAAACAUAUAUAGUUAUUUUCUUGUAAGGUGCAUCCUUGGUUGUAGCUAACCAUGUCAACAUUUCGAAAUUGAACUUGCAUUGAAGAAUUAAUUAAAGGGGCUUGCCCUUCAUGGUUGGUUGUACAACAGACUUGGAAUGACUGAAUACAACUUCACAUUACUUCUCUUCUCUGUUUCAUCAACUUAUCUUGAAAGUGUUCCUUUGCUAACAAAAGAAAUCUCUUCGAGCGGGCAAUUUUUCAUUGUGCCAUAACAUCCAGCUGGCAUUCACAUGACUUGGUCAAUCAUACGUGCAGGCUUACAUCACUGUUCUCGACUUGCUGAAUUUUGCACAAGAUCAAUUUCACAAUAAAAUGAGGAAGAGAGCUCAAGGAGCAUAUUUGGAUGGUGGAAGAGCUCUAAAGUGCCGACACUCCACUCGGACAGGCCAAGUGAGGUAGUGUGCUCGUGCUCGUAACUACUCAGUACGCAGCACACAAUUCGAAUGCCAUUAAUUUGUGUGAACUUCGAAUUUCUGCCUAGUUUUGUAUUGACCUUCAACAAAAAUUCAAAUGCUUGUCAAAUUCAUACGUUGUACCAUUUUAGUUUUACCGACCCAGGAUGAUGUGUGGCUGGCUAGCUACAUUGCCAGUAUAUGAAACUGUGAAUUACCAUUUGGUUGGACGAAAGCUGCAGAUGGCGAGUAACUGGUGCUGCUGCUUUGGAACUCGUACUUCUGAACUGCGACGGCCAUCCCCAAACCACAACCAAUAAUCUUGGCAACUCCUCGUCAGCGCCGACGUGCUUUUUUUGUAUGGGCCGCGCCGACGUGCUGCUAUAGCGCACAGGGGGGCGCCGCCUGGCCACGGCCCAGCUGCUCGCCCUUCGCUGGUUCGUCACUCGCAGUUGGCUGUUGUUUUUCGUGCUCGCUUUUUUUUUCUUCUGCUACAGGUCCUUGUCUCAGGGAAAAGAAUAUGUUGGCUUUUUUGUUAAUUUUAAAACAUUCGGUGAAAUCAAAAAAUGUUCAUGACUCGAAAUAUGUUACUAUUGAAUACGGAAAUGUUCACGAAUUAAGAAAAUAUUCAUAAAUUUUAAUAAAUGUUCAUGAAUUAAGAAAUAUUCAAGAAUUAAGAAAAUGUUCAUUAAUUUUAAAAAGAUCACCAAUUUUUCAAAUGUUUGCCAAUUCGAACAAAUAUUCACAUAUAAAAAAGUGGACAAAUUUAAAAAUGCUUGUGAACUUGAAAAUUUUCAUUUUUCAAAAACAUCAUGAAUUUUGAAAAAUUAAAAUAAAGAAUAGUUAAAAUUAGAAUUUAGUAAAAGACAGCAGAAAAAUUAUGAAUCCUGGUUCGCUGGCUCGGUUCGUAACAGCUUGCUUAAAAAAGAGUUUUGGUUCGCUCGAUUUUUUUAUGUCCUGGUUCACUCAGUUUGGUUGGUUCCCAGUGAUCUGCCGCUAUUGACUGUUGACCACUGACUUUUCAUAUAAAUUUCAGAAGAAUAUAAAAAAAAUAAAAAAAGUCCAUGAAUUUGACAAACUGUUCGUGCAAUAAAAAAAUUUAAUGAAAAGUUCAUAGUAUUUAAAAAGGUUCACAAAUUCGAAAAAAGUUUAGAAAAUUUGAACAAGAGUUCGUAGAUUUGAAAAAGUUUGUUAAUUCAAAAGAAAGUUCAUGAAAACUCUGAAGUAUUUCAUUAAAUUUGAAAAUGUUCAUCAAUUUGAAGAAAAAUGAUCACUGAUUUUCCAAAAAUCAUGAAUUCACAAGAAAUUAUGGAUUAAAAAAAAUUAGGUAUUUGAUAAGAAAAUUAAUGAAUUUAAGGGAAAACGUUUCCCAAAAUUCUAAAAAAUGCCAAUUUUAGAAAAAGUUCAGGGACAAAGUUCACGAACUUGAGGGGAGUUUUCAAAACUGAAAGAAGUGCACAUAUUUUUAUAAAUAAAAAGGAAAGAAAAGAAAACGAAUGAAAAUCUUCCCGAAAACCAUAAAAACAGAGAUAAAAGGUGUCCGGAAGCUUCCCAAAACCUGCCUAAAUGGUCGGCCAGCCUAUUCUACACGAUUUGAAGGAGGUGCGCCUUUCGCGAACCAAUCAAUGCUCGGAUGGUUAGGUGAACAGUGGUAUCCCCAGCACACCAGGGUUCAAAUCCUGGUGCUCGCAUUUAUCCUGUAUUUAUUUCAGUAUUCCAGCGAUGUGCGUUCAAUGGGAGUAGACGUUUCCGUCGACUACGAGGCGCCUACGAAGACUUCGCAAAAUCUCAGAUCAUAUGUUGGCUCUGUCUCUCGGAGGUGCUCAUAGGAAUAGGGUGUACGUGUGUGCGUUCAUAAGAAUGAGUUUAUGCACGUAUAUAUAAACGCUUGUGUAUGUACUGAUGUUCAACCUUUCAAGAGAUAAGGCUGUGACAGCCCCUAGAGAUAUGCCAGCACACGUCUGUCUCGCCAUGGGAGUAGUCCGCUCGUUAUAUGUUCGUCAUGUUUCUUUCAUUUAUUUUUUUCCUAUUUUCCUUUCUAUUACAUUUGUUUGUAUUACGAAAAUAAAUGAAUAUACAUAUUUUAAAAUUACUUUAACUAAAUUUUUAAAAAGUGCAUAUUGCUUAAAAAUGAUUUAAGCAGUCAAAAAUUUAUGUUUGCGCAAUAUUUGUAAAAUGUUCAUAGCACUCAAAAGAAUAUUCAGGACACUUAAAAAAGUUCAUAUGUUUCAAAAAUAUGUUCGUGAUAUUAAAAAAAUGUUAAUACAAUGUAAACGGAAUGUUCACGCAAUAUAGAAAAAAAUGUUUCAUACAACUAAAAGAAUGUUCGUGACAUAUAAAAAAGAUAAUGUGCUUCAAGAAAUGUUUGUGAUAUUUAAAUAAAUUGUUUAUAUGAUGUAAUAAAUGUGUCAUGCCAUUAAGAAAAGUUUAAUCUUUGUUUGGUUUUAAAAAAAGUAUUCUAAAAGGCGUUCAAACAUGUAUUUGAAAAUUGUUUACACAAUUUAAAAAACUGUUCACAUAAUUUAGAAAAAAUGUUUCAUACCACACAAAAUAAUUAGUCUUGUAUAUUGAACAAUGUUUAACAUGUAUUUAAAAACCAUGUUCAAACCCGAAAAGGCUAAAGAAAAUACAGAAAAAGAAAGAAAGAAAAAAUACAAAUGAAAACUAGGGCAUCUUGCCGUCACUGGUCCUCGUGAUGGAGCGGUUGAGGAUGAAGACGGUCGUGAGCACAACCUCUCUCCGGUACGUGCUCGACACCUGCUUUGCCUUUGAGCAUGCAGCGUGCCAUCCCGAGCACCAUCUACUAUUCUAAUUCCUUCGUUCGACGACAUUGUUCCGCUGCGAGGAGUAUGGGGUCGUGAGAUGGCGUUGUACCCUUUGUUGUGGACGUGCUUGUAAAAGGUGGCUGGCGUGAACUCGCUGCCACGAUUAGUAUGCAACAUCCUCAGCUUUUGGCCGUGCUCAAGCUCCGCUGCAGCUUGAUGCUUCACGAUGGCUCGCACCGCCUCCUCCUUAGAGACGAGGAGCAUUACCAACAUGAACCUGCUGUAGUCGUUGACAAGCAGCAGGAUGUAGAGACACUCGCCUGAUUGGACGACAGAGGUCCCUGUGAACCACCUUUAGGGGCUUGCUCGCCCUAUACUUUGCCUUGUAGGGGAAGGGCAGACACUGCUGCUUCCCAGCAAGGCAAACAUCACACAUCUCAUCAGCCUGUGUGAUAUGGGGGACCCCGCGAACGAGCUCUCCCCGAGCCAUCUUUUGCAGCUCCUCAAAGUGUUGGUGCCCGAGACGGGCAUGCUAGUGCCACGCGUCGGAGAUGUGUCCCGUGGCUAGGCACAUGGGAUGGACAGGGAGAAGAAGUUGUACAGAUGUUUCGCUCCUCACGUUACUUCGAUGAGCUGCCGCAUGCGCUGUUCGUGCACGACGAUCACCCCACGUUGAAAGGCAAUGUCGUAACAGCUCUUGUCGACCUGGCCAACGCUCACGAUGCUACCCUUGGGCAUCAGGAUGAAGAAGACAUCCGUGAACAACCUGUGAUCACACACAUUGUUUACGAAUAUGAUGGUCCCACUGAAACGAAUCGAGAAGGGGUGUCUAGAGGGGGGGUGAUUAGACACUAAGUACCAAAAGUUGCAGUUUUUAACUUCUUUAAGUUGGAGUGGAGUUUAGGCACAAGUUUAACACUCACAAUACAUAUCAAGCAAGCAUGCAAAGAGUAUAUGAGCAGCGGAAAGUAAAGCAUGCAACUUGCAAGAAUGUAAAGGGAAGGGUUUGGAGGAUUCAAACACAAUUUGGAGACACAGUGAUUUUUGAGCCGUGGUUCCAAUAGGUGGUGCUAUCGUACAUCCACGUUGAUGGAGACUUCAACCCACGAAGGGUAACGAUUGCGCGAGUCCACGGAGGGCUCCACCCACGAAGGGUCCACGAAGAAGCAACCUUGUCUAUCCCACCAUGGCCGUCGCCCAUGAAGGACUUGCCUCACUAGCGGUAGAUCUUCACGAAGUAGGCGAUCUCCUUAUCCUUACAAACUCCUUGGUUCAACUCCACAAUCUUGUCGGGAGGCUCCCAAGUGACACCUAUCCAAUCUAGGAGACACCACUCUCCAAGAAGUAACAAAUGGUGUGUUGAUGAUGAACUCCUUGCUCUUGUGCUUUAAAUGAUAGUCUCCCCAACACUCAACUCUCUCUCACAGGAUUUGGAUUUGGUGGAAAGAAGAUUUGAGUGGAAAGCAACUUGGGGAAGGCUAGAGAUCAAGAUUCAUAUGGUAAGAAUGGAAUAUCUUGGCCUCAACACAUGAGUAGGUGGUUCUCUCUCAGAAAAUAGAUGCUGGAAGUGUAGGUUCGUACUGAUGGCUCUCUCCACGAAUGAAGAGUGGGUGGAGGGGUAUAUAUAGCCUCCACACAAAAUCUAACCGUUACACACAACUUGCCAAACUCGGUGGGACCGAAUUGGUAAACUCGGUCAGACCGACUCAGCAAAUCUAGUGACCGUUAGGAUUUUCGGUGGGACUGACAUGCAACUCGGUAGGACCGAUAUGGUUAGGGUUAGGGCUUAACGUAAUCUCGGUGAGACCGAUUACACAAACUCGGUGGGACCAAUUUUGGUAAUAAGCUAACCAGAGAGUUUGUCAGGCAAAAUCGGUUUGAUCGAUUACACAAACUCAGUAGGACCGAUUUUAGUAAUAAGUUAACCAGAGAGUUUGCAUUGUAAUCUCGGUAGUACCGAUUGCUCAAACUCGGUGAUAUCGAUUUUGGUAAUGGACAUACACAGAGAGAUUACAAUCCCAUCUCGGUGAGACCGAGAUCCCUAUCGGUGAGACCAAUUUGCCUAGGAUUUGUGGCCAUGGCUAAGAUAUCUGAACUCGGUGGCGCCGGAUAGAAAGAAUCGGUAGGGCCGAGUUUAGACUUUUGGUUUAGGACAUAUGUGGAUGUGAGAAAGUAGUUGAGGCCUUUGUAUCAUAUCACUAAGCACUUGAGCAAGCAAGCCAUUAAGCAACACCUCAUCCCCUCUUGAUAGUAUUGGCUGUUCCUAUAGACUCAAUGUGAUCUUGGAUCACUAAAAUAGAAAAUGUAGAGUCUUGAUCUUUGAGCUUGAGCCCAUCCUUUGUCCUUAGCAUCUUGACGGGGUUCCACAUCCUUUAGUCCAUGCCACUCCAUUGUUGAACUUGUCUGAAACAUACUAGGUAAAAGUGUUAGUCCAACAAGAGAUAUGUUGACAUUAAUUACCAAAAUCACCCAGGGAGCACUUGUGCUUUCAAUCUCCCCCUUUUUGGUAAUUGAUGACAACAUACAUGAAAGCUUUCAGAUAAAGAUAUAGAGAAUAGCAAGUAAAGCUUUGGAAAGACAUGUAACAAGCAUAGGCUCCCCCUACAUGUAUGCAAUUAUGUGAAUAUGGAAUAUAGAAGCUUGUGAAUGCAUAAACAUGACAGAGUAGGCAAUGUGUUACAUGUAUCUUGGCUAUAUGCAUCAGAGCAAAUGAUGUGAAUAUGGGAAAUGUACCUUCAUGCUCAUGAGUCCUUCUUGCAAACAAUAUGUACAUCAGCAAGAAUUCCUCAUACACAUGACUGUGAUGCAUAUACUUACCUUGCGAUCUUGAGUUGACUUAGGAUGGAAUGAACCUGCGUAAACAAGGUUAGAUAACACAGAUACACCUACUAGCCAGAGCAAACAGAAGAAACCACAAGAGUACCAAGACUGGGAUGACAUGUUGAGAGUGAGUACUAAGUACCACAUUGAAUAUAGACAUGUUCCCAAAGGUAAAGGUGUGCAAUGAAUUCAAAAAAUUUCUUUCCCUUAGAUGUCUUGCUCCCCCUGAAUCUAGCAUGGGAUACUGGGAGAAGAUAGGGAACAGAAAAUCAGAGAAAAAUGCAAAAUCAGAGCUCAAGGAAACAAAUGAACAGAGCUAAUGCAAAUAAGCACAUAUGAACAUGUCUUUCCCCUCAAGAAGACAUGUGGCAUCUCUCCUCCUGAACACCAAGCAUCUGGGAUCCUUGAGUAUUACUCUCUUCUUGAGUAUUCUCUCCCCCUGUUGAAGUAUAUCUCUCUCCCUCUAUUGAAGUGAUUUAAGCUUUGAUGUGAUCUCUAUCUCCCCCUUUGACAUCAAUUUCCAAGAAGGACAUUCUGGAAUUUGUCGUGAAUGGGUUUGGUCCUUGAGUCACAGCACAAAGCAAUGAUUAAAAUGUGAUGCUUGUAGAGGACAAGAUUCAUUGAGUGGAGCUGGAUCAAAAGAAUGCAGGAAUAAGUGGCAAAAUGUUUUUCCUGUUGUGAAAUCGGUGGCACCGAGUUGGAUGCUUUGGUUGCUCCGAAUGAUUUCGGUUAGACCGAGAACAACAAACCGGUGAGAUCGAGUUCAUCGCAGAGAAAACACUUGUCACCUCAGCUCACUAGACGAGUAAGAUAUCACAAGGAUUUGCAAUGAGUUAUCUGAAAGAUUUGCAAUGAAUUGGAUGCAGGGAAUGCAGAACAAAUAGAAAGAAAAGAAAUCUAGAUGAAGUUUUUUUGAAAGGGGAAAUAAAUAUGCAUGAGACAAAUGCAAGAGCACAGAGAAGAAUACAAGAGAACUUCAUCUAGAAAUGGUCGGCGACAAAGUCACCUAUGCUAGAGUAAAGCUUGAAAUGUUACCAUCAACCUUGACGCACAGAUCGGGAUCCCCUACCCGAGAUCCGCCGGUUUUGACACCGACACCUAGGACUGCCGACGGUGCCACCAAGCCGAGCUUGCAUGACACCAAAUAUGAGGUCACUGGUGUCGCACGGCAUGACGGGGAAGAAAUGUCAGGACCACCACCACAACUCUCCGCACCCACGAGGACAAUGCACACGGGUACAUCCCAAGCAGAGCCCAAGCCUCACCUACCUGGAGAAACCACCCUGAUGCACCUCGGGCCCAAAUUCGGCCUGCCCGAGCACAAACACUAGGUCAGGGGAGCCGUCGUCGUGCGUGCAACCGACUAGCCCCGCAUGCCACCAGCUCCAAUCUGGGAGAAGAUAGUGAAGGAAAUAUGCCCUAGAGGCAAUAAUAAAGUUAUUAUUUAUUUCCUCAUAUCAUGAUAAAUGUUUAUUAUUCAUGCUAGAAUUGUAUUAAACGGAAACAUGAUACAUGUGUGAAUACAUAGACAAACAUAACGUCACUAGUAUGCCUCUACUUGACUAGCUCAUUAAUCAAAGAUGGUUAUGUUUCCUAACCAUAGACAUGUGUUGUCAUUUGAUUAACGGGAUCACAUCAUUAGAAGAAUGAUGUGAUUGACAUGACCCACUCCGUUAGCCUAGCACUUGAUCGUUUAGUAUAUUGCUAUUGCUUUCUUCAUGACUUAUACAUGUUCCUGUAACUAUGAGAUUAUGCAACUCCCGUUUACCGGAGGAACACUUCGGGUGCUACCAAACGUCACAACGUAACUGGGUGAUUAUAAAGGAGUACUGCAGGUGUCUCCGAAGGUACAUGUUGGGUUGGCGUAUUUCGAGAUUAGGUUUUGUCACUCCGAUUGUCGGAGAGGUAUCUCUGGGCCCUCUCGGUAAUGCACAUCACUAUAAGCCUUGCAAGCAAUGUAGCUAAUGAGUUAGUUACGGAAUGAUGCAUUACGUAACGAGUAAAAAGACUUGCCGGUAACGAGAUUGAACUAGGUAUUGGAUACCGACGAUCAAAUCUCGGACAAGUAACAUACCGAUGACAAAGGGAACAACGUAUGUUGUUAUGCGAUUUGACCGAUAAAGAUCUUCGUAGAAUAUGUAGGAGCCAAUAUGAGCAUCCAGGUUCCGCUAUUGGUUAUUGACCGAGAAUAGUUCUAGGUCAUGUCUACAUAGUUCUCGAACCCGUAGGGUCCGCACGGUUAACGUUACGAUGACAGUUUUAUUAUGAGUUUAUAAGUUUUGAUGUACUGAAGUUUAUUCGGAGUCCCGGAUGUAAUCACGGACAUGACGAGGAGUCUCAAAAUGGUCGAGACAUAAAGAUUGAUAUAUUGGACGACUAUAUUCGGACACCGAAAGUGUUUCGGGUGUUUUCAGAGAAAACCGGAGUGCCGGAGGGUUACCGAAACCCCCCGGGAGAAGUAAUGGGCCUUAUGGGCUUUAGUGGAGAGAGAGAGAGGCAGCCAGCAUGGGCCGCGCGCCCCCUCCCCCUCUGGUCCGAAUUGGACUAGGAGAGGGGAGGCGGCGCCCCCCUCUUUCCCUCUCCCUCUCCCCCUUCCUUUCCCCCUCCUAGUAGGAGUAGGAAAGAGGGAGUCCUACUCCUACUAGGAGGAGGACUCCUCCUCCUUGGCGCGCCCACAAGGGCCGGCCGACCUCCCCCCUUGCUCCUUUAUAUACGGGGGUAGGGGGCACCCUAGGACACACAAGUUGAUCUUCAAGAUCGUUCCUUAGCCGUGUGCGGUGCCCCCCUCCACCAUAUUCCACCUCGGUCAUAUCGUCGUGGAGUUUAGGCGAAGCCCUGCGCCGGUAGAACAUCAUCAUCGUCACCACGCCAUCGUGCUGACGAAACUCAUCCCCGACACUUUGCUGGAUCAGAGUCCGGGGAUCGUCAUCGAGCUGAACGUGUGCUGAACUCGGAGGUGCCGUACGUUCGAUACUUGGAUUGGUCGGAUCGUGAAGACGUACGACUACAUCAACCGCGUUGUCAUAACGCUUCCGCUUAGAGCCUACGAGGGUACAGGGACAACACUCUCCCCUCUCGUUGCUAUGCAUCACCAUGAUCUUGCGUGUGUGUAGGAAUUUUUUUGAAAUUACUACGUUCCCCAACAGUGGCAUCAGAGCCAGGUUUUAUGCGUAGAUGUCAUAUGCACGAGUAGAACACAAGUGAGUUGUGGGCGAUACAAGUCAUACUGCUUACCAGCAUGUCAUACUUUGGUUGGUGGUAUUGUGAGAUGAAGCUGCUCGGACCGACAUUACGCGUAUGCUUACGCGAGACUGGUUUCACCGUUACGAGCACUCGUGCUUAAAGGUGGCUGGCGGGUGUCUGUCUCUCUUACUUUAGCUGAAUCGAGUGUGGCUACGCCCGGUCCUUGCAAAGGUUAAAACAACACUAACUUGACAAACUAUCGUUGUGGUUUUGAUGCGUAGGUAAGAACGGUUCUUGCUAAGCCCGUAGCAGCCACGUAAAAUUUGCAACAACAAAGUAGAGGACGUCUAACUUGUUUUUGCAGGGCAUGUUGUGAUGUGAUAUGGUCAAGACGUGAUGCUAUAUUUUAUUGUAUGAGAUGACCAUGUUUUGUAAACGAAGUUAUCGGCAACUGGCAGGAGCCAUAUGGUUGUCGCUUUAUUGUAUGAAAUGCAAACGCCCUGUAAUUGCUUUACUUUAUCACUAAGCGGUAGCGAUAGUCGUAGAAGCAAUAGAUGGCGUAACGACAACGAUGCUACGAUGGAGAUCAAGGUGUCGCGCCGGUGACGAUGGUGAUCACGACGGUGCUUCGAAGAUGGAGAUCACAAGCACAAGAUGAUGAUGGCCAUAUCAUAUCACUUAUAUUGAUUGCAUGUGAUGUUUAUCCUUUAUGCAUCUUAUCUUGCUUUGAUUGACGGUGGCAUUUUAAGAUGAUCUCUCACUAAAUUAUCAAGAAGUGUUCUCCCUAAGUAUGCACCGUUGAGAAAGUUCUUCGUGCUGAGACACCACGUGAUGAUCGGGUGUGAUAGGCUCUACGUUCAAAUACAACGGGUGCAAAACAGUUGCACACGCGGAAUACUCAGGUUAAACUUGACGAGCCUAGCAUAUAACAGAUAUGGCCUCGGAACACGGAGACCGAAAGGUCGAGCGUGAAUCAUAUAGUAAAUAUGAUCAACAUAUUGAUGUUCACCAUUGAAACUACUCCAUCUCACGUGAAGAUCGGACAUGGUGUAGUUGAUAUGGAUCACGUAAUCACUUAGAGGAUUAGAGGGAUGUCUAUCUAAGUGGGAGUUCUUAAGUAAUAUGAUUAAUUGAACUUAAAUUUAUCAUGAACUUAGUACCUGAUAGUAUUUUGCUUGUCUAUGUUUGUUGUAGAUAGAUGGCUCGUGCUGUUGUUCCGUUGAAUUUUAAUGUGUUCCUUGAGAAAGCAAAGUUAAAAGAUGAUGGUAGCAAUUACACGGACUGGGUCCGUAACCUGAGGAUUAUCCUCAUUGCUGCACAGAAGAAUUACGUCCUGGAAGCACCGCUGAGUGCCAGGCCUGCUGCUGAUGCAACUGACGAUGUUAAGAAUGUAUGGCAGAGCAAAGCUGAUGACUACUCGAUAGUUCAGUGUGCCAUGCUUUACGGCUUAGAACCGGGUCUUCAACGACGUUUUGAACGUCAUGGAGCAUAUGAGGUGUUCCAGGAGUUAAAGUUAAUAUUUCAAGCAAAUGCCCGGAUUGAGAGAUAUGAAGUCUCCAAUAAGUUCUAUAGCUACAAGAUGGAGGAGAAUAGUUCUGUCAGUGAACACAUAUUCAAAAUGUCCGGGUAUAAUAAUCACUUGAUUCAACUGGGAGUUAAUCUUCCUGAUGAUAGUGUCAUUGACAGAAUUUUUCAAUCACUACCACCAAGCUACAAGAGCUUCGUGAUGAUCUAUAAUAUGCAAGGGAUGGACAAGACUAUUCCCGAGCUCUUCGCAAUGCUAAAAGCCGCGGAGGUAGAAAUCAAGAAGGAGCAUCAAGUGUUGAUGGUUAACAAGACCACCAGUUUCAAGAAAAAGGGCAAAGGGAAGAAGAAGGGGAACUUCAAGAAGAAGAACAAACAAGUUGCUGCUCAAGAGAAGAAACCCAAGUCUGGACCUAAGCCUGAGACUGAGUGCUUCUACUGCAAGCAGACUGGACACUGGAAGCGGAACUGCCCCAAGUAUUUGGCGGAUAAGAAGGAUGGCAAAGUGAACAAAGGUAUAUGUGAUAUACAUGUUAUUGAUGUGUACCUUACAAAUGCUCGCAGUAGUACGUGGGUAUUUGAUACUGGUUCUGUUGCUAAUAUUUGCAACUCGAAACAGGGACUACGGAUUAAGCGAAGAUUGGCUAAGGAUGAGGUGACGAUGCGCGUGGGAAAUGGUUCCAAAGUCGAUGUGAUCGCGGUUGGCACGCUACCUCAACAUCUACCAUCGGGAUUAGUUUUACAUCUAAAUAAUUGUUAUUUGGUGCCAACGUUGAGCAUGAACAUUAUAUCUGGAUCUUGUUUGAUGCGAGACGGAUAUUCAUUUAAGUCAGAGAAUAAUGGUUGUUCUAUUUAUAUGAGUAAUAUCUUUUAUGGUCAUGUACCCUUGAAGAGUGGUCUAUUUUUAUUGAAUCUCGAUAGUAGUGAUACACAUAUUCAUAGUGUUGAAACCAAAAGAUGCAGAGUUGAUAAUGAUAGUGCAACUUAUUUGUGGCACUGCCGUUUGGGUCAUAUCGGUGUAAAGUGCAUGAAGAAACUCCAUAUCGAUGGGCUUUUGGAAUCACUUGAUUAUGAAUCACUUGGUACUUGCGAACCGUGCCUCAUGGGCAAGAUGACUAAAACGCCGUUCUCCGGAACUACGGAGCGAGCAACUGAUUUUUUGGAAAUCAUACAUACUGAUGUUUUUGGUCCAAUGAAUGUUGAGGCUCGCGGCGGAUAUCGUUAUUUUCUCACCUUCACAGAUGAUUUGAGCAGAUAUGGGUAUAUCUACUUAAUGAAACACAAGUCUGAAACUUUUGAAAAGUUCAAAGAAUUUCAGAGUGAAGUGGAAAAUCAUCGUAACAAGAAAAUUAAAUUUCUACGAUUUGAUCAUGGAGGAGAAUAUUUGAGUUACGAGUUUGGUUUACAUUUGAAACAAUGCGGAAUAGUUCCGCAACUCACGCCACCCGGAACACCACAACGAAAUGGUGUGUCCGAACGUCGUAAUCGUACUUUACUAGAUAUGGUGCGAUCUAUGAUGUCUCUUACUGAUGUACCGCUAUCGUUUUGGGGUUAUGCUUUAGAGACGGCCGCAUUCACGUUAAAUAGGGCACCAUCAAAAUCCGUUGAGACGACGCCUCAUGAACUGUGGUUUGGCAAGAAACCAAAGUUGUCGUUUCUUAAAGUUUGGGGCUGCGAUGCUUAUGUGAAGAAACUUCAACCAGAUAAGCUCGAACCCGAAUCGGAGAAAUGUGUCUUCAUAGGAUACCCAAAAGAAACUGUUGGGUACACCUUUUAUCACAGAUGUGAGGGCAAGAUUUUCGUUGCUAAAUUUGGAUCCUUUCUAGAGAAGGAGUUUCUCUCGAAAGAAGUGAGUGGGAGGAAAGUAGAACUUGAUGAGGUAACUAUACCUGCUCCCUUAUUGGAAAGUAGUUCAUCACAAGAACCGGUUCUUGUGACAACUACACCAAUUAGUGAGGAAGCUAAUGAUAUUGAUCAUGAAACUUCAGAUCAAGUUUAUACUGAACCUCGUAGGUCUACCAGAGUAAGAUCCACACCAGAGUGGUAUGGUAAUACUAUUCUGGAAGUCAUGUUACUUGACCAUGAUGAACCUACAAAUUAUGAGGAAGCGAUGAUGAGCCCAGAUUCCGCAAAAUGGCUAGAGGCCAUGAAAUCUGAGAUGGGAUCCAUGUAUGAGAACAAAGUAUGGACUUUGGUUGACUUGCCCGAUGAUCGGCAAGCCAUUGAGAAUAAAUGGAUCUUUAAGAAGAAGACUGACGCUGAUGGUAAUGUAACUGUCUAUAAAGCUCGACUUGUUGCAAAAGGUUUUCAACAAGUUCAAGGGGUUGACUACGAUGAGACUUUCUCACCCGUAGCGAUGCUUAAGUCUGUCCGAAUCAUGUUAGCAAUUGCUGCAUUUUAUGAUUAUGAAAUUUGGCAAAUGGAUGUCAAAACUUCAUUCUUGAAUGGAUUUCUGGAAGAAGAGUUGUAUAUGAUGCAGCCAGAAGGUUUUGUUGAAGCAAAAGGUGCUAACAAAGCGUGCAAGCUCCAGCGAUCCAUUUAUGGACUGGUGCAAGCAUCUUGGAGUUGGAAUAAACGCUUUGAUAGUGUGAUCAAAGCAUAUGGUUUUAUACAGACUUUUGGAGAAGCCUGUAUUUACAAGAAAGUGAGUGGGAGCUCUGUAGCAUUUCUGAUAUUAUAUGUAGAUGACAUAUUAUUAAUUGGAAAUGAUAUAGAAUUUCUGGAUAGCAUAAAGGGAUACUUGAAUAAAAGUUUUUCAAUAAAAGACCUUGGUGAAGCUGCUUACAUAUUGGGCAUUAAGAUUUAUAGAGAUAGAUCAAGACGCUUAAUAGGACUUUCACAAAGCACAUACCUUGAUAAAGUUUUGAAAAAUUUCAAAAUGGAUCAGGCAAAGAAAGGGUUCUUGCCCGUGCUACAAGGUGUGAAGUUGAGUCAGACUCAAUGCCCGACCACAACAGAAGAUAGAGAGAAAAUGAAAGAUGUUCGCUAUGUUUCAGCCAUAGGCUCUAUCAUGUAUGCAAUGCUGUGUACCAGACCGUACGUGUGCUUAGCAAUAAGCUUGGCAGGAAGGUACCAAAGUAAUUCAGGAGUGGAUCACUGGACAGCGGUCAAGAACAUCCUGAAAUACCUGAAAAGGACUAAGGAUAUGUUUCUCGUAUAUGGAGGUGACAAAGAGCUAGUCGUAAAUGGUUACGUCGAUGCAAGCUUUGACACUGAUCCGGACGAUUCUAAAUCGCAAACCGGAUACGUAUUUUUAUUAAACGGUGGAGCUGUAAGUUGGUGCAGUUCUAAACAAAGCGUCGUGGCGGGAUCUACAUGUGAAGCGGAGUACAUAGCUGCUUAGGAAGCAGCAAAUGAAGGAGUCUUGAUGAAGGAGUUCAUUUCCGAUCUAGGUGUUAUACCUAGUGCAUCGGGACCAAUGAAGAUCUUCUGUGACAAUACUGGUGCAAUUGCCUUGGCAAAGGAAUCCAGAUUUCACAAGAGGACCAAGCACAUCAAGAGACGCUUCAAUUCCAUCCGGGACCAAGUCCAGGUGGGAGACAUAGAGAUUUGCAAAAUAGAUACGGAUCUGAAUGUUGCAGACCCAUUGACUAAGCCUCUUCCACGAGCAAAACAUGAUCAACACCAAGACUCCAUGGGUGUUAGAAUCAUUACUGUGUAAUCUAGAUUAUUGACUCUAGUGCAAGUGGGAGACUGAAGGAAAUAUGCCCUAGAGGCAAUAAUAAAGUUAUUAUUUAUUUCCUCAUAUCAUGAUAAAUGUUUAUUAUUCAUGCUAGAAUUGUAUUAAACGGAAACAUGAUACAUGUGUGAAUAUAUAGACAAACAUAACGUCACUAGUAUGCCUCUACUUGACUAGCUCAUUAAUCAAAGAUGGUUAUGUUUCCUAACCAUAGACAUGUGUUGUCAUUUGAUUAACGGGAUCACAUCAUUAGAAGAAUGAUGUGAUUGACAUGACCCAUUCCGUUAGCCUAGCACUUGAUCGUUUAGUAUAUUGCUAUUACUUUCUUCAUGACUUAUACAUGUUCCUGUAACUAUGAGAUUAUGCAACUCCCGUUUACCGGAGGAACACUUUGGGUGCUACCAAAUAUCACAACGUAACUGGGUGAUUAUAAAGGAGUACUACAGGUGUCUCCGAAGGUACAUGUUGGGUUAGCGUAUUUCAAGAUUAGGUUUUGUCACUCCGAUUGUCGGAGAGGUAUCUCUGGGCCCUCUCGGUAAUGCACAUCACUAUAAGCCUUGAAAGCAAUGUAGCUAAUGAGUUAGUUACGGAAUGAUGCAUUACGUAACGGGUAAAGAGACUUGCCGGUAACGAGAUUGAACUAGGUAUUGGAUACCGACGAUCAAAUCUCGGGCAAGUAACAUACCGAUGACAAAGGGAACAACGUAUGUUGUUAUGCGGUUUGACCGAUAAAGAUCUUCGUAGAAUAUGUAGGAGCCAAUAUGAGAAUCCAGGUUCCGCUAUUGGUUAUUGACCGAGAAUAGUUCUAGGUCAUGUCUACAUAGUUCUCGAACCCAUAGGGUCCGCACGGUUAACGUUACGAUGACAGUUUUAUUAUGAGUUUAUAAGUUUUGAUGUACCAAAGUUUGUUCGGAGUCCCGGAUGUGAUCACGGACAUGACGAGGAGUCUCGAAAUGGUCGAGACAUAAAGAUUGAUAUAUUGGACGACUAUAUUCGGACACCGAAAGUGUUUCGGGUGUUUUCCGAGAAAACCGGAGUGCCGGAGGGUUACCGGAACCCCCCCCCCCCGGGAGAAGUAAUGGGCCUUAUGGGCUUUAGUGGAGAGAGAGAGAGGGGCAGCCAGCAUGGGCCGCGCGCCCCCUCCCCCUCUGGUCCGAAUUGGACUAGGAGAGGGGAGGCGGCGCCCCCCUCUUUCCCUCUCCCUCUCCCCCUUCCUUUCCCCCUCCUAGUAGGAGUAGGAAAGAGGGAGUCCUACUCCUACUAGGAGGAGGACUCCUCCUCCUUGGCGCGCCCACAAGGGCCGGCCGACCUCCCCCCUUGCUCCUUUAUAUACGGGGGCAGGGGGCACCCUAGGACACACAAGUUGAUCUUCAAGAUCGUUCCUUACCCGUGUGCGGUGCCCCCCUCCACCAUAUUCCACCUCGGUCAUAUCGUCGCGGAGUUUAGGCGAAGGCCUGCGCCGGUAGAACGUCAUCAUCGUCACCACGCCAUCAUGCUGACGGAACUCAUCCCCGACAGUUUGCUGGAUCGGAGUCCGGGGAUCGUCAUCGAGCUGAACAUGUGCUGAACUCGGAGGUGCCGUACGUUCGGUACUUGGAUCGGUCGGAUCGUGAAGACUAUGACUACAUCAACCGCGUUGUCAUAACGCUUCCGCUUACAGUCUACGAGGGUACGUGGACAACACUCUCCCCUCUCGUUGCUAUGCAUCACCAUGAUCUUGCGUGUGCGUAGGAAUUUUUUUGAAAUUACUACGUUCCCCAACAGGUAGACCACAACGCUGCCGCCUCAAGCCACAAGCCAAACAAUGGCCAACCAUCGCACCGCCGAAGUCUGCACCACCGUCCUAGCCCACUGCAGCCACAAGGAUGACCACCCGUGAGCAGGAACCGCCGCCACCUUCAGCCGCUGACACUAGCCGGCAGGGCGACACCUCCAACCCGCGCGGCCGCAGCGCAGGCACGCCCCGCGUCCGUCGAUGUCCACCAUGUAGCUCGCACCAGCGCACCACCGUCCUGCCCGCCUGAUGCCACGUCGUCGCGCCCACCGCCAACCCAUGCUCAGGCCCUGGGGAGCGCGCCCGUGAUGCCAUCGUCGUGCGGGAGGAUGUCGGGGCCCCGCUGCCGCUGACACCGGUCAAGCUUUGCCCAACUGUUCCCACUGGAAGCGGUGAAUCAGGGGAAAUGAGGAGGGGUGUGGGGUGUGGGUGGCGAGAUCUAGGUCGCCCUCCCUGUUGCCUUGUGGGGGUGACGCGGGAGGGUUCGGGGGCGGAGUCCGAGAUCAUUAGGCUGAUACAUAUCUUUACCUAAUAAUAAAGCAAAUUGGGUUUUCUUUCGUCCGUCAUGGAAUUUUUCAGAAAAGUCCUUCCAUUUCAGAGAAUUCAACGCGCAGUCCUGUUUUAAGUUAAAACGAAUCGUUAUUUCCGUAUUUUACGCAAAAGUCCCUGUCUUUUCUUUAAAUCAACCCGCCGUCCGUAUUUAAGUCACACCCGAACCGUUAUUUUACAUUUUUCGAAACCUCCCCCCCCCCCUGAUGGUUUAGGUAAUUAAUCCGCGGAUCAUAUUUAAGUCAAACAAAUGCUUUUUAAAAUCAUCCAUAUCUUUUAAACCGUAACUCCGAUUUGAACAUGUUAUAUAUGAAAUUUGAUUAAAAGAUAUGUAGAAUAUGAAUAUGAGAUUAUUUUUAUCUGUUAAGUAUUUUUAAAUAUUAUUUUGGAAUAUAUUUGAGUCAAACCAAAUGAUUUUCUAAAUUAUCUGUUAAACCGUAACUUUGAUUUUAACAUAUUAUAUAUAAAAUUUUAUUAGAAAAAUGUGUGGAAUCUAAAUAUAAUGUUAAUUUUACCUGUUAAAUAUUUUUAAAAUAUUGUUAUGGAAGCAAACUUAUAAUUUAUAGCGCAAGAUCCUUUUUUUCAUACCGACGGCGAUCAGGAUUGCAAAUAAACACCCCACUAUAACCAUAUACGGAGAAGAAAACAUCAAUAACUACACAUGCAUACCUCUGAAAAAUGUCGCAGGGGAAAACAACAGAUUUCUCAUUGCGAGAGUGAGAGAAAGCGAGCGAGAGAGAGAGAGAGAGAGAAGGAGAGAGAGGGAGGAGAGAGGGAGGAGAGAGGGAGAGAGAGACGCCUUAGGAUUAACCAUAUUCAACACACGUUUUUUGUUGUUUUGUAUGAACACCGAGGCCAUCGCCGGCGAGGGUGAGAAGGAGGAUAAGCGGCAACACAAAUAUGAUGCCUCGCAAAAAUAAAGGAGAUGGACCUAUUGUGGUCUUGAGUAAUGGUUGUUGAGUUAAGAGCGUGUGUUAUGUUUUCUCUCCCGUUGCAACGCACGAGCUCUUUUGCUAGUAAAUCCUAUAGGUGCUUUGUCGGUAAUAAAGUUCAAGCGUUGCAAAACAUGUUUAUUUUAUCUUAUCUUUUCGUUUUUGCUUCCUAUUUUUUUCUUGUUCUUUUGGUCCUUUUACUUAUUUAAUUUUUGGCCUUUUACAUUACCCAUUUCUUUUUUUCUGGUUAACAUUUUUCCAUCGUGCCUGUACAAAGAAGUUCAUAUUGUAUUUCUAAUAUAUCCAUGGUGCAAUUGAAAAAUGUUCAUCAUCCAUGAGAAAGGAUCACUGGGGGCAGCUGGACUGAGCCGGCCCGUUGGCAACAUUGUUACUGUAGGCUGUAGCUGCGGUUCAAAUAAAAAUGUGAACUCUUCUGAAAAAUGGGAACACAUUCUCGAAAAAUCAAAACUUCCUUAAAACUAUAAAAUAUUUGAAUUUUGUGAAUAUUUUUGUAAAAGGUGAACAAAUUUUGAAAUUUGUAAACAUUUUCUCAAAACUUAUGAACAAUUUUUGAACUACAAUUUGUUAUUCGAUUCUUAAAGUAUUUAUUAAAAAAAUCCCAAAAAUCUGGAUGUUUUCUAGAAACACGAACGAAUUGGGAAACAUUUAAAAUAUUUUUAAAAUGUCAAUUUUUUUAGAAAAUGUCAAAAACAAAUUGAAAGUCUGAACAAUAUUUGAAUAUUUGAAUAUUUUUUGAAAAAGUGAUUUUUUAAAUUUGGAACUUUCUUUCAAAAUGCGAACUUUUAUUUAAAAAGCUGAACAAAAUUUUGAAUUUUUGAGCAUUUAAUGGAAAUGCAAUUUUUUUUUGAAGAUUUUGUUUUUUAAUUUUUGAUUAUAUGGAAAAAUUAAGACGAAAACAGGAAAGACUAAAAGAAAGGAAAAAAAUGAACAAUAAAAUCCCAAAGUAAACCAGAAAACCAGUAAAGAAAAUGGCAGAAAAAACCGACUGAGGCACCUUCUCGAAGUUCUCCAAAACCGGUAGAAAAAUCAUUAUACUUGCUAGCUAAAAUGGGUCGGUCACAGAUCGAUCGCCUCGCUCGCCUGUUCGAUCGGGGUACUAUUGGACGUAGUGAGUGCACAAUAAGGAAUUUGUGGUGAAAGAUAGCCGCGGCCUUGAUGUACCGUUAGCGGUGUCUGUAGUGUUCACUGCGGCCGUAACAAACCGCCAACCAAUUCCAUGACAAUUCAAAAAAAAAAAAUAUUCAAUGCCGCUACGGGCGACUUGGGUGCUGGUGCGGGUGCCGCAGCCGGCGGCAGACAUCCCAGCAUUCUUGCUGCAGUAUCUAUGUAGGCGAGAGCAGGCGGCUGGGGGUAACAAAUGGAAACAUACAGGUUUCUAUUGCGCUCACGGCUCCCCUAUUUUUUUUCUGUGUUCUUUUUUUCUUGUUCUUUUUUCUUUUUUCUUAUUCCUUUCCAAUUUUGAUUUUUCCUUUUGCAUUUCUUGAACAUCUUUUGUAAUGAUGAAUAAUUUUUGAAAUAAUUAACAUUUUCUGGGAUCAUGAUUUUUUUUUGAAAUUCAUGUUUUUUUAAUUAUGAAUUCACGAACAUUUUUUAUUUUUUAAGCUUUUGAAAUUUUGGAAAAAAUUGAAAUUCAAGAAUGGGUUAUCUAAUCAAGAACAAUUUUAAAAUUCUAGAACAUUUUUAAAUUUGUGAAUAGUUUUUCAAAUCCAGAAACAAUUUUUCAAACUUGUGAACAUAUUUUAAAUUUGAUUUUUUUUCAAAUCCAUGAACAUUUUUGAAAAUCCAGGAAAUUUGCAAACCAUGAACAUUUGUUGAAACUUGGGCUAUAUUUUUUUCAUAUUCAUGAACAUUUUUGCAAAUCUAGGAAUGUUCUCAAAUCCCUGGAAUAUUUGAAAUACAUGAACAUUUUUUCAAGUUCAAGAAUUUUUUUAAAAUCGGGGAACAAUUUUUAAAUUAUGAACAAUUUUGAAUACAUGAUUUUUUUUGCAAUUCAAAAUAUUUUUGAAAGUUCAAAGUUUGUUAAAAGCCAAAGGAGAAAAAACAAAAAUCGAAAGGCAAAAUAAAGAUCUCCUUGUCCCCCAAUGGACCGGCCCAAACCAUGUUAGUGAUGAUCUAGGCUGAGUACUCUGCUGCUCCUGCAUGUAUGGCCUUCGGGUCUACCUCUGUACUUAAAACUGAUGCUUAAAAAAAACCCUCUAUACUUAAAACUUGUUUCUCUCUGCAAAUAGAAUGGGCAGCGCUCCUGUCUUCCAUUAAAAAUAUGUAAUAUCUACAAGGGCACGGGAUGAUAACUCCUGCAGCUAAUCAUACAUAGAUACAAUUUUAAUUCACAAAUGGAAAGGGUGAGGAACAGAGAAGCCUUGUGCCUCUCUUUGGUCUUGUUCAGAUUUGAGAAAGGGUGCGGCUGUUAGUAAAUGGAAAGGGAACAAGAAUGCUGAGUACUCUCACCGUCGGAGAGACGAAAAACAUGAUUAAAUGGGUAUAAAAGCCAGAUAUAUAAUCUAGAUUGACCAUUGAGGGCAUUAUCAAUUUAAUGCUUGGCGAAAAAGGAUGUAUAAUAGUACAUCCCAAUACAAUUUUAAUUCUGUCAUACACAUUAACACAUCCGAGGAGUUAUGUGGCUAUUCUAAGUGCAGAAGAAAAAUGAUAUAGAUGAGACGUAAGAAAGGAUAUGCGAUCGAUCAUUGUGUUGCACUACGUGGCAUAGUAGUAGCUAUCAGUUUGGUGUACUCGACUUUCAUCUUCUUCAGCAUCACUACCACAUCAUGCAUCGUCAUCCUCUGGUCAGGCAAGUCACUAGAGCAGAUCAAUCCCAACUCGAAGACCGAAGCAAGAAAACCACCAUCCUGAUUGCAGCUAGAAAGAGAGGAACCCUGUAGAAGCUGGACAUCGACAACUUGGACAAGCUCUGCAGGAAAUGCCUGAUGAACCCACUGCCUAAGAGUUAGUUGUGCGCCAAACAUAGCAUCGGUGGGUCUUCUUCCGGUGAAGACUUCAAGGAGCAUGAUUCCAUAACUAAAAACAUCGCUCUUCCGCGAUGCUUUUCCAAGAGAUCCGUACUCUGCUCAAUAGAAACAUAAAUAUAAAUUGAAGCACAAUUGUUCAACCAUAUUGCUUCAGGUAGGGACUCAAUUUAUAAAAGGUUUAACAAGUAUUCAAUUGAACAAGAUAACGAGAGAUAGCUAACUGCAUACCAGGUGCCAUGUACCCAACUGUUCCAGGCAUGCUCACACAUGUCAUGCUGUUGUCAUCUAGAAUCAACCUUGCAAUGCCAAAGUCCGCCACAUGCGCCGUCAUCUCCUCAUCGAACAACACGUUGCUAGGCUUCAAGUCACAGUGCAAGAUCAAAUUGCAGUACUCAUGGUGUAGAUAAUCCAUUGCCAUCGACACGUCUAGCAUGAUGCAUAAUCUCUCAAGGAAUCCCAAGCGCACUGUACUCUUGGUCUGAUGUAGGAGCAUCUCCAAGCUGCCAUUUGGCAUGUAUUGAAGCACUAGCGCUUUGAAAUCAAGAUUGGAACAUGUGUUGAGUAUCUUUAUGAGGUUGCGGUGUCGCGCCAUACGAAGCACUUGACACUCGGCAUCAAAAGUUCGAAUGGCAUGCUCUAGCUGCACGUCAAUAACUUUUAUAGCGACUACCAAACCAGUGCUUAGUUGGCCUUUGAAUACUUUUCCAAAGCUUCCGCAUCCCAAGAUGUUACCUUCACUGAAAUUAUUGGUGGCAUGAAUGAGCUCAUGAUAGGAGACUAUCUGAUGGCCUAUGACAUCAUUUGCAUUGACAAAAUGUUUGUCCUCUCCCCCCUUAGGUUUCUUUCCGAACAAUAGGUAUACGGAAAUGGCAAAGGCGCCAAAAGCUAGUGUAAGUGUUGGGAGUAGAAUUUGUAGCACAUGUUUGUUACUUGAGUGAGGUAUGUCAAGGCAUGGCGAAAGAUCUAGGUGCGGAGCGCCACACAGCCCAACAUUUCCAAUCAAAGAUUGCAAUGUGAGAUUUGAGAAAACACCUCCCUCGGGUAUUUGGCCUUCUAGACUAUUGAAUGAGAGGUUCAAGGUAGUCAAGUAUGUAAAGUUGGCAAGGAAUGUGGGAAUGCUACCAGAGAGAUUGUUAAAGGAUAGGUCUAAUGAUGCUAAGCUUCUUAACUUUUUGAGUGGGCCUGGAAUUGAUCCUUUGAAGGAGUUAUGCGAUAGAUUUAGGUAGAUUAGCAUACUAAGUUGUCCCAAUGAGUCUGGGAUGCUUCCUAUCAAGAAGUUGGAAGAAAUGUCCAUUUGGUAUAUUUGUCUUAGACCUGAAACAUCGACUGGUAGUGCACCAACAAAGUAAUUGUGAGAAAUAUCUAGUGUGAUAAGUUUAUCUAGGUGGAAAAGGCUUGCAGGUAUCAUUGAACUUAACUGGUUAUUAGACAAGUCGAUGUUUUCUAACAAACUAAGAUUUCCAAAGCUACUUGGUAUAGAUCCUGAUAAUUUGUUUGCAUGGAAAGAAAGCCGCUCUAGACUUCCGAGCAAACCCAUUUGUGCUGGGAUAGGGCCUAACAUGUCAUUACCUGACAGAUCAAGCCAUCCAAGAUUUUCCAACAUAGCUAUGGAUUCUGGGAUUGGCCCGGUUAACAGGUUGUUUUCUACACCUAGUCUUUCAAGGCUGCUUAUGUUUGAGAUUUCUACCGGGAGCCCACCUAUUAACUUGUUGUCACCUACAUUAAAAAAUAUUAAUCGUGAACUGAGGUUUCCCACAUGGCCGGAGAGGACGCCUGUGAAAGAAUUAGCGCCUAACCAAAGGAAUUGGAGCUUUCUGCACUUGGACAGAGCUGAUAAGAAGUCUAGAUUCCCCUCUAAGUUGUUAUAUCUCAAAUCGAGAUUGUUCAAAGCUGCAUUUUUUCCAAGUGCAGUUGGUACUUGGCCGGACAAUUGAUUCAUUUCCAAAGCUAGGUAAGAUAAUUUGGAUAAGUUGCCGAGGGAAGCUGGAAUUUUCCCUGUCAACUGAUUGGUUCCAAGAUACAAAUGUGAGAGUUCCUGUAUAAGACCUAAUUCUGGCGGAAUCUCCCCUGUGAGGUUGUUGUAGGGCAUGUCUAUUAUAGAAAGACUGGUGAGAUUGCUUAGACUAGCUGGGAUUGAGCCAAUAAGCUUAUUAGAACCCAACUCAAGCACUUCAAGGCGUGGCAAUUUGGCCAACCAUGUUGGUACAACAUCCACAAAAGAAUUUGCAGAAAAAUCAAGUACUUGUAGGUAUUGACAUGAUGCAAGCCCUGAUGGAAACCGACCAGUAAAUUUGUUACUUGAUAAUGAAAUAAAUUGCAACAUUGGGAGGUUGAAACUUUGAUUGUUCGGAAAAAUUCCAGUUAGGUUAUCAUUUUUUUCGAGCCAUAUGGCUUGCAGUCUAGACUUAUUGUACAUGGCUUGUGGCACUAGACCGGAGAGUUGAUUAAACUCAAGGCUAAAGAACUCGAGCAUAAAUAGGGAUGCAACAGAAUGUGGUAUAGGACCUGACAGACUGUUAUUUGCAAAAUGGAUGUACGUCAAUGAUAGAGUGUUGUUGAACAAAUAUGGUGGUAUUUGGCCACUCAAGUCAUUUCCAAGCAGAUUAAUUUUUUUAAGGUUGUACAUAUACAAUAACAUCUUAGGAGGGAUCUGCCCUGAGAGUUGGUUGGAACCUAGACUAAGGAUCUCGAGCCUUGUGAGGUUGCCUAGGGUAGUAGGUAUGGCAUUUGAUAGACUAUUCCCUCUAAGUCCGAGAUAUGUAAGACGAUGUAGCCUACCAAGUUCAGCUGGAAUCGGUCCAGUAAGAUUGGUGAGGGUGAGGUUGAGGACGGAGAGGAAAGAGAGGUUACCCACAUGAGGUGCCAUGGGCCCAGCAAGUUGGAUGCCCUGCAACGAUAGAGCAGUGACAUGUUGCCUACGCCGGCUGCAUGAGACGCCGACCCAAUGGCAAAAAAACGUGCCGGUGGUCCAGUUGCCGGCAAGGAUGCGGUGAGGGUCGGUGAGCUGGGCUUUGAAAGCGAGCAGUGCGGCGAGAUCGAUGUCACUACGAUUGCCAUUGGUGGGAGUGGGAGAAGAAGCCGAGAUGGACGAGAAUAGGACAAGCAAGAAGAUGGGAAUACGGGCAGCCAUGCAUCGAGAGGCCAUUGAGCUGGGGUGCAUACCUAUGUGCGGUGAACAGCCUGUGGGAGUAGUUACGAAUUUAUAGGCACUUUCCGUAGGAUCUCAUGCAUCCUUCUCGAGGCCACAAGCAGCGCAUCGAUCUUUCCAUGGAAGUGGUCGCACCUUGCGCUAGCUUGCCGCUCUUGCCGGCGGUCACACGGCGCUGCAAGCACAUAUAGAGACACGCGCACAGCUGUCCAUCGUACUAUGAUGAUGGAAUCUCAGGAAGCUCACCGUGGCGGCAAGCAAGACGACACGGCGCUGAGCUAUCGAUCCAACCUUGAGUCGCCCAAGCAGACACGCCCAGCUUUGCAAUGCACACCAGACUUGUCAAUUCCGUAUACUAGUCAAUAUUUGGUGUUGUCACUACGUACUAUAAAUUUAAAAGUAAGACUAGAUAGCCUCCAGGUUCCGGUUCGUAAGAUGGUGUCGUUUUGUUGACCGCCGAGCUGACUCUCUGCACGUGCCAACGUAGCUCUGAACUUUAUUUUGUAAGUACUUGGGUGUGGCACUUACUUCUUUUUUAGGGAAAAUUAAUCAAACACCGUGGCAGUAUAAAGAACAUCAUAAGUAACAAAAUUUACAUCCAUAUUCGUUGACUAUCUAGCGAUGACUAUAUGCGCUACAGUGAGCCGAAGGCGCGCCGCCUCCCAUAGUUCUUAUAUGGGCUAGCCCACUGAGUUGCUGAUUUUCUCGUUGCGCUUGUCUGCCUCGGCGUGGAGCUAGCUUGCAUUUCUUCUUCCUUUUUGUUUUCCUUUUUCUUAGUUUUAUAUAUGUUCAGACGCGGAUCAUACCCCUUUAUAUUGAUCAAAUAGCAGGAGUGUUUGGGGUACAAACAUCUUCAGGCGCAGAUCGUAUCCUUUUAUAAGUUUAUAGCGGUCAAAUAGCAAGUGUUUGGGGUACAAACGUCUUGAGACAGAUCGCACCCCUUUAUAAGUUUAUAUUGGUCAAAUAGCAAGUGUUUGGGGGUACAAACGUCUUGACGCAGAUCGUACUCCUUUAUAAGUUUAUAUUGGUCAAAUAGCAAGUGUUUGGGGUACAAACGUCCUCAGGCGGAUCGUACUCCUUUAUAAGUUUAUAUUGGUCAAAUAGCAAGAGUGUUAUCCCCAAACUAUGUUUAGAUGGUUAGAGGGACAGUGGUAUCCCUAGCCCACCAGGGUUUAAGUCUUGGUGCUUGCAUUAUUUUUGGAUUUAUUUCAGGAUUUUCAUCGAUGCGCAUUCAGUGGGAGGAGACGUUCUCAUCGACGACGAGACGUCUACGGUGACUUCGUAAAUCUCAAGAUGAUAUGCCAUGUGUUUCUUUGUUGGAAUUUCUUCCUUCCUGACAAAAGGUGAUACCUUCAAGCUCGUCUCCUCUGGCCCAUAUUUCUUCAACAACAUGUGUAUAUGGGUGUGCUAGACCGGAUAACGGCAUCUCCAAAUCGGACUCUUAAAUCGCCCGCAACUCUCCAUACUGCAUGGUCCGGACAUGUUUAGCCAUCCAAUGCGGAUCCGUAUCGGUUCGCCAACAGAUCCAGACACACUUUUUCCCAUAAACCAGAAACAANNNNNNNNNNNNNNNNNNNNNNNNNNNNNNNNNNNNNNNNNNNNNNNNNNNNNNNNNNNNNNNNNNNNNNNNNNNNNNNNNNNNNNNNNNNNNNNNNNNNNNNNNNNNNNNNNNNNNNNNNNNNNNNNNNNNNNNNNNNNNNNNNNNNNNNNNNNNNNNNNNNNNNNNNNNNNNNNNNNNNNNNNNNNNNNNNNNNNNNNNNNNNNNNNNNNNNNNNNNNNNNNNNNNNNNNNNNNNNNNNNNNNNNNNNNNNNNNNNNNNNNNNNNNNNNNNNNNNNNNNNNNNNNNNNNNNNNNNNNNNNNNNNNNNNNNNNNNNNNNNNNNNNNNNNNNNNNNNUUCCCUUUACGGCAGUCAUGACAUGUAAAUAAUAUGUGGUCCUGAAAUUGUAAAAAAAUACUCGCGAAAUGUAAACAAAGUUACAUAAUUUGUAAAAAUCCGCACCAUUCAUAACUUGUUUAUGAAAUUUGGAAAAUGUUCGCACAUUUAAAUAUAUGUUCAUGGAAUGUAAAAAUUGCCCAUGCAACUUCUUAAAAUGUUCACAACAUAUAAAAAAUAAUCUUCGGGCCAUUAAACAAAUGUUCACACGUCUAAAAAAAGUUCAUGAAAACAUAAAAAUGUAUUGAUGGAAAUUUUAGGAAAAUGUUCAUGACAUGUAAAAAAUUGUUCCUGCACUAAACCAAGACAAUUAAAAAAGUUCAAGGAUUUGAAAAAAAGGAAACGGCGAGAUAUAAGAAGAAAAACGGAAAAUGAAAAACCCCAAAAGAAAACCAUAAAGCCAAUAAAGAAAAACAUGAAGUUAUUUGCUUGCAUCUUCAGGCAACCACAUGAAAUACUGAAGCUGAAACAGAGACACCUCCUAGAAAGCAAAGUGAUCUUGAGCGUCCCUCAACUGAAGUUGCUUUUACUUGCUACAUACACUGUGUUUGAUUGCCUCUAUUACUUACUUUGAUAUUUCAGAUUUAAGCUUUGUUACUGCUAGUAAUUAGGGUUACCCCUCUCGGAACUCAGAGUCCGGAUACAUGCUCUGUUCUUAAUUCGUUUAUACAGUAGCUUUAUGCAUUGGGGAAUAUUUUGUGUGGACAAAUGCACUGUGUUUGAUUACACUUGUUGCAGAAAAAGUUGUGUCAGAAUUGUUGUGCCGUGAUUAGAUCGACCGUGGAACUCAAUCAUACGUGUGUUUUGUGUUAUUGUUUAUCAUUUUGUAUAUAUUCACGCUUAGUUAGUACUCUCUUUGUCUUAUAAUAUAAGAACGUUUUUGACACUACCGAGGGAGUAAAUGAGAUCUAUGUCCAUUCAUGGAACACAUAUCUGCAGGAUGCUUGCUGCGACACUACAUCCAAGUGUUCAGGCUGGCAGUGUAGUCCUCAUCCCAUGGGUCACUUGGUAGAGCAGAAAUCACCGUGUGUUUGUUGGCGCCACCUCCUCGCAGCGCCGCUCUUCUUCUACCUCGAGCUGCCUCACACAAGUCUUCAUCUCUCUCAAGCUACUCUUCUCCUCAGUGGCUUCUCACAAGAAGACUCACACACACACAACACACGCAUGUACCAAGGAAGAGGAACGGCUUUGCCAAAGGCACUCCUUUGGUGAACUACAGUGGCUACAUGUUUUUCUACAAGCCCUCACGGCCUCGCUCACUUUCUCACUAACUCAAUGCAACACUUAUAUACACAAAGGGUUGGCUGACUUGCCAAGCUAGCCGCCACACCCGGCCGCACUAACCCACUAUGCACUCAUGCACUAACUUCCGGCACACUCGGCCACUUAUCAACUCACGCAUGGGCAGCAACAAACUGCUGAACCACUCAUGCCACUACAUGCAUGCUUUCUAUUCCCUCCGUUCUUAAAUAUAACUCUUUCUAGAUAUUCCAACAAAUGACUACAUACAGAACAAAAUGAGUGAAUCUACACUUUAAAAUAUGUCUACAUACAUUCAUAUGUUAUAGUCCAUUUGAAAUGUCAAAAAAACUUAUAUUUAAAAACGGAGGGAGUACUAACUACAUCCCUACACUCGGCUAACAAACUCAUGCAGGCUAAUCACUACCACAUCCACGCCUAUGCCCGGCACUUGCUCAACCUCUUCUUAACGGCCAAAGGACUAGGCCAACUCAACAUGCACGUAGAGCCCCACGCUCCAGCCUUCGUCGCACUUGCCGUAUCACACGGCCACGCUGCCUUGUGAAGCACUGCAGCCUCACGCUGCCAUCGGCAUCUAGGCAUCGUCGUUGUAUCGCACGAUGUCUUGGCAUCUCGCCUUCUCCACACGCCUCCGCUUAAGCUUCACCGGACAAGCUACUCUCUAACCUAUCCAACAUGCAUAACAAAAGCAAACUAAAUAUGCAGAUACAUGAAUCAAGAUUAAAGCUAACAGUGUUCGCAUUGGGGUGGCAAGAUAUCAAGUAAUAGUUCUGCCGUCAUCCCAGGGGUUCUCUUCCCUGGACAUAGUUUGAGAAUAGGUUUAGGGUUUUCCGUGGGGCAAUGCCUCUCCACGUCUUUUUAUAUAUAAUGAUCAGCAUACACAAGUUACCUACGUACAUAAUACGUGUACAUGACACGCUAGACCUAUUUAAACAUACCCCCUCAAUCUGAACUUCUACUCUGUACAAGGUUUAGAUUGGUACUAAACGGUCUAGCAUCUGUCGAGUGGCUGGUUUGGUAAACACGUCAGCCAGCUGAUCAUUAGAAGAAAUGAACCUGACAUCAAGAGCUCCAGAAGCAACACGCUCACGCACAAAGUGGAAGUCAAUCUCGAUGUGCUUGGUGCGUGCAUGAAAAACUGGGUUGGCAGUCAGAUAUGUGGCUCCUAAAUUAUCACACCAUAGAACAGGAACACGCUGCUGGGAAACACCAAGCUCCUUGAGUAGUGAUUCUACCCAAAUGGCCUCAGCAGCUCCAUUUGCCAAGGCUUUGUACUCAGCCUCCGUACUAGAUCUCGACACCGUCGGUUGCUUCUUCGAACUCCAGGAGAUGAGAUUUGGGCCAACAAAGAUGGCAAAGCCUCCAGUGGAUCGUCGAUCAUCAGGACACCCGGCCCAGUCUGCGUCAGUGAAAAUACUAAUGCUGGUGGAGACAACCUUCCGAAACUUCAGGCCAGUUUGCAAUGUUCCCUUUACAUAGAGCAGGAUGCGCUUAACAGCUUCCCAAUGAACAUCAGUGGGCUAUGAGAGAAACUGGCAUACCUUGUUCACUGCAAAUGAAAUGUCUGGGCGAGUGAGAGUCAAAUACUGCAAUCCACCAACGACAUUGCGAUACCGGAAAGAAUCAUCGGCACCGAGAGGCUGUCCAGACACCCGUGCAAGCUGGUCGGAGGUAGACAACGGUGUGGAAGUGGACUUACAAUUCUCCAUGUUCACACGAUGUAAAAGAUCCAUGGCAUACUUCUGUUGUGUCAAGGUCAUACCCCCUGAAUUGUAUGACGCUUCCAAGCCAAGAAAGUACUCCAACAGCCCAAGAUCCUUAAUAGGAAAGGUGGCCGCAAGCGAAUCGACAAGACCGUCAACUGCACGUGGAGAAGAGCCAGCGAUAACAAUAUCAUCCACAUAGACAAGCAUGUAUAUCUGAACAUCCUGAUGGCGGAAGAAAAACAGAGAGGCGUCGGCGCGAGAGGGAAGAAACCCCAACUGGAGGAGACGAGAGCUGAGCCGAGCAUACCAUGCGCGGGGGGACUGUUUGAGUCCAUAGAGAGCCCGCUGCAACUUGCACACAUGAGAGGGAUACCGAGCGUCCUCAAAACCUGGUGGUUGCUGCAUGUAGACAUCCUCAGACAAGUAACCAUGAAGGAAGGCAUUGCUGACAUCAAUCUGACGGAGAAUCCAUCCGCGAGACACAGCUAGAGCAAGAACCAGUCGAACGGUGGCUGGCUUGACAACCGGACUGGACGUAUCACCAUAGUCAAUGCCAAGCUGUUGGGUGAAAUCACGCGCGACCAGACGAGCUUUAUGCUUGUCAAUGGAGCCAUCCGGACGAUGCUUGGUCUUGAAGAUCCACUUGCUCCCAACGACAUUAACACCACGCGGACGAGGCACAAGAACCCAAGUCCUGUUGCGACGCAGAGCGUCCAGCUCAUCCAUCAUGGUGGUGCGCCAAGCAUGCUCACGGAGGGCAUCGCGAUGAGAUACAGGCAUAGCGUGGAAAGCACGGCGGCGAGGAUCAUAGGGGGCAAUUCCAUCAGUGGGAACAAGCGCACGACGAGUAUGAUCGCGGGUGCGCGUGACCAUGGUGUGGCCCGGAGCAGCUGGAGGCGUCGCGGUUGAGGGGACAGGGCUGCCCUCAACAGAAGGCGACGCGAGCUGGUCGGACGGCGAGGAGGGAGCAGCAGCCUCCUGCGUGGCAGCAGGCGAUGAAGUAGCCGGUGCUGGCGCUGAUGAUGGGCCAGGGGAGGCUGGCGCGGUCGCUGGGCUGGGGGACGUGCAUGUGCCAUGCACGUCGAUCGCCGGGGAGGUCGGCGCGUCCGCAGCGGGCUGACCAGCCGAGCGGCCCGCAAAGGGCGGGGACGUCGCGGACGAUGAGCCGGGCGACGAGGCAGCCGACGAGGCAGCCGACGAGCCGGGCGACGUGCAUGCGCCAUGCACGUCGAUCACCAAGGAGGGAGGAGCGGCAUCCUGGUUUGCCUGCACAGAAGCAAUAUGGCCUGGAAUAGGCGGAUCAGUAGAUAGGUAGGAUAAGUCGUAUUUACGCAUAUGGUCACCCGUAACCGGCUCAUUGGAAGGAAACGAGAGAACAUCAGCCAAGGAGGAGAUAUCGAUGGUGACCCCAGGUGUGGCAUAUGGAAACACAGACUCAUCAAACACAACAUCACGGGAGAUGUAGAUACGACCCGUGGAACGGUCGAGACAUUUGUACCCCUUAUGCAGCUGGCUAUAACCUAAGAACACACACAUAGUGGACCGGAAAGCAAGCUUGUGAGCGUUAUAUUUGUGCAAGCUAGGCAGCAGGCGCACCCAAAGGUGCGGAGAAAGGUGUAAUUGGGUUUGACUUUAAGGAGGCGGUACAGGGGUGUAUCUUGUUGGAGAACAGGUGUAGGCAUGCGAUUAAUCAAGUAACAUGCAGCAAGGAAAGCUUCGUCCCAAUACCGUAAAGGGGGAGACGAAUGAGCCAAUAAGGCCAGACCUGUUUCCACAAGAUGACAGUGUUUGCAUUCAGCAAUCCCGUUUUGCUGAGAGGUGUGUGGGCAGGACACACGAUGAGAGAUCCCAGUGCGUUGGAAAUAGCGGUGUAAUUUGUGGUACUCACCACCCCAGUCUGACUGAGCGGAUAUGAUUUUAGUGCGGAGAAGACGCUCAACAUGAGCCUGAAAAGCAUAAAAUACUUGCUCAACGUCAGACUUGUGCUUAAGAAGAUACAUCCAAGUGAAACGGGAAUAAUCAUCGACAAAGCUCACACAAUACUUAUAGCCUCCUGAAGAGGCAAGAGCAGGCCCCCAAACAUCAGAUGAAUUAACUCAAGAGGCAUAGUAGAAACAUGAGUGGAUAAAGUAUAUGGUAAUUGUCGACUCUUAGCACGCUGACAAGCAUCACACACUGAAAAAUGACUUUCAGAAGAACACACUAAAUCAUUGCUCUUAACAAUGUCUUGAACAAUUUUAUUUGAGGGAUGACCGAGACGCUGAUGCCACUGGGAUGAGGUGGUCUUGACACUGAGAGACACGUGGCGAGUGGAGGAAGACGACGCGCGACCAAACGGGAUGGGGUAGAGGCCGCCACGACUUCUACCGCGAAGAAGAAUUUUCUUCGUGGCUAUGUCCUUAACAAGGAAAAAGAAACGGUGAAAUUCUACAAAAACAUCAUUAUCAAGAACAAGUCGAUAAACGGACAAUAGAUGUUGAUGUAUAUGUGGAAGACGAAGAAUAUUGCGUAAACGCAGAGAUGAACUGGGUAUAGUGGAAUGACCAAUAUGCGAAAUAGACAAACCUGCACCGUUCGCCACUUGCACUUGAUCCUUCCCGCCAUAGCGCUCAUGGAAGUGAAGACGGUCAAGAUCACUCGUCAGGUGAUCCGUCGCACCGGUGUCCAGGAUCCAGUGCGGUGGUUCAUGCGUGGAGGUGGAGUUGGAGGCAGAGUUGGCGGCGCGGUGGUCGCGGUCAUAGCGGCCGCGACAGUCCGUCGCCUCAUGCCCCCAGUUCUUGCAUAUCUGGCACCUAGGGCGCCAGCGACGGCGGCCACCCCAUUGCCUCCUCCAUUGCGGCCGUUGCCGCCGGUGUUGCCGUUGUUACGGCCAGGGGCACCGCCCUGGGCGGAGCCGUAGCUCACCGAUCCAGGCGGAAGAGAGGCGGCGGAGGAGCGGCCGCCACUUGGGCGUCCGAAAUCGGGCACACGACCGGCGUGAUCGUGGUAGGCCGACCGAGAGGCGGCGUUUGCGGAGGACUGCCAGUCCUCAACUUCCGAUUGCUGCUGCUGUAGGGCCUCGUAGUGGAGGACGUUGGAGUAGAACGCCGGAAACGUGAUCGGCACGCCGGCGAAGUUCAUCGAAGCAGCGAUGGGGUUGAACGCCGAGCCGAGCCCGGUCAGCAUGUAGUCGAUGAUCUCGUCAUCACGAAGAGGAGAACCGGCGGCGGCCAUCGAGUCGGCGAGAGAUUUAACCUUCUGCAUGUACUCGCCGGCGGGUCUAUCUCCUUUGCGUAGCGCCUGGAUCUGGCGCCGAAGGUUGCGCACGCCGGCGCUGUUCUCGGCGGUGAACAUGGUGUGCACAGCAGCCCAUGCAGCAGCCACCGUCCUGCAGCCGAUCAACUGCGCGGAUAUCUCCAUGCUCAUGGAGCCAAGGAGAUGCCCGAGGACCUUUUGAUCAAGAGUCCACCACUGCUCGUAUUCGGGGUUGGUGAUGGUACGAGCGGUGUCACCGGUGCCUGUCGUCACGGUCGGCUCCGGCGCCUUGGCCGAGCCAUCGAGGAACCCGUGGAGGCGUACGCCGGCGAAGUUGGGGAGAGCGAGAGCCCUCCACAGCAUGAAAUUACUGCGGUCGAGAGAGACCGCGAUGGGCGGAAGGAUGGGAGCGGGAGCCGAUGCCGAUGGUGGCGCGAUGACGGGGGCGGACACGGUGAGGGCGAGGGCAGAGGACGUGGUCAUCGCGGCGGCCGAUGAGGAGGACUGAUCGGCGGCGGGCGACUUGGACAUCGCGGCGGCCGCGAGGAGGGCUGGCGGUGGCGGCAGAGGGAGGAGAGGCGGCGGCGGCUAGGUAGGCUCUAAUACCAAGUUUAAGAAUAGGUUUAGGGUUUUCCGUGGGGCAAUGUCUCUCCACGUCUUUCUAUAUAUAAUGAUCAGUAUACAUAAGUUACAUACGUACAUAAUACGUGUACAUGACACGCUAGACCUAUUUAAACAGACAUCCCCCUCGGUGAUACUCCGGCUGCACGGCGAUCCGCACCUGCCCUGUCAGAACGGAUUCAGGAUGCACUAGCACCUGUACCGAAGCGUAAAAACAUAAAGUAGUUAAUCGCAAAAGCCGCACAUGCAGUUUUACUACUCAGUUUUCACCCCCUGCUUUACUACUCAGUUUUCACUACUCUGUUUUUUCUGUUCCACCGGUGAGCCCAACCCUCCCAGCCGGCGUCAGUAAUCUGCACCUCCAGUGUACCCGCGUGGGUUCAGACUGCUUUUGGCCAUUCUGGGACAAAAAAUGGUUUUGGCCAACCACACAAGGAUCAUAGUUCGUUUGUGCCAUAUUUAAAUGACAUUAAUUUGCAUGCUGUUUUCUAAUCUUACAUCUUACAUUCUUAAGAAGUUGGUCCCAAUUCUCUCAACAUACAAAGUGUCCAUCUCAACAUCCUACUAAGCAACGUAUAUGUUUUCUCUCCCACUAACCCAUGCAAAAUCAGCCACAUAUGCACUUCAACAUCCCACUAAGCAAUGUAUUAAAGUCUUUUCUCCAACUAAGCCAUGUAAAAUCCGCCACAUAAACGAGUCAUGCAUUUAACUUAUAAAUUAUAGUUAUUUUGCAAUAGUCUAUGCAUAUAACUACCACCUCAUCUAUUCAUGUUAGUCAUCAUUCACAUUUUUGUUCGAAAUGACUCUUUUUAACUAUAAUUCAAAAGUUUUUAUUCUAUUUUUAGACACUUUCUUGUAUCGAUUUCAAGCUUAUAAUUUCUUUUCACUAGAUCUAAUUAUUUUUAGCAACUACUUACGCAAACAAAGUUACCACAACAACGUGCGGGGAGAGAGUCAUCCUCACUACUCUAUUUAUCUUGACAUACACACAUGCCAACUCAGCUAUCAUGGUCAUGCCAUAUCAACAAACAUGCAAUAAACUAACAAAUUUCCCUGCUCUACCGUGAUGCCAUGGCAUUACUUAUGUUUUCAUUUUUUCUUCUUUGCUUCAGUUUACUAACGUGAUUCCACUAUCUCCUCCACGCAAAAAGAGGCAACUGAAAUGGUUGGCUGUUCACAUCCCAAUUAUCUCAGUAAUAUUCAACUUCUCCACGAAACAAAUCUAGGAGUAGCAGCUGAAGGCAUCGCUUCAUUGCCUCAUAACUGAAGGAAAUAUGCCCUAGAGGCAAUAAUAAAGUUAUUAUUUAUUUCCUUAUAUCAUGAUAAAUGUUUAUUAUUCAUGCUAGAAUUGUAUUACCCGGAAACAUGAUACAUGUGUGAAUACAUAGACAAACAUAAUGUCACUAGUAUGCCUCUACUAGACUAGCUCAUUAAUCAAAGAUGGUUAUGUUUCCUAACCAUAGACAUGUGUUGUUAUUUGAUUAACGGGAUCACAUCAUUAGGAGAAUGAUGUGAUUGACUUGACCCAUUCCGUUAGCCUAGCACUUGAUCGUUUAGUAUGUUGCUAUUGCUUUCUUCAUGACUUAUACAAAAGUUCCUACAACUAUGAGAUUAUGCAACUCACGUUUACCGGAGGAACACUUUGUGUGCUACCAAACGUCACAACAUAACUGGGUGAUUAUAAAGGAGCUCUACAGGUGUCUCCGAAGGUACAUGUUGAGUUGGCGUAUUUCGAGAUUAGGUUUUGUCACUCCGAUUGUCGGAGAGGUAUCUCUGGGCCCUCUCGGUAAUGCACAUCACUAUAAGCCUUGCAAGCAAUGUAGCUAAUGAGUUAGUUACAAAAUGAUGCAUUACCUAACGAGUAAAGAGACUUGCCGGUAACGAGAUUCAACUAGGUAUUGGAUACCGACGAUCGAAUCUCGGGCAAGUAACAUACCGAUGACAAAGGGAACAACGUAUGUUGUUAUGCGGUUUGACCGAUAAAGAUCUUCGUAGAAUAUGUAGGAGCCAAUAUGAGCAUCCAGGUCCCGCUAUUGGUUAUUGACCGGAAACAGUUCUAGGUCAUGUCUACAAAGUUCUCGAACCCGUAGGGUCCGCACGCUUAACAUUACGAUGACAGUUUUAUUAUGAGUUUAUAAGUUUUGAUGUACCAAAGGUUGUUCGGAGGCCCGGAUGUGAUCACGGACAUGACGUGGAGUCUCGAAAUGGUCGAGACAUAAAGAUUGAUAUAUUGGACUACUAUAUUCGAACACCGGAAGUGUUCCGGGUGAUUUCGGAAAAAACCGGAGUGCCGGAGGGGUUACCGGAACCCCCCGGGGAAGUAUUGGGCCUUAGUGGGCCUGAGGGGAGAGAGAGGGCAGCAUCCCAGGAGGUGGCGCGCCCCCUCCCAUGAGGAGUCCGAAUUGGACUAGGGGAGGGGGGCGCGGCCUCUCUUUCCCUCUCCCUCUCCCUCUCUUUCCUUCCCCCUUCCCCCUUCCUAGUUGGACUAGGAAAGGGGAGUCCUACUCCCACUAGGAGGAGGACUCCCCCCUCCUUGGCGCGCCCCUAGGGCCGGCCGUCCUCCCCCCUUGCUCCUUUAUAUACGGGGGCAGGGGGCACCUCUAGACACACAAGUUGAUCUUCGUGAUCGUUCCUUAGUCGUGUGCGGUGCCCCCCUCCACCUUAUUCCACCUCGGUCAUAUCGUAGCGGUGCUUAGGCGAAGCCCUGCGUCGGUAGAACAUCAUCAUCGUCACCACGCCGUCGUGCUGACGGAACUCAUCCCUGACACCCUGCUGGAUCGGAGUCCAGGGAUCGUCAUCGAGCUAAACGUGUGCUGAACUCGAAGGUGCCGUGCGUUCGGUACUUGGAUCGAUCGGAUCGUGAAGACGUACGACUACAUAAACCGCGUUGUCAUAACGCUUCCGCUUUCGGUCUACGAGGGUACGUGGACAACACUCUCCCCUCUCAUUGCUAUGCAUCACCGUGAUCUUGCGUGUGCGUAGGAAUUUUUUUGAAAUUACUACGUUCCCCAACAGUGGCAUCCGAGCCUGGUUUUAUGCAUAGAUGUCAUAUGCACGAGUAGAACACAAGUGAGUUGUGGGCGAUACAAGUCAUACUGCUUACCAGCAUGUCAUACUUUGGUUCAGCGGUAUUGUGAGAUGAAGCGGCCCGGACCGACAUUACGCGUAUGCUUACGCGAGACUGGUUUCACCGUUACGAGCACUCGUUGCUUAAAGGUGACCGGCGGGUGUCUGUCUCUCUCACUUUAGUUGAACCGAGUGUGGCUACGCCCGGCCCUUGCGAAGGUUAAAACAGCACUAACUUGACGAACUAUCAUUGUGGUUUUGAUUCGUAGGUAAGAACGGUUCUUGCUCAGCCCGUAGCAGCCACGUAAAAUUUGCAACAACAAAGUAGAGGAUGUCUAACUUGUUUUUGCAGGGCAUGUUGUGAUGUGAGAUGGUCAAGACGUGAUGCUAUAUUUUAUUGUAUGAGAUGAUCAUGUUUUUUAACCGAAGUUAUCGGCAACUGGCAGGAGCCAUAUGGUUGUCGCUUUAUUGUAUGAAAUGCAAACGCCCUGUAAUUGCUUUACUUUAUCACUAAGCGGUAGCGAUAGUCGUAGAAGCAAUAGAUGGUGUAACGACAACGAUGCUACGAUGGAGAUCAAGGUGUCGCGCCGGUGACGAUGGUCACGACGGUGCUUUGGAGAUGGAGAUCACAAGCACAAGAUGAUGAUGACCAUAUCAUAUCACUUAUAUUGAUUGCAUGUGAUGUUUAUCCUUUAUGCAUCUUAUCUUGCUUUGAUUGACGGUAGAAUUUUAAGAUGAUCUCUCACUAAAUUAUCAAGAAUUGUUCUCCCUGAGUAUACACCGUUGCGAAAGUUCUUCUUGCUGAGACACCACGUGAUGAUCGGGUGUGAUAGGCUCUAUGUUCAAAUACAACGGGUGCAAAACAGUUGCACACGCGGAAUAUUCAGGUUAAACUUGACGAGCCUAGCAUAUACAAAUAUGGCCUCGAAACACGGAGACCGAAAGGUCGAACGUGAAUCAUAUAGUUGAUAUGAUCAACAUAGUGAUGUUCACCAUUGAAACUACUCCAUCUCACGUGAUGAUCGGACAUGGUUUAGUUAAUUUGGAUCACGUGAUCACUUAGAUGGCUAGAGAGAUGUCUGUCUAAGUGGGAGUUCUUAAGUAAUAUGAUUAAUUGAACUUAAAUUUAUCAUGAACUUAGUACCUGAUAGUAUUUUGCUUGUCUAUGUUUGUUGUAGAUAGAUGGCUCGUGAUGUUGUUCCGUUGAAUUUUAAUGCGUUCCUUGAGAAAGCUAAGUUGAAAGAUGAUGGUAGCAAUUACACGGGCUGGGUCCGUAACCUGAGGAUUAUCCUCAUUGCUGCACAGAAGAAUAACGUCCUGGAUGCAUCGCUGGGUGCCAGGCCUGCUGCAGAUGCAACUAACAAUGUUAAGUACGUCUGACAGAGCAAAGCUGAUGACUACUCGAUAUUUUAGUGUGCCAUGCUUUACGACUUGGAACCGGGUCUUCAACGACGUUUUGAACGUCAUGGAGCAUAUGAGAUGUUCCAGGAGUUGAAGUUAAUAUUUUAAGCAAAUGCCCGGUUUGAGAGAUAUGAAGUCUCCAAUAAGUUCUAUAGCUGUAAGAUGGAGGAGAAUAGUUCUGUCAGUGAACACAUACUCAAAAUGUCUGGGUAUAAUAAUCACUUGAUUCAACUGGCAGUUAAUCUUCCUGAUGAUAGUGUCAUUGACAGAAUUCUUCAAUCACUGCCACCAAGCUACAAGAGCUUCGUGAUGAACUAUAAUAUGCAAGGGAUGGACAAGACUAUUCCCGAGCUCUUCGCGAUGCUAAAAGAUGCGGAGGUAGAAAUCAAGAAGGAGCAUCAAGUGUUGAUGGUCAACAAGACCACCAGUUUCAAGAAAAAGGGCAAAGGGAAGAAGAAGGGGAACUUCAAGAAGAACAACAAACAAGUUGCUGCUCAAGAGAAGAAACCCAAGUCUGGACCUAAGCCUGAGACUGAGUGCUUCUACUGCAAGCAGACUGGACACUGGAAGCGGAACUGCCCCAAGUAUUUGGCGGAUAAGAAGGAUGGCAAAAUGAACAAAGGUAUAUGUGAUAUACAUGUUAUUGAUAUGUACCUUACUAAUGCUCGCAUUAGUACCUGGGUAUUUGAUACUGGUUCUGUUGCUAAUAUUUGCAACUCGAAAUAGGGACUACGGAUUAAGCGAAGAUUGGCUAAGGACGAGGUGACGAUGCGCGUGGGAAAUGGUUCCAAAGUCGAUGUGAUCGCGGUCGGCACACUACCUCUACAUCUACCAUCGGGAUUAGUUUUAGAUCUAAAUAAUUGUUAUUUGGUGCCAGCGUUGAGCAUGAACAUUUUAUCUGGAUCUUGUUUGAUGCGAUACGAUUAUUCAUUUAAAUCAGAGAAUAAUGGUUGUUCUAUUUGUAUGAGUAAUAUCUUUUAUGCUCAUGCUCCUUGAAGAGUGGUCUAUUUUUAUCGAAUCUCGAUAGUAGUGAUACACAUAUUCAUAAUGUUGAAGCCAAAAGAUGCAGAGUUGAUAAUGAUAGUGCAACUUAUUUGUGGCACUGUCAUUUAGGUCAUAUCGGUGUAAAGCGCAUGAAGAAACUCCAUACUGAUGGACUUUUGGAAUCACUUGAUUAUUAAUCACUUGGUACUUGCGAACCGUGCCUCAUGGGCAAGAUGACUAAACCGCCGUUCUCCGGAACUAUGGAGCGAGCAACUGAUUUAUUGGACAUCAUACAUACUGAUGUAUGUGGUCCAAUGAAUAUUGAGGCUCGCGGCGGGUAUCGUUAUUUUCUCACCUUCACAGAUGAUUUGAGCAGAUAUGGGUAUACCUACUUGAUGAAACACAAGUUUGAAACAUUUGAAAAGUUCAAAGAAUUUUAGAGUGAAGUGGAAAAUCAUCGUAACAAGAAAAUAAAAUUUCUACGAUCUGAUCGUGGAGGAGAAUAUUUGAGUUACGAGUUUGGUUUACAUUUGAAGCAAUGCAGAAUAGUUUCGCAACUCACGCCACCCGGAACACCACAGCGAAAUGGUGUGUCCGAAUGUCGUAAUCGUACUUUACUAGAUAUGGUGCGAUCUAUGAUGUCUCUUACUGAUUUACCGCUAUUGUUUUGGGGUUAUGCUUUAGAGACGGUUGCAUUCAUGUUAAAUAGGGCACCAUCAAAAUCCGUUGAGACGACGCCUUAUGAAUUGUGGUUUGGCAAGAAACCAAAGUUAUCAUUUCUUAAAGUUUGGGGCUGCGAUGCUUAUGUGAAGGAACUUCAACCAGAUAAGCUCGAACCCAAAUCGGAGAAAUGUGUCUUCAUAGGAUACCCAAAAGAGACUAUUGGGUACACCUUCUAUCACAGAUUUGAGGGCAAGAUAUUCGUUGCUAAAUUCGGAUCCUUUCUAGAGAAGGAGUUUCUCUCGAAAGAAGUGAGUGGGAGGAAAGUAGAACUUGAUGAGGUAACUGUACCUGCUCCCUUAUUGGAAAGUAGUUCAUCACAAGAACUAGUUUCUGUGACAACUACACCAAUUAGUGAGGAAGCUAAUGAUAUUGAUCAUGAAACUUCAGAUCAAGUUUCUACUGAACCUCGUAGGUCUACCAGAGUAAGAUCCGCACUAGAGUGGUACGGUAAUCCUAUUCUGGAAGUCAUGUUACUUGACCAUGGAGAACCUACGAAUUAUGAGGAAGCGAUGAUGAGCCCAGAUUCCGCAAAAUGGCUUGAAGCCAUGAAAUCUGAGAUGGGAUCCAUGUAUGAGAACAAAGUAUGGACUUCGGUUGACUUGUCCGAUGAUCGACAAGCCAUUGAGAAUAAAUGGAUCUUCAAGAAGAAGACUGACGCUGAUGGUAAUGUAACUGUCUACAAAGCUCGACUUGUUGUGAAAGGUUUUUGACAAGUUCAAGGGGGUGACUAUGAUGAGACUUUCUCACCCGUAGCGAUGCUUAAGUCUGUCCGAAUCAUGUUAGCAAUUGCCGCAUUUUAUGAUUAUGAAAUUUGGCAAAUGGAUGUCAAAACUGCAUUCCUGAAUGGAUUUCUGGAAGAAGAGUUGUAUAUGAUGCAACCAGAAGGUUGUCUAUCCAAAAGGUGCUAACAAAGUGUGCAAGUUCCAGCGAUCUAUUUAUGGACUGGUGCAAGCAUCUCGGAGUUGGAAUAAACGCUUUGAUAGUGUGAUCAAAGCAUAUGGUUUUAUACAGACUUUUGGAGAAGCCUGUAUUUACAAGAAAGUGAGUGGGAGCUCUGUAGCAUUUCUGAUAUUAUAUGUAGAUGACAUAUUGUUAAUUGGAAAUGAUAUAGAAUUUCUGGAUAGCAUAAAGGGAUACUUGAAUAAAAGUUUUUCGAUGAUAGACCUCGGUGAAGCUGCUUACAUAUUGGGCAUCAAGAUCUAUAGAGAUAGAUCAAGACGCUUAAUUGGACUUUCACAAAGCACAUACCUUGAUAAAGUUUUGAAAAAGUUCAAAAUGGAUCAGGCAAAGAAAGGGUUCUUGCCUGUAGUACAAGGUGUGAAGUUGAGUCAGACUCAAUGCCCGACCACAGCAGAAGAUAGAGAGAAAAUGAAAGAUGUUCCCUAUGCUUCAGCCAUAGGCUCUAUCAUGUAUGCAAUACUGUGUAGCAGACCUGACGUAUGCUUAGCAAUAAGCUUGGCAGGUAGGUACCAAAGUAAUCCAGGAGUGGAUCACUGGACAACGGUCAAGAACAUCCUGAAAUACCUGAAAAGGACUAAGGAUACGUUUCUCGUUUAUGGAGGUGACAAAGAGCUAGUCGUAAAUGGUUACGUCGAUGCAAGCUUUGACACUGAUCCGGAUGAUUCUAAAUCGCAAACCGGAUACGUGUUUUUAUUAAACGGUGGAGCUGUAAGUUGGUGCAGUUCUAAACAAAGCGUCGUGGCGGGAUCUACAUGCGAAGCGGAGUACAUAGCUGCUUCGGAAGCAGCAAAUGAAGGAGUCUGGAUGAAGGAGUUCAUUUCCGAUCUAGGUGUCAUACCUAGUGCAUCGGGACCAAUGAAUCCAGAUUGCCUUGGCAAAGGAAUCCAGAUUUCACAAGAGGACCAAGCACAUCAAGAGACGCUUUAAUUCCAUCCGGGACCAAGUCCAGGUGGGAGACAUAGAGAUUUGCAAGAUACAUACGGAUCUGAAUGUUGCAGACCCAUUGACUAAGCCUCUUCCAGGAGCAAAACAUGAUCAACACCAAGACUCCAUGGGUGUUAGAAUCAUUAUUGUGUAAUCUAGAUUAUUGACUCUAGUGCAAGUGGGAGACUGAAGGAAAUAUGCCCUAGAGGCAAUAAUAAAGUUAUUAUUUAUUUCCUCAUGUCAUGGUAAAUGUUUAUUAUUCAUGCUAGAAUUGUAUUACCCAGAAACAUGAUACAUGUGUGAAUACAUAGAGAAACAUAAUGUCACUAGUAUGCCUCUACUAGACUAGCUCAUUAAUCAAAGAUGGUUAUGUUUCCUAACCAUAGACAUGUGUUUUCAUUUGAUUAACGGGAUCACAUCACUAGGAGAAUUAUGUGAUUGACUUGACCCAUUCCGUUAGCCUAGCACUUGAUCGUUUAGUAUGUUGCUAUUGCUUUCUUCAUGACUUAUACAAAAGUUCCUACAACUAUGAGAUUAUGCAACUCCCGUUUACCGGAGGAACACUUUGUGUGCUACCAAACGUCACAACAUAACUGGGUGAUUAUAAAGGAGCUCUACAGGUGUCUCCGAAGGUACAUGUUGAGUUGGUGUAUUUCGAGAUUAGGUUUUGUCACUCCGAUUGUCGGAGAGGUAUCUCUGGGCCCUCUCGGUAAUGCACAUCACUAUAAGCCUUGCAAGCAAUGUAGCUAAUGAGUUAGUUACAAAAUGAUGCAUUACCUAACGAGUAAAGAGACUUGCCGGUAACGAGAUUCAACUAGGUAUUGGAUACCGACGAUCGAAUCUCGGGCAAGUAACAUACCGAUGACAAAGGGAACAACAUAUGUUGUUAUGCGGUUUGACAGAUAAAGAUCUUCGUAGAAUAUGUAGGAGCCAAUAUGAGCAUCCAGGUUCCGCUAUUGGUUAUUGACCGGAAACAGUUCUAGGUCAUGUCUACAAAGUUCUCGAACCCGUAGGGUCCGCACGCUUAACAUUACGAUGACAGUUUUAUUAUGAGUUUAUAAGUUUUGAUGUACCAAAGGUUGUUCGGAGUCCCGGAUGUGAUCACGGACAUGACGUGGAGUCUCGAAAUGGUCGAGACAUAAAGAUUGAUAUAUUGGACGAUUAUAUUCGGACACCGGAAGUGUUCCGGGUGAUUUCGGAGAAAACCGGAGUGCGGGAGGGGUUACCGGAACCCCCCGGGGAAGUAUUGGGCCUUAGUGGGCCUGAGGGGAGAGAGAGGGCAGCAGCCCAGGAGGUGGCACUCCCCCUCCCAUGAGGAGUCCGAAUUGGACUAGGGGAGGGGGCGCCGCCCCUCUUUCCCUCUCCCUCUCCCUCUCUUUCCUUCCCCCUUCCCCCUUCCUAAUUGGACUAGGAAAGGGGAGUCCUACUCCCACUAGGAGGAGGACUCCCCCCUCCUUGGCGCGCCCCUAGGGCCGGCCGUCCUCCCCCCUUGCUCCUUUAUAUACGGGGGCAGGGGGACACCUCUAGACACACAAGUUGAUCUUCGUGAUCGUUCCUUAGCCGUGUGCGGUGCCCCCCUCCACCAUAUUCCUCCUCGGUCAUAUCGUAGCGGUGCUUAGGCGAAGCCCUGCAUCGGUAGAACAUCAUCAUCGUCACCACACCGUCGUGCUGACGGAACUCAUCCCCGACACCAUGCUGGAUCGGAGUCCGGGGAUCGUCAUCGAGCUGAACGUGUGCUGAACUCGGAGGUGCGGUGCAUUCGGUACUUGGAUCGGUCGGAUCGUGAAGACGUACGACUACAUCAACCGCGUUGUCAUAACGAUUCCGCGUCUACGAGGGUACGUGGACAACACUCUCCCCUCUCGGUUCUAUGCAUCACCAUGAUCUUGCGUGUGCGUAGAAUUUUUUUUUGAAAUUACUACGUUCCCCAACAAUAACAUGUCCUUCUCGCAUAAGUUCUUGUAAUAAAUAGCAACGACUUCAUCACCUCACGAGGAUUCAUGAUUUUUUCCCUUCCCUGUUCUAUCUCUUCCACAGAACCUAGACCAACGUGGGUACUGUACGUCUAUACAUACCUAGAUGUUCAGAGGUUGACGUUGGUACAGAAAUAUGAUGACACCGAUUUUGUUGUGGCCAUGGACAGCAUCGGUGCCGAGAUAGGGACAAUAACCAGGCGGGACGAGAGGGCGAAGCACUACAUGUCAUCAACCAUGCCGGCCAAAUCGGACGAGGGUGCCACAGUCGCGGGGCGCACUACCGCUGAUGAUAUUACCGCGAGCAACACCAUGAAGCCGCCUUGAUCAAGCCAUCUGGCCUGCCUUCUCCCGCAAUGUCAUGCAGCCCAGCAGGGUGAGGCAUGCGCACGUCCCACAUUUCUUACAGUUUCUCCAUCACUAUCAUCAGUCUGAUUUCGAUCCGCUAAACGAGUAGGUCACUGCAUUGCGUCACCGUCACUAGGAUAUGUGGUUGGCCUCCGCCUGCAUGCUCCACCUAUCCUCGCAACAUCUGUUGAUUCAACUGCAACACAUUCAAUCGUUGUAAAGGGGAGAAACAACCUUCAGGUAUGGCUCUUAAAUUCCGGUGCUUCCUUUGUACCAUUUCUCGCAUAAGCUGCCACAACGUCUAUUUUAUAACACUAUAUGCUAUACAUACAUAUAACACUAUGUAAGUUCAGCGAAGUCACAUACCCAAAAAAGAUUAGCAUUGGGGGUUCAUUCAAGGUGCAGACAUGUAAUUUGCAUCCCGGUAUUAAUUGCUACUUUUUUGUUAGCAGCACAUCAAAUGUAUUGUCUUCUUUCCAUUGAGAUGAUCUAAGGUAAGAUCCUCUGAAAGUUUGGUUAGAGAACUGAUCAUACUAAGUAAGUUAAUUUCAGAGUUACACACUUAUGAGAGCAAGAUAGAUUCACAUGACUACCGAGCCAACUCUAUCGUAGAGAACACAUAUAAAAACUGGUUUGCCGUCAAGUGAUGAAUAAUGCUGAUCGAGAGACCAUCAGCUGCUUCAAGAGUUUUUUUUUCUUUUAUUUUUGAGAGCGUUCCAGCUACAUCUUUUUUUUCAGCUACAGAGUUGACUGACUUGGGGAAGACCCGGGUCGCUCGGUUGGGUCAAGCCCGGCUGUGUGAGGCCCAAACCCACCAAGCCAGCCAACACCCUAGCUCGUCCUCCUCGCUCCUCACUCCUCUUCUCCCCGGCCGCCACCUUCUCCUGCUCACCCACUUCCUCCUCCGCCGCCGUCUCACCCAAAUGCGCAUCACUGGACCACGAGAUCUAGCGAUUCGUGCCGCCCACCACACCCAUUGAUCGAUCUUCUUGCUCAUAGAUGCAGUAGUGAGCUGCUAAGGGGGGCUUCACCCUUCAUCCAUGGCGGUGGUGGGCGCCGCGCAUGGUAUGCUGGGUCCGCUGCUGGGGAAGCUCGCCGAGCUGCUCGCCGGCCAAUUCGGCCGCCUGCGAGGCAUCCGCAAGGACAUCCUCUCCCUCCAGGCCGAGCUGACCAGCAUGCACGCGGCGCUCCAGGAGUACACAAUGCUCGAAGAUCCGGGCGUCCAGGUGAAGGCCUGGAUAUCGCUGCUCAGGGAGCUGGCCUAUGAUACCGAGGAUUGCAUCGACAAGUUCAUCCGCCACCUCAGCAAACAUGGGCGUCGCGGCGGCUUCAAGGAGCUCUUCCGCAGGGCCGUUCACUCACUCAAGACGCUCGAUUCUCGCUGCGGGAUCGCCGACCAGAUCGAGGAGCUCAAGGCCCGCAUCAAGCAUGUGAAGGAGCUCAAGGUAGUUACAAGCUGAGUGGGACUGCUUGUCGCAAGACUGAGCAUGCGGCCGUGGAUCCUCGGCUGUGUGCUCUGUUUGCCGAGGAGGCAGGUGUGGAGGGUCCAAGAGAUGAUCUUGUCAAGUGGAUGUUGAAAGAAGAAACAAACAGCUCCACCAAGGAUCGUAAGGUGUUGUCAAUUGUUGGAUUUGGUGGAUUGGGGAAGACAACACUGGCAAAUGAGGUCUAUUGCAAGAUUAAAGGGCAUUUCGAUUGCCGGGCUUUUGUAUCAGUCUCACAAAAGCCAGUUAUAAAGAAUAUUAUCAAGGAUUUGAUCUACAAAGUGCCUUGCCCUGAUGAAUUCAGAAAAGAUAUUGAAAUUUGGGACGAAGCGGCAUCCAUUGCAAAGCUAAGGGAUCAAUAGCUCAUGUGCGACGUUUUUCAUGCGAAUUGGAAGGAGUGCAACGUUGUUGGAAUGAAUGGUUGUGAUGCGACGUUUUAGAAGCAAACAAUAGCUCCAAUGCGACAUGGCUCCUUUUAACCAUGAAAUGAAAAACACGAGGGGUUAGCUAUUUGAGUUAUGACACGCGGGACCUAGCAGUUACUCGCAUGCGGGUGGGACCCACAACUUAUCCACGCAAGCAUGCCCGUGCUCAUCUGCGUGCCCCGACCCGAGCCAGCCCCCCCCCCGCCCUCCAUUGCUUGCCCUGCCCCUUUCCUUUCCCACCUUCUUCUUCCUUUGCUCCGGCAACGAAGCGCGCCGCCGGCGAGUGAUGUCUAGCUCGACUUCGGCCUCCCGCCAAUCAUGGACGCAGUACGAUCCACUGCUGUUGACAAGAUGCCCCGAUUGCCCGUGCAUGGAGCCUCUGAAGCGUUUGACUNNNNNNNNNNNNNNNNNNNNNNNNNNNNNNNNNNNNNNNNNNNNNNNNNNNNNNNNNNNNNNNNNNNNNNNNNNNNNNNNNNNNNNNNNNNNNNNNNNNNNNNNNNNNNNNNNNNNNNNNNNNNNNNNNNNNNNNNNNNNNNNNNNNNNNNNNNNNNNNNNNNNNNNNNNNNNNNNNNNNNNNNNNNNNNNNNNNNNNNNNNNNNNNNNNNNNNNNNNNNNNNNNNNNNNNNNNNNNNNNNNNNNNNNNNNNNNNNNNNNNNNNNNNNNNNNNNNNNNNNNNNNNNNNNNNNNNNNNNNNNNNNNNNNNNNNNNNNNNNNNNNNNNNNNNNNNNNNNNNNNNNNNNNNNNNNNNNNNNNNNNNNNNNNNNNNNNNNNNNNNNNNNNNNNNNNNNNNNAGCGUUUGACUUGUGUGAGGAAAGAAAAUGGCAACCGUGGGCGCGAGUUUGUGAAAUGCUUGAGCAAGCCAUAGCCGGGGCAGGUUAGAUCUGUGUUCUUGACCAAUCCUAUGGUCUAAUUUCUCCCAAUUUCUUUCUUUCUUCCUCGAAUUAGGGCGGUAGAUCUAGGAUUCAUGCGCCGUCGGCCCCCUGUUUUUCAGGUUCUGAAGAAAUGUGGGCAUUUUGAGUGGCUCGAUGACUAUGUUGAAAGGUUGAAAUUGGAGGGAUCAACCAGAACCCAAGAGCUCAAUUUUGGGGGGUGGCUUGCCGUGGAACAAGCCCCCAAUUUGGCCGGACAGAGCCGAUCCGAUGAUGCACAGUGCAGAAUUGAAGUGUGAAUUGAAGAAAAUUGUCAAGCAACUAAAGCAUCUGAUCGAUUUGAAGCAGCAAGCAAAUAUGAUGGCUGGAGCAUUUUAUGGUUGUGUCAUUGCUAUGGGUUUAUUUUACUUGAUGUUCAUCAAUCGCUAGAAUUUGUUAGAGUUUCAGUUAGCGUGUCAACUAGUUUCAGGGGUGCCCAGUAGUUUGAGUUAGCCAGGGAUCAUUUGUUAGAUUUGAAUUAGUGUGAAGCAAAACUUGCUUGAAUUAUUGUAAUAAUAUUCUCAGGGGCCCUAUUCAGUGUUCAUGCUCUGUUUCCUCUGUUUUUGUUUUUCAGCUAACAGAGUACACACCCAAAUUCAGUUUCUAGUAAAAAAACCUGGGCUGCCGAAUAGAUGUUGGGCCGUGAGAAAAUGGACCCUGAGAAAAUAACCAUGCCCAAGACCAGCAUCGACCACCAUGUUAAACAAGAAAGGGAAGAAGGGGUCACCCUACCUCACCCCACAGAAGGUGGGGAAGUAAGGACCGAUCUUGCCAUUGAUGUUCACCGCGGUUCAUCCGGAAGAGACCAUCUGCAUGACCCUGGUAACCCAGCGUUCAUCGAACCCUUUCUGGAGUAACACCUCCCGAAGGAAGGACCAACUGACCGUGUUGUAGGCUUUGUGGAAGUCUAACUUCAGGAAGACGGCCUUGAUGUGCUUGGAGCGGACCUCAUGGAGGACUUCAUGGAGACUAGGACGCCGUCUAGAAUAUAUUGGCCUUUGAUGAAGGCCGACUGGUCAGGGUGGGUAAUGUGGUCGGCCAAGGGGGUUACCGUAUUGGCAUACCUCUUUGGUAGAAUGCGGAAGAUCACAUUGAUGACUGUGAUUGUGUGGUUCCUUAUGUCCGAGGCUCCAGGAACCUUGGGGAACAAUGUGAUGACCCCAAAGCUAAGGCGGGGGAGGUCCAUGGUACCUACAUAAAAUCCUCGAAGAGGGCCAUCACCUCCUGCGUAAUAAUGCUCAAGAAGGUCUGGAAGAUCUUCACCGAAAGGCCGUCCGGGCCUAGAGUGGACAUCAGGUUCAUUCCUUUAAUGGCAGUCCAGACCUCUUCCUUAGAGAACGGGUCUUGAGGGCGGCAUUCUCUGCUAUCGAGAUGUGUUGGUGUGCGUUCCAGAAGUCGUCCGCCAAAGCUACGCCACCCCUAGGGAGCCCGAAGAUACCAAUCACCAUACAACCGGAGGACCCACUUCUAGGUACCGUGGAUACGCCAAUAGGCCUCCUCUUCGGUGUAGAUGACAAUGAGCUGAUCUUCAAGAUCGUACCGAAGCAUCCAUUCGGUAGGAGAAAGGCCCACCGAGUCAGUCCGGAGGUCCAGAACCUGGAUAGAAUCAAGGAGGGAUUUCUUGUGUUUCCGAAGGUCCCACCCUAGGUUCGCACCCUAGCCCUUCAUAAAUUGCCAUAAGCGCUUGGCACAAAAGUGCCAAUUAUCGACGGCCGAAAGGGCAUGGCGGGGAGAGAGACACGCCUCCACCCAACGGUCACGAACGACUUCGACAGAACCAUUCUGGUUAAGCUAGAAAGUUUUGAAAGGAGCAGAGGGACGAAGUAUACUAUUCCUGGAAAAGAAGUAUACUAUUCAAGAUAGAUAAUUCGAAGCGUCGCGUGGAAUUCCAAUUGGAAGUUGGAUGAUGCAGACAUGCGUGCGGUCCAAUACGACCCACCAGCAGAAUUAUACAUGUGCUCUACCAUCAAACCAAAAUGAUAGGAAAGUUCAACAUGUUUGCUGUUUCUCCUAGCACAAGCAGGACAUGAAUUGUACAUGGAGAGAUGGCAAGGCCAAAACAAGGAACAUGCGUGCGGUUCUGGUUGAUCCCUCCGUAUGUAUCUUGCAAAUCUCUAUGUCUCCCACCUGGACUUGGUCCCGCCUGCCUGGUAUGAGGCACCUACCAGUCCGGCGCACUCCUCAACCAGGACGCCUGCCGGGUAUGGGACCGCCGCAGCCACCUGCCACUGAUCCAUCUUCAGAGCUGUACUAUUGCAUUUACCGUGCUAGGUCUCUCUGCCAUCGAUGCCACCACGACGCCCGACAGUGUCGUCCUCCUGCGCGAGUCCAUCCUCCCACAGCGAACUCCGAAUCUGCAUUGUGCCACACCAUCAAGAUCCGUUGCCAUCAGUGUGUAGGAUGAAUCACCGCUCCACCAAAGAAUCCGUCCUCUGGUCCCUCGAUCACGUGUGUACCUCCAAGAAUGACGCCCCCGAGGGAGGAACGACACCAGAGCGCUGCCGUCAUCCGAUCAUCUGAUCUAGGGUUUCCCCCAGAGGUAGCAGAGAGUGGCCUUGAGCUUCUCCAUGUAGAUGCCUUCAAGAAGGGAAACGACACAGAUAGAGCCGCCACCGCCGGCCUUAGCGGACGCCGAAAGCAAGUUUUCACCCAGAUCAGUUCGAAGGGAUCCAACUCUUGUGCACAGGCCGCCGUUACCACCAGCACCACCAGGCAGAACCAUGAAGCACUGGCAGAUCAGCGAGCCGCCGGCAUCACCGCAUCCAGAUCGCCGGCCACGCCGGGCCGCCGCCAUCCCCCGCGCCGUCCGGGUCAAAGACAGAGCCGCCGACCGCGCACAGGGACCACCGCCGGCUGCACACGCCGGAGCGCCGCCGAGAGCCCAGCGCCUGCCACCGCUUGCCGAGGGCCGCCGCCCGCCCCCCGAGCGGACUCCCACGCACACCAAGGGAAACCGUGAGCGUGAGCCCUGCCGUCGCCUCCAAGCCCCCGCCGCCAACAACCGCCGCGAUCCGCCCACGCCAGAUCCAGCGAGUCGUGGGAGAAGAGAUCCCGCUGCCGCCGACGCCAACCGGGCUUUGCCCGGCGGCGGCGAGGAGGAGAGAUCGGGGGAGGGACGAGGACGGGGCGGCGCUAGGGUUCCCCCCGGUCGCCGCGCAGGGGCGACACGUAGGAGUCGGGAGUCGGGCGGCGCUAGAGUGUACACGUUUGCUGAUCCAAUGCAACAAAAGCAGCGAUAAGAGCACGUCUAACAGAACCCUCAAAAACUCAACCUUCAAAACCAGUUUGAGGGUUGAGAAAUUGUGGUUUUGAAGGCUGAAAAUCGCUGGCGCACAUCAGUGCCCUCAAACCAACCCUCAAAACAGAAUAUUCUAUUUUGAGGGUUGGUUUGAGGGCACUAAUCUGAGCCCCGGCCUUCAAACUGUCAAAACUGGACAGCAAGUAUUUCAACCAAAUUUCAUACAACAAACAUAACAAUAAUCAACAACAAAUAAUUAUUCUAGUUAUGAUUACAACAUCAAAUAAUUGUUUAAAGCUCACAACAAUCAUUCUACUUAGUACAACAAUGUUUGAAUCAAAUAGUACAUAGAAAAAUAAAACAAAUAUCCCUUACAACAAUGUUUGUAUCACAAAUAGGACAUGGAAUGAAAUAGGUCAUGUUUGAAUAAAAUAGGCCAUCAUUGGCGACGGCCAAGCAGCUGCCAGUGGUGCUCGACCAGAUCAUUGCGGAGCUGGGUAUGAGUGUUGGCAUUUUCAAUAUCCCGAUGUGUUUGAAGAAAAGCUUGAAUGCGAUCGGGGUUUCUCUCCGGUUGCACUCGAGUACCAACAUUAUCAUAGAAACAUGGCAAGUUUAACCCCCUCUCAUCCUCGAGUAUCAUGUUGUGUAGAAUGACACAACACUUCAUGAUGUUCAUAAGGGUUUUCUUGUCCCAAAAACGAGCUGGACCCGAACAAUGGCAAAUCUUGCUUGCAAAACACUGAAAGCUCUCUCAAUGUAUUUGCGGGCUGAUUCUUGCGCCCUCGUGAAAUUAGCUUCUUUUUGGGAUAAGGACAUCCCUCUCUUCUCUUUAAUGGACUUCACAAGUGUUGCACACUCAGGAUAAAUGCCAUUGGUGAGAUAGUAUCCCAUUGUGUACUCAUUGUCCAUGACCUUGUAAUUGCAAGUUGGAGCAUCACCUGAAGCUAGUCUUGCAAAUAAAGGGGACCUUUGAAGCACAUUGAUGUCAUUGAGUGUUCCCGGCAAACCAAAAUAUGCAUGCCAAAUCCAUAAGUCUUGCGAUGCCACGGCCUCAAGCACAAUGGUAGGAUCAUGACUUUUACCGCAAUACAUUCCAUGCCAUGCCUUUGGGCAAUUUUUCCAUUUCCAGUGCAUGCAAUCUAGACUACCAAGCAUGCCCGGCCAUCCCCUUUUUUCAUUUGUCUCCAUCAACCUCUUUGUAUCUUCCUCAUUGGGAGCCCGAAGAUACCAAUCACCAUACAACCGGAUGACCAUCUUGGCAAACCUACGCACAGACUCGGUGGUAGUAUCUUGGCCAAUGCGAAGAUACUCGUCACAGUAGUCCGCGGGUAUGCCAUACGCGAGCACCCGCAUUGUAGCCGAUAUCUUCUGGUAUGCACUAAAUCCCAUGGCACCGGCAACAUUUCUAUGACGCGUGAAAUAAUGCGAGUUGGCCUCGCAAUCUUUGACGAUUCUCUCAAACAAAGUACGGCGCAUGCGGUACCUUCUACGGAAGAGGCGAGGUGGGUAUGUUGGUACCUCUGCAAAGUAGUCUUGCAUGAGUUGCUCGUGGCCGAGUGUGCGGUUCCUCUCGAUGCAAAGGCGCCCUAUCUGCGACCCCUUCCUAUGAUCCAGUAGCUUGUUGCGAUCCUCAACAUCUUUCACAGCGAGAAUGGCGACCAUCAUCUCCGUGUCAUCGUCUUCUAGCAGCUCCUCGAUGUCUGAAUCAUCCGAAGACGACCAAUCGGAAAAAUCUGACAUCUCCAUCUAUGGUCAACAAAUUAAACAAGCAAUUAGACAACAAUUAAACAACGGAAAAGAAACAAAAAAAGGAAAAGAGACUUACCGAGUGGUUCGGGCGGAGUCGGAGUCGAGGGGGCGUGGAGGCAGGGAAGCGGACGGCGGCGCAGCGGGGCAGCGGUAGGUGGGGGCGGACGGCGAUGCGGCGGGGCUGCGGGAGGCGGGGGGCGGACAGCGACGCGGGCUCGGNNNNNNNNNNNNNNNNNNNNNNNNNNNNNNNNNNNNNNNNNNNNNNNNNNNNNNNNNNNNNNNNNNNNNNNNNNNNNNNNNNNNNNNNNNNNNNNNNNNNNNNNNNNNNNNNNNNNNNNNNNNNNNNNNNNNNNNNNNNNNNNNNNNNNNNNNNNNNNNNNNNNNNNNNNNNNNNNNNNNNNNNNNNNNNNNNNNNNNNNNNNNNNNNNNNNNNNNNNNNNNNNNNNNNNNNNNNNNNNNNNNNNNNNNNNNNNNNNNNNNNNNNNNNNNNNNNNNNNNNNNNNNNNNNNNNNNNNNNNNNNNNNNNNNNNNNNNNNNNNNNNNNNNNNNNNNNNNNNNNNNNNNNNNNNNNNNNNNNNNNNNNNNNNNNNNNNNNNNNNNNNNNNNNNNNNNNNNNNNNNNNNNNNNNNNNNNNNNNNNNNNNNNNNNNNNNNNNNNNNNNNNNNNNNNNNNNNNNNNNNNNNNNNNNNNNNNNNNNNNNNAUCGGGUGGCGGGGCAGCGGCCAAAACGGGGCGCGGUGGGACGGCGGGGGGCGGUGGCGACGCGGCGGGGAGGCGGCGGUGGCGGACGAAUCAGCGAUGCCGGCAUCGGCCGGUCGAGGUUGGGUGGUGGAGGAGGGAGGAAGGUGGGGGAAAUUUCCCUGCCGCGCAGACGUUGACCGAGUGAGGGUUCGGCCUGGGAAAUUGGCACAAACCCUCACUGCUGCAGGUUGGCCUCGAACUUGAGGGUUCGACCUGGAAUUUUUUUGAGGGUUUAAAGAUUUGAGGGUUCUGAUCUGCGUCCUUUUUUCAGCUCAACCCUUAAACUGGCAGUUUGUUAGGACUAGGGUUCCUACCGGUGCGGCUACGCAGGUUAUAGGGACAAGGUGGAGGAGGGCGAGGACUGGAGCGGGCGCGCCGACGAGUGGGCGCCGUCGCGGCUAGGGUUUAGGUGCGGCGGCGGUUGGCUGGUGGCGGCUAGGGUUUCGGCUCCUCAGGGAGCCGGGCAACAGAAGAUGAUAAUAUCUUUAUUGCUUAAUUCCAAAAUAGUCUUACAACCUAUAUUUAUAACCUAGAUAACUUGCAGAAGAAUUAACCUAAGAUAACUUGUGGGCUAAGAUUGUCCCGUGAGCCUAGCUAAACCGGGCCUAGCUAAACCGGCCAGAACACUUCUCCCCGCCUGCACAAACAGCUCGUCCUAGAGCUAUAAUGUGCGGAAGCGCUUGCGGAACUCCUGGAGGCGAUCAACCAGUGUCAAACAACUUUUCGACAGCUGGGGCGGCCAGGUCGGCGGCGACGACGUCCUCCGGAAUGUAGUCUGCAACCUCCAGGUAGAAGAGUCGCGGGCAGGCAUGGCCGGGCGUGUAGGGCUCGUCGCAGUUGAAGCACAACCCUUGGCGGCGACGCUCGAGUAGCUCAGCUGAGGUGAGCCGGCGGAACGGCCGUUCCGCGGUCGCGGCGUGGGGUGCCGCUGAAGCCUGCGCAGGCCGACCCUGCACGGAAUCCGGCCCGGGAAGCAACCCAGCGGUCCGGGACAGUGAUUCCUGCUGGAUGGCCACCGCGCGGCGCGCGAACGCGCGGGCGUAGUACAUGGCCGACUGGAGAUCCUGGGGUCCCCUAAGCUCCACGUCCACGCGGAUGUGAUCCGGAAGUCCACCGAUGAAGAGGUCGGCCCGCUGCUGUGCCGUCACGCCCGACGCAUGGCACGCCAGGGCCUGGAAACGGUCGGCGAAGUCCUGCACCGUGGAGGUGAAGGGAAGGCGGCCGAGCUCCGCCAAUUGGCUCCCGCGCACCGGAGGCCCAAAUCGAAGGAGGCAGAGUUCGCGGAAGCACUCCCAAGUGUGCAUGGCGCCCUUGUCCUGCUCGAGGGCGUAAUACCAGGUCUGUGCCAGGCCACGGAGGUGGUACGAGGCGAGCCAGGUACGCUCCGAUGCGAGGGUGCGCUGCCCGCGAAAGAACUGGUCACACUGGUUGAGCCAGUUGAGGGGGUCCUCCGUGCCGUCAUAGGUGGCGAAGUCGAGCUUGGCAAACCGGGGCGGUGUCUAUGCCGGAGCGCCAUGUUGAACUGGCUCAGAGGAGCGGAGCAGCGAGGCGGGUGGCGCCUGGUCGAAGUACUCCGGGUAGGGACCAGCAGAACCAGAUGGCCCCCCGAACUGCGGGAACAGAGCUGGCUGUUCGGGGGCUGUGGUGUAGACCGGCAAAGGUGAAGACCCGGCCGCCCACGCUAGAAGUGGCGACAGGGAGGGCGGGAACCGGACCUGAUGAAUCGAGAGGCCGGUCGGCGAGGGUGCCCCCGAGCUAGGCAGGGGCGGCGCCGGUGGUUGUAGCGUCGGCGGCGGGGGGUGGGCGAGGGCAGCAGUGACCGAAGGGGAGGGUGGCUGCAAGUACCAUAGAGGGGCCGCGGCCAGCGUGGUCCCGCCGGGGUGUCCCUCCUGGAACGGCAGCAGCGGCAGCCCGGUGCAAGCCGGCACAAAGAACGGCUGCAGCGGUCCAGUGGCCACCGCCUGCGGCAUCUGCUGUAGCGGCCAGGGGGCCGCGAACGGCGUCGGCCACUGCGGCCAAGGCGGCGUCGACGCUGCCGGUGGGGGAAGCGUCGGGUAGCCGCCGGUGAUGGCCGCCGGUACCGAGUACCACGACAGCGCCUGUUGGCCCGCGGGCGCGGCCGAAUGAAGCGGCGGAGGCGGCCCGUACGGGCUCGCCAAGUAGAGGUGGAUGCCCUGGACCGUGACGACCAGGUCGUUGAGCACGCCGGCCAUGGCCUCCGGUGUGAACUGCGACGGCGCUGGGGAAGGCGACGGCGGUGGUUGCUGGAUGGGGAUUUGCGGCUGGCCCUGGCCCGGCGUGGUGCCGAGUGCGGGGGAGAUCGGCGCCGAGAGGGAGGCCGUGGCGCCCGACGACGCAGCGGCUGCGUUGGUGGAAUCGGUGGCAGCGGCGGUGGGGGAGGCGUUGGGCAGCGGCGGCUGCGGUGGUGGCGGGUUUGGAGGCGGUGAAGACAUGGUCGAAACCCGGGCACCUGAUACCAAGGUGUUAGGACUAGGGUUCCUACCAGUGCGGCUACGCAGGUUAUAGGGACAAGGUGGAGGAGGGUGAAGGCUGGAGCGGGCGCGCCGGCGAGUGGGCGCCGUCGCGGCUAGGGUUUAGGUGCGGCGGCGGUUGGCUGGUGGCGGCUAGGGUUCCGGCUCCUCAGGGAGUCGGGCAACAGAAGGUGAUAAUAUCUUUAUUGCUUAAUUCCAAAAAAAGUCUUACAACCUAUAUUUAUAACCUAGAUAACUUGCAGAAGAAUUAACCUAAGAUAACUUGUGGGCUAAGAUUGUCCCGUGGGCCUAGCUAAACCGGGCCUAGCUAAACCGGCCAUAACACAGUUAUUUUAAGGGUUUAAUCAGUUUGAGGGCUCUGUUAGACAUGCUCUAACAACAUGUACACUUCAUACUUGCAUGCAAGCUCCUGCAGGCUGCAGCAUUAUCCCGCAAGCAUUGUACAGAAGAUGGACAUGCAUGGUGCAGCUACGAUACGGCAUCAAACUUUUCCACACAUUAAAAAGAAGGUCCGAAACUACAAAGACGGACCAAAAUGAAAGAGUGGGCACACAGGUAAUGGCCAUAAUCAGUCUCAUAAUUCCGAGCCUGCGAGUGAUCCACCACUUGUAUUAGCUUAAACCUGCUGUUGGUGAGAGCUAACGGCGCACAUUACCUGUGUGCUGGAGUACGAAUGUGUUUUGUGCUGAAGCAAGUGUAGAGUAAGGUUGCAGUUUGCUUGCAGCCGUUGCCAAGCUAAGCCGUGUACUCUGACCAAAUUCAGUGGAGCUUGUGUGUCUCCUCUGCUUUGCUACUCUGUUUCCUCUGCUCUGCUUUUGCAAACCGCUUUACUACUCUGUUUCCUCUGCUCUGCCUCCUCUUGCUAAUUUCUUUCAGUUCAGGUUGUGUGGCUGUACUGUUUCCACACACACACACAUAGGAUGAGUGAGGUGGUGUGUUGAUGCGCUCAGCUACUCAGCAUGCAGCCCACAACUGCUCUUCCGACAACUGUGUGAGGCGUGUGAAUAAUGUCGACACGCUCCUCCAAAGAAGGCACGAUUUACAGUUUGUUGUACUAGAUGACUCGUUGCGCCAAUGGCGCAAAGGCCAAGAGGUAUCCAAGUAUUGUGAGAAUGUUUAGACAUCUAAGUCAAAAAUCAAAUGUGGCCAACACUCCCGCAUCCUCUGCUUGGAAGCCGUUUUUUCUCACCGGAUCUAACAUAGAUACAUGAAUUUUCAAGAGCAAAUUUCAGAGAAAAUAUAAAGCAUGAAAGGCUUUAAUUUGUACUAUUGAGAUUAUACCACCAAAUCUUCAUUUAGUUUCUUUGGAAAUCUAAAUGUCUAAGAGGAUGGUAGAUGUGAGAAGCUGUGAAUCCACAACAAAAAACUAAACUAACUUCCAAACAAACAUUUCAGGUUUGGAAGCCACAAAGAAGCAGCCCAGAUCUCUCGUUGUAGUGCAGGUACAUGUCCUUAAUCCUGCAUCCACAGCCCAUAAUUUUUCAACACCUAAAUCCACAAAAUCCAACCGAAGGAAAUCAUGGCAGAAACAAGUGUCGUGGCUUACGUCUCCGAGAAGGACUUCUUGGCAUUCUUGUGCAGGUUGGACACAACAAUCCUCGCCGCGAGCUGCAGAAGAACCACACAAGCACCUUCCUUCAUCUUGCCCUUGGGGAGGAGGGGGGAAACACUUGCAGCGCCGUGACAAGGCUUUGCAAACGCCGCCGGCGAGAGCGCGCAGUGGAGGGCGUCGAGAGUGGCAGCGGCCUCUACCUCGGCGCAAGCGUAGUGGCCGCACGACUCGAGGCAGCACACGAAGCGGUCGCGCUAGAGCAGCACGCUAUGCACAGAUAUGCGUAGUGGCCUGUUGCUGAUCACUUGCUAAACGAUGAAACAUUCAUACAGACAUUAUCACUCACCAACUGGUAAACUGGCACACAAAAUACACAUGCACGAGGUAAUGGCUCUAUGGGCGUAAAAAACAUCACCGAUCCAUACCUGCACACGAAUUGAUGAACAAAGGUGAGGACACGCAUGGCUGGCAAGGCAGGAGGAAGCAUUGGCAGGUAAGGAGAGAACUGCAACCAAGGGAACCGUAGAGACAUCAGUGGCAGGCACAACAAUGGAAGAUAUUGAAUAAGCUAAUUCUUUUAGUGUUCAGAAUUUAUCACCUCAAAUUUGUUAGAACCGUACAGGCCAAAAACAUUUUCUGCAAAUACAAUAUAUGCAGAACUUGGUUCUGUUUACAGUACACAUGCCUGCAAGCUUAGCUGCUUCAGUUCGCUGGGAAUUACCUAGUCAGUCAGGCACAAUUAAAGCCCGUAAAAGCAACAAAUAAUGAAAAGAGUCAGAUAAGUAAAUCACAAGCCACAACAGAGUUGUAAAUGUUUACUUCAUUAAAAGGUUGGCCAGUAGAUGUAAGGUUAGAUCCACAUGGAUAAAACGCAGAAAAAUAAUACUCCACCGGCAGCAUCAUGGCCAUGGCCUCGAGCGGUGGUAGGAGUGACGCAUAGGGGGGUGGAGUGGAGGCGCUAUGGGCAGGCCGACGCCGACCUGGUCACUUGAAUCUCAAGCAAGAUGACUACUUUGUAUGGUUAAUGAAAAAUUUAAAUACUGAAAUGUAUCGAGAAUUAGAGGAUGUACUGCAUGAAUCAAGCUUUUGACCCAGAAAAUAAAACCAUACAAUUCUGUGCUAACCUUUAGUUCUACAAAAUUAACAUAUACUGAGAUCUGUUCUAGCUCCUUCUUAAAAAAUAGCUAUAUUAGACGGUCCCCAAAUUCAACAAAAGGUGGGUUCAGCCAUGCGUACUAUCAAAGACUUGACCACUUGAAUUUCAAGCAAGAUGACAAUUUUAUGUACGACCAAACAAGGGCGCAGGUGACAAGAUCUCUGCAAAAAUCAAGCCAUUCAAAUGCAUUUGAGAUCAAAAUACAUCAUGCACGGACAAAUGGUAUUAGCUACGCUGUCGUUAUUUUAUUUUGUUUCUUGAGCAGCGACUCAAUUACUAUUCUCACUGAUCCAGUUUACUCAAGAACUUCUGAACCAGUUCCAUGACUCCUAUGGACUAAGGUACUCUAGCUGCUUGCAUCUUUCAGAGGAUCUAAUUAGAACCAAUUCUAUGGGUGGUUUAUCUUUUUAGAACUAUUAGUAUUCACUCAGUGGAGAAGUGCAAGCAGGAGCUGACUUCAGUUGGAAUAAGUGUGCUAGAAAAUGUGGUCAAUAGAUGGUACGUCGGCAAAGUACGAACUGAAACACUUGAGGAUCCCAGUGUUAAAAGUGGAUGUCAAAUUCAGACCUUAUCAAUGCAGGGUGUGAAUCCCAAACACUAAACGCGAUCUGCAGCCAUAAAAAGAAACAAAUAAUCUUUAGAUUCUCCCCUGCAGAAUAGUAAAAUAUGGAAAUGUUAACGCCCACACGUGUGGGUGUUCACCAUCCCGACCACACGCAAGCAUCUCCGUUGGCAGCUUUGUGCACGAAUCUUGGAACAAACCUGCCGGUUUUCUGCGCCACGUAGGACGAGGCUCGUGUGCGGUGUGCGACUCGGGUCGCCCGCACGUUGGUUGCCAUCCCGCGGUCAGCGGUUGCCACUCGGAGACGUGCUGUGGAACGCAAUGCGCCCACACGCCAUGCUCCGACCGCGGUUGACGUCAAACACGUCGCACACCGCAGUCCCCUCUCCCUCACGGUUCCAUUUACCCUGCCGCACGCAUUUACUGGCACAAGCCACUCGCAUUUCAAUCCACUGGAGGAGAAGGCGAGGGGAGAAGGCGACAGCGGAGGCGGAGGAAUCGACGGCGUUCGCGGCCGUCGGUGGUGCUCGCCGGAACGGAGCGGCUGCGCCGGAGCGCCUGCGUCUUGAAGGUAAUGGUCGCUACAACUCUCACAACCCCUUCCUGCAUUUUCCCCUCUUCCCUCCCUGCUUGAUUCCUCGGUCGAAUUCGUAGAGAUUCAGGCGAUUCUGUGAUGCGUCGGCGUUCCCGCCGGCGCCGAAGUCGUCUGCUAGCCGUUUUUGGUUGCACUGGGCAGUUUCGUCGCCGCCGCGGCGGCGCCAUCGUCGGUGUGGUUAUGCUUGUUCGGAGGCACGCACUAGUCUUGCCUAUGUAUUGGGCAGGUGUCUCCCGGGAUGUUUGAUGCACAUUUGUUGGAAUUUGUGUUUGCAGUCAGUUCGGGGGUGAACUUUGAGGGUGAAUUUGAGGUCGCGGUAGUUGCCAUUGAACCCUAGAUCUAGUUAGUUGGGUUUUGAAACUGUAGUAUGAGGCGAACUUGGUGGUUUGAUUAACUAUCAUGAUUGUGUGGCAACUAACUCCCUGAACAAAUGUGAUAGUUGCCACAAACGUGUUUUCCUUUGCGUGGCAACAAAUUACUGAAAUGACUGUGAUGGUUGCCACAUAUAAGCUUUCGCAUGGGGAAACUUUUUUUAUUGAAUCACUCUAAUAGUUGCCACAUAUAACUGAAAUGACUGUGAUAGUUGCCACAUAUAAGCUUUCGCAUGGUGAUAGUUGCCACACACACGCUCUUCCAUGUGCAACUGAAUUUGCUGAAUUACUGUGACAGUAGCCACUAACAUGCUUUUUCAUUGUGGCACCAAAUUUUUCUGAAUGAUUUGUGGUAGUUACCACUUUGUGAUAGUCGCCACAAUCUGUAGUCAAUGCAGUUUCAGCAGCCAACUACAGUGGACGGCAACUAAUGUGCACUUCAAGUGUGCCUGUUGCCACUCGGAUAGUAUAUUCAUGUGGCAAACAGAAUGUGAACACACUGUCUGUUGCCAUUCUGCAGAUACGACGGUGUGGCAAAUUGGCUACAUAAUGUGGCAACCAAUUUUGCAUAUCAAUUCUGCCGGAUGUCAUACAUAUGUUAUUUUUCCUGCAUUCACUAGUUGACAUUUUCUGUAAGGCGGCAACUGCUUACCUCUUGCAUUCACAUUUCAUCCAUGACAAUUUGGUCCGUCCCUAUCUCAGCAGAAUGGCUCGUGGUGAUCAUCAAAACAAUGAUGAUGAUUUCAUGGAUCCACCACAGCGUAAUCGGGCAGCUGGCCGGAUAAAAGAGGGUGAUGAGGUAAAUGUUCACACAUCCCCCCCUCAAUCCUGCUUUAUGUUACUGGUUCACACCUCGAACUUGCAGUCGUCUAACAUGGACUAAAAUUUCAUGACAUUGGAAAACAUGGCAACAACUGACCACUUACUGUCUGUUUUUUGCAGAAGAAGAAACGUAUUCGCAAUAGAGCCUCCCAAGAAUGACUGACUGUGUUGAUUGACAAAUUCACCGAUGAUCAGAAGGGGGCUGCUGGUGAGAUGGGUAUGCAGUCUAUGAUGGUUGUCCGGUUCACGAACCUUGUCAACCCUGUAUGCGACUGGCUUGCUGAGAUCUACGAGCCCACCUCCAGGGAGUUCGUGAUUCCGGGACGUGGAAGUCUCCCGUUGAACGAGGAUUCUGUGUUCUGCACUCUGGGCGUGCCUCGUGGACAUAUCAAAUUCCCGUACGAGGUCAACAAUGAGAUCGAGCAAGAGCUGUUCCCCCGUUUGUUUCCUGGGUCGGAAUCCAUGCCGAACACGUCUGCAGUGGCAGAUUCGCUGCAGGCCAUGACGACGCAUGGAGAUGUUUUCAAGAUGAAGCUACUCAUGUACCUCAUCUCAGCUGUUUUCGCGCCGACCACAUCCCUUCGCCCAAGCAACAAAUGCUUCCCCAUCCUGGUGAAUGAUCAAUCUUUACUUCUUUAUUUUCCUUCAAUUUUUCGGCUCCGAUGUCAUGUGUAAAGUUAGUGACUGCCAGUGUUUUCGAUGUUUUUUUUCAUUCUUAGAUUUCUGAUGUGGCAACCUUUCUGUCCUGAAAUUUUGUGUGGUGCAGGCGGAUCUGAAAAAUGUGAAGAACAUGAAUUGGUGCAAGUUUAUUGCCGACUUCCUCCAUGAUGCAUUCUCAAACAAGAUGUACCAAAAGGGUUGUCGAGUGCAUUUAAUGGUAUUUUUUUUACCAGUUCUUUCUGUGAACACUGUCUUAUAACACACGUUUAUUGAUGCAUGUCAACCUGAUCAUAACAAGAUGGCAACUGCCAUAAUGACUACAUGGCAACUGUUAUAAUGACAAUAUGGCAACUGCCAUCAUAUCAGUAUGGCAACUGUUACCAGACUAUGAUGGCAACUGUCAUCUUAGCAAUAUGGCAGUUGCCAUCACACCAUGAUGGCAACUAGCACAUACAGAAGGAAACUUCUUUUUUUAUUCCAUUCUUUUACAUGCACAUCAACUUGAUUAUCAGGGGAACAUACAUUAUCUUGUUUUUUUAACUACACAGUACACAUGACGGCAACUGAUAUUUCUUUCUUUGUAAAAUUGUCUUAAAUCAGCUCAUGUAUGUCGACUGUCUUGAUCUGUCCAUUGUGGAUUUCACUGGGGUAGGAGGCCCGCCGCCUACGCACAAGUUUGCUAUUUCUGCGUGGACUAUCAUCGCUGUCAAGGUUGUGCUUGCCGCAGACAGGGCAACUAAUACCAAAUAUGGAAAACUACAGGUUAGUUUUGGUUUCUCUCUCCACAUGGCAUGCUUACAAAUUUGACAUGAGGGAACCAUCCGUGGUUCAUAAGGGAUGACCACCUUUUUGUGUAUCCAUGGCUGUAUGCGUAUUGUAUCCAUGUUUCACCUCACAAGGGAACUCUUUUCAUUCGUGUUGAAACUUACCUUCUAUCUCUUACAUCCUUGCUAUUUUUUUUGUUUUUUCUAGCUGAUGGCCAAGCAUGCUAUAGACUACAGCGUGUUUGGGGGGCCUCAAAACUUUGGAAAGUGGAUGGACGUGCACUCAGCUCCGUCUUGCCCUACUGAGGUAAUCAAAAUAUGUACAUCUAUGUUUUGCCGUGGAUUAUUUGUUUGAUGCUGCGCAAGUGACUGCAAUAUGGGUGGUUGUUGAUGUUUCUUGUUUCGUGCACAGGCGAGGGCACCUAUUGAGCAUCUAAUUGGACAGUUUGCAUCCGGAAUGACCGGCUUGCUCGGGAAGUUGGUUGAGGGGUGGACGUCUCUUAGUGGCUCUGACAGUGAUGCGGUUGCGAGGCAGUUCACUUCAUUUGUCCCAGAACGUACACAUCGGCCAACCGGUUGCUGUGGCCGGUAUGACUACAACAGUUCCCAAGAGCCCGGUGACACACAAGAUGAUCUAGAUGGAGACGCUGGCCUCAGCAAGGAUGACAACGAUGACAUGGAGAACGUGCAACAGGACACCGAUGAUGAUGAGCAUGCUGAAGUUCGCGUAGGUGGUAAAAAGGACAAGGAUGCAAUAGAUGUCCCCCCACUGGAGAAAGUCAAAGAACAUACGGCUGCGAGAGGCGAGGGGGUGUUGCCAUCAAGGAGGGGGAGGGCUCCAGGAGAUGUUGGGCAGGGUUCUCAUGGCAAGAGGUCUAGGACCGAUCCCGUAGCUGCCAGGAGGAGGUUCGACUUUAAUUUUAGUUUUUUGCUGUGUCUAUUUUCUUGGAACAGUCUCAUCCAUUUCUUGCACUUGUUUUUUUUUCAAGCGCGGUAAUGAGUUUGUUGUCUGACAGUUGCCACCUUUUUUUACCUCCAACACAUACAUGCAGCGAGCCGACCGCUGGUGGACGAGCAGCUACGAAGAAACAGGCGCCAACGCCAAACCGUGUUUCUGCUCGCUUGAACAAAGGUGCCCCCAUUGCCGGUGACACCCCUUCCACUAGGUCUUCUCCUCGUACGACGACGACCAACACCGGGGAUCCUGUCGUGUUGCCAGACCUGAGGAAGCCAGUCAAGAAGUAGGUUUCUCCAUGUGCUUUCAUUGACAUAGCACUAUAUUUUCUUGAUUUUCCAAUGCAUCCGUUUAGCUUGUCACAUGGCCUUUUGUCAUUGUCCCCCACGCGGCGACUGCUGUUUUUUCCAAAUGAUUGCCUCCUUCAUUUUAAAGUGAAUGGCAACGCAUAUUGGUUUUUACAUGGCAACUGGCAUCUAAGCCAAAUGGCAACUCUUACUGUACCUAAUGGUAACUGCCAUUUGUUUCCCGUUGGCUUGUGAGCUCAUCCCACACCCAGGUUCGAAAUUGCAUUCAUGGUAGAUCAGACAUUCUUAUCAUUCUUCAAGUUGGCUAACAUCGCAACUGCUGCUGGAUGGCAACUGCUAAUUAUGACACAUGGCCACUCACGUCCCCCUUACAUGGCAACUACCAGCUUUUCCACUUGUUUAUCACUUUUUUAAAGAUUUUUACCAUGCCAAACAUAUUUUUGUUCAUUUUUCAAUAUCUUUUUCAUGUGCUUUUUUUGCAGGGUGAAGAAGACCACUAUGCACGGGGCCAAGCAUACCAGUAAGGACCCGCUCGAACGCCUACAUUUAAAGUUGUCAACAGGGGGCAACUCAGAUGUACAUGAGGCACCAGGCGACAAUACUGCUGCUGCACCAUUGACCGCUCCCACCAACUCUGAUGCAAGCGGCCGACCAUCUCCGCCGGCUGCAGAUGUGCAGGCUAGAACAACAGGCAUCCGUACAUCGGGGAGUGACGAGUCGGUAUCUGCCAGGACAGCUAAAAUAUUGCCAACUCUACUGGCAAUGAAGGAUGCUGCUGUGAGCCAUGCCACCCCAUCAGCAAGCGUUGAAGUGGACGCUCCCGAGACGAACCUAAGCAAGGAAGAUUCCUGCUCAUCUGACACUGAUUCCAAGCGCGUGCAUGGUCGCACUCCUGUGUCCACGACAGAAGCGGCUGAGGCAGCAGUUCACAAGGAUAUGCCAUCUACAGGUGAGAGUCCUGGGACAACAGCUUCAGCUCCUGCCGGUGCAGAUACUGCUAAGGCGAGUGUUCCGCGUGCUGGUCUUCCACCUAGGUGUCGUAGCCCCCGCAAGCAACCAGACAUACCCAACGCAUCGGCUGCAGCUAGGAGCAGGAGAGACGAGCCUGGUUAUGUUCCUGCGUCCACACUGUUCCCGCCACCUGCCAAAAGCAAUGUGAUGGAGAAACCGGAAGACCGGAGCACAACUGAUGCAGGUGUCAAGCCGGGCACGAGUGACGCAGGUGAACACCCGGAGCAGACUGCGCCUUUACCCGCAUUGGAAAUCCCCAGCAUAAAUCUGCGCACUUCCAGGCUCCCAGUCAAUGUCGGUGUCCCCUACAGCCAAAACAAGAAGAUUGUCCAGAAAUCUGUGGCUGAUACCGCUGACAACACGCCCCGCCCUGUAAAUAAGCCCGAUCAUUCUGUAGCGGCCGAUCCAGAUAUGUUUGUCGAUCUUUCACCCUUGGAUUCUGCCCCGCAAAUUGUUCAUGGUCCGGCCAGUAGGAAUGAGAGGCACCCAAUGGCCUUUACCCCCACCGAGCUUCAACCUUGGCAUCAGUCAAGAUCAACCGGUGGUGCAAGAUCCUAUGCCAGUUGCCUUUGCUUUCCCAGGAGGCAUGCCCGCAAUGAUGGCGCAACCAAUGGUCGAGGGCAGGAAGGCUGUCAAGUUCGCAGAGCCGAUUGUGCAAGGUACACUUGUCAUGUCCUUAUGAUUUUCUUGCAUACAUCUCUGUAGUUUGACUUUUGUCCCAAUCAUAUUUUUUUGGGUGGUUCUCACUUAUGAUGGCAACUGACAUGUGCUGACAUGGCAACUGGAUUUGAUGCACCAUGUCACAUACAUUUUGUUUGCUGCCGUGCUGCAUUUAACAUUUGGGCAACCACGUGGCAACUGAAGUUGAUUCAACAUGGCAACUGUAGUUGCUGUCACAUGGCAAAUACAGUGCAUUACACAUGGCAACUGGAUUUGCCACACCAUGCCAACUGCAUUUUUUGUUUUCAUGCUGCAUUUUUUCAUACGGCAAUCACAUGGCAAGUGCAGCUGACACAACAUGGAAACUGUAGUUACUGUGAUAUGGCAACUAUAACCCAACUAGAUGGUAACUACAGUGCAACUACAUGGCAACUGUAGUUGCUAUGACAUGGCCACUGUAGUUGGACCACGCAUGGCAACUGCCCCACUUUUCUUGCACACAAUCUCACAUCAUGCACCCUACCUCCUCACAAUCCAUCUGUUUUUGAUUUUCUAGGUAUCCUAACACACUUUUUUUUAUCAUUGCAGCCACCCCUGAGGAGAUUUCACCGUCACUUGACGAAGCUUACCGCAUGAUCGAGGAGGCAACAUUGCAUAGGAGGUCCUCACAAGGGCAAGGGCAAUCAAGUUCCAACGUGCCUGCAGAUACGGUAUCUGAGGAUACCAUUAGCAGUGCCACUCCUGGUUCUGUGAGGCAGCAGAGGGUAGUUCACCCACCUCCCGCGAAAGACUAUGAGCCCGAAUUCAAGGCCACUAAGGAACAGACCCAGCUGUACGAUAUCGUCAAGCGGUUUGGAAAUGCGAGGGCCAGCAGCAAGCACAUGAAGGAGCUGAAAGCGUAAAUGACCACACCCCACAAUCUCUCAUUUUUGCUUUGCUCCUUUUUCACCAUUCACCUUCUUCGUACUUCCUAUACACGAUCCGCUUACGUUUUAGUUCUUUCAUAUAUUUUUUACUUAGCGGGCAUGAUCCUUCCAUGUUAUAUCAUUUUCAUACAGCUCAUGUUUGGACAGAACCAAAGUCAUUCAAUGCGGAGCGACGUACGUCGACCUGGGUGAUCUUGCUGAGUCCGUGAGGCCAAACGGUAAAAUGUCGACGAAUGUAGUUGCAUGCGGGAUCGACUACAUCAACAAUCAUAUGGAUGUGUGUGCCGACAAGAUAAUCAUGCAUUAUAGUGUGACCUACAAAAUAUGGGAUGGUGACUUCCACCACAAGAUCCUGAGGAAGAAUUUUGCUCAACACGGUGAUUUCAAGCUCACACUGAAGAAAUAUGUGAGUACUCCUCCCCUUUCUGCACUGUUUUGUCACAUGGUGUGGUUUUUUGCCAUCAUCUGCACUUGUGUUUAUGUGGCAGAUGUUUUCAUGUGGCAACAGCUGCCGUGCACACUGUCAUCUUGAUUUUUGCAUCCCGUGCAAACUAUGUGACAACUUGAUAGUAAAAUACACGGCUCAUUUUGUUCAUACAUGGGCGGCAACUUUCUGUCAACUACCCCCACCCAUAACCAAAACAUUCUACGUGAUUCUAAAUUUUUUGUCCAUUUGUUGUUCUUUUAUCUGAACUCUGCUUCUCAUUUCUUCACUUUUAAAUGCAGGUCAUGUUCCCCAUGUUCCAGGAGCUUGCACCACAUGACCAGGAAGACAAGUGUGGUCAGCACUAUGCCAUCUGUCUUGACCUGAAGAACCAAUGUUUUGAGGUGCUUGAUUCAAUCCGUUCAGAAGCUGAUGCAGAUCUUAUUACGCAUGCCGAAUUCUUCACCAACAACCUCAAAAAGACAUGGAACCGUCACUACGAACAUUCAAAAGUCCAGAUAAGGCAUUUCCCGACUGAGUAUGUCGCGACUGCGAAGCAAGGGAACACGUAAUUUCUUAACCCCCUCCUUCAUGUGCCAUUUACAUCCAUCCAACCCCUCUUUUGUUGCCACAUCUGAAUUGAAGUCUAUCUUUUGCUACGUCUGCCCUUUUUGUGUGUUCACCUGACUCUUUUCCUCGUGCAGGACGGACUGUGGCUUUCACGCGUUGGAAUACUUUGCAAAGUGGGAAGGCAGAAUUGUCCCCGCUAUCACAGCUGCAAUGGUCGUUGAGCUCCGGAAAAUACACACAUGGAACUGGUUGACGAAUAAAGAUUUCAACAAGCGGUCCGGAGCAAGCGAGUUUGUGGAGGAAGCUGUCAAGAAAGUCAUCAAGAGGUACAAGUGAUCAUGCGGCGAUACACACCGGACGCACACCUUACAUUCUGUUGCCGAAUGUAAGGUACUAUCUCUUUUGUUCUCGUCAAAAACUAUGUUCGUGUGCUAUGUUAUGACUGCAACCCCAUGUAGGUUACUAUGUAGUGGUGGUGUGUGAGCGACAUUUGAAUAGUUUCUGUAAUAUAUGUGUGGAUGUGAACCUACUUAGGCGUGACAGCAGAUAUGUUUUUAAUGUUUAUCAUUAUUACUAUGGUUUCGUCGUUUGCAUCACCCGUUUGCUGUUUCGAAUGUGUCAUGAUGUUUUAAAACAUGGCAAAUGUAGUUCAUCAGACAUGUUUAGCGAACGUCAUUGUCGUUGUUAAUUUGGACGUCUUGCUUCUUCUAUUUCAUCACUAACUUCACCGGCUAGCAUGAUAGGUUUGAUCAUGUAGCCACAACCUUUGCUGCGGUUUAUGCAUGUUACGCCUUUUCCAACUUGUUUCCUAUACAUUGCACACAAUACUCUAUGUGUCUCUAAACCGCGUCGUAUUGUCAUGGAAAUAUAUGCCAUGCAGAGUCGUUACAAGUACCAUGGCAUGUUUUCAGUACAGCUAACAUGGCAGAUACAGUACAAACAACAUUGCAGAUCCAGCAUAAUUAACACGGCAGAUACAGUACAACUAACAUGGCAGAUCUAGUACAACUGAAAUGGCAGAUGCAGUACAACUAGCAUGGUAUAUUUGGUACAAAAUAGCAUGGCAUAUUUAGUACAAAAUAGCAUGGCAUAUUUAGUAUUAAAAUAGCAUGGCAGACUAACUACACAUAACAUGGCAGAUUAACUACACAUAACAUGGCAGAUUAAGUACCCAUAACAUGGCAACUGCAUUUAUCCACUCAAUGAAUUUUCCUUCCACUUCCGAUACCCCUCAAGAGUCAAUCUCGCAAUCUCAAAAAAAAAUCUCAUCAUCUAGGGUACAAAAGAAAAUGUCCACAAGGACCAUGUCACGUCGCCCCAAUUUUUGCUCAUGGAUUGCCCGCCCCUUUCUUCGUUUUCUUGUGUUUUGCUUGAAUCUCCAAUCCCCACUUGUACCUUGUCUCUCUUGGACGACCUUUUGUGAUGGAACGGGGUGGGUUCCUGACCUGGGUCUGUGUGCUUGCUGUUCCAGAUCCUAUCUUCGAGUUUUCAGAUGAUGGCCCCAUGGACGAAGGCACACUUGAUGUGCGGGGGAACCGGUGUAAGGCUUCCUCGGCUUUCCUCUUCUUGAUCUCAUCAAGCUCUCUUUUGAGUGCCUUCCUGUGUUUUUCCGUGACUCUCACUGUCUCAUCACUCUUGCACGCUUCAUCAAUUAGCUCAUCAUAGUUCUUUGUCAGCACAAUGUGCCUCACGGCUUCCAUGGUUGACUCAAGUCUCUCAUCAUGCACAGCCAGAACUGCGUGUGUUGUCUGUGGCGCCAACGUGUCGUCAGCGUCCCAAGUCCAUCGCCGCCUUAUGAAAUGGCGGGGCAUUCGUGUCACAGCAUUCAUGUCCAUUACUUUUAGUAUGUGACAACACACAAUGUCGUCCCGUUCGAACUUGCAGCAUUGGCAGUAGUACUCGCCUUCGCCUAUCGAGGCUUUGACGAAGUAGUUCCUUCCUUUGUCCGGGUCUUCAGGUUCUGAAUCUGACAUGCCCAAAAUAGAACACACCUUGAACGUAUCUUCGUCCACCUGGAAAGCCGUGAACAUGCUGGCAUGCUUUAUUUCUUCCUGGAAUCUGCAAGUUUUGUGUGUUUUCUGUUAAACUAUCGCGCUUUUUUCUUGUACCAACUUAUGUUGUCAUGUAAGUAGAAAUACAUUUUUGAUUGAACAUGGCAAACAUAGUUCAUUCAACAUGGAAAAUAUAGUAUGUUGAACAUGGCAAAUGCAGUACACUGGACAUGGCAAAUGCAGCACACUAGACAUGGCAAAUGCAGCGCACUAGACAUGGCAAAUGUAGUACAUUUUCAACUGGCCAACGUCAUUUCCCACACGAACAUUCCCCAACGGAAGCACAUUGCAUAUAACAUGGCAACUGCCUUUUUAGUUAAACAUGGCAUCUACAGUUGGCUAAACAUGGCAAUUGCAUUUCAACAAACAUGGCAGAUUCACUUUAUUAAACAUGGCAACUGCAUUUCAGCAUAUGUGCCGCCAACAUAACAUUUUUCCAGUUAACAUUGGCACUUGCAUGCCAACAUGCCCCAAUGGAAGCACAGUGCACUAAACAUGGCAACUUCACUUCAUUUAACAAGGAAAUUGCACCCGCGUAAGCAUGGCAAAACAGAAUUUUCAUUGAACAUGGCAACUGCAGCUGAGUAAGCAUGGCAAAACAGUAUUUCAUUAAACAUGGGAAUUGCAUAUCAUGGCAACUGCAUUGCACCCUUUAAGGUACCUACUGCCUAUGUGCUUUUUUCUGCAAAUAAGACUGUAACACAACUGACUUACUUGUUAAAGAUCUUGUUCGUGUAUAUCUUGCUCAUUUGCCUCUCCAUCGGUAAAUACGUUAGCAAUUUUGGCUGCUUUAGUGCUGUGGUCGCUUCUUGCUGUAGCUCAGAUUUGUUGCAAAGCUGUGUACUGCUUGGAAAAUUGUAGCAAUGAGUUGCCAGGGCUGACGUACCGCUUCAAAACAGCAUUGAACCCCUCGCUGCGCUGCGUAGUCUGCAGAAAUGGGAAGAAGCACUGCAUGAAGUAGGCCGGCACCUAGUACAUUCGCUUCUCCCACAGGUUAGCAAGUGUCUCAUUGUCUUGGACUUGAUGUGUUUCAAUCAUGGCCAUCCAGCUCCUUUCAAACUCCUCCACUGUCAAGCUGUGGUCCACGCACAGCUCGAAUGCCUUGUGCAGCUCUGGACGGUUAGCAAAGAAUGGUCCUAGUGUCUCCUCAGCCUUCUUUAUAAUGUGCCACCUGCAGUGCCUGUGCACUGCCAACGGAAAGACCUCCUCUAUGCCUGCACGCAUGCUGAAAUCUUGGUCUGUUAUUAUGUUCAUCGGAGCAAGUCCAUCCAUGCACUCCAAGAAGGUCUUGAAUAGCCAAACGUACCCAUCCGUGUCUUCAUUCCGGACAAGCCCGCAGCCGAACUGCAACGACUGAUUAUGGUUAUUUAUUCCUAUGAACGGAGCGCAUGGCAUCUUGUACAUAUUGGUUAGGUACGUCACGUCUAAUGAAAUGCAAUCUCAGAAAUGUUUGUAGGCUCUCCUUACAGCACCAUCCACCCAAUACAUGUUCCUGACACGGUCCUCAUCGUCCAACCUUAUCCUGUAGAAGAAAUCUGGAUCUUCCUUCGCUUUCUCAUCGAAGUAGGCAAUUGUGGCCUAUAUGUCUGCCAACUUGCUCUCUCUACGGUACUUGGUCUGUAGGUUUGUGACGUCAGCUGGUAUGUACGGCAUGCUACUCAGUUUCCCCUUUUUGCUGUGGAUGAGAGAUAGUAUCUGUAUCAUUCUUGAUGGACCGACAUUACAAUCAUGUAGCAGCUUUACGAAUUGCCUUUCGACGGGGGUGAACCCUCUGUGGGCGGUCAGAAAUUUUACCAGGUCGAACUUCUUUAUGAGUUGGUGGUUGUGCUCGUUAAAAUACUCAUUGACCACCCACUGUCCUCCAUCUACGUUUAGCUUACACCGGACGAGACACUCUGUCUUGAGAAUGACACCUCUCUUUCGUUCCGGAAUGACAGGCGCAACACCUUUCCCCUUCUUGUUCCUCCGUGCCUUGUGGCACCUCAUCUAACCUCUGCUGUACUCGUUAGUUGUCUUAAUUUUUCUGUGGUACUCGGUGUUGACCGCAAAUCCAUGAAACUUUGCAUAUGUUUGGUAGUAUUCCUUUGCUUCUUCGAACGAUUCAAAUCUCUGUCCAAUGUACGGUGGCUUAGGUACCAUGAUCUCUGAUUGCCCUCCAUCUUCAUCCCCUUGUGCGUCGUCGUCAGUUUCAUCAUUCACUUCAGUAUCGACGGCAGUUCCAUCUUCUUGAGUGUUGGCAGUGCUUGUGUUCAAAGGGGUGCUUGUCGGCAUUGCUGGAAUGAUUGCCAUUCCCGACUCUGACUCGAAAUUGUUUGCGGCAUGAUUGUCUGCUGGCUGGUGGAACACGUCUUCCGUGCGCUCAGAGAUCCCCGCAGUAGAUGUUCCCGCGCCACUGUUCACUAUAGUUGUAGGCCCUGUAAUAGAAAAAACAGGUACGAGAGUAAGAUUUUUGUUUGAAUAACAUGUGUAUCGCAACGGAUCACAUCAUCUUCGAGUGAUUUGGCAUGACAUCAUUUCAAAACAGCAAGCCGUGAGGCUGCGCUUGGACAUGUAUGGCAGCUGUAUCUGUCCAGCCAUGGCAGCUACUGUUCAACAAACAUGGCAACUACUAUUUUGCCUACCAAUAACUACAAAUAACAAAUGUAGUGCUGUUUCUGUGGUUCAGUUUUUCUCCUUACCUUGCUGUGCUGCAUUUGACCAUCUUGUGUGGUCUGUGACACCAAAAUGACGUGCUCCACCUGCAGUUUGUGAAGCUUUCCACGAGACGUUUGUCGGGUUACCACCAGCGUAAUAACCUGUAAUCAUAGUAGUGGUUGGUCAAUUCAUGGCAAAUGCAGUUUGUGCUAGCACGACAUCUGCAGUUGCCCCUGAUGUGGCAACUGCAGUUUUACUGGCAUGGCAACUGUAGUUGCAUCUGUAUGGCAACCGCAGUUGUUCCUUCAUGGCAGCUGCAGUUGCCAUGGCAUGUCAAAUGUAGUUGUUCCUCCAUGGCAACUACAGGUGUCUAUGGAUGGCAACUGCAGGUGUCCAUGGAUGGCAACUGCAGGUGUCUAUGGAUGACAAGUGUAGUUUUUAAAUCAUGUCAAUUGUAGAUGUCUAGUCAUGGCAAUUGUAGAUGUCAACUAUGCUCCUUCUGCUAAUUUGAGCAUCCGCAACUUCACUUUUUUUGUGGACUCACCUGUGUAUGACGUCGAUGGCAGGUACAUGGGUGCUGCCUGAUGCCACGUGCUGCAUGAACGCUCUGCAUUUUCACCCGUGAAAACUCAUGAGUCCUUUUGCCAGUUUUUUUGCAUGUUCGUUUUUUCACGUGCACAGCAGCAUGUGCUCUUUUUUCAUUUUGCAUUACCUCGAUAAGCCGUACUAGCUAGUUGAAGUUGGCUGCCCGCACAUUUGUCAGUGUUAGCGCCUUGUGACUAAACUUGCAACGGGGGCCCCCUAAGAGUGUUUUGGUCAUAAGAACCUGCGAAAAAAUGAGAGUGUACGACAUAAAUAGAAUGUCAUCUUCAUCGUUGCGAAGAUGGCAACUGUUCUCUUCUUUUGUUAUCACACAUCAUACCUACGCCUGCAUACUGUUCUAGUAGUGGCAGCAACGGCCCUGCAGAGAUGAGUUGACUGUACUCUAAUGCAUCCCAAGGGGGCGUUUCUGGCUUUUGAGAACCCCAAGCAUCAGCGCCAUCUUCGUGAUUCAUUCUUUUCGUGUCUCGCUUCUUUCUGAUGUGCUCUGAAUCACUGGAUGAACAAGAAGGCAUCAACAAUCCACAAGAAUUGCAUUCUUCUGCUGCUUGCCCAUAGAAGAUGGGGAUGGCAAGCAAAAGGUCAAAAAAGGUGGCAGCUACUGACAACGAAAGGUGGCAACUGCCGUUACACACAAGUGGCAAUUAAUUCCCCCCCCACCCCUUCAUUCCAAAAAUUGUCCUUCCUGUCCUUUUUUAGGGAUUCCUACUCAUCCAUUUCAUACGCAACUACCUGCGUCAAUUAUACUAGAAACUUAAGUUAAGCUCAACACGUAGAUCACAAAACUACUGGAUCUCAGAACUACUGGUGUUGCCACCCCCGUAUAGCAUGGAUCCAGUACAAGAUCGGGGAGAUUUUCCAGCCUGAAUGAUGAGAAGGAUGAGAUAGGGAGAUCUUCACCUGAUUUUAGCUGAUCAUCUCUGAAGGGCUGGUUGGAGUGGGGGGCUGGGGUGGGGAGGGUUGGGGUGUGGUUUGCGGUGGGUUUGCCCUACGGACCUGCUCUGGUUGCCAUGGCAACUAGAGAAGGCCGGCGACGGAGGUAGGGGUCGAGAGGUUGGGUACGAUGGCGGCAGUCGAGAGAGGCGAUCGAGCAGAGGACGGGAACGGCUGGGUCGUGCGGGCAGCGGGUCAUGUGGCCCGGACGGGGCAGUGCGGGCGGGUUGCCACGCACCGGACGUGCGGGCCGUGGUUUUGUGCGCGCGGAUGUGGUCGUGCGGGCCGGUUCCCGUCCAUGCCACACGAGGCGUGCGGGCGGGUUCCCGUCCAUGCCACACGUGUGGCAGUUAUUCGGACCCGUAAAAUAAUGAUAUUUUGGUUCCUGGAUAACUCCUUCCUCCAAAUCGCAUUCAGGUGACCCUUCUCCACUCUCAAAUCCUCCUUCUGGGACCGAAGAUUUGGAGGGCCGCAUCUCAAGUUCUCAAACAAAUAAUAGGGCAUGUAGAAACCAAUCCAAUCCUCCUGCAGCAGAGAGGGAGCUGCAUGAGCGCGACCACGAACAGAGCACAACAACCAUCCGCUUGUGUGAGAAAGCUGAAUCAGAGGACCAAAUCAAAUAGAGACAGACGCAUGGAGGAGGUGAAGAGGGACGAGAAGGCACCUUGACGAGCUCCGUGGCAUCGGCGUCCCGAGAAGAAGCACACGGACGGGGGACGGCUGGUGGGCGGAGCGACCGCUCACGGACGGGAAGCUCGGGCGCGGGCUCAGCAGCCUCGCGGUGCCGGCGGGGGGAGGAAGUGGCAGCUGACGCCGGCCAUCGUCGUGGCUCUCCCUGCCGGCUGCCGCUUGCUUCUCCCCACCGCUUCCAGCUGUCCACCCCGUCGUGGCUCUCCCUGCCGGCUGCCGCUCGCUUCUCCACACCGCUUCCCGCUGUCCGCCCCUGCUCUCUAUGGAGACGAUCUGAGCCCAAUCUGGACCAGGCGACAACCUAAGCCCGAUCUGGACCAGGCGCCGUCGACGGAGGAGGGAGGUGGAGGGGCUACGCCGAGGGAGAGGAAGAGGAAAAGGAAGAGAAGGAGGCGGCGGGAGGAAGCAAGCGCUCGGGACCUUAUCCCUUCCCUCAUCGCUACAGUAACGCGCGCACGACGAAUAAAAGGAGACGUGGCCACGGGCGCUAGUUGGGCGCACUGGCGCGCACUGGCUCAUCCUUUAUAUGUUCAAUAUUCGUAUGGCAUUGAUUCACAUAAUAUUUUGUUGUAUAUUCCCCGGCAUCCAUGUCCCAAGGCCUGCCACCCAUCCACCACACGACACACCGACCCCCAAUGGUAGGGUAAAAUGUCGUCUUUCCACACCUAGCCCAUCGUCAGUCCCCGGAUCUAGGUCAAAACCUCCACCGUAGGUGGCGUCAACGCCUACAUCCCCAACCAGUCUCGGUGGACCUGGGGCAUGACCCAAGACUGCCGACGGCCACCACCAAGCCGGGCUUGCACGACAUGACCGGACAGCAUUGUCAGGACCACCACUACAACUCACCACACCCGCGAGGACAAUGCUCAUGGGUACAUCCAAGGCCGAGCCCAAGCCUCACCUAUCCGAAAAAACCGCCCCGAUCUACCUCGGGUCCAAAUCCGGCCUGCCCGAGCACAAACCCUAGGCCAGGGGAGCCGCCGUCGUGCGGGCAACUGACCAGCCCCACACGCCACCGGCUCCAACCAGGAUAAGAGGGACCGCAACACCGUCGCCGCACACCACCAGCCAAACCAGGGCCCUCACGUCGCCGGUGUUCGCACCAGCCCGCACUGACGUCCCAACCCAUUGUAGCCGGAUCACCGCCAGCGAGUAGGAACCAUCGCCGCCACCAGCCGACAGGGCGACAACCUCCAACCCGCGCCGCAGCAGCCCAAGCACGUCCCUCCUCCGUCGAUGUCCGCCACGUGGCUCGCACCAGCGCACUGCCGCUACGCCUUCCCGACGCCGUGCCGUCGCGCACCACCGCCGUGCCUCGCUCUAGCCCAGGUGUGACACCCGGAUAAUUAAGUUACAGUAAACCUCUGUUAAUGAUGCCACGUCACCACGGUUACUGUUCCUAAACCCGCAUCAGUUCGAAACCCGGUUCAAAUUUCAAAUUUAGAAUAAAGGCAAACAAUAAAAGUUUUCAAAUAUUAAAAACUAAAUGUUCUGGUGGAGCCGAAUAAUGCAUAGGUAAUUAUGGUGGAGAAACCACACUUUUAUAAAAUGCUUAAAUAAUCUAAAAUGAAUAAAACAGUAGCAAAACCAAUAUUUAAAUGCUUUUAUAAUUAAUAAAAUACUAAAUUAAAUUGUUUUGGGAUAAAGCCUUUUGUGGCAGUGGGUUUCAUGGUAUUACUAAUUUAGGGAUCAUUUUAAUAUUAAGUAAAAAAGUAAGCUUAAAAAAAGUAAAGUAAAAACAAAAAGGAAAUAAAUAAGAAAAAGGAAAAAAUAUAAAGGUAAGAAAAAGAAAGAAAAGAAACAACCCCCCCACUGGACCACCCAGCCCAGUUGGCCAACCGGCCGGCCCGGCCACCCCCUGGCCUAUAUGGCCUCCCCAGCCCACUACCAAACCCUAACUCCUCCCGUCCCUAUCCCCAUCUCUCCCUCAUUCCCACCUCGCGCCGCCAACGACGAGCGAGAGCGCUCCCGCUCGACCCCGUAGCUCCUCCCGCCAGCCACGCCCUGCUCCUCCCCUGAGCUUGCCUCUCCCUCCCCUGCACCCACCUCUGUCGCCACUCCCGCGCCAGUACCCUCCCCCGCCGACGCCUCGCCAAGCCCGACGCCGCCCGUUGUCAUCGCCGGUGCCAGGCGCUGCCUCGCCUGCGCUGCCCCACCGCCGCCGCCCUGCGCCAGAUCGACCUCGCCGUGGCCUCCUCAUCUCCUCCCCACGGGUCGUCCCCGAGCCUCGCCGCCCCGCUUCUCUUCAACGCUGGUUAGGCCAUCGGCCUCUCCCCCUCGAUCUCUGUCGUCGGCUCCAUUCACUGCCCGCGCGCGCAUGACCCCGCGCCCGCUNNNNNNNNNNNNNNNNNNNNNNNNNNNNNNNNNNNNNNNNNNNNNNNNNNNNNNNNNNNNNNNNNNNNNNNNNNNNNNNNNNNNNNNNNNNNNNNNNNNNNNNNNNNNNNNNNNNNNNNNNNNNNNNNNNNNNNNNNNNNNNNNNNNNNNNNNNNNNNNNNNNNNNNNNNNNNNNNNNNNNNNNNNNNNNNNNNNNNNNNNNNNNNNNNNNNNNNNNNNNNNNNNNNNNNNNNNNNNNNNNNNNNNNNNNNNNNNNNNNNNNNNNNNNNNNNNNNNNNNNNNNNNNNNNNNNNNNNNNNNNNNNNNNNNNNNNNNNNNNNNNNNNNNNNNNNNNNNNNNNNNNNNNNNNNNNNNNNNNNNNNNNNNNNNNNNNNNNNNNNNNNNNNNNNNNNNNNNNNNNNNNNNNNNNNNNNNNNNNNNNNNNNNNNNNNNNNNNNNNNNNNNNNNNNUGCCCUGCUCGCCAGCCGGACCUCGCCGUCCCGCAGCUGCGCACUGUGCCCAGGGCGCCCUCGUUGCUCGCCUACCUCGUCGGCCCCGCGCAGCUUGCCGCCAGUGCCCGCCGCUCCCUCUAGCCGCUACUGCCGCGCUGCCGCCUCCCUGCCACCGGCCCCACCCGACUGGCCGAGCUCCGCCGCCUGGCCGCGCCUGGGGCCAGCACCGUGUGCCUAUGUCGUUCGGGCGAUGCCCGAAACCCGCAUGCCCAACGCCCGUGAGCCUCCCCCAGAGCCACUAACUAGGAGGCCCCACCCGAGAACAAAUUUUAAAAAAAGAGUUAAAAUAAAUAAAUUAGUAAUUAAUUAAUUAAUUAGUUAAUUAAGUUAAUCAAUCCUAUUUCCCUAAUCUAAUCAAAAUUAAUUAACCUAAUCAUUUAGUUAACUAUUUAACCAUGUUUAAUUAACCUGAGACUAUGACGAACGGCCCCCACGUGCCAGGGUUGACCUAGUCAACCUGUAGACCUGCUGACAUCAUGCUGAUGUCAUGCUGAACCAAUAAUUACCUUUUCUAAUUAAUUAAAAUCUGUUAAUUCCAAAAUUGAAUUAAAACUUUAAAAAUUAAUAUAAAAUAAUCCAUAACUCGGAUGAAAAUACUUUAUACAUGAAAGUUGCUCAGAACGACGAGGCGAAUCCGGAUACGCAACCUGUUCACCCGCCACACAUCCCUAGCAUAGAAAACACACAACUUUCCCCCUCCGGUUCAUCUGUCCGAAAAUGCGAAACACCGGGAAUACUUUCCCGGAUGUUUCCCCCCUUCGCCGGUACCACCUCCUACCGCGUUAGGGCACACCUAGCACCGCGCAUUGUCAUGUCUUCCAUCGUCAUGCUUAUGUUUGUAUUAUAUUUAUUGUUUCUUUCCCCUCUUCUGUCGUUAGACACCGAGACCGACGCCGCUGCUACCCAGUACGACUAUGGUGUUGACGACCCCUCCUUCUUGCAAAGCAACCAGGCAAGCCCCCCCCCCUCCUUAAUCACCAGAUAUCGCCUAUUCCUUCUCUCUAUUGCUUGCAUUAGAGUAGUGUAGCAUGUUACUUCUUUCGGUUAAUCCUAUUCUGAUGCAUAGCCUGUCAUUGUUGCUACAGUUGUUACUCUUACCUGCAAUCCUAAAUGCUUAGUAUAGGAUGUUAGUAUUCCAUCAGUGGUCCUACAUUCUUGUCCGUCUGCCAUGCUAUACUACUGGGCCGUGAUCACUUCGGGAGGUGAUCACGGGCAUAUGCUAUAUAAUGUAUACUGUUACAUUACUUAUGAUACUGUUCGGAGAUGGGGGCUGAAGGGGCAGGUGGCUCCAUCCCGGUAGAGAUGGGCCUGGGUUCCCGACGGCCCCCGACUGUUACUUUGUGGCGGAGCGACAGGGAAGGUUGAGACCACCUGGGAGAGAGGUGGGCCGGGCCCUGGUCGGCAUUCGCGGUUACUUCAAAAUAACACGCUUAACGAGAUCUUGAUAUUUGAUCUGAGUCUGGCCACUGGCCUAUACGCACUAACCAACUACGCGGGAACGGUUAUGGGCACUCGACGUCGUGAUAUCACCCGAAGCCUUCUUGAUGUCAGCGACUGAGCGGCGCGCGCCGGAUUGGACUGGAACGCCUGCUAGGCUAGGUAUGCUUCUGGCCGCGUACGAAACGUGUAGGUGUGCAAUGGGUGAUGGGCCCAGACCCCUGCGCGCAUAGGAUUUAGACCGGCAUGCUGACCUCUCUGUUGUGCCUAGGUGGGGCUGCGACGUGUUUAUCUUCCGCGGCCGGGCAUGACCCAGGAAAGUGUGUCCGGCCAAAUAAGAUCGAGCGUGUUGGGUUACGUGGUGCACCCCUGCAGGGAAGUUUAUCUAUUCGAAUAGUCAUGUCCCUCGGUAAAAGGAUCACCCGGAGUUGUACCUUGACCUUAUGACAACUAGAACGGGAUACUUAAUAAAACAAACCCUUCCAAGUGCUAGAUACAACCCGGUGAUCGCUCUCUAACAGGGCAACGAGGGGAGGAUCGCCGUGUAGGAUUAUGCUAUGCGAUGAUACUUGGUGAACUUACCAUCUACUCUCUUCUACAUGCUGCAAGAUGGAGGCUACCAGAAGCGUAGUCUUCGAUAGGAUUAGCUAUCCGCCUCUUAUUCUGGCAUUUUGCAGUUCAGUCCACCGAUAUGGCCCUUUACACAUAUACCCAUGCAUAUGUAGUGUAGCUCCUUGCUUGUGAGUACUUUGGAUGAGUACUCACGGUUGCUUUUCUUCCUCUUUCCCCCCUUUCCCUUCUACCUGGUUUUCGCAACCAGAUGCCGGAGCCCAGGAGCCAGACGCCACCGUCGACGACAACUCCUACUACACCGGAGGUGCCUACUACUACGUGCAGCCCGUUGACGACGACCAGGAGUAGUUUAGGAGGAUCCCAGGCAGGAGGCAUACGCCUCUUUCAAUUUGUAUCCCAGUUUGUGCUAGCCAUCUUAUGGCAACUUGUUUAACUUAUGUCUGUACUCAGAUAUUGUUACUUCGGCUGACUUGUCUAUGAUCGAGCACUUGUAUUCGAGCCCUCGAGGCCCCUGGCUUGUAUUAUGAUGCUUGUAUGACUUAUUUAUGUUUUUAGAGUUGUGUUGUGAUAUCUUCCCUUGAGUCCCUGAUCUUGAUCGUACACGUUUGCGUGCAUGAUUAGUGUACGAUUGAAUCGGGGGCGUCACAUCCGGGAACAUGCCCGCGAUGCCCCCUCGCGCGGGAGGACGCCAGGGCCCUGCUGGCACCGGCACCGGUCAAGCUUUGCACGGCGGUUCCCACUGGCAGCGGUGAAGCAGGGGGGAGAGGAGGAGGGGGAGGGGUGUGACGUGAUCUUGGUCGCCCUUCCUGUCGCAUCGCGGGGGUGACGCAGGACGGGUCAGGGGACCGUGGAGUUCAGGAUCAUCAGGCUAAUACAUAUAAUUAUUAUAGGUGCUUCGUCUUUAAUAAAGUUCAUCCGUUCCAAAACAUGUUCAUUUUAUCUUAUUUUUCCUUUUUGCUUCUUUUUUGUUCUUUUGGUUCUUUUAUUUGCAUGUACUUAUUUAAUUUUUGGCCCUUUACAUUAUCCAUUUCUAUUUAUUUUCCAUCGUGUUUUUAGAAAAAAGUUCAUAUGGUAUUUAUGUUAGAAUAAAACGCUAAUGCAAGAUCAUAGACGACAAACCGAGGCACGAUAUGGCUACAUCCCCGGGGCAUGACUACGGGCGCUCCUCCCCAAGAUACCGCAACACCGGCCGCCCGGGCGCCGGCACAAGCCGUCGGCUCCCCGCGUACCUGUUGCUAUGAAGUCGUCAUGGGUUAUAACGUGUGGUGCCCCUUCGUAUAUAAGAGGCCUAGGAUACAAGUGUCCGACUCCUACACAACUCGUACCUAACCACACCAAUUACAACUCCAAGUCCACGUAACCCCUUGCGUACAUAGUAUAUUCGACAUAAAUAUAACAAACUCCACCUUGGCGAAUAUUCUCCACCACUUAGAAGUCGUCCAUGCUCGAACCUCCAUGUACUCCGGACUUGGGUUGUCUCCUUCAUAGCUUACUGAGAGCUACCCGACGGGCCAGACCUGCCGCCACAGUGGGACUCCACUGCUACUCCUGCAACUCCACUCUCCAUGGCUCCACCUGCACUAGUGCUCCCUUGCAACUUGUAAAGAUGCAAAGCUGUCCUCUCUCCUAUCAUCACAGUCACCCCAUCUUCCAUGAUUUCCAUGGUCUUCGUAUCCCGAUCACAACGGAAUUCCAUACCACCAUCAUGAAGAACACCAAGCGAAAUUAGAUUCCUCCUUAGCCCUGGCACAUGCCUGACUCCCCGAAGCAUCCGCUCAACUCCGUCAAACAUCUUGAUUUUGAUGUCACCUACUCCAGCAACACGAUAACCUGUAUCAUCGCCCACAUAGGCUAAACUAAACUCACCAGACUUGUACGAAGAGAACCACUCCUUGUUGGGCGUCGCAUGAAAAGAGCAAGCUGAAUCCAACAUCCACGCUUCAGCUUUUGUUGACCGCAAGUUUGAUACUACGAGAACAUCACUACUGCUGUCUGAGUCAUCACCAUGAGUAGCCGCAUUAGCACUUGCCCCACCCUUCAGUUCUGGGCAUUCCCUCUUUAUAUGUCCCCAGUCAUUGCACCUGUAGCACUGCACCUUUUUCUUCUUUUUCUUCUCCGCCUCUUGUCCCUUCCUGAGCUGAUAACCUUUAACUGCCAACCCCAAACCUUGAGUACUCUCCCUUUCUGCAGCAUUCUUUUGCUUCAUCAACUCAUGUCCAAGUAACGCCGCAAUGACUUCCUCAUUAUUGAUGGUUGUCUUUCCAUGUGUCAAUGUAAUGACCAAAUGCUCAUAGGGCGGUGGCAACGAAACAAGAAGAAGUAGUGCCUUAUCCUCAUCCUCAAUCUUCACAUCCAGACGCACUAGAUCCAUGACCAAUUGAUUAAAGGCGUUCACAUGCUCCACAAGAUCCGACCCCUCCUGCAUCUUCAGCCCAUAGAACUUUUGCUUCAAAUACAGCUUAUUGGUCGCUGACUUGGACAUAUAACGAUUUGCCAACUUGUCCCAAAUUCCCUUAGGAGUAUCUUCGUCCAUGACAUGAUACAUGACCUGAUCCACAAGACAAAGCCGUAUGGUAGCGGCCGCCUGCACUUGCAUAUCCUCCCACACAUCGUUGUCAACCUUGGCCGGCUUCAUCUCCUGCAAACCCUUCAAGAUUCCCUGCUGUGCUAGAAUAUCCUUGACUCUUGUCUGCCAUAGACCGAAGUUACCCGUGCCAUCGAAUUUCUCCAAAUCAAACCUGGUGAAUCCCGGCGCCAUGCCGAGCCACGAUCUAACCGACCUGUUGUCGCCGGUCUGACCACCCUUGUUUUCCUCUGCAACUUCCUCAUGAAAAAGAACACUGAUCCCGUAUUCCUCGUCUGAAGCCACGACGCAGUCCACGAUCUACCAAGAAAUCUGACCCGCACAAGCCACAAACCUCUGUGUCCGCCCUCCAGAAAAUCACUGUGAAACCUGUCGCCGUAACGCAGAUCAACUUGCUCUCUGCCAAAACUCGACUGUUCCACCUUUUCCUGAAACUGCAGACUGUUUUAUGUGCGUCCGCUGCCUCGUCGCACUAGCCUUUUAUUACAGCUGGAUACCCGGCCCUUAUUUUCCUUUCUCCACACGGAAACUGAUUCAAGUCUGUCAUGAUUUGUCCGGUCUUGCCAAACCAAGUCUCCCACGGACCUAUGCAUGCACACGUCUCUUCUUUUCCUUUUCUUUAAGGGUCGCGCUAACUGCCACACGUGUGGCAGGAAAUGAGACGCACCACACGUCUCUAAUGUAAACAGAUUGCCACGUCAUCGCAUGCAUGCAUGCAGGAAUCUUUUUGGAUUUUCAGUUUUUAAAAUGUUUUAUCUCUUAAACGAAAAAUCCGAUUGAAAAUCCGUUUUCACCAUUAAAUCCCUCGCGAUGAGAUCUUCGAAACUAGAUCCCAUGUUGAUAUGUUUUGAUGAAUUUUUUUUUGGAUUAAAAGUUGCCAUGUCUAUUGGAUAUGAAUUGCCAUGAUGUUUACACUGAAGUUGCCGUGAUAUGUUUCAGCUAUUUUCUUCUACUUUUAAAAGUAAAUUUUGACAUUUAUAAAACGGGAAUUAAGAAACUAGACUUGCCAUGAACCAUAAACUAAAAUUGUCAUGAUACAAGCACAUAAAAUUGUCAUGGUUCAUACAAAAAAUAAUUUUCAUGGUCAAAGUACAGGAGUUGCCAUCAUCAAAAUACUAAAAUUGCCAUGAACUACAAACUAAAAUUGCCACAUGGCAACUUUAGUUUAAGCCCUAUGGCAACUGCAGUGUAAACAUCGUGGCAACUUCUGGCAAAAAAAAAAAAAUCGUCGAAAUAUAUCAACAUGGGGUCUAGUUUUGAAGAUCUCGUCGAGACGGAUUUAAUGGUGAAAACGGAUUUUUAGUUCGCUUUUUUAUUUAGGAGAUACAACAUUUUUAAGCCGAAAACCAAAAAAAAUUCUGCUGAUGUCAUCUAUUCAUGCGUGGCAAAAUGAGUGGUGAUGGAGGCGUGUGGGCGAUGUACAAACGCCCACAUGUGUGGGUGUUAACAUUUCCGUUCUUUAAUCAUCAUGACUAGCAGCAGGCUUGUCCCCUGACGAACAUGCACACCCAUCGCACGUAUCACCUUGUAAAUUUGAUCCGCUGACUGCAUGCAAGUUAACUCCCUAGACUCCUGCCUCAUCACGAUUUUAUCUUUCCUUGAGUACGUUGCACCCUAUCCGAUGAAACCUGCACCCUUGACCUUCCUUUGCCGCUGCUACUGACACCAGUUGCCACACGCCUCCUGGGAGGCUCCAGCGGCCGUCUCGCGUACGAACGCCAGCAAUUGAAUCCUGACUUUCCUUCUCUCGACUCCGUGUUCAUCGAAAAACACCCGCCGCUAGUUCCGACGACAGCUUCUGUCUCUGAUCUUAGUUCUUCGCCAGCGAUCUAUAACUUGCCCUGUCGCGCACACACCGUACGCCAACCCUGCUGAAACAGACGCCACCUCGCGCAUCGUCCGUGCACGAGCCGUCCCGUACCCUGGCCACCCGCGUCGCCGACACAAUCCGUCCGCAGUGCCGCGUCGCCGCCCUUGUACAACACCGAGCGCAUCAUCUCGAUGCUCUCCCACUCCGAUCUAUCCGGCCGUCCCCCACAUCUGGUCGCCGGUCUGAUCGCGAGCCGAAACCGUCGCCUCCGCAACGUCUUCAACAGCCACUACGUCGGUCCGAUCGUCACGUCUAGCCGAUCCUUACCGACUGCAGCCCAUCGAACGGUCUAGGCCUCCUGCCCGAAGUGUCCGACACCCCCGACCGCCUCCGCGAUCGCCGCCAUGCUCCACCUUGCACCAAUCGGACAUUCCUUGGCACCCGUCGAGCAUGAUCCUCGUACCUCCGGAUGAUCUUCCGCAUAGCCUUCUCGCAACCUUGCUCUGAUACCACUUGUUAGAAUAAAACGCUAAUGCAAGAUCAUAGACGACACACCGAGGCACGAUAUUUGUUAACGAGGUUCACCGGGAGCCAUAUCGGUGAACCUCGUUAACAAAUAUCGUGCCUCGGUGUGUCGUCUAUGAUCUUGCAUUAGCGUUUUAUUCUAACAAGUUAUAAUAUAUCCAUGGUGUAUUUAAAAAAUAUUCAUUAUCCGUGAAACAGGAUCUCCUACUAAUUUCCUUUUUGAGAUCUCCUUUUUUUUAGAAUCAUUGAGAUCUCUCCUAGUGGACGCUCCCUGCGUCCAAUAGCGGAGCGAGGCAAACAGGGCGCAGCUGGACCGAGCCGGCCCGUUGGCGACAAUAUUACUGUAAGCUGUAGCUGCGGUUCAAAUAAAAAAAGAAACACAUGUUCAUAAAAUGGACACUUUCUGGAAACGUGAAAUUAUUUAAAUUUUGUGAUUUUUUUAAAAGGCAAUUCUUUUUGAAUUUUGUGAAAAUUUCUCAAAAGUUAUGAUAUUUUUUUGAACUACAAACACUGUUUUUAAUUCUUUAAAUUUUCAUUUCAAUUUCAAUUUUUUAUUUUCGAAAUUCCAAGUUACCUGAGAAAAUCCGAAUGUUUUUAGAAACACGAACGAGUUGGGAAACAUGAAAAAGCAAGUUAAAUUCUGAACAUUUUACAAAAUGUCAAACAAAAAAUUGAAGUCUGAACAGUUUUUGAAGGUUUUGAUAAUUUUUAAAAAGGAGAUUUGUUUAAAUUCAGAAGGUUCUUUGAAAAUGCGAACAGUUUUUGAAAAAUAUGAACAACAAAUUUAAAUUUCAAGAAUUUUAUGGAAAAGCGAACAAUUUUUGAAGAUUUUGUUUUUCUAAUUUGUGAAUUUAUGGAAAAAUAAAUAAAAUGGAAACAGGAAAAGCUAAGAAAAAGGAAAAAAACUGAACAAUAAAAAUAGGAAAAACUAUGAAUCUACACUUGUAUGCAAGCGAGCCAUCUACAUGAGCUAGCACGGAAUAGCAAGGCAAGCACGGAAUAACAAUCCGUUCUAGCUGGUAGGAGAUUCGCGCAGCUUUGGCGCUAAUUAAUAUAUGCGCCUCCUUGCUUUAGUCUUUUUCAUUCAUAUUAGAGUAAACUCAAAGGGGAGGAGAAUUGCACUCUCCUCUCACAACUGGAGAGAAGAAAAAGUUUGAUUAAAUUGCUAUACAAGCCAGAUGUGUGAUACGGCCAAACACACCUUAAUUCAGUCAUGCCCAUCCUAGAAGUUCUGUGGGUGUUUAAAGUGAAAAGGUAUGAUAGAUAGAUCUACUAUUACUGUGUUGCACUACUACUUGGCAUAGUUUCUAUCAGUUUGGUGUACUCGGCUUUGAUCUUCUCCAGCGUCACAACAACAUCUCGCAUCGUCAUCCUCUGAUCAGGCAAGUCGCUUGAGCAAAGCAAACCCAACUCAAAGACCGGCGCAAGAAAACCACUGUGAAAGGUGUUGUUAGCGGAGCCUUGUAGUAGCUGACCGUCGACAACUUGAACAAGCUCUGCAGGAAAUGCAUGGUAGACCCACUGCCUAAGGGUUAGGUUUGAGCUGAACAUAGCGUCCGUAGGUUUCCUUCUAGUGAAGACUUCAAGGAGCAUGAUUCCGUAGCUGAAUACGUCGCUAUUCCGCGAUGCUUUUCCAUGCAACCCAUACUCUGCUCAACAAAAACGUAAACGGAAAUUAGACAUAGUUUCUUAUUCAUGAUUCUAGAGUGGAUCCAUGAUUUCUCAAUGGUUUAACAAACACUUGAUUGAGCAGUAUAGAAAGAGCUAGUGAAUUAAGCAACUGGUGCCAUGUACCCAACUGUUCCAUGCAUGUUCGCACUUAUCAUGGAGUUGCCAUCUAAAAUCAACCUUGCAAUGCCAAAGUCCGCCACAUGCACUGUCAUGUCAUUGUCAAACAACACGUUGCUAGGCUUCAAGUCACAAUGCAAGAUCAGUGCGGAAUGCUCAUGGUGCAGAUAAUCCAUUGCCUUCGAUACAUCGAGCAUGAUAACCAGUCUCUCAAUGAAUCCCAAGCUAAAUGCACUCUGAGACUGGUGUAGGAGCUUGUCUAAGCUUCCAUUUGGCAUAUACGGAAGCACUAGUGCUCUAAUGUCAAGGUUAGAACAUGUGUUGAGUAUCCUUAUCAAGUUGCGGUGUCGCACCAUGCGAAGCACUCCACACUCCACAUCAAAACUUCGAAUGGCUGGCUCAAGUUGCAUGUCAAGAACUUUUACCGCAACCACCAAACCACAACUCAAUUGACCCUUGAAGACCUUUCCAAAGCUUCCAGAUCCCAAGAUGUUAUCUUCACUGAAACUAUUGGUUGCAUGAACAAGCUCGUGAUAGGAGACUAUUUGAUGGCCUAUGACAUUGGUUGGAUCAAUAGAAAGUUUGUCAUCUCCCUUUUUAAGUUUCUUUCUGAUCUGUAGGUAUAUGCAAAAGGAAAUGGCGCCAAAUAUUAAUGCGAGUGUUGGGAGUAUAAAUUGUAGGAAGUGUCUUUUACUUGAGUGAGAUCUAUCAAGGCAUGGUGAAAAUUGUAGGCGUGGAGCGCCACAGAGCCCAGUAUUCCCAACCAAAGAUUGCAAGGUGAGGUUUGAGAAAACACCUCCCUGGGGUAUUUGGCCUUCUAACCUAUUGAAUGAGAGGUUCAAAGUAGUCAAGUAGAUAAGGUUGGAAAGGAACAUGGGAAUGUUACCAGAUAGAUUGUUAGAUGAGAGGUCUAAUGAUGCUAAGCUUUUUAGCUUAUCAAGUUGACCUGGGAUCGAUCCUUCAAAGGAGUUAUAUGACAGAUUUAGGUAGGUUAGCAUGUUAAGUUGUCCGAAUGAUUCUGGGAUGCUUCCUAUCAAGAUGUUAGAAGAAAGAUCCAUUUUAUAUGUUUGUUUUAGAUUAGAAACAUCAAUUGGUAGUGCACCCGUAAAAGAAUUGUGGGAAAAAUUUAGUUGGAUAAGUUUAUCUAGGUGGAAAAGACUUGCGGGUAUUGUCAAGUUUAGCUGGUUAUUAGACAAGUCGAUGUAUUCUAACAAAGUAAGAUUACUCAACAUGUUUGGUAUAGAGCCCAAGAACUUGUUUGCUUGGAGAAACAACCGUUCUAGACACCCAAGCACACCCAUUUGUGUUGGGAUAGGGCCUAACAUGUUAUUGUAGGAGAGGUCAAGCCAUGCAAGAUUUUCCAACAUAGCGAUGGAUUUUGGGAUUGGACCAGUGAAUAGGUUGUUACUAAGAUCUAUCAAUUGAAGGCUGCUUAUGUUAGAAAUUGCUCAUACGCUCCAUGGACAGAGCAAAAACUACCAUGCGCUACUCGGAAAGUACUGACUAGAGGGGGGGGCGUGUGGAUCCACAGUCCUAGCCAUUCUCACAACGGGAUAAUAAAGCGAACAAAGACCAUGAGAAGAGAUUACAACAUCCAGAACGAAGCCUGUCAAGCCAACCUUCCCUCACUGCGAAAAUGCAACAUCCGGCGUACUCAUUGGCUUUGACCUCAGAUUCAUUACUUGCUAGAGAAGUAGUUUACAUAACUGUCACAGCUCCAAUGCGAUAAGCUUGUUAAUCAGCAAAGUCGCUAGCCUAAAUAAGGAGUUUACAAUCGCUUGACUAUAAAGUAAAGAGCGGCUAAUGGGAGAUUGCUUGAGUAGGCUCAGUAAGGGAUUACCCGCGGGCAGGGUGAAAGAGCUUUCAUUAAUAGUAUGAACUGGUGGAUCAGCAAGAUAGCUAGAGCUCCUUAAAGGAAAGCAAAAUCCAAUUCUAUAUUAUAUCAAACUAUAAAGCAAAGAUGAGGAAGCUGCGCCUUUACUCGCUCGAAUUAGAGGAAAAAGGGGAUAUGCAGCAGUAACAGCUUUUCUUUCAAUAGAAAGCAGGAAAUGCGAAUAAGAGAAGGGUAGAAGAAGCGAUCCGCGCAUUUCCUUAUUUCACAACGGAUUUGACUCGUUAGAGAAAUCAUUUCUUAGGUAUGCUACAUUCUUUGAAGAAAGAGUAGGUUCUGCUAUUUAAGACUUAGAGGAAGUGAUUUCCGGGAACUAGCAGACCAAGCCAAUCAACAAGGAAAGCCUGUCAAGCAAGGAAGCCACCAAGCAAACCUUUAAUAAGCAUCUCUAGCGCAGUCACUUCUCUAUAGAAAGAAAAAACCUGCAGCCAAGACUAGUCACAUUAGUGAAACAAGUGAUUCGCUGACAUUCAAUUCAAAUAGAAAGAGUAGUCACAGCUGCGACAAGUUGCUCUAAGAGGAAGGAGUUGACUUACUUUCAAUUCCUAAUACAGCAAGAGCGGAUUUUUUUCAUGUAGCAUUUCUACCCCUAUAGGAUUUCCCAUCUUAACCGAGAAUGGGUGCCCACCUUGUACGUACCGAGAAUGGGUGCAGCCCACCCCAUCUAAAGUAGCCUGAAAUUCGUUCCUCUACAAUCCAGAGCAGUCCGAACAUGUACCGCGAUCUGGACGGACAAAGAAUGCCGUACACUUGAGUGACCCCCUUUUCUGUGACCACCACCAAAUUCAAAAGAAGAGGUGAGAUCACCCUGCAAAAAUCCUUUGUAGCUCUUAAAAUAUGGGCCAACCUCUCCAUUAAUAUUGAUACUCACUGCACCUCCUUCUACCACUUGUUUAAUCCAACCUCUCCACUUCUCACUAAAGAAAACCCUUUUUAAGCAAAACCUCUUGUAGAAAAUCCCAAUUCACCCUGUCAUAUGCUUUUUCAAAGUCUAGCUUUAGUAUGACCCCCUCUUGUUUAGUCCUCCUAAGCUCAUGAAACACCUCAUGGAUAGUGACCACCCCAUCUAAAAUAUUUCCGUUUUUCAUAAAUGCCGUCUGACUCUUACUCACCACCUUAUCUGCAACUCUCUCAAGCCUAUUUGUCAGUACUUUAGUCACAAUUUUAUAACAAACAUAAUAUAAACAUAUUGGCCGAUAUUGCUUGAUAGUUGCAGCAUCUUUCGUUUUAGGAAUCAGAGUAACCACCCCAUAAUUAAGUCUUCUAAGUUGCAACUCCUCAGCAUGCGGGCUAUCAAGCAUUCUUUUGACCAUCUCUUUAACCAUCUCCCAAAAUUGUUUCUAAAAGAUUACUGGUAAGCCAUCUGGGCCAGGAGCUGUAUUGGUUUUCAUCUCUUUAACUACUAACUCUAAAACCUCCAUAGUGAAAGGCUUAGUCAACUCUUCAUUGUCUAGUUCUGAUAGCAUGUGCUCUGUUGACCAAGGGGCUUCCACCAAGAGAUAUGUCCCCCCUGUCCUCUGAACCAAAUAGUCUCUUAUAGUAACUAGAAAUGUGUUCUUGCAACUCUUUCUCAUCUUGUAUAACAUUUCCUUCAUGUUCCAAAGAAGCAAUAUUACAUUUUAUGUGUCUUCCAUUGGCAGCACUAUGGAAGAAUGAAGUAUUUGCAUCUCCCUCAAGUAACCACUGACAAACUGACUGACAAUGUGGACUGCAUGAGCAAUGUCAGGCCGGGUCACAGUGAGGUACACAAGGCUGCCUACAAGAUGACGAUAGCGAGUGGUAUCUCUCAAGAGGAGUACCAUCACUAGGGCGCAAUUGGAGAUGGAGCUCCAUGGGUGUAGCGGCAGUGUGUGUAUCAGUAAGACCUGAGCGUGAGAUCAAAUCCUGAGUAUAGCGAUGCUGAGAGAGAUAGUAACCAUCAUUAGUUUUAUCAACCUCAAUUCCCAGAAAAUAACGGAGAGAAAAUCAAUCUGACAUCUUGAAUUGCUCACUCAACUUUUUAUUAACAAAAGCAAUGUACUUCUGAUCAUCUCCAGUGAUCAACAUAUCAUCAACAUAGAGAAGAAGCAAGGUACGACCGCGGUCAGAUGUAUGAGUGAAAAGUGCAGGGUCAUGCUCACUAGAAGAGAAACCAGCAGCUUGAACCACAGAGCUGAACCGCUCAAACCAAGCACGAGGUGGUUGCUUUUUUCCCAUAGAGGGCCUUUCGAAGGUGACAAACAUGACCAUCAGGAACUUCAAUACCCAGAGGUGGCUGCAUAUAGAAAAAACUCAUGUAGAUCACCAUGAAGGAAAGCAUUUUUGACAUCCAUUUGAGAGAUUUGCCAAGAUCGAGCUGCAGCCACAGCAAUCAGAGUACGAACAGAAAUUGAAACAACGCAACCGUACUAUCUAUUUACGAUAAUUUGAUUGCUGACAACACGACAACAUCACGCUUCUCUUUCUUAUUCUUAUUUAUAUCACUGUCACUUUACCGGGCCGGAAAAGUGACACCGUCACGUCUCAGGGUCGUAUGCCUGGAACAAGAAGGGUCGUCGUACAAUUUCGGCGAUUACAAAAAAGAAGGAGGCGAGCUCCCUAUCCCUCUUUGUCUUUCCACUUCCCUCGUUCAGGAACAAACACUUCGCCAAAUUCUUUUGAGUCCCGGCCCGGUUUUUCCCCACUAACCAAUUACGUUACGACCACUGAACAAACUUGGUUGACGAACAUGGUUUAUGCGCCGCUAAUCUAGCGGCUUGUCGAGCAUUUGACAAACUCACACCAUCCAUUUCAAAUGGGAUUUGUCCCAUGGACACACGAGCAAUCCAACCCGUCGGAUUUCCUUUUCCUCUUCCCAUUCGAACUUCUGCGGGUUUCCCCGUAAUAGGAAGAUCUGCGAGAACUCUUACCCAUAUCUUACAAUUUCUUCGGAAUUGUCCGCUCAUAGCACGAUGGAAUUGUCCGAUUGUAGCCCGACGCGCUGCUUCAAUGGCUCGAUAUGAAAGACGACCAGCUCUACAACUUUUGGUGCCAUAUCUUCCAAAACCAAGUUGUGUACCAUCCGGUUCGCGACCCCUACUACAUCUGCAUUUAAAAUAUUUACUAUAUUUCGUACGUUUCGGAUAUAGCACGUCCCUUCUUAUUUUGACUAUAUGAGAUCCGCACUUUGACACCUGAAAUUCCAUUACGAGUAGAUACUUCCGCAGGAGCAUAAUCGAUUUUCUGGUUAAAUACAUUACAAGAUGUUUUUCCAUACUUUCCGCAUUCAGUUCUAGCUAUUUCCGCACCCCCUAAUCGACCAGAACAACAAAUACGUAUCCCCUCCACCCCUUUUGGCAUUAUUAAUGGAAUAUCCUUCACUAUUUUACUAAAAAUGGAACGAAAUGAGAUUGGAUUGUUCCUCAGUUGAAAAGAGAUGUCUUGAGCAAUCAGAGAAGCACUUUGAUAAACAGAUUUGAUCUUUACCGACUCAAUUAAGGUAUUAGUGUUUGUUCUAUUAGACAAAAAAGAUCGCAUUUUUUGCACUUCGUUCAAAUAAGAGUUGUACCCGUACGGAAUUAUCCUCUUUCUCAGUAUGAUCUCUAUCAUCAUCUCUAUUCCCUUUAUCAAUUUUCCUAUCCUACCUAGGUCUAUGAAUUUCUCUAUCAAUUCCAUUACCNNNNNNNNNNNNNNNNNNNNNNNNNNNNNNNNNNNNNNNNNNNNNNNNNNNNNNNNNNNNNNNNNNNNNNNNNNNNNNNNNNNNNNNNNNNNNNNNNNNNNNNNNNNNNNNNNNNNNNNNNNNNNNNNNNNNNNNNNNNNNNNNNNNNNNNNNNNNNNNNNNNNNNNNNNNNNNNNNNNNNNNNNNNNNNNNNNNNNNNNNNNNNNNNNNNNNNNNNNNNNNNNNNNNNNNNNNNNNNNNNNNNNNNNNNNNNNNNNNNNNNNNNNNNNNNNNNNNNNNNNNNNNNNNNNNNNNNNNNNNNNNNNNNNNNNNNNNNNNNNNNNNNNNNNNNNNNNNNNNNNNNNNNNNNNNNNNNNNNNNNNNNNNNNNNNNNNNNNNNNNNNNNNNNNNNNNNNNNNNNNNNNNNNNNNNNNNNNNNNNNNNNNNNNNNNNNNNNNNNNNNNNNNNNNNNNNNNNNNNNNNNNNNNNNNNNNNNNNNNNNNNNNNNNNNNNNNNNNNNNNNNNNNNNNNNNNNNNNNNNNNNNNNNNNNNNNNNNNNNNNNNNNNNNNNNNNNNNNNNNNNNNNNNNNNNNNNNNNNNNNNNNNNNNNNNNNNNNNNNNNNNNNNNNNNNNNNNNNNNNNNNNNNNNNNNNNNNNNNNNNNNNNNNNNNNNNNNNNNNNNNNNNNNNNNNNNNNNNNNNNNNNNNNNNNNNNNNNNNNNNNNNNNNNNNNNNNNNNNNNNNNNNNNNNNNNNNNNNNNNNNNNNNNNNNNNNNNNNNNNNNNNNNNNNNNNNNNNNNNNNNNNNNNNNNNNNNNNNNNNNNNNNNNNNNNNNNNNNNNNNNNNNNNNNNNNNNNNNNNNNNNNNNNNNNNNNNNNNNNNNNNNNNNNNNNNNNNNNNNNNNNNNNNNNNNNNNNNNNNNNNNNNNNNNNNNNNNNNNNNNNNNNNNNNNNNNNNNNNNNNNNNNNNNNNNNNNNNNNNNNNNNNNNNNNNNNNNNNNNNNNNNNNNNNNNNNNNNNNNNNNNNNNNNNNNNNNNNNNNNNNNNNNNNNNNNNNNNNNNNNNNNNNNNNNNNNNNNNNNNNNNNNNNNNNNNNNNNNNNNNNNNNNNNNNNNNNNNNNNNNNNNNNNNNNNNNNNNNNNNNNNNNNNNNNNNNNNNNNNNNNNNNNNNNNNNNNNNNNNNNNNNNNNNNNNNNNNNNNNNNNNNNNNNNNNNNNNNNNNNNNNNNNNNNNNNNNNNNNNNNNNNNNNNNNNNNNNNNNNNNNNNNNNNNNNNNNNNNNNNNNNNNNNNNNNNNNNNNNNNNNNNNNNNNNNNNNNNNNNNNNNNNNNNNNNNNNNNNNNNNNNNNNNNNNNNNNNNNNNNNNNNNNNNNNNNNNNNNNNNNNNNNNNNNNNNNNNNNNNNNNNNNNNNNNNNNNNNNNNNNNNNNNNNNNNNNNNNNNNNNNNNNNNNNNNNNNNNNNNNNNNNNNNNNNNNNNNNNNNNNNNNNNNNNNNNNNNNNNNNNNNNNNNNNNNNNNNNNNNNNNNNNNNNNNNNNNNNNNNNNNNNNNNNNNNNNNNNNNNNNNNNNNNNNNNNNNNNNNNNNNNNNNNNNNNNNNNNNNNNNNNNNNNNNNNNNNNNNNNNNNNNNNNNNNNNNNNNNNNNNNNNNNNNNNNNNNNNNNNNNNNNNNNNNNNNNNNNNNNNNNNNNNNNNNNNNNNNNNNNNNNNNNNNNNNNNNNNNNNNNNNNNNNNNNNNNNNNNNNNNNNNNNNNNNNNNNNNNNNNNNNNNNNNNNNNNNNNNNNNNNNNNNNNNNNNNNNNNNNNNNNNNNNNNNNNNNNNNNNNNNNNNNNNNNNNNNNNNNNNNNNNNNNNNNNNNNNNNNNNNNNNNNNNNNNNNNNNNNNNNNNNNNNNNNNNNNNNNNNNNNNNNNNNNNNNNNNNNNNNNNNNNNNNNNNNNNNNNNNNNNNNNNNNNNNNNNNNNNNNNNNNNNNNNNNNNNNNNNNNNNNNNNNNNNNNNNNNNNNNNNNNNNNNNNNNNNNNNNNNNNNNNNNNNNNNNNNNNNNNNNNNNNNNNNNNNNNNNNNNNNNNNNNNNNNNNNNNNNNNNNNNNNNNNNNNNNNNNNNNNNNNNNNNNNNNNNNNNNNNNNNNNNNNNNNNNNNNNNNNNNNNNNNNNNNNNNNNNNNNNNNNNNNNNNNNNNNNNNNNNNNNNNNNNNNNNNNNNNNNNNNNNNNNNNNNNNNNNNNNNNNNNNNNNNNNNNNNNNNNNNNNNNNNNNNNNNNNNNNNNNNNNNNNNNNNNNNNNNNNNNNNNNNNNNNNNNNNNNNNNNNNNNNNNNNNNNNNNNNNNNNNNNNNNNNNNNNNNNNNNNNNNNNNNNNNNNNNNNNNNNNNNNNNNNNNNNNNNNNNNNNNNNNNNNNNNNNNNNNNNNNNNNNNNNNNNNNNNNNNNNNNNNNNNNNNNNNNNNNNNNNNNNNNNNNNNNNNNNNNNNNNNNNNNNNNNNNNNNNNNNNNNNNNNNNNNNNNNNNNNNNNNNNNNNNNNNNNNNNNNNNNNNNNNNNNNNNNNNNNNNNNNNNNNNNNNNNNNNNNNNNNNNNNNNNNNNNNNNNNNNNNNNNNNNNNNNNNNNNNNNNNNNNNNNNNNNNNNNNNNNNNNNNNNNNNNNNNNNNNNNNNNNNNNNNNNNNNNNNNNNNNNNNNNNNNNNNNNNNNNNNNNNNNNNNNNNNNNNNNNNNNNNNNNNNNNNNNNNNNNNNNNNNNNNNNNNNNNNNNNNNNNNNNNNNNNNNNNNNNNNNNNNNNNNNNNNNNNNNNNNNNNNNNNNNNNNNNNNNNNNNNNNNNNNNNNNNNNNNNNNNNNNNNNNNNNNNNNNNNNNNNNNNNNNNNNNNNNNNNNNNNNNNNNNNNNNNNNNNNNNNNNNNNNNNNNNNNNNNNNNNNNNNNNNNNNNNNNNNNNNNNNNNNNNNNNNNNNNNNNNNNNNNNNNNNNNNNNNNNNNNNNNNNNNNNNNNNNNNNNNNNNNNNNNNNNNNNNNNNNNNNNNNNNNNNNNNNNNNNNNNNNNNNNNNNNNNNNNNNNNNNNNNNNNNNNNNNNNNNNNNNNNNNNNNNNNNNNNNNNNNNNNNNNNNNNNNNNNNNNNNNNNNNNNNNNNNNNNNNNNNNNNNNNNNNNNNNNNNNNNNNNNNNNNNNNNNNNNNNNNNNNNNNNNNNNNNNNNNNNNNNNNNNNNNNNNNNNNNNNNNNNNNNNNNNNNNNNNNNNNNNNNNNNNNNNNNNNNNNNNNNNNNNNNNNNNNNNNNNNNNNNNNNNNNNNNNNNNNNNNNNNNNNNNNNNNNNNNNNNNNNNNNNNNNNNNNNNNNNNNNNNNNNNNNNNNNNNNNNNNNNNNNNNNNNNNNNNNNNNNNNNNNNNNNNNNNNNNNNNNNNNNNNNNNNNNNNNNNNNNNNNNNNNNNNNNNNNNNNNNNNNNNNNNNNNNNNNNNNNNNNNNNNNNNNNNNNNNNNNNNNNNNNNNNNNNNNNNNNNNNNNNNNNNNNNNNNNNNNNNNNNNNNNNNNNNNNNNNNNNNNNNNNNNNNNNNNNNNNNNNNNNNNNNNNNNNNNNNNNNNNNNNNNNNNNNNNNNNNNNNNNNNNNNNNNNNNNNNNNNNNNNNNNNNNNNNNNNNNNNNNNNNNNNNNNNNNNNNNNNNNNNNNNNNNNNNNNNNNNNNNNNNNNNNNNNNNNNNNNNNNNNNNNNNNNNNNNNNNNNNNNNNNNNNNNNNNNNNNNNNNNNNNNNNNNNNNNNNNNNNNNNNNNNNNNNNNNNNNNNNNNNNNNNNNNNNNNNNNNNNNNNNNNNNNNNNNNNNNNNNNNNNNNNNNNNNNNNNNNNNNNNNNNNNNNNNNNNNNNNNNNNNNNNNNNNNNNNNNNNNNNNNNNNNNNNNNNNNNNNNNNNNNNNNNNNNNNNNNNNNNNNNNNNNNNNNNNNNNNNNNNNNNNNNNNNNNNNNNNNNNNNNNNNNNNNNNNNNNNNNNNNNNNNNNNNNNNNNNNNNNNNNNNNNNNNNNNNNNNNNNNNNNNNNNNNNNNNNNNNNNNNNNNNNNNNNNNNNNNNNNNNNNNNNNNNNNNNNNNNNNNNNNNNNNNNNNNNNNNNNNNNNNNNNNNNNNNNNNNNNNNNNNNNNNNNNNNNNNNNNNNNNNNNNNNNNNNNNNNNNNNNNNNNNNNNNNNNNNNNNNNNNNNNNNNNNNNNNNNNNNNNNNNNNNNNNNNNNNNNNNNNNNNNNNNNNNNNNNNNNNNNNNNNNNNNNNNNNNNNNNNNNNNNNNNNNNNNNNNNNNNNNNNNNNNNNNNNNNNNNNNNNNNNNNNNNNNNNNNNNNNNNNNNNNNNNNNNNNNNNNNNNNNNNNNNNNNNNNNNNNNNNNNNNNNNNNNNNNNNNNNNNNNNNNNNNNNNNNNNNNNNNNNNNNNNNNNNNNNNNNNNNNNNNNNNNNNNNNNNNNNNNNNNNNNNNNNNNNNNNNNNNNNNNNNNNNNNNNNNNNNNNNNNNNNNNNNNNNNNNNNNNNNNNNNNNNNNNNNNNNNNNNNNNNNNNNNNNNNNNNNNNNNNNNNNNNNNNNNNNNNNNNNNNNNNNNNNNNNNNNNNNNNNNNNNNNNNNNNNNNNNNNNNNNNNNNNNNNNNNNNNNNNNNNNNNNNNNNNNNNNNNNNNNNNNNNNNNNNNNNNNNNNNNNNNNNNNNNNNNCUCUGUCCAUGGAGCGUAUGAAUUUCCUUAAAUGUAGAUAGACCAAAAAAGGGAAUAAAGGGAUAGGAAUAGGAAUUAUAGUACCAUUGGAAGAAGAGGCACCAGUGGGAACAUCUCUACUGACGAACCAUUUCAAUAGUACGGGUGCUGCCGUGCCACGGGGCACGACCAUGGAAGUAAUGAAAAAGAAGAAGUUCUGUAGUUGGACCAUCUGCUCUAUCCGUUCGAUUUGAGCUUCUCCAGAGAAGAUGAGACGCUAAAAAUGAAAGUGUUCGCAACGCAUACCGAAAAAGGGUACCUAUGUUGCCGACCAUUAAUGACUAGUUCGAAGACCAGGAGCAGGGGCACGUGCCAAGAAAGAUUUGUUACUUUCCCUAUGGUUUUCGAACGUUUUCAAUAAAACCUUCUCGUAGAAGUAUUUUCACAAAGUUUUCGGUAAUAUUAGUAGAUGCUAUUCGAACCCUUCCUUUUAUUAAGAUUUGAAUUCUUAUUCUUAUUAUUAUCUAAUUAUUCUUUUUUUUCAUGUAUAUGCGUCAGACACAAUCUACUAAUUGAUCUAUAUUCUGAUACCCUACUAUAUCAUAGUCUCUACUACUAGUAUUUUUAAUACCUCAGGAGCUCAUGAGACUCUUUUAGUGAAAUUCAUAAGUCUCAAUUCCCGAGCGAUCGCACCAAAAACUCGAGUUCCUUUUGGAUUUCCUUCUUGAUCAAUGACAACCGUCAUCAUAUCGUAUUAUCAUACCGUUGUCACGUUUGAGUUCUUUACAUGUACGUACAAUUACAACUCGUCUUACUUAUGUCUGAUCUUUCUAGAGGCAUUUUGGGCACUGCUUCUUUGAUUACAGCAACAAUAACGUCACCAAUAUGAGCAUAUCAGUGAUUACCAGCUCCUAAGAUUCGAAUACAUAUCAAUUCGAUAGCCCCACUCCGUUGUUAUCCGCUACAUUCAAAAGGGUCUGAGUGAGAUGGAUCUUGGAAGUCCGGUUUUUGAUUGGAUAGUGAUCUCGGGCACGAGUGGUUGAUCUUCGCGGGCCGUGAAUGGCCAUGGAAAGGAGUAUUGAUGUCAAUAUGUUCGAUCGAGAAGAUUGGACGAUGAAAGACGGAUCCUUUGUGGUUUGAAUAAUAGGCUGUGGUCUCGAUAUUGGGCUAUGGGCUGAUUGCUUUCUGUAUGAGCCUCUUGUGAUUGGGCUCUCGUGGGCGGAUUACCCGAUGUGUACUCAUCUUCCAACAAAGAGGAGAAGACAUAACCAGAAGAAUUGUGAGAAAUAAGUUAAUUUAUCAAGUUGAGGCAUUUCGAUUUGGAUUUCAAAUAAGAAAGAAAAGACUCCUGCGCCCUCGAGAGCAUUCUCUUUCACUUGCAUUUCUUCCUGAAGUUGGCUCGAAGACCUGUCCAGCCUUGAUUUUCCCAGUUAUUACUCGAGCGCGCUGAGGCAACUCUGAACUAAGCUCAGGGGAGGGGUAGUAGGUAUGCUUCAAACCCUCCGGCACCUUGAAGAACGAUGGCACUAGAUCGGGAAAGAUGAAUGACCAAUGAGGACAGGACAAUGGGGGAAGUUGGUAAUAGAGAAUCCUCCCUUCUUCUUUGCUUUCUUGCCUGAAAAAAUCCAAAACUAACCAUUGGAACCUCAUGGGCUACCGAGUUAGGAGAUUCAUUUUCUUUAUUACUUUUACUUUUUUUUACUAAGUUAUUCUAAAAGAUAAGAGCUAACCGACCAUCCUGAUUGAAUGUUUGAGUACUCGGAGUCUCUCGUAAGUAUGGAAAGAAAGUCUCUUCUUUCCACAACUCCUAAAUUUCCCAUCAGCCUAUCCAAUCUAAUUCCAGACAGAGUCAGUAGACCUUACUUUAGUGUAGGUAGUGUCAGAUAAUUAGGAAGUCUUGAUAGUCUUUCGUAUAAUCUCUUCUUCAAUCCUAGGAGCAAAAAAGGAAUGUCCUUUAGGGACCUUUGGAUAAAAAGAUUUCCGACCUCUUACUUUCGUAGUUAUGAAUUGCGGAAUAGAAUCAAUUAUGAAAUUCAUAAGUAUAUAUCCCUCAUCCCUAUUGGUAUCGGUUUGGGCCACUACCCAGAACCCUGCCAGAGCCCUAUUUUUAAGAAGAAAUUGACAGUCUUUUUUAGAACUAGAACUAUGGUAAAAUCCAGUAUCGACAGGCCUAGUUCUUUUCCUUUGCUUAUGCAGGGCAAGAAUUUGUCGAGUUCAAUCAGUACAAUAAGAAAUCCUAAGUAUUUUUUUGGUCAGGCGACACCCAGAUUUGAACUGGGGAUAAAGGAUUUGCAGUCCCCUGCCUUACCGCUUGGCCAUGCCGCCAAAUCCGAUCCAAAAUAGAGCAAAAUCUUAUUCAUCCACAUUAUUUUACUAAUUUUUAUUCGUAGGAGUGGAUUAUUAAACCCUUUUUGAUUUUUUUUAGAUCGUUGAAUCCCUUUGUACUUAUCCCUUUCCAAUCCCUUUUAAUAAAUUCAUUCCUGUUUUUUAUUGGACCCAGUUUUAUUCUCUUCGAUUGAUUGUAUCUCAAAACACACAUUGCUUAAAUACCUUCUCUUUCUAUUGAAAAGAGAAAGGAUUUCCAGUCACAGCAAAUUGAGGAAAAAUUGGAACCAUUAACUAUAUUAUUUGUUAUUAUUUGUUAUUUUUAUAAAUUCUAUUUGUUAGUAGUGAACGGUUCUAAAAUGUGUAUUGUAUCCCAAAUAGUGUUUCCUUAAUGGCAUAACAAAAUCAAAUUGAUUUACGGCUAAUCAGUAUCAAUUAAAAAAAAGAGAAUUAUGAUAUUGAUAUAGUGUGACCUGACCCCUGUUGCUCCAAGUGAAAUUCUUUCUAGGGUUCUUAAAGAUAUUCUCCAUUUUUUCCCUUUCCCUACAAUAAAGUAUAGUCUGAAGGCUAGCACGCACCAUUCCUCGCUUAUGAUAAUCUAAGGCCAAAAAGAAAGAAGGCUCACACAAUAAUAAUACAUACCCUUUUUCCUCGAUCGUCAAGGUCGUGGAUUUGGAUCGAUUUCGGUUUUACGGGCUUCAUACAUUGUUAAGAAAAGUACUCGGCAUUGGAAAGCAUCACGUUCUGGCCACACACAAAAGAAGUCGGUGGAAGGUAUGGAAUUUCUCGGCUGAAGGUCAGAAAGAAAGCAAUCGCCAGUGCUCUCGGUUCCAGCAACGAGUCUUUUCUCUGAGAAUUAAGGAAAACAAACUAACCUUGUCUGUCUAUGUUCACCUUGACAUGAAAGACUCUUUUCCUAACCUGACUGUUCUACCUUGCUAGUUCACUUCACUUUUCGAGGGAUCCUGGAUUGGAGUUCACUUGUCUAUGAGUGUCCGAACAGCUUCAGAUCCUUCCAAGGCGCAGGGGUUCUCUCUCCAUUCACUUUGAGCUGGGUUUCUUGUGAUCUUUUUAGUAGUUUUUCCGUCCCAUUUUUUGGUAAAUUAAGUCUUACACAGCUGUCCCCAAGGAUGUCCAUUCCAUUCGGCAGGGACUCCAUCUCGCAUUCGAUCUCCCUCCUUUCCCUGAAAGAGUCGAGGUCUCUCUGGACUUCUCUUUUGCCUCUCUACCAGAUUCAGAAAAAGGGAGGAAGAGGGCCUCUCGACGGGAGUGAUUCCCCGAAAAGAGAUCGUUCCCAACAUCCUCGAGUUCGUAGUCAAACUCACCUUCAUCCACCUUUCAUGGACUGGCGCGGGCAAGCGCCGAUGUCUGGAGCAGGAGAUGGAAGCUUGGGUUGAGGAGGCUGUCAACGAGUCAUCAAAGGCGAUAGAUUGGUUAUAUUCGGAUUCGUUUGAUUUUGAUUUUCUUUUUUUUGGUUGUGAGAGGUCUGAGUCCACAGCUGGGGUAGAGGCGUCAGAUGACAAUUGAAGUAGGGGUCUGCCUCUUUCAAAGGGAAGCAAGAGUCUCAUAGGGAAGGAGAUCCUGCACAGACCAAUCCCAAUCAGGAAGAGAGUCUUGUUGUCAAUGAAAGCAAUUUUUCUAUGUCACAUAUCUGCCUAUCUCGUGUUGUGAGCUAUAAAGUACCCACCAGGGGGGGGUGGACCAAGAAAGAGGCAGGCGAUUGGGUCCUUCCCAUCCUCUGUGAUGUCAGUCUCUUUGUCAUUCUUUCACCCUUGCUGAGUAGCGAAGUGAGCAUACUCAAGAUCCAAUUCAUCAAUCAUUUGAGUUGGUACGAACAUAGGAAUCCAGACUCCGCUUGAUUCGAUCUUCAGUUUCGACCUUCAUCAGUCAGGAAAAAGAAGAAGGACCCACUUAUUCCACUCGGAGAGACCGAACCAGGCAAAAAAAAAAAAGAAAAACUGAAGGAAGUUCUCUUUCCAUUCCAACUAAACUAAGUGAAAAAAGGGGGAGAGCAAAACAGAAACACAGGAACAAAGAAACUAUGUCCAAACCAACGAGUCCUUUGGUCGACUCUAAAGAAUGUAUCGGGAGUUGGGAGUUAGCCGUCUCAUAGGAGUGAUAGCUGGGUUUUUCACGGAGUUUCUUCGUACGAUUGAAAAAAAGAGUGCUCUAGGUCGGAGAAAACAAGAAGAAGAUUGUUCACCAGUCUGUCUCCCAACCUCUUUAAAGCAGCUACCUACCGUGAUCUGGUCUUGGGACAGCAUUGGCACCCCCGUUUGCUGGAUCUUCUAGGCACUCUAAAGCGCUUCCACGAGAGACAGAUGGACUUUGAGUUAUAGACGGAGAAGAGCCUUUAGAGGAUCAAGAGUGAUUCCUCAAUAAAACAAAUGGGAUUUUGAGGGAGGGCUGAACGCGAUGUACUGAAGGGUUCGCUUUCGCUGAUCGGCGCCAGUCUUUCCUGCUGUGAAUUUCCCAGGUCGGGAGGGGCCCUUUCCUUCUACCUUACUGAACCCAUUCACCAAUGAUUGGAUCACUCAAAGCUAAAGACCAAUUCCUUCCUUUUAGGUGGUCUAGGUGGCUGGGAUACUAUGCCCUUCUUUUUAGAGGCUCAAAGACGAGUUCUUUGAAGGAAGCAAAAGAACCCAUGUGUCUCGGAUGAAGUCUACCCUCUUUUUGUGCCGGGAAGAAGAAUGAGAUCCAACUCAAAGUCAAGGAAAGCGGCCUAGACCACUGACUUUUGAUGGAAGGCUUCUGAACAUGGGUUGGUCUGAUAAAGCCAAUUUUUCGGCGAAUCAAAUAUUUUCUGAGAGCACUAGACCUUCUCUCUUUCAGGAUUGAUUCCCACUCACUGCCUGAUAGCAGGCUUGGCCCAUGAGACCUAUUGUCUUAUUGUACUGGCUCACUUCACUACUUUGGAGGAUGGGUUUUUCCCCUUUUUGGUUCGCAAACGCUCUAACCCAUCGAGAAGCUCCAUCCAAAUUGGAGUUGAUGUGAGCACUUCCCCAGAGGCAGAGGCUUUUUCUACAAAAGGGUGGGAGCAUAAAAUGUAGGUGAGUCAAUUGCGUGUGGCCUUCAAGUAUUUCGUAUUGUAACAAUAUUAGAUCGGCAUCCAAACAAAGGUGCAUGUACGGUUCCUAAGGGAUACAAUUUUGUCCUAAUCAUCGAGAAAGAUGAAAUAAGUUGAUAGCGCGAUCUCGUACUAACACAUACUCUCUAAAUAUUUCAGAACUUCCAUGCGGCCUUCAAGCCACAACCGCGGUAUGAGUUUUGAUCUCAGACUUUGGUUUGGGGGCUGCUGGCCCCUUCGCGUCGACAAGGAAACUGUGGACGACAAUGGGUUUAGAAUUCGAAUAAAACGAAGACCCUAUCGAACAAAUAGAGGAAAGGGCGGAAAGGGGAAAAAGUAAAGUCUAAGCGACAUAUGGCACGAAAAGGAAAUCCAAUUUCGGUAAGACUUGAUCUGAAUCGUAGUUCAGAUCCAAGUCGGUUCAGUGAGGGCGACCGCGAAAGUCACCGAAUGGGUUCGGUCCGUCUUUUCCUGAUCUUUGUUUGUCCCCCCAAAAAAGGCGUGAGAGGACGUUGCAGAUGUCCGGGACGGACACGACUUCUUCUAACGCUAGAAUACCACAGGAAGAAACCCGAGACCAGAGCAUGUCGUGAAAGACGCACACGGGGCGGGCGUGCUUCGACCGUGUCUCCGGGGCACAGUUGAAUGUAGAUAUCAUGAACGCGAGGAUAAGGAUACCAGGCCGAGUAACCCGGGCAAGUACUCCCCUAAUGUGCCGAUCGCUAGCGCAUCCAGGGCCCCGGCGCCCAGCUCUGCUGGAGAGGCCGUCACUAAUCUGAAAAGUGCGUCUGCGGUUCGGAUAGACUGAUUCUGCGAACGCCUAGCCCCAGGAAUCAAUAAAAAAACAAGUGCUAAGUUUCAUUUCAGAUCAGUGAAUAAACCAAAAAAGAGACCUUUCUCGCUCGACGCCACACUAUGCUCCGCUUCAACAAAUGAGAGUUUUCGGUGGAACCGGUGAACCACGCGAGCUGGUUAGAUGCGUGGGGCAGAGGGCUCGUAGUACCUGAUAGCGCAGCUAUGCAGUGGAAGGGAAGGAGCCUAAAUCGACCCCCUUCUUUCUUUUUUAUUCAAAGACACAAAAGCAAGCACAAAAGAGAUUGGACUCUCGGAUGAGACUAAGCAGCUACCGUUCCGACGCGCCCCUGACCCUAUCUUGAUUCAAACCGAAAACCCUCUCUAAGGUGGAGCCUAGUUGAAGCUGUCAUUCAAAGAAUAAAUGGGAAUCCAAAUCCACUUUUAGGGAUAUAGAUGAAGUCUCGCUCAGUAAAGAGAGUUGUAGAUUCGUAGAAGAGGAUCAGAGUACGCGCGCUACAAAAGGCAGCUAGCCAAUGAAAGUAAGUGGAAAGAAUAUAGUACUUUUGUACUGACCCCUCCGGGGCCCCCGGUUGUUUUGGCGCGCCCUACCCCAACGUUAGACUAUUGCCUUUUUAGCCUACGCUUGCUGCUUGCAGCAUGGAUUCGAUAGAUCUAUCGAAUCCAUGCUUCCCCCGCCCCGAAGCGAGACUCUAUCCAGAUCUCAAAGAAUAACGAGCUAGGCGGCCGGCGGGCAAAGAAAGGGGGCGGGGCGUUUACUUGAAAAUGACAACCGCCUGUUCCAGCAGCGGGGGCCUUGCACGAAAGCAAACCUACGAUUAAGUAGCAGUUGCUUUCGCUGAUGGGCCCAGUGAGGGGGGGCAUUGUCCCUCAGUUCUUACCAACCUCAGGUGUGUACAUCUAACUUAUUAUCUUCUUUUUUCAUGCAAGCCUGACCUCAGCUGUCCAUUUCUUAUUCAUUCAGGGCGCCCCUAGUGGACUUGGCGGUGCUCCUUUCUCAAACCAGAACAACUCUGAACGUUAGGGAAAAUAAGGGAAGACCACCUGAGCGAACCGACCGAAGGGACUUUACUUAUCCGAACCGAACGUUAGCGGCUUAAGCUAAGCCUAUCACGAGCUGCGUUGCUGCUUGAUCGGCGGGGAGGAAGAUCUCAAAGUAUGGGGCAAAGGAUCAAGCGCUUUGACUUUGCUUUGUCCCCCGGGAUCCACCACGGGUUGGGUUUGAGAGCCGUGUGAUGGGUGACUAUCUAGCACGGUUCAGAGAGCACGUGUAUGUAGUCUGCGCUGGUGAAUGGAAGCCCCCGCCGCAAAAAAGAAGCGGCUCUUCCCACGGCUCUGUCACCAUUGACUCUAUUUAUUAUUAUGGUAAAUCAUUGUAUCAAGAUGUCAAUCUUAGAUCUUAUUUUAGUUCGAUACGUCCACCUACGAAACUCGCCCUUGGCUUUCGUCUCGGUAGGUGUAUUAUUCUACAUUUUCCCAAAAGGACAUUCAUUCAUUUCUUUCUUCCCGGGCGAUCACCACGACUAAAACGAAAAAAAGACAAGAAAUCAAGACCCGUACUACAGGAAAAGGGCUGGUGGCCGACAUUUGGGAAAGUCGGGCCGAUCGGGUGUCUUCAUUCAAGCGAGGGUACAGAGGAAGAACGAAACGAAGUGAGAGGCCGGGGGGCAGGGAAAAGAGUCGAGUCGAUCGACCGGGAGAAGCAAAACGAAAUCCGGAUUUGGCCGAAAAAGAUGCAACGUUAUGGAUACCAUGACCGAUCACCAUCGAGAAAGAAGAAUUUUGAUAAAUCACUUCGGGUGAGCGGGGCCUUCAAGCGGCCUCAAUACGCCGGGGUUGUAAAUGACAUACCUUUCCUUAUGGGAAAUGCCGCCUCCUUACUAAAAAGGAAUAGAAUCAAGUUAUUUUUACCAAAGAAGUCCCGCUCUGACGGCCCGACGAGUCAUCUACUAAAAAGGACCCUCCCCGCUGUGCGCCCCUCCUUGAAUUAUUCGGUCAUGCAAUACUUUUUUAAUACUAAGAAUAAAAUGCAUUUCGACCCCGUCCUAGUUCUCAAUCAUUUCGUGGUAGUCCACCUAUUAACUUGUUGUCAGAAGCAAGGAAAAUGGUUAGUUGUGAGGUGAGAUUUCCCACAAGGCUAGGGAGGACACCAGUGAAAGAAUUAACUUCUACCGCAAGGGCUCGGAGGUUUCCAUACUUGAAAAGAGGCGACAAGAAAUCUAAACUCCCCUCUAAAUUAUUCCCUGCCAAAUCAAGCUUUUUCAAAGCUAUACUUUUUUCAAAUAUUGUUGGUACUUUGCCAGAUAAUUGAUUCUUUGCCAAACCUAGGUAAGACAGUUUGGACAAAUUACCAAGGGAAGUUGGAAUUUGACCUAUCAACUGAUUGACUCCAAGAUAAAGAUAUGAGAGUUCCUUCAUAAGACCUAAGUCUGGUGGAAUAUUACCUGUUAGAUUACCGAAUUCGAGUCCUAGAGGGGUAAGACUGGUGAGAUUACUAAGAGCAUAUGGGAUCGAGCCAAUAAGGUUAUUAAAACCCAAAUUUAGCUUUCGGAGGUGCGGCAAUUUGGCUAACCAUGUUGGCACGCCAUCCACAAAAGAAUUUGCAGACAAAUCAAGUACUUGUAGGUAUCUACAUGAUGCAAGCUCCGAUGGAAACCGGCCAGAAAAUUUGUUACCACCUAGUCCAAAAAAUUGCAACAUUGGCAAGCUGAAAGUUUGAUUGCUUGGAAACAUUCCAUUUAGUUUAUUGAGUAUGAGUGAAAUGACUUGCAACCUAGACAUGUUGUACAUGGCCUGCGGUACUAUGCCAGAGAAUUGAUUAAGCUGUAAGUUUAAGAUUUCAAGCAUGGAUAGGGAUGCAACGGUGUGUGGUAUAGGACCUGACAGGCUGUUGUUUCCAAAACUUAUGUAUGCCAACGAAGGUGUGUUGUUGAACACAUAUGGUGAUAUAUGGCCACUCAAGUAAUUUGCAUUCAGAUUAAUUUUCCUAAGAUUUUGCAUAUGUAAUAGCAAUUCAAGAGGGAUCUGGCCUGAGAGAUGGUUCCUAGAUAGAUCAAGGAUCUCUAUCCUCGUGAGGUUCCCUAGGGCAGCAGGUAUGGCACUUGACAAACUAUUGCUGCUAAGAUUCAGAUAUCUUAGACGAUGUAGCCUACCAAGUUCGAUCGGAAUUGAGCCUGUGAGACUGGUGUGUGCGAAGCUAAGGGCAGAGAGAAAAGAGAGGUUACCGACAUGAGGUGCCAAAGUCCCAAAGAGAGGCAUGCCCUGCAACGAUAGAGAGGUGACCCGUUGCCGGCGCCUGCUGCACGAGAUACCGAUCCAGUGGCAAAAAGAUGUGCCAAUGGUCCAGUUAUCGGCAAGGAUUCGGUGAGGGUCGGCAAGCUGGGCUUUGAAAGCUAGCAGCGCGGCCAGAUCAGUGUCACUGCCAUUGCCGUUGGUCGGAGUGGAAGAAGAAACCGAGACGGCCGAGAGUAGGGCUAGUAGGAAGAUGGGAAUACAGAAAGACAUAGGUAGAUCGGCCAUUAUAUUGAGCUGGGUUGUUUACUUUACC